UAAUUGCAUAAAUUUGGUUAAUCAAUUAAUUUUCUAAAUUAGUGCUAAUUAAUGCAUAAAUUUAGGACCUCAAUUAAAAGUUUCUUUAAAUAUUAUAUUAUUUAAUUACCAAACUAACCUUGAAUAAAAUAAUCCUUUUACCUGCUAAGUAUUAAAGUUAUAUUUUUACUCUCUAUUAAUCAACGGUUAAAUUUUUUUUUUUUUUAUUUUUUUAAAGUACCGAAUCAUUUCUCCCAAAAUAAUUAAUCUGAAAUUUAACUAGAGAAAAUACCGCAACCAAAGAAGCUCUUGAAGCAUAUGGUUUAGAGCUUGAGGAGUGAGAGAUGAUCUGGACGAACAGUGCAGCAACCAAGAAACAUCUUUCCUCUUGACUUCUCCCAUCAGCACUUGAGUGCAGUGGGCCAUGAUGAAUUAAUUUUAGGGAAUCUUUUGAUUAUAUACCUUUUACUCCUUAUCAAAAUUUUUUAAUUUAUUUUGAAAUUAUCAAAAUAUUCUUUCAAAAUCAAAUCUUAUUAGUAAACCGCAGCAAAAAUGAGGAUAUUUGAAGAAAUUAUUUAAAAUCAGUAAGUAUAUUUUGAUCCUCCAGGAGUAAAUAUAUAAGAUAUUUUGAAGUUUUGAAGAACAUAUUAGAUAUUAUUUUGAAAUUUUAUACAUAGGAUGAAAACUUCGAUUAACUGCCCUGUGGCCCAGCGUGUUAUAUGCUUCGUCGUACUGUAUUUGAGAUAUCUAAAGUAUAUAUAUGCUUCGGCAUUCUGUGUUCAAAAAGUCUGACAAAAUUUUUUACUUUGUCAAUUCUACAUUCGGAAAGUUUUACUAUGUUGUUAUAUAAUUUUACCUUUUGUUUGAGAGUAAAUUAUUCGGUCCUCAAAUUAUGAGACACGUGACAUUUCGGUCCUUAAAUUUUAAUUUGUUGUAAUUUUUAGCUUUUAUACUGCAUAUUACAUUUUAGUUCUCGAACUUUAAUUAGAUUGUAACGUCCCAGCCCACUAGCAAAAAUAAUUCGUUGGGCCCAAACACUGGCCCAAAAUGCUUAGCCCAGUUAUUAUUACCAGUGUCUAAGUCUCUUAUAUACCCAAUCAUAUCCCCAUUUCUAUUUUCGAUGUGAGAUUAUUGGGGUGACUCGUCUCGCUAGCCUUGUCAUCCAGACCCUGGCAUAGCCGGCUAUCUUGUUAUUCAGACUCUGGCAUACCCGAUCACCUUGCCUUUCAGACCCUGACUCAGUCUCGCUAGCCUUGUCAUCCAGACCCUGGCAUAGCCGGCUAUCUUGUUAUUCAGACUCUGGCAUAGCCGAUCAUAUUGCCUUUCAGACCCUGACUCAGUCGAGAUUCGCAAUACAUUUUUGGCUGGUGAACCGGCUCUGAUACCAAAUGUAACGACCCAGCCCACUAGCAACAAUAACUCGUUGGGCCCAAACACUGGCCCAAAAUGCUUAAGCCCAGUUAUUAUUACCAGUGUCUAAGUCUCUUAUAUACCCAAUCAUAUUCUCAUUUCUAUUCGAUGUGGGAUUAUUGGGGUGUGACAUAGGUGUAAUUCUAGCUCGACGGAUAAGGCAUGUGAUAUUUUGACUUGCUGAAUUAUUGGAAUUAAAUUUCACAGCCUAUUUUUUUAAAAUAAAUAUGGAUAAAAUAUUAAAUAUCUAAUUAAUGCAGCAUUUUAAAUAUUGUUGCAUCAUCAAAUAUGAUAUUGUUACAAUUCAAAAAGUUCGAAGAUUAAAAAGUUCUAUUUUAACUUCUUUGAUUUGUGCUGCAAUCUGUAAGAUGUUGUAGAAGGUCAUCUCGUUGUACAUUAGCAAGUUUAAAUCCAAAGAAAAUCACUAUCAAUUAAUUGCAUUCUCUGUAUGCCAAAAAGAAUUACUCUCUGAUUGCAUGCACCGUUUGGUUUGGGAAUAGGGAUAGGGAUAGGCUCUUAUCCCCCCCUUUAUACCCAAACGCUAAUUUUUUAUUCGAGAAUAGUAGUUCUCGGUUAUCCCCACCAACACCUUCAUUUUCUAUAUAAAACUUUCUAAUAUUUUUCUUAUCCUCGGGAACAACCCAAUUUUCAUCCAAACGCUAUUUUUCUUAUCCUCAUACUUGUACCUAUCCCUGUAAUAACUAGUUCUUGCUUAUACCCGAACCAAACGGUAUAAUAGAGAAUUAAAUAGCUUAUAGCAAAGAAAAUAAAAAACAAGAACACUUGGAACUUAAAAAUUAAUUAAAAAGAAUAAGUGGAAGAGGAACAACUGACCACAGAUCCAAGGAAGAGAUUGAAGAGGGGGCUGCUCCAAAUAUCAAAUUUGAUAAGGAAAUAAAUAAUUGGGCGCAAAUGAUUUGGACAGUACAGCUAUUGAUGGAGAAACUUCUUCCCUCUUUAUUAUCAGAGAUUCUAUUAUGUAUCAGUCAUACCACAUCAUCUAUUAAAAGUCAAUUAUAUCCCUUCUUUUGAGUAAAAAAUAUAAUAAAAAUAUUUUUCUAUUAACCAUGAUGGGAUGGGUGAACAAUCAUAAAGGAACAAUUUGAUUGGUAGAUGACGACACAUCACCAAUACAACUAAUACAUUCUAGAUUUUUUUUUUUUCCUUUAAUGUUCCUAGCAGCACUUGAUUGCAGUGGGCCAUGAUGAAUUAUGGGCCUGUUUCGCCAAUAUUCUAAAAAAUAAUAAUUUUUACAGGAUUAAUUUUAAUUUAGAAAAUUAAUUUUAGUUAAAAAUUGUAGGGCGCUUAGCUUAAUCUAACAAAAAAUUGAUUUUUUUAAAAUUUUCUUUAUUAAUUAUAAUUAAUAAUUUUUUGUCAAUCUUAUUUUAAAAUUUGAAUUCAAAAUUUGAAUUUGAAUAUAAAGUUUUUAAUUUUAAAGUUAAACAAUUAAAAAUUUAAAUUUAAAUUUAAAUUGUUAAAUAAUAGAAAUAAAUUUGAAUUUUCAAUUUUCAAAUUUUAAAUUCCAAAUUUCAAGCUUAUAAUUUAAAAUAUAAAUUUUAAAAUUUAAUAUUAUUUUAAGAAUUUCGCAAAAUAUAAUUUAAAAUUUAAAUUUAUUUGAUAAUUUAAUUUAUUUUAAUAAUUAAUUUUGAAAUUGUAAAUUUCAAAAAUUUAGAAUUUUCAAAUUAAAUCUAAAUUUUAAAUUGAAAUUAAAGGUUUAUAUUUUAUUUAUAAUUUAAAAUUUAAAUUUGAGAUUUGAAAUUAAAAACUAAAAUUUUAUUAUUAAAUUUAAAAUUUAAACUUUCAAAUUGAAAAUUUAAUUUAAUUUUAAAUUUUAAAAUUGAAUUUUAAUUCGAUUUUAAAUUUUGAAUUUAAUAUAAAAUUUGAAUCUUAAUUUUAAAUUAAAUUUUGAUUCCAAGUCAAAAAUUAGAUUUAAAAAGUAGGUUUUAACAAUUUAUUUUGGCUCAAAAAUCAGAAAAUUGAACCAGAUUUUGGAAGAAGUUAUCAUAUACUCUAUUGAUAAAAAAAAACUAUAUAUAUAUAUAUAUAUAUAUUAGGCUGGAAUACUAUUAAUAGUAAAACGCUCUUUUUGCUAUCAAGUUUUUAACCCUUGAUGAAAAAUUGAUAGGGUUAGGAUAAUAUUAGUCGGUUAGAGUUGAGUGGUCCCCCUAGGUUGAGUGGUGCCCACUAGGUUAUAGUAUUUAAUCCAAUGGUUAGAAAUAAUAAAAAGAGUUGAUCCAAAGGCCUAAAAAACUGAUAGCAACAAUAAAAUUUGCUACUAAUAGUAGCCCAGUCCAUACUAUAUAUAUAUAUAUUAUAUAAUAUAUAUUAAGAGUAAAAGACUUUGUGUUUCUGACUUUCUAGUCUUGGAUCAGGUUCUUUGAUUAUUUCUAACAUUGAAUUAUUAUCAUCCUAUCAGCCGCUCAAUCCUAGGAGCACUAUCAUUCCAACUUAAUACAACUUUUUAAUCAAGGGUCAAAAAGUUGGAAGCAUCAAGUAGAGAGAAAGAGAGAGAGAAUUGGACUAGAAUACUAUUAAUAGUAUUUUGGCUCUUUUACUAUCAAAUUUUUAAAUUUUGAAUGAAAAAUUAUAGAAUUAGAAUAAUAGUGGUGUUGGUAUAGUGGUGAUCCCCCUAGGGUUUAAACAAAACAAGUUAAGUAAUAGUUAAUUCAAUUGUCAUAAUGUCACGUUAACCGGCAGAAAUUAUCUGGCUACUUAUUCUACCAAAGUAAAAUUUCAUCUAAAAACUGAAAUAAAUUUUGAUCAGUGAUCUAAUUGAAAUAGAAGUUAAAGUUCGAUAACUUGAUUUGAAAAAAAAAAAAAAAAAACUAAAAAUUUUAUGAAGUAAAUGAAAUUUCAGGAAAAAUUAGGCGACUAAUAUUGUAUUAGACUUAAUUAUAUGCAAUUACUUGUACAUGUGUACGACAUAUAUACUUAAAUACAUCAUAUUGAUAUACACUUUCAUAUGCGUAUAUAUAUUAUUUAAUUACUCUCUCCCUCUUCCUCUAUCCUGCACUUAAUUUCUAUCUUUAAGCCAAUUUAAAUAUUGGGUUAGUUGACUUUGAAUAAGUAUAAAGCGAACCAAAUUUUAAUUUUUUUCAUCUUAUUUCAUUUUCGUGUGAACAUGGUGGAAUCGAGUUUUUAUACUAAUCAAAUAUAGGGAAACAAACAACCCGCCCCUCGUCCGCAUGGUGCCACUCCUAUUUAUAGGCAAAUCCUGGCAGAGACCCAGCCUGAGAGAGGAACCCCCAGCCACUUCCGGCGGCGCCGGAGACGGAAGAAGGGAUUAGAGGAAAGAUUUGCAGAGACAGGAGAAUUAGGAUGCACAUGGGGAGCAAAGAGAAGAGAUACCGCAACCACAGGGGCACACCGGCCAAACCUGACGCAGAGAUGUAACGGGCGUACGUCGGCCGCAGGAGAAGGUCAGCAUAGGGCCCGACAAGCAUCCGACAGGGAGAGGGGAUGGGGCCCGGCUCGGAGAGAGAACGACUCGGAGAGACACGGGACGGGAGGCACGUGACGCCGCUCGUCGCCAGCGAAGGAAGCGGGCAGAGCUGAGGAGGCGGGGGGUCGCUGGGGAGGCGACGCGUGGCGGUUUAGGGUUCGACUUUUAUUAUAUGUAUAGAUAACCUUAUAGUGAUAAGAGUUAAUUUCAUGAGUACAUAUAUACCCUUCCGUCCACCUCUAAUUUUGUCAAUAUUAAAAAUGAUCUUUUAAUUUCAAGAAACUAUUCAAAUUACUUUAUUAACUCAGUUUAAAAUUGUAUGCUAAUUAUUUUUUUCCUUUAAAAUUGUACUAUUCAUUUCCAGCAUAUAUAAAAUUUGUUGAAAUGAAUUCUGUUUAUUGCCCAUACCAUUAUAUGGAGCUAGACUGGUAUACUAUCGGUAGUACGGAGGCCUCCGUGCUAACAAGUUGUUUUUUAAUGAUACGGCUUUUAAAUCAACGAUCGGCUCCAGUAGACUUGAUCUACACUAGAAAAAGUAUUUGAAAACUAAAUUUUGUAACUUUUUGACAUUAUUUGACUAGUAUCCUUAAUUAUCUUUCAUAGUAUUGAUCAUUGAUUUAGAUGCUCAAUUAUCAACAAUAAAGUGAAAAUACUACAUGAGGCCAAAUUAUUCUACCUUAAUUAUUAUCUCUUGUUAUUUUGUUUCCAAAGAUCAAGUGAAUCCAAACAACACAUUAAUCAACAAAGACAUAUAGCAUACUUCUUGAACCCUUUUGCAGAAUCAACUACUUGAUAGCAAAGAAAAUAAAAAUUAAUUAAGAAGAGUAGGGGAAGAAGAAGAAGAACAACUAACCACAGAUCCAGAAAGGAGAUUGAAGAGGGAGCUGCUCCAAAAUAAUUAAUCUCAAAUUUAACUAGAGAAAAUACUGCAACUAGAGAAGCUCUUGAAGUAAAUGUUUUAUUAGGGAUUGAGGAGUGGGAGAUGAGGAUGAACUACACAUUAUAAACAAGAAACUGGGAGCAAGUGAUUUGGACAUUGCAGCUACCAAGAAACUUCCCUCUUGACUUUUCGCAUCAGUACUUGGUUGUAGUGUGCCAUGGAAUUAUAGGGGCUCCUUUUGAUUAUUUGCCUUUUACUACUAUUCAAAAUUUUUAAAUUUAUUCUAAAAUUACUAAAAUAUCUAUGUAAAAUCUAAUCUCAAUAAUAAUAAAUGGCCUUUUUGCAUAAAAUAUCUAUUAGUUUCGAGAUUUCAUAAAAAUGGGUCACUAUUUUGAAUUUUACAAAUUCAGCUCAAAUUUUUAGAAAACUGACUAAAAUAUUCUUAUUCCUCUCUCUCUCUCUUUCUCUCUCUCUCGCUCUCGCUCUCGCUCUCUCUUUCCCCCCGACCCUCCUUGCCUCCUCCACCGUCUUUGCGACGUCGACCUUCGGCGACGGUAAGAAGGAUGUUGCCGCCUCCUCUUUCUCCGCCUUCCCCAAUGCCGGUGCCGGCAUUGACGCUGACGCUGAAGGAAGAGGACUUGGAGCGGGCGCGAAUGAGGGCGGAGUAGAUGGAGGCGAUGAGUUCGUGGCUGUCACACCCCAAUAAUCUCACAUCGGAUAUGAAUGAGAAUGUGAUUGGGUUUAUAAAAGACUUAGACACUAGUAAUAAUAACUGGACUUAAGCAUUUUGGGCCGAUGGUUGGGCCCAACAGUUAUUAUUGCUAGUGGGCUGGGUCGUUACAUUUGGUAUCAGAGCUGAUUCACCAGCAAGAAAUGUGUGGUGAGUCUCGGCUGAGUUAGGGUCUGAAAGACAAGAUGAUAGGCUAUGCCGGAGUCUGAAUGACAAGGUGGCCGGCUAUAGCAGGGACUGGAUGACAAGACUAGCGAGACAAGUCUCACAUCGCAUGGUGAUCUUGCGCUGUGUGUGUGAUUGAACUGACUAGUUUGUCACACCCUAAUAAUCCCACAUCGAAUAUGAAUGGAGAUGUGAUGAUACUAAUAAUAAUAAUUGGGUUUAAGCAUUUUGGGCCAGUGGUUGGGCUGGGUCGUUACAGUAGCCGAGGCGUUGCUCGCUAUCGCACGUGAUGGUGAGAAUGAAGUUGCGCCCGCGCUUCUCCAAUGAGCGAAUAAAGAUGCAAAGGAUAGAAAAUAAAUAAAUAAAAAUAAAUAAAUAUUUUUUUUCUUGAAAGACCAUUGUGUAUCAUAAAUAAAAAUAAAAAAUAUUUUUUUCUUGAAAAUCAUUAUAUAUCAUCGCUCCUACAGAAAUGAUCAAGAAUCAGAGAAGAAGGAAAAAGAAUAUAAAGUUGUUAUUAAAAUAAAGUUGCAUUAUUUCACAAGAAAAUUACAUUUUUCGAGACGAAUGUUGUAUUUUUUGAUACAAAAAUUAUACUUUUUGAGCAAAGUUAUAUUAUUUGAGCGAAAAUUGUACUCUACCUACCAUCCGAUUAUCGUCUUGAAGCGGCUCCUCCUCGCCUUCCUCCUCACGCUCAUCUGCACCUCCGAGGCUCCUUUUCACUCAAUCAAGGACGGGCUCAAGGCGCUCUUUGGCAUUGCACUCUACCCGCUCAACCGCUCUGUGUUGGUUGAGCUCGGCGCCAUGUCCGCACUCUUCUCCCUUGUCGUUAUUUUGCAUUCGUCACGCUUUACCCGCUCAACCGUCCUGUGCUGGUCGAGCCCAGCGUCGUGCCCGCACUUUUCUCCCUCAUCGUCAUUCUGCAUUCGUCACGCUCUACCCGCUCAACCGCCGAUGCUGGUCAAGCUCGGCGUCGUCCCUGCGCUUUUCUCCCUCAUCGUCAUUAUGCAUUCGAAAAGUUUUAGUGUUAUAUAAUUUUAUAUUUUGUUUUGGGGUAAAUUACACUUUUGGUCCUCAAACUAUGACGUGCGUGAUAUUUUAGUCCUCAAAUUUUAAUUUAUUAUAAUUUUUGGCUCGACUUAUGCGAUACAUUUUAUUUUAGUCCUUAAACUUUAAUUAGGUAUAAUAUCUGGCUCGACCUUUAAGACCUGUGACAUUUUAGUCCUUGAACUUGCUGAAUUAUUACAAUUAAGUCUCACAACCAAAUUUCUUUUUAAAAUAAGUAUGGAUAAAUUAUUUGUAUUCAACUAAUAUAGUAUUUUAAUUAUUAUUACAUCAUCAAAGACGAUAUACUACAAUUCAGAAAGUUCAAGAACUAAAAUAUCACAUGCUUUACAAUUUAAGCUAGAAAUUAUAACUAAUUAAAAUUUGAGGACAAAAGUGUCACUAACCUUAUAGUUCUAACGACAAGUUAUAACAAAUUAAACUUUGAGGACGAAAGUAUCACGCGUCACAUGGUUUGGAGGUGAAAAGUGUAAUUUACCGUUUGUUUUACCAUAAAAAAAUAUUAUUAAAUAUAAUAGUAAAAUAUUAUGAUUCGCAAAUUAUACAAAAAUGCUAAAUUUUGUAGGUCAAAUUAUGUAAAAUAUGCGCUGACGCACAGCAGCUACGCUGUGGUUUUUGUAAUGGUCCGCCAAAUAGAGUAUAUCCCUGACGCGCUUUGGCCGCUGAGUCCUGAAAUAUUGUUAAAAUCAAAAAUAAAAAAAAGACGCGGAGAAGACUCGCACGACCCACGCGAGUCGUCUCCGCGUAGGGACCCAGUGAUGCUACCAACUAUACAUAUAUACUCCCUGCACCUGGUGUACUUUUACAUAUAUAUAUAUAUAUAUAUAUAUAUAUAUUGUAAAUAAUAUUUGGUAAUCAAUAUUUUAAAAUUAAGAAAGGAGCUGGGAGACGAUGUACUUUAUAUCUGGGAUAGGUGGAUGGUUAAGAAAGGAUUGCAGAAUACGAGGCAUAAUCUUUUUGAAUUGGUUGCGUACUGGUAGGUUAUUUGAAAGACUAGAAACGAUUGAUUUUUCCGAACAUCCAAUUCCGAUAAUAAUUUUGUUGAUAGUUAAUAGAAAUUCUGUGCACAUAGUAAUUAAUGACUUUGGAAAUUCAUAAUUUCGUGCUCAAAACUCCAAUUCCAAUAAAAUUUAGUUUAAUUAGAUGAUCGUCUCAGAGUAUCUUUUGUAUAGCAGGACUUUCAGUUUUUGAAAAUUAUGAGAAAUAUUACAUAAAAUAAUGAUGAUUGAGAGAUGAUUGUCUUUUUCUGAAUUUCAUAGAUUUUAUCAAAGAAAUUUUAAAUCCACCAAAAAUGCACCAAGUUAACUACUAGACCUUACAAAUAAGCCCCCACGAGUAUUAAAAACCCUCGGGAGCUAAGAAAAAUAAAUUCACCAAAAUUGACUUCCGUUUGUUCAAAUAAAAAUAAAUCCAGAUCGUGCUAUUAUUACAUAAUAGUGUAAUAAAAUAUGAACGAGGCUAUUGUACUAUUAAUAGCACCGAGUUAUUGGUGCUAUUAGGGUUUUGGCCAUUGGAUAAAAAAAAUGUAAGGUUAGAAUAAUAAUGGACCUCUAGGGUUGAGUCGAUGGUUUGUUGAAUAGUAUGAUCUAACGGGUGAAAAUAAUCAAAUGGAUAAAUUUAACAGCAAAAAACUUGGUAGCACCAAGGAGGAGGGUAAACUUGUAAUCUAGAUAAUUGCAAGAUUACCCGCCAGUAAUAAUACGAGAUACCCACUCUCAUUCGAUAAUAUUUUCGGAAUAGUCUUACAUCAUUUGUAAUGCUACUUUGCCAAUUAAAUUAUAGACUGGAUGAACCAAAUAUAAUAAUCUUAACAAAUUUACAUAUAAUUUUGACAGGAUAAUCCGAAUAUUAUAUGACAGGAUAAUCCGAACCAUCCUUUGUGAAUUAUGAAAGUGAUCAAUUUUGUUAAUCAUAAGGUCUACGUGAAUGCGGCCUACGCGCAACGGACGGGAGUUCUGAAAUUAAAAUAAAAAAUAAAAAAAAAAAAGAACACGGAGAGGACUCCCAUGACUCGGUCUACUUCCGUACAUGUAAAUUAUAAAUAAUAUUUGGAAAUUAGUAUUUUAAAAUUAAAAUCUAAUUCAAUAUAUAUUUGAUUUAUAGUAUUUAAAAGGAGGGUUUUUUAUAAACAAUUCUAUGAAGUUUUACAAUUACAAAAAUAUUCUUCUACAAAAAUUACCUAUAAAAGUAGGCCUCUAAUAUGCCAGGUGAGAUAGUCCGCUGAUAAAAUAUUGAAAGUGGUAAAUAAUUUACCAUAUUUAAAAGCAGCCAAGUAUUUACCGUCGAUAAUGGCAUGUUUGUUUGUUAAUAUAGGUUCGACAGGUGGGAUAAGUGUAUUCACAGUUCCUAGUAAGAUUAGGUCAGAGAUUGCACUGUUCUAUAGAUAGCUAGUAUUGGAUUAUGAUAGUAUAGUGACAUAUAGCUGUAGAUUGUUUUCAGUUCCUUUAAUAUCAUUGAGCAUACUUUCUGUAGACUUAGUGGGUGAACCGUUCAGAUCGGUAGCGGUGCCCACUGAGGACUACUUUUUGCAAUAGUUCUCACGCCCUGUUGUUGACUCUUUUUGCAGAGCCUUCUGUUAUGGCUGCUGCUAUUGCUGAGAUUGAUCGCGGAAAAGGUCUUGCGAGUUAGAGUCCUUCCUGACUAGUUGCAGAGCUAGAUGAGUAUCUUCUACAGGUAGUGUUAGUUUUUUGUUCUUAUACAUACUGAUAUUAGUAUCUCGCCGGAGCUAGAAUUUUUGUAUCAAAAUACUAUGUAUAUAUAUAUAUCGCGAAGCUCUGUUAUUAUAUACGUAUUUCUUUUUAAUAGCUCUAUAUUAUUUGUUUUAGUAUUGUAUGAUUACAGAUACAGAUACAGCUAUCACUUCGUAUACAGGAGAAAUUCCUAUAUAUACGGCGGGUCUGUUAGCGUACCGAAAAAAUGAGUAAUCCGGGGGCGUGACACUAAUAAUUUUGUUGAUAGUUAAUAGAAAUUCCGUGCAUGUAGUAAUUAAUGACUUUGGAAAUUCAUAAUUUCAUACUCAAAACUCUAAUUUCCAUAAAAUUUAGUUUAAGAUGAUCGUCUCAGAGUAUAUUUUGUAUAGCAGAAUUUUUCGUUUUAAAAAAUUAUGAAAAUAUUACAUAAAAUAAUGACUUGAUUGCGAGAUGAUUGUUUUAAUUUUCUGAAUUUCAUCGAUUUUAGCGAAGAAAUUUUAAAUCCACCAAAAAUGCACGAAGUUAACUAUUCCACCUUACAAAUAAGUGACCACCAGUAUUAGAAACCCUUGAGCUAAGAAAAAUAAAUUCACGAAAAUUGACUUCCUUUUGUUUAAACAAAAAUAAAUCCAAAUCGUGCAUUCAUUAUAUAAUAGAGUAAUAAAAUAUGAACUAGGCUAUUGUACUAUUAAUAGCACUAAGUUAUUGGUGCCAUUAGGGUUUCGGCCAUUGGAUGAAAAAAUGUAGGAUUAGAAUAAUAGUGGGAUAAUUAAGUAGAUGGUUUGUUGAAUAGUAUGAUCUGACAGCUAAAAAUGAUCAAAUAGGUAGAUCUAACGGUGAAAAACUUGAUAGCACCAGGAGAGAAGGUAAACUUGUAAUUUAAAUAAUUGCAAGAUUACCCGCCAGCAGUAAUAUGAGAUACCCACCCUCAUUCCGUAAUAUUUUCGGAGUAAUCCUACAUCCUUUGUAAUGUUACUUUGCCAAUUAGAUUAUAAACUGGAUAAACCAAUUAAAUAUAAUAAUCUUGACAAAAUUACCUAUAAUUCUGGCAAGAUAAUCCGAAUCAAAUACACCCUUUGUAAAUUAUGAAAGUGAUAAAUUUUGUUAAUCAGAAGGUCUACAUGAAUGCGGCCUACGCGCAGCGGACGCGAGUUCUGAAAUAAAAAUAAAAAUAAAAAAAAGAACGCGGAGAGGACUCCCGUGACUCAGGCACUGGUCUACGUUUGUACAUGUAAAUUAUAAAUAAUGCUUGGAACUUAGUAUUUUAAAAUUAAAAUCUAAUUCAAUAUAUAUUUGAUUUAUAGUAUUUAAAAUGAGGUUUUUUUUUUUUUAUAAACGAUCCUAUGAAGUUUUAUAAUUACAAAAAUAUUCUUCUACAAAAACUACUUAUAAAAGUAGGCCUCUAAUAUGACAGGUGAGAUAGUUCGCUAAUAAAAUAUUGAAAGUGGUAAAUAAUUUACCAUAUUUAAAAGCAGCCAAGUAUUUACCGUCGAUAAAAGCAGUGAAUAGUUAACCGCCUUUAGUGUAUUUUCCUUACUGGUUUGGGGGAAGCAUUUAAAAACAGUGAAUAAUUAAUCGCUUUUAGAAAAUUAUUUAACUUUUAGAAGACAGUAAACCAUUCAUCGUUUUAUAAAAUGGAGCGAAUGGUUUCACCCCUUUUCUUUAUGUCCUCAUCAUGAUAGCGCCCAUCCGACUAGUUGAAAUCUAUUUUUACACAUAAAAAUUUGAAGGGUCUAGUUUUAGAAUAAAAAUUUUGAAGAAGGCUAUUGGCCUAAAAGCCCAUUUUGAAAGUCUCAUUAUGAUGGCCUAAAAACAACUUCACACUAUGCUAAUUUUUCUUCUUUUUUUUUGUUCUUUUAUUUAUUUGUUGGGUGUACAUGCAUGCAUAAUUAAUUAACAAAAGAUUAUGUGCAUUAUGAUCUCAUGACGCUCAGAUCAUAGGCUCUCUUUAUGUUAUAGGAUAUGCUAAUUAUUUUGCUCUUUAAAAUCGCACUAUUCAUUUCCAACAUACAAUUAAUAACUUAUUGAGUUGUCACGCCAAACGGUCCGUAAACUUCCCUAAAAAAAAAAAACACGAAAAAAGAGAGAAAAUCUUUUUUUUUUUAGUUUUUUAAUAUUUUUUUUUUGAAAAUGAGCCUGUAGGGCUCUUAAAAUAUAAACAUUAUUGAUUAAUAUUUAGCUAAAAGUAUGUUCUUUGUUAGGAAGAGAACACAAUUAUUUGUGAAUUUCUUAGUCAUAUAACUUUGGGGAAAAAUUUUUGGAAUAUCUUUUAGUCAUAUGAUUAUGAAUCCACCAUAUAUAGUUAUUCCAAACAGAGUAUGCCAUAUAAUUGUCACAGGAUAAAGUUAUAAUUAAUUCAUAAAUUAAUCACUCCACAUAAGAGGGAACAAAAAUAGCCAAAACCUUAAUUAAUCAUAUUCUCCUUUUUUUAAUAGAAUUUCUUUUUAGAAUUAACGAAAGAAAUCAUAAUUUUGUUUGGUAAUGAGGAACAGAUCAAAUUCAAUAGAAUAAAAAAAAAGCAAAGUUACAUAUAGAUGACUGACCGUCUCUAGAACAAGUGGCAAAGAGCUUGAUGGUUGGUAUCCGAAACCUAAGUUCGAAUCCUAGUUGAUUCACAUUUCUAGCUCAGUUUAUUUCUAAAUGAAAUAAAUGAAACGGAUAGCGUGCUACAUAUUUCUCAAAAAAAAAAAAGAAAAGAAAAAAAAGUUACACAUAGGUGGUGUAGCCAUGUAAUAAUUCUAUUUCAUUGGAACCGACAAUAUUUGUCUUGGUAUAACCAAACGCCUAGGAGUUGCUAAAUCUUAUUUCAUUGAGAACUCAAUUAAUUCUCUCCUUAAUUUGGCUAUAUAUAAUGCAUGGCUCCGGUGUAGAGUUUACUUAGAACUCACAAUCCAAUUGGAUUCUUAAUUAAACCCUAUUUAUUUUUUAAUAAAUCUAAAUCUCAUGUCAUAUAUCCUAAUUAAAUUGGAAUUUGACUUUAAUUUAAAUAACUAUAAAUUUAAUUUUCUCACUAAUCUAUUAGAUAGCAAUAUUUGUUGAAUAAACUAUCUCAUCUAUUUUACUCUAUUCUUAUCAUGUUAUAUCGUCAAGUCCUUUUUGUUUAGGAUUAACCCCACGGAGUUAAGAACUGACAUUCGCUUUUAUCUUUUUCUUCAAAAUUUUUUUCAAUCUUUUUAAUAAGAGUAAAAUAUAGAAAACUCUAUGUAAAUACUUAUUUUUUUACUUCCUCCACCGACUUAAAAAAAAAAAAAAAUCUAUACAUUACCUCUUCAAAAUUUCAAGUUGAUGCGUUUAAACCCCCUACAUCAAGGUUCCGUCACUAUUCCGUCACUUCCUUAUAAUUUAUACUAAAAAAGCCCUUAAAAUGGCAGAAAUACAGAAAAGAAAAAUUUAUUUUUUUUCUUAAAGAACGAGUAAAAAAAAAUUGAAUCAUUUAUUCCUCUCCAUUCGCACCAAACAUUUCUAAGAUUUUAAGGAGGCAGAAUGUAGAUUUUUUGAAAGUUAGGAAAAAAAAAAAGUGAAAAAAAAAGAGUAUUUAUAGGGGGAGAUUUUCUUUAAUUUUUGGGCAAUGGAUAAAGUUUUAAGGGUACAAAGCAUCCUACAAAUUCAUAAUGCUGUGGGGAAGUAAUUAAUUCUUCGGAAGGCACCACCAACUCAUUCUUGAUACAUCCACUUUUAUGUACAUUAAAUUAAAUAGAAGCAAAAUAAAAUAUGCAGACGAGAUAGACAUCUGCAUCUAGAUCAUCGUUUCCUCAAGCAUGGAUUGUUUAGAAGAUCCGAGACGGAAAAUAUAGAAGCAUCAAGCUCGGCGCUUUGCAAUAAUGAAUUCAGCCACAUGAUGUGGAAUCAGUACUGAAUCCUUUCUGUGACAGGCUUGCCGUCUCGUUUUAACUGGAUAGUAAAAUUCGGGAUGUGGCGAACCCUUGUGCGCCAGUCAUUGCUGUGGUCGCCUUCUCCUUCUCCUAGAAGUAGCUCAACAAGUUCCUCUGCUGGAUAGAAAAUGUUCAAAUCCUGAAGGGUGGUCAGGUACACGAUGCCGAAGGGCAGCUCCUUUAGCUUCCGGCAAUAGGAUAGGUGAAGCUUAUUCAGGCUUGCCAUUGCUCCUCUUUCUAUUUCCACCUGACUGAGAUUCGGGGCAUCUAAUAUUGUCAAUCUCUUUAGCUUCGGGAAAGAUGUUGCUUGGAAGUGCAACUUCAUGCCAUCAUAUGCGCAAGAAAGGUGGAGAAACAUCAACGCAGGCAGCGCUUGCAGGUAAGGAAAUGUAUCUUCAUCCAAUUCUGACUCCAAAAGUUGUAAUUUGGUUAGGUUUGAUAGAGACCCAAAGGAUGCGGCAAGCUCAGAGAAUGAGGUUUUGUCUAAUUUACCGUCCAGCCAUAAUUCUUUAAUUGGCAGAGGUAGGCGCAGGGUGCCCAACUGCUGUAAUUCUUGCCUAAAUACACUUUCGACAGAUAAUUUGCUAAGAUGGUUCAUCUUUGUGAUACUAUUCCACAAGUCUGCACAGUGAUGGGUUCUUACGCCGGUUAUCGCAAAUGUCCGCAACUCUGUCAAAGCUUCUACAUUCCGCACAAUCUUCCUAGUUGCUUCAAUAGAUCCUAAAGUCUGCAAGUCCUUCAAGCGCCAUAUUCCAACGGGUGCCUUGAUGCCCUCGCCAACAUAUUCUGAUAAAACUAGGUGUCUCAACUUAUGAAGCCUCGUUAUUCCCUUCGGCAGCUUUCCUAUUUCACUUUUAUCUGUAUUUAGUAUUUGCAGAUUUUGUAGCUUCCCGAUUGAUCUUGGAAGCUCCUUAAUUUUUGUUUCUCUCAAACCAAGAUAAUGCAGGUUGAAGAGGUUACAGAUUUCACUCGGAACUUUCUCAAUUGGCGCUCCUUGUAGUUCCAAGACACGUAAAAAUUUUGAUGAUCUUAAGACCGACUUCAAUAAAUCAUUCCUCAUGGAAUUGUUGAAAACAAGUACUGAACGCAAAUGAGAUUUUUCUUCAGUACAAUAUUCAGUUAUAUCGCUUAGGAUUGACAAGCGUCGUGCUUUGUAUCCCUGCAAUAUUGUCCUUGAAUGCUCGCAAACCAUGCAGAAACUUAACUCCUUUGACUCCGAACGAGCGAGGACUCGAAUGAUGUCAUGCAUUCGAUAUGCAUAAACUCUACCAACUUCGUUCCACUCAGCCACUUGUAAUAGACAGCGAUGAACAAGUUCGUUAAGGUAGUCCUCGGCCACUUCCUCCAUCGUUCUUUCUCUUUCUUCAAUGAACCCUUCAGCCACCCAAAGCCUUAUGAGCCUGUCACUUUCAAUUGUAUAGUCUUCCGGAAAGCUUGAACAAUAUAAGAAGCAGUUUUGAAGGUAAUGGGGAAGAUCGUCCAAACUAAGUUUCAAAAUGUCAUGUACUUUUCCAUGGAGCUUCGAUUCGUUGUUAGUUAGAUACCACUCAAGAUCUUUGUAAACCUUCUCCCAUUCAGACCUGGUUUGUUCUCGAAAUGAUAAGAGACGAGCUAUAGAUACGAUAGCAAGGGGCAAGCCACCGCACUUCUCGACAAUUCUUUUAGCACAUUGUUCUAAAGGCGGUGGGCAAAUCUUGUUUGCACUUUUCCAAAAUGCGUUUUUACAAAACAGAUCCCACGAAUCAUCUGCUUGCAGUGGCUUUAGCUCAAACAUAUGAUUCUCGUUUGCUAAUAGAGCUACAUCGCGAAUCCUUGUUGUGAGAACUAUUCUACUCUUGCUAUUACUAUUCAGAAGUGCAUUCUUUAUAUUGUCCAGUACAUCAGUACUCCAAACAUCAUCUAGAAUGAGUACAUACUUUUUACACUGCAAGUAAGUGCGGAUUUCCUCAACCAAGCUUCUAUAAUCCAUGGUAUCAAUGUUGUUAGGUACUUCUCUUUUCUCAGCUAAGCUUCUUUUAUCCAUGGUAUCAAUGUUGUUAGGUACUUCUCUUUUCUUACGAUCUUCCCUAUGAAACUCUUUUAAGAUUUGUCUAAGCAAAUCAUGAGUCUCAUAACUUUGAGAUACAGCAACCCAAGCACAAGCAUCAAAGGAAGCUUUGAUGAUAUUGUACACAUGAGUCACGAGAGUGGUCUUCCCUAGACCACCCAUCCCCAACACUGAGAUUAUCAUGGGCUGUCGUUGCUGCUCAUCCUCAUCUUUCAACCAUUCGAGCAACAAGUCCCUGUACUUGUCAAUACCCACGAUAUCAUCCUCCUCGACAAAAUGUGCUAAUUCCGCACAGCUCUUGCUACUGCCAACAGCUAUUUGAGGUUUUGCUUCACUUUCCAUUCCUCUUGUAUCAUAUCGUGUCCUUCUCUCCAUAAUGUUUUGGAGCUUAAUUUUGAUCUCUUUAAGUUUGCUGCUAAGGUCGUCCCAUGCUUUUAUAUUUCUGCACCUCUUGAUUGCUCUGGGUAGAACCCCUCCUUGCUCCUCACCCAGCUUGUACGUGAACUCAUCUAUAAUAUCCUCAAUGUCGAAAGCCAAGUCUCUUGUUUGUUUUAUGAAGGUUUUUGUGCUCUCAUCCUUCUCUUUUAAUCUUUCUGCGAUCCGUAGGAAGGAUAGCAUGCUCUCAAGCUCAUCCUUAAUCUCACUUAUAUCCUUCAUGAGUUCUUUCAUUGGUGAUAUCCGUGUUAGUAACAGUGCUGCUGCUGAUUUAGUUGCUUCACUAGCUAAGGUAGCACCGAUCUUCAGGACUAAUGAGCUUAUUACAGCCUCCGCCAUGAGGCUUCCUCCGAAGUGAGCCUGAAAUAAACGAUCUUUUCAAAUUACCAUGUCUCUCUAAAUGGAACACUACAAAAAAUGAUGAUUUUUUAACGCUCUUACGAGUCUUGGCGAUUUUCAUAAAGAACAUGUUACUGUCUCAACCAAAAUAACUCUCUAGUGCACCAAACAAACAUUUGUUACAAUUAAUCCUCAGUUAAAACUAAGAAACACCAGUAACAACAUUGUAGUCUGUGAGAACAAAAAGCAAUAACUUGGUUGAGAAUUAGUUUAAAAAAUUUUUGAGAUAAAAGAUUCAGUAUAACUAGUUAUACUAAACUCCUACAUGACCUCGAUGUUUAUUUUGCAGAGCAAGAUGCCGAAAAGUCCUUUAAAACAGUAUGAAAUGAAUAAAGAGUUGGAAAGUAAAUGAACCUGCCGCUAGUCACUAAGUAGUGGGCAUUGUAUUAAGAGUGAUUGUAAAUUAUUCCAGAAUUAACAAUUAUAAAUCGAGUUUUCCUUGAAGCCCUCUCCUUGUUCAUUAAUAAGGCAAUACCAGGGCUAUCUAUACAAGUCUCAUUUGAGCAAGGAACUAUUAGUGCUCCUUCAAAUAUAUAGUUUUGCGUUAAUAGAAAUAUAAGAACUUAAUUUUAGACUCAUGAACUCUCGUAUUUCUAAUAUAUUAAAUUUCAUUGCCUCGGCAUUCACGCUGCCUAUUGUCGGACCAGAAUCUAAAAAGUUCUAUUUUAACUUCUUUGAUUUGUGCUGCAAUUUGUAAUAUGUUGUAGAAGGUCAUCUCAUUUUACUUUAGCAAGUUUAAAUAUAUCCAGUAUAUAUCCACUAUGUAUGCUAUCCAGUAUCCACUAUGUACAUUACUACAUUUCUCUAUGAUAUACAUUUAGGUAUCGUUUGGUUCGGGGAUAAGCAAAAAGUGGGUAUUCCAGGGAUAGGUAUAAAUUGAGGUACAAGCGGGGAUUAGAUCAAUUUUACGUUUGGAUGAAAAUUGGGUUAUUUCUGGGAAUAAGAAAAAUAACGUUUGGUUAGGUAAGAUGGAAUAAGAAUUAAAGUGGGUAGUUAUAAAUAAAAAUUAAUAAUAUUAUCUCUUUCUUUAUAUUAGAAUUUGAAUUUUUAUAUUUUAUAUUUAUAUUUUAGAAUUUAAAAUAUAAACUUUUAAAUUUUAAAAUUUUAAAAUCUCAAAUUUACAAUUUUAAUUCUAAUCUUUAAAUUUAAGAUAAAUUUAAUUUGAAUAAAAAUAAAUUUUCAAAUUUAAAAUUUUAAAAAUUAAAUUAUCAAAAUCAAUUUAAAAUUAAAAAUGUGGAAUUUAACAUUAAAACUUUAUUUUGAGAUUAAACAAUUUUAAAAUUUAAAUAUAAUUUAAUUAUCAAUAUUUAAUUUUAAAUUUACUUUAAAUUUUAUUAAAUUCUAAAUUUUAAUUUAUUUAAUAUUAAAUAUAAUUUGUUAUAAAUUUAUUAAAAUUUUAAUAUAAAUAAUAUGUAUUAAUAUAGUACAAUUAAUAAUUUAAUAAUAAAAAUAAUAUAUUAUAAUAUAUAAUAUAUUAUUUUAUAUAAUUUAGUUUUAAUUUAUUUUUUAAUUUUAAUUAAGUUUGAAAUUAAGUAUGGGAAUAGCACUAUUCCAUCAAAAUGGUGGAAUAGUAAAAAGCUUGCUAUUUCGGGAUAACCGGGAAUAGCAAGCUUUGACCGGGAUAAAAUAUUCCGGUAAAAAAUGAUCCUGUUUGGCGAAAUAGUGGGGAUAACUUUCGUUAUCCCCGCUUAUCCCCCGAACCAAACGGGGCCUUAUGGUCUAUAUAACUAAGGAAUCACAGUGGAAUCCAAACAUUACACAACAGUGACACACUAUACUCUCAUUGCUUUAUUAGAGAAUUAAGCUAGUUGAUAGCAAAGAGAGAAUCAAAAGCAAGAACCCUUGGAACAUACAUAAAAAUGAAUUAAAAAAGAAUUAAGUGGAAGAAGCACAACUAACCAACCACGGAUUUAGAAAGGAGAUUAAUUUGAAGAUCAGGGGGCUGCUCCAAAAUAGCCUCAAAUUUUGCCCGAGAAAAUGCUGCGAUCAAAUUACUGGGAGCAGAUGAAAGGAUACAUUAGCGCUAGCUGGAGCCACCAAGAAACUUCCCUCCUGCCCGGCCUUCUCGACCAGCAGCAUUUUGUGGGCAAUAAGAAGCCAUUAAAAAACUAGAGAGUCGAUGGGUACACGGAUACCCAAAAGUUUGUCCCAACUCAAAAUUUGAAUGGAAUCAAUUUAUCAAUAUGAAUAUUAAAAAUAAAAGACCGACGGAUAUAUAUGGUUUUGGAUAUGAAUUUUGUUCGAACCCGACGUCUUGAGUCCCAAUCCAAACCUGAAUUGAUUUUACAUUUUAUAUAUAUAUAUAUAUACACACAUAGGCCUUGGUUACUAUACUAUUANAUAUAUAUAUAUAUAUAUAUAUAUAUAUAUAUAUGGUUUUGGAUAUGAAUUUUAUUCGAAUCCGACCUGAAUCCCAAUCCAAACCCGAAUUCCACCCGAAGCAAAAUUGAUUUUACAUUAUAUAUAUAUUUUUGAUCUUAUAUUCGAAUUUAUAUUUUAAAAAUUUAGAUUUAAUAUAGUAUAUCUUGAAAUAUGAUAAAGAGAAAUAAUUAUUUUAGGUUCAGAUUUUUGGAUUUUUUUUUUUUAUAAGAUUUGGAGUUUGGAUAUAAAUUUUUAAAAUUCAUCGGAUUCGGUGUUGGAUUCAGGUUUUAGGUUUGGUAGUCGAGUUCGGAUUCUGUUUUUUGAAAACCCAUUCGGAAUCUGAUCUGUGGACAUUUCUAUUAAAAACACUUCGCACUGUGGUUUAGAAAAAAUUCUAGAAUGCAACAGAUAUAUUGGUGACAUGGUAUAACAAAUCAAUCAAAAAUCUUCUUUAGAAAUAUAUGUCCCAUCAUGAUUAUAAAAAAAAUUUUUUAUUAUAUUUUUAUUUUAAAAAAAAAUAUAAUUGACUUAUUAUUAAUGAUGUGGUGUAAGUGUGGUAGUACUGAAUUCCUCGUGGUUUAGCCAAGUCGGCUUCAUAAUAGAAAUUUUAAUAUUGAUUAAAAAUUGCUUCACACUGGUUACUGGUACCUUUGCACAUGGCCCCUCAUGGGUAGUUCUCAGAUCAGCUUCAGUUUAGAAUUUUAAAUAUUGAUAAAAUAUUGCUUCACACUGGUAUCUUUGCACGUGACCCCCCUUAUGGGUUGUUCUCAGAUCAGCUACGUAUUGAAAGUUUAAUAUUGAUAAAAAAUAGCUUAUUAAUUCACAUGCUUGCUAGGUCAGCAAUAAAGUUGGUUGUUUCUCUGUGUAAGUUUUUACUGAUACUCUAUGUUUAAUUGGAGAUUUGAUCUUGAGUUAACGCUACGUAGUGGAUGAUGCAAGCCUAAUUAAGUCACGUUGAGAGGGAAGAAGUAUAAGGACGAAAAGAGAGUGAUACACGAAGAAUUAUGUCACACCUCAAUAAUCCCACAUCGGAUAGAAAUUGGGAUGUGAUUGAGUGUAUAAGAGACUUAGACACUAGUAAUAAUAACUGAGUUUAAGCAUUGAGGUCGGUGGUUGGGCCUAACGAAUUAUUAUUGCAAGUGAGCUAGAUCGUUAUAUUUGAUAUCAGAAUCAGUUCACCAGCCUUCACCAGUCGAAAAUGUAUUUGGUAUCAGAGUCAGUUCACCAGCCUUCACCAGUCGAAAAUGUAUGGCGAGUCUCGACUGAGACAAGAUCUGAAAGACAAAGUAAUAUAUUAUGCCGAGGUCUGAAAGAUAAAGUAAUAUACAAUACCGGAGUCUGUAUGACAAGAUAACUGGCUAUACCAGAGUCCAAAGCCUGGAUGGCAAGAUUAGCGAGACGAGUCUUACUAGUGAGCUAGGUCGUUUACAAAUUAAUUUUUCGACAAAGGUGAAAAUAUUAUUAAUCAAAUCUAGAUUAGCGAGACGAGUCUCACUAGUGAGCUAGGUCGUUUACAAAUUAAUUUUUCGACAAAGGUGAAAAUAUUAUUAAUCAAAUCUAAAAAUUUAUUACAUUAACCGAACACCACGUUUAUAUAUAUAGAGGCCAUACUCGAAUCCUACUAGACGAAAAUAAUAAAUUUUAAUGUAUCUCUAAAUUUAAUCAUAUUAGAAAUAAUCAAAUAAUUGGACUAAAAAUAGGAAAAGUAGGAAAGUACUAAACCUUUCAAAAAUAGCCUAAACAUAUAAAAAUGAAAGCUGAAACAAUUGAAUUUGGGCCCCAAACUUGACCCUAACGGCUUUGUCGUUUGAUGCGUAAAUCUCAAAAAGUAUUUUUCGAUUUAGAAUUACAUGCUAAAAUCAAAUAGUUGAAUGAAAAGUUAUGACUGUUUAAAAAAAUUUUGUGUCGAUAAAAAAAAAUUAUCAAAUUCAGCAAAAUUUGAAAAUUUCAACUCAGCUUGGUUGAGCCAUAUUUUUUUCAUGAACUCUCGCCGCAACAAUGGACCUAUAUAUAUAAGAGAAAAAUAUUGAUUCAAAGUUAUUUACUCCAAUUUCUGGAGGGAAAUAGCAAAUGCAAAUUUCUCUCGCUCGCUCUCUCCUAGCACAAAUUUAUAUGUUUAUUUUUUAAGACAUUUUUUUUCUUUUAUUUUUUUCUAACUUUCAAAAAUUUAUAUGUUGUUUUUUUAAAAUUUUAAAAAUAUUUUCAGGAGAUACGAUAUUAAUAGAGAGGGCAAAAUAAUCAAAUUAUUUUUUUUUUAUAAAAAAUAAUUUUUAAUAUAUUUUUAUUAUUUUGUAGAAUAUUUUUGAUAUAAAUUAUAAAAAAUUGAUGAGAUAGUGAUGGAAUCCCAACGGAAUGGGCUAAAGAUAACAAUUUUGUAUAUAAGGAGGUUUUUUAAAUACAAUAACUUGAAAUAUUAAGAGAACAAAGUAUAGAUUUUUGAAAGUUAAGAAAAAAAAGUGAAAAAAUAAAAUUUGACAUUUUUAUUUUUAUUUUUUAUGAAGGUGCCCAUAAGGCAUAAGCCUUGUAAAAUAUAGAUAUAUAAAUAUCAACUUGUCAUUAGAUAAAAGUCUAUUCUUUGCGAGGGAAAAAAAAAAUUUGGGGAAUUUUUUUUGGAAUCUCUUUUAGUUACUCCAAACAGAGUAUGCGAUAUAAUUGUGAUAAUUAAAUCAAAUUUAAGUUAAAAUUAACCCUGAAUCAUGUCGUAGAAUAAAGUUAUAAUUAGUUAUUAAAUUAAUCACACCACAUAGUUGGGAACAAACGUAUCCUCCUCUUUUGAUAGAAAACUUUUUCAGAAUUAAGGGAUGAAUCAGAUUCGUUACAUAUUCUAAUAUUAUAGACACCAUGCGAAGCAGUGGUUUAUUAAAAAUAAUCAAUAUGUUUCUUAAAUCAAUCUGUCUAUAAGAAAAGGUCUAAAGAGAGACUGAUUUUCGUUUCAACGAUCGUAUUCGUUUCAACAAUUAUGAUCAUAUGAGUUGCACCUGUGAAUUAAAAUUAAUUGGCCAACAAGUUGGUCAUCAUUAUUUCAAUAUAAUGGACUCCUCUAAUUUGCUAAAUCCAUACAACAUACUAAUUGACAGUUCUAAAUGUAUACGUGGCGUCAUUUCCUUUUUUACGAAUAAAAAAAUUGUUCUCAGAUUUACCUCCUUCCCAAGAUGCUCUUUGGCUCCUUUUCAAGAUUUUACAUCCUUCCCAAGGCGGUCUUUGACUCCUUCCCAAUGUUUUACCAAGUUGGACCAAGAUAUUGGAGGUUUUCUAAGGCAGCUUUCAGCUCUUUCCCAAGUCACAUGGCACCUUUCCAAUAAGGUGAGGCCCAAAAAAAAAAAAAAUCAAAAAAAUCUGUUACAGCUGUGAACUCCCUAUCUCUCUCUGUGUCUCUCGCACUCUCUCUUCCCCAUCUCCCCUUCUCUCUUUCUCUAAGGUGGCCUCAUUCUCUCUCUCCUUCCUCCUCCAUCUAACUUGUCCCCAUUCUCUCUCUUUCUUACUCCAGCUGCCCCCCACACUCUCUCUCCCUCCCAUACUGUCACGCCCCGGAUUACACUUUUCCCGGGCACGCCGACAAAUCCGCCGUAUACAAAGGAAUUUCCCCUGUAUACGAAGCGAUAGCUGUACCUGUAAAUCAAACACUACUACGAACAGUAGUAGAGAGCUGCUAGAGAAAACAGAAGCUAAAUAAAACAGAGUUUCAUAUACAUAGUUCAGANCCUCUGAACUUAUUUUGAUUAUUUUAUUCUAGUUAAUUUAGUUAAAUUUUUAAAUUCAAGAGCUUUAUUAAUUAGUGUUUACCUAUUAAUUAUUUUCAUAUAUUUUUUAAAAAUUAAUUAAAUUUAACUUAAAUAAAUAAAUUAAUUAAUUAAUUACAAAUUAUUAAUUAAAUUAAAUUUAAAUUUUUAAUUUUUAGAAAUUAACUUAUUAAAUUAAAAAAUUAAAUUAAAUUAUUAGUUAAUUAAAUUAAAUUAAAUUUUUAAAAUUUAAUUAAAUGACUAAAUUUUAAUCAAAUUUAGUCUCCAAACAAAAAUUAUAUGGUGAAUGGGCCCAAACAAAUUCUUCAAACCCGAUACCCGAUACCCGAUACCCGAUACCCGAAAUCCGAAUCCCGAUGCCUUUCACGCUCGUCGACCACCUCCUCAUCGUCUUCCUCUUCCUCUUCCCCUUCUUCUUCACCCCCCCAACUCUUUUCCUCUUUUCCCCUUCUCCACCCAAAAACCCUAGCGUCCUCCUCCUCCUCCUCCUCUCUCUCAUCCUCUCCACCCCCUCCUCGUCCAUGGCGCAGAGCAACAACAGCGCCAUCCCCAUCACCGAGCAGUUCUGGUCCCUUGUCGACAAGGCCGAUCGCCGCUUCUCCCGCGUCCGCGAUCGCCCCUCCCAUGACCGCAAUCGGUAAAACCUAACCCCCUACCUCCCCCAAACCUCUCACCCCGAACCCUAAUUCGAUCCCUCUUCUUCUUCUUCUUCUUCUUGUUCUUCGAUCCAGGGACGACGGGGACUUCCACAAGGCGUUCAAGCUCUACACGCGGCUGUGGAAGGCGUGGCGCUCACCGAGGCCGGGAUGCGGCGGUGGGAGGUGGGCGAGAUCGCGUACCGCAUCGCCCAGCUCUACUACGGCCAGUACUGCCGCACCAGCGACUCCUCCUACCUCGCCGAGGCCUUCGUCUUCUACGAGGCGGUCCUCGACCGCGAGUACCUCCGCGACGCCCCCUCCGCCGCCGCCGCCGCCGCAGCCUCCGAGGUCGCCCUCGCGCAUAAGCAGCUCCGUCUCCUCGUAAGGUUCCUCAACGUUUCGCUCAUCCUCGGGCGCCGCGAGAUGGUCUUGCGGCUCGCAUUGCUCCUCCGGAUUGUCCUCGAGGAGCACAGGCGGAGUUUUCAGGUAUACAACUGUUUGUUUCUUUGUACAUUGUUGUUCAUUUCUAUAUCUGCUCUACAUAAUUCAGCUUGAGUUGUUUGAUAUGAUUAUAGUUUCAUAGUAUUAGUACUUCUUUGUUCUCACAUGCUGCACCAAAGUAUUGCAGAAUAAUUGAGAGAGUAGGUCGACCUUGUUGCUUAGACACUCAGCAACAACAAGUACCAUCUGAAGAGUACAAUUAUUCGCAUAAAUUAAUUUAGGAGUUCUCUUUCUUCAAUUGAUGAUUAAUUAAACUGAAAAUUUUGUAACUUGUCGAAUUUUGUAAAUUGACACUAUAUUCUAUAACUUGUAGGCUGAAACUGUUAAGCUCAAACUGAAAUUGAUGGAAUUUGUGAAAAAAAAAGAGGUUGGGUAGUGAAGUCAAAAAUUUCAAGUCUAGGUGCUCAUUUAAAAGAUGAAGUUUAUGUAGGGCGUUUGCAUUUUUCCUUAUAUUAUAGAUCGUAUGAGUUUCAUUUGAUUUCAAUUUGAUUGGAUCCUAAGUAUCAUAUGUCGUGGCAAUCUCGUUUACUACUGCUCUACAAGUAACUAAAAUAGGCCUUUAGCAGUUUCAGCUUGCUUGUUCAUGUUACUUCAGAUAAGCAGUUUCUAACUCCAACACCAUGAGCAAUCCUUUUACAAAUGAGAACUUGGCAUCCUCUAGCCCUAUCCCCGAAAACCCCUGACUCGGACUCAUAUUGAACAACUGAAGAGCCUUCCCCUAAACCCUACCCUAGCACUUACCACAGGCAUACCAAUGAUUUGUCGUACAAUUUGCUGUUUUACAUGGAGUUUAAUAGAUUUGUAUAAUGUAGAUGUUUGGCUUCUUUUUCUAAAGACAUUGAAUUAAAAGUUUGCAGAGGACUUAUUUGUUUUUCUUCCCCAUUAAACUAAUAAGUAAUUUUGAGUUACUUAUAAAGGGUGCAAAGUUUACUUGCUCAAAACCAUGCCUUGUUAAUCCUAUCUUGCAAGAGAAGAAUAUCUAAAAUGGACCGUCUUUAAAUUUCUACAGGUAGAAUGAGAGCGUGAAAAACAUCACCUUGUAAUUUACGAAUCACUUUAGGAAAGGGGUAUUGCUAUUUACCUUUUACGAAUAGGUAUAUUAAACUGAUUGGUCUUUAAUGGUGCUAUUUUCCUUUUCUUAAUGCAAGAAGAGUUUGAUACCUACAAUCCUAGUGUUCAUUUGUUUGUGCAGUUACAAUUUCUUGCAAGAAGAUCCAGAAUCAUUUAGAUUGUUUCAGCAAAGGAUGCUAUUUUUGCCCUUGCGCAGUCAGGAUUAUGUGCUGCUUUUUGUCGAAGUAAGCAUUCUGUGCCUGCCAAUACUAUAAAAAAUAAAAACUUGUCGAAGUAAGCAUCCUGCGGCAUCACUUCUGCAUUUUGCGUUCUGUCGGAAAAUUUACAGAAUAUUCCCUCGGAAUAUUGCAGAAUCUGUUAUGUUCUAAGUUCCAACGGAAUAUUCUGAAAUUAUUGUUAGAUCAAACAAUACAUUAGUUGAGGGAUGAAUUCAAAAAACAAAGUUUUGGAAUGUGUUUCUGGUUGAGACUUGCGAGUGUCCUUGCGCCUUUUUUUCACUAUAAUUGGUAUCUUUUUUUUCUCUUGGCAGCAACAAACAAGCGGUUAUGUUUCUUGAAUAUUAGCCCGGAUGAAGUGAUUAGAUGCCUUUUCUAUAACAAGAACAACGAUUCACUUAUUACAGUCUCAGUUUAUGCUUCGGACAACUUCAGUUCUUUAAAGUGCAGGACAACUCCAAUAGAGUAAGAACUUCAAUCCAUCCGUUAAGUUUGAUUUUGCUAGUGAAUUCUCUAUGCAAAAUUUUAUUCUUUCAUCUAAAUUUGUUUAUGCUUUAAAGUUUGUAGUAUAAUAUAGUUGCUCUGAUUUAUCACUGCUUACUAUGCCAUUUUUAGACAAGCUUUUUAUAGCAGAUAGAUAAAAUAUGCAGCCAAGUAUCCUUUGGCAGAUUGGCACACAUGUCAGGGGCUUAUAACCAUAUUUGGAACCCAAGUUCAUUUUCUUUUUGGUGCUUUACAUUUUGUUAAGACCACAUAUUUACAUUUGUAAGACCAUAUAUUUACAUUUGUAUUCCACUAAAAUCUGAAUUUUGUAUAUAUAAACCUUUUAGAAGCACAGUUUCUUACCAAAAAUGUUUAUAUCUGAAGUUGGGAAAGGAAUCCAAGUUAUGGGAAAUAGUUGGAUUUUUAAUAGGAAAGUUUUGUCAAGAGGGCAAAUUUUUUUGAAGUACAUGGAUAUUCAUACGCGCACGUGUGUGUAGUAAAUAAGGAUUUUGAAGAGAAAAAAUUCAGAAUCCCGAGAUAUUGUAACUAUAUCAUUUUCCUUUAACAUCAAUGUAUUUAAAUAUCUCAGUUUCUGUCCUACUGUGGUAUUUGUAUAGCAACUUUGAUUAAGAUCUAUAGUUUUCUUGCUAUUGGCGUGCUCAUUCAGAACCUUUAACUCACUAAUUGUUUGAAAUGCGCCUUUGACAUUUUAUUAUUAAUUUUUGUCAGGUCUAUCAAGAGGAAUAGAUUUGUUGCUGCAAUUCUAAUGGGACUAAACCGUGAUUCUACAAGUAAAAUCGAUUUCAUAUUAUCUGUUCACGGUAGCUUAACAUCAAGCAGUUGAAUAUCUAUCUUGGAAUAUGUCUUUUCUUGGUUUUCUUAGCUUGAUUAUAGUAAUAUUUAGUUAGUUGGCAUUUGGUGAUAUUGUUGUCCUGCUACAAUCAUUUUUCUGCUUCUGGGAUGAUAGUUUUAGAAUUAUGGUUCGUCUAUUUUGCAGGCAUUCAAAGAAUAGAAAAAAAUUGUGUAUCUAGAAAAUAUGCCUGUCAGGUACUUUAUUAUGCAUGCAGGCUUGUAGAUUGUUUAAUUUAUAUAAUUUAUUUUUUUUCUUUUGUUUGUUGCAGGAAAUGAAUUACUGUUAAAAUAGGAGCUGAAGCAUUUUUCUUUUAUCAUUUUUUAAGUAUUUUCUAUUUUCAAAGUUGAGAGAGUAAGGAAUAAUGUUGAACUGUAUAUCGAAUAUUAUACUCUAUUGCCUUUAAAUUGAUUUUGCUAUUAUUUUGUUUUUAAGCUGUUGUUGAUCAGAAGUUAAUUAGCCUUUUAAAUUAUGUUAAAAGAAUAAUUUUGUUUAUUUUAAUAUUUUGUUUGUUAUUUUGUAUAUGUUUUGUUUAUAAAAUAUAAGCUGUAUAUUUUUAUAUUUAGUUUAUUACCUUUUUAUUAUUGGUGGCCAUUUAUUGCACAAUUGGUGGCGACAAAAUGUUGCCUCUUUAUUUUUAACUAAGGUGGCAACUGUGAUGGUUGUCACUUAAGGUAAAUAUUUGGUGGCAAAAAUGUAUUGCCAUCUUAUCUCCAUCUCCAUGAAAGGUGGCGACUAGUAAGGGCCACUAAAAAGUCCUAUUUGAUUGCGACAAAAUAUCGCCACGUUAUCUUUAAUAAGGCGGCGACUAAUAGUUGCCACUAAAAGUCAUAUUUGGUGGCGACAAAAUAUCGCCACGCUAUCUUUAAUAAAGUGGCGAUAAAUAAUGGCCACUAAAAGCCAUAUUUGGUGGCGAUAAAAUGUCGCCACGCUAUUUUCAAAAAGGUGGCGAUUUUUCAUGCUUCGCCACAAUUUCAUUUAGCGGCAACACUUUCGGUGGCAGCUUGUGGCGACUUUGAAAGUCGCCACCUUUUGAAAAGGUGGCAAUUUUUUAUAUAUAUGGUGGCGACAUUACUCGCCACUAAUAUAUAAUAUUCUUGUAGUGUUAAGAGUUAAAAAAUGAACGGUCAUAAAUGAAUAACCUUCUUAAAAUAGAGGUUAGACCAUUUCAAUUCAUAAUCAGAGUUAUCAAACAUUAUCUAAAUAGUAUAAAGAAUUUUCUAUUAAAAAUUCAAGCAAUUUGGAUUGCUCUACACCGUUAAACAAGCAAACGGCUCAUAUAGGCCAUCAAAAAUUGUCGAUUUUACGACACUUUGAUCACCAUGUAAAUAAUUUUUAAAAUUUAUGAAAUUUAGUUUCUAGAUAUUUCAAAUACUCUAUAUCAACUUCAACAGCUCCGAUUAUCGAUUCGGAAUCUCGAUCAUCAAGAAUAAUUUGAUAGGACAAGUGUUCCUAUCCUAUUAAUAGGAUAAUAGCUCUAACCUAUAUAUAUAUAUAUAUAUAGGGCUAGAGUUGAUCUAGGAUACUUUUACAAGUAUCAUCCCCAUAUUGCUAUCACGUUUUUAGCUAUUGGAUCUACUUUUUAAUUACAAAUAGCCCUUGGAUCAAACACUAUUCCACCNAAUAUAAAUUUUAUAAUUUUUCAAUAUCUUUUACUUAAUGGUCAAAAUGAUUCAAAAUCAAUGACUGAACGUAAAAAUCUUACAAAGAAUGAUGAUAUAAAACUAAAAUUUUAGAUUAAAUAUAUUAAUCUUAAUUAUUUUAUACAGUAUAAUUUUUUUAUUAAUAUUUUACUUGAUUUAGAUAUUUUUACAUAUAAACUUGCAAAUGGCUCAUCACGACUGUUAAAAUUAUUGAUUAGGGGCAUCUUCAAUCAUUAGGUAAGUGAAAUUGAAAAAUUGUGAAAUUUACUUUUUAGGCACUUUAAAUAUUUUAGAUCAAAUCUAACGGACACGAUUAUCGAUUCGAAAGUGCUAGCAUCAAUAACGACUUGAUAUAAUGGAGACCGUCGUACUUCUAAAAGCACACAAACCUAAUAUUUUCUCUCCAUAUAGAAAGAGAGAGUAAAAGUAGAAUACUAUUGAUAGUGUGGCAGUAUGAGAAUAGUGUUUACUAUUAACUUUUUGACCAUUAGAUAUCUAGAGUUUAGGAAAGGUUGGUAAAAUAGUGAUAAGCCAAGGGUGAAAAAAUUGAUAGUAAAUACUAUUUGUAUACUAUUAGUAGCAUACUCCAAUGUUUUUUUUCGGAGCUGAAAUACUUUUAUAAGUAUUGGUCAUUUUUACUUCUAACAUUUCAUGGAUUCCCCCUUAAACUAUUAUUGGCUAGCCUUUGAUUUGGAUCCUCUUUAACUAUUACUGGCUAGUCUUUGGAUUAAUACUAUUUACCAACCACUACUAAAUUUUAGAAAAAUUAUUAUCACUUCAACUCUACGCUCCUUUAUUCAAAGAUUAAAACCGUAAAUAAACCCAAUACUCUUUAGAAUAUUUAUUUUAAUUUAUAUAUAUAUAUAUAUAUAUAUAUAUAUAUAUAUAUAUAUAUAUAUAUAUAUAUAGUUUUUUUAUUAAAUAAAUAAGUUUUUGAUAAAUUUUUAACAAAUUCUUUAAAUUUUGAAUAAUUUAAACUAAUAUUUUUAAAAAAUGAAUUAAAAUAUAUUAAUAAAGAAAAUAAAUAAAUAAACAGGCCGGGAUGGUGGUUAGGCCCAAGUCCAAAAUGGACUGGGUCGCACCAGGCUGCCCCUGGCCCUGUAGCCCGGCACUGUCCGCAUUUGGAUGUGAGUUGGGCUGUCCCAGGCCCAGCAGUGCCGGGCCAUCUGUCUGCCAUCCAUGUCAUCUCCGAACUGACUGAUAGCAAUUUAAUGUAUAAAUAAAUAAAUAAAAGAAAAAAACUUCAAAUACCACUCCUGUAUUUUCAUAUUUUUUUAUUUUUGUAUCAUGUGGUUUAAAGUAUAUCAAUUCAGUACCCUGUGUUUUUAUUUUUCUCUUUUUAUUAUCCAUCCUACUAAUUUUUUUCGUUAAAUCAGUGACAAAGUUAAAACUAAAGGGUGCUAGAGUGAAUAUUCGAUAAAGCUAUAUCUGAAGUUUUUUUAUAUAAUUUAACAAAAUAUUAAAGGAUGAGCUGACGAAAAGAAAAAAAUAAAACCACAAGAGUACUAAUUUGAUGCAUUUUAAACCAUAUGGUACUAAAAUAAAAAAGUACGAAACCACAAGGGUGGUAUUUGAAGUUUACCCAUAAAUAAAUACAUCAAAUUUUAAAAUUAAUUUCCCAUAAAACUGAGCCAUUUUAUCCUAUACUCAAACAAAUUUUACAAUACUUUACUAACUAGUAAAUUUGACUGUAUUUAAUUGAUAAAAAAGUGAAAAUCACAAGAAAAAAGGCAUUACUUAUUAUUUUGUGGUUGAAAUCUAAUCAUUAAAUUGUAUUGUUUAUAAAAUAUUUUGAGAUUUAUUCAUAAGAAAAUUAUUUUUCUUCGUUUAUUAGGACGUUGUCUAACAUAUAUAAAACAAAGGAUUAUUGAACCUUAUUCAAAAAUAUUGCCUAAAUUCAAUUUGAUAUUUGGUCAACAUAAAAGUCAGAUUUUAGUCACUAACAUAUUAUAAUGGGGCUUUUGACCUUGGACAAAGUUUUAGAUAGCUUAUGUAAUGCAAGUUUUUAGUAAGCUUCCUUUGAUUCGAGGUUAAGUAAAAACUAGUUAUUACAGGAUAGGGUUCAGUUCAGGAUUAAACCUGAAAUAGAUUAAUUUUACGUUUGGAUGAUAAUUAAGUUGUUUCCGGAAUUAAGAAAAAUAAUAUUUGGAUAGAUAAGAUAGAAUAAAAAGAAUAGUGAUUAAUUAUAAAUAGAAAAUAAUGAUAUUACCCCAAUUAUUAUAUUUAAUUUUUAAAUAUUUUAUUUUAUAUUUAAAAUUUUAAAUUUAAAUAGAUAAUUUUUACAAUUAAAAAAUUUAAAAUUAAAAUCUAAAAAUUAUAAAAAAAAUAUUGAUUUUAAAAUUUUUAAUUUUAAAAUUUAAAAAUUUAAAAUUUAAAUUGAUAUUUAAAAAUUAAAUAGGGAUGAGAUUAGCUAAUCCCACUCCUAUUCCAGAGGGGGCGGGGUUACCUAACCCCACCCAUAAAUGGGUUAUCUCGGUAUAACCCAUUUGGGUAGGGUUAGCUAAUCUCACUCUCUAAAAAUAGUGUUUGGGAUUAAAGGGUGAGGGAUAACCCCCUUAAUCCCCCUCCCCUUUAACCUCAAACCAAACACUUUAUUAGUGAAUAAAGAUGGAGCCAACAUGAGUUGAUCCUAGCUAGCUUUUUCUCUUCUUUUUUUUUUUACUAAUAUUAAAAAUUUAAAAAGAGUUGUCAUAUUUUUGGAUGGUAGCUGUAAGAUAUACAUCAGAAAUUUUAUUCUAUUUUUGGUAAAAAUUUAUAAAAUUUUACUAAACUAUGAACUAUUUUGAAUUUACUAUUUGACCUUUCAAAAAGUGAAUUUUAUUAUCUAAUCUUUCAAUUUGUUUAAUUUGAGUUAAUUCAUGAUACUUUGAUAUCAAAAUGUAAUGCAAUUUCUUAUUUUAAUGAAUUUAUAGUUGUAAGAUUGAAUGAAAUAUAUUAGACUUAUAUAGAUAAACACCGCAUUCAAAUUUUAAAAUUAAAAUAUUAUUGACUGACUCAGACCAAAUAAAUUAAAUAUAUAGUUUAGAUAAAUUCCGUACUUAUUACCUUUAUUUUUCAUGUGACACAUAAAAAGACAAGCAAACUACCCCCAAAGUGCUAGGACAACAUUGUAUUCCAUAACUCCAUUGUUUGAUAUCUGAAUAAAAACAUAAGCUGCAAUUUCACACUCAACUUCAAGAAGCUUCAGUGAAGGUGCAUCUUAUAGUUCACUUCCUUUUCAAUUCAAAUGGUAAUAUGUAAGUAAAUAAAAAUUUUAAGUAUAAAAUAAUUGUGAAAAGAUAUAUAUAUAUAUAUAUAUAUAUAUAUAUAUAUAUAUAUAUAUAUAUAUAUAUAUAUAUAUAUAAUAAUUUUACAAUCAAAAUAAUCCUCUAUGGAAUAACUGUGCGAAUCAAAUGCAGAAAUUAUAUAAUUUUUAGUAUUUUUAUUACUAAGUAUGAAAUUUUUCUUAAUCUUUUAAUAUGUAGGAACUUUAGAUAACACAAUCCAAACGCUCUCUUGUUGUAUUGUUAUAAUCCCAAACUACAAAUAUUUUAUUGCACGAUGUUUUGAAGAACAAUUACUAGGCUAGCCUUUUUUUUUUUCUUUUUUUUUUUUGGCUUCAGAGUUCAGAUCCAUUAGUGGUGCAAACCCGGGGGUGAGUUUGCCGAUCAGAUUUAUUUUUAUUUUACUUUACUUACCGUUUCAUUCGGGACUGGUCAUAGUGGGAGUAGGUUUCUGGCUUUUUUCUUUUUUGACAGAUCUUGACAAAUCAAGGGAAGAAAAAUAAUCUUCCAUCCACUGCUCCAUUUUUUUAACAAAUCAGAAUGUAUUCAAAACGAACUAUUAUAUAUGUUUUAGUAUUUCUAGCUCUUGCUGGCCGCCCAGUUUGGAAUGACUUGGGCAGAGAGCUCCGUCAAUCCAGAUCUAUUUGCAUCCCUACCUCCAUAUGGUAGUAGUGUCUUAUAAUUAAUAGACAAUAUCUAUAAAUAUUAGGGUAAAUUUCAAAUACCACCCAUAUGGUUUCGCACUUUCUCACUUUAGUAUUCUAUAGUUUAAAGUGUAUCAACUUAGUGUCCUGUGAUUUUAUUUUUAUCUUUUCGUCAGCUUCUCUGUUAAUAUUUCGUUAAAUUAUAUACAGAAAAACUUCAGAUACUCCACCUAGAUUUAUCGAAUACUCAAUUUAGUACCAUUUAGUUUUAACUUUGUCACCGAUUUAACAAAAACAAUUAGUGAAAUCGAUAAUAAAAAAGAUAUAAAUAAAAUCACAGAAUACUAAAUUGAUAUAAUUUAAACCACAGAAUACUAAAGUGAAAUAGCAUAAAACCACUGGAGGUGAUAUUUGAAAUUUUUCCUAAAUAUAUUACUUGAUACCUGCUUCUCAAAGAAUCCAUAACUAAAGAAGAGAAGAGUGAGAUAAAAUCUUAGAGAGAGAGAGAGAGAGAGAGAGAGAGAGAGAGAGAAUGGUGGAGGUGGAAAUAGUGGAAUCAGAUGUAGUAGUUCCAAGUGAAGUGACCCCAAAUCACACUCUAUGGCUAUCAAAUCUCGACCUACUGGUGGCCAGGAGCCACACUCCAACGGUCUACUUCUACCGCCCCAACGGUCACAAUCCGGGCUUCUUUUCGGUGCAGGCACUCAAACAGUCCUUGGCCAAGGCACUUGUGAUUUUCUACCCGCUCGCCGGCCGGCUCCACGUGGGCCCGACUGGCCGCAUCGAGAUCCGGUGCACCGGUGAGGGGGCCCUCUUCGUCAUGGCACGAUCCAAAUCCGUGCUCGACGAGUUCGGGGACUUCGCGCCCUCCGCGGAGAUGCGGCGGCUUCUCGUGCCCAAAGCGGAGCCCGCCAACCCGCCUUGCAUCUUGGUCUUGGUUCAGGUGCGCCCUGUUUGAGCUCAUUUGGAAAUUUUAAAAAAAUUAUAUUUAACAAAUUUUAUAUUUAUACAUAUAUAUAUAUAUAAUUAAAAAAAGUCACUAUGUAUUCAGUGCAUGACAAUUUGUAUAUAUUCUAGUUCGAAAUUUCUAGCUUAUAAUGUUGCAUAUAGAUUUUGAAUCUUAUUUAGAGAAUUUGUAGCAAAAAAAAAAGUACAUAAGAUGCUUGCGAAAAGGUCUAAGAGAAUUUUGAUAUUAUGUUUUUCUUUACUUAUGUUGGUGAUAUAUAAGAAAAUUUGUCCAAAAUUGUUGCAGGUAACGUUCUUCAAGUGCGGCGGCGUAUGUCUGGGCGUGGCGGUGCACCACACGGCCGCAGAUGGCCUCGGCGCCCUGCAUUUCGUCAACGCGUGGGCCGACAUUGCCCGCAGCGCCGAACUCCCCACGCCGCCCUUUCUCGACCGCACGCUCCUCCGCGCCCGUCGACCCCCCGCGGUGCUCUUCGACCACGCCGAGUACUCCCAGAACACGCGAUCCGCCGCCACGCCGCCCUUCGACUCCACAAUCCUGCGGCUCUCCAAAGACCAGCUCAAUUUCCUCAAGAGCACGGCCCUUGGCUCGCAAAAGCGACUCUCCACAUUCAAAGCGGUUGUUGCGCACGUGUGGCGGGCCGCGUGUGAGGCCCGGGGGCUUGGCGGCGCAGAAACUACCACUCUGUACAUGACGGCCGACGCGCGAACGCGUGUGAGCCCGCCGCUCCCGCAAAACUUUCUAGGCAAUGCCAUAUUCAGAACAUCCGCAACUGCGAAAGUGGAGGACGUACUAUCAAACUAUCUCGAAUUCGGAGGUGAAAGAAUUCAGGAAGCGACCGCGAGACUAAACGAUGGUUUCGUGAGGUCGCUGAUAGACUACCUGGAUUCGGUGGACGACGUUAGGGGGCUGCAGAAGGGGGCGUGGGCGAUGCCCGGGACGGAUCUGUGGGUCAUUAGCUGGCUGGGGCUGCCGAUCUACGAGGCUGACUUCGGGUGGGGGAGGCCGGUCUUUAUGGGCCGCGCUUGUUUACAAUUCGCCGGGCUGGUGUUUGUCAUGCACGGCCCCGAGGGCGACGGAGGGAUCUCCGUCGCCGUCGCCCUGGAGCCGGAGAACAUGCCCCGGUUCAAAGCGGUUUUCUACAAGGGUUUGGACGGAAAAGGGGGUGAAUCAUCCCCAGUCUAAUCCACCGUUCACACUGCUUUGAGAUUUGAAUACUGUACGUGAUUGGAUUGUUGAUUAGACUAUCUCCAAAUCCUACGGAUGGUAUUCUUAUGUUUGUUCUUUUUUCGUUUUUAUUUGGAACAGUUUGUGACAAUGUUCUUUUCUUGGGGCUUUUCCUUUCCAAUAAAUGUCUUUUCUGUUUUGUUUAGUUUUUUAAAUAAAUAAUUUGUUAACUAAAAUGCAACUACAAGCAUUAUGAGUUUACUAGUCAAUUUUGAUUUUUACUAUACCUUUCAAUUCGUUUGAUUUAAUUCAAUCAAUGGCGCAUACUAAUUUCUUACUUAAUAAAUUUAUAGUUACGUGAAUUGCAUGAAGUGUACAAAUUAUACUUAUAAAUAUAAACAACAUAUUCGAAUUUUGAAGUUAAAGUGCCGUCGACUUACUGAAAUCAAGUAAACAAAAAAGUUGUAUAGUAUGAUUAAAAUUUUGAAAAAUUAGGUAAUCGAUUCAAAAUGAUUCACGGUUCAAAUAUAUUCUGAACAUUUUCAUCAAAAAAUUAAUAGUGCUUUCAAAAAUCAGUUCUAAUUGUUCUUACGGCAAACUUCGUGUAGGCAGGGACAUCCGCUCCGAUACCACUUGUAUGAAUUGAUAUUCGCGCUAAUACCGGUUGUAUAACUCAAAAUCAAGAUCUCGCGGAUGCGGGUAAAAUAAAGAAGAUGAAACAGGUUUGGGCCGACCCUACGGGCUAACGGGCUGAAUAGAAAUAAGAUGAGACUUGGAUUAUGUGUCUUUGACGCGUCAUUGUCGGCCAAAUCAGUAUUCGGGUCCCAAAAUACGACCCGUCUUGGUUCGUCCACGUUAUCCGACCCGAAAAAUAACUAGAUCCGAAUAAAUAUUCGGGUCGAAUUCAGACACGAAAAUUCAGACAAACUGAGCAAACGGCGUGAUUUCACAUUAAUAAUUUAAAUAUAAGUUAAAUUAUAUUAGGUAAUUUUUUAUUUUAAAUCUAGUUUAUUUUAUAUAUAUACACACGAAGCAUCUCUAUGAUUACAAUAUUCUCAUUUUGAAUACAAUACAAAUUUUGACUUCAAAUUUUAAUUAAAUGAUGUCCUCUUCAAUUUUUCUUAGUUUUGGCUUAAAACCGGUCUAAUUGGGUUUUGGAUCUCGACACCUAAUUCUAAAAACCGGAUCCUGAUCCGGACACGUACAUUAUGUUGUCGCAAAUUCGGAUCCGAUUAGGUACGAAUACCGCAAAAUUGUAUUAAUUCAAUAGGCCUUUUGCAAGAGACCCAAAAUAUUUCCAAUGUUCUUUUCAUACUCUAGAGUCUUUAAAUCUCUAUUCACAUAAAUACAUACACCUAUAUUACUAAAAUACAUAAACCUAGAUUUCCAAUAUAUCCACAAAUCUAUAUGAUAUCUCAAUUUGCAAUCAUUAACCCAUCAAUAACAUUCAUAUUAUAUUUAUAUAUAAAGAGAGAGAGAGAGAGAGAGUUGAGUUUGAAUGCUGUUAAUAGCAAACGAGCUUUGUUGCCACUCAUUUAAUUUCGAUGAUGGAGUCUUGAAAUCGACGAUCGGCACCGUUGAAUAUGAUUUGUAAGACUUGAAGUAUUUAGAAAUCAAAUUUUAUACUUUUUCAAUAUUGUUCUCUUAUCCAUCAAGUGAAUACAAAAAUGAACGGCUGAAAAUAAAUAUUCUGUAAAAAAUGAUGAUAGGAAUCUUGUUAUCAAGAUCAAGAGUAUAGAUUUUGUUCUAAAUAGUUAAAAAAAUUAACCAAAAUUUAAUUGAUUUGGAUAUUUUUACGCUGUUAAACGAAAAAACGUCUCAUGUUGACUAUUCAAAUUACAAAAUUUGAAACCCUUUGAUCAUUAGGUCAAUGAAGUUGAAAAUAUUUGAAAUUUGGUUUCUAGACACGUCAAGUUAUAUUGAUCAUGUUUAAUGGUACCGAUUAUCAAUUUGGAAGCUCUAUCGUCGAAAAUAAAUUAGUAGCAGCGGAGCCCGUUUGUUAUUGAUAGCAUUGCAACUCAACUCUCUAUAUAUAUAGAGAGAGAAAAAGAGAGAGUAUGGCGACUAUACUCUUAUGAAUAUAGACAUUUUUGUACUCAUAAGUUUUUUGUCGUUAUAUCUAUCAUUUUAACCAUUUUCAUCUGUAGGAUUAUAUUAUUCAACCAACCAGUCUCUCAACCCUAGUAAACUACUACAUCUUAACCCGGCACCACUAUCAUUCUAACUGAAUAGCCCUUCAUCCAAUGAUCGAAAAUUUAUGAGUACAAGGGAGUCUAUAUUCAUAAAAGUAUAGUAGCCAUAACAUAUAUAUAUAUAUAUAUAUAUAUAUAUAUAUAUAUAUAUAUAUAGAGUAGGGCUACAAUUUUCGAUGAUGGAGCUUUCGAAUCGAUAAUCGACUUUAUUAGACUUGAUCCACCAUAUUUGAAGUAUUUAGAAAACAAAUUUUACGAUUUUUCAAUAUUAUUUACCUAGCAAUCGAAAAAGUUCAAAAUCAAUAAUUUCUAUUGGUUGAUACUUAUCAUUUGCAAGUACAACGGUGUAAAAGUAUUCAAAUCAGAUGAAAUUUUGAUAAAAAUUCUUUAUACUAUUUAUUGCAAAAUCAAUAUCACUGAUCCAAAAUUUUAAUGUUAUAUCACCUUUUUUUGUGAGAUUUUUAUUUUCAGCCAUUGAUUUGAACCCUUUUGAUCGCUAGGUAAAUGAUAUCGAAAAACCGCAAAAUUUAUUUUCUAGAUAGUUCAAAUAUGCUAGUUCAAAUCUAACGGAGCCAAUCGUCGAUUUGAAAACUUCAUCAUCGAAAAUGGCUUAAGAGCACGGAGGUCUUUGUGCUCUUAAUAGCACAUAAGACCUACUCAUAUAUAUAUAUAUAUAUAUAUAUAUAUAUAUAUAUAUAUAUAAGAACUAGGCUACUAUGCUAUUAAUAGCACAAGUUAUGAUGCUACCAAGUUUUAGCCAUUGGAUUAGAGAGAUGUGUGUUAGGCAUGACGUGGGCCCCUAGGGUUGAGUGGGUGGUUGGUUGAAUAGUAUGAUCUAACGGAUGAAAAUGAUCAAAAGGGUAAAUUAACGGUGGAAAACUUGAUAGACCAAAUACUUUGUGCUAUUAAUGCCCAUAGUAGCCGUAGCUCCUAUAGUAUAUAUAUAUAUAAUAUAAUAUAUAAUAAUGAUAUAUAUAUAUCUCAUAUACUUUCGAAAGUACGGAGGUCUCCAUAUUUGUAAGUUGUUUUUUAUGAUGGAGCAUCCAAUUCAGCGAUCGGCUCCAUUAGGCAUGAUUUACGCUAUUAGAACUAUUUAGAAACCAACUUUCAUAAUUUUUCAACAUCAUUUACUAAGUGAUUAAAGAGUCUCAAAAAUGACUAUUUUAAUGGCCGAUAUGGCACGUUUAAAAGUUUAUCUGUGUAGAAAAAUUCAAAUUACAUGAAACUUCAAUAAAAAAUUCUACUUAACAUCAAGAGCAAGAAUAAUACUUCCGAUUUAAAAUUUAAGUCUUUUAUCACUAUUUUUUGUGAAAUUUUUAUUUUCAGCCGUUCAUUUUGAGUCUAUUUGUUCACUGACAAAUGAAAUAAAAAAAAGUAUAAAAUUUGGUUUCUAAAUAAUUCCGAUAGCUAGCGUAGAUCGUGUCUAACAGAGUCGAUCGCCAAAUCAAAUGCUCCAUCAUCGAAAACAACUUGCAAGCACGAAGUCCUCCGUAUUUUCGAAGCAUAGGAGUCUAACUCUCUCUCUCUCUCUCUAUAUAUGUCAACACAUCAAUAACAUAUAAAAAUAGUAUUUUAACAAAUAGCUACUUUUGUUUAAGAGAUUUGAUUGUUGUGAUAGAAACACUGUUUAAAUAUCUGAUAACCACACAUGCACUUUUCCUAAUUUGUGUUGAGCAGGAAAGGAGUGGGAAAAUCCAAAUAGACAAAAAAAAAAAUGAUUUUACUAAAAAGACAAGCAAUAAAUAGUACAAGACACAAACACACAACCAUAUCAAGCAAAAAACAAUAGAUUGCCUAACUGCUCCAAAAAGUUACAUUAAAUAUUUGAAAUUUUUCCAAUAAAAAAUAAAAAUUUAAAGGGAAUUAAUAAAAUUAUUGAAGUUGGUGGUCCUAUUUUAAAAUGGCUUAUAGUUAAGAGCUCUCCAUACAUUUCAACCUUGACUAAAAUAAUGUGACCAAAAUAUAUAUAAUUGUGGAUAAAGAAACCCCUCCACCGCACGAUUUGCCAUCAUGAAUUGGUUAAGGUUUCAAGGGUGUGAUAUGCGAGAUGUAAUUUUUCUGAUCUACAAAUAUUAUUAAGUUAAUAAUAAUAAUAAUAAUAAUAAUAAUAAUAGUAACAAUAAUAAUAAUAAUAAUAGGCGUAAUUGUUUAUAUAUUUUUAAAAAAUUUUUGCUUUUCUUAUUUACUGUUGGAAGGGUAAUGUUAAAAAUUCUCUUUUGACGUUCAAAAUUAUUUCAAAUAUAUUUCUAAAGUUAAAUUCUAUUAGUAAACUGUUAGAAACGGUCGUUAUCUUUAUAGAAUUACUAUUUUGUGCUUUCAAUUAUACCUUUCUACCGUCACCAACUUUUCUUAUUUGUUCUUAAGUUAAGGACAAAAAGUAUUAAUUUUGACUUUUUAACUUUUCAAAUAUUUUUUUUUACUGUUACCAACUUUUUUUAUUAUUCUUAAGUUAUAGACAAAAGAAAUAUUUUGACUUUUCUUAACUCUGGUAGAAAUUUAAUUUGAGUUUAAUCCGAGAUGACUUAACGAGUAUUAACAACGAGAUUAUUUUUGAAUGAUGGUGAAAUAUGCAAUGGGUAUAAUUUGAAACAAAAAAAAAAAGGAAUAUAUAACAUAUUUCAGAAAUUUUAAAAGAUAUAUUUUUAAAUAUUAUUCCUGAUAGAAUUAUACUACUAUACUAUCGAUAGUAUCAAGCAUUAAGUACUAUCGAGUUUUCGGCCGUUGGAUGAAAGGAUGUGCGGUUAGGAUGAUAAUGAUCCUCUAAAGAUUGAGUGGAUGGUUAGUUAAAUAAUAUAAUAUAACGGAUGUAAAUGAUCAAAAGAUAAAUUUAACGGCAGAGAAAACUCGAUUGUAUCACUAGUUGUCCCUAGCUGAAGUGGCAAAAAGCUUGAUGGUUUGUAUCCGAGAUUCCAAAUUCGAAUACUAGUUUAUUCACAUUUCUAAUUAAAUUUAUUUCUAAAUCAAAUAAACGAAACAGAUAGCAUGCUACUUAUCUCUAAAAAGAUAAAUUAAUAAACACUAGCAACUAGUGACUAAUUGGGAGACACAUUAUUGGAGACCCAAGGCAUAUCCUUUUGUCCCUCAAAAUUUUUUUGAGAAACCCAGUUACUUUAAUAUGAAAAGACUAAGACAACUCAAUGCCCCACUCAUGCAACUACCAACCAAGUAGUUGCAAUAAAGUUUCUUCAAUAUAUAACUAGUCAUGUAUGAAUAUAUAUAUGCAUGAUUUGAAACUUUGUCCUUUCAUUGAAAAUGAGCCACAAGGAUUCGUCGGCUCACGCAAAAAGAAAAAGUCAAGAAACCUAAAGAAAAAAAAAAAAAAAGGACUACUAGGGAGAGUGCUAGUUUAAUUAAAAUGCAUAUAUUACAUAUCUGUCACUGUCUAGUACAAUUAGUCAGUCGUGUUGACUGGUUAUUAUUAGUUAAAAUAAAUUUAAUUUUCUGUUCCGUAAUAAUAGACUCAAAAAACGAAUAAAUUGAGUUGGAUAACUACAACAAACUGGGUGGAGCUGCGAUUCAGAAUAGACCUAACGGCAAGAGCUAGGUCCAACAAUAGACCUAAUGUCUCUGUAAAUUAAGUCAGAUCGAGACUCGUGAACACUGUGAUUGAGCAGGUAAGUGCGAAGAAUGCACCCAUAAGUUUUGAAAUAACUGGUUAGCGUAUUCCGAUCCAUAAGUUGGUCAAACUUUUAGUUAUUUUAAGUAGGUAUUAACAUUCAAUUUUUAUUUGAAUUGAGUGGCAAGUUAGCGCUAUUCGAUUUUCUUAAUGAAGGAAUGAUACAACAGCUAAUUCAACUAAUACGUCAUUUCAAGACUAUUAUUAUUUGACUAUCGCACUUUUCUAGUUUUGAAGUUAAUGCGAAAAUUAUUAUUAAGGCCAAGUCCAUUGUAGUCCUUAUAUGGGAUUACAAGUUGCGUUAUGUUUGGUGAGACAGUAUAGAAGAAAAUAAUUUUAUUUAUUACUAUAGGAGAUAUCGUAAUGUAUAAAUCACAAUGACUCGAUUGUAAUAUAAUUUCUAUAGUUUUAUCAAAAAAUGGAUCGAGAAGCAUAUAUUUCUAUAUGCAUUUGUCCAAACUAUUUUUUUGUUCAAAUAGCAUUCGACAAUUCUCCUUAAUGCAAGAUGGCGACGCACAUGCAACAUUCAAAACAAAACGUUGGUCUGAAUAAUUGCUAUCUAAUCUAAUAUAUAAUUUAUUUUAUCCAAAGCAUAACCUAAUUAAUAUCAUAAAUUUGUCUCGAGUACGAACCAAAGUAAUUAAUAGAGCCAAUUAAUGACCUAAUAGAUGUGGUUUAUAUAAUUCCCUCUUAAGUAUCUUAAUGAAUCCAAACCUCUCAACAACCUGAAAGAAAAAAAAAAAGGCUAAAUUACAGAAAAAUCUUCUGUUAAUAUCCAUUUUUUCGCUUUUUCCCUCUAUCAUUCAAAAAUCUAUACUUUACCUUCUUAAAAAAUUAAAAACAUUCAUAGAAGGGUACGCUGUGACAAAAUAACAAAAUUGCCCCUCAUCUUCUUCGGAGUGGACGUGGACGGAGAGGUGGGCGAAGGCGAGGGCGAGGGUGAGGCGGUGAAGGCGGGCGAGGUCGUGUGUGUGGGCAUGGACAGAGAGGUGGGCAAGGGCGAGGCAGCGGAGGGCGAGGCGCGACCGAGGAUGAGAAAGGAGGAUUUGAAAUGUAUUUUGGGUAUAAAAAAUAGAAUUCUAACGGAACACUGAUGGUGAGGGUCAAAGUGAAUAUUUUUUAUUUUUUAAAGGAAUAAAGAUAAGUUUUAAAAUGACAGAGAGAAAAAUAAAAAAGCAACUAUUGACAUGAAAAUUUUUUAUAAUUUAGCCAAAUAAAAAGCCUAAAUUCUUUGAUCUGUUAUUAAGUUUGUCCAUGACGAAACCAUUUGACCCAUCUCUUCUUUGAGCCAUGAAAUAACUUCUUUUUCUUUUUUCUUUUUUUGGCUAUCAACAUUGGAUUAAUAUCAAUGUCUCUACUCUUCAUUAUAAACUAUGAUUAGGUACAAAAGGAAGAGGAUAGUGCCCUAGUGUCCAUUAAUUGUUUGAUUAACAAGUUUGAGCAACCUAUCUUUUUAAUUGCAUCUUCUUCUAGAAGCCAUUAUAGGUUGGCUUUUUGGGAACAAAGAUGUAUUAAGGUGGAUGGGAUGAGCCAUUAACUAGGGCUUGUGUGGGAUACGCAAACUCAAUGCCUAAGUUACCGCCUGUGGCUAGCAAGGAUUUAAGCGCCCAUCAACACGGAUUGUAUCUAUCGUGCCAACAAAAUAUCGGCACGAUACAAUUCCCGCGCAGAUAGCACAGCUCAAAAUCUUGUAUUAUUUAAAUUAGUAAAUAAUUUUCUAAAUAAAGUUCAAAAGAAUUGAUAAAGAUGUAUAAUAAACAGUUAGAAUAUUUUGUUACUAAAGAAAAUAGAUAUUUCAUGCCAUUAUGUGUCGGCACACAUGUAUUUUUUAUGACCGAUACGUAUCGGCAUCACUCGGCACACACCAUUCUGUAUCGUGCCGGCAAGUUUCUAGCACGACCACGUGCCAUGACACUUAAAUUCUUGGUGGCUAGUGCAGUUGAUUGAUACUCCGUCGCUGACCAAGAGUUUGAAGGUCUGAUCCUUUGCUUGCCCUUUGUUUUUUUUUUUUGAGAUUGGUGGCACGCUACCCGCUUCGUUUAUUUUAUUUAGAAAUAAACUUAGCUGACAAUGUGAAUCAACUAGGAUUCGAAAUUGGGUCUCUGGUACCAACCACCAAGCCCUUUGCCACUUGCUAUAGGGACGAUCGGUCUUUGCUUGCCCUUCGUUAAAGAGGCAAUUCGGCCGCCAGUUUUUGGAAAAAAAAAGAAUAGAUAAAAUAUUAAAGUACAAAAUUUAUGUGAAAUACGAACUAUUUUGAUUUGACAAUUCGACCUUACAAAAAUUUGAUUUUACUAUCAAACUUUUCAAUUUGUUUGAUUUGAAUCAGCCAACGGUUUUUUCACUUUAAAAUUUAAAUAUAUUAUUUAUCUUUACGAGUUUAGUAAGUAUAAUUCAUAUAAUUUUUGUAACUAUAAAUUUAUUAAAAUAAAAAACUAGCUUAAAUUUAAAUUUGAAGUGUUCUUAACUGAUUCAAAUCAAACAAAUCAAAAGAUUGAAGUGUAAAAUCAAAUUUUGAAAGGUCAGGUACUCAAUUCAAAAUAGUCCUAGUUCAAAUAAAUUCUGUACAUUUUUACCGAAAAAUAUAGGCUAGCUAUAGAAGCUUCUAGGAAUGGAUCUGGAUGCUUGUUCCAAACAAAAAUAAAUAUUUUGGGUUUAAUUAUAUCUUAUUAUACUAGUGUUAUUUCCGUGCGCUAUACAAUAAGUAGAAACUAGUGCAGUAACAUAUAAUUAAAAAAAUUAAAAAUAAUGCUAUGUUUAGCUCUAUUUAAUUUAAUGUUUUCUGACUGCUUAAGCUUUUAGGGGCUGUUUGGUUAGAUAUAAUUACAAAAAUAGUGUAGUUAGAAAUAUAUGCAAUUGUAAAUGCUACAGCCAUAAUUACACUUAGUCUGUUUGGUUUUAUACAGUUGCAACUGUCGCAGUUACAUUUCUUCUGUUUGGUAGUUUGCGGUUGAGAUUUGUAUUUGUAAAUUAUGUCAAUUUUUAGAUAGAAAUGUGAGAUUACCUCUUCUGAGCAUAACGUAAUUAUGUUUUAAUUAUUAAUUAAGACUUUUAUAUCCAUAUAUAAUUUAUAUAUUAUAAAAUUAUGUAUGAAUUUAAUAAAUUUUAAAUGUAAAUAUAUUAUAAAUUUAGUCAAAAUAAAAAUUAAGAUAUUAUUAAACUAGCAGACUGGAAAAUAAGAAGCGUAUGAAAAAAAUUUAUUGACCCUAAUAGACAUUAUUAAAUCCCACUUUGUUUAUAUUUUUAAUCGGUAAGCCGACUCCAGCUCAACUACUGCAGUUGGUACUGUAACCAAUUUGGCUGCAGUACCAACUACACAUGCAACUGCAGCAGUUAGGUCUAACUACACUAAACCAAAUAAAAAAUUAAUAGAUACAUGCAUUUCUAACUGCAUUGCAUGUAAUCAAACAAACCCUAGAGCAAACGAUUUAUAGACAAAAAUUUGUUAUUGUUGAUCGAUCUAUUGGCAUGCGUUAUAAUGCAAAGGAUGAUGAUUCGACUAUGCCCACAGUUUCAAAUACCAUAUAAAUUUAUCAAUACAUUAAUAACAUAUUGAACUGUAACGCGGACGUCUUUAACAAUAAUGUUUACAAAAAUAUGCCAACACUACCAAUGUUUCUCCAUUUGUACCUCAAAUUUUACUAAUUAAACCUUUCCUCAUUGGAUGAAUUUAUAGUAUACAUAUUGUGCACCACUCACAUGUAAAAUUGUACUACUCAUUACCCAUUCCCUAUGCCCACAAAGGAAAACUUAUUUAAUAAUCAAAAUACUAAUUAACUAGUACACAAUUGUACAUAUCCCACAUAUGAGAGAGCAAGGGCUUUUGAAUACAUGGACUUAAUUUUGACCAUGCCCUAGAGCCUGUUUUCAUAGCUAGAAUAUCAUAAAAAUAUAUAAAAUUUAUAUAAAUUAUAGACUAUUUUAAUUUAAUUAUUUAAUAUUUUAAUUUAUUUAAUUUAAAUAGUUUGAUAGUUUUUUGAUAUAAUUUGUUUGCUAAUUAUUUUUUUAAUGAAUUUAUAGUUACGUAAAUAAUAUAAAAUAUGCUAACUAUACCCGUAAAGAUAGGCAAUGCAUAUAAUUUUGAAAAUUAAAAAAUUAUUAAUUAGUUUAAAUCAAAUAAAUUAAAAGGGCAGAUAGUAAAAUUAAAAUUUUCAAAAGUUAGGUAGUUAAAUCGUAUUAUACAUUUUUACCCUACAAUAUUUAUAAAACUAAAUUAUAUUUUUAGUUCUUAAAUUAUAAAACGCAUGAUCAAGAGACAGAACCAUGAUCAACAAAAUUUUUGGCACUUUUAUUAGCCUUAAUUUUUUGUUUUUCAUGUAGUAAUUAUACUAAACUGUAAUAAUAUCAUAUAAUUUUCUUAUGAGAUAUGUAACUAUUUAAAAAAAAAUUAUUAGUAAAUUUUCUAACUAGUUGGACAGCUAUAAUAUUUUUCCCUCAAAAAUUUUUGACAAAAAGGGCACUAAAUAAUAAUUUAUAAUAUAUUUUUAUUUUUAAUAAAUAAUAUAUUUUGAUUUUUAAACUUUAAUUUGUUGCUUUGCCAAACACGUCUUAGUGGUUUAAAUUUUGUCGGAAUAUAUAUUUUCAACAUAUCUAAGUAAAAUCUUGUAAUAGAAUAAAAAUGUAGCUCAUAAAAUUAAAUUUCCUUUUUCCUUCUAAUAAAUAUAUUAUUUAAUCUCAUAAUAAUAAUAAUAAUAAUAAUAAUAAUAAUAGUAUUUGUGGAUCGGGUCCGAAAUGUAACGCAAACGGAUCGGCACCUGCGACGAAGCUCCGCCGCGUUUUCCUCUUCGCACGUCACUCUGACGUCACACGUGACGUGUGCCCUCGUUCUUGUUGGUGGAUUUUUUUUUUCAAUUUAACCCUUAAAAUAUUUAUAAUUUGCUGACCGGUACUAUGAAAAUCUAUUUUCUCCAACUCAGCUCAAAAAAAUAAUUAAAAAAAUCUAUUUUUCAAUUUAAUAAACUUUAGAAGACGAUGAAUUAUUUACGGUAAAUAAUUUAUUAUUUUUUUCUAUAUCUUAUAUAUAUAAUUCUAUCAAUCGCAUAAAGAAUUCAGUAAUUUAUAUACAAUCAUAACAAUCCGACAAAAAAUUCUAAAAAUUCACGUACAAUUUUAACAACAUUAUAAAUAUCCUCACAACUUACAUACAAUCCUACCAACGCCAUAAAAAUUCUCACAGCCUAUUAAAAAAAAAAAACGUGAUAAUAAUCUGAAACAGUGAACGAUUUACUUUUUUCUAAAAACGGUGAAUGACUCACCGUUAGCCAAAUAAAAUUUUUAGAAGAGUUAUUCAACAAAUUAGAAAUUUAUACAGAGUGAUUUUUUUUAAAAAAAAAAGUCCGUUUGCGGCCGUAAAUGUCAACUUUUGUUAUAUAUCAAAACUCACUCUAAAAUGAUAAUAAAAUAUUAAUUUAUUUUUUACACCUUUAAUUUUUACAUUAUUCACUUUCGCCAAACAAUUAUCUGAACUUUAUCUUCAGAGAAACAAACAGACCCAAAUUAAGUAUCAUUAUCGCAGCUUCCAACCAGAAAUACCAACCAGAAAUACCGAUGGAUACGGAUGCCAGAGAUUUAAUCCAAAUUUACAAUUUUUUUGUUUUAUUCAGGUUUGAUUUUAAGUUUGAAUUUUUAUAUCUUGUCGGGAUUCGAAUACGCUUCCGCAUGUUACCCUUUUUUUUUUAGUUCAGUAUCAAAUUUUGCGAAAAUUAUCGAGAAAUUGAUCUGUUGACAUACCUACUUCUGCCAAAUCGUCUAAAAAAAAAAUUGAAACAUUUAUUGAGGUGAGGCUGCGAUAGUCAACUUGUUGCGUUUGGAUAAUAAGUUCAUAAAUUAGUUAUAUUUCGUCCUUAUUAGAGAAUUUUAGAAAUAUCAUAUUUAUAUCAUCAAACUUUGAUUUAUUUUUAUUAUUUUUAUUUUAGUUUCGAUAUUUUGUUACAGUUUUUAUAAUUUUUCAAAUAAACGAUAAAAUUGUACGUAGUUUAGCUUGUAAUUAUAUUCGAGAAAUAAGACGAUAAUUAAUUCGUCAGUCGAAAAUGAUCUGAAUGCUAAUUAAUUCAAUUAUCAAACCACUUUUUUUCAUAAUGAUAUAAUAGUGGAAUAAUAAUAAUUUUAAUUUUAAUUUGAUCAAAUUUAUUUAGUAGUUGUCUCAAAGUUUAAUAACUGUAAUUAAUUUUAGCAAAUAAAAUUAUCCCAAUUAGUGAGUAAUAAUUGAUAAGUUUUUAAAUUUUAAUAAAAUAUUUAAUUUAACUAAGUAUCCUAUAAUUGGUGGCCUAUUUAAAAAUAUCCUAUAAUUGAGGUGUCGCCACUCAUUUUUAUCUUUCUUUUUUAUAAAUUUACUCGUUACAUAUCAUAGUUAUUACAAAAAAAUAAUGCAUUUAAAAAAUUAUUUAUCUAUCGACAAAUUUAUAGAGCACUUUAAAUAUGCCAUUAAUUCCAACAUGAGCUAAAUAUAGAUAUUAGAUAAUUUUUUUACGGAACUAAUAAUGAUGGAAUUUUUUUGAGAGAUAAUAAUGAUGGAAUUAAUUGUGUGUAUUAAUUAGCAGAUUCUUAAGAAACUAUUAAAUCUAAUUUUAAUUAAGCAAUUUAAUAUGGUACAAUGCAUCUUUCUACACAAAAAACGUCAACGUAUGACACGUUUUGCAUAUUUUAUGAAUUUUAAAAUUGCUUGUGAAACUUAUUGUUCAAUUAAUCACAGCUGGAUUUUAUUUAAUAUAAAAAAGAAAUACAUUUAGCCUUACAAUGUGGAAGAGUGAAUCAUGAAAAAAAUAUAACUUAAAACAUAAGUUUUAUUAAAGAAUUAUUACUUGAGCCGUGGUUAUUAUAUUUGAAUCAUGUUGAUUUGACCAUCCAAGUUUUCAAAAUUAUGGAUUUUAUUAUUUAAAUCUUUCAAUUUAUUUCAUUUGAAUUAUUCGAUAAUAUUUUGAUUUCAAAUUUUGAAUGCGUUGUUUAAAUGGGGUGUUUUGUUAAUAUGCUUUGUACAAUUUCUCACAACUGUAAUUUAUUAAUGUAUACAGUUUGUUUAAAUUUUGAAGUCAGAAUAACGUUGAUUGAUUCAAAUUAUUGAAUGAUUAGAUAAUAAAAUUAAAAUUUUGAAAGAUUGAAUAGUCAAUUCAAAUGUCGGAUAGUUCAGAUAAGUCCCCCAACAAAAAGAAGCUUUACAAAAAUAAGGCAUAUUAUCAGGUUCAUUUUUGGAAGGUAAAAACAUAUAGAACUUACUCAGACGAUAGACCAUUUUGAUUUUGAUAUCCCACCUUUCAAAAUUUUGAUUCUACAUAUUCAAUAUUUCAAUUUAUUUGAUUUGAACCAGUCAACGGCGCUUUGUGUUCAAAAUUUGAAUGCAUCAUUUAUCAUUACAGAUUUAGUUAGUAUAUUCAUAUAAUUUUUUGCAACUAUAAACUUAUUAAAGUAAUAAUUAAUUUUAAUGUUGAAGUCAAAGUACCGUCGACUAACUCACAUCAAAAAAAUUAGAAAGUUACAACAUAAAUUUAAAAUUUUAAAAAAUUAGAUAUUCAAAUUUAAAAUUUUAAUUAUAUAUUUUUAUUUUUUUUGGACACGAAUUUUUUACUUCGAAAUGCUCAUGUGGCUUAUGAUAACAAAUUUGCUACAACAAGAAGCCAUUUACAUAGAAAUAGUAAUAGGUUUCUAUGAAAGGAAAUGUAAUAAUUAAGGUGAAAGUACUAAGGAAUGGCACUGACUAAGUACCACAUGAAAUUUUUUUUUUUUUUGGAGUACAUUACCAAAUUUAAGAGGGGGAGCCUUUUUUAUUUUGUCCGUAUUUGAUCCGUCAAAAUUCUCUAUAUUAUGGGCGUGUUUGGUUCGCUUCUUUUUCAUUAUGGAAUCGAAAUCAGAAUAAGCGAAUUCAUUUGUUGGCGUCUAGGACGCGGGAGUCCCAUUACAAUUCCGAUUCCAGAGUGGAAUGAGAAUCUCUCAAUCAUCACUUUUUCCAAUCCGGCCUAGGAGGCCGGAUUAGAAGUUGAAUCCGAAUAGCACGUAUAUUUAUUCAGAUUAAAUAUAAUUUUUUAAUUUUUUUAAUUAAAAUAUGAGUUUAAAUUUAGAGAUUAAAUUUAUAAUUUUAAAUUUUAAUUAAAAAUUAAAAUUUAAUCAAGUAUUUCGAAUCUAACUUAUGAAUUUAAAUUUAAAUUAAAUUUUAAUUUAUAUAAAGUUUUAUUCAAAUUUUAUUUAAAACUUAAAUUAAAUUUAUGGAUUUAAAUUAAAAAUUUAAAUUGUAAUUUUAAGUUUGAAUUUGAAUAAAUCAAAAUUUAGUUUUAUAUUUUGAAUUAUCCACUCAACUUCAAAGUUUAAUUUUUUUUAAAAAAUAAAUUUAAAAUUUUGAUGUAAAAUUUUAAUAUUUAAUUUUUAAUUUGAAUAUAAAUUAACAUAUUAUAAAAAUAAAAUUAGUAUAUUAAUUUGAUUACGUUUUUUAUAUCUAUCUGAACCAAACACCGACAAUGAGAAUAAUUUAUUUUGAUUCCGAUUCAAGUGAUGAAUCAAAUAGAAUUAGGUAAUUAGUCAUUCCAAUUUCGAUUCCAGUUUAUUUUGAUUCCGAUUCUGAUUACGAUUCCAACUUCGAACCAAACAAGCCCACAAUGUGGACGUGUGAAUCAUUAAAAUAAUAUAACUUAAAAAAUAAGUUUUAUUAAAGAAUUAUUAUUUAGACCGGUGGUUAUUAUCCGUAGGGUUUUUAAAUGUCAGAUAUUUGAAUCCUGCAUGUGAAUAUUUAUUGUAUUUGAUCGUCCAAUAAAAAAGAGUAGCUUAUAAAGAAUUUAUCUGAACUACAGAUUAAUUUGUUUGAUUUGAAUUAUUCGAUAAGAUUUUGAUUUCAAAUUUUGAAUGUGUCGUUUAAAUAGGGUAUUUCGUUAAUAUAUAUGCUUCGUACAAUUUUCACAACUGUUAAUUUAUUAAUGUAUGCAGUUUGUUUAAAUUUUGAAAUCAAAAUAUCGUUGAUUGCCUCAAAUUAUUGAAAGGUUGGAUAGUAAAAUAAAAAUUUUGAAAGAUUGAAUAGUCAAUUCAAAUUGCCGAUAGUUCAGAUAAGUCCCCCAACAAAAAGAGGCUUUACAAAAACAAGGCAUAUUAUCAGGUUCAUUUUUGAAAGGUAAAAACGUAUAGAACUUAUCCAAACUAUAGACAAUUUUGAUUUAGUUAUCCCACCUUUUAAAAUUUUGAUUUUAUUAUUCAAUAUUUCAAUUUAUUUGAUUUGAACCAGUCAACGACGCUUUGAUUUCAAAACUUGAAUGUAUCAUUAAUCUUUACAGAUUUAAUUAGUAUAUUCUUAUAAUUGUUACAACUAUAAAUUUAUUAAAGUAAUAAUCAACUAUAAUUUUGAAGUCAAAGUGCCGUAAACUGACUCACAUCAAAAAAAUUCGAAAGUUACAAAGUAAAUUUAAAAUUUAAAAAAUUAGAUAUUCAAAUUAAAAUACACGUGUGGCUUAUGAAAACAAGUUUGCUACAACAAGAAGCCAUUUACAUAGAAAUAGUAAUAGGUUUCUACAAAAGGAAAUGUACUAAUUAAGGUGACUCACUAAAUACCACAUGAUUUUUAUUUUUAUUUUUUUGGAGUACAUUACCAAAUUUAAGAGGGGGGGCCUUUUUUUAUUUUGUCCAUAUUUGCACCGUCAAAAUUCUCUGGAUUUUGUGUAACAAUACAUGAUUCUAUAUUAGAAUGAUACAAAUUUAGUUCUUUUAUUUUCGCAGAAGUAAAAAAUACAGUAUCUCGAUUAAAUUUAGGCGAAAUUAUAGAAAUUUUUUUUGUCAAAAUUCUAUUUUUUACUUUUCCCUCUCUGUCAUUGAAAAAACUACACUUUGCUUGCUUAUAAAAUGAAAAAUGUUCACUUCACUCCUGCCGUUAGUAAUCCGUUAGGAUUCGGUUUAUAAAAUAUUAUUAUAUAUUUUUUUAUGUCAAAAAUGCCCUCAACCUUCUCUCCUAUUGCCAAAAAUAGUGAGGGGUAAAAUGAUCAUUUUGUUAUCACAGCUUACACCGUAUCCUUCUGUGACUAUUUUUUAUUUUAUAAGAGGGCAAAGUGUAGAUUUUUAACUGACUGAAGGAAAAGUGAAAAAUCAAAUUUUGACAGAAAAAUUUUAUGUAAUUUAGCCUUAAUUUUAAAAAUAUUUUGGAGCGAGAAGAGUUUAAAAUUUGUUCUAACACAUAUUAUAUUUGCCAAAUAUCAAUUGGAUAGAAAAUAACGUAGAAUUUUAUCCUGGAUUACAAUUCAACAUCUCUGAAGAGGUAAAAAUUAUGUGGAUCCAUUCAAUUUUUUUGACCAAACAAGGACCAAAUCCAAAUAAUUUUAUUAUUAUUAUUAUUAUUAUUAUUAUUAUUAUUAUGUGUUCGGUUAAACGCACCCAGCACUUUGUGUUUGUAAAUUUUUUAUCGUUAUAUUUACGUGUUUAAUCAUUUUUAUCCAUUACAUUAUACUAUUAAAUCAAUCACCCGCUCAAUCCUAGGAGCUUAUAUUAUUUUAACUGUAUAUCUCUUAAUCUAAUAACUAAAUAAAUAUAUAUAAGUAUCAAUAACUUAUACUUUUAAAACAUGAAAGCUAAAUUAUUUAUUAUUAUUAUUUUUUUAUUAUUAUUAUUGGGGAAAAAGUUUACGUGUGGGGCCCACCACCGCGGUAGGCGGAAAAAGGGUGGGGGUGGGGUUUGGUGAGCUUACACUGCAAUCUUCUACAGAUUACCAACUCACUGCACUUCCCCGCGCACACGUGUGCUUUAGGAUUCGCGCAGGCAGGUAGAUCUUCCUCCCCCUCGGCCCUCCCACUUUAGUGAGCGGAAAAAAAAAAAAAUGGAAAAUUUAUAUUACUGACGUGGCAUUUUUAAUCAAUAAAAUUAUUCUAUUAUAAUUAACAAAAAAAAAAAAUAUCAGUGGUAUUAAGUAUAUAAUACUAUAGACUUUAUUCAAUCUCAGGAGCUCGUCAGGAUUUGGUCACCCUCUCACCAACCCCGGUUUAUAUACGAAUAUUUUUCAUGCACCGCCUCCACCACGUCAUCCGCUCACCUCGUUAAAGCACUCUCUCACUCUGUGUAGUAUAACCUCGAGUUUUCACUCACCUUAUAAAUAAAAUAAAUAAAUUUUUAUAUUUUAAAGAUAAUUUUAAGGCUCACAAAUAUAAUAACUAAACCAAAUAAAUAGUUUCUAGUUGUAACAUUCUACCAAAACAUAUUUAUAAAAAAAUAAAUAAAACUAAUAGCGCAAAAAGAAAAAGUGAAUUAGAUAUAAAAUAGAAAAAGAUUUUAAAUUUUAUAUCCGAGAUCGUGCGUUUUAAAAUUCAGCAAAUAUAAUUUGUUAUUAUCAUUAUGAUUUUAGUUAUAUAAUAUAUUUUAAAUGAACCGUACUACAUUUAUACGGUGUUCGGUGACGUGGCGGGCCGGGUCCACGGAGUAGCUUCUUCCUUUUUCACCGUCGCCGGGUUUCGCCCGCAACCUGUAAGCAGGUGCCACGUGUCGCUCCUCAUCGCACCUCACCCUCACCAACUCUGCUCCACUAGUCCUAUAAAUCCCGGCCCCGGUGCCCUUCGCUCACCAGCUCUCCACCAAGAGCUAAUUAUUGUUGUUGUGUCCUCUACCCGCAUUUGUUGUUAUUUAUUAUCAUUGUUCAUCAUACAUUUAUUGCAAAAAAAAAAUUUGCAAAGAAACCCUCCAAUUUUUCCUUUCUCCGAUUCUCCUUCUCCUCCAUCUUCUUCUCCGACUCAUCUUGAAUCUUUAAAAAAAAAAAAAAGAUCGAGGUGCGGAGGUCGACGAUGGUGAAGCCCGCGGGGGCGACGCCGCGGCGGAGGCUCUGGAACUCGAAUCUGGACCUGGUGGUGCCGCGGUUCCACACCCCGAGCGUCUACUUCUACCGGCGCGGCGGCGGCGGCUGCGAGGCGGAGGGGGCAGGGGCGGGGUCGGAGGCGGUGGGGUUCUUCGAGGCGGAGAGGAUGCGGGCGGCGCUGGCGCAGGCGCUGGUGGAGCUCUACCCGAUGGCGGGGCGGCUGGCGCGCGACGAGGACGGGCGCGUGGAGAUCGACUGCAACGGCGAGGGCGUGCUCUUCGUCGAGGCCGACGCCCCCGACGCCGCCGUCGACGACUUCGGCGACUUCGCCCCCACCAUGGAGCUCGCCCGCCUCGUCCCCAAGGUCGACUACACCGACGAAUCCUCCUUCCCCCUCCUCGUCCUCCAGGUACUACCCCGAACAAAAAAGAAAAUUCUGGAAUUAAAUACAUUUCAUUCAUAGCUAGGAUACUCUACUUUCCGAUAAGGAGGAUAGACUCUUUUGUGCUCAUAAAUUUUCGACUGUUGGACGACGAAAUGUGCGAUUGAUUAGGAUGAUAGUAGUCUCUAGAAUUGAAUAGGUUGGAUGGAAAUGGUCAAAGGGUAGAUCUAACAGUCGAAUUUUGAGAUAACAUUCUCUUCUGGUUAAGAGAGAGGGGAGAGUGUCAAAGGGAGAGAAGGGAAAGGUAUUUGUUCGAGAAGGUUUUGGGCCAUUUAUUUUGAAAUGGGUCAAUCUUAAAUUUGAAGCUGGAUUUGGUCAUAAAUGAAUUAAGUCAUUCUCACUUCAGAGUGGAAUAGAAAUUCGAAUUGGAUUCCUAUAAAAUAUUGGAACCAAUAAAUACAAUUUUGAUUUUAUAGUUUAAAAUUAGAUGAAAACGAAUUUUCAAAAAAAAAAAAAGAAAAACUAGAAUUAAAUACAUUUGAUUCUAUUUUUUAUUUUUUUUUUAUGAGGUUGAUUAUUGCAGUGUGCAGUUGUUUCCUUUUUUUUGAAAAAAUAAGUUUACUAAUUUAUAGUGAAUAGUACAAAUAUCUUAGCAAUUGAAAUGUCACUUUCCUUGUGAACUAAUUAUUAGCUGGAUCUUUUUUGAGUGUAUUUUUUUUUUUAAUGAUAGUUGAGUUGAGUUGAAUUUGGGCCCUUCAUUGGUCGCAAUUCAAUUAAUAUAAUAUUAAAACAAAUUCAAUAGUCUUAUAUAAGUUGUCAAAAGAAAAAGAAAAUUAAAAACUUUUAUGUAUAAUUUGAAUAAUAAAAUUUGAUAACGGUAGAAUCCGUGCUAAAGUGAUAACUUUGGUUCUGAAUUAAUUAAAAGGUCAACAUCUACAGUACAAUUUAUAAAUUAGGCCUUUUGUACUUUUAUAAUUUCAAAAUGGUCCUCCCAUUUUCUUUAAGUGUACUGAUUAUUCUAUAAAUGGAGCUCUUUGAAACAGUCCUCCUAUUUUCUUUCACUUCUUUGAAAAGAAAAAGACACUAACUUAUCUUUUUCCCUUUAUAUUUUAAAAAAUAUAUAACUUAUUACUAAACAUAAUUAAGUUUCGGAACUUAGAAUUUUACAUAUCAAUUAUUAAACUUUUAGUCAACUGUAUUAGACAUGAUCAGUAAUGAUUCGCCACCUAAUAUUUGGCGGAAAUGCGGUGGAGAUAGCUGUGUCAUAGCGUUAGUUUGUGACUUGUCACUUUCUCUUCUUUUUUUUUUUGUUUUAAGGAGUAAGUAUUCUUUAAUAAUUGUAUUAUUAGUGUUGGUGAAUUUACAUGCAUCAUUUUUUUUUUUUUUUGUUUUAUAGCAUUACUAUCUUUGACCCAACUUUGACCCUUUUAGCACAACUACAGUUAAAAAUAGGUUACACAAACACUACAUAUGCCCAACUUCAAAAGAAAAAAAACAAAACAAAACAAAACAAAAAAAAGAACAUCAUCUUGAAUAACCCCAACAUGCUUGUUUUGUUUUAAUAAUUGUCUAAAAUAUUCAAGAAUUAAUUCGAAAUAUGAAUGAAUUUGGUUCUUAUAUGUAGAGUAUUAACUGAAUGGAUAUGAUCAGAUUCAAUGUAUAAAAUCUGUUAAUUAAUAUUAGUUUCCUUAUUCGAGUGGAAUUUAGAUUUAGGUUUUAUUAUUAGAGUAAAAUUUGGAAUUGAAUUUUGAACUAAAUUGGGUUUAAAAUCAAACAGUAAGUUAGAAUCAUGACAAGUUAUGGCCAACAAAACUACUAAUUUAAAAAGGAAAAACCGAAAUAAAAUCCAUGCAACCUGAGAUUUUAUCCUUUUUUUUUAAAAAAAAAGAGAUUUAAUUUAAUAGAAUACAAAUAAAAAUGGAAAUGUAGAGCAUUUAAUAUUAGGUAGCAUGUCGAAACUCGAAAGCAAUGCGCCAAAUAAACAAUAAUUGGCGUGACGAGUUACAAUACAUAUAUCAUGCUUCCCACCUACUCUAAAAUAUUCGCCAAAAAUCGUGCAAGUCUUGUUCUUGGAUAGUGUUUGGUAGACAAAUUGACGUAUAUAUAUAUACAUAUAUGCCAUUCGAAAAUACAUCUCAACCUUUUUUUUUUUUAUUGAGAUCUCCUACAGUUUCGAUUAUAUUUUCAUUGAAAAUAAGGGUUAAUAACUAAUAGAGUUAUUAUAUUUGAUAAAAUUGUUAACUUAAUAAAGUAUACAAAUUUGAAUUUAAAAAAAAAAAAAAAAGUUGAAGGUGUCUCAACCGAAACAAAUAAAAGCUAAGGAUUCUAUUUCGAAACCGCCUAUAGGUGAGAGGGUUCUCCAUACAUUUUUGCCUAAUUAUUUUUUUCUUUGUAUGACAAUAUUAAACCUUUCAUUAUUAUUAUUAUUAUUAUUAAAGGUUUUGGUGGACUUUGUCCAACUAACAACAUGUGCUUACUUGGUAUACAAGCUUUUAAAUACUAUAAAAUUUAGAUAUCUUAUUUGGAAUUUUUGCUCUUUGGAAUAGAAAAUUUCUCAUUGACUUGGUCAUGUUCUACCAAAUUACUAUAUAUAUAUAUAGAAGUAUUUAAUGAGUCUAUUAUAAAAUUUUAUUUUAUUUUAUUUUAUUUUAUUUAUUUAACCAAUGUCUCUUAAUAUAGUUGUUAGAUUUUGUCCAAAAUAGUGAAUUUGUUAACACAAUAAUAUAGAAGUUGACGAGAAAACAAAUAGCCUAUCAAUUUCUAUGAAAAAAAAAAAAAAAGUAGUAUAAGAUAGAAAAAAAUAAAUAAAUCUAAACUACAUUAUAGAGAUGGAUAAAAUAUAAUACUACAAUAGUUUUUUAUUUAAAAAAAAUAGUAUAAUGUUGCAAAUAAAGUUAACACUGAAAUAUAAUACAGUAGAGUGUAAUUAAGGGAGAAAAGAAAAAGGUCAUCAGUUUGAGUCUCAUGUAGAUAACUAUCGAUAGAACUGGAGUCCAAAAAAAAUAGUAAUAAUAAUUAUAAAGUAAUAAUAAUAAUAAUAAUAAUAAAAUUACGGAGUAGGCGAGUAGGUAAAUCUCUAGGGAUGCGUGCACAAGUAGGCAACAAAGUUGUGUGCAGCAUUUCGUCUUCACUCACCACCACAUGACUCACCGCUCUUCUUUCUUUUUAGUUGUCCUUAUCGCGGGACGGAGCUAUGCAGAGACUAAGGGUGGCCGAGACCCCUCUCUUAGUAGUUUAAGAACUAAAAUCAAUAACGGUUGGGGCGUAUGUCAUACAUCACAAUCAGGGACGGAUCUAGAAUCCAAUUCUUAAAAGGCCAAAGAAAACUUUAGUAUACUAUUUAUAUAUCUAAAAACAGUAGAAUUUUUGCAGGGAUAACUUAUGAAAGUUAAACUUUAUAGAAAUAUAUUUGCAAUUCACUAUAUUUGUGGUGACCUGUAUGCAAUUAACCCUUAAAUAAAUGUAAUAUUUCUGAAGUAAUGGAACCGGGACCGGCGGUCAUAGUACUUAGCCCGUCGUGAGAGUGAGACAAAUUCGCUAGUCACUCCACCCAACCCAUUGGAAGGCCGGAGUGUUUCUAGGCUAAUUAACGAAAAAAAAAAUAUUAUAGAAAACCCACCGAACUUUAGCUCUUUUGUAAACAGGUGUUUCGACUUUCAAUUUAGACAAUUAGACUUUUUAAACUUCAUCAAAUAAUUCAAUAAAACUUCAAAAUACAUGUUAAAACAGGGUUAAAAAUCAAGGGCCGGUUCAACCCAAACUUUCAAUCAUUAUGCUUAAUUACCAAAGUUGGAAGAGAAAACAUAUUUUUCUUUAUAUUUUGAAGCAGUACAGGAUUAUUAUGUGCAUGAUAUUCGAUCAAACCAAACGUUGAUUGCGGAGAAAGAUCUAUCAGAUUAUGUGAUAAGGCUUAUAAAAUAUAAUUGCUAAAAUUGAAAAAUUAAACGCCUAUUUAAGUUUAGGAGGUCUCUUCACAUUGUACUCUUCUUUCUUUUAUUCUGGUUUAUGAUGUUUUCAUGUCAUAUGGAUUGAAAAGGUUUCACUCUCAAUCUCUCUAUCUAUGUAUUUAUCUCUCUUGACUAUUUGAGAGACUAUAAAUUGGAAAUGUUGAUAUUUUUGUUUCUUAAUCUUGGUCAUUGAUGAAACCAAUAAAUCCAAGUCCUUUCUCAAUUACCUGAGGUUGCUCUUUCAACAUCCUAUUCACAUUUAAACUUGUUCCAAUUUAUACAUCAAAUCAUUGUCAUUGUUGGAGGUGACAUCCUAAAUGAAAAUUUUCUUUGUAGACUAAAACAUGAGGCCUUAAUUACAACAAUAAUAAGGCCUUAAUUACAACAAUAAUAACAGCCCAUUUUUCACAUUGAGAUGUACUAUAAAAUAUAAUUGAUGUCAGCUUCGUAGCAUAGCGAUGCGAUUUCAAGAUCUAUCAGAUUAUGUGAUAAAGCUUAGGAAAUAUGAUUGCCAAAAUUGAAAAAUUAAACGCUUAUUUAAGUUUAGGAGGUCUCUGCACAUUUUACUCUUCUUUCUUUUAUUCUGGUUUAUGAUGUUUUCAUGUCAUAUGCAUUGAAAAGGUUUCUCUCUAUCUCUCUCUCUCUAUCUAUCUAUUUAUCUCUCUUGACUAUUUGAGAGACUAUAAAUUGGAAAUGUUGAUAUUUUAGUUCCUUAAUCUUGGUCAUUGAUGAAACCAAUAAAUCCAAGUCCUUUUUCAAUUACUUGGUUGCUCUUUCAACAUCCUACUUCCAAUUUAUACAUCAAAUCAUUGUCAUUGUUGGAGGUGACAUCCUAAUGAAAAUUUUCUUUGUAGACUAAAACAUGAGGCCUUAAUUUCAACAAUAAUAACAGCCCAUUUUUCACAUUGAGUUAUACUAUAAAAUGUAAUUGAUAUGUCAGCUUCGUAGCAUAGCGAUACGACUGUCGUGUCGUCAACUGCAUUUGUCUUCGUACAAGUGGAAUUACUGAUUCCAUUGAGUGGGGAUGUGCCCAAGUGAUCUUAGAUAUUUCAUGUGGGUAGAAAACUAGUUGGUAAGUGAUUUGUUGAUGUCACUCCGUAUGUCAUCCUCCUAGAAAUUAGGCAAUAGAUAUGCCUUGUUUCAGGCUACUAGGCUCAGAAUCCGGUGAAUGCACUCUUAAAUUUUAGAUAAAAACACGUAGAAUUUAUCUGAAUUAUGAAUCAUUUUGACGUUAUUAUCUAAUCUUUUAAAAUUUUGAUUUUACUAUAUAAUCUUUUACUUUGUUUGAUUUAAGUCACUCAACAAUAUUUUGAUUUCAAAUCAAACAAAUUGAAAAAUAGGAUGAUAAAAUCAAAACUUUGAAGAGCCAACUUAAAAUUUUUCAUAGUUUAGAUAAAUUCGAAAAACUUUAUUAUGAAUGUUUUAAAAUUAAAAGCUAACGUCGUGUUUUGUGAAAUUCAAAAGACGUGGAGAUUUUGUGUGUAUGUCUCUCGGUGUUCUCCAAAUGGUUACAGUAUAAGUUGAUGAUCAUUGGUCGUGUGCAUGAUCCAAUCAAAUGUAUACACUAGUCUUAUUUUAAAUUGUUUGUCGAUGAUUUUAUUGAUAUUUUAUGUUGUGGUUUACAAAAUUAAUUUUUAUAAAUUAUGUUACACUAUUUGAUAGUAUGUUACACUAUGUGAUUCAGGUGACUUAUUUUAAGUGCGGCGGUGUCGCCCUCGGGGUGGGGGUGCAGCACCACGCGGCGGAUGGCUUCUCGGCGCUCCGCGUCAUCAACUCAUGGGCAGACCUCACCCGCGGCGCACCCAUCACCUUCCGCCCCUACAUCGACCGCACGCUGCUCCGCGCCCGCGACCCCCCCACCCCCAAAUUCCCCCACAUCGAGUACCAGCCCCCGCCGUCGAUGCCGCAGGCCGUUGUGCCAUCCCCCGCCGAGCCCCCGAAGACCCCUCCGGCCGCCGUCGACAUCUUCAAGCUGCCCCGGGCGACCCUCGACCUCCUCCGCUCCACACUCCCCGCGGGCUCCCCGCGGUUCAGCAGCUACACCCUCCUCGCCGCGCACGUCUGGCGGUGCGCCUGCCUCGCCCGUGGCCUUCCCGCCGAUCAGCUCACCAAGAUGUACAUCGCCACCGACGGGCGCCAGCGCCUGCAGCCACCGCUUCCCGAGGGGUACUUUGGAAACGUGAUCUUCACCGCAACCCCGAUCGCCGCCGCAGGGGACGUGAUCGGGACCGACGAAUCGAAGCUGGCGACCGCAGCGCAGAGGAUACACGCGGCGCUGGCGCGGAUGGACGAUGAGUACGUGCGGUCGGCGCUGGACUACCUGGAGCUGCAGCCGGACCUGUCGGCGCUGGUGCGGGGGGCGCACACGUUCCGGUGCCCGAACAUCGGGCUGACGAGCUGGGUGCGGUUGCCGAUCCACGACGCCGACUUCGGGUGGGGCCGGCCCGUGUUCAUGGGCCCCGGGGGGAUACCCUACGAGGGGCUCGCGUUCGUGCUGCCGAGCGCGAAUGGCGACGGCAGCCUCUCCGUCGCCAUCUCGCUGCAGGCCGAGCAUAUGGAGAAGUUCCGAAAGCUCAUCUUUGAGAUUUGAAAAUUUGAAAAAAAUUUGAAAAAGGGAGGGAAGGGAACUUAGAUGCAAUUUUUAAAACACUUUGUUAUAUUUUUGUUUUUUUGUUUUUUUUUGUUUAUAACUUGAUAUGCUUGUAUGGAUAAAGGACUCUCUAAGGAGUUAAUAUUACAAAGGAUAAUGUUUUUUUUUUUUUUAAUCUGAAUUUUUUAUGUUAUUCUCUUGAAAUGAGUUUGUAAUCUUGCAUUGAGGUGCUGGUUGAUUGAAUGUAAUUGUAAAUGCAGGAUAGUUAGAGAUGCAAAAAUAUUAAAAUAUAACCAAUAUUGUAGGUUGGAUUGAGUAGAAAGGAUAUGAUAAUAAAUAACUCUUUUCAUUUUAUAUAUUCGAGAAUUGUAUUUAUAAAUUUUGUUCAUCUCAUCACAUCUAAGAUAGAAGAAAAAUAUAUGUUUUAUUUAAAAGAUGAUUAGGUAAAUAAAAGGCGAUUAGAUAGAUAAAUCUACCUCUUAUUUAAAACUAUUGGUUUUAGCUGUCGCAGUUCGAAUUGAGGCCAAUUAGCUUUAUCUUCUGCAAUUCAGCUUCUCUUGCAGUUUCAAGUUUCAACUACAACAGUUGGAUUCUAAUGAAGUAAUGCAAUAAUAAAUCUUGCUCACUAUAUUGCAAGAUCCCUAAUGGAGUAGCAGUUGCAUGUAACCAAAUAGUCCACAAAAUUUAACCUAGUAACCCUAUUACUAUGAAAUUUGAAAUGGCGGAUGCGACUUAUAAGUAGUAAGAAUCUGAAUAUAACAACGGGAGUUCGAACUUCUGACCACUACAGUCCCCAAUCAGGUUAUGCAUUUGCUGAAGGCCACCAUGAUUGCCCACCAGCAGAAUUUUCUCCAUUAAAACCGCAAACCUGGGAGUUUGUUCGCCGUUACCACGACAAUUUGCGAGACGUCGCAGCUUCUUCUCGACAGGCCCUACUUGUCGAGGGUGUUUCACCGUAAUCACAGUUUCAUUUUGCGCGAUUCCACUGGUGGUAACGAAAGGCGAAUUCGAAAUCCGAGUUGCCUUUCGCCGUGCUCGGUUGAAGGGCACAAUCUGAAACCAAGUCUAGAGAGAGCAAACCAUGCUCAGAGCACACCUGUGCACUUGUAAUGAGCUUACCUGGGCAUGUUUUUUUGCGAAAUUAAGGGCCAAUCGAGGAACAAGAACCUCGCGAGUUUAUUUUCACUGUAACAGCAAAAUAACAGGAUGCAGAACUCAGGAGAACACAGUCGCGCACAGCUUUUAACCAUCAUCAACAGAUGAGAGACUCUCAAGAACAACAGCAGCAGCAGCGGUGUAAAUUUUAUAUCUUGAUCGGAAACUCUGAUAAAUAUCAACUCAUUAUCCGAAACUCAAACUCGAGACCAGCACAUUCAUCAUAAAUUGACUGGAAAUAGACCAACCAUAGAUCUGAUUAAUAAAAAAGGACAACACACAAUCUUGCAUCUCAAAUUUGCUGCAGUAAACACACGAUCGACGGAAAUCCCCAUGAAAAAUGUGAAAGUAAAAGCAGCUCAACAUCAUUCCAGAACUAAUCUGCAAUAGAGUACUCACAAAACAAUACCAAAAAAAAAGAAAAACAACUUACUCCACACACUUCAAUUACAUGUAGCAUCAGUCACUGCAGAAAAAGAUAUAAGGCUUGCACUAGUGUUUCGCAUUGUUACUGUCGGUGUACCAUUACACCAGAAUUGGUUUUCCUUUUAUGCAAUCCACUGUAUUUGCUGUAGCAGAUAAUAAACAUGCAUGUUCCCACAAAACCGGGCGCGGAAGCGUGCUAGGAAGAAGCUGCAUCUUUCGCCUCCCAGUGUAACCAAACACGGACAAUUAGCGAUGCAAUUGUCGUGUUUGUGUUAACCAAGAUAGCUGUUAUUAUACUCAGACUUCGACACGACAUGAGCGGGCCACGACAACACAAACUGUUACACCAAACUGACUUUUUCCUAGGCGUUAACUUGAAUCAAAUUUCAAACCAAUUUUCACAAUAAGCCAACCAGUAUCAGUUCAGUUCGGUACUUCGGUUUUACAGGAAUAGUGCUUAGACCCCCAUAGAGGUCAUAUAUAUCAAGGAUUUCAUCGACACGUGCCUUAUCUACAGUGUCGUAUCAUGUCACAAGUUAUCGGACGAUACCGCCUCCGUGCCGAUGGCAUGUCUCAAAACUCUCUUUUCUCUAAAUUAAUAAGUAAUUUUUACAAUAAAGUUCAAAAGACUUAAUAAAGAUAUAAAAUAUGCAAUUAAAACAUUUUGUUGCUAAAGAAAAUAAAUAUUUCAUGCAAUUAUGUGUUGGCACAUAUGUAUUUUUCGUGACCGGCACACAUCGGCACGGUCUGGCACGGUCCCAGACCUUACCGGCAAGGUUUUGGCGCGACCUCGUGCCACGGCACUUAAAUCCUUGAUAUAUAUGUUAUGCGAUAGUAGAAACCCUUCCAUACUCCCUAUCGAUCAAUUUCUCAACAACAAUUAGCAAACAACAAGAGCUGUGCCGAACAAGAUGUUCAUGCAUCAAAUCCGACCCUAUGGAUUGAAAUCUUAUCCGAAUUGAAUGAUAAUCGCCUUCUAUGAUAAGUCCAAGUCUCGAACAUUGGUUGGCACUAAAAUUUCCAUCAGAGAAAUAUCCUCUACUAGUGGAUAUACUUCGAGUAUAGUUAGUAGAUUAAAAACAAACCCUUCAAAAAGGUAUAGAGUUAUAAGCUUACUCUUACACUCUCAUUUGACUUUUGAAGCCGCAUUAAUCAUCCCUUUAAAUCAAAGAAAGGGAUGAUUAAGAAGAGCAACAGCUUCUUCAUUGUAAAACCAUAAAUCAAAAUGAAUUUCAACAAACACUUAAGUUGUCUCUUUCUCCAUCAUCAACUAAUAAAAGGAUAAGCAUUGAUCUCCAAACAUGUGUAUGAAGCUAACAACUCUCAUCCAACAGAAAUUUAAAAAGAAAAAGGAAAAAAAAAAAAUCUGUGAAAGCGAAUCACUCCAUUGUUUGAUCUUUCUACAUUUUUACCCAUAUAACACAGUCGAUCGUGACGAUAUUUCUAAAAAAUGCUAAUGCGCAGGAGAAUCACUACAUUUUAAAGUAUGCACUAACAGAGAGAGAUUUCAUCUACAAUUAAAUGAUGCAAAAUGUAUUUAAUUUAAAUCUAUUUAUCGCCAUCUGUAUAACAAAUAUACGAACAUCUUUGACUAGACCCGCUACCGAACGCCUAUAAAUCAACACUGUAAAACAGAAAACACCAGAGGUUUCAAUGUUGGUGGAGGACGGAGCGCACAAGAAAAGAGAAGCAUCUCAUCCACAUACCACAUAACCGAGAACUAAACCUUUAAAGCUACCUGAUCUUGCCACGAAAUCUUCCUCUUACCGAUUCUGCUCGGGUUUUUCCCUACAUCUCUACAUAUCGACAACUUAAGAUUGCUAGCAGCCGCAUCUCCAUCAACCGUACACCUCUCCGAGUUGUCAACUUUCAACGGCGCCCCAUCCACUUGACAGCCCAUUUCCUCGUCAUUCUGGAAUUAUUUGAGACGAUAAGUUAAACAGGCAUUAGCAAAUAAGUAAUGCUACGGGGACCUGAUAACCACCGCAUACGCAGUGGAUGAGCCAAGUUUCAUGACACGGCAACUAGCCAGUGGUUCAACUUUGGAGUGCCAAGUUUGGCAUCUGACUCAUUAACUGCAUUCUGGGAUACAUUCUGAAGCCCCCAUGGCAUCACUCUUCGUUCUUUACAAAUAAAUCAACUCGUAUGCACGUAUUUUAGAGGAUGAUAGAAUGGUUGAAUUACCAUCGAAGAUACUUGAUUCAAAUCAAACAUUGCAGUAGUGCUCGUUGAUGCACCGCCCCUUCCUCUUCUACUCUUAUCUUCUAAAGAAAGAUCACCGCGAACAGUUGGAUGAGGCGGUCGAGGAAUAGCAACCGGAGAGCACGGGAUCAUGUGAGGCUGCUUCUUGAUUUUGAAUUGUGCUCGUUGAGAUCGAUUCUCAAUCAAUGACUUGUAUUUUCUUCGCAAGAAUCUAUGCAUGGGAAUCCGUUACGAAUUUAGCAUUGUUACAUAACGUAAAAUAAAUAAAUUUAGGGUAACAGGAAAACAUAAACAUAUUUCAGCAUUGAAAGAAGAGGAAAAGGAUCAUAAUAAUACUUGAUUUCAGCCAAGAGCCUGAGUUUCUUCUGCUUUGUCUUCUGAAGUUUCUUCUUUUUUGCUUCAGCUUCCUGUGAAAUUGGGUUAUUAUUAGAUCAUAAGAAUAUAAAGUUUUGUAAUUUUUUACAGAAUAAAAGAAUUUGCAGUUUUGUAAAGAAAACAAAAGAGAAAGGAAUAGAACAACAAUGAAAACACUAAUCAUAAAUUCGUCGUUUCUACCAAGAUCAGAUUUUGGCAUAAGAAACUACAGCAUACCAAUUUACACAUAAGAUCCUCACAAAACCCUAGAUCAAUCAGAACUACAAUACCAACAAAAACAGGGAAAAAAAAGAAAAAAAGAAAAACCCCUAGAUUUACAUGAGACCCAAAUAAUAAUAAUAGAACAAGAUUUACCACAAUAAUAAUCAAGAUAACAAAGAAAAGCAUCAGGAAAAAAAAAAAAGAAAGAGACAAAUAUGCAAAAUUUGUGCAAAAACUGAAGCCUGUAUUGUUGGAAACCUAGAUACACAAAACGAAAUAUUAUGCGUAGAUAAAUUACCAAGAUCAAGAAAAAACUCACACAGAAGAGAACAUCCAAAAAGCUGAAACGAAAACCUAAAAAAAUCGGAUUUUUAUCAAAGAUCUCUUAGAAAAGAGAGAGAGAGAGAAAGAGAAAAAGGUCUCACCUUUACCAACUCCUCGUAGUCCUGUAAAAGGCCCUGAAACUUAAACCUUUCUCUCACAUCCUCCCCAACUGGGUAAGAAGAAGAUGAUGGGAAGGACUCCAUGGAAACCCUUCUCGCCACCCUCUUCAUCAUCCUCCCCUCCCCCCCACCUCCUCCUCAAAGCAAAAACCCACAACAAGAACAAGAAGAAGAAGAUGAUGAUGAUGAUGAUGAUGAAGAUGCCCAAGAAGAGGUCAUAAAAGGAUAAGUAUGAACAGAGAUAUAGAGAGAGAGAGAGAUAAUGGGUUGGUUUGUGGAGAGGGAAAGGGAAAGUUGGUUCCUUUGGCUUCUCUCUCUCUCUCUCUCUCUCUCUCUCUCUCCUAUGGAAGGUAUGACCAAGACAAAAAAGAAAACAAACACACCCCCCAAACAUAAAUUGGGGGAUUGUAGAAAACAUGAGAUGGGUAAUUUUUUCCUUUCCUUUUCCCUUUUUUUUUCUCUCUCUCUUUUGGUGGUGGAUGUGGAGGCCAUGUAGGAGUAGAUUUUCAUUUUGGGGGAAGGGAAGGGAAGGAAAGGGAAGGUGGGGGGGAUGUUGCAGAGGGGCAUUUAUGGGAGGCAAAAUUGGUUUUUUUUUCUUUGUUUUUUUUGUUUUGGUUUUUGGGUUGUUGUAGAGCUUAAUUUUGUUUUGAAGGAGGAAGGUGCUUGGUUGGAAGGUACACCUUGAAGCCACCUAAUCUUAACUCCACUCUUCUCUUUCCAUCUCUUUCUCUCUCUUUCCAUCUUCUUCUUCUACCAUCUUUUCUCUCUACACAUUGUUUUUUUUUUUUUUUGGUACCUUUCAUACAUGAAUGAAUGUUGGUCCAACACCAAUGGGGCCAUUGGAAACUAGAGAGAGAGAGAGAGAGAGAGAGGAAAUGGUCUUCCUUGAAGGGUGGGGUUCUCUCUCUCUCUACAACAAUAUUUAGAUUUGGGCUUUUUUUUGCAAAUAGCCUCUUAUAAUUUUUUUUUUUUUAAAUUGGCCCUGUCAAAAAUUUAUUUACAAAAAUGGUCCUGGUCCUACCACGCAAGCGCCACGUCAGCGCCACGCGGGCGGGGCUGGACCAGAUGGUUAAGUUGAACACGGUGAACCAUUCACCAUGUUCAAUACAAAGUUUUUGUAUUGGACACGGUGAACGUAUCCAAUACAAAAUAGCUAAGAUCGAAAUAUUUGUAUUGGACACGGUGAAUCAUUCACCGCGUCCAAUACAAAAAUUUUGUAUUGAACACGGUGGUUCACCGUGUUCAACUUACAUACCUGGGCCCGCCCUGCCCGCGUGGUCCUGACGUGACGCUGGCGUGGCAGGGACAUGACCAUUUUUGCAAAUAAUUUUUGGACGGGGCUAUUUUUGUAAAUAAAAUUUAUCAGGGGGCUAUUUGCAAAAAAAGCCCUUUAGAUUUUUAUUUUAUUAUUAUUAUAGUAAAAUUGUGUGAAGGCUACAUCAACUAUAAGCUAUUGAGACAAAGGUACUUCUGCUUCCUUUAAUUAUAUUUCAAAUUUAGAAUCAAAGAUAUCAAUUAAUUAUUUAAGUAUUAAUAUUUUAUCCAUACUCCUUCAACUUCUAUUUUUUUGAUAAAAUCUUUGUCUCGAUUAAGUUGGAGAUUUUAUCAAUUAUAAAUUCAAUCACUAAGUAAAAUUUUUAAAAAAAUUUUAACAGUCAAAAAAUCAUUAAAUUUAAACAAAAAUUCUAGCUUAAGAACUCAAAUAAAAAAUUUUAAAAUUAGAAAAGUGUUAUUAGAAAAUUUAAAAAAAAUGGGGAGGUUAUUUCAUAAUUCUCUAUUAUUUGGGAGGUCUCCUUACAUUUUAUAUUUAUUAUAUUUUAUUUUUGGUUGUUGGGUGUUAACUGAGAUGGAGAUGGCUGAAAAGUAAAGACAAUGACAGCUGGCUGCUCUUCUGUUUCCUGCGAAAAAAUUUACUAUAUCAUAUUUACACCACAUCAUCAACAACAAAUCAAUCAUAUCUCUGAAUUAAAAAAAAAAAGGAAAAAUUUCAUCACUACCCUUCCAAAUAAGUCUAAUAUCAUGAAUGCCCCUAUAAAAAUUGAAAUAUCAUAAAUAACCUUUUAAAAGAGAGAAACUUUCAAAAAUAACCUUCACACUAAUUUAUUAUCAAUUUUGAAUAAACAACAAACAAAAUUCCAACUUUGCCCUUAUUGUCAUUACCAUCUUAAAAUAUUUAAUUGACUAUAAAAUUAUUUAUAAUUUUAUAAACACUCUUUUAAAUUUAUAAAUGACCUACAUUUAGAAAUAAGGUUUUUGUCAGUUAAAAAUAUAUAUAUAAUCCUGACAAGUUAAGCUAAAAAAUAAAAAAAAUAAAAAAUUUUGAAAAAAAUUUACCAAAAAAUUGUUUAAAGUAUCAAUUGACUCAUUAAAAUUAGGUUAAACAAUUUAUUCAAAAUAUAACUUAAAUAUAUAUGCAUGAUGUGAAUUAAGUUAUUUGAACUAGCACAAAUUUCUGUGCUUUGGCAUCUCGAAUUUUAAAAUAAAUGAUAUAAAGUAUCUUAUUUUAUAAACCACACAACAGUAAAAUAAUAUAUUUUACUGUUUAUUUUAAUAUUUUAAAAUAAAUAUAUCAUGCUAAAAUACUUUUGUAAAAAAUUUUAGAAGUUAAGGGCAAAAUGGACAUUUCGACCAUAUUUAUGAUAAUCUAAAUAUUUUAUAAUUCUAUAAAGAGAUGAAUAGUAAGGGUAAGGGUAUGUUUGAAAAAUAAUAAGUAUUUGUAGGGGUAAUUGUGAUAUAAUCAAAUUUAUAGGUGCAUCUAUAAUAUUUUUGAAGUUUAGAGGGGCACAAAUAAAAUUGACCCUAAAAAAAAAUAUAACAAAAAAAUUUUUUAUAAUCAUAAUCUCACGAAUAAUUUUAAAAAAAUUAUUUAAUUAAUUUAAAAUAUCAUAUCAUCAAUAUAACUGGUAUAUUUUAAAACUUUUUGAUUUUGUGUAGCUGAGAAUGUGAUGGGGAGGUAGAGUGAAAUUGAUUGAAAUUACUAAAAUACCCCCAUUUUUUUUUUUUACUUUUCCUGUAGGGGGACAUUCCUUCCUGUGUCUUAGGAAAGCACCCAGAAAGUCAUCCUCUGUUGCUUGACUCACAAACCUUUCUUUCGCUUUCUUGUCAUUGAAAAGAAUAUAUAGUAUUUAAAGAACUGAUUAUUUUAAAAAUAAAUAUAAAUAAAAAUUAUACUUAAAUUUUUAUUUAGAUAAAAAUUAGUGUGUAAAUGAAAAUUAAAAAAAUAAUAUUUGAAUGAUUAAGAAGAAUAAAAGAAAUAGUAGAUACAAGAUUUUAAGUGCCCAUCGGCACGGGCCGUACCCACCGUGCCGUACCAUGCCAACAAGAUACCGGCACGAUACAGACCCCGUGUCGAUGGCACAGUUCAAAACUCUCUAUUCUUUAAAUUAGUCAGUAAUUUCUUCAAUAAAGUUCAAAAGAUGUGAUAAAAAGACAUAAUAAAUAGUUAGAAUAUUUUGUUGCUAAAGAAAAUAAAUAUUUUAUGCUAUUAUGUAUUGGCACACAAGAAUUUUUUUUACCGGCACGCAUCGGUACGGCUCAGCACGCACCGUGUCAUACCGUGCCGGCAAGUUUCCGGCACGAUUCCGUACCACGGCACUUAAAUCCUUGAGUAGAUAGUUAUAAUUUAAAAAUACUAAGAAUACUCCUGGCUCUAAACCUAUGUAAUAUAAACUUUGUAUUUUCAUAUUUUAAAUAAUAUGUAUUUAAAUUGAUGAGUUUAAAAAUAAUAUUUUGCCUUUAAAAAUUAAUUAACUAUUGAACCAAAAAUUGAGAAAACAUAUUAUCUUUAUAAUUAUUGCUUGAAAUUAACUAAUAAUAAUUGGAAAUUACCUUGUCUUGUUCUAAUGAGCAUAAUAAUAAUUGAAAAUUAGAUAACAAUCAUAGUAGAUCUCUUAUUAUUUUAGAUAUGAAAGGAAGGCAAUGACCAUUUUUUUUAAAAAAAAAAUCAAAUAAUUAGGUCUCAUAUUCAACAAUAAAUAGCUAGGUUUUCAACUUUAGAUAUUACGUACUCAUCACAAAGUUUUUGGUCAGUGACAUUAGAUAUGAUCUGAAAAGAUAAUAAUAACGAUUUCAAAUUGUCUGAAAGAGUUUCAGAAUCACGAAAAAUGCGGGCUUGAGAUUGUUAUUCAAGGGUUCAUGUUCGAAGUUUAAUUAAGCCAUAUCUUUUCAACUCAAUUUAUUUUAAAAAAUAAAUAAAAUAAGUAACUUUUUUUUUUCAAAAUAAAGAAUAUUUUGUUUGCACAAAGUAGCUUUCAAUAGACGAUAGAGUAGUGAUAUGAAUAGAGAUAAAAAUGGAUCGAAAUUGACGCUUCCGUCCUAAUCCGUGUCAAAUUAGACGAUAAGUAAAAAAGUAAAAUUAUAGAGUCCGCUCCGAUUCCGAUCCGAUAAGUAACGGGUAAGAGGUAGGAGACUAUCUCCGGCCCCGGAUCCGUCCGUUUUGCAUCCGUUGAUUCAAAUCACAUGAUCGGUCCAUGGGUGAAACGUGGUGAACCAGGUCCAGGCAAUAAAUUCCACUUCAAAAAAAAAAAGAAGCCCCAUACAAUUCCCCCCACCACCGCUCUCGCCGACCUUGGAUCGAGCACCGCUUCCGCAAAACCACCACCAUAUAAAUAGCUCCCCGUAAGCGUAGAGACCCUCGUCGAACACCUCUCCCAUGGCGAACCUCAAGGAUCGCCUCCUCCCCCCUCGACCCCCCUCCACCACCGCCGCCUCGCCCAACGACGGCGCCGCCGCCUCCUCCGCCGCGGCGGCGGCGGCGCGGCGCCGUGGGGCGUUCCAUGGGAUGGACGCGCUAGGGCUCAAGAAGCGGGGGCAGAGCGUCCGCGCGUGGAUCCGCGUCGACGCGGCGACGGGGGAGUCCCACGUGAUCCAGGUCGACAAGUUCACGAUGAUGCGGCGCUGCGACCUCCCCGCGCGCGACCUCCGCCUCCUCGACCCCCUCUUCGUCUACCCCUCCACCAUCCUCGGCCGCGAGCGCGCCAUCGUCGUCAACCUCGAGCAGGUCCGCUGCAUCAUCACCGCCGACGAGGUGCUCCUCCUCAACUUCCCCGACGGAUUCGCGGUGCAGCAGUACAUCGCCGAGCUCCGCAGCCGCCUCGCCACCGCCCGCGGCGGCGACGGCGACGGCGACGGCGACGGCUCCCCCGACUACCUCCCAUUCGAGUUCCUCGCCCUCGAGGUCGCGCUCGAGGCCGCGUGCACCUUCCUCGAUGCCCAGGUACUCGGAUUUAGGGUUUCUCCAUGGCCUCUACUUGUCGAAUUAUUGGAUUGAUGAAAUGAAGAGCUAAAUUACUGUGUGACUUUUUAGUUGUUGUUGUUAGGAGUGAUUUGGUGAUAAUUUAGGGGUUGUUUGGUUAUUUGGAAUACUAUUGAUUUUAUUUUUUUCAGAAAACAAAUUUUUGAUGCUUUUUUUUUGCCCGUUUGUUUCCAUGGAAAACUUUUUAAAUUUUUUAUUUUUUCAAAUUUUAUGGCGAACUAGUGUUUUUCUUUUCCGAAGAUAAAACGAAAACAUUAAUUUUUUAUAAAAUUUGGAAAAGGUUUUUUUUAAAAAAACUAGUUUUCUUUGGAAUCUGGAAAAGAUAUUUUUCAUAAAAAUAUCCGGAAAAUUUGCAUUCCAUACUUUUGUGUGAUUUAUUAGAUGCAGUGUGAUUGAUUAAUGUGAAAUUUUCACCUAUAAAUGAACAUAGCUAGUUAGAGUGUGUUAAAUAUGCCCUGGGCAUUUUCCUUUUGAAGAUUGAUGGUCUGGGAUAUUACUUGCUUGUUUUUGAAACUGCCCUUUGCAUGGUUUUGACUUCGAUUAGUUACACCACUGGUCCCUCGGCCUUUAUCCGGUUGUUCACUUUGGUCCCCUGCCUUUUAAUAUUUUUAUUUUGAGUCCUACCAUUUGUUAGUUGUUUCAAUAUACAUUUUCCAUCAAAAAAACUUGUUAACUUUGACACAAAUUGCCGCAUAGUAAGGUGGUGCUGAUGUGGAAAACAACUAAUCAACCAUAGGAAUUCAAUUGCAAAAGCUAAUUGCUUUGGGGCCACAGUGAAAAUCGGGUGAAGGUUAGGAUCAAUGGUGUAAUUAAUGCUUUCGACUUUUGACUACCCUUAUGCUUAAACCUGAUCAAUCUCUGCACAAAUAUACCGAUUGGACAACUUUAGAAAGGAGAGGAGGUGUUGGAAGUACAAUAUUAUUAGGUAUGGAAUGUUGAUAUUUUACAUGUAAAGGGUAUUUCAGAUGUGCGGAAGGAAAAUUUUCAAAUCGUAACAGUUUAUAAAAGAAUAAAGAGCAUAAUAAAGGUAUAAGCAUAUGGAACAGCAUAUGUUCUUUAAUCUGUUUAUCUUUGUCCAUGUUUGAUUUACAAUGUAGGAAGGGAAAAAAUUAUGUUCGAUAUGAAAUUUGCAUUUGCAUCUUAGUAUACGGCUUAUAAAGGAGAUGAAUCAAAUACAGGACGUCAUAGUAGGGGCUCAUAAUUGAAAUGGUUAGUGGCUGAUAAUUGAACUCCUCAUACUUGUCCGCGUUCUUUGUUUCGUACAAUGCAAAGUAGGUUGAGGUGUCCUUUCAAAUUACGGAUAUUGUAUAUGGCUUGUUUGAUACUGAUUACUAAUUUCCAUAGAAGCAUAAAUGCAAUUUAAUCUUCUACUUGCGAGUACCUAAAGAGAAGCAGUUGUAAUGAAGUUUGUAUAAAAUUUGGCUCAUAUACCUCCUAUUCAAUUACCUAAUUUCAAUAAGAUAUGAUGUACAAUGAUUGAAGAUUAGAAAACUAGAUCCUUUAACGAACCUUCCUUUUGUAGAAUGAAAUCUAUGCUUCCACUCAAUCUAUCACUUUUGGCAUAUAUUGAGUGAUGAACAUUUGGGACCAUCUAACUGCUCUCAUGAAAGGCUGUUUGCUAAGUUUAAUUGUAUAUGACGUGCUGCACUUACUAUUUUCAAUCCUUUUGUUAUUGCAUACAAUAAUAACUUUACUCAAGUUUGUCCCAGCAUGCAUACUCAAAUAAGUAAGAGUAGGUAAUUCUAUCUGAAUUCUUCUGCCUACCGAAAUUGUCUCACUUAGUGUAUCAAGUGAUAAUGGUGAGUGAUAAUGGUAUUUUGGAAAUUUCAGCAGUAAAAACAUAAAGGUUUUGUUGCUAAUUUGGAAUGUAUAUGCUAUUUCAUCAGCCACGGGUGCUUUUGAAAUAGUCCAGUUAGAGUAUCAUUGUCCCAUUGCAGUCGCACUUUUGUGAAUGCUAAUAAAUUGCGACUACAAAUACAUAAUAUAUGAAAUAUGAAAUAUUUGUAAAUUUGUAUUUUCAUUAGCAAAAGAGGGGAAAUACAUUAAGAAACUUCACAUGUAAGUUUAUACAAAGCAAAAGCAACAAACUUUUGUAGUCUGCUGAUAUGCCUAUUGUGUACUACUCAGUAGUUGAUUCUGAAUUCAUUUUCUGCACACAAUAUUCACUGAUGAAUUAAUGCCUACAUCCUAGUUCAAUCCAAAACUACGAUCAAGACUUCAAGCCGGUUGAGAAGUCCCGAAGUUGACUCUCCACCAUUCUGUGUUGCUGGUCUGUUAGCUAUUUGUCUUUGUGAAAUAAUUACUGCCAUUAGGGUUGCAUCUUGUUUAACUCGUACUUCCUUUGUACUUCCUUUCUUGCACUUGAUGUUUGACUUAAAACAUGUAGAUUUCAUUCGGUAAGUAGAGAACUGAGGACAUCUGCGAAUUUCAUCAGGCUGCCGAUCUGGAGAUUGAAGCUUACCCUUUGUUAGAUGAGCUGACAUCCAAGAUUAGCACUCUUAACUUGGAACGUGUACGGCGUUUAAAAAGCAAACUCGUUGCAUUGACUAGGAGAGUCCAAAAGGUGAACAAAAACUAACUCUGUUUGUUAGUUCCUUUCUUGCAUAUUGCUUCUUAACAUUGUUCCAGAGUUUCUUUUAAAGGUCAGAGAUGAGAUAGAGCAGCUGAUGGAUGAUGAUGGCGAUAUGGCCGAGAUGUUUCUCACUGAAAAGAAACAGAGAAUGGAAGCAUCAUUCCUAGGUGAGCAGUCUUUAAAUGGAUUUAGUAAUAGUGGGCCUGGCAUAUCAGUUUCUGCUCCAGUUUCUCCUGUUUCUUCACCACCUGAAUCUAGGAAGCUUGAGAAGACCUUUAGCUUUGCUAGGAGCAGGCAUGACAGUUUCAAGAGUUCGGACUCCAGCAUAAACAACAUAGAAGUGUUAGAAAUGUUGUUAGAAGCUUACUUUGUGGUCAUUGAUAAUACCCUCAAUAAGUUAACUUCGGUAAUUACUACAAAUAUUCGUGUUAUUUCAUUUUAUCCUAGUUAGAUUGAAGAAUCUAAAGGUUUGACUUCUGUGCUCUCUCUUUUCAGCUGAAGGAAUACAUUGAUGACACAGAGGAUUUCAUCAACAUUCAGCUGGUAUUUUCUCUUAUCAUUUCCUUAAUAUUAUUUGAGCCACCCGUUGUUCUCACAGUAAUAUCAUGAAAAGCUAUAUAAACUGUGAUACAAUCAACUUAAUAAUCUCUUCAGUGAUUCUGAACACCAGAUAUUGGUCCUACGAAGAGUGAUCAAAAUUAAGCGUGGAUAAACUCUUUAGUUAUCUGGGGAUUCUUUGAGUUUCCAUGAUACACCGUAGUAGUUCUUUUAUUACUUCUUAUAUGCAUUAUCUCCUUGCCUAAAGGGAAGCUCAUCGCUUUUAGGCUAAAGUUUGGUAAUGUAGUGGCUAAAAGUAUCAUUUCUAUACUAUGAAAGGCCCACAAAAUUUAAAAGUGCUUAAAAUCUUUCUUCCUCCAAUGCUGUAAAAUUGCGGUUGCAACCACCACCGGAGAAGUUUGUAGCUAGUAACAGUUGCGACCACAAUGUAAUAAUGUAAGAGAAGGAAAAAUUAAAAGCAUUUUUAGAUUUUUGGGACUUCGAUAGUAUAAAAACAGUUGUUUUAGGCACCACAUUACCAGAUUAGGCCUUAGUGCGUAAAUAAUUAGCGAAUUACGUUAUUGAAAGAAGGUCCAUUCUACAUAAGCAGUUAAACAUAACUCUUCUUGGGCAACGGCAUGUGCCUCAGCAUGUGAAAUAAUUAAUGAAAUUUCUUUUGUCAACUAGUGAUGCGUCAUUGUUGAAACUUGACAUGCUUGAAAGUUGAAACAACCAGCAAGCCUCAUGUCUUGUAUGAUAAGUUAUAUUAAAAGAAAAAAAAAGUUGUGCGAGUCAGAAUUCAUUACCGCUGGAGAGGGACAAAUGCAGACAUUUCUAGUCGGGACAUGAGGACUUCUGAUAUGCAUCUUUGCAUGAAGAGCCAAUCAUGAGCUUUUUACAAGUAAAAUGUUCUUCUUUAAAGCGCUCUUUUUUUAAAUCAUUUAUUUUAGUCGUUUGCCUGGAGUGAAUUGUAGACCAACUGGGAAAAGCUAAGACUUCAGUAUUGGUAGUUCUGUGAUAAGUAACUGGUGUGGCGGCCAUAACUUUGUGACAUACACCUGUUAAACAGCACUUUUGGAGGCUGAUCUGGUAUAUUUUUGCUUCAAUAUAGCAAUAUUACUAAAUUUGGGUACUCUACAUGUUUAAGAGCUAAUAAUGCUAGAAAUUUUUACAGAUAUAUAUAUUUAUAUUGUUGUGCUAAAAUAGUGAAAUUACCCUUGUAAUCGUCUAGAUGUUUUAUUACUGCUCCUGCUCAACUUCUACCUUCUGUUUCCUCGUUAGUUCUCUGUACAGUAUUGAUGACAUUUUGAUGACAUCUUCAUGUUUGUUUCUUUGUCUGUCCACUAAUUGCCAUUUAUAGCUAAAAAAUUGAAUUUGACCUUUUCUCUUCUACUCUUUUAUGGUGCUAAUUAAGUUGCUGGUAGGCUCUAGAUCGCGUUCUUAAUCAAAUGAUUCGAGCAUUGAUCUCAGUUUCUAUCUCGCAGGACAACGUUCGCAAUCAGCUGAUCCAAUUCGAGCUGCUACUAACAACCGCGACAUUCGUGGUUGCUAUUUUCGGGGUCAUCGCAGGGGUCUUCGGUAUGAAUUUCCAGGUACCGUUGUUCGAAGAAUCAGGUGCGUUCCAGUGGGUGCUCAUAAUCUCCGGAGCGUGCGGCGUGAUUAUAUUCUGCUCUUUCUUGUGGUACUUCAAGCGCAGAAGGUUCAUCCCACUGUAAAUACGUCGGAAGGGAUUCUUCUCAGAUGCUUUGAAAUCUGCUUCGUGUGCAUCGUACAAAUGCUCAAGGUAAUUUUUUUUCUUCUAAUCUUUUUAUUUUUUUCCUGUUGUGUUCAUGUACAUAUCAUUCUUGUUGAUUCCCACAGCCAAUCAACUUGUGGGUCUAAAUAAUAAUAGAAGGAACAGGUUAAUUCAAAGUGUAUAUUGUUCUCCUUCGCUGUCGAAAAAUUGCUAGUGAACUAACAUGUUUCUUUUUUCGCAACCAACUAAAUUGGUGUAUAAGCAUUUUCUGCGUCUUUUAAUUCGAGUGGAACUUUUUUUUUUUGUAUGGUGACUGAUUCAGACUUCAGAGAGAGUGGUUCAUACAUGCAUUGAUUUGAGACUUCGAAUAUCAACUAUCAAAUCCUCAAUCAAUUAAUUGUGUUGGGUAUGGUCAAUACAGAAAUUCUAAACUAAUGAGGGCUUUUAUAUCAAAUAGUUGAAUAAGCCUCUCUCCUCGAGUAAAGUUAUUAAUUUUGUAGCCAUUUCAAUUGCUCGUUUUGUAUAUGAUUUUGAAUAAUUUUAAAGCUCAAAUCUUUUUUUUCCCUUUUGGUUUUGAUAAUUAAACAUUAGGAUCGAAGAAGGGUGUAUUUUCUUCAAUUUUUAUUAUUCUUUUUUCACAUGUUAGAAUAAAAGAAAUAAAUUAUUUCUUAAUUUUAAAGUUUUGCUAGAUUAUAUGCAAUUCUAACUACUAAAGCUACUGUGCAAUUGGGGUCUAUUGAUAAAGCUCAAGGGCUAUCAUUAACAAAUUUAAAACCUUGGGUGUCUGUUUUCGAAAGUGUCAAAGUUCAGGAGGUUUUGUGCAUUUUUUCUCUUUUUAAUUUGCUAGUGCUAUUAGCGAAACUGUUGCCAAUAAAUUAUUAAAAUUAAGGAUUUAAAGUGUCGUGGCACGGAUCGUGUCAGAAAUUUGUCGGCACGAUACGUGCCGGGCCGUACUGAUGCGUGCUGGUCACAAAAAAUAUAUGUGUGUCGACACGUAAUAGUAUGAAAUAUUUAUUUUCUUUAACAACAAAAUAUAUUAAUUUUAUAUUUAUUAUGUAUUUUUAUCAAAUUUUUUGAAUUUUAUCGAAAAAAUUACUUACUAAUUGUAAGAAUAGAUGGUUUGAAGUUAUGCCAUUGGUACGGUAGCUGCAUCGUGUUGAGAUCUUACUGGCACGAUAUGGCACGGUGAAUAUGAUCUGUUUGGAUGGGUAUUUUAAUUCUUGAUUAAAAUGAUCCAGCAAAACAAUGAAGAAUCCUAAUGAACAAACCGAAUACGCAAACCUUAUGGUCGUUCCAUUCACUUCAAAAAUAUGUUUGGUUUUGUAGCAGUGAGCCACGCAAAUCCAACCAUACGUGAGCCAUCACCAAACUCUUUUUCCUCCUCUUCUUUUUAUUUUUGAAAAAAAAGAAAAACAUAACACAAUCCGCAAACAAGGAAGAGAAGAAAAACAAUUUCCCAGAGGUUUCCACCUUCAAGUGGUGAGAAUAGGAGGCAGAACUUCAGAUUUCUUGCCCUUCACAGAUGCUUUGGUGUCCGGAAACAGCCCGUCCACCGGCAGCUCAGAUAAUUCCCCUGACUCCGACACCCGUAUCGGGAACGGGAGGAGAUGUCCAGGAAGAUUGACGACACCGUCACCCACGAACAUCUCCCACAAGCUCUGCGCGACCUCGCGCACGGCUCUCACGCACUCCACGCUCUCGGGAUCGAGGCAGAUGUGGGCGAGAUGCUUGCAGUGGCUCAUGAAGUGCUCGUACCACAGCGACAUCCGGUACCCGUGGAUUAGCCCGCGGGCGCGUCCGUCAGCUCCGUUUAGAUGGGCCGGUUGGUACGAGCCUUGGACAAUCUCAGUGUCGCGGUUGCCUGCGAGCGAUCUUUGGUUCAGGUUUGCAGAUCCAACUAUCACGUACUCGUCGUCGACUGCACACGCAAGGUAAACUCCAUCAAUUAAAAAAACAGCCAAAUAUUGACAGAGGUGAGAACGACCAUAAUAUUGUUCUUUAUUGCUAGAAUAGUUGGUAAGAAUAGUAAAAAAAUUUACCGAUCAUAAGCUUCGCAUGCACAUAGAUCAGGAAGCGCCGAUUGACCUGCGCCCGCCAGUAGUCCGUGCCGCGCUCCGGCGGCUCCGGCGGGACGUACUCUCCAGGGUACUGAACCUCUCUGUUCCCCACACAGAAGAAGUUCAAAUAGUCGCAGGGGUGCGCCCUCCCGCACAAUCCUGCGUCGUCUAUCGCCUUCGCCACGAUCCCGUACAUCAUCUCCAUCGUCAGCCGGUUCCAGUGCAGGAUCGCCUGCACCGUGUCCCCCUCCGGCUCCCCCUCCGGCCACAUCGGGGUUAUGAUGUACGCCGCGAACCUCUCCCCAAGCCUGAUCUUGCUCGCGAUCUUCAGCGCAAUCUCGAUCGGCACCAAAUUCAGGCAACCGCAGUCCUGAUCCUCCUUCCACGAUGCGCAGCUCCCGAAGAAGUACUGGUUUUGUAUGUAUAUAAACCGCUUCGCCCUCCGGAUCGCUUCGACGUACGCCGAGUGUAUGCUCUGAUCGAUCGUGACGUCUUUUCCGCUCAUCAGGCCCAUUCUGGCGGCCACCGCCGGGUCGGAGGGGAAACCGACCACCGAAGCAUCGUCGAUUGAUCGGAAAACCUGCACGUUCCACGAUUCGUUAGCGUCGGGCGGCGACGGGUCCGGGAAUAUCUCUGGCCGGAUGUUCAACAAGCAAUCCGACAUCUCCCGCGGCGAUUGCUUCCUCCACCGCUGCUCGAAGUUGGCGAGCACGUCCCACGCUGCGGGGCCCUCGAGCUUCGAGUGCACGUCAUGCCACGGCUCCCGCGGCCCGCCGUGCUUCAAGUCAGCGUGGGGGAAGUUGUUCUGCUGAAAAUCAUUCAGGUAGGUCGUGUCGAGGUCCCGGAACAGGGUGUGGCUCUCGUCGUCGUACCGUCCGCCGCAGAUGUCGAUCCCACCGACGAAGCUCACGACGUGGCGCGACGACGAGCCGUCGGAGGCAGGGGCGUCAAGCGUCACCGUCUUCUGGUGGUGCGUGAACUCCGUCCCGACCUCGACGUGCUGCACGGCCGUCAGCGUCGGGUCGGCGUUCCGCGGGCAGAGGAAGCACUUCACUGCCGACCCCUCGAAGUACUUGUGAGUCUCCUCGUCAUGCGUCUUCAUCAGCCCGGCGUUCCCCAGGAAUGACACCGACGUGCGGUCCUGCCACACCAUGACCAGCACCGCGACGCCCUCCGCCGCCUUCCUCUUGAGCAGCUCGCCGACCGUGACACCCUCCGCGCCGGGGAUCAUCCGCUCGGGGUCUCGAACGAGCGUGAUGUUCACGUUCACCGACCACCCGGCCACGUAGAUAAAAUUCUGCGCCUCCAUGCAAGCGACGUAGAGGUCCUCCCAAAGCCGCGGGGGCCGGUAAUGCUUUCCGUCGGAGAGCUUCACCGCGGGGUGGAAACGGUUCGAAAGAUGGCUGUUCUGGUACAGGGUGAUGUUACAGUUCUCGCGCUGCGGGAAGUAGGAAUUUGAGAGGCCGGAGAACUGCGGGAGGCGAAUUCCGGCGUUCCAGCAGGGGUCGGAGGUGACGUCGAAGAAUCGGAGGCGGACGUGGAUUUGGGCCUUGCGGAGCUUGCGUCCGUCUUCGGCGUACAGCGGGAAAAACCCGUCGAUGGGUUCAGAAGAGGAGGGGGAGAGGAGGGCGAGGGUGGGGAUGGAGGCGAGGCCGAGGAUGGAGGCGCCGACGGGGAGCUGGUUCUUGACGGAGAAGGUGAGGGACUGGGCGGAGUGCGCGCAGUAGACGCGGAAGGACUCGUUCCAGACGGGGUUCUUGGGGUGGAAUUCGACCUCGCGGGUGCGCGCGACACGGGCGCCACCGAUGUCGAGGGCGGCGUAGAGCUUGGUGUGGGCCAAAUGGUGCAGGUGCAGGGUCUCCUCUAUCCUCUCUGCAACCUUGUGUUUGUGGAGGAAAAGAAGAGGGAAAAGCAAGUUUUAAAAUUGAAUUUUGCAGAUAGAAACUACAGCAAUUCUAAAUUUAGUUAUGAGUCCAUACUAAGCACCGCUGGUACGAGUGUCAACGGGCCGAACACGAGUGUCAGCUCAACCGGCUCGUGUUCCACUCGUUUCAUAAAUGAGCCGAACAUAAGCUGACAUGUUAAAAUUUUGAGCAGAAAAAUUCAGCUCGUGUUUAGCUUGCCGAACACGAGCUUGCUCCCAAAUAACAAAUAAAAAAAUUAUAUAUAUAUAUAUAAUUUAUGCGAUCUUACCCAUUAAAUUUUAAUCUAAUAAAUAAAAUCUUAUAUAUAAAUAAGCUUUUUUAUAAUUGAGUUUUGCUUUAUAUAAAAGCUAGGUUUUUUUUUUGGAGAGAGAAAAACAUCAAGCUAUUCUGUGUUGUUUAAUUUUCUUUAAAAGCGUUCAAACUUGAAAUUUUAGAUAUUAACUAUUGAGUCCUUAUUUAUUUCUAAAUAAAAUAAACGAAGCGGAUAGCAUGCUACCUAUCUUUUUCAAAAAAAAAAAAAAAAAAGAUUCAAACUUGAAACCUCAAGUACCAACCACCGAGCUCUUUGCCACUUGCACUAGGAACGAUUAGUUAUAAUAAGAAAAGUUGAAAAUGAGAUUUUUGAGAUCUAAACACAUAAGUUCUAAUUUGUUAUUUCCGCUUAUGCUACGAAUAGAAUAUUUAGCGAGAAUUAAUUACAAAGUACUAGUUAAAUUGUUCUUCAUCCAACAAGACUAUCUAUACCUUAAAGCAGGGCAAGUUCUUGCAUAACAAUCAUAAACAAAUCAGAAUUUUUUAAUUUCCAACACAUGCGUACGUGUUGAAUAANACAAUAUUCUUUUUAAAUUUUGCUUUAAAAUUUGAGGUCUGAUAUCUAGUAGUGUAAAAAAAUAAGCCUCUCGACAAAAAAAGAAUGCAAGAUUUGCAUUCAUUUUUGGGUGUACCAGCAGUAUUGCUCUUUUAGGAACUCUUUGUUUGAGAUAUUCCAAAAAUAUCGUAUAUUUUAAAUUUGAAAUGACAAAUUUGCUACUAAUUUAUCAGGUUGGAAGGUGUUAAGAUCUGGUAUAUUUUUAUUAAUGAACUGCUAAUAAUUUUCAGUCAAGUAUGUAAAUGAAAAUAUUCUCUAACCUAUGAUAAUCUACUAUUCCUAUACUUCACUAACACAUUUUACUCCAACUUGAGUUCCAAGAUAAUGAUUUGAAUCUUUUUAAUAAAAAAAAAUAUGAAAAAUUAUUAAAAUUUUACAAAUCUUUUUUUUUUUUUUUUUGAGAUAUAGGUAGCACGUUAUUCGCUUCGUUUAUUUCAUUUAAAAAUAAACUUAGCUGGAAAAGUGACUCAACUAGGAUUCGAACUUGGGUCUCGUGUACUAACCACCAAAUCCUUUGCCACUUGCUUUAGAGACGGUCGGUAAAAUUUUACGAAUCUUGAACCAAACUAACCCUUAAUAAAAUUGACUUCCUAAACUAGCAAAAAAAAUAUAUGCACCUAUACCUGCUUAAAAAUUUUUAUAAUAGUUUACUCAUGCUAAUGUGUGAGAUUCUUUUUGAUCAUCCUUACUUAUUAUAAUUGUCAUAAUACCAGAUCUACUCAGCUAAAAUUCUUCAUCAUAGCAUGCAAUACAUGAAGUAAACAUGGCAUAACUAGAAACUAAUUUAAGUUGGGAUAAUUAAUUGAAAAAUUACAAUGAUGAAAUCAAAACUAAGUUGAAAACUCAGAUAAAUCCAAGAAAAAAACUAACUAGCUGUCUUAAUAAUAAUAAUAAUAAUAAUAAGAAGAAGAAGAAGAAGAUCUAGAAAAACCAAUUUGUGCAAAGCUUAUUUAGCCCAAAAAAUUCAAAAAAAAAAAGAAAAAAAAGAAAGAAAGAAAAGAGAAGUUAAAUGUUGCCAAAUUGACUAGCUUUGCAUUUGAACUCCAUUUCCCCAAAGCCUACAAAUUAAAGAGACAUGGAAUCAGAUGAUCAGAAACACUACCUGAAGAAUGUGGGUGUUAAUUGCAUGGUGGAGGUGAUCUGCUUCAAAAACAGUAACAUCCAAGAUCCCAUGGAGGAGAGGAGAAUCCUCUGUAGCCAUUACUAAUUCCUCUCUUUCCCUUUCCCUUUCCCUCUCCCUUUUCCUCUUCUUCUCCAAGUCCUUAUCUUUCUCUCAAUAUUUAAGCCUCUCUCUCUCUCUCUCACUUUUUAUAUUUGCUUAGAUUAGUUAUUGUGUGGCACCUAAACUUCUCCAUAUUUAUUUUGUUCUCCCCAUCUUUUUCCUUGCACAUGUGUAUAUAAUAUUCUUAAAAGGCUUUUGGUUAUUUGCCUCUAAUUACUAUUUCAAAAUUUUUAAUUUGUUUAAAAAGAUUUUUGAAAAUCAAUAAGAAUGUUUUGGUCAAUCAGGAAUAUAUUAGAUAUUUUUAGAUUUUUGAUAGGUGUAUUAGAUAUUAUCCCUAUUCUUAAAUUGCACUAGUAAUCGUGUUUGAUGAUACUGGUUUCUAAACUCUUAAUGAAAAAUUUUUACUUUAAUUAUUAUACAUAUUUAUUGGGAUGAACUACAAUUUUCCUCCUUGAGUUUUAGCACGCAUUUUACUUUGUCGUCGUAUGGUUCAAAAAAUUGUAUUUAAGUAUCUUAUAGUUUUAUCUUAGUUUUACUGUAAAAUUCUACUAUUAAAUAGAACGGCAAAGUAAUAUUUUUGUGCAAACCACAGAACAGUAAAGUGCAUAUUACAGGUGGUAAAAUGCUAUAUUGUACCGUGCUGGUUAGCAAAAAAAAUAAUUUUACAACUCUAACUUGGUUGAUCAUUCGAUAAAAUAAAAUAAGCUACUUAGCACUUAAGUACAUCUGACCUACAGGGUAGCAAAAUAAAAAUGCGCUAAACCUUAAUAAAGGGCGAGGAGAAUUGAAGCUUUUUUAUUAUUAGAUGGCAAUUUAUUUUUCUCACUGAGUGCAUUUGAAUCUAUGAACCAUGCUUAUAUCAACUCCUUUUUUUUUUUAAUCUCACAUUUCAAUCCUACCACUUGUUACGUUACAUGUAUAGAAAUUAGACCUUCGAAUCAAAAAAUAUAAAAUAAAUGAAAAACCAAUGAAUUCAGAUUACUUUAAAGUACCAAUUAGAAAUUAAACAACGGUGGGAACUUAAGUAAGAUCUUGUUACUUGAACGACAGAUUUAAAAGUUUGAGGACUAAAAUAAAAUUCGACUUAAGAGGUCAAGGAGUAGCAGUGCAAUUUACCCCAUAUAAUUUACCCCAUAUAAUGUACUCUUAGGAUACCUAAACCUAACAUAAGACUCUUAAUUUGCAUUUAUAUAUGUGUGUAGUACUAAAGAGGUAGGUCACAUGCACAUUUGCUUCAUCCAAUCAAAAAUUAAAUUAAACUUUGUUUAUCUACUGGGGUAGGUGAUGAUGAAUAGGCUACUUUAUUCUAGGGAGGUGGUAAGUAACUUUUCAAUAUUGGGGAACUCUCUCAAUGGAGGAAUUUUCUAUAUUGGAUACAUGAACCAUAAGAUGAUAAGAGAGAGAGAGAGGACUUUAAAAGUGGGUGCUUUAUUUGAUGUUCACAUUGCAAUUUCCUUGGUUGGCCUCUUGGGACAAAAUUUUUUGCAUAUACCAGGUGCAUCAGAACAUCGUGCACCGCCCAUCUAUCAGUCUAUCUUUAAUCACUGCUAAACAGCUGUGGUCGAUACAGUUUGACAGACCGAAAAAGUUAGACUCGAUUGAACUCAGAAUCUCUUGUUUUGAUAGUAUGCAAAAUAGCAUAUUACUUCGAAAGGUUAAGCUGAUAGAGAAUAAUAUUCUAAUAUUAGACAAUCACUUUGCGUCAAUUCAACUGCUCAUUUGUGUGAUGAAGAGGUUAUAAACUAAUCCAAUUACGCUGUGUAAAUAUGUAAAACCUAAAGAUAGUUAUAACUUGCAUACAUUUCAAAAUAAAUAUAUAAUAAUAGUUAAUUGGAUAAUAUAUAUUUUACGUAGAAUCUCAGUUACAGAAGAUAUAGAACAGACAUAGGAUGAAUAGCUGAUAGAUGCACCCGGUGCAGCAAUAAAUGUCAUUCUCGGGAGUCUAAAUUACCUUUUUUUUAAUAGCUGAUAGAUGCACCCCGUGCAGCAAUAAAUGUCAUUCUCGGGAGUCUAAAUUACCUUUUUUUUUUUCUUUGGUAUUGAAUAAAGGAGGCAUCAACUGUUGGCUUACUUUUGAGUCAGCAAUAGAUUUUUUUUUUUUUUUCUGAAAUGGCUAAAUUACAAUUUUAGCCCUCAAAUUAUGGAAGGCCCGAUAUUUUGGUUCUUAAAUUCUAAUUUUUAACUCAAACUUUCUCAAUUAUUGUAAUAAAAUCUCAAAACUCAAUUUAAUUAGCUAAAUAUUAAUAAAUUAUUAUCAAAUUAUCAAUUAUAAUACUUUCCUAUCACUCGUAUAUCAUUAAUUUAUCAAUAUUUAACUAAUAAAAUAUGAUCAAAUUAAUAUAAAGUUUAAGUCGAAUCAAAUUAGGAUUUGAUCGAUCUAACCAAUUAAGAAAAGGAUAAAUUUAAAUAUAGAUUUGUACUUAUCCUUAGUUGUCAUUAUAUUAUUAGAAAGAGGAUUAUAUUCCUCUAUAUAAUAUACGGGAGUUUUUAUAAAAUAACGUCCUUUGCAAGGGAGCUAACACUCCGGUGAGGAUAUCGAUUAAAUCAAGAUCGAUAAAAUUAAGAACGUUGUGUGGAUACCUAUAGAGGCUGGACGCGUGUGCGGCUUUAAGAGAACCCGAUACCACGAUCAUCAAAUUAAGGUGAAGAUUUAUCCGCGAAUAAGAUAAAGAAUCAAUCUUACUUUUCUCCUUUAAUCUUAAAAAAUAUGAGGGAUCCUAAUUGCGUGGUUUUUGAGAUUGGAUCUCAAGAGUUUUCAAAAUCAAAUUUGUUUUAUUUCUUUUUCCGCGAUUUUAAAAUUAGAUUUUAAAAUUUGAUUAUAAUUGUUCUGAAAAUCAUUACCGGCCGUCCCUAGCGCAAGUAGUAAAGGGCUUGGUGGUUGGUACCUGAGGUCCCAAAUUCGAACCCUAGUUGAUUCAUAUUUCCAACUAAAUUUAUUUUUAAAUGAAGUAACGAAGUGGGCAGCAUGUUAUCUAUUUCUCAAAAAAAAAAAAAAAAAACUGAAAACUUGAACAAAAAAUUAUAAUGAAUUAAAAUUUGAAGACCAAAAGUUUGCGCGUCUCAGAGACUAGUCUAGUAAAGAUAUUGAAAGCCACUAUGCAGCAUUCAUACAUGCAAAACAUGUGAUGUGUUCAUUCAAAUAGUUGUUCUCAUUCACAUGACAGAUAGAAUACAGCUGGUUUCUUGAACAACUUUUUUACCUUUUUUUUUUUUAAUUGUGAAUAAAAAAAACUUGUUAAUAUCUUUGUUAAAAGAAAUAGCUAGAUGUUUGGCAUUCGAAUGUGAGCUUCUGCUUUGGAAAAUAGUUAGAAUGAACUUAUAUUAAGCCUCAAAUAUAACUACUUUCGCACUAGGCUUGCUUAACCCUCUUAAUCUCUUAAGUCUAAUCACUGCCCAAAGUAUGAUAGUCGGGCUAAGAGAUUUAGCUAUAUUAUAUCUUAUAUAUUUAUGAUUAUUUUUAAAUUUCGGGAGUGUCACAUUUUUCUUCCUUUUUGCCCUGAUGUUCUUAUUAGGCUCUUGCACACUCAUAAGAAUCAGACGAUGUGAGACUUGUUUUGCUAGUUUUAUUAUUCAAAUCUUAACUCAGGCUCAGUCGAGACUCUUUUUACACUUCAGACUAGUGGUUAGCUCUGAUACAAAUUAUGAUGCCUCGCUUUUCGGAGGCGGGUCACCCAUCUUGCAAUUAUUUUGGCCAUAGAUUUGCUUAACCAUCGUAACCGGUUGAAUCUAGCUACUAUCCAAAUAUUAUAACUGGAUUAAAAAUUUUAGUCCCGUUAUACCUUAUAUGUAAAACUAUUUCAAAUUUUGAGGCGUUACACGCAGUCCGUCCAAGUGACCUUCUAGAAGGCAAUGUGGAAUUUAAUUGUAUUUCCAUGCUUUGCUUUGAAUGAGGUUACUCAAAUGUUAAUUUUCGUGGUCUAGAAUAAUAAGCCAAAGGAAUCUUCCAAGCCAAGAAAGUAUCAAACUAUCAAUGCUUAAAGACUAAGGAUGGAAGAGGGGGAUCAUGCAAAAUGAAUAAUGUAACUACUUUGACUACACAUAGAUAUGAUAUAUUAAAAAAAUAUUAUUUAGUUGUAUAUCAUUAUUAAAAAAAAAUUUAAAUACCUCUUCUGUGGUUUCGCACUUUUUUUAUUUUAGUACCAUGUAGUUUAAAGUGUAUUAAUUUAGUAUCCCGUAGUUUUAUUUUUCUCUUUUUAUUAUCCCCUCUAUUUUUUUUUCGUUAAAUUAAUGACACAGUUAAAACUAGAAGGUACUAAAGUGAAUAUUCGAUAAACAUAGGUGUGGUAUUUGAAGUUUUUUGUAUGUAAUUUGAUAAAAUAUUAACGGAGGCGCUGACGAAAAAAAAAGAAUUACAGAGUACUAAAUUAAUACACUUUAAACCAUAGAGUACUAAAGUUAAAAAGUGCGAAACCACGUGAAUGAUAUUUAAAAUUUACCCUUAAAAAAAAUAAUUUAUUAUUAAUUAGUGUGCGAAAAAAAAAAUAUUAUAUCGUUAUCACAUUGUGUGGUGUGACUUGCUUACACAGAUUAUUUAAAAUUAAACUUGUCCCAAUCAAGGAAUAGAAGAAUAAAUUUAAAGGCCUAAUAAAAGUUCGUUUACGAAAGCCAAUUCAAUCAGAUGAAAUCGAGGAAUUUUACAAAGAUUAAUAUGAUUUAAUUGAAGUGACAUCACCAUAUAUAAAAAUAGAUAAACAUUGUGAUAACGAUAAAGAAAACAUAGAGAAAAUUGUCUCAAGAAAAAAAAAAGUAAGGAUAAUUUGAGUAAUUAAUUCUAAAUUUAAAAUGUUUAGUCUUUAUAUAUAUAUAUAUAUAUACUCACGCAUAUUCUCUUUUCCAUUCAAUAUAGGAUCGUUGAACUAUUACAGGUUCAAAUUUUUUUUUUGGGAGCUUUAAUUUAAUAUUAUCAAAUAGUGGUGAGAAUUGUUACUAGAGAACGAUCCAUGGACCAUGAUGCUUUAAUUUAAUUUUAAUAAUGAACCAAAUAUUUUUGAGUGAUUUGAUCAUUCUAUUAUUCAUUUCAAUAUAAUUCAAUUUCAUUUUCAAUUCUCAUUCUAAUCAUGAAUCAAAUAUCCCCUAAACGGAGUUGGCGACGUAGCAAUUAUAUAUGCUUCUUUGGUUCUUGAUUCGACCCUACAAAUUAUAUUUUAAUCAAAUCAAUGCGAUCAUUUAUGAAAUAGAAAACAAAAUGGAAUAUUUUCUGAAUAAAGCCUGAUUACUAGUUUCGAGGGGACCAAAAAUAUAUAAUAUACUAGUUUCGAGGGGACCAAAAAUAUAUAAUAUAUUUAUUUUUUAAAAAAAUUAUAAAGAAAAUUAAGAAGACAUAAGUGUUUUACGAAAAGAAAUUUACUCUGAUUUAUAUAAUUUUUAAAGAGUUGAGGGGGGCCAGGACAAUUGUCGGCCAUCGGCACCUACACAAAUUGCGGUUGCGGCCCAAAUAAAUUAAACCCGGUCCAAGAUGUGGCCCGGCCUGGUUAGUUUUCGAUCCAACGGUCCACGGUCAUUGAGCGGGAAAACGAAGCUCCCUAUUCGUAUUACGAUUUGUGUGAGCAAAAUCGCGCUCCAAAAUCCCCCCCCCCCCCCCCCCCCCNUGAGAAACUGCCACGUGGCGGUAAGUAAAACCCCCGGAACUCCACCCCAGAACCACCCCCCCUCUCUCUCUCUCUCUCUCUCUCUCUCUCUCUCUCUCUCUCUCCUCGCCGGAGCCGAUGGAGAGGAUCCACGUCGCCGUCCGAGCGCGGCCGCUAUCGCCGGAGGACGCGAAGAGCAGCCCUUGGAGAAUCGCCGGCGACUCCAUCCACCUCUCCUCCAACCAAUCCACCAAAUUCGAAUUCGGUUCUUCUUUUUACCUUUUCUUCCCAAUUUCUAGGUUUCAAGUUUCAAUUUCGAUCUCGUUUCGAUCUCUGUUCUAUUCCAUCAUCAUUUUCAAGUUUGUUGUCGCGUUUCCGCGCAGAUCGGAUCUUCGGGGAGGAGUGCAGGACCGCCGACGUCUACGCGGCCCGGACGAAGGGCAUCGUCGCAUCCGCCGUGCGCGGCUUCAAUGGUACUCCCUGAAUCGACUCUUCACCCUCCGUGUAUCCAGUAUCCGCUAAUUUCUGAGCUCGAUGAUCGAUUUUGUGGCAUCACAAUUGAUUGGUCUAGUAGAUUUGUCCACAGGAUGAUUGAUUUUUUUUUUCUUUUUUUCUUGGGGGAAAUUAGGGUUUUGAUGCAAUCUUGAAUUCUCUGGAGACGACAUUGUUUGGUCGUUAGAAUCGAUGCUAAUGAUUCAUUUGACUGUAGAAUCAUCGAUAAGAAUGGAUAGAUAUUAGUGGAACACUGCCCAAAUGAGGGACAUCGUGGCGUCCGCCGUGGGCAGGUUCAACGGUACUUCCGAAAUCCACCAUUCCCUCUCUGUUCAUUGAGCAUCUGCUAAUUUCUGAGCUUGAGGGAUUUUGUAGCAUCAGAGAGGAUAGGUCUAGUGGAUUUGUGUAUAAGAUGAUACAUUGUGCCAAAAUUAGGGUUUCUGAUGCAUUUUGUAAACUCUCAUGGAAUCAUGGAUAAAAAUGUUUAGAUAUUAGCAGAACUAUAACGCAUUUUGAAAUCGAGCCUUAAAAGUUUGAUAGCAAAUUUGAAAUAGGUGCCUGAAUUUUAAAGGUUUUUAUUUUACUACCUAACUUUACAAUAUCUUCAUGAAAUGUUCUGUCGAGUAAUGGAAAUAUUCUAUUAGCAAUUUGGGUUUUGGGUUCUCCCCCCCCCACCCACUACCCCAUAUCUUGUUUAGAAACUUCUGCAUGAGUUGAAAAUUGCCUUGACUUUAUUGAUAUCUUUUUCCUAGAAGCUGUUGAAAUGCCAUACUUAUUCAAUUUAAUUUGACGGCCAUCGGACCCUUUUGUUUACUCAUAUGACAUAUCUUUUAAACAGGUACAGUUUUUGCAUACGGACAAACUAAUAGUGGUAAAACAUAUACAAUGAGAGGAUCUGCUGCUGAACCAGGGAUUAUUCCUCUCUCCGUGCAUGAUUUAUUUCAUAGUAUUCAAGAGGUGGUUUCCCUUCUUUUCCUCUCUCUUAUUUGUUUUCUUUCUACUCACUGUUCUGCGUGCCAUCCUAUCGGUCUCAUAGUUCUGGUCUUAGCUAUGAAUUUUUUGUUUUUGGUUCUCAAGAACUUUACUCUUGCAUUUGUUUGUUCUCUUGGCUUCUAAUUUGCGUAUAGUUUGUUUAUAUUUGUAGUAGGUAAUUGUUUGUUUUCUCGCUCGAGCUCACUGUCCACUUUAUCAACCCGAAACAUGUUUAUUUAUGAAGUAUACUUGCAGUGUUUGAAAAGGUGCGAGGCGCAAAAAGACGCAAGACCUUUCUGGAGCCUAGGCGCGAGGCGCACUGCGAGGCGCGCCUCAAGAAGGCGAGGCGCACAUUUACUAAAUCUAAUUUAAUUUGAUAUUCCACAUUAAAAAAACUCCAAAAUAACCAUACAAAAGUAAAAUAACUAUCAAAAAGAAAAGAAAUUUGUUUUGCCAGGCUGAAGCUAGCAGCAUCAGCGUUUUUGGAUUCCAAUUCCAACAAGAAACUCUUAAGGGCUUGUUUGGUUCAUCUAUUCUGGGAAUGGAAUGGGAAUCGAUUUGAUUAAAUCCGGUUAAUUUUGUUUGGUUCGCAUGAAUCGGUUUGGGAUUCCUAUUCCGGACUGGAAUGAGAAUGGCCCAUUAGCCUUCAACUUGAUUCCGGUCUUCUAGCCCGGAUUGAGAUUUCAUUCCGAAAGCCUACUAAGUUCUCGAAGCCCAUGUGACCGUCUCACCCUCCUUCUCUUCACCCCUUUCUCAUCAAAAAAAAAUAAAAAACCUAUCCCCUCUCAAAACCCUAUCCCUAACCCACAUCAAUAAAAGUUUUUAAAAAUAAAUUUAAUUUUUUUUGGAAAACUUAUUAGAGAAUAGUAUUAUAUUUUUCAUAAAUUUUAAAUAAUAUAAAUUUAUAUUUGAGAGUAAAAUUAGGAUUAUAGUAUCCUAUAAUUUUUUUAGUUUAUACGAACCAAACAAUGAAAUGUGAAUAACUCAUUCCAAUUCCCAAUUCACAAAUAAACCAAACGUCUUGAGGGAGUGGACCAUUCCAAUUACCAUUCCAAUUCAUUCCCAUUCCAUUAUCCAUUUCAAUUCCACCCUUGAACCAAACAAGCCCUAAAUGUUUUCAUUGCCAAACACUUGGCAUCUGCCCUAGAUGAAAAAAAAAAAACAUUUGGGAAAGAAUAAAAAAAUCUUAAAAGGAAUCAAAUCCUAUAAAUAAUAACUAAAAACAAGUUCAAAACAAAAUACUGGAUCAAGAAAUAUGCAAUCGAANCCUAUAAAUAAUAACUAAAAACAAGUUCAAAACAAAAUACUGGAUCAAGAAAUAUGCAAUCGAAACAAAAAAAGUAAAAACAUAUGGGAAAAAAAAGAAAAAUCUCAAAAAUACAUCAAAUCCUGAAAAAAAUAACUAAAAAAUAGAUUCAGAGGAAAAAUAUUGGAGUAUAGAGGUAAUACUUACUUGAUUGCUGCUUGUUCUUGCUUUUUUGCUGCCGCUGCUCCUGUUUCUGCUGCUGCAGUGCCGCUGCAAAUAAAAAAACUGAUGCUGCUCUUGACAAUGGAUGCUUACUUAGUGCUGACCACUGCUCCUCCUUGCUUCUUCCUACUGCGGAUGCUUGCUGGAUGCCAAGUUGCCCACGGACAAAGAAGGGAUAGGGAGAGGAGGGCGGUAGAAGGAGAGGGCAGUAGAUGAUUUCAUUAGGGUUUUUUUUUUAUGUUUCUUAUAGAAUCUUUUACUAAGCUUAUCGGGUUAAAACAUAAAAUUUAUAUCCGAAACCCAACAACCCGAAAACCUUAAUCCAAAAUCCAAGAAAUAUUAAAUAUGUUGAGGCGCGCGCCUUAUGUGCGCCUCGCGCCUCGCCUGAGGCGCGCGCCUCAGGGCCUAGGCGCGCGCCUCAGCAAUAGCUCCUCGCCUCGCUAUUGCUGAGGCGCUGAGGCCCGAGCCUCGCGCCUAGGCGCUGAGGCCCGCGCCUCGAGCCUAGGCGCUGAGGCGCACACCUCAGGCGCGCCUUUUCAAACACUGUAUACUUGUCAAUCCUUGCUGAAGAAUUACAUGUACUGUGAUGCAUUAUUGUAAUUCAUGAGAUGGGAAGUACGUAGAAGUAUAGAACAUUCAAGUACUAAGAAUUGCUGGUACAUGGCAAGGUUGUGGUUGCAUGCAGGAGGAUAAUACAGGUUUGGUGGUAACCAUAUGAUAGGGAGAUGAACAGUGUAACCCAAAAUGAUUUAAGAAAGAGACAUAUAAGAAGAUAAGGCAGGCGUAGAGGGAUCAGUUUGAGAGGUUGAGCUUGGUUGGUGACACAGGUGACUUUAGAUUGAGGUUAAAUGGCUGUUGUGGAAAACGAGCACCGUGGACCUUCAUUGAGUUAGGCCCCCUCUAUUGAGGUCCCUUUUCACGAUUAUGCAACCUUGGUUGUUCAUCCAGUUACCGCUACAUUAUGUCUUUCAUAUUGCCUUGUCAAUAUCAAAUUCCUGAUAGUUUUUUUAGUUUGAGUUUCAGAAAGUAAAUUUAAAAAUGAUAUGUGGACUAUAUAUUGUUUAUCCUUGUUUUUGUGCUCUGAUAACUUAGCACCAAGGACAACAUAUUGGCGUCGACCGAUAUUCAUGUCUCGUGUAGUGGUCUGUUGUAUAUCACUAAUUCAUGUGGCCUUACAUGUCAUCAUUACUUUCUUGUACCUUAGGAUGUAGAUAGGGAAUUUCUUGUUCGCAUGUCGUACAUGGAGAUAUACAAUGAGGAAAUCAAUGAUUUACUGGCCCCGGAACAUCGGAAGCUACAAAUUCAUGAGAACCUUGAGGUGAAUUUGAACUUUUCUGACCACACAAUUGUUUUCUCUUCAUUAUACAUGCAUUCCUGCAUUGUUUACAAAUCUUUGUCUUUGAAGAGGGGUAUAUAUGUUGCUGGUCUGAGAGAAGAAAUCGUUACCUGCCCUGAACAAGUCCUUGAUCUUAUGGAGUUUGGAGAAUGUAUGGUUUCUUUACUUUAUCUUUUUUUAUUUUUCUUGGCCUUUUCCGUUGUAACAAUUGAAAGAUUGGACAACUGAUGCAGCUCAUCGUCACAUUGGAGAGACAAACAUGAAUCUCUAUAGUAGUAGGUCUCAUACUAUAUUUCGCAUGGUACAGUUUUAUUUUUUUUGUUUCUUUUCUUUAUUUCUUUAGCUAUACGAGUUCUUUUCCUUUAUGGUAAAUACUAUUUGAAUCGUAUUGCAGAUAGUUGAAAGUCGAGAAAAGGUUGAAGACAAUGACUUGGGUGACUCUUGUGAUGCAGUUCGUGUAUCUGUUCUUGUAUGUAUAGACGGCCAGUGUAGUUUCACAUUAGGUUUAUUUUUUCUCUUUUUCCUUUUUUAUCUGUUAAUGUGAGAAUUCUCUUAUGCAUAUGUUUAACUAACAUCUACUUCAGAAUUUAGUGGAUUUAGCUGGAUCAGAACGUGCAGCGAAGACCGGUGCAGAAGGUGUACGCUUAAAGGAGGGUUCUCAUAUUAACAAAAGCCUAAUGACACUUGGGACAGUCAUUAAAAAAUUAAGUGAAGGUGCCGAGAGCCAAGGGUAAGUUGUAGCGGCUUCCCAAAGGCCACUGUCAGCUGAGAUAAUAUAUUGGGGCUUUCGCACACUCACUGACCUUCACAAAUAUUUACAUAUAUAACCUUGUCAAGUCUAAAACUUAAUGUAUACACUUCCAUAACAAGCGUUGCUGACAAAGUACCAUUAUCUCAAUUGGGGAGUCAUACCAAUUCAUGAGGGGCAUAUUUGAAAAUUCAUAUUUUGUGGGGAUAUGCAAUAGAUGAUUUCAAAUAUCUCUGUACUGUAGGAUAUUCCUUAUGGUGAAUCUUGAUUACAGGGGUCACGUGCCUUACCGGGACAGCAAACUUACGCGUAUUUUGCAGCCUGCUCUUGGUGGUAAUGCCAACACGGCCAUCAUUUGUAACAUAACUCUUGCACAGGUGCAUAAACUUUACUUGUGUUCAUCUCAGUAUGGUAUUCAUCACUUUGUGUUUUAUGCCAUACUACAAUGAUGUAUUCUCAAUUGCACUUGUCUAAACAUUGGCUCUAUCUUAUUUGAGUUGGCAGGUUCAUGCUGAUGAGACAAAAAGUAGCCUCCAGUUUGCAAGUAGAGCUUUGCGUGUUACAAAUUGUGUUUGUGUGAAUGAGGUCUCUUUCGCUAGUGGAAUUGCUAGUUCUCUCUAGAUUUGAGAUAUUUGAUUCUUGGUAUAUCUAACUGGUUUGCUGUUUGCUUGAUAGAUUCUCACAGAUGCUGCUUUGUUGAAGCGCCAGAGAAAAGAAAUUGAAGAGCUUCGAGCAAAAUUGCUGGUUUUUUUUUUUAUUUGUUAUUAUGUUCUUUGUGUUUGAUACUUCUAGAACAUCCAAUAAUAGAAUUUUCCUUUCCCUUCGAAUAGAGUUCUCACUCAGAGCACUGGGAAGAAGAAAUUUUGAACCUACGAAACACACUGUUGCAGGUUAAAUUUAUUCUUAUGGAUUGUUCAUCCUUCAUAGGAGAAAGCUCUUUUUUAUAUUAGCAAAAUGUCCUUAAAGUUGGAGACUGUUUGCUAGAGUGAGCUUGAGAAGGAGAGGAUUGCUUUAGAGUUGGAAGAGGAAAAGAAAGCUAAAGCUCAUCGGGAGAGGAGAUUGCAAGAGCAGGCAAAGAAAAUUGCAAAUCUCAGUUCAUUGGUUUUAUAUUCAGAAAGGGACGAGAAGGCUGCAACCCUAACAAAGGUUCCUUUUUUCUUUCCUUUUUUUUUUUGCCUGCUUCCUAGCUGCUUGUUGCCAUAGCACACUCAUGAAGAUUCUCUCUCUCUCUCUCUUUUUUCUUUUUUCUUUAUGUAACUUAUUCAUUAGUUGUUAGUUUUCACUUUUUAAGAGUGUCCUGUCUUGUAAACAUUUUAGCUAGCCUAGCUUGUUAUGGGUUGCUUUGGAAGCGUUAGCUUGGCAUAGUUUACCUUUCUAUCCUUGGAAUUUGAAAUUUUGAUGGCAGUUUUAUUUGUUUGGCAAAUUCAUGUGUAGUGUUAGUUUGUCAAUCAAUUGAAGUGCCAGUAUUGUUUGUCAAUCAAUUGAAACAUUUCGUCCACAUUUUAAGAAGACCAGACUUUUAUCAUAUGCCACAUUAGGUUAAAAUAUUCUCUCUCUUAUAUUUGAUCCCUUAUCUUUCAUUGAAAUACCCGAGACGACUUAUUUGGUUAUGUCAUCCAUUGGUGCCUUUUCCAUUCAAAAUCUCUGAUGUCUGCCAGCAACUGAGCAUAUUAACUACCAAUCAACAGAGAUUGUGGGCGAAAAAUAAAUCCAGGUAUGACUUAAAAGAAUUUUGGCAAGUUCAGAGACCAAUCUGUUUAAGGGUAUAGUCAGGACAAAAAUUGUAAAUUGUGGCUGAUGUGUUUUUAAGUUUGACAUUUUUUUUUUCAAAAAAUUUAUGAGCUUUUCAGUUUAUUUGUUUAUUUCCUUUCCUUUUCUUUCCAUAUAUCAUUUUACGUUUACUACUAUAUGUCAACUGAAACUCAAUUUUACCAAUUGAUUUUUCAUAUCCAUGCAGAAUAAAAGAAGGGUAACAUGGUGUCCAGGACCCUCCUCGAAUCAGUUAAUGGAUGAGGUAUAACAGUUGUGAUUACUCCUGUAUUAUGUAUAAUUUUUUAGGCUGUAAAUAUAUGUUCGUCAGAUAGAUGUAGUUUUGUUAUUGCUUCCAAGGCUCUUGUUAUGGCUUAUUCUUGUUAGAACUCGCUCUUCCUUCAAUUAAUGCAUUGAAGGUCCACAUUUUUGUUCGUUUUAGUUUUCGUCUUCUGAACAUACAUGCCAUUGGUUUUGAUAUUCUUUAUGUUAUUAGCCAAUGCAAUGAAAAAGUUGAAAUAUUAUGGGUUAUACUGAUUUCAUUUUAUCGGCUGGAAUCUACUCUAAUUUAUUAUCUGUUUCUACCCUGCAAAAGGUGAACCUAUUUCAAGUUGCUUUGUCUUCAUGUUUCUUUUUUCCCUAGACAAUUUGGAAGAGCCUGUACCUUUGUUCCUUCAUGUUUCCAUCGACUUGUUUAAUGCACAAGGUGAAUGAAUGGUAUGUUCCAAGUCAGCAGGGCCGGGAAUUUGCUGAUCUAAGAUAGAAUAAACAACAUAUUGUCUAUCAGAAAUUAGUUCGAGAGCGAAGUAUUUCAUUUUAGUCGGAAUCAGCUCAAACAUCUCAAGGACAAACUUCAUUGAAAAACGGGUAUACAGCAAUUAGCAACAUUUAAGGAUCAUUUAUUAGCAUGUGUUGUUUCCUCUAUGGUUUUAUGAUCUUUUGUAUACAUUGGCACAAAGCACUCCAAAAUAUCACCUAAAUAUAUACAAAUUUAUUAUGAUUAUUCUAAUUUAUAUAUUGAUGUUGAUCUUUCUGAAAAUGAGACUUCUCAGCUGAUACUUAGUCUAAAACUUGAUGCCGCCAAACUAGAAACACUGAAACAGGGAAGUGAAACCAACAUUGUGAACUUUUUAGGGGCAAUUUUUUAGCAAGAGGAAUACCUUUAGAUAAUUUACUUCUUCUACAAGCUAGACCAUACUAAUACUUAUUCUACUCGAAUUGCAUAGUUAGCAUCUUUAAAAAUUAGAAAUGUCGUAUUUAGUGUUUGUCAUUGAAUGCUUGAUGCAACUUUAUUUGAGUUGUCUUCAGGUGUUCACUUAUGAUAAAGUAGCUAUGGCAAGAGAAUCUACCGGACAUGAGCGACGCAGGGGCUUGCUACCACCUUUUGAAAAAUUGAUGCAAGAAAAUGAGAUUGCUGAGGAUGACCUUUCGGAUAAAGAUACUGAGGAUAUUUUUCUUCCUGAUGUGCGUUCUCUCUUGCAUGUUACAAACAGAAGAAAAAUAAAUGUCAAUGCGACUGAUUCCUUCUUGGUGUGUAUACUGUUUACAUUUUCUCUUUAACAAAUUGUUUAGAUGUUUCAAAUUGGUUGAUGUAACUUUUGUCAUUGUACUUGCUAGGAAAAUGAACAGCCGGUGAACCAAUCAGAAAUUGUAGAUCAAAACCUAGAAGAUUAUGAUACCCAGGUUCUUAUUCAUUUCUUAUUUCAUUUUGUGUUAGAUGCUUUGCUAUUCUAUUUAAGGAUAUAUAUUCUCAUGCAGAAAAAACCUGGGGAUUUUGAAUCUGAAGUGUCAACAAUUAAAUUGGAGUUUGAACACACUCCUGGAAGGACUAUCUCUUCCAUAAGCCGAAAAAAUGGAAGAAAAAGCUUAACUAUGAGAGAGUCAGAAGCAAUCCUCGUGAUCAAGCAACUCCAGGAUCAGGUUAUUCAUAUCUAAAUCAACAAUAUGUUCCUUGUUUAGACUGAAGUUGCAUUGUCAUGAUGCUGUGUUUCUUUUGGCAGAUUAAAUCAUUAGAAAUGGAGAAGGCUUCAAUUCAAAAUAGUUUGGAUGAUGUUCUUGAGUUAGCAACUAAACAAAACCUCUCUUUCAAUGAGAAGUAUGAUGAGGUAAAGAGUGCUAUGCUUUGUAGUAGUUUGACUCAUUAAAUCAACCUUUAUCAUACUAAUUUUCAUGACGUGAAAUCGCUUGUCCUAUGACUUUAUGUUAUUUAUUUUUUGAUGUCUCAAUUUAGUUUCUAUAUUGAGUGUUUUGAAACAGUUUGUGAAAAUACCAAGCAAGGAUUGUCUUGCUGCUCAGGAUGGUGAGCAUAUGCCUUGACAAGUAAACCAUGCUACAAUAGCUAGUUUAGUACUUCCAUCAAUCCUUCCAUUUGAAUAUUUUUCCUUUGUCAAAGAUCGACGGCGGACUCAAAUUUUCAUGAUCAACUAAACUUUGUAUAAAAAUACCCACUGAAUGAUACACAAGCUACACGAAAAAAAAUCCACUGAGCUUUCUGUUACCAAUUCUUUCUAUACAAAGUAUUGUAUAGUUUACAAUACCUUAUUCAGGUAGAACACAAUCUACCCCAAUUCAUUAGUUUCUUCUUAGCCAGAUGAUUUCAUUCUACCUUGAUAUACUGCAAUAACCUGAUUAAACUAAUUAAUUUUUUCUGAUUUUUGAUGUUUAGAUAAUAUAUUUUGACGAUUAUAAUUCACAUGGAAGUGGACUGUUUUUCCUAAUCGUGUUUUAAAGGUUGAUGCUCUUGAAACAAUUCUUGUUCAGAUGUGUCAUAAUAGCAUAUAAGAAGUAGUCUGGAUAUUUGUGAUGCAGACCGUGAAAGUGAGUAAAUAAUAAUUGUUUUUCUGUUUUUUUUUUUCUUUUGGUUUCUUUGGCUCACAUAAUACUACUAGACUACAUUUAGUAGACUACCUACUUUCUGUGAAUUCCAUUCUUCUUUGAUAUUGUAUUAUCCAUUCAACUUACGUUACGUUUCUCUGUAGGAGUUAUGCGUGUUUUUCUGGCACGUGUCAUUUUAUUCUUCUUCAAUCAAAUAUGUGCGUCUUUUUUGUGAUUAUUUCUUUUUCCUUGCAUGUAGCUCCACCAAGAGGCUCUAAAGGCACAUGAGGAGGCUAGACUUGCUUGUGAGCAACUAUGUUCAGUUGCACCUGAAGAAUCUUAUGAAGUAUGUGCAUCACUGUUUUUAUAUACAUUUCAAUUGACUCUUUAACCAAUUCUAGAAGGUGCUAGUGAUUUUUAUUAUGCAACACUCACAGCAUUCCCUUCUUUUCUUUUCUUUUCUUUUUUUUUUUUUCAAAUUUCUCAGGAACUUGCAGCUGGUCCCUCCACUUUAUUAACGGAAAUCGAUAGCGUAGUACUACACGUUGAUCAAUCAAGACAGACUGUUGACGAUGUUCUAUCUUUUGUUGAAGAGCUCUUCCAGUACUUCUCCAACCUUUCAGAGAUGUUACUGGUACCACUUAUAGCUAUUAUUGCAGUAAGAUAGAUCCGUAAUAUUAGCAUCGAGUGAUUUGCACAUUUUUAGUAAUGCUAGGUCUAGUUGCUUGUUCCCAUCAAUUCAAAACAAACUUGUACAAACAUACUUGGGUAUAUCUCAUAAACUUUUGUGGUUGUUAACUAUUUACAAGUCAUACAAUUUGCCAUCUGAUGUGAAGUGGUGGUGGUGAUUGUUAUCAUUAUAAUAGUUUGUUGUGUUUUUCCGAAGAAUGAACUAUUACUUUUAUUAAUUAUUAUGAUUGCUGCAUUUAAAACCUAUUUAUGUGAAAGACUGAUCUUCAAAAGGUUCAUGGUUCAUGGCCAGUUUCUUUUGCUGUGACAACAGAUGAGGAGGUGCUACAGUUUGUUGAUAAAUUCUUUUUUCCCAACUUUUACAUAUAAUAAGGGUGUAAGAUGUGAAAUCCUCCCAAAAAUCAUACAAGAUCCAUAUUUUGACUUAUGUUGUGUCCCGUUCUGUAGUUUUGUUGUUCAUGCUUUUCCCUCCCUCUGUUUUUUGAGAGCUGCUUACAGAUGUAGGCUUUAUUUUUGCAGAUAACUGGGUUGGUGAAUCUUCCGUCGUUUCAUAUCUUUCAUGUCUUUUUUGUUUUUGUUUUUGUUUUGUAGGAACAAAAAUCAUUUGCUUGCCAAGAUAUGAUACAACUAAGAUCCAUCAUCAGUGGACAUGAGAAGAUAAACGACUGCAUGAUGAAAAAAAUUAAUGAAGCUGUGUUAGAGAAGGUGUGACUGGCGAAUAUACCCAAUCUGGCUUAUGAUGCUUCCUGAAAAAUGAAACUUUCUAACUAUGAAUUUUGAUCUAUUGCAAGUGCAGAAGUUUUUACAUGAUCAGUGUGUGGAUUAUCAGAAUGAAACUCAGAAGCUGAAGUCCAAUCUAGACUACUCUGAAAAGGCUAUGGCUGUCAGUGACAAGUUCAAUUAUGUCUCCUGUAUUUUCUCUCUUUUCUGAGGCCUCAUUUUAUUCUAUAGGCUUUUCAUUUAUGCUAGGAGCUCAACCUUCAACAUGACUUGGAGAAGGAUAGCAUCUGUUGUCAACUACUCAAUCUUCAGAAGGAAGUUACAUCCAUGUCAUCGUCUUCUUUAAUGAAGGAAAAGGAAUCUCUAAGAAAGGAGCUGGAUAAAACAAAAUCAAAGCUGAAAGAAACUGAGUCCAAGCUUAAGAAUUCCAUACAAGACAAGAUAAAACUCGAGGUUACUAAAGUUCUACUGUUUAUGCUUUAUUAACUAGUUCAUGGGACGUGUCAUUGUCAUCAACCUUUUGCUUUUCCAGAGUGAGAAAGCGCAGGCGGAACGAGAAAUAAAGCUCUUGCAUAGCCAAAGGGCUAUUCUUGAACGCGACAUUAGGAAACGUGAGUCUCUAAUUGACAAAAAGCGUGAAUCAAAAUUACCUGACUUUCACAAGCCAAAGGAACAUACUGGGGUGGUUGACCAAGCUCUUCAGGUGCUUUUUACUGGCCUUGAAAUGUAGAUCUUACUAUCUUAAGAUUAAAGCUAUUUUGUUUUAUUUUUAUUUAUCAAUAUGUUAUUAUCUUCCCUACAAAUCCCCACAUAAAUUUGACAAAUAUUGUGCCUAUCAGAUAGUAUUGUUGAAGUUUCAAAUUUGAGAAAGGGUCUAAAAUAGAAAUAAUUUUAAUGUCAUAUUAUCACCUGACGACUGACGUGAUGCCAAAUUUCUGGUGGAGAGAACUCAAGUGAAAGAUUUACUUGCUCUUGCUGAUUAUCGUUUAGACGAAGGCAACAUAGGAGUGACCGUCUGAAAAUCCAUAGAUAUGGAAACUGUAGAAUAGAUAAAUAUAGCAGCUUCUUAUUUUGGAAUGUGUUCUUGAAGGAUUAAUGUAGUUUCUGAAAUAUCUUGGAGGUUAUCAUCUUUUACUGUUAUUGAUUUAGUACCAAAAUUAAGAAGAAUAAUUGUACAACCUUGACCAGCCACUUUUGCAUGAUCUAAAAUGAAAAGCAGGUCCGUACUACUGUAAGCCUCUAAAUUCCUCCCUCAGGACACUUACCUUGCCAUGGGGACUGGGUAGCCGUAACUUCUACUGGUCCUUGGUUAUACCUCCUAAUGAGAAUUGACAUCCUUGCGCUUUGCCAAUGUGAUCCCCAUUACAUAUAGACAAAUCUGUUAAGAAGCUCAGCUCAUUCUGUGGAACUAGACCAGCUAUAAAUGUUGGCUUAUCUGCCAGUCACAUGUGUUGGAUAUAAGAAUAUAAAAACAUUGUUCUUUAGCAGAAAAGCGGUUGUUUCAUAUAAUUUAACAACAUGAUGUCUUCUGCGCAGUUGAAAGCUAUGAAAAAAUAUGCAGGAAAUUAGUUGUAGUUUUCGCCAUGAGGGUGGUUUGAGAGUAACCCAGGUUUUAUAUGUUCUAAAACCUAGCAGAGGCUUAUGACAACAUAUACAAGUAUCCAUAGAUUAAUGUCAACGAAUGCGUCAAAUCAGUACCUUGUUUUUCUCUUUUGUUUGUUCUGAUAAAAAUAUGCUUAGAAUUGUGCCAUCUGAAUCUCAUCGUGCUUCAAUACUAGCAUAAUAUUUACUCUUUUCUGUAUUUUGUCAUCGCCUGUUAAACAUCAAGGAUGAUUACGAAAAGCUUGAAGUUCGUGCUUUCGAGAUGGAAGCUGAGAUAGGUUCUCUGCAAGAUGCUUUAAUCAGCACGAUUGCAGAGAAAGAAGAAACAAUUGCUAGGAAUGAGUUCUUGUGCUCAGAACUGGAAACUUUUGCAGACAAGAUGAGUUCAGCAGAUUUUGAAAUAAAUUCCUUGAAGGAAGAGAUCUCUAUGUUGGUAUGCACUACUUUUUCUGUAAAACUAUGUCUUUGCUUUCUCCAUCAAUUUCUACUUAUGAACUGUAAAUACCUACUAUGUAGAUGCAAAAGUUGGCUGCAUCUGAAUCCUCUGUUAGAAGUUUGGAAGGAUCUCUCAAUACCUCAUCAAAAGAAAAAGAAGAAAUGGCAUUGGUACUACACAAACUUUUACUUAUAAUAGGGAGCCACCAGUUAUUAUCAAUUUCAUUGAAUAAUAUUUGAUUUUUUGUUCAAUAUAUUGCAGCAACUUACAGAUGCCCUUCUAGAAAUGGAGGCUGAAAAGUCAACUUGGUUAACCAAGGAAAAAGCUUUCAUUGAGGCCAAUGAAAGGGUGAAGAUAUCCAACAAUGAGAUAUGCAGGUUAUCAGAAGAUCUACGGGAGGUAUUUUCUGAUUUACACAUUGUCCUUAGCAAGUACUCUAAAAGAGCUUAUGUUUGUUUCCUGCUCAGAUCAGGCUAUUUUCAAUGUAACCCAAAUACUAGGAGUUGUCAUUUUUGUUUAGCUAAAAGUUGAGGCGGUAAUUCUGAAAUAAUUCUUCUUUUGAUAAAAGUUUAUGCUUGUUAUUAGAAGGUUUUGCCAUUUUGCUAACUUGGAUUGAUGCAUAAAAUCUGAUUUAGCAACUAAUGAUUGCAAUCCUUGUUAUAUGAAUUGAAACUAUAUCUUUUAGCUCAAUCAUUUUUAUAGGAUUUAAAGCAAGACGAAAAAAACAAGGAACUAAGUAGCUGAAGAGAUUGUUGCAUAAUGUGAUUAACUGAGGAGAAUGAACCUGUCUAAUAUUCUAGGGUUAAUAUCUGUAUCUCAAAUUUUUCAUGCUAUGGAUUUUCCUGACAUCUCGAAUAGAUGACUAGAGGUAACAGGCUGGAGACUAACUAUUAACUCGGAUUUUGGGCCUCACUAGGGUAUCUAUAUUAUCACCAAAGUACUGAAUGUUACUUCAAGAGGUACUGAAACUUGAAAGAUUUCUCACUGAACUUUAGCUGCUGCUCCUAGGGACCAUAAGGAGAUCUCUUUAGAGAAUAUAGUACUAGUUAAUCCAAUAAUGAGUAAGACUUUGUAACUUCCAAAGGCUUUAUCAGAUUUUUACAAGUCGCCAAAACUUUUGAUUGAUUCCUAUGUGGAAAAUAUAUGUUGACAUGCAUGCAUACAUUGUUCCACACAUAUCUCUGCUAGGUAAACUGAAUUUCAAUGAUGGACUACGGCCUAUUAGCACAGACUUAUUUCUAAUGACAAUCUUAGGGUUUUCUGAGAUGGAAAAACAAUAACAAGUUUAUGAAAUUUUAAAACAAAUGCAAAACACAAAAGAUCCCUAAGAUGUAUGUUAAUGCACAUAUUUUGGUGUGCUAAUGGAGCCCAAAUUGUGCAGGGCAUAUCAAUCACUUUAUGCUAUGCUAUCAUGUACAUGGUGAGCAUGGGGUAUGCACUGUGCUUUGGCUUUCUUCACAACGCAUUUUGAACAUGUGGUUUUCUUAUCAGUUAAAAAGAAAUUACCUAGUGCACUAGAUCAUUAAUUUGUUAAGAAUCAGGCAAUAAAGACAUUUCUACUUACGUGAUUUAGUACAUAUUUAGUACAUAUCUUACUGCUGUCUGUUUUAGGUUUUCACUGGUCUUAAAACUUACUUUUUCUUUUUCCACAUCAAUGAUCACUUUACGAAUGUUUAUCAUCAGUGCUUUAUUUUUAAAGAAGUUGGUGUUGUUAUGUAGAAUUCACGCCAAUGUAAUUACCUCAAGGGUAGCCUAGUGUAGGUCUUACAAUUUUCUUAUGAAUAACUCACAGUCGAUUCUAUGUCCUUUUCUUCUCAUGGUUAAUAUCUGAGUAGGCAAGGCGUGAGCUGGAGUCAUGCAGAGAACAAUGUAGAGCUCUUGAAGAAAGAUUGAUGAUCUACAGCGAAAAUGCUGAAAGAGAGAAAAGUUGCAAGUAAGUCGCUUAUGCUUUUUGUUUCCUGUCAUGAAUGCAGCAUUUGUGACCGGCAGCCUUAAACUUGACAAUGUAAUGGUUUUUAAACAACAUAUUAAGUUUGUUUGGUAAUGCCUCCUUUUAAUUCGUCAUUUAUGUGUUGACGUAUAUAGGAAUUUUGCACUUGACAUCUCUUUCCAUUUAUGUCUUCUGUCCUUUUAAUUUGUCAUGCAGUGCGCUAAGUUCUUCUGAGGUUCCUCAGCAAAGAAACGAGCAUAACACUGAUGAAAGUGUCGAGCGUGAGAAUGUAAGUGCGUUCAUUUUCGUUUAUCUCUCUGUGGAUCUAUUUAUGUGAAAAAUGAGAAUGAUUUUUAUAAACACUAGGAAAAGUCUGGAUGCCAAUCUUGCAUGGAAGUUCAUGAUCUGCGGGAGCAACUUAGUGUUCUUGCUGGAGAAAGAGAUAGAUUAUCUUUUCAACUGAUGCAGAUGGAUACAAAAUUAGGUUUGCUGAACAAUUAUGAGGUACUGAUUGUCUUUCCCUCAUGGAAGUUAUAAACUUGCAGGUUAAUUGCUCCAAAGGUUCCCAAACUUUUUUGGUUUGGUCCUCAACCUUAUAAUUAUUACAGUUGCAUUCCUAACCUUUGCGUCUUACUUGUUGGCUUAAAUGGGCCAGCAUCCUGCCCUGUGGCGGGAGGCCAUGUGGGCCUAGUCAUGUUCGAAAUGGCGUGAGGCUGGGUUGGGCCGAGUUAUGUUCGAAGUGGCGUGAGGCUAGGUGGGCCGAGUCGCAAUCGAGACCCGUGGGUGCUGUUUCUGUACGCUUUAAGUGAAUUGGUUGCGUAUUUCUAACAGCUCGAGCUUUCGGGAUUAAUGGUUAGCGCCAACGAUCCGACAAGUGGUAUCAGAGCCAGAGGUCACGGGUUCGAUUCCCGCAUGCUGCAAAUGUGUGCAGGUGCUGGAGGGGGGAUUGUUGGCUUAAAUAGGCCAGCAUCCUGCCCUGUGGCGGGAGGCUAUGUGGGCCUAGUCAUGUUCGAAAUGGCGUGAGGCUGGGUUAGGCCGAGUCAUGUUCGAAGUGGCGUGAGGCCAGGUGGGCCGAGUCACAAUCGAGACCCGUAGGCGCUGUUUCUGUACGCUUUAAGUGAAUUGGUUGCGUAUUUCUAACAGCUCGAGCUUUUGGGAUUAAUGGUUAGCGCCAACGAUCCGACAUUACUCUGUCCAUUAAAUUCCUUGGUUAAGUUGGACAGAGAUGCCCAAGUUAGAUGACAAUUAUGUGGAUAUUUCUGCUCAAUUUAAAGGAGGAAUUUAACCAAAAGAUUAAGAUUGUAUCAGAAUUUAAAGUAUGAGAACGAAUUAUAACAAUUGAAAGGUUGGGACCAAAAAGGAAGAGGAAACCAGGUGCAUUUUACCUGAAUUUCCAUGUAUCAAGUUAUUAAGUUUGCGGUAAAACAACAUUGAAGGUCUUUACCACCGGAAAUGUGUAUGUUACUCGACUUUUUUUCCUUUUUCCUUUUUUUGGAUAGGAUAUUCAGAAUCAACUUCUGGUCAUGAUCAGAGAAAGAGAUGAUUUGCAGUCUAAAAAUGACCAGAUGAAUACUGCAAUAGAAGGAGCAGAAAUUCUAAAGAAAAGAUAUGAUGACAUGGUAAAUCAGCUUAUUUUCCUUUCAACCUAAUUUGGCUCAUGUUUGUAAAUGGUAACAAGCUAUAUUUCCUUUUUUUACAGCUUUUGAAAGCAAAAAGUGACUCGGAUGAAUUGUCCAUGAAGAUCUCCAGCCUGGAAGAAAAGAUGCAUAAUGUAAGCACCACUUGCUUUUUUUUUUUUUUUAACACUUAAAUAUUUUAUUAUGCAUGAUUAAGUAGCUCAGUAGCAUCCUAGUUUAAGUUGUCUGCAGUAUGGUUUGUUUACUUGCAUUACGAACACUUUCGUUAAUAAUGAUACAAAACUGAGCCAAACUUGCUAUCAUCAACACAACAUCAAAUAAGUCGACAGCUCCUUCGUGAUUACUGUAUGGUUUCAGUUCUUCCAGUUUCUUUUUUUUUUUCCAGCCCUUGCAGUGCAUCUAAGCCCCAAUCUUUUCAAGGUUUCUCUGUUUUGCUACUUCUGCUUGUCUAUUGAAAGCACUGUUUUCAUCCCUGACCCACAAUAAAGGACCUAUUUUCUCUUCUGUCUGUUCUUGCUUCUCUUCUAGCUUCUCUUUGGUUCAUAAUCACCCUAUAACUACUUUCAUUUGUCACAAAGUUUUGCAGCAAAAUCAACUUUGUUUCAUAUAUUUGACUAAUUCUGUUGGCUUUUCUUUUUCCAUGAUGCAUGGAUUGGCAGUCUAGUGAUAUUUUAUAUGAUACGGAUCAAAUCAAAACUUUUUACUCGAAAGCAGAACAAAUCAAGGAUUGGUUCAUUUUGAGUUGCUACUUGUCUAUCAGGGAUGUACUUGUUACUCGAAAGUGGAACUUUUGAAAGUUACAAGCAUCUCUGCAUGUUAGUCACGUUCCGACUAGUAUACAGUUUAAGCUGCAUUGGAUCGUUCGAUUGACGGGUUUCCAUGUACAGGAUGCUUCGAACUACAACAAGGAGAGAACAAAGCUCCGAAUACGGCUUUCGUCAACGCAGCAAAAGAUGGACACUUUUCGCGGAAGAUAUGAAGAGGCAAUAAAUGAAAUGAGCCUUAUGAACCAAAAGUACCAAGAAGCCUCUGCCAAGCUGAAAAAGCAACUUGCGGCGUACGGAGUUGAAAUACUUAGCUUGAAGAAGCAGCUCUCCGACCAAAGAAUCGUUCUUGGUGCAUGCGCCAGCGAAAAAAAGGAUCCUUAAUCUCACUCUAUUGUACUAUUUAAAAUUUCGUGCCCAAAUUGGCGUAAAUGUACAUGCUUUACACUAGCGCCUGCAAAUACCAAAUUUUUGUUGUUGUUGUUGUUGUUAAACAGCAGUAUCAUAAUGUAUGGUUUUAUAAACAAAACGCAUCGUAGAAAUGAUUCUUAGUUGAUGCUCAAAUCGCAUACAAUCAUUCUCUCUUUAGCUUUUAAAUUGCUUUGUUAUGUAUUAUUUGUUUGCAAUUUUGCUUUUUAGGAUCGUUGCCGCAACAUUUGGUUGAUCUCUUGCACUUCAUACAACAGUAAUGUAAAUGAUGGUUAUUGAAGCUGUUUAUUCCUAACGUUGCAUCUAUAGGAGCUUUAAGACGAGCAAGCAUUUUUCACACUAGCAAUAAUAAUAAAAAAAUUGCAGCAUAAUAUCUCUAAUAAGCUAAAUACUAUUUCUCAAUCUUAUUGGAAAAUAAAAAAAAAAUGAAGAGAGAACCUUUUCGAAGAAAGAAAUGUAGUCUUAUAAACCAAAUAUUGGAAAAAAAAAAAAGAAAAAAAAUCUUAACUGAAAAAAAAAAUUAAUGCGUGCACCAAGUGCAUCUGUUCAUCCUGCGCACCGCACCUCUAUCAACUCUCCAUUUUGUUGGGUAUUUUCAGUUGAACGGUCGAGAUUGAAAUAUAAUAUAGAAUUAGGCAGAGCUGAUGAAGAUACAGUGCACGAAUGUUCGGAUGCACCUGGUGCAAACAAUAUUUUUUUUUUCCCCUUUUUUCUGACACUAAUAUAUUUGCUAAAAAUGAGAACAUGCAUACGCCCAUGCACGUCGAAACGCAUGCAUGCAUGGACGCAUGCAUGCACGUCUAUUUCGCCGGGCCGGCGACGACUUUGGCCUCCGACUUCGACUUGGCGAAAAGGGUGAGGUAGCCGAUGGUGGCGACGACGACGAACCCUCCCAUCGCCAUCGCGACUGGCCCGGCCGGCAUCGCCCGCCGCUGGUGCAGCACCCCGUUCGGUUGCGGCCGCGGCGGCUGCCGCCGCAUUUGCUCGUGUUCAUCUCCUACCAUCUCUCUCUCUCUCUCUCUCUCUCUCUCUCUCUCGCUACGUACGUAGUGCAUGCAAAUAAUGCAUGCAACACUCGUAGGCUUUUUUGGAGGGUCAGAAGCUGAGGAUUCGGUCUCACUACUUGACCUGUUCAUUCGGGGGAAAUUUACAUAGUCUCCAAAAAUGAACCUGAAUAAAUUAAUGGUUUUAAAUUAUAUUGGGCUGGGCCCAACAAGUUAUUGGGCCCAGAGUAUCCAGUUUAUCGAGCAAUAAUUAAUCGAGCCACGGGCUCAGUGAUAAAUGUUCCCAUAGGAAUGCAUGAUAUGUUACUUCGAGACUCUUUAAUCACUUCAUAAAUUAUAUUAAGAUUAUAAAAUUUAAUUUCUAAAUAAUUGUAAUAAUCGUUGAUCAUAUCUAAUAAAAUUGAUCAUAAAUUCAAAUAUUCCAUCAUCAAAAAUUUAUAAACACAAAUGUCACCAUACUUUCAAAAGCACAGAACAUAUGGUGUGUGUAUAUAUAUAUACAGAGAGAGAGAGAGAGAGAGAGAGAGAGAGAGAGUUAAGAUUCUAAAUUUCUAUUUUUUUUUUAAACAAUUUUUUUCGAAUAGCAGAACUGUCAAUUAAAUUUAUUGUUCGCGAGCCAAUUCAUAUUUGACUUAUUUAUUAUCAAAUGAGUAAAACAUGGACCGUGUUCGAACAGCGCUACUCAUACUGAAUAAAUUAUUAUUUUAUUAUAAUAAUUAUAUAUUGGUGUCCAGUUAGUUAGUGGUUCGAGGCCAACGAAGGGUUACGCAGAGAGCGAAAAGCACUCGGCAGCUGCUUCGUGACAGAUCCACAUUCUUUAUUUUUUAUUGGUUCAACUCGUCGCCUUCCUUUUUAUUUAUUAUUUAUUAUUUAUUAUUUAUUAUUAUUAUUAUUAUUAUAGUAACAAGAACGUUGGUGCGGAUUAUUCCGACUACAUUUUUGCGCAUCCGCAUAAAGAUUAAUCUUAUGCGGAUAAUCCGCAUCUCCGGUCGCCGCCGAUCGAACGCCCGUUGCCAACCUCCGCAUAUCUUAUUCUAUGCGCACUUGCACGUACGCGUGGUUUCGAGGAACUUUUCCUCACAGAUGAUGCCACGAUAAAAAGCUGCCACUACCGCUCCAGUGCGGUGAAAUUACUAAAAUGCCCUUCUUGUUCUCUAUAUUCUCUUUAAUGCCCCUUUGAAAUUGAAACCCUCCUCUCUCCCUCCUCUUAAGUCCUAAACCCUCUCUCCUCUCUCUCUCUCUCUCUCUCUUUCUCUAGCUUUGGGUUUUCAUGUUCAUGGAUUUAAUUUGCCCUAGAAACCCUAUCGUGUGUGAUCUCUUCCUUAAUUUUUGUAUCAAUUUAUGCGUUGUUCAAUCCUCUGUUUCAGUUGCUCUGUUUCUUGAUCCAUUCCCUUUUUUUUAAUUAUUAUUUUUGGUUUGCAGGUGUGGGAUGGGAAUCGAUUUGCGCCAUGCUUUGCUGAUAUAUAUCCUUUUCUACUUUGGGGUUCCAAUUCAUGAGCCAAUGUAUUUUCUUUCUUUUUUUUUUUUUAAAAAAAAUUGAUUCCUUAAUUAAUGUGGCACGGUUUUAGGUUUUGGGGCUAAUGUGAUCACUAUAGUUGCAGUUCUUGUGGUUUUUUUCACUAGGAAUGACGCUUCAAGAACCGUGGUAAUCGCCUAAUUGGUUCUCAAGAAUCCUUUUUUAUGCAUUUGUAUAUGUUUUAAUUUGGGAAAUUUGAUAUAGAUGAGGUUGCUCUGCUUAAAAUUAACAUCUGGGAAUGUGGGGUUUGGAUUGGCUUAAAAUUGAUAUCUUGAAAUGAUGUUUUUCUUUGAAUAGAACAUGGACUACUGAAUGGAUUAGUUAAUGUGAGUACAUCGUAGUGCUGUAACUAAGCAGGCGAAGUUGUACAAUGAUUUUGCUAUUGAAUUGGGCUGUCAAAAAUUCUUUUUUGGAUCAAUUAAUGCUUCUAUAAAUUUGCACUGUGUUUGCUAUGCUUAAGUACUUCAAGAAUCUGUAUCUUUCCUUUUCUUCUGGGUUGAUUCUUAUGAUUUCUUAUACAUAUUCUUCUUUCCCUAUGGGGUGAACUACUCAGAACUGAUUGAUAUCGUUUAGGAGUUGUGUUUCAUGCAUAAUAAUAUAUUUCAAUGUCUAUACUUAGUUCAAAUGGUUUUGUAUUGUCCAGUUUGACACCACAUUUUGCACUGGUAGUACCAGCAAUCAGGUGACUUUGUAGGCUGAUUGUGCCCUUCUCAAUUAGGGUUGCCUUUAGAGACAUUUUAUCUCGUUCAAUUAGGUGUUGUUAUCAAACUGAUUCAAUAAGCUUUUUUCUCCUUCCUGCUGGUUAGCCUGUUAAAUAUAUUACUUUUGUUCCACAUGGGUAAAAUUUUUUUGAUUUUGGAAUUUAUUCUAUAUCGAUCCAUCAUUUUCACCAUCUCUGUCAAACAGCUGUCCAAUGCUGGUAUAUUUUAUGAGAAACUAAGACUACAGAUCAUAGCGUAGCUCGGCUGAUAUCUAUAAGAUAUGAGUUACUGCAUAAAGCAUAACUUGUUUGGCUAUCUUGUUAGGUGACAAGCCUACAUCAUGCAAAGUGCCAUUUUAGCUACACAUUGCCCUUCAUUAUAAUUCCUUGGCAAUUACAGCUUUAUCAGACUAUUUCUCCGACCAUGCAGGGAUUAUUUUUUGCAUACAUUUUCCAUUUUACAUGCUGAUUAGAUGUAUAUUUUCCAGUUAUAAUUCCUUUUUCCUUACUUUCGUAGAAUAUCCAGAAAAGCCUACUGGAGAAGUUAUUUUUGCAUGCUGUACCUGCUUUUGGAGCAUGUCUUUCUUUCUACGAUAUUCUUCUGCUUCUAAUGAAAAGCCUUGAAGGACAUGAUCCUGAAUAUUAUGAGUGGUUCUUCAGAUGCUCUCAGUGUGCCACAUGGGUAAGCUGUAUGAAGGCAAAGUAUACAUGAGCAUGCAUGUGUCUGCACCAAAUUAUAUUCAUAUGCAAAUGCAUAUGCAUGGAUACAUGAGUAUGCACAUAUGUACUCAUGUAUGAGAGACUGAGAGUGUGUGUGUGUGUGUGUUUGUUUUUGAGUGUAUAUAUGUUUAAAAUACUUACAAGUUGUUGUCCUGACAUUGUCUACUCUAUAUCCAUGUAUACUGAUAGAUGCUCAUCUUGGUUUUCUCAACCUCCAAGUAUUGGUUCAGUGUCUUUUGCAAUCCCUUCUUGUGCCUCUGGUGGAUUCUUAAGCCUCUUUUAGAGAUCCCUCAUUUGCAGUACAAGUUUUUAUCACCAGAGGUAUUACUUUUAUAAGAUUGACAUUUUUGAAUAUUGAUAUUAUGCACUAUGUAAUUUAUAAACAAAAAGGUAAGUAUUUAUUGUAUUGUUUCAUUGUGUGUAAUUCGUUUGACAGGUAAUAACAUGCUUCAAGGAAAGUUCUUCUGUAUCUGCUGAACUCAUGUUUGGGCUCUUUGUCAAUGUGAUCAGAGCAACGAGCCAAUCUUACAAAAGAAGGUACCACUUGCCAAAGUUGUUGCAUUUUAUCUUAUGGCAAUUAUUUCAUAAUCUUUUAAGAACAAAGAUGGCCUUAUUAUAAUUUUCAAAAAGAUAGAAUGAUGAUCUUAUUAUCCUCUCUGCUAAAAUUAUACUUACCGGCCAAUUUGCUUAUUAUAAAUAAUCAUUAUUUGGUUACAUUUCUUAAAAAUUUCUUGUUAAUACUAAAUCAAUCAUCCCUACAAAUUAUUAGAUAUAAACUAAAGAAAAACCAAAUUAAUGCUUCCUUUUCAAUCGUAAUACGGAGGACAAUUUCAGAAAUUAGAAUUAUAAACCUAAUUAAAAGCCGAGGGUUCUGACUUGCAGAUUGUUCCUUUCGUGAACUUGAGAAAAGCUCCAAUGUAACCCACAGAAGGUUAUUUUCACAGCUAAUAUGAGAUUUUUAUUUGAAUGAUGUACUUGAGAUGCUUAUUUUGUUAUUUCUCCAAUGCCAUGGCUAUAAUCUAAAUCCAAGAAACAUAUCCAGCUUUGCAUCUUUGGAAGCUAGAAUGCCAUUGUACCUUUCUUCUAUUUCACUAACUUUUUUUUUUUUUAAUGAACGGUAGACUUACAAUUUAUGUUGUCAGUUGCUGUUUUAAACAAUGUCAAGCCCUUCGUUGCUUUCAGAGAAUUAAACUCUAUUGAAGAUCCCUUUAUCCCCCAACAUAUAGAGACAAACGAAGGUCGUUCUAUAUAUUUGGUAUGUAUUUUCAUUUCCUAAUCAUUAUUUAAAAGAUUAUAUUGCUAGUAUAUGAUGAUGCAAUGUGUGCUGACUUAUCCUUGAAAUUCAAAGUUUACUAGAACUUUAUUGUCCUUUAAGAGCCUGUAUCUUGGAUAAACAGAAGUAAUGUAGAUUACGCCUGCAUGCCUUCUUUCUUCUGUUGAAUUUAAGGGUGUGUGAGCAUGCUACAAUAUAAUUCCCACAAUGAAAAAGAAACUAUAAUGGUAACUUCACCUGAAAAUAAUCCCCACUAUCCGCCUUUUCGAUUCUGGAAAGAAAGUGACCUUAAGAACAUUUACCUCAAAUUUGUCUCUCUUUGAAAUGCAGGUACUGAAUAGAAAGAAGUGGGUUUAUAGCACUAGGCUGGAAAGACGAAAUUUAGAAAAUUCAUUGCAAUUUCUUUCUCCGGCAGUCAAUUUGUCUAGAAAAACUUCAUAAAGAACUGAGCGCUUGUAAUUGGUAUUACAUGAUCCCUUCAGCCCCAUAGAAUUGCAUCAUGAUCAUCUAAAUUUUCCGUUCAAUAUAUUUUUUUCCGUAAAAUGAUUUAUGAAUCAAUUUAGGCACUAAGGUUGCAAAACUAGGGUUCUGUCGACAUUUCUUUGAACAAAAUGUCGCCACAGUUAAUUAGGGCUUCUCUAAAGUUUUGGAGUUAAAGGCUUAAAAUUGACCUACUAGUAUUUUGGGAAGAAAAAGAAUUCUCUGCAUGAGUUUGAGUAAGAACCAAGGAUUCUCUGUCCAGUGUGUACCACUCAGUUUCAACCAUGCGAUAUCGUGCUGGUGGUUUGCUGAUAAGGUAUUGAGGUUCCAGCGAAUCCCUUGGUACGCUGCGUGCUGCGGAUGCAGCAACUGAAGAAGGUCAGAAAUGCUGCUGUUGAAACAGCAAAUGAUUUUAACGCUCAAUCAUAUUAUUCUGAGUUUCAAUAUUAGUUUUUUGGAUUAACAAAUCUAACAUGACCUGACUGGUAUAACUUAAGCUAUAUGGGGCCUCACCGUUUGAAUGUCAGUCUGGACCUUCACCUGCCCUUACCAGUCCUUAUUCACCUUUUUUCUCUGUAAAGCCUUAAAUGGUCACUACUUAUGAUGUUCUCCCUUUCAUUGAAUAACCAAAAAAGCCGCACACACACCAUACACAUACACAUACACACACAAAAAGUAGAAAGUAAGGGUAUAUGAACAUUAUGACUUGAAUGUCCUUAUUUAUAAGUGUAACUAUAAAAAGCUCUCCUUUCAUUAUAAGUUCUCCAUCUGGUGGUUACUUAUGUCCACCCACAUAGGUCAGGAAGUUCGGCAAUUUCUGGCACCUUGUGACCUUCAAGUUUAUCAAUUCAAUGAUGGAUGUUGGCUUGACGAAACAACUUGAUUUUGAAGAUCUUGUUCAAUUGCCUCCUGAACUUACACCUGUUGUCUGUUACGAUGAAUUACUCAAUUGCUGGAUUGCUGAACAAAGUAAGCAUCACUCUGAUUCCUCUCUACUUAGGGCAAUGUAUUAUGCAUAUGGCUGGCCAUACUUUCGUCUGGGUCUGCUAAAGGUACUUUCUUUCUUUAUUAUUGCCCUUCUACUCUUGGAAAGUUUAUUUUGCACAUUUAGAGAAGUAAAGAAUUAUGAUUUUGUACAUUUAAUUACAUACUUUUGAAUUUUAAGUGACAAGACAAUUUUCCCUUUCUGUAGACUUUUGCUAUGUUACUAAAUCAAUGAACACUCUUUUGUUGCUGCUUUUUUUUUUUUUUUUUUCUAUGGUGGUUUGGCCCUAUUAGGCUAUUCCUACAACUUACUAUGAGCUAUAUAAAUAUUGAUGAGCUAUAUAAAUAUUGAAUCUCCUCAUGAUUUGAAGAUUAGGAUUCUAAUCACCGCUACCACUGUUCAAGCGGACCAUAUUUCUUUACCUACCAUACAUGGUGCAGAAUGCAUAACUUGCUAACUUUGAACAUGUGUGACUAUGUAUCCUUUAGAGACAACUAUCACACAAUUGUUAGAAGAGUAGGAAAAACAGCAUUGGACCCUUUUAACUAACACUGUAAGAAACUAGUUUGUUGAAAGAACCUUUGAAGAGGUCUGAUUCAUCUUGCACUUAAGAUUAGAAGAUUCCUUUUUAGAUUGUUUUAUUCUUGAUUGAUCAUACUGAGUGAUAAAUUUAACUUGUGCAGGUGAUAAAUGAUGCUAUUGGCUUUGUUGGUCCAUUGCUCCUUAACCGGUUGAUAUCGUUCCUUCAACAAGGUAUAAUGCUUAUGGAAGUUGCAUAAGGAUUCAUCACCUAGUUUUCAGCCUAAUAAUGAUUUCUCCAAUUAACUUUUACACAAAAAAGGGUGUCAUCGAAGCCUUAUCUCAAAGGCUUUGCAGAAAACCAUAAAUCCAGAAGAUUUAGUUGUUAGUAGUCAAAUGGGAUAUCAUUAAGCAAGAACAUAGUCCAACAAAUGCAUCUUUGCAGAAAUUCGUAAACCCUGCAAUUAUGCUUCUUCUGAGUUCUGGUUGAUGCUAUUUUGCAAUUGAAGCAAUCUUGAGACUGAUGAUUCCAGUUGCUCUAUCCUCUCAGGUUCGAGUAAUAUAGAAGGAUACAUUCUUGCUUUUGCACUGGGUUUUACUUCUCUUUUCAAGUAAGUGUACUCAAAUAGUUAGUGGGAUAACAUGCCAUAUUGCAUUCCUACUUUGCACCAUUUGGCCGUUCAAAGUCAGAUGAUGGGAGAGCAACUUUAUUUGUAAUUAUAAGUACAUAAUGCAUUCAGGACAUGUAGAUAUUCUCUUUCAAAUUUUCUCCCUUUAUACAUCCUUUUGGCUGUAGACCUGAAGAAAAAUAUCAGGAGUUCCAUAGCAUAGAAGAAUGUUUAAUGUUGAAAUGUGAUGAAUGUAGGAUAAGUGACUCUUAGAUAUCAUGAUGGCUACACAAACUCUAUAUUUAUACUUAAAAUUGAUAGAUAAUGAUCAUAGUAUAAAAUCUUCAGUGCAGAUUCUGAAAGUAGUGGUCGCCUAUGACAAUCAUUGUAAACUAAUCAUGACAAGACUAUCUCCUUGGUACAAUUUAGACUGAUAGAUGGAUGAUAUUUUUUUGUCAUUUCAAAGAAGGUUAGUAUUAUUAUGCAUAUCCUGUCAUAUCAAGGUGCAUUUCUUUUAAGUGGAACAUGAGAUAUUUGAAUUAUCUGGCUUGCGUCCUUGGUAUCUAAGAUGAAUAUCCUGCUACAAUUAUUAAGUAAUGGGCCUUUUAUGGGUACUUAUAACUUAAAUGGGUAUAACUCAUAUGUUGAAGCAUGAUCACAGGAGUUGAUUAACAGCUUAAUUAGGUUGUUGAAUCUAUUUUCAGAUCUUCAUAAUGAUGAAAAUGUGAUAUAAUAUUUAAAUUUUAGCUGUAAAUUUCACAUGUAAAAGGAUAUUCCGGUGAUAUUAUCAGGGUGGUUGUGCAUGCGCUUUGUUGUGUAUCCUCAAUCUUUAUAUCUCAUUAUAUUGCAGGUCCUUUCUUGAUACACAGUACACUUUUCGUCUUUCAAAGUUAAAGUUGAUGCUAAGAUCAAGCAUAAUGACAAUUGUUUAUCACAAGGUAAAAUAGCCUUUCUCCUGCUAAGAUUUGGUCAAAAUGGAAUUAUGUGAACUGUGAAGUUUAGACGACGUUCACUCAUAAUUCAGCUGAUAUUUUUCUUUUAACUCGAAGAAUUUGAAAAUUUUUGGGUAUUUGAAGUUUUGAACCACUCUGACGAAGAGCUUUUACUUGUUUUUGAUGUUUCUUCAGUUACUAUAUAGUAAGCAUUUCAGACCAAUUUUCAACAUGUGAGAGUAAAAGAAAGGAGAAUUUAUAACAUAGUGAUUCCUUGAUAGGAUCUCAUUCGGAGAAUCAAAAAGGGCUUCAGUCAGUACAUUUUAUUGAUUAGUUUUCAUUAUGAUCGAAGAUUUUAUACUUGCAUCAGAAUAACUGCAUGGUUCUUGGUUCAACCCUAAUAUACUCUUCUUCUAUCUCUAAUUUUUAUGGAUUUGAUUGAUUUCCUCGGUCCUUGUUCUGUUCAUUUUAAAACUCCCUUUCUCAUAUUCCUUCUGUCCCUUUACUCUUUUGAUUAGAGUAGUGCCCUGGUAGUUCAUUCGAACUCACAAUGAUCUUAAUUUUUUAUUUCAACUGUUUUCAUUGCCAAUGACAAAUGGAACUUUUAGGUACAAUAUUUUGAAUUGACAGGGCAAUUUCCUGAUGAAUAAACUGUAAUAUGCAGUAUGCCUUAAAUUUCCCUAUUGUUUUCUUUGGAGAUUGUCUUUUCUACUUCUAGAAAUUGGACAUAUUGUUUUUUUAUUACUGUUUGCAAAACGUGGUACUUAACUCUUUGGUAAAUUCCGAUUAAUACUUUGUCGGUACAGUUCAGCUGUUUCAGCUUUGAAACUUGAUACAAAUUUAUUCAUUCAUGUCUAUUGUUUUUGUUAUAAACUUUAAUUUGCAUGUGCCAGUGCUUGUACAUCAACCUAGCCGAACGUUCAAAAUUUUCUAAGGGAGAAAUUCAAACAUUUAUGUCAAUUGAUGCUGAUAGGACGAUAAACUUGUGCAACAGUCUUCAUGAUGUUUGGAGGUAUGACCAUAUAUAACAACAUUUCCAUGUUGUAUCAGCUAACAUACAGGUGCAUUCAUGAGUUUUUGCCUAUUUCUAAAUAUUAUUAAUGGAACUAUGAUAGUUUUUGAUCUGCCACAAGGUGACAAGGAUUGUAUACUUGUAGUCGAAUAAACUGUUAGAUGUAGCAUUCAUCAAAAUUCAGUUCUUUUCUUGUUUGGAGAAUGUUACUCAUGAUCCUUGAUAACCAUCAACUGUGCUUAGUUUAAAUUUAUAGCUUUUGUAGAAUAAUAGGGGCUCUAUCAUUUACAAAGCUUUUUCAUAGUCUAAAGAGGAGACAGUUUAUUGAUUUUCCUGCUGCUGUCUGAGUGUAGAGCAACUUUCCAAAGUUGGAUCAUCUUAUUGCAAGUCAAAGCUUCAAGAAAAUUUUGCAGCCCCAUUAUAAACGAACAGCAUAAUCUUUUCCUUUUCGUAUAAUAGUUAGUAGUAAUAACCUUUUCUAUUUUUUAGAUUUUCCUCUUUUUUUUUUUCUUCUUUUCCUUUUCGUAUAAUAGUUAGUAGUAAUAACCUUUUCUAUUUUUUAGAUUUUCCUCUUUUUUUUUUUUUCUUUCAUGGAGUUCAAUGAAUUUUUUUGCUUUCUUUAUUAUUAUUAUUUUUUCUUUUCCUCUUAUUCUGAUGCUUGGCACCAUUCUGAUUUCUGGUAUUAUGCUGCACCAGCUUGCCAUUGCAGAUAGGUUUGGCACUCUGUCUCUUAUAUACGCAAGUCAGUUUUGCAUUUGUAUCUGGACUUGCACUAACAAUACUGCUUAUACCAGGUACUUGUUGCCCCAAAAGCUUUAUAUAUACAUCAUGCAUCCUUUUCUUCCUUCUUUCCAUGUGCCAAAAGUUCCUUUGUACACUUAUAGUAAUUUUUUCGAUGUUCUUCUGUACUAUAUGGAUCCCAAAUUCCUGUAUAUUGCUUUUGUCAUAAAUAUAAUCUGGAUACCUUAGUAUGCAAUGUUAUUUGUUUGCCAGUACUACUUUUUUGCAGUUAAUAAAUGGAUUUCUGGAUUGAUUGCUAGUGCAACAGAAAAAAUGAUGAAACAAAAGGAUGAGAGGUUAGUCCCUUUAUUCUCAAGCAUUUGAAUAACAUAUCAAUAUAGUUCGAUUCUUCUAUUUUGCAGAACAGGAGGUUAUUGUGCUAAAUUUCAAACUUAUAUAUGAAUUUCAAACCUAUUUACUCAUAUAUGAAUUUCCUUUGUUAGAUGGACAGAAAUAAUGUCGUUGAUAUAUGGAUUGGCCAAAGCAAUACUUAAACCCUUUAAAAUCUUUUUUUGUGUGUAAAAUAAUGUAAUUAAUGUAGUUUAUUUAAUAUAUAUUGUGGGGCAUUCGUUCUUCCCAUUUUUACUCAAAAAAAAACCCUUGGAAAUCACAACUCAUAUCUUAAAGCAGUUGAAUUGAGGCCCUUAAAAGAUGAGUAUUGUAUAUUUGACCAAUUAUGCAAAGAAUAAAUUUGAAUAAAAAGAAAUCAUUUGCAAGACAAGAUUAGUUAUCUGAUUUUUUUUUUUAAAUUUGAGAUAUGAUUUCUCUGAAUUAUGGCCAUCAAUUAAUAACACCCUUUGUAUUCUUGAUAAAGUCUAUAUAGCCACCUUUCUUCCAGACUAGGGGUAUAGAUAUUUAGACUAUUUUCUUUUUGCUUUCUUGAGCAGGAUCAGAAGUGCUGGAGAACUUUUAGCAUUUAUUCGUACAUUGAAGAUGUACAGCUGGGAGGAUCUAUUCAUGAAGAGAUUGAUGGAAAGAAGAGAAAUGGAAGUGAAGCAUCUUUCGGUAUGCGACAAACUGUGUCACCUUUUCGAACUUAUUCAUGCGCGGGUUGGACUCCUUGAACUCAUACUUUCUCUUCUCUAGACUCGAAAAUAUUUGGAUGCAUGGUGUGUGUAUUUCUGGGCGACAACUCCCACGCUGUUCUCUCUUUUCACAUUUGGCAUGUUUGCAUUGAUGGGUCAUUCAUUAGAUGCUGCUACAGUAAGUCAAUGAAAUUGUUGUCUCAGUCUAUAUCAUGUUUUUAGUAAAAUUUAUAUGCUGAAACAUUUCUCUUCGGAUUUUGUUUGUAGGUUUUCACCUGUGUGGCGCUUUUCAAUACAUUGAUAUCUCCACUAAAUUCCUUUCCUUGGGUGAUUAAUGGGAUGAUUGAUGUACGUUGUCUUUUCUUGGUAUCAAUUUCUAGAAAUAUUUACAUCUAACCUCUCCGAAACUAUCUACAUACAUAUAUUGCCCUGGAAAAUCUGAAUUUUCAUGUAUGGCCCCCAAAACUUAAGUUUGUAAAGUAUACCGUUGCUCUUAGAAAAUUUCCCUCUUUAGAAAACUUCUUUAGGGCAAAACCAACUACCAUCCAUGAAUUGGAUGACUCUCCAAUUUUGGACAAGGUAUUAUUGUGAGAAAUUGCAGUUUCGAGGAGUAUAUAUAUGAAAACUUAACCAGGUUUAAACACAAACACACAAGCCCUUGUUUUUAAUUUCCGUUUUAGCAUUAUAUUGAUUAAGGUGCCCCCCCUUUUGUUUAACUGACAUAUGCAUCACAGGCCAUUAUUUCUGCUCGAAGAUUGAGCAAAUACUUGUCCUGCCUUGAGCAUAAAUACAAAUACGAGCAGCGAUCUCUUGAAGAGUUCGAUAAAGAUGGGACUGAUGCAAAUGGUAAUGCAACGGGUAUCAUCUUUCGAGAUGCUUCCUUUUCUUGGUCUAGCAGGAAUGAGGUGGGGCAGAGUGCAGAUAUUAGUGGCAUCUCUCUGGGAAUUUCAAAGGGCCUUCUAGUUGCUAUAAUUGGAGAGGUAAUGAUUGUACUCCCUGUAUAACAAUUAUUUAGCAUUGAAUUGACUUACAUAAAGGAAAUGAAUGGACCAUACGAGCUUGGAAGCGUACACUUUUUUAUUCUAUUCUUAACUCAUGGGUUCCUUUUCAGGUUGGUUCUGGCAAGUCUUCUUUGAUUAAUUCUGUUCUUGGAGAGAUGAAUCUUACUUAUGGGUUCGUACGUUCCCAUGGCUCAAUUGCAUAUGUGCCACAGGUUAGACUUGCAUUUCUAGCUUGACUAGAAAGAAAACCAUUUAUUGUUGGUGAAAUUGAAUUCUGAGUCAUUGUUAUCUUCCUAUCUGAUAUUGUCAUUCCUUCCACGAAUGUUUGUGUUAGGUGCCUUGGAUCCUCUCAGGUUCAUUGCGUGACAAUGUGUUGUUUGGGAAGGAAUUCGAUCGUGUGAGGUAGGGUUUCUUGCUUAAUUAUUGUCCUUUUGGCGAAUUAAAAUUCCUUGCCCACUUCCUGAGUUCUAUAUAUAUAUAUAUAUAUAUAUAUAUUUCAUUUUAUACAGGUAUGGAGAAGUUUUAGAGGCAUGUACACUUGAUGUUGAUAUUUCAAAGAUGAUUGGAGGUGAUGUAUCGUAUAUUGGGGAGAAAGGUGUUAACUUAUCUGGUGGGCAGAGAGCUCGUCUUGCCCUAGCAAGGUGAAAUUUCAUCUUUCUUCAUAACUGGCUCAAAACUUUGUUGAUUAACUUUAAUACGAUCUAAGCAUUUUUGCAGGGCGGUCUACCAUGACUCUGAUAUUUACCUACUUGAUGAUAUACUUAGUGCAGUUGAUUCGCAAGUUGCUCUUUGGAUUUUACAUAGAGCUAUUCUGAGCCCCCUUAUGAACCGGAAGACUAGGUUGCUAUGCACUCAUAAUCUUCAGGUUUGCAUUUGACAAAUUUCAUAGGUGUCUUUGUACAAUUAUGUUAUAUAUUAUAACUCAAUGUUGCUUAGGCAGCUGAAGCUUUUAGAACAAACGGUUGUUUUACAUGGUAUUAGAGCAUGAUGUUCUGAGUUGAAAUAUCAAAUGUGAGGGUAGUGUUGAAUAUAAUAAAAACAAAUCAAUAGUUUAAGUUCUAAUCAGUAGUUCAACUUCUGAUGCUCUGCGGAAAUUCUUCUACAAAUAGUAGAUAAUGUAAAUUGUUGUGUCAUUUAAGGAAUGGUAACAAAAAUCAAAGUUUCUUUCUUUGGACAGGCUAUUUCUUCCGCAGACAUGAUCAUUAUCAUGGAUAAAGGGCAUGUAAAGUGGGCUGGAACUUCAGCUAGUUAUUUCACAUCUCCAUACUCAAAUAUUUGUGCACCAGAUAGUUCAAAUGUCUUGUCAUCAACACCGUUGGAAAAGGGAAAUUGGAAAAGUUCUUCCAAUGGGAAACAGUCUAAACUUCCUCUCGAUAGUGAUUUUAUAGCUUCUGAGCAAUCCACCGAAAGUAUCGAAGUAGAACUGAGGAAAGAGGGCAAAGUUGGACUUGAUGUCUACAAGUUAAGUGUUGUGAAGAUUUAUAAAUUUAUGGGAAUCGCUAGUUAAGUUGAACUACAAUUUGAGUCAUUAAAUUCAUUCUUGCCAUUCAAAAUUACAUGGUAAAUUUUGAGUUAAUUUUCCUUUAUCUGGAUGUCAAAUUAUACAGAAGUUAUGCAGUGUUUGCCAGCUGGCCAGUUGUUAUUAUCAUAUGUGUCUCGGCUUUUCUUAUGCAAGCAUCUCGCAAUGGGAAUGAUCUCUGGUUAUCUCACUGGGUUGAUACGAGCACAGGAACCGAGUACACAAGAUUUUAUUUGGUAAUUUCUUUAUUUUUUUUUUUUUCAUUCCUCUGGAUUAAAGCGAUAAACCAACCAUAGUAUUUUAGUGAAGCUGCUAGAAUAAAUUUUAUGAGAUUACAAUUAUGUGCUUAGGUAAGUUUCACAUUGAUAUGAGAAAGAUGUCUCUAUGUAUACAAAUGGAUGUGGUAUUUCUCUGCUGAUCAGAUACUUGAUUUUGUAGGUUAUCCUUGCUGUUUUUGGCUUAAUGAACUCCCUUUUCACCUUAGCAAGGUCAUUCUCUUUUGCAUAUGGCGGUCUACGUGCAGCAAUUCUGGUCCAUACCAAGAUUCUGGAUAAGCUUCUCAAUGCACCUGUUUAUUUUUUUGACCACAACCCUAGUGGUCGCGUACUGAACAGGUUACUAUACUUCUAAAAUAUUUAAGAACCCUUGCACUAUACAUUUAUGUGCUCUCUUUGGGUAAUCUCCUUGCACCUGUUUAUGUUUACUAUAUAUCCUUUGCAGAUUAUCCUCAGAUUUGUAUACAAUUGAUGAUUCUCUUCCAUUUAUUCUCAAUAUCCUAUUGGCCAACUUCUUUGGGUUAUUAGGAAUUGCAUUUGUUUUGUCCUAUGCACAGGUAAAUGUUUGCAAAUUAUCUUUUAAUAUUGUUAUUGAUCCAGUAACUUUUUUUAUUAAUUCGUUGAAAUUUUCUCGUUUCCUUGAAUCACAUGGUGCAGAUUUUGUUUUUGCUUCUAUUGGUUCCAUUUGGGUAUAUAUACCGGAAACUGCAGGUACUUAUCCUCCCGCACUGUUGCACUUCAUAUCUUGUUCAAUUUUUGAUAAGAAGCAUGGCAUUCCCAUUCAUUUUUUUUAUUCUUGCGCAAUUUAUGCUAAUAGAUGUCCUUGUCAACCUCAUAUAUGGCUUCUUGUUUUUAAUGUUUGUUUUGCUAUGUGAUACUAUUUAUUUCCAUGUAUGAUGAAGGCUACAGAACAUGUUUGUGCUUAUGGCACUUCAAUAUGUGUGAAAUGAAUUUGAGAAUCUGAUGCUUUUUACAGUUUUACUAUAGGGCCACAUCACGCGAAUUGAGGAGGCUUGAUAGUGUUGCUCGUUCACCUAUCUAUUCAUCCUUCACGGAAACAUUGGAUGGAUCAUCAACUAUAAGGGCAUUUGCAAAGGAGGUAAAAUCUUUUCUUAGUUCCAUUCAAGCGACCUCAUCAAUCAUUCACUCAAUAUACAUAAAAGUUGUUUUGAGUUUCGGUUUUUUCCUUUUUCUUUCCUUAGAAAUAAUUUGAUGUCAAACUUAUGUCAAGUCGUAUUGUUUCUUUUUCUACCAUAUUUUUGUUGUUGUCAUUUUCCUUACAAAAUUUCCAUUCUGUUUAGAUUUCGAACAAUUAAAUGGUUAUGCCAAACAACAUUGUUCUAAAACAAAACUGCAACCUUGGAAAAACAGAUAAGAAAUGAUAUUAAUCAGAUCGUAGGUUAUUAACCAUAUAUAUUCACUGUUAGCAUUCAUGUUAUUUUAUAAAUAAAUAUAUCCAUUUGUGCCCUUUAUUUUCUCCUUGGAAAUAUUAUAUACACAUUCUGGAGUUCAUCUACCUCAUAGGUUCCCAGACUGCCUUAAAAAUCUUGAUGAAAAAUCAAGCAGCCCUACCAGCUGUAAAUUCAGACGGAUAGGGUGCAUUAGAAGUUAUGAAUUUGUUCAAUAUUCCUAUAGUCAAAGUGUUUAUUUUCUGUUAGAAUAGCACAACCAAAACACCAAGGUAUACUAAAAUUAUACGAAGUGUUUAAGAUGUCAAUACUUAUCUAAGGAGGCUAAUAUGCAGGAAUUGUUCAUGGCUAGAUUUAUGGAACAUGUAUCACUAUAUCAGCGAACAACCUAUUCAGAGCUGACGGCAGGCUUGUGGCUUUCUUUGCGCCUUCAAGUAUUCUUCUUGCUUUUUUCAUCAAAUUUGAUUUACAUAAUAGCAUGGUCUACACAUCACACUUAUUAUCUUCAACAUAAUCCAACAAAAUGUCUAGUCAGCUGUAAUGUGGAAAUUGACCUGUGAUUUAUUUUAGUUGUUGGCAGCAUUCAUCAUCUUAUUCAUUGCUGUGAUGGCUGUUGUUGGGUGCCAUAGAGAUUUUCCAAUUAAUUUUGGUACACCGGGACUGGUAUAGUUCUAAAGAACAAAUGCUUAAUGUUUCAAUUAUCCCGUUUUCUUUUUCUGAUGUUCAAUGUUUAUUUAUUCAUUGUAGUAAUUAAGAUUUAAGUUUGAUUGAUUGGUUGUAGUAGGUUGGUUUGGCCCUUUCUUACGCGGCGCCAGUCGUUUCAUUGUUGAGCAGUUUUCUAAGUAGUUUCACAGAAACAGAGAAGGAGAUGGUUUCUGUUGAGAGAGUUGGUGAGGUAAUUAGAAUGAUCUUUGUGUGGAUACCUUUCGCAUUGAUCAAUCACUAACGAAAGGAGCAAAAUUUGUAGUAUAUGGAUAUUCCUCAAGAAGAUCUUCAAGGAUCACAACCUCUCGAUCUGAAUUGGCCCAAUGAAGGACAAAUCGAGUUUCAACAUGUUACCCUCAAAUAUAAGCCAUCUCUGCCAGCUGCUUUGAAUGAUGUUUCGUUCAGAAUUGCAGCAGGCAUGCAGGUAGCGUUCUAUACGCACCUUUUUACGGUUGCAAAUGGUCUAUUUACUAGCAUUUUCUUUAUUGAAAAAACAGAAACUUCUAUCUUAUUAGGUUGGAAUAGUUGGAAGGACAGGAGCUGGAAAAUCCAGUGUCCUCAAUGCACUUUUUCGCCUAAACCCUAUUUGUAAUGGGCGCAUUCUGGUAGAUGGUGUUGAUGUGGCUGAUGUUGCUGUUAGAGUUCUUCGUGGGCACUUUGCAGUGGUCCCCCAAAGCCCAUUCUUGUUCGAAGGAUCUCUAAGGUGCAUCCAAGUUUUUUACUUUAGUUUAUAUCUUGUUUUUUUUUAAAUUAAUAUUAGUUCUAAGAGAUAUUUACAUGGACAAACCUGCAACAUAAUAUAUUAAUAUAUAUCACCCCUUAACACCUGUGUAUUCGUAUACAUCCUUGAAGAAAAAAAAAGACACCCAUUUUUUGCAUACAAGCUACCCUAAACUUCCUCUUUUUGUCUUUGAAUGUUAGGGAAAACCUAGAUCCGUAUGGGAGGGCGAGCGACUGGAAAAUCUGGGAAGCCCUAGAAAAAUGCCAUAUGAAGGCAGAGGUAGAAUCAGCUGGUGGACUAGACAUACAUGUAAAAGAAAGCGGCACAUCAUUUUCUGUUGGCCAGCGGCAGCUCAUAUGUCUUGCACGAGCAAUCAUCAAAUCUUCCAAGGUAGAAGAAUUUGAUACUUGUCUGUAGAAAUAUUUCUUAGGACUAGAUAUACUAUCUCAGAUCCUUGGGUUAGUAACUGAUAUGUAUAAACAGCUCGAGCAUGCAUAAAGUAAAGCAUGAUCACUAGAGUAUCAAAUGCUCUUGUUCAUCUUGAUGUACUCAAUUCAUUGCUCACUGGAUGCCUUUUAACCUUCUCCUUCCCUGGAAGUAAAUUGUUUGAUUUGUAUACUACUAAACAGUUGCAAUAUUUUCUUUUAGAUACUCUGUUUGGAUGAAUGCACGGCAAAUGUUGAUACUCAGACGGCGCUACUGCUACAAAGUACCAUAUCUGAUGAAUGUAAAGGCAUGACAAUUCUCACAAUAGCGCAUCGCAUUUCUACGGUGUUGGAGAUGGACAAUAUUUUAGUUCUUGAUCAUGGUAUCCUGGUAAGAUUGGACCCUUCCCACUUAUUUCCACUUUUCAGUUCGCAAGCUGUUUAGUUUCUAGCAAAAGCAUGCUUACUGCUUUCAUCUCGGUACAGUAGCCACGUAUCGAAAUGUAAAUCUCUAAAUAGUUGGUCUGGAUUGACAAAUGGUGGAGGUAGAUGAUGUUUGAUUGCAAAAUUCCAGUUCUUUCAGAAAUCCCAACACGAAAUGAACUGGCUUAAAAUCUAAUUAAUGGAAUGAUAAAGUGACAAAAUUAGAUCAGGAAAGACAGUACAAAGGAUACAGAUAGGUAAACAAGUAAAAAUUCUUAAAAGCUUGACUAAAAGCUGAAAAAAGGUGUAAAUUAAUAAUUUGUAUGGAAUAUAGUAGUAAAGGAGUUACUGCCCCAUAAAUAUGUGGAAAAAGAACAUGACACAUUCACAGUAAGCAAUGGCUCUGGAGUCAUGGGUGCACACACAAAUUCGACAGUUCCGCGUACAUGUGCCUUUUCUUUAUUGCAUAUCAUCUGCUCUGUAAAAGUCCUCUGGUAAGCUUUCAUUAUGCCACUAUUUUCUGAACCAGAGAAGUUGAGGCUUGUGAGGCUUUUUUUUUUUAAAUACAUUUUUUCCUCCUAUUUUGUGUUUUCAUAACUUGCAGCCAAGGUUUUUGACGUUGGAUUUGUUGCUCCAUUCUUAGUGUACCUCCAAAGACAGAAGUGGUUUACUCUCUCAAAUAAUCUGCUGAUGCUACUCAUGUUAGAACAAUUUGUCAAAAUGUAUUGUUUGGUCAUAAAGUGUGUUUGAUUCUUUUGCACCUUAGUUUGAAAGGCCAUUAUUUACCUCUUUAAUUCUUUCUUUUGCUAGUAAAUCGAAUUCCCGAUCUUUCUAUUUGCAGGUUGAACAAGGAAAUCCACAGGAUCUUCUUGAUGAUGAAUGCUCGAGAUUUUCAAGCUACGCUAAGGCAUCCACAAUGUAAGCAUCGGAUAACGGCCUACAUUUAACAGAUAUUUUUUUUUUCGUGGAUUAAGCAUUUAACCUGUGUUAUGUCCUGUUGGAUAGUCCCAAGUUAUUUUAACCGUAGAAAUGCUUCUAUAACUCUAUAUUAAAUUCCUAAACCGCUUAAGAGAUACCAUUAACCAAUAACUGCUACCUUUUGAAGUCAAAAUUGGUUAAAUUUUCACUGGUUGAUGAUGGAUAGCUGAACUGUAGAAUCUGUUUAUUUAUUUUUAUUUUCGUAAUUGCCACCUGUAAGUUUAAAUUUUAUCUAAUUCUGAUAGGAAUUCCAACAUUUCAGAAUCUAAGUUUUUCUUUUUAGGUAUGUGACUUAUAUUCCGAGAAAAUGACGUAGUAAGAGGUUAUGUUGUAGACAUCUUUUCAUUCACCAACAAAAGCAGUUAGCAUUUUUAACCCUCGAGUAAACGAAAGAUGCUGAAAUCGAAAUAGCAAACUGUGCGAAGCUGAUAAGCCCGACCGCUCGCGGCCCAGUUUGGUGCUUCUCUAAUAAAAGGUUUUCAUAACUAUUUUGUGGUGUGUUAGGCUUUUUUUGGGAUUGUGGAGAAAUUGAGUUACGUGCACAUACCAUGUUUGUUUUUAUAUAUAAUAACACAGUUUGCAUAUCGUAAUGAGUCAGUUAUGAUAUUAUUUUUUGCGUUCUCGUCGGAAAAGAGAGAAGUAUAUCUCUAUACGCUUCUGUCCACUAGUGGUAGAUGUGCAUCAUCAAUGUCAAGCGGGCCCUCGGGGGACUGUUGCAUUAAAGUCCUUUUGGACAUUGUUUGGAUCUCUAACUAACGUUUGUUGCUGAGAGCUCAUUUUCAAACUAGGUCUGAGAACCUGUUUCCCAGCCUUCUAGUUGAGAGCUUGUGUAUUUGAGAUGUGGAAAGUCCCUUGGUUGGAUGGAGAUGCCAAGAUGAGACUCUAGCCCUGAGCAUCGAAUUUCUUAUCGGAAAAUGCUACCUGUAUAUCCCAAUCAGAGUGUAAAUCUUACAACUUUGAAAACCUUAAGUUAAUUUUAGUUAAAAUGUAUCUAGAAAAAUAUUGAUAAGACAAGUGAGAGAAUCGUAGUUGGGAAUCAUAAUAAUUUGAUUUGACAGUUGAAGUGCUUGUUUGACUCAGUUGGAUAUGCAAAAGUGCUGCUUUUAGUUUAAUUACUCCAAAGAAACACUAACAGUUCUCUUUAUAAAAGUCCUCGCUGUAGCUUCUGGUAGCAUCAGAAGUGGAGAAUGGAGCUUCAUAUGGGAGCCAUUGCUUUUGGGAUCAUAUACUCACUUUAGCUUCCUUUCACAACAAAGGCACUCAGCUUUUUUCUUCAAAGAGAAAGGUAGCACUUUACCUGCUUCAUUCAUUAAGUAGGUAAAAUUAGCUACAUAGAGUGAGACAGUCUGGGCCUCGAGAGACACUUAAACAAANUUUGAAAGAGAAAGGUAGCACUUUACCUGCUUCAUUCAUUAAGUAGGUAAAAUUAGCUACAUAGAGUGAGACAGUCUGGGCCUCGAGAGACACUUAAACAAAUAAUAGAAAAUAACAAAAGGAAGAGCCCAAUAAAAACGAGAACAAGCAACAGAACGAAGGGUGUAACAAACACCAAAAUCACCCUGACAAAAAUCAGUCCACUCCAUCGCCAAUACUCCGAUACCGUGGGCAAUAGAGAUAGCGUUCAUUGGAAGGUUUCAAAAGAUAAUAUUGUUUCUUGCACGCCAGAUCGACCAUCAUGUGGCCGCCACAAAUGUCAAAACCUUAGUAAAGUCGCCCAGCGACCUUUUUCUUGCCCUCCUCCCAGACGGAAUUGACAUCCUCAGAGGAGGUGGAAACGUGAGGGUCGUCAAGGAGUGGAAUAAAAGAUACUUGGUAACGGCACAUUCCACCAACAAGUGGUCUACUGUUUUCAGCUUGUCGGCACAUAAGACACACAUGGUAUUUCCUGACCAUCCUCUUUUGAGCAAAUUAUCCACAGUAGGCAAUUUCUUUUCUUUGGCUAGGGCUAGCCAAAGAAAAAUUUUGACUUUUGUCGGAAUUUUUAUUUUCCAAAUGGCAGGCGUCUUGACAUCCAAGACACCCCCCGUCCUGAUAAGCGAGUACACUGAUUUGACCGUAAAUUUAUUUUCGGAGUUCUAUCUCCAGUGGAUGCCAUCAGGAUUGUCAUUGACGCGAAAGUUCGAGACGAUGUUCUGUAGCUCCCUAAUUCUCUGUUCGUAGUAGAGAAAUUGUUCAAAAUGUAUCGAUGAAGUGUUGCGUAAGUAGUACUUAAGAAAUAGAAGUGCUAUACCAAAAUUCCUCCAACAUUUUUUUUUCUGUUUUAGAAGCAAGACACCACAGUAAAACUUCUGCUUUUGGGACUCACAUUUCUAUUCAAUUUUUUACCGUAGUUGUAGCUUUACUAGUUUUUUUUUAUUUGUUGGUGGGGGCUAUAAAGUAAAGCAGAUGCACGAGCAAUCCAAACAAACAUCAAACAGCAUGCAUGUAGAGAAUCAUACAUGUGCAAAUCCAUAGCAAAGACAAAUAACCAACCUUAGACUCAGACUAAAUUCAUUCAAUCUCUUUAGACUAAAACCAUGUUGCUACUGCCAUCUCUUCAAACAUUACAAAGCAGUCAAAAGUUACAGCUGUCUCAUUAGAGGCAUGCACAUAAACUCCCACAAAAGAGAAUCUUGCUCAAUUUUAGCAAAUGGAGAGAGAAUAUUUUUUUUGAGAAAGAGAGGUAGCAUGCUACCUGAUUCGUUUAUUUUUUUUUAGAAAUAAGCUUAAUUAGAAAUGUGAAUCAAUUAGAAUUCGAAUUUAGGACCUCAGGUACCAACCAUUAAGCUCUUUGCCACUUGCACUAGGGAUGGUCGGUAAGUACCCUGUUGAGUUAAACAAGAGAACUAAAAGUAAUGCCAUAUAUAUGUAGAUUCUCAUAAUGAGAAAGGAGGAUAAUUAAGCUAGAAUAUUAUUAGUAGCACUAAGUCAUUGGGGCUAUUAGGUCUUCUGCCUUUGGAUGAAGAGAUGUGCGGUUAGGAUGAUAGUAGGCUCAUAGGUUUGAGUGGUGAUUGAUUUAGUAUGAUCUAACAGAUGAAAAUGAUCAAAAAAAUAGAUCUAAUUAAUAGCAGAAAACUUAUAAGUACUAAAUAUUUGCUGUUUUUAAAAGUACCAUAUCCAGGCUCUCUCUCUAUAUAUAUAUAUAUGGUCCCCAAAAAAGGCCAUCAUUAACUAACAAGCUUCAUAGAAAGGGAAAAAAGAAAAAAAAAAAAGAAAAAAGGAGCAAAGGUCUUUCUCUUGCUUUUUCUAUAUUGCACUUCAGUUUUCCUUGGUGGAUGGUGAUGCAUCAUUAGUUAUCUAUUACUUGUUUGAAACUUUUGAACCCCUUUGAGUCCGACUGGCAGGUUCAUAAAUACUUCUCUCUCUCAAUUGGCUGCCAGCCACUUGCCAGGCCAUCCACAUCUCUCUCUCUCUCUCUCUCUCUCUCUCUCUCUCUCUCUCUCUCUCUCUCUCUCUCUCUCUCUCAUGUAUGAGUGCAGGGGAGAACGUUAUAGACAGUUCCUUGCGCAGAAUUUUUUUUAUCGUAUCUAAUAGAUUUAUAAUAGAACAUAACCUGCCGUCCAUUAGAUAGCUCGCUUGCUUAACAGACACAAUAUAAUCAUGCGCAUGAGGUUGCAACCAAUACGCUCUGAGAGUAUUGGAAAUAACUUAGGUUCAAUGUGUUAUGGCGGUAAUCAAUAGAGCAACAAAAUAAAAAUAAAAGAAAAGAAAAGAAAAAAUGUCUUUAUUGAGGUGGAGAAUAAUUAACAAGUUCACGGCGCAAUUGUUCUAUGUAACUUUAGCCUCUUUAUAGUGCUUAACUCGCACAUAUGAAUAACUAUGAAUAAACUAAAAAUUCAAACUGAAUAACAACCUAAAAGUCAAUCCUUUAUAACUAUAUAGUUAAAAACAAAUCUAACUAGUGAUUUGAUCUUAUCUUUAACAAAAUCUAACUAGUGAUUUGAUCAUUAUCUUUAACACAAUAUCAUCCAGCAUCCACAGCCACAAAGUACUAUAAUAUAACUAUUUGAAUAGUAAAUAAUAAAAAUUGUAUAAAAUUUAGUUGCACUUUUUAUAAAUUCAAUUAAAAAUUUCCAAAUCGACAUGUAAGGCAAUUAAGUAGCCGCACUUAUUUCAAGUAGAAUGGACAAAUUAUGGGUUAUCACGAAAAUGUAUAAAGUUCUUUAGUGUAACAGUUAUGUUUUGCAUCAUGGGUCUACAUGCAUGUAUGAUCCACGUGUCACUAUCAUACGUGAGAUUUUUGAUACUUAUUUAGCUUCAAAACAAAGAGUUAUAGACAUAAUAUCCAUGGAUAGUGUAGUGUAAGGUCCUUAACACUUAAUAGUGUGUUGGGUCCAUUUCGUUGAAUGAUGGUUCACCUAAUGUAUAGCGAGUGGUGGUCACCUUCGCAAAUUCAAAACUUAAUAUAUUUAUAAAAGCAAAUGUACAUUAACCCCAUCAAACUUAGUCACUUUCUCUCUCAAAAAAAAAAAAACUUAGUCACUCUAACUUUAAAGAAUCAACAAGAUAAUUUACUAAAUUUUAACUUGUUUCAGUUAACCAUCUUUAAUAAAUGCCACUUAUUGGAAAAAUAGUGAAAUUUGGAGUUGCAUAGUUGAUUAAAACAUACUAAAAGUUUAUAUAAUUUCUUAAUUUAUUAUUAUUUUUUUAAGUUCAAAUGACUAAGUGUAAUCGGACAAAUUUCACAAUGUCCUUCAGGAUUCACAGCCACAAAGUACUAUAAUAUAACUAUAUGAUAUUAAUUGUACUUUUUAUAAAUUCAAUUAAAAAUUUCCAAAUUGACAUGCAAGGCAAUUAGGUAGCUGCACUUAUUUCAAGUAGAAUGGACAACUUAUGGGUUAUCAUGAAAAAGUAUAAAGUUCUUUAAUUAGUGUAACAGUUAUGUUUUGCAUCAUGGGUCUACAUGUAUAAUUAUAUGAUCCAUGUGUCACUAUCAUACGUGAGAUUUUCGAUACUUAUUUAGCUUUAAAACAAAGAGUUACAGACAUAAUAUCCAGGGAUAGUGUAUUGUAAGGUCCUUAACACUUAAUAGUGUGUUGGGGCCAUUUCAUUGAAUGAUGGUUCACCUAUGUAUAGUGAGUGGUGGUCACCUUUGCAAAUUCAAAACUAUAUAUAUAUAUAUAUAUAUAUAUAUAUAUAUAUAAAUGUACAUUAACCCCAUUAAACUUAGUCACUCUUAACUUUAAAGAAUCAACAAGAUAAUUUACCAAAAUUUAAUUUGUUUCAGUUAACCAUCUUUAAGAGAUGCCACAUAUUGACAAAAUAGUGAAAAUUUGAAGCUACGUAGUUGAUUAAAACAUACUAAAAGUUUAUAUGACUUCGUAAUUUAUUAUAACUUUUUUAAAAGUUCAGAUGACUAAGUGUAAUCGGGCUAAAAUUUCGGGCACUCUGAUAUUGUAGUUUUUUUCUCUUCCCAAUCAUACAUGUUCUAACUCUAUUAUGAACUCCUAAAAUUAGGGUAACCUCCUAUACCUAAUAGGACGACCCAAAAAAUUUAAUAAAUAAAUAAAUAAAAAGAAAGGAAAAGAGGACACUUUGAUUUCAUGCAUGCAUCAAAGAGGUGGCUUGGCAAAUUCAUUAGGUGAAUGGUUUUCAUAAUCCAAACCCUAAUUAACCAGGUUGUUCUUUAAUAGCAAGUGUCUUAGCCAAAAUUUUUAUUGGUGUCCCAUCCCAUCUAUCAUGGAAAGGAAUGUUUGGGAGGCUUAUUUAUUUUAUUUUCUAGGUUUAGUGACAAAUUAUUAGGUGUCUUUGGUACAACAGUAUCUAGUAGAGGUGUUUAGUGACCAAUUAUUAGUUGUUGUUUGGACAAGAGUAUCUAGUAGAGGUGUCAAUGGACCAUGCAUUUUUGCAAACCCAUAAUCCUAAAAAUAUAAGGUCCAAUAAAGUACUUAAUAUCCUCUACAAUGCUGUUUUUAUAGACAAUGUCGACAUUUUGGCAAAUACAUGUCGUAUUUUUGGACAUUAGAAUCUCUUUAUCAACGGUUGAUAAGGAUAGCAUUUUGAAAUGUGUAGUUAGUACUAAAAAAGAAAAAGUUUAAUGAGGCCUAUAGUAGGUUUGUUUUUCCCUAAAGUUAAAAUUCUACAUAAGAUACCUAGCUUUUCCAGUGAUUUGAUGGGGGAAAAUGUCCAUAUAUGCUAAUUGUUUCCAAUCAAUGUUGUCACUCAUAGCUAUUGAUUUUUAUAUAAGCAUUACUAACAGUGAUUUGCAGGUGUGUGCUCCAACUUCAGGUAGUAGCUCAAUGCAUUGCCUUCUUUUUCCUGCAUACUAAUAAUAAUAAUAAUCAUAAUCAUCGGCCGCAGUUAGUUAAUUAAGGGUUUGAUGGUCGGUACUUGACGUCGCAAGUUUGAAUUUUACUUGUUUCACAUUUCUAGUUGAGCCUAUUUCUAGAGAAUGAAGAAAGCGAGUAGCAUACUACUUUUCUCAAAAAAAUUAUAAAAGAAAUCAUAAUCUCCAAGUCAUAUAAUGUAGGUGGUUGCUAAACCUAGUGACCGUGCUUGCUAGUACUGGCAACUUGUUGGAUCCAAACCAUCGUCCAAAAAUAAGACACUUGUAAAACUAAGCACGUAAUCGAGUGCCUCAUUAACCAUUCUAAAUUGAAAGAAUUGACGGUACAAAGUAACUGAAUUGACAUUUAUAGUGAUUUGAUAAAUUAUAUGAUUAUCAUGUGCUACUAUAUUUUAAUGAUUGAUUUUACAAGAUCUAAGUGUUAUGGUUUGAAUAACUUUAAAACAAAGUGUUGUAUUAUAUGAACCAUGCAAAAUAAGAUCAUAUUAGAAAUUCCAAAAGUUUUUUAUUCCAAAAAAACUAUUUAUCAAACAAGACCAUAACAUUUGAGGUCCAAAAGGUACAUACGAGGAAUGGUCAAGGAAAAGAAGCUUUAAUUAGUGAUGUAAUUUUCAAUGUUUCCUUUAAUUUGAGAACUCUUCCCCAAAAAUGUAGCAUCUACUAAAGAGGGGUUCUCUUGUUAUAAAAAAUGGAUAAAAUUUUGAUGUGUGAAUUGUGGAAUAUGUAGCCACAUAUGUAUGUUUCUGUGUUCCCUUUUCUUUGUUAGGUUCUUUCACCUUUUUUUUCCCAACCUUUUAGUUUGAUUAAUUUUCUUUUAUUCUUUUGUGAAAAUUAGGAGAGUGACACAACAAGGGUGUAAUUAAUAAUUGACCUUGUGUCUUAUUAAAUCCUUACUUUUCUCUUUUAUUUGAGAAUCGAUUUUUUCCCUUAUUGUAAGUGUUUAUUAGUGUUUUGUAUCUAAAUCUAAAAUCACUAAUUUAUGCGCCAAGUAUUUGUGGUGGUGUGUGUAUAUAUAUCUAUAUAUAUAUAAAAGCGAUAUAGGAAUUCGACAAUGAUAGAUGCGUCGUAAAAAAAAUAAAUAAUAUGCUCUUACAAGCUGGUUAUGAUUAAUUUUGUUAAAAAAUGUAUCUCAAAUAAAAUGAACUUAGUUAUGAUCAUAUCUAUUAAAUCUCUACCGUGUAUAAAUCUUAUUACUAAAAAAUAUCCAAAUUAAGAACAAGUUAUAAUCAAUCUAUUAAAACAGCCAAUCAUUGCCUAUCCAAUUUAUAAUCAAUUGUAAGGACGAUUAUAAUCAAUUUGUUUUAAAAAAAUAUUCAAAUAAAAAAACAAACGCGUUUAUGAUCAAAUUAAAAAAUAUCUCAAAUAUCGUAUUCAUACUAGUUUUACAUUAAAUAUUAAAAUUUGAGUUUAUAUUUAUUUAUCAUGAAUUAAUUUAAUUUGUAUCAAAUGUUGUAUAACAAAUAUAAUUUUUUUAUUAACUGUAGAUGAAAUUUAAAUUUAAAUUUUAAAUCGUAAUGUGAAUUAAAUUUGAUGACCUUUUAGUUUAAAGAUAAAUUAUAAAUUUUAUUCAUCAAAAAUCAAAAGUAUAUAAAUGUUCGAUGACUUAUCUAUAUCUAUAUCGUAUACUAUAUAUAAAGCGUAUAGUGAAUUCUGACAAUGACAGACGGUUAGAUCUAAAAAAUAGAUAAUAAUAAUAUUCUUCAUACAAAUGGUUUAUGAUUAAUUUGUUAAAAAUAUCUCAAUAUCAACAAUGAACGGUUAUGAUCAAUUAUUAAAUCUUUAAUGUUGUAAAAAUCUAUUUCUUAAAAAGUAUCUCAAAUUAAUAACAGUAUAUAAUCAAUCUAUUAAAAAGCAUCAUUACUGAUCCAUUUUGAUAAAUCGAUUCGUUGGAGGGACUGAUUUAUAAUCAAGUUUGCUAAAAAAUUCUCAAAUAAAAACAAAAAGGUUAUGAUCAAAAUUUAAAAAUAAUCGUCAAUAUCUACUCAUCUAUUGUUAUUAAAAUUAAAAUUUGGAGUUUAAAUUAUGAAUGAAAUUAAUUUGUACCAAAUUUGAACAUUAAAACAAUUAAUUUUUCAUUAUAGUAGAUGAAAAUUAAUUUUAAAUUUAAAAGAAAUGUAAUUAAAUUUUGAUUUGCUUUUGUUUAAAUACUAGUUUAUAUAUUUUUUUAUAUUAUUUUAAUUUUCAUCAAAUAUUCAAAAAGUUUAUUAUUUUUAUUUAUUAAUUAGUCGUGGAUGUAUAGAAGAAAAAGAACAAUGCUAAGGAUAUUGAUAAAUAUUUUCUAAUAAAAUAUAAGAAAUAUAAUUUAUAAAUAUAAUUUUUAUUGCUUAAAAAUUGUGGCAUAUAUUUUAUAUGAUAAUGUACAAAUUUAUAUUUUAUUUGAAAUAUUUUUAUAAUAAUAUGUUACGUGCAUUUGCCUCGUACAUUAACUAAGAUAUAAUUAUAUAUAUAUAAUAUAUAAAUGAUAUAUUAUAGUAUGCCUACCAGUUUUUUAGCCUGAUGGAUCUAAUCUUCUUCAUUAUUUUUAACCAUUGCCGAUUAAUUACUUCUACUGAGUGGCGGAGCACUCAACCUAGGGGAGGGACACUCAACUGUAACGUACUAAUAUUCAUCCUGAUAGCUACAGUUUUUUCAUCCAAGCGAAGUUAAAAAAUUGAUAUAGACCUAAAAAGGCGUUUACUCUAUUAAUAGUAUUCCAGCGCAUCAAUUAAAUAUAUAGGUAUAUAGUAAUUAUUAUAGUAUAUAUAGUAUAUAGUAUAUAUAAUAUAUAUAAUAGUCAUUAUAUAUAUAUAUUAUAGAUAUAAUAUACUAGUAUAGUAUAUACUGAGCCUAUAUUAGUUAGCUGAAAAUUUCAUCCUAUUGCCUACCAUUUUUUUAGUCUUUGCAGAUCAACUAUUUUCAUUUAUUUAAAACAUUGGUAUUUUUAAAUACUAUAACCCGUAGUGGGCAGACCACGACAACCCUAGGGAACCCCACUCUAACCGAAUAAUAUCAUCCUGACCCUACAAUUUUUCAUCCUAAGGGUUAAAAAACUUAAUAGCAAAAGAGCGUAUUUACAAUAUAAUAUUAUAUCCACCUUUGAUAUAUAUAUAUAAUAUAUAUAUUAUAAUAUAUAUAUAAUAUAUAUAUAUAGCCGAUCGUCGACUCGAAAGUCCGAAUAUCGAAAACAACUUGAAAGCACGGAAGGCUUCGUGUUUCCAGAAGCAUACCGGCCCACUCUCUCUUUCUCUCUCUCUCUCUCUCUCUAUAUAUAUGCAUUCAUUAUAUUUGGUUGUUAGUUAAUUAUUUUACAUCUCUAUUACGUGCGAAUUAAAUAGAAUUUAUUUAUUUAAUUAAGAUGUAAAGACUCAAGCGAUUGCCUAAUGAGCAAAACUUGAUUUCUACUUCAAUUAAAUAAAAAGGAAAAAAUUAAUAAUAAUUUUUAUUUUUACUACGGACAAGAAUGUAAUUUCACUGAAUCCUUUUAAAAUCAAACAAUCAAUAUAUAGUGAUCAGAUUCAACAAAUAUAACUGGUCAAUGAUAAAAUGUAAUAAGUUAAUAACAUUAUUAGUAACUUUUAUUUAUUAAAUUUAAUUAAUAUUAGUUAUAUAUUAAAUAGUAGCUAGAUUCAACGAAUUCAUAUGUCAAUAGUAAUUAAUUCACGACAUGUAGAUGUCAUUCCGCAUUAAAAAAAAAAAGAAAAGAAUUAAUCACCAUAGUGAGGAGGUGGUCACAUAUAUAGCCAAGUAGGCUAUAAUGUGGGACAAAGCAAAGUACAAAGAUCAUGAGGAGUAUGUAGAAAGAUUAGAUGUCACGCAUAUAAAGUAAGGUAUAAUCAUUCUCAUUGAACAGGUCAUCAUGUGUAUGUAUUGCUCCCCAUUAUCAUGGCUUUUUAUUAUCAAUAAUUAGUAGAUUAGAUUCUGGUUGGAUGUGGAACAAAAAGUUGAAUACGAUUUUCACUUAUUCUCUCCAUGAUUAGAGGAUUUGGUACAAGUNACCACUAGUUUCACAGCAUUUUAGCUGUUAAAAACUGCCGGAUAUACUCGGCAAACGAACAAAUUGCCACAUCUCGUUAGGUUUAACGAAUUUAAAAACUAUCUUUUAAAAAAUAUGAUAAAUCUAUUACAAACUAUUGAGACUAAUACUUAACUCUUUCAGAUUGGUGAUAAAAUUCUUCUAAUAAGUAAAUACUAGCAAGUAAAAAAUUGAAAAUUCUACUUGAACUAUUACUAAAAAUUUAUAAUGUUUUAAACCAAAGAUUUGUAAAGAUUAACACAUCUAGUUAAAGUUGCCACGGCUAAUAGUUAAACUUCAAGGCUAGUAAGUUUUGCUGAACUAUCCUGUUCACGAGGAUAGGAUAAUUAUCCUAUCAUCGGUCUGAGAGAGAGAGAGAGAGAGAGAUAUAUAUAUAUUUUUGUUUUUGUGAUAUAUAUGAUUUAUUUAUUAAUAUUUUUAUUUAUCAUUUAAUAUAUAUAUUAUUUAAUAAUAUAUUAUUAUAUAGAUAUAAUAUUUUUAUUUUAUGAUAUAUAUUAUUUAGUUAUAUAUAAAUAUUUAUUUUAACAUAUACAUAUAUGAGAAUACUCAUAUCAAGGGGUACAUGAGUAUUCAAAAACCGGCAAUCUAGAUAAAAAAACUAGUAAAGGUGGGCAAUUAGAAUGAUAAGUUGGUUGGUUGGUGGGUGAGUUGGGAUCCCCUAAUGAUAAUUGAAUUGGCCCCUGGUGAUAGUAGAAUUGGCGUGUAGAGAAGUAGGUUACCUUUCAAUACUCAUGUUUCCCCCGAUAUGAGUAUUCUCAUAUCAUCGGGAUGGGCACGGCACGGCGCAGGGCUGGGGCGUGGGCCGCGGCCGCUGGCGUGGGGCGCGGUGCGGGCGCCGUCGCCGCAUCGGACGGUGGCACGGCCGCUGGCGCGGGCGCGGGGCGAGCUCGACUCCUCUCCCCCUCUCCCCCGCUCUUUCUCUCUCUCUGUCGACCCCCCCUUCCUCUGUAAACCAUUAUCAAAAUUUAUGAAAUUUAGUUUCUAGAUAUUUCAAAUACUCUAGAUCAACUUCAACGGCUCCGAUCAUCGAUUCGGAAUCUCGAUCAUCAAGAACAACUUGAUAGGACAAGUGCUCCUAUCCUACUAAUAGGAUAGUAGCAUUAGCCUAUAUAUAUAUAUAUAUAGAGAGAGAGAGAGAGAGUGUUUAUUUUUCGGAAGUUUCAAAUACUUUAAAUUAUAUUUGACGGAGUGAAUUAUCAAUUUGGAAUCUUUAUCAUCAAAAAUAAUUUAUGAGUACGAAAAGCUCUAUACUCAUAAGAGCAUAGUAGCUAGCCCUACUAGAUAUACGAGUACUAAAGGCUUUUCCGAUAUUGUUCUUUUGUCAAUCAAGUGGAUGUAAAAAUGAACGGCUGAAAAUAAAUAUUCUUUAAAAAGUGAUGAUAUAAAUUUUAUAAUCAAGAUCGAGAGUAUAAAUCUUAUUCUAAAUAGUUUAAAGAGUUUUCUAACCAAAAUUCAAUUGAUUUGGAUAGCUUUACACCAUUAAACAAGAAACACCUCAUAUCUAUCAUUAAAAUUAUAAAUUUUGAAACUCUUUGAUCAUCAGGUUAAUAAUGUCAAAAAGAUUUGAAAUUUGAUUUCUAGAUACUUCAAUUAGUAUAGAUCAUAAUCAAUGGUGCUGAUCAUCGAUUUGAAGGCUCCAUCAUAAAAAACAAAUAGGUGGCAAUGGAGCCCGCAAUAGCAUUUUAGCUCAACUCUCUCUCUCUCUCUCUCUCUCUCUCUCUCUAUAAAUAUAUAUAUAUAUAUAUAUAUAUAUAUAUAUAUAUAUAUAUAUAUAGUAAGUCUUGUGUGCUAUUAAGAGCACGGAAGUCUCCGUGCUCCUAAGCCGUUUUUAAUGAUGGAGUUUUCGAAUCGACGAUACGUCAGACUUGAUCUAAUAUAUUUGAACUAUCUAGAAAAUAAAUUUUGUGAUUUUUCGGUAUCAUUUACCUACCGAUCGAAAGUGUUCAAAAUCAAUAAUUUUUAAUUGUUGAUGUAUAGUGUUUGUUAGUUCAACAGUAUAGAAGUAUUCAAAUCAGAUGAAAUUUUGAUAAAAAAUUCUUUAUACUAUUUACAGCAAGAUCAAUAUCUUUGAUUGAAAAUUUUAAUGCUAUAUCACCACUUUUUAUAGGAUUUUAUUUUCAGCUGUUGAUUUUGAACACUUCUGAUUGCUAUGUAAAUGAUAUCGUAAAUAGCAAGAUUUAUUUUUUAGAUAUUUCAAAUAUGCUAAAUCAAGUCUAACAGAGCUAAUCGUUGAUUCGGAAACUUCAUCAUCGAUAACGGCUUAGAAGCACGGAGGCCUCCGUGCUCCUAAUAGCACACAAGACCUACUCUCUCUCUCUCUAUAUAUAUAUAUAUAGAGUUGAGCUGGAAUGCUAUCGGUAGCACCAAACCUGCGUUUAACAGCAAAUGAGAGGAUCUAUAUAUCUAACGUACACAUCAUAUUCAAUUGUGAUGAUUAAUAUAUUAAAAUUAAAAUUUAAAUCGAAAUAUUUUGUUGGCUUAAAAGAUUAGUAUUUUAUCUUGUGGCGGGAGGUCAGAUUAGGCCGAAUUAUAUUUAAAAUGACAAGAAGUCAGGUUGGACCAAAUCAUGUUCGAAAUUACGUGAGGCUUCAUGGGCCGAAUCACAAUCUAGAUCUGUGAACGCUAUAUUUAUACGACUUAAAAUGACAAGAAGUCGGGUUCGACCAAGUCAUGUUCGAAAUUACGUGAGGCUUCAUGGGCCGAACCACAAUCUAGAUUUGUGGGCGCUAUAUUUAUACGAUUUAAGUGAAGUGAUUGCGUAUUUCUAAUUGCUCUAAUUUUUGUGAUUAAUUGUAAGCAUCAACGAUCUAACGCACAUAACCUAAAUUUUAAAAUAAAUCUAUAAAUAAAAAAACCACUUAAUUUAAAUUUUAUUACUAAUAUAUUAAAUAAGCUAAAAAAUAAUAAUUUUUAAUAGACGUUGUUCAACAAUGUCCAAAACUUAUAAUUUUGUAUAUAUUACCUCUUUGAAUAUUAUAGGAUAUAUUUAAUAAAUUAAGUUUUUGAUUUUGAGACAUCUAUAUAUCACUGUAUUUUUAGGAAAUGGUGUAUAUAUAUAUGGUACUUAAUAAAUUAAUUUUUGUGAUUUAGCAGGCAAAAAUAUUUCAAAGUGAUAAAGGUGAUCUCCUUAAUUAUCUUAAUCUGAAAAAUAGAAGACUUAAAACUAAAAUUUAAUUUCUCGAAUGUAUACCAUGACAUUGAAAAGUCUACAUAAUAAAAAUAAAAAAUUAUAAUUUUUUAUACAGUUUACGGUGCAUCAGAUGGACCUACUAAAUUUAUAUAUAGACAUGUGUCAACUAAAGAGAAUAGCCCCACAUCAUUUAGCAUAUGGUAAUACGUAGUUUGGGAUCUUUAGUUUUUUACUAUCCAUGCAUGUGUUAUGUACAUAUUUGUGGUAGUGUAUGAGAAAAAGAUGUGUAUGACAAAAAUCAAAAUAUUAGGUCGAUGAUAUUUUAAUUUUCAAACUUUAAUUUAUUGUGAUUUCUGGAUCAAACCUUACAGAUUAUUAUAAUUAAGUUUUACAAUUUAAUUUAGUUGACUGAAUAAUAACACAUCACUAAAGUGGUGAUGAUGUGAUAUUUUAACCAUUAAUAAUUACGUAAUCAAUUAUAAUACUAUCACAUUACUAUCGCAUGCAUUAGGGAGCUAUCAUUAUUCAAUCAGCUAAAUUGUACUAUAGGAUUAAAUUGCAAUAAUUUAUAAAUUCAAAUCAUAAAUUAUAAUAAAUUAAAAUUUGCGAAUUAAAAUAUCACAUUCCUCAUAGUUUGAGGACAAAAAAUGUAAUUUAGCCUUGUUGUUAAGUGUACUUCCAUUGUAGCUAGGGAAGCUAAUUAUAUAAGCAAGUAUGUGGCUUUAAUUUUUUUACGCCAUCGACCUCUCACUUUAAAGCUUUUAAGGAUUCGUACAGUUGAUAGGUACGUUUUGCUCUAGACAAAAAAAAACAACUAGAAUUCGAGAUUUUCGCAUAUCUAUGUAACCCUACAUGAUCCUCCAAAUACUAAAAAGGCAAAUAAUGCACUUUGUAGUUCCUAAUGUGAGAUGUUUGGUUCUAAUGAUGAUGAAUAAUAAUGAACUUCUUCAACUUCAAGUAGGGGUGAUUACUAUUUGAGUCCAAACAAUGAAUUGAACCCAACCGAGUCAUUUCAUUUGGCUAUAUAGUUAGGUUUCACAGUACGUAAUUUGGUCGAUUCAAUUUUAAGAAUUAAGAACCGAUCGAGUAAUCCAAAUAUAUUGAAUUAGCCUAGCUAGUAUAAUAAUUUGAUGUGUAUUAGUUGUUAGUUGAUUGAUCAAAAGUACAUCGAUAUUCAUUUAAGGAGUAAGAUUUAUCGCACUGAUAUCCCUUGUAUUGUAGCUAGUACAUCCAUCGAUUGUUGCACUUAGUUGAUUCAGUUUGCUGUAGAAAUAAAUCCUAAAACGAACUCGAUCCGACCCGACCCAACCCGAGCAUCCCAUAAACCUAACUUCAAGAACAUCCACAUUUUUGGCUAUAAUUAAAACAAGAAGCUCUUUUUCGAGAAUGAGUGACCCCACAAAACACAGGUGUACAGUAUCUUCAAGUACAGAACAUGUUAUUUCAUGUGCUCCACAAGUUGGUAAUAUCCCAAGAUGCCCUUCUAAAAAGGAAUGUUUUGGAACUAUGGUUCUACAUGGACCACAAUAAUUCCCCCCUCUCCAAAACUCCCCGUUGGCAUGGAGUAGUGGUGCUAAACCCUAGAUCCUGCUCUAAGGCCCCAGUGUUCCCUAGCUUUUAAGAGGUGAGCAUCACUAGGAGCACUAUCAGGUCCCAUGCGGGUCGGAUAUACAUAUCAUGUAGGUCUGAGUCCGAAAAACCAAUACGAUCUGAUCACGUGAUGCGGGUGUUACAGAAAAACAAACUCGUCGGCCUUUAAAUGGCUUAGCCCAAUGUGGGAACAUUGUUUGGAUCAUUGUGAUCUCAUGCCACUAUAAAGGUAGGACCCAGGUUGUUUUUGUCUGGAGAAGUGGACCCAAGCCAUGGGAAUCAAUUUAAUGGCUUGUAGCUACAUGACAAAUCAAGGUACAAGUGGGGAAAGCAAAAUUCCAAUAGCUUGGGUUGGAGCCAAGUGUGACCAUGACUAGAUCAGUUGGAGUUUAGCUCCCAUAGCUUUGAUGAAAAGGGAGAUAAUAAACCAAUAUUCGAAGGGGGGGUCCUACAUGUCUCCUCAUGACUCAAACGUUGUUGUUAUGUAUUUGGAUUUAUCAUGGAGCUGUUUCAAAUAAUCUUCUUAUCUUAGUGCACAUUGAAAAUAGUCAUGUGUAGAAACAUGAACAUGCACCAAGAAUAUCAACAUCAACAUCAACAUAUAGUUUUCUGAAUUAAAUGUGGAUAGCUUCCUCAUUGUGAUUCUUUUGUAUACAGCUUGAUAUUGUUGGCCAAAUUUCUUCAGCCAUUAAUUGCAUUCUCUUUUUAUUGCUCAUCUUUAUCCCUACGUUUUCUUUCUCUAUUGUUCUAAACAUAUUCUUCUAAGGUAAUUAUAUUUGGUUCACAACUAUAAAAAGUUAUACCUUUGAUAACUAGUUAUUCUGGGAUAAACCGAAAUAAGUGUAAAAUUAUGUUUGGUUUACAAUUCUUUCCUUGGAAUAAUUCAAAUUGUGUUUAGUAUUUAUUUCUAGGAGAUUGAGUUGGAAUUAAUAAAUAAAUCAUGUAGUUAAACUCAAACCAAGCUUUUUCUUUGCCAAGGUUUAACUGCUUACGGAUAACUUUUUUAAUCUUAAACAUGAUUGACUAUAGAAGCAAUGCCAAAACAUUUUGUCACAAAUUAAAGUAAGUCACCAUUUUGUAAGCAUAUGAAGAGUCAUAAUUAAUUGCCAAAUUAUCAUGAUUAGCCAUGCCAUAGAAUAAUUAUGUAGCUUACUAGGGUUUAUUAGCACAAAACGAGAAAGUAAUCAUUGACCACACCACCAAUUUGGUUAUGUAAAAUAAGUUGUAGUUUUUGUGAGGAUGUGAAAGUUUAGCCCUAAUUAGUUGUAAAUAGUGCCAUUUGCUUCGUUCUAAUUGGUUGGUUAGUUUGGGUCCAUUGGGUAAUAAAUUGGGCAACUUAACUAUGCCUAGAAGCUUAUCUAGUACUACAGUAGGUUAUAGUGUUGUUUGAUAAAGUAAUAUCCGAGAAUUGAUAUGUUUCUUCCACUGGUUUUUUCUUGUAGUAAAAUUAGAAGGUUCAAAUAGAAGAUUCUAUUUUAGGCUUCAAAAUUGUAUUUUUCUUGCUUUCGCUAAUAAAAGUUUUAGACUCUUCUAAUGGUCAAACGCUCUGCUCAGCUGUAGAAUUAUACUACUAUUUGAUGAAGUACUAGUUUCUACCUGUAGCAAAAUCGAAAGUUUGAAAUAGAAGCCUAUGUAUUUACGCUCAAACUUUGUAUUUCUACUUCUGAUGCUUCACAGAAGAAAAAUUAAAAAACAACUGAACUAUCAGUAUGUUGUGUAUGCCAUCAAGAGUUAAAAGCUAAAAUAAAAAUUAAUAUGGCAAAAUAAGCUUAAAGAUACUGACUGUCCCUAACACAAAUACAAAAGGGUUUGAUAGUAGAUACACGAGGUCUCCAAAUUUAAAAUCUAGUUGCUUCAUAGUUUCAACUAAAUUCAUUUUUAAAAUAAUGAACAAACGGAUAUUAUACCACCUUUCUCUCUCUCUCUCUCUCUCUCUAAAAAAAAUAAAGAAGAAGAAAAGCCUAAGGAUUUGAUCUUAGCUAGGGAUGGGCUCUCCUAAAAGAGACCUAAUAGGCUGCAUGGAUAAACAGCUCAUGUCCUAAUGAAUCCAAUUAAGCCUAGUCAAAUAGGAUGGUCUCUUUCCUAGAUAAGAGUGCUCAUCCAGCUCAUGAACCAUUAACAUAUUUGGAUUGUAAACAUUAUUGUACCAAUUGAGGACACAAAUCUUAGGCUACUUUACAUUAAUGUAGCCCACUCCACAGGUGAACCAAUUCUUAAUAUAAUUAAAGACACUGAGUUUAAAUCCUGUGAAGACCAUUCUUAUUUGAUUUUGAAAAGAAAUGCACUCAUAUGUUUAAAUUGAAGUUGUAGACAACAUUAAACAGCUUAGAUUAACUUUUAAAGAAAUUUGAAGCUCACUUACGCUGAAAGGACCAAGUUUGAGCAAAAUAUUUUUAUUUAACAGCGUAGCAUUCACCAACUCUAAUCUGUCCAACCAGAUAUAUAUUAUGUGAUAUAAUAACCAGAACUUACCUUUCGAGUAUACAAAAUCUCAAACUGAAUCGACUAGUCUGUUUGUUGAGCAUAAAUACGACCAAUAAACCGGAAUCGCAAUCACUGAUAGAGACAUUAAUUAAGUAGCCAUCUAAGAUACAGUAACCUUAUUUUGGCAAGUAUCUUAGAAAGCUAGAGUUCUUUUUAAAAGAUAAGGAUACAAUGCGCAGUACUGAAUGGACUUGCACUUCCCACAUUCACCACUAACUAGAUUUUAUAAGAGAGAAUAUCAACAAACCACAUAUAAAUCAUUGUGGUAACAUAAUUAAUGUAGGUUACUUUCAACUGAUUAGACAAGCCAUAGCUAAAUAUUUUCUUGCUUGCAUACAACUUUUGCUUUCAAAACCUCUAUUGUUGCAUCAUCCUCCACUAAGAAGGUAUCUAAACUUUCUAUCUUAGAUAUUUUAUUUAUUUUGUCCUUCUUAAUUUGUUGUUUAAGUAGUAUACAGUAGUUCAGCUACUAUGCUUUUAAGAGGACGGAGGUUUUAAUCCUAGCCAUCAAGUCAUUUUCAAUGAUUGAAACUUCAAAUUCAUAAUUGUCACUGUUGAAAUUAAUCUAAAAUAUUUAAAUUACUUAGAAAAAAAUUAUUAUUUUUUAAAAAUUAUAAUUCUCAAUUAAAGAGUCAAAAAAUUGAUCUUAAAAGUUCAAGGAUCGAAAUAAAUAGUUUGCGAUAUCCUUCGUAAGAUUGGUCCUAACUACGUCAAACCAUCCUUGACAUAACUAGUGUAAUUAAGUGAAACCUGAUAUUCAGAUCCUCCUAAUAUAAGCUAAAGUUUUAGGCAUAUUAAUUUGCAAAGCGCUUUAUCAAAAACUGCUACGGUUAGAACUAGAAGCAAAAGCUAAAUUGGAGGGGUUCAUAGUAGGUUCUUGGAUUAUGAACCAACAUCUAGAAAUGCUGUUGUGUCUUGAUAAUAUAAUGUCCUCUACAGAUGUUGAUACAUUUGCAAACUGCUAUUAAAAUGACUGUAGUGAGUAAGAAAUUCUUCCCCUCAAAGAACACCUCAUUCCUUUCCUUCCACAAGCUCCAUAACAGAUGAAUACAUAAGGCCUUAUGAGGCUCCAUAACUUUGUUUGUUACGAUGAAAAAUAUCCAAAAGGAUAUAUAUCUCUCAGGUUGGUCGGUUGUGAGGCCCAAACUCGAUGCAAACCAGACUCGUCGUGCCUGCUCACAAUUAAAAAAUAAGUGCACCAAUGUCUCAGACUGUUCUUGGCAGAGAGGGCAAAGUCCGUCGGUGUAAGGUAAUCUUAAGGCUAGUUUAGCUCCAACAGGUAACGAGUCAGAUACUAUUCUCCAUAUAAAUACUUUCGCUCGAGGCAUCACAUUCUUUAUGCUCCACACAGUAGCCCAAGAUCGUUUGUCGAGUUUCAGGUGGCUGAUGUAUCUGGUUCUGAUUUAGGCCUUCGUUUAUGUGGUUAAUAGCAGAUUGGAGGGUGAAGCGACCGGAUUUCGUGAGUUAAUUUCCAUUGUAGUUGCUCAGCAUUCCUUACUAUGGCAGUCGACAUCAGGUUCCGAAUUUGCAACAUAGAACGCCAAAUAGGUGAAGCUGCAGAUUUGCUCUGAACUGACCAGAAAUUGAGAUUAUUGUCCCUGCCAUACUUGCUUGCUAAAACCUGUGCCCAAAAAGAUGUUGGCCUAGUGAGGAUUAAUGUCCAUACCAAUUACAUACAUUGAUAUCUUGGCAUAAUAUUUUGACCGAAAAAUGAUUAUGAAUAGAUUUAUUAAAUGUGGUAUUGUAUAGUAAUAUUGACCGAAAAUGAUAAGAUUUACUAAUACAGAACGGUUAAAAUCUAUAAGAUCAACAUUAUAAGAGAUCUGUAGCAAUAUUCAUAACGAGCAUCCCCGACCUACACACACAUAAUCUCAGCAGUCAGCACUAAUGCGUGUGCAAGGCUUUACACACUGUAAAGGCAUAUAUUCCAUCGUACCACAAUUUUUUCUUAAUUUUAAAAAAUAUAUUUUUGUGCUCAUUUUCUAUGAGGUCGAUUCUUUGGAUAAUAUUGAAUUGGAGCCAAUCUACGCUCCAGCCGUUCCGUGAGGUCGGGGGUGAUGGGUCCCCACCUUCAACAUGUAUAUAUAUGGCUAAAUUUCAUAAGAUGUAUAUAUAUUGCUAAAUUUCAUAAGACCUCUUUACACUUUAGCUCCUAUCACUUAUGAGUAUGAAGGGCCCAAUACUUAUAAAAAUAUAGUAGCCCUACUCAUAUAUAUAUAUAUAUAUAUAUAUAUAUAUAGUUAGUUCGGCUGGAAUACUACUGAUAGCAAAACAUUCUUUUUGCUAUCAAGUUUUUAGCCUUUGGAUCAACUUUUUUUAUUAUUUCUAACCAUUGGAUUAAAUACUAUAACCCGGUGGGAAUCACUCAACCCUAGAGCUACCAUUCAACUCUAACUAAAUAAUAUCAUCCUAACCCUACAAUUUCUCAUCUAAGGGUUAAAAACUUGAUAGCAAAAAAAGCGUUUUACUAUCAAUAUAGUAUUCCAGCCUAAUUAUAUAUAUAUAUAUAUAUAUAUAUAUAUAUAUAUAUAAAACGUGACUCUACGGAACAGAAAUAGAAAUUAACAUUAAAAGAGGUGCUAGAAGAGGACAAAACUCAACAAGUUCUCACUUUUUAAAAAGCUUCUUAAAGGAGAAAAAAAAAGAGAGUUUGUUUUGUACUAUUUUAAUAUAAAAUAUUAUCAUAUUAGAAUCCUACAAUAGAUCUCCAAAAGGAUGUUUUUAAUAUGUCGAUGAUAUGUCGACGCUGGGGCCGGCAAUUCAGUUUGCUUUUUGCAAAGCAGUUAGAAUUUGAAAUGAGCUCGAGAUCGAUUGCUCGUUCAAUAAAUAAGUUUAAUACGAGCGAAAUUUUUCAGAUCAAAAUUUUAAUGAGCUGAUCAUGAAUUGGGGUCAGCAAGCUCAUAUUCGACUCGAUAUAACUUGAAUAUAGAUAUUUCAAAUUUAUGCUAUUUGAAUUAUAGGCCAACCUUAGUACAAAGAGACCUAUAUUCUAUGAAUUUUAAUUAUUAUAUUAAGAUUUCAUUUUUUUUUUUCAAGUUUGCUUUCAACUUUUUGUCCAAUAGUAGAGUUGCUCAGCUUGUUAAUAAAUAAGCGGAAUGACUUGAUAAUACAUAAGCCGAACGCGAUUGGAAUUUUUCAACUCGAUAUUUUGAUGAGCCGGCUCCAGUUUGCUUGUGUUCGGCUCUCGUUUAUAUAGCCCAAGUUAACACUCAUAUUACCGAUUGUCCCUAGAGCAAGUGGCAAAGGCCUUGCUAGUUGGUACCGAGACCCAAGUUCGAAUCCUAGUUGAUUCACAUUUCUAGCUAAAUUUAUUUCUAAAUGAAAUAAACGAAGCAGGUAGCGUGCUACCUAUCUCUCAAAAAAAAAAAAAAAAAAGUUAACACUCAUAUUAACUUAAUGUGAAUUGUGAAGAUUUUUUUACUCAAUUUAUGCUUAUAGUAUAAAAAUAUCACAUAUAUUUGUCAAUAUAUCAACAGUUUAUAAAAAUAUUCACAACUAAAAACUUUAUUCUUUGUUAAUAAUAAAUAUUAUUGUUAUUGAUAAUUAGCUAGUUAAAAUAAUAAAUUUUUAUAAUAAAUUAGAUGGUUGUCAAUCCUUGUUAUAAAUUUUAUAGUAAUAAAUGGAAAUAAUAUAAUUUACAAUAUCUCAAUGGCAAUUACUUUUAUAAUUUUAUAGUACAAAGAGACCUAUAUUACUUUUAUUGGAGCUUUUACUUCUCUUGGACUUAUAGCUCUUGUGCAAACAAAUGUUUCAAAUUUUACUUUUGGUAAUUACUAUACAUAUGCUAAACUAACUUUAUAAAAUUUUUCUAUAGUCGCCUCUGAUCAAUCAAAGUUACUAAUCUAGCCGUUUUAAUCGCUGUGUAAUUAAUAACUUUGAUUGAGAAAAAAUUUCUAUCAAGCUGAAUGAUAAGUUUUUAGAAGAUCAAUUAUCAAAAGUAAAAGAUUAGAUAUCUGUUUAUAAGAUGGUUAAAGUUUAGAGUCUUUAUACUUUUUUUUUUUGAAAAAAAAAAUCGUACACUUAAAAAGAGGUUGCAUAUCUUACACCUUAUCCAACAGUCAAAAAUGGUCCCAUAUUUUGUUAGAUUUUUAUAAAAAAUUAAAAAUUGAUUGGAUUUCGUGAACCUUAAGAUGGAAAGUAUAUGAUCUACGAUUUCUUUUUUGGAGUGUACAAAUAGAUUUUUCUGAAAAAGAAUGUCUAAAUUAACACUUUUGAUCCUCAAACUAUGAGGUGCAUAACAUUUUGGUUUUAAUUUAUUAUAAUUUUGUAUUCGAACUUUUUGAAUUGUUAUAGUUCAGUCUCGUAAUCCUAUUUAGUUGGCUAAAUAUUAUUGCGUCACUGAUGUAGAAUUGAUAUUACUGUAUUAUGAUUGAUGACGCGAUAAUAAUUAAAAUGUCAUAUCACUUUCACAUCGGUAACAUUUCAAACAUUUAGUCAACUAAAUACGAAUUGUUGGAUUUGAUUAUAAAAAUUUAUGAAGCGGAGCUAAAAAUUGCAAUACAAAAAACUUUGGGGAUUAUCAUUGUCACGUAAUCACCUUAUAAUUUGAGGACCAAAAUUAUAAUCUAGCCUACCAAAAAGCAAAAAAAAAAAAAAAAAUUCUAGAUGUACACAAAAAAAAAAAGGUAUACAUCUAACCGUUUAGAUAUUUAGUAUUAAAAAAAAGAUAAAUUUUAAUUUGUCUUCAUAGAAUUUAGUUCAUUUUUACUUUUCCAUACACCAUAUAGUUUAAAAACUUAUGCUUAACUAUCUUAUAAUUUAGUUUAUUUUUUACUGUACCAUCAGAUAAUUCAAAAGGUUAUACUUAAUUAUUUUAUUACGAUCAAAAAAAUUUAUUUUACUACCACAUUUAACAGUAAAUAUUUUAAACAAAAGCAAAAAUAAAAAUAUAUAUUAGUUACGUAUAAUUUUAAAAAUCAUAAAUAGAUACAGUAUUUUUUUUAAAAAAAAUGCUAAACUAUAUUGAUGCUAAUUAAAUUCUGUCAAAUUUUUUUAAAUAACUUCAAAUAUCACCUCUAUGGUUCGUAUUUUCUCACUUUAGCUACCGUUGGUUCGGGGUUAAGAAAAAAACUAGUUAUUUCAGGAAUAGAGUUAAGUUCAGGGUUAUGAUGGGGUUAGAGUAUUUUUUGUGUUUGGUUGAGAAUUAAAGUUAUUUCAGAAUUAAAGAAAAUAAUGUUUAGUUGAAAUAGAUGGGAUAAGAAGGUGAUGGGGUUAGCUACCUCACCCUAAAUAGGCUAUUCUGGAAUAGCCCAUUUGGGGUGGGGUUUGCUAACCCAUCAAAUAAGGGUUUGCUAACCCACCCCUUAUUUGAUGUGUUUGAGAAUAAGUUGGGGGUUAAGGAGUUAUUCCAUUCAACCCCCAACCAAACACUAGCUUAGUAUUUUGUGAUUUAAAGUAUAUCAAUUUAGUAUCCUAUGCUUUUAUUUUUUCUUUUUAUCAGCUCUUUCGUCAAUAUUUUGUUAAAAUAUAUAUAAUUAUAAGAUACUAAAUUAAUAUACUUUAAAUUAGAAAAUAUUAAAAUAUUAAAAUAAAAAAUGAGAAGUAUUUGAAGUUUUUUUUUUUUUUUUUUUUUUUUUNCUCUCUCUCUCUCCUCUCUCACCUUUAACAUGAGAAGGUACGAAGUGACGUCACGGGGCUCAGUGAAAGUGACAAAUAAAAGCUUCCGAAAUCGCGGGCGCGCGAAUCGAGAACCGUCGCAGUAACACAUUCAUUCGUGUUAUUAAUUUAUUAAAAAAAAAUUCCAAUACCACCCCUUAAUAUCAUUUUUUUUAUUUUAAUACUCUAUAAUUUAAAGUAUAUUAUCUUAAUAGUUUAUAAUUUUAUUUUUUUUCUUUUCAUUAGUAUCUCCAUUAACUUAAGUUAAUGUUAAAUAAUAUAGAAAAAGCUUCAGAUCGAUAUAUUAUUGAAUAUUUAUUUUAGUAUCAUGUAGUUUACUAAAUUUUCACUUUAGUAUUCUAUGAUUUUAAUUUUCUUACUGAUUAAACGAAAAAAUUAAUAAAAAAAAUAACGAAAAGAGAAAAAUAAAAUUACAGGGUAUUAAAAUGAUACACUUUAAAUUACAUAUUACUAAAGUGAGAAAUCGUAAAAUCAUAGAGGGUGAUAUUUGAAGUUUUUUUCUAUUUAUUACUUCGUUACCUUGCUAUAUUUUUACACAAAAAGUAUUUUAUUUAUAUUUAUACAUUACUAUUAUUAUUAGUGGCUUUUGUUAUGAUCUGUGGAAAUUAAGGUACAAAUACAAUGGUGUUAUGCUUCAAUCUGAGUCGUGUGAGAUAAUAUAAAGCAAUAAUCUUUAUUCUCUAUAAAAAUUUAAACUUAUAAAGAACGAUAUUUAAAUAUUUUUAUAUUUAACGUCUGAGCUCGAGAUCGGACAAUAUUUGAGGUAAUAACUUUUCCACAAGGAGGCAUGAUGAAGGACUCAUGAGAUCAAACAAUGUUUGAUUUUAUUUUGUUCGUACGCUCUUUAUAUAACCAGAUUAUUGAUUGGUAUAUAUAAAACUAAUCAUGUUUAUUUAGAGCUAUAGUCAAAAGAAAAGCUACAUCUAAUUUGUUUCUUCUCAUGAGUAUUUACAUUUACAAACACAAGCAUUUUAAAUUCCCAAGUUUUUAAUCACUAAUUAAUAACUCCCUAUGAUGCGCAAGGGAGUUGAAUUGUGCCAUUAUGCUCAUUGCUAUUGUAGCAGGUAUAUAUAUGUAUAUAUAUAUUUAUAUCAUGUUGAUCAUCUUAAUUAGUAUAAAGAUCACAUGGCAAGCAUGCAAUUUAUUUUACUUUUUCACUAGUAGUGUACUCUCUCUUUGUGACAUCGUCUUGUACACAUCCAUCAACUACAAACUAAUGAAUCCUCAAUGAACUGUCAACAAGAGGUGGCAACCAACAUAUGUGACCUUGCACUUGGUACUACAUGUUUCAACUUUGAGUUGCAUGUGUCCCCCACAUUGUUCAUUUGCUUUUGUCUCCACCACAAUUUAUAUACAUUUGGACUUGGGAGAAGUACAUCUACAUAUUGUGUGAAAAUGUAUGUGCUUGAGAAGUUUGGUGAUUAGUUGAUUAUCUCACCAAUUUCAUGUAGAUUUGUUGGUUAACUAACCAAUUGAUGUAAGUAUACAUGCAUGUUUCAUCUUUAAGAAGCAAAUGGUACCCCACAUUGUUUUCAGUAGUAUUUGGCACUAUUUUAAAAGUGGGAUCAACUAAUGAUCUGAUAAUGUUUCUGGACCAUGAGUCACUAGAUGGUUGAACCACUAAUAUCUGCAAGACUUUUCUCAUAAAUAUUUAAUUAUUAUUUCUAAUUUUAUUAUAAAAAAUGGAUAAAUUGUAUUGUUACUUCCUGAACUUUUGGCGAAGUUUCACUUUACCCCUCGAACUCCUAAAAUGGACAUCUAAUCCCCUAAACUCUAAUAUUUUAUUCAUAUUACCCCUUCUGUCGGUUUUCCGUCAAGCUUCGUUAACUAUAAACUGACGGAAGGGGUAAAACGAAUGAAAUAUUAGAGUUUAGGGUGUUAAAUGUCUAUUUUAGGAGUUUGGGGGGUUAAGUGAAACUCGCCAAAAGUUCAGGAGGUAGCAGUGCAAUUUACUUCUAGGACUCUUGACUGUAAAUUAUUUAUAAUAAUAUGUUAUUUAUGAAUUGACUACUAACUCUCAAGUUAGUGAUCAUACUUGAUUUUGAAUUUAUAUAUAUUUUUUAUCCUAAAAUAAUGUCACGCCCCAGAUGUCUUGUUCUCCGGGCACGCCGACAAAUCCGCCGUAUACAAAGAAAUUUCCCCUGUAUACGAAGCGACAACUGUACCUGUAAAUCCAACACUACUACGAAUAGUAGUAGAGAGCUGCUAGAGAAAACAGAAACAAAACAAACUGAAUUUCAUAUACAUAGUCCAAAUCCAAAAUACAGAGCUACUCGCACUGGCGAGUUAAGUCUACUAUAUACAUAAACCUGAAACAAAACGUCUACUUGCAGUAGGGCACCUCUAGCUCAGCACGUCGGGUAGGGCUCUAACUCGCGACGCCCUUGCCUCGGUCCGCCUCGGAAGGUGCAGCAGCCGAAACCGGUGGCUCUGCAAAACAGGGAUAACAACAGGGCGUGAGAACUACUGUAAAACAAGUAGUCCUCAGUGGGUGCCGCCCAAAACAACAUCGGUCGACCCACUAAGUCUACAGAAGGGAGCAAGAAUAGCAGAAAAAGCAGGAAGUAAACUCUACCUCUAUCAGUCCCUACACUAUCAUGCUCUACACUAACCAACUGUAGGAAAUGUCAAAUCUGACACAAUCCAAUCGGGACUAUAAACAUACCCGUCCCUGGGACUGUGAAUACACCCGUCCCUGCCUCGUUGCGACUAUCCAGCUACCUCCACACUAACUGAUCCGUGGAGCGCAAGUCCAACUGGCAUGAGCGACACCAACGCAAAAGCACAAAGCCAUCUCCGGAGUGGCACUCGUGGGCGCUACCCAACCGAGUAUGCAGCGUAUCUCUGUCGAGCUCAAUCAGGCUCUGAAAAGCCAAAGUCAAGUAACCGACUCUAACUGGUCUAACAACCAACAAGUAACGUGCCCUCGGCACAAUCUGACGCCAAAACGGCGAACCGGGCCCACCGUCAACCCCAACGGCGCCCAUAAGUCCGAAACAGUCCAAACGAUCCUGUAAAAAUCUACUCGCCGUACCAGCACGAGCGUAAAAGUAUUCUAAACUACCUGGAGUACUCGUCUCGAGGACACUGCGACAGUACAAUUUAUAACGGUUCGUAGAGCUAAAUCAGGCAGUUUAAACAAGUGACAGGUCUAAAUCGCAGGUUUUCUCCUAAUUUAAAUUUCAAGUCCAACAUGUAUAAACUACUCAAUUUAUUACCACAUGAUCCAAAUUCAGAUUUGCUAUCUAUAACAUAAUCCAUGAAUUCGAGCUAGAAAAGACUAUACCAAAAAUCAAAUUUAUUAUACAUGUCGACGAUUAGAAUUUAUGAGUCAAAACCGAUGUAACCCACCUCGAAAUGCUAGCUCCUGGCAGCAAACGAAGCCUCGAACCAAAAUGAUCCCUGCUGGAUCAACCGGAAUCCUCCAAGUCCAGUGCUCGAGCUAACUCCAAGCUCUACACAACACAAGUCACCGUUUCAGUCCAGAAACUGCAGCAGUGAGGUACAACAGAGAUUCGACCAAGCUAACCUUAACCAAAUCCAGCAAGUAAGGGCUUCGUGGAUUUCUCUCGAAGUUCCGAAUCCAACGAACCAAGUCCCGUCGAAAUCCGAUGCUCCUACGCCGAGUACGAGCUGAAAUACCAACGGUUGACGGCGAAAAAAAAGGUAAAACAGCACUUAAGCUCAAAUUGAUGAUACUUGAAGCACUUGAAGCAAUUGCAAUGGAACGCUCACCUCGAUAGCGACUAGCACCGGCGCGAUGUCAAGAGCAGGGAAGACGCACCCUCGCCCGGCCUCCUCGCAAAGCUCCGGCAACAGCCGUAUCCCCGAACGGCUCCGCGGCGCGAUCUCGGCGACGAAAACUCCAACCGAGCUCUACCUUGCUCACGGUCCAAGCUAGAGAGAGAGAGGAGAAGUAGAAAGAAAACUCCCUCUAAAACUCCCUACACUGCCUAAAUAGAGAGAGAGAGGAAUGGUGAUACAAAUGAGGGAGAGAAAUUACCCAAAUACCCUCCCACCUACCCUGGUGUACCGGUACACGGGCCCGCGUACCGGUACACUAGCCAACCUGAGAGCAACCUACGUGCAGCCUGCUGAUGUGUACCGGUACACCUUGAUGGCUGUACCGGUACAGCAAGCAGAAAACUGCUAUUUUGUAGAUUUCUUCGCUGAAAGUUGCCCUCGCGUCGCACGGAGUCCGUUUUGCGUCUAUUUGGCGCCAACGCGACUCAGAAUUGUCCCGACACUCUACAGAGCUGUCGACAAGCCUCCACAGCUGAACACCAGGGAUCUCACAAAUAAAUCCUAUAAUAAUUUAUUCUAUAUUUUAUUGUAAUAAAAUAAAAGUGAAAGAAAUGAAUUAGAGUGGCUUAAAGAUAACAUUAUAAUUAAUAUAUUAUUUUAUAUUUUUAUAUUAAAAAUUUUUAAUUGGCUGAAAUGAAGUAUUAAAAUUUUAUUUUAGGCUACAAUAAAAUUACAUUGCAUAGUUUCAUAAGAAAUAAGUGUAUUUUCUAAUAAAAUAUUAUUUUAUAUUUUUAUAUUAAAAUUUUUUAAUUGGCUGAAAUGAUGUACAAAAAUUUUAUUUUAGGCUACAAUAAAAUUACAUUGCAUAGUUUCAUAGAAAAUAAGUGCAUUUUCUGUAACAAUGCUUCUAAAGAUAAAAGGGACAAACGAGUACUGCAAAAAAUUAACUGAGAAUUAAAAUCUCUAUAUUCUAGUGAGGACACCUAUUGUAAAUCAACCAUAUUAGCGAGUACAUCAGGACAGUAAAGUGUUCGAAUAUCGUAGGUAGUUAGUAUCGCUCUUUUCUUAUCUUUAAGUCAUUCUAAUUCAUUUCUUUCACUUUUAUUUUAUUACAAUAAAAUAUAGGAUAAAUUAUAGUAUGAUUUAUUUUAGAAUAAAAAUAUAUAUAAAUUUAAAAUUAAGCAUGAUCACUAAUUUGAGAGUUAGUAAUCAAUCCAUAAGUAACAUACUAUAAUAAAAUAAUUUAUAGUCAAGAGUCCUACUGAGUAAUUGUACUGCUAUCUCCUGAACUUUUGGCGAGUUUCACUUAACCUCCCAAACUCCUAAAAUAGACAUUUAACACCUUAAACUCUAAUAUUUAUUUGUUUUACCCCUUCCGUCAGUUUUUGGUUAACGAAGCUUGACGGAAAACUGACGGAAGGAGUAAUAUGAAUAAAAUAUUAAAGUUUAGGGGGUUAAAUGUCCAUUUUAGGAGUUCGAGGGGUAAAGUGAAACUUCGCCAAAAGUUCAGGGGAUAACAAUACAAUUUACCCUAUAAAAAAUUAUGUACAUAUUCUAUUAGUCUAGUAUCAUACUUAAUUAUAAAAUACUGAUUUAUAGAGCAAAUUAAGUAGAAAUAAGUUUUCUUCACUUUCUAUAAGACUAAUGAAUACUAAUCGAAAAUAAAAUAAGCUAAUUUGAUUUUAAUUAAGCUGUUGGAUUUUAAUAUAGCUUGAUAAAAAAAAACCUCAGCCGGUUUGAUGAAAAACGGACUAGUUCACUAGUUGAUGGUUGAGUCGCAUGUUCGAAUAGCUCAAAAUAAUUGUUUGACUUAUCCGGUUUAAAAGGUUAAACCAAACUACUUUAUAGACUAGGUCAAAAUUGGAAAAAUUGAAACCGUUCGGUUCAACCCAAUUUUUAAAUUAUUGGUACUUGGUGUGGGCACAUGUGUUAAAUCACUUUUAUUAUUGGUUUUUAGAUGCUUAUGUUCCCUCUCAUCAUAAUCCAAGAUUAGAAGAUUAUUUACUAGGUUGUAAUUAAGAGAAAGGAGUUAAUUGUAAUCUUUUUUUCUUUUUUGAUAUAUAUAUAUAUAUAUAUAUAUAUAUAUAGAGAGAGAGAGAGAGAGAGAGAGAGAGAGAGAGCUCUAUUAGCUAGUUAUACUUUUAGAAGUAUAAAGAAGUUGGUAUUUCUGACUUUUGGUCUGUGAAUUAGGAAUUGAAGGGUUGGCAUGAUAGUGGUCCUCUCUAGGGUUAAGUAGCCCUUCUAGGAUUUAGUAGUUCUUCUAUAGAAAAAUAAUAUUAAUUCAACGUAGAAAAUUAUAAGGUACCGGACUUCUAAAAUAAUGAAGUUACGGUUUAUAUUGAUUUGGAGAGUUAUUGGAAUGGUUCCGGUGAAGUUUGGAAGUAUUCGGGCGUUUUCGGAGCGCGUAGGCGCGAAAACGGAGCCCGAAAGGCUAUAUUCAACUAUGGACUAAAUCCGGCAUUAGCGUGGAUGAAAAGAUGAUGAAAACAUGCUCGAAAACAUGUUUGGAGAGUCUCGAUUCGAUUUGAAAAUAAUCGGAGGCCAAACGAGCGAAAACGGAGCGAAAACGAAAAAGGCUGAAAUUUGGCUAAGUCUGAAAAUUUAGACCUACGGGGACGGAUCCCUCGGCCAGGGAGAGGUCCCUCAGGGGCCGGUCCCUUAUCCAAGGACCGGUCCCCGUAGCCCGAAAAUGCCCAGUUUGGGCUGAAGCAAGAAGAGGAUUGUUGAGGGACUUGUUGGCAUUUUGUGUAUGAGUUGAGUGUAUAGAGAGGAUUAGAGCCUCUCUCUCUCUCACUCCCUCACUAUUUCAACCCCCUAACUCUCUCUCUCUCUCUAGAAGUCUUCUUUCUCUCUCUAGAAGUGGAUCAAGAGGAGGAGGAGAAGGUGGAGAGAAGCAAGGAAGAAGGAUCAUCAUCUUUAUCUUCUUCUCUCAAGUUUGGAGCAAGCGAUUGUUCAGGGCACUUACAAGAGUUGUAUGGUGCACAAAGCCGAACAGAAAGAUAUGAGAUAUCAAAGCGAUUGUUCAGGGCUCAGAUGACUCCAGGCUCAUCAGUCAGUGAACAUUGUCUUAAAAUGAUUGACAACAUAGAGCAACUGUCAAACCUCGGCUUGAAAUUGGACCCAGACUUGCAGAACGAUCUAGUUCUACAGUCUUUGCCAGAAUCGUUCUCUCAUUUCGUCAUGAACUUCAACAUGAAUAAGAUUCAUGCCACUUUGUCCGAGCUUAUGAAUAUGCUAGUCACANCCUCGGCUUGAAAUUGGACCCAGACUUGCAGAACGAUCUAGUUCUACAGUCUUUGCCAGAAUCGUUCUCUCAUUUCGUCAUGAACUUCAACAUGAAUAAGAUUCGUGCCACUUUGUCCGAGCUUAUGAAUAUGCUAGUCACAGCGGAAAGCACGUUGAAAACUAACGGGAUGGCGAUGGCUGUUGAGAAAACCUCAAAAGGUAAGUUCAAAGAAAAGAAAAAGUUUUCCAAGUUCAAGUCAUCGGGUGGAGUGAAGAAAAUCGACUUUAAGAAAUCCGACAAAGGCAAGGCAAAAGGAAAAUGUUUCCAUUGUGGAAAGGAAGGGCAUUGGAAGAGAAAUUGUAAAGUAUAUCUUUCUACCCUAAAAGAAAAAUCGAAGGAAGGACCUUCUGAAGGUACGAACCAAAUGCUCAUCGUUGAGGCCAAUAUGAUUGGCUCUACUUCUUCUUGGGUAUUAGAUUCUGCAUGUACCUUACAUCUUUGUAAUUCGUUGCAGGAUCUAAAGGGAAGUAGAAGAUUGAAGGACGGUGAGGUGACCCUACGAGUGGGAAAUGGAGCAAGCGUUGCUGUGUUAGCCGUAGGGAGCUGUUCUUUGAGACUUCCAUCUGGACAUAUUUUAGAAUUAGAGAACUGUUAUUAUUCUUCUUUAGUUGUUAGAAAUUUGAUUUCUGUUACGACUUUAGUUCGAACUGGUUAUCGUUUUAUUUUUGAAACUGAUGGUUGUUUUAUUUAUUUUCAAAAUAAAUUGAUUGCUACUGGUAGUUUAAUUAAUAAUCUCUACUUUCUAAAUCUGGAUGGAAAUAUUUCUAAUAUUGAACAUAAAGAGAAUAAGAGACUUAGAGAUAAUAAUCUGAACCAAAAGUAUCUAUGGCAUCUUCGAUUAGGUCAUAUUGCAGAAGAUAGGAUAAACCGACUGGUCAAGGAUGGGCACUUGGGAACUUGUGCUUUAGAACCUUAUCCAGUUUGUGAGUCUUGUCUUCAAGGCAAAAUGGCUAAGUCACCCUUUGUUGGACAAAGAGAACGAGCCACAGAGUUACUUGCCCUUGUGCACUCAGAUGUGUGUGGACCGUUUAGUGAAACGGCUCGGGGUGGUUAUCUCUACUUUGUAACGUUUACCGAUGAUUAUUCACGGUAUGGAUUUGUGUUUCUUAUGAAACACAAGUCUGAAACCUUUGAAAAGUUCAAAGAUUUCAGAAAUGAAGUAGAGAAGCAGACAGGAAAAAGUAUUAAGGCUCUUCGAUCAGAUCGAGGAGGCGAAUACCUUAGUGCUGAAUUUCGAAAUUAUCUCAAAGAAAACGGUAUUCUCUCGCAAUGGACACCUCCUGGAACUCCGGAAUUAAAUGGAGUUUCGGAAAGAAGGAAUCGUACUUUAUUAGAUAUGGUACGAUCGAUGAUGAGCUUCACAGACUUACCUUUAUUUCUUUGGGGUUAUGCCCUAUUAACCGCAGCCUACAUUCUAAAUAGAGUGCCUUCAAAAUCUGUUCCGUGUACUCCGCAUGAGAUGUGGUUUGGCAAAAAACCGGGUCUCAAUCAUUUAAGGAUUUGGGGAUGCCCAGUUUUUGUUAAAAAACUUAAAACAGAUAAAUUGGAGGCCAGGUCGGAUAAAGGAAGAUUUAUUGGUUAUCCCAAGGAGUCUAUGGGAUACUAUUUUAUCUUCAGAGUGAACAAAAUGUGAUUGUUAGCCGACAUGCAAUAUUUUUGGAAAAAGAGUUUGUCCAAGAAGGUGGUGCCGGAAAGGAGAUAGUGCUUAAUGAGAUGGUCUCAAAUGAGCAAACAAUUUCUCAAGAACAAUCUGAACAAGCUAUUCAAACUGAACCCACUAUUACUCAAUUACCUCGAAGAUCUAGUAGAAUAUCCCAACCUCCAGAGAAAUAUCGAGAUUUCGUUAUGGAAUACACAGAGGAAAUGUUCCUCGUUGGCGAUAGUGAUCGCAGGGAUGAUCCUACUAGUUAUGAAGAGGCGAUGUCAGACAUCGACUCAAUAAAAUGGCAAGAAGCAAUGAAGUCCGAGAUGGACUCUAUGUACACNCGUUGAUACUACGGAGUCCAGGUUCCUCAUGAAGUGUGUUGACAUCGUUACUUGAAUAGUGACCGCUCGUAUCUUGGUACACUGUCAAGUUGGUUUAUCAGUGCGAGUCACAUGAACAAGAAAUUGUUCGUGGACAUACGAAUGAAAUCACAGAGAUGUGAUCACUGAACUCUGAGCAGUGGAGUUGAAUCUUCAUAUCGUAUGUGGCCGGAUAGGCCUUUAUAGUAGCGGGAAUACUAUAAGGAUACCGAUCCUCGUAAAUUCUUAGAACAUGAUUCUUUAUAUAUAGAGUUUAAGGAUUGAGAAUCCUUAUAUAAAAGAAUUGCUUCUAAGUUGCCUGCUAAGUAUAUAUAUAUAACAUGACGCUUGUUAUUUAUACUUAUUUUGAACGGGAAAUAAUUAAUUCUUUUUAUGAAUUAUAUAGGUGUUCGGAUACAGUGGCUAACCGAAAUCCCAAAUAGUGAUUGUCUUGAGUUUGAUUGUGAUUACGGUUAGCGAGUACAUAGAGUAUGGGUAAGAAAGAUUUACGUGUCGGUUGAACCGAGUUCACGAGUACGCCGAUUCGUUCGCCUAGGCGAUAUCACAGAUGCCUACGAUGAAAGACGUGUUGUUAGACCGUGAUGUAGGAUAUUUUUCAGCUUACUACUCUAUCGCAGUUCAUAUAUUUGAUCUUGAUAUACCAUUCUGGAGCCAAGAAGUUGCACUCUAUAUUUAGGUAGAUAUCAGUGUUAUUUCACUGUAACCGAGGCGUUAUCUUCUGUGGUGAGGGUCUAGGCACUUCUUGAAUAGCUUCGGUUUGAACCGGUGGAUCCUCCGGAGUCUACGAGGUUUUAUUUGAGACGGAUUGAGUGCCUUAGACGACAACUUUAGACAAACCUUGAUAUGGUUUACUAUCGGGGUGGUAAGUUACACUUGUGUACUGGACUACAACUGAAAGUCAGUAGUUGUAACGACUGUAUUUCAGACUUAGAUAUUUCGUAAGAAUUGUAAUCGAGUAAAGGUGGUAUAUGAUCAGCCAUUGUAUUUAGGAAUCAAGAAAAGAGUUCCUGAAUUCCUGUACAGAUAAUGUCGUCAUGUCAUUUUACGUGGACCUAUUCUUAGUUUUAGACGAGCAUUGAUGGAUGUCGUACACGCUAUAGUCCUUAACGUGUCUCGUAUCGCAUGUACUCUGCCAAGGUGUAUAGCGCCUUCGUAUCCUUUAAGAUGAGUAUGUUAUAUAAAGGAGUCCACCAAAUCCUGUGUAGUAGAACCUUUCUAAUUACGGUACAGAUUCUCCUUCUUCUGGGGAAUACCUUAAAAGGUAUAACUUGGAAAAGUUGUGUUGAAGAUACACUGUAGACACACACACAAAUAUAUAUCGACACUACCUAGAUAAAAAGGUACAUUAUUGUUUUAUUUCAUAGUUUAAGAGGUUUUUUAAUGUAAAUUUCCUGAUCUAGUAAUAUUUCAAUUAAAUAAAUUUAAAGACUUUAAGUGGUUAUUUAUUUUUUUGUAUUUAUUGUACCCAACCUUUUCUGAUUAUUAGUUAUGCUAAUGUGUUUGUGCGUUCCUUUGGUUGUCAUAAUGUGCCCUUUCUUUAUAAUCAUGUUGUUGUAUACUAUUUGUUGUUGAUUAUGUUCCCUUUGUGCAAAACCUGAGCUUGAGAAUAAAUAGUGUAGUUAGAGUUCUCAGAACGUGGUUUUCGUGACCCGGAAACCACGUUUGAGUUAAAAUAACGUGUAUUCUAGCUACGACGCUAUUAAUGACAUUGGCUCAAAUUGAGUACGCUUCCCACGAGAUUAUUUGAUUUGAUACUUCCGAGCUCACAGUAAGUCUCGUACUGCAUACAUACUAAUUAUAACUCAUGGAGUAUCAAGUUAAUAAUCACGGGAUAAGUGAUCUCGUUUUGAGUAUUACAAAAUACGUUCGAGAUUACCGGUAUCCCGGUAAGAGGGACCUGCAACGGGCCGCCCAACAUCGACGUAUACUACUUGCAUCGCGGCAGUAACGUACACUGCCACCGCGUCGGCUGCGAGUGCCUCAGUCGGGUGUGGUGGACGCACAUCACGGGCGUUUGAAAGGGCCUGUACGUGCACAACGACGCCAUCAGCAUCAUAACGAAGAGGCGGUGGGUGUUGAGGUGACGCAGCCUCCGGCAGGUACAAAACGGUCUCGGGGUCUUCUCCAAGAGCGGCAUCCCGGGCGGUCUCACCUACUCAAACGUCAGAGGCGCGGAAACUAACCGUAUCAAAACGCGCAUGCGGAGGUCCAACAACAGGGUCGAGUUUCCCGGCUGCGGCUGCGACCACGCCCGCCGCAACACGCCAAAGUCCUUCAGGACCCCGCUCAAGACCCGCUCGGGCCAACGCUGUUAGCGGCGCCGCCUCUGCUCUUCAUCUCGAUUUCUCAUGCUUUGCUUUCUGUAACACUAUUUAUACAGAGAUAGAGAAAGAGAAGAGAAACGUCAACAACAAACCUCCUCACGUACGCUCAUCCCAAACCUAAAUAUGCACUUCAAAUCUCAAUUUUAUUCACGUUUACCUUAAUUACGAAUAAUUAAUAAAUAAACCCCUACUGAAAAAACGAAACUGUAUAAGGAUCAGAAUAGGAACUGUAUAAGGAACGCGUACGGAACCUAACUAACCAUUUUUUGUAACACAAUCGCACAUGUAUUACUCAAUUCCUAGCUCGAAGAUUUCAGUUUAGCUAAUAGAAUUAAACGACGAAGUCACUAUAAAUUUAGGGUGGUUCACGAAAUUAUUGACCAUACUCUUGAGCACCCAAAGUACCACUUGAUGUUAGGCUGGAUUAACUGACUAGACUAGACAGAGCUUUUUUAUUGGCUUAAGUUAGAUUUAAAAGAGCAGACUUUUCAACCAGGUUUGUAAAGAAAAGCAGACUUCUGAGACUUGAUUUUGAGGGCUAAGCUUAGAGCUAGUUGUAUACUGAGGUCGGUUGAUGCAUAAAAUUGCUAGACUAGAAUGUGAUUAUUAAAUUUAUCGUUCCAUUUUAAAAACCAUGAAGUUAAGUACUCGGGAUAAAUACACGGUAUAUAUACAUCACUUUUAUGCCAAAGUUUUAAGAUUUUCUUCAAACGUAUAUAUAUAUAUAUAUCUCUCUCUCUCUCUCUCAUCCCGAUGAUAUGAUAAUACUCAUAACCCGGGAAUCAUGAGUAUUCAACAAAAGCUACUACUUCGAAGGCUUAGCUGUUAGGUGAGGCAAUUUAUACUAGAUUUCAUAAACUUUGAAAAUCUUUUAUUUAAAGCAUUUAAAAGUUUUAGUAUUAUUUCAGGUAGUUCGCCCGUAUUUUACUUGCUAGUUUUAGCUUGCUACAGAAUUUUUACCUACUAACCUAAGAAGUUAAAUUCUAGCUUCAAUAACUAGAAAUAGAUUCAUCACUUAUCUUAAAAGAUAGUUUUUAAGUUGGAUAAGUCUAAGAAAACGUGACAAUUUGAUCGUUCAUAAGGUAUGGGCGGCAAUUUUUAACAGUUAAAACACUCGAAAACUAGCAUUCCAUUUACUACAGCUUUUUAAUACUUUAAACUAAAGAUCUACAAAGUUUACGAGAUCUAUUGCAAAUUGCCACACCUAGCAGCUAAGCUUUCGAGAUAGUAGCUUUUGUUGAAUACUCAUGUUCCCGCUAGCAUGAGUAUUAUCAUAUCAUCGGCCUGAGAUGUAUAUAUAUAUAUAUAUAUAUAUAUAUAACAUCUCGAUGAUACGAUAGCCUUCAUAUUUUAUCAACUACGAAGGCUAAAAAAUCGGGAACCUAGUUUUUAAAAUGACAACCCUACUAUCGUCAGGGGAAUCCGGGGCAAACUUAGCGCCCUAUUCGCCCCUAUUGAAAGCAAUAGGGGCGAUAAGGCGGUUUGCCCCAUUUUAAACCGGCCCUAUAAAAUAGGGCCAGUUUGGAACGAUAAGAGCCAAUAGGGCCUUAUCGUUCCCUAAACGAUAAGGUGGUAAAACCACCUUAUCACGAUAAGGUUACGAAUUAAAGUUAGAAUUAAUUUGAAUAUUUAACUUAAUUUGAUUUAAUAUAUUUAUAUUAUACAAUAUAUAAUAUUAUGUAAUAAAAAUAAUAUUUUAAUAAUUAACAUGAUAUAAUUAUGUAUAAUAAAUAUAAAUUUAUAAUAUUAUUCACGUAUAGGUUGCUACAGUUUAACAGUACAAAUACUUAGACUCUAGACACGGGUUUAUGUUCGGUACUGAUUGGCUAUAGUGAUUUAUAUGGGGAGGCAUGUGAGUGCGCAAUAAGGAAUUCAACACUCUCAAUAUUGAGAGAGAACGUUCUAUGUAGACUAUCAGACUCGAUUCGAAAAAUCCCUGGCCAGGGUAUGUGGUGUAUGGAAAGAGUUUCCAGAUGUGUUACCAUAUUGAAUCGGUUCUAGAUAUUCUAGUCAUAUGAUCGAAUAAUAAGAUUUGGCGAGUAACCAUAAUUUUGGUUCGAUCGGGACGUUGUGUGUUGAAAGGAAUUAAUCAUACGGUAACUGUAAGCGGAAAGGUUUAUUCUUCAUCACCAUUCUGGAUUGUCGUGAUAUACUGCUAGGUGUCACUCACGGACGGUGACAGAAUAUGAAUGAUUAGAAUUUAAUUAUUCUUAUUUAUCGAUUAGAAGGGUUCUAAUUAAAUAUCAAAGAGUUUGAUAUUUAGCUCCACUGCCGAAUGGUAAUGAACCUAUGCGGUCACACACAAUAGGAAUUGUGUGCAUCCAACAGGACAAGAUGAGAAUAAUACACUAAACGGUUUAGUGAAAAUAGUGAGGAUUAUAAUUUGAUUGUUACGAAAGAUUUUAUCUCUAAUUGGAUUAGAGAAUAACUGAAUAUUCAUAAAUUAUUAUGAGAUAAUAUUCUAAUUAAAUUAGAUUUAAAUAUGAAUAUUUAGUUAUAAUAGAUAUGAUCUAAUUAAAGGGAGAGAUAAUAAAAUAUCCUAUGUUCCAACUAAUUGGAUGUAAUCCUUAGUUGGAUGUAAUCCAAUUAGUUGCAACAGAUAGUAUAGAAUUAUAACUAAUUGAAAAUUAUCAAAUUGGGAUUGUAACUAUUUGAACAUAAUUAGUUACAACAAAGAUACGGCUCAAUUAAGAAGCCGUUUCGUACGGCUCUUUGUUUGUACUCCUUAAUUAAGCAGAGCUAUAUAUAUAGCUUAGCUGUGGCUUCAUUAAGGGUGCGAGAUAUCAUUAAUUGACGUGAAUAGGAUUCAAAUAUUCUUCUCUCUCAAACUUUCGUAAGUCCACAAUAAUUUUCACAAGAAGGAACGUAGACAUCGGAAGACUGCUAGCACCGUCUUCGUGAUCUGCGACUCAUCUGUUCCAUACGACGGAAGGCGUUGGAUCGGGAUCAAUUCCGUGUGGAUACGCGUAGAGGCCGGGCACGUGCGCGGCUAAUCGGAGGAUCAACUUCAACCGUACAGUAGAUCAAGAGACCUUAACUGGUCCAAGGUAAUGUAAUCUAAACUUCGGAUUUGUUUAGAUUAGAUUUUAUUUUACAUUGUAACAUGAGAAUGAUCCGCCGGCACUGGAUUGAUUUGUUUUGUUUUGUUUCAUAUGUGAUAUGGAUUUCGUUUUCGUUUUUCCGCUGCGAUUUUUAAGUGCCGGAUAUUUUUUCUAACAGAUGUCAAUUGACUCUCUGUAAACCUAAUUGCUAGGUACACGAACGCGUUGGCGAAGUCGGUUCGACGAUUUGCCAAGCCGUUGUAAAGAUAUUGAAGAAACGGACGAUUUAGCUUCGUUUCUACCUGGAGGGCCGAGGCGACGUUCAAAAAUUAUGAAAAUGGAUCCCGAGCACCGUAGCACAUAACCGAAGACCUAUAAUUUCUGGGGCUGUGGUUUGGCAUACGGUUAGUGCGCAACUGCAAGAUUGGGCCGUGCCGGAUACGAGUGCCACGGGCGGCCGAUUGCAAGUGACUACGAGCAAUCGGAGAGCGAAUCGAGGUGGAUUGUGCUCACCGAAGCGACUAGGUCAUCUCUAUGUCUAAGAGUAAUGUUUACUAUAGAUGCAUGCAUGUGUAGUGGUAUGUUGCAUAAGAUAAUAUAGAUGCAUGAAUCUUAUUAUGCUUGAUGUUUAAUGCCUACAAAUGAGAUAUGCAUGUUGAUACAUUGAGGAAACUGCUAGAUAAACACAUGAUGAGCAUGUUAUAGCAAUGCUAGAUGGAUGCAUGAGGUUAAUGAUAGGAAAAUGCAUAAUGACAUAAUGCUGAUGCUAGAUGGAUGCAAGUUAACAUAUAGAGGAUUAUGUUAAUUGAAAUGUGCAUGUAAACAUCUAUAUAUUAGAUUGAGUGGCAUCGAACCUAGUGUUAAUAAACAUAGGUCGAAUACGAGUGGCAUCUAACCUAGUGUUAUAAAACAUAGGUUGAAUAUGAAUGACAUUGAACCUAGCGUUAGUAAACAUAGGUUAAAUAAGUGAACCUAGAGUCAAGAUCUAGGUGAGUGGCAUCGAACCUAGUGCUAAAGAACAUAUGUUGUGGAUUAAACCUAGAGUUAAAGUAAACCUAGGUUAUGUGAUAGAGACAUUGAACAUAGAGUCAAGAGGACCUAGGUAGUAAAGAACAACGGAUCUAGAUAGGUCAAUACUAUAGGGUUUGAGACCAACCCUUGAGCUAUGUAAAAUGGAUUCCAGAAUCCUUAGGAAAUGAAGGCUGCUAGUGCAGCGAAUGAGAUUUGCGACUGAGCGCAAGUGAAUCAAGAUUGUGGGUAUGUUGGUUCUCCUCGCCCGAUAGUGAUUCAACGGAUAUGUUGGUUCUCCUCGCCCGGUAAGUGAAUUGGCAUAAAUAGAAUCCUAACUGCGGGUAUGUUGGUUCUCCUCGCCCGGCAGUGAUUCAACGGGUAUGUUGGUUCUCCUCGCCCGGUAUGCCAUGAGCUUGAGGUUGAAAUGAGUAUGAUGGUUCUCCUCGCUCAUUUAGCUUAUUGGAUGAUGCCACUUGGAUUGACUUGAACCAUUGCUGGGUAAGGGCGAUGUGAUCGCUGCCAUAUGACUAAGUCAUGACUUGAGCGAUUGUUGGGUGUGAUGCGAUGAGUUCGCCGCCGCAUGGCUAAGUCAUGACUUGAGUCGUUGUUGGGUUUGAGGCGAUGAGUUCGCCGCCAGAUGGUUAGGUCAAGAGGUGCGGUGGGCUAUGAUGGCAGCCAGGCUGAGGUGCAGCCAGUGCGCGGACUAUCCGCGGAUGAUUGACUUGAGGCCGAGUCGGCUGGAUAGCUUGAGUAAGGUAGUGGAAACCUUAAAGGCUAGUGAUAGAGGCAAGAACUAAGGUAACAGAACCUUAGAAGCUAGUUAGACAUGAGCUAGUUAGCGAGAUAGAAGUAGAAUCGAUAGAUUUACUUCUUUGGUUGCAUUGUUGCAUAAGUUGCAUAUGGAAUAGCAUUAUUGCAUUUGUGAGGCAAAGCAUGAUAUAUGUUAGUUGCAUUUAAAUUAUGAUUUCAUAUCUAUUUAUUAAACUAACAUGUUGUUGCCUCCCUUGGACCUACUGGUCGAGCUUUUUCUUUGGGUGGCCGUACCCACUGGGAACCAUGGAGUUGGUUCUCACCCCACUUUGUUUUGGGGUGUUACAGGUUCGCACGUGAGCGGCGCGACGGCGCAAGGAAAGGGCGUAGCUCCAUAGAUAGCGCCCUACCCCAGAGACCAGAGAUAGCGGUACCCCGAGUCGGCAUAGCCUAGGGGUAGAGGAGAAAUGAAAACAACAAGAUGUAUCAAACUUGUAAAUAAGAAAAUGAUGUAAUAACUUUGAUUGUAUUUGGAAGCCAAUGUAAAAGAAAUCGUGAUUUAAAAUGCAUUUGAUGUGAAUGCUUAUAAUAACUAGUUAUUUAUGUUGUUUGAUACUUUCUUAUGCAAUCUGUAUGUUGAAUACUGUUCCUAGUUGGAACCUCUUGUAUUGUAUUGAUUGUAACGCCUAGGACGUACAGGAAAACUCUGUCCGUUCGGCGAUCUGUCGGCGUACCCGAACCCGACCAAAUAGGCGGGGCACGGGGCGUGACAAAAAUGGUCAAAGGUUUGAUUCAAAGGUUAAAAAAUUGGAAGUAACACAUGAAUGGUACUUUCAGAAGCAUUAUAGUUAGACUAUAUAUAUAUAUAUAUAUAUAUAUAUAUAAAAAUAAAAAAAAAAAUAUAUAUAUAAUAUAUAUAUAUAUAGAAGUUGAGCUAGAAUUACUAAUCAGUAAGUAAACGAGCCGGUUUUACUACCGAUUUGUUUUUGAUUAUAGACCUUCCAAAAUUGACGAUCGGCUCCGUUAAUAUGAUCUAAAACCAUUUAAACUACCUAAAAAUCAAAUUUCACGCACUUUCGAUAUUGUUCUUUAUCCAUCAAGUGAACAGAAAAAUGAAUGCUGAAAAUGAAUACUCUUUAAAAAAUGAUGAUAGGAGUCUUGAAAUCAAGAUCAAGAGUAUAGAUCUUGUUUUAAAUAGUUUAAAGAUUUUCUAACAAAAAUUCAAUUGAUUAUGAUAUCUUUAGCCGGUUAAACGAGAAACGCCUCUAUUCAACCAUUAAAAUUACAAAUUUUGAAACCUUUGAUCAUUAGGCAAUUGAUGUCGAAAAGGAUUGUGAAUUUAAAUUCUAACACUUCAAGUGUAUAGAUCGUGUUCAACGGGCCGAUCGUCCAAUUUGGAAAGUUUUAUCCAUACGGAAAAAAAUCGGUAGUAAAACGGCUCGUAUACUACGCGAUAGUAUUCGAGCUCAACUCUAUAUAAUAUAAUAUAUAUAUAUAUAUAUAUAUAAUAUAUAUAUUAUAUAUUAUAUAGUAUAUAUAUAUAUAUAUAUAAGUUACUGGCUAUCUAUAGUAAGCAAAAUCCAAGCAUUAUUGGCUACCAGUUUUUUAGGCCUUACGCAUCAACUUCUUUCCAUUAUUUAACCAUUACAUUAAAUACUAUAACCCAGUGGGUGAACAACUCAACCUUAGGGACCUUCAACUCUAAACCGACUAAUAUCAUCCUCGACCUACAAUUUUUCAUCAAAGGGUUAAAAACCUUGAUAAGCAAAAAAGAACGUUUUACGUAUUAAUAGUAUUCAGGCCUAAUUCUAUAUAUAUAUAUUAAUAAUAUAGUAUAGAUCGCGCUACUAUGAAAAAAAAAACAAUUGCAUAGUAUCAAGCUCUUGGUAGCUAUUGAAUAUUCUAACGUUAGCACUUACCCUUGAUCAUUUCCACCGUUAGAUUUAUACUAUUAAACAACUACCCACUCAACCCUAGCGGGACCACUCCAUCUUAUCGUUACAUCACUUUCAAUCCAACGCGCGAAAACUCAAUAGUACCAAAGGCUUGAUACUAUUGAAUCAUAUAGUAGCAUUAAUCUAAAUAUAUAUAUAUAUUUAUAUAUAUAUAAUAUAUAUUAGCUGGGCUACUAAUACUCUUAUGUAGAUAGACCCCAUUGUACUCAUACAUUUAACCCGUUUGAUUGAUAUGGGAAUGUCGUAGUUAGGAUGAUGGUGGUCCCCACUUAGAAUGGAUUAGCGGUGCCUAGGGUUGAGUGGAUAGUUGUUAAAUAGUAUGAUUCUAAGCAGAUGGAGAAAUGAUUGAUGGAAUAAAUGUAAGGGUCGAAACCUUAUGAGUAUAAGGAGCCAAAUACUCAUUAAAAGUAAGAGUAGCGAAACCUUAUAUAUAUAUAUAUAUAAGUUAUAUUAUAUAUAUAUAUAUAUAUAUUACAUAAUAUAGGAGUUGAGUCUACUAUCCAUCCGGAAGCACGCAGCCUUCCGUCUUCCACUCGGGUUUCGAAUGUGGCGACUUUCGAAUCGUCGAUCGGCUCCCGUUUAAACUGAUCUAGAAUAAUUUGGAGUACUGAAAUAAAUUUAUUCAUUUUCAUUAUAUUUGCCUUACGUGAUCGAAUCGAGUUCAAAAUCAACAAAUUUCAAUGGCCGUAGUGAGCCGUUUGCAAGUUUAACGGUGUAGAAAUAUCCAAAUCACGUGAAAUUUUGAUAGAAAAUUCUUUAUACUAUAUAAAACAAGAUCAAUAUCUUUGAUUUAAAAUUUUAAUGUCAUAUUAUUACAUUUUGUAAGAUUUUUAUUUUCAGCCGUUGAUUUUGAGCCCCUUCGUUCACUAGGCAAAUAAUAUCGUAAAAUUAUAAAAUUUAUUUUCUAGGUACUUCAAAUACUCUAGAUCAAGUUUAAUGGAGCCGAUCGACGAUUCGAAAGUCGCAACAUCGAAAAAGAGCUGGAAGCACGGAAGGCUCCGUGCUUCCGAUAGCAUAGUAGCUUACUAUGUAUAUAUAUAUACAUAGAGAGAGAGAAAAAGAGAGAGUUGAGCUAGAAUGCUGUCGAUAGCAAACGAGCUCUGUUGUCACCCAUUUGUUUUCGAUGAUAGAGCCUCCAAAUCGACGAUCGGCAUCGUUGAACAUGAUCUAUACCACUUGAAGUGUUUAGAAAUCAAAUUUCUAAUCUUUUCGACAUCAUUUGCCCAAUGAUCAAAGGGUUUCAAAAUUUGUAAUUUUAAUGGUCGAUAUGAGGCGUUUUCUCGUUUAACGGCGUAAAAAUAUCCAAAUCAAAUGAAUUUUUAUAUCUUUAUAUAAACAUUAAGUGAUACAAACACUCCUGAACAUACGUUAAUUGGGUUUACGUUUACAGCGAAAACUUUCAACUUUGAAGAAAAAGGGACAUAGAUUUUCCGGUGUACGAACCACCCCAACGUGUUCGGGUGAGUCGUUUUUCUGUUGCAACACACGAAUCACCCGACCCGGUGUCGAAGUACCCGGGGUGGUUCUUUCGUUGCAAUCACUUCCCUGAAAGGAUCAGUGAAACCAAAGAGGUGUUACCAGAACAAAAUAAUAUCAAACCACUCGAUGAAAGUGCAAGCUCUUGUUAGUGGAACAAUAAAGUAUUGUUGUGGCUAAAAUGACAAUACGUACUUUGAACGGGUGAGGGAAAUUCAUGCACUAGACUCUAAUCUAGAACCAAAAUCGUACUAGACUCGUCCUAUAUAUAUAUAUAUAUCUCAGGCCGAUGAUAUGAAAAUACUCAUAAUCGAGGGAAUAUGAGUAUUCAAAAGCCAGAAGUCUAAAUAAGGUAAUUAAUAAAAAUAGGCAAUCUAGUAUGAUAAGUUGGUUGAUAGGUGAGUUGGGAUCUCUUGGUGAUAGUAAAAUUCACCCCUGGUGGUAGUAGGAUUGGUGUAUUGCAGAAUAAAUUAAUCGUACUCCGCACCCCAAAUAAAUAAAAAGAAAAAAAAGUUGAUGAUGAAAAUCAUAAAAGAAUAGAAGAGUUGCAGGCGGCGAAGUGAAGGAGGGUAGGGAAAAAAAAAGAGGAGGGGUCGGGUGAGAUGGAAGAUAAAAAAACACAGCUCAAGAAAUCAACAAAGUCCAGUAUCACCACCGCCUCCGCCACUUACACUACCGUUAUCUCUGGUUUCGCCGCCGCCGACGACGCCGAUACUUUUGUUAUCGUUCGGAGUAGGAAAAUCUCUGGUUAUGGUUAAUUAGGGGUUUUCUUUACGGUGCACCGACACAAAGGAAGUGAACCGAAAGUAGAAUACUUUGGUUGGUAAACAGAAAGGAUGCGUAUAUUGCAGAGUAAAUUAAUCGUACUCCGCACCCUAAAUAAAAAAAAGAAAAAAAAGUUGAUGAUGAAAAUCAUAAAAGAAUAGAAGAGUUGCAGGCGGCGAAGUGAAGGAGGGUCGGGGGUAGUUAGUUGCCAAUUUUUAAAUACUCAUGUUCCCACAGAUAUGAGUAUUUUCAUAUCAUCGGGGUCGGAUAUAUAUAUAUAUAUUAACUCGAGGAUACGAAAAUUUUCAUGGUUCAAUAAUCACGAACAUCUAAAAAUCGUUAACCUAAUUCUUUAUAUGCCAAUCCUACUACACCCGGGGGAUCCCAACUCACCCACCAACCAACUUAUCAUAUUAGAUUACCAACUUUUACUAGGCUCCUUAUCUAGAUUGCCAUUUUUUUGAAUGUAUCGUGGUUCGUGAACUACGAUAAUGUUCAAGUGGUGUCAAUCUUAGAUAGGUAUACUGGUAUAAGUGGGCAAUCUAUAUAUGAUAAGUUGUUUUGUGGGUGAGUAUAGUAUCUCUCUGGUAAUAGUAGGAUUGUCGUGUAAAGAAGUAGGUUCUCUGUUUUUUUCUCGUGUUUCUCAGUUCUGAUCUUAUGAUAGCUAUCGUGUUUCCGGAGGCAACGGUGGUUUAACAAAGGUUACUACGUCGGAGUUUUAGCUGCUAGUUGUGUCAAUUUGUACUAGAUGUGGAUAACUUUCAUAACUCUUUGAUUUUAAGUAUUUAAAAGCCGUUGUAACAUGAGAAUGGUUUGCUCAUCUGUGUUUUUAUUUGCCGGCUUUUACUUUUUAGAGUAUUUUUUACUACUAUUUUCUGAACUUUAGUUCUAGUUCUCCAUAUCUUGAAUGAGAUUUAUCACUUUUUUAAAAGAUUAUNCUCUCUCUCUCUCUCUCUCUCUCUCUCUCUCUCUCUAUAUAUAUAUAUAUAUAUAUAUAUAUAUAUAUAUAUAUAACUAGGCUGUAAUAUUAUUAAUAGCACCAAUGACUUGGUGCUAUAAAAUUUCUGCCAUUGGAUUAAAAUGUGUGCGGUUAGGAUGAUGUUGGCCCCCUAGGGUUGGGUGGGUAGUUGGUUAAAUAGUAUAACCGAACGGAUGAAAAUGAUAAAAGAGGUAAAUCUAACGGCAGAAAACUUGAUAGCACCAAAUGUUUCGUACUAUAUAUCGAUAGUAUCCCAGCCAAAUUAUAUAUAUAGAGCUAGGCUGGUAUACUAUCGGUAGCACGAAGGUCUCCGUGCUACCAAAUUAUUUUUAAUGAUGCGGCUUUCCAAUCGAUGAUCGGUUCCAUUAGAUUUAAUCUACACUAUAAAAAAUAUUUGAAAAUUAAAUUUCAUAAUUUUUCGAUGUCAUUUGGCUAGUGAUCAAAAGGUCUCAAAAUUGACAAUUUUAAUAGUAGAUGUGAUGCGUUUGUAAAUUUAACGGUGUAAAACAAUUCAAAUAUGAUAAAAUUUUUAUAGAAAAUUAUUUCACUAUUUAGAGUAAGUUCAAUACCUCUAAUCUUAAAUUCAAGUCUUUUAUCAUCAUUUUUUAUGAGAUUUUUAUUUUCGGCCGUUUAUUUUUAAACUACUCGUUUGGUAGGUAAAUGUUGCCGAAAAAUUAUAAAAUGUAGUUUCCCAAUACUUUCAAUAGUGUAGAUCAAGUCUAACUGAGCCGAUCGUCGAUUUGGAAGCCGCAUAAUUGAAAACAAUUUGGUAGCACGGAGGCCUCCGUGCUACCGAUAGUAUACCAGUCUUGCUCUUGGUGCUAGUUUUUUGACCCUUGGAUGAAGAAAUGUGCGGUUAGGAUGAUAAUGGUCUUCUAAGAUUGAGUGGGUGUUUUGUUGAAUAGUAUAAUCUAACGGGUGAAAAUGGUCAAAGGGAUAGAUUCUAACGGCGGAAAACUCGAUAGCAUCAAGUGCUUAGUGCUAUCGAUAAUAUAUAGUAGCAGGACUCUAUAUAUAUAUAGAACUAGGCUAAUAUACUAACGGGUGGUUGGUUGAAUAGUAUGAUCUAACGGGUGAAAAUGAUCAAAAGGGUAGAUCUAACGGCGGAAAACUUGGUAGCACCAAGUGCUUCGUGCUAUUAAUAGCAUAGUAGCCGAACUCCUCUCGCUACUCGAUCCUCGUCUCUGUAGAGAAAAUAUAAGUAUAGUAUGAUUAAGUAGUAGUAUAUGAGAUAAAUAGUAGGAGUUAGCUAGACUACCUCAAAACGAUAGGGAAACGGGUGCAUUUUACUAUCGAGUUGUCGAUGAUAGAAGCUUGCCCUAAAUUUGAGAUCGCCUCGUGAACCAUUAAUCAUACCAAUUAACAGUUUUAGAAAUCAAAUUUUAAAUCUUUUUCGAGCAUUAUUUGCCUAACAUAAUCAACGGCGUUUCAAAACUUCUAUAAUUUUAAUGUGGAUAAUAGACGUUCUCAUUAAGCGGUGUAAAAUAACUCCAACAAUUGACAUUUUGUUAGAAAUUCUUUAAACUUUUAAAACAAGAUCUAUACUCUGAUCUUGAUUAAAUGACCCUAUCAUGCAUUUUAAAGAAUAUUCAUUCAACACAUUCAUUCUGUUCACUAUCAUGCAUACAAAAAAAGAUCGAAAGUGCUGAAAUUUGAUUUCUGGUAGUUAAAUGGUUUAGAAUCAUAUUUAACGGGAGCGAUCGUCAAUUUGAGCUCUACAUCGAAAACGUAACUCGAUAUAAAAUGCUCGCUUUACUAUCAGAGUAUUCUAGCUCAACUCUAUAACUACUACUAGCUUAUUACCACUAUAUAUAUAUAAGUAUAUACUAUAAUAUAAGUAUAUAGUAGUAGUACUACGGAGGAGGACGGUCGAAAGCAAAGUAGUUGAGCUUCCGUUUUAGGACCCUUGAUGAUGAGAGCGUUCAUCUGUACAUCGUAAAUCAUGAUAAUAUACACCAAUGUGACACUCAAGCGCCUAGGUACGCCUCAAACCGAGGCCGCUACGGUCCCGGAACGGGAGAAGUUUUAGGCCAAGGCUAAAAAAUUGAAGAUCAAUACUUUAUGUUUUCGAUAGUAUAGUAGCACUUCUACACCUGAUAUAUAUAUAUAUAUAUAUUCAUAUAAUAUAUAUAGAUGAGAGAGAGAGAUGAGAGAAGAGAGAGAGAGAGAGAGAGAGAGAGCAGAGGAGCGCAUAUCCUUCUAUACUAUCUAUAGCGGAGCCUGCGUUACAUAGUCACGUUUUGCGAUCUUAGGGUUCAAAUCAACAUCCACAUCGUUAAAACUGAUUAUAAUAUAAAGUUCUUAAAAUAAAAUUUUAUAUUUUUUCGACAUAGUUUACUUUAUGAUCAAACUAUUUCAAAAUUGUCAAUUUUCAAAGGUUACUAUGGCGAGUUUGGAGUUUAACGGCGUAGAAGGAUCUAAAUUUUUUCAAAUUUUGAUAGAAAAUACUUUAAACUAUCUAGAUUAUGGUUAACAUUCUUGAUCUUGAAUUUAAAAGUUCCAUACUCAAAUUUUAAAGAUUAUUCAAUUUUUACCGUCCAUUUUGACAUAAUUUAUUUACUAAGUAAACGAUGUCGAAAAAAACUAAAAUUUUAUUCCUAAGAACUUCAUAUACCCUAGAUCAUAUUUAACGGUGUGGAUCGUUAAUUUGAACACCGUAAGAUCGAAAACAAGAUUAUAGUACCGAAGCUCCGGUACUAUAGAUAGUAUAGUAGCCUAAUUCUAUAUAUAGAACUAGGCUGGAAUACUAUUAAUAGCACCAAUGACUUGGUGUUAUUAAGUUUUCUACCCUUAGAUUAAAAGAUGUGCGGUUACGAUGAUGUGGGCUCCCCUAAGGUUUAAUGGGUGGUUAAUUGAAUAGUAUAAUCGAAUGGAUGAAACUACAACAGAAUUAGAUUAUAGAGACACAUGUUUGGGACACUUUUAUGUAAGUGUCCAAUUUAUGUCAAAACUUAAAAAAAAAUCUACUAAUGCCUAAAUAUAAAACCCAAUCCAACCAAAAAUAAAAGGUUACUCUACUCAACUCACCCCACCCAGCCCAUUCGGCCCGAUUACAAACAGAAAAGAAAAAAAAAAAGAAAAAUCGAUUAUCAUCUCCCAUUCUCUUCUCACUCAAUCCACUGAAAUUCUAAACGAAAAUCCCUUCCUCUCGUUCUCCUCCGCUACCGCAGCCAACGAGGUAGAGUUCCGGUGGUUAGUAAAUGCUUAAAUAAGUGUUGGUAAAUUAGCAGCACUCUUUUAGGUUAUAGCGACACUCUUUAAUUGUCACUAUAUACCUAGCGAUCCCACAUAUAGCAACACUUUUUAAAAGUGUCGGUAAUUUAGCCAGCAGCACUUUUUUUGACCUAUACCGACAUUUAAAAGUAUCGCUAUAAACCGUUUUUGUUGUAGUGUGAAAAUGAUAAAAGAGAUAAAUCUAACGGCAGAAAACUUGAUAGCAUCAAAUGCUUCGUGCUAUCGAUAGUAUCUCAGCUGGACUCUCUCUCACUCUCUCUCUCUCUCUCUCUCUCUCUCUAUAUAUAUAUAUAUAUAUAUAGAGUAGGGCUACUAUACUCUUAUGAGUAGUGGACCCUUAGUACUCAUAAGUUGUUUUCGAUGAUGGAGCUUCCGAAUCGACGAUCCACUCCGUUAAAUAUGAUCUAAGAGUUUUGAAACUUCUAGAAAUAAAUUUCGUAAUUUUUCGAAAAUCAUAAUAAAGUCCAUCAAGCGGCAUAAAAGAACGGUCAAAAUCGAACGACGUCCAAAAAUGGAUGAUCGGAUCCUUCAUUUAAGAUCAGAGUUUGAUUCUUUAUCUAGAUAGUGAAUAAAAUUUUCUAUCAAAACUUCAACUAUUCCGAUUCUUUUCCACCGUUAAACUAGCAAGUAUCCCCAUACGACCGUUAAAAUUAUUCAUUUUGUGAGCUUUUGAUCGUAAGUAAAUGAUGUCGAAAAAUUAUGAAUUGAUUUCUAGAAUGUUUAAAUGCUCUAAAUAACGUUUAACGUGUGGAUCGUCGAUUCGGAGCUCUAUCAUCGAAAACAACUUAUGAUACGAAGCGAUCGUAUUCAUAAGAGUAUAGUAGCCGGACUCUAUAUUAUAUAUAUAUAAUAUAUAAUAUAUAUAGAGAAGAGAGAGAGAGAGAGAAGAGAGAGAGUUCGGCUAUGUGCUUGUAAAAACACCAAGCACUUGUACUGUAAAUUUUUUACCGUAAAUCUACUCUUUUGAUCAUUUCUACUCGUUAGAUCAUACUAUUCACCAACGCGCUACUCAAAUCUCGGGUNNNNNNNNNNNNNNNNNNNNNNNNNNNNNNNNNNNNNNNNNNNNNNNNNNNNNNNNNNNNNNNNNNNNNNNNNNNNNNNNNNNNNNNNNNNNNNNNNNNNNNNNNNNNNNNNNNNNNNNNNNNNNNNNNNNNNNNNNACAAUUUGUUCUUUUGCAGAGUAUAGCCUGGUAAUUUUAAUGUUUAAAACUUUGGGAAACUAAUAAUCCGUUUACUACAGCUUUUUUAAACUUUAAACUAAAGAUUUAUGAAGUUCAUCAUAUCUAGUACAAGUUGCCAAGGCUAGCAGCUAAACCUCCGAGGUAGUACCUUUUGUUUACCCACCGUUGCCUCGGGCAAACGAUAGCUAUCAUAAGAUCGAGUUGAGAGAGAGAGAGAGAGAUAUAUAUAUAUAUAUAUAUAUAUAUAUAUCUCUCUCUCUCUCUCUCUCUCUCUCUCUCUCUCUCUCUCUCUCUCUCUCUCUCUCUCUCUCCAACUAAAAAACAUCUUUUAAGAUAAGUGAUAGAUCUAUUUCUAGUUAUUGAGGCUAAAAUUUAACUUCCUAGGCUAAUAGGUAAAACUUCUGCAGCAAGUUAAAACUGACAAAUAAAAUACAGGGAAACUACCUGAAAUAAUACUAAAGCUUUUUAUUGCUUUAAAUAAAAAAUCUUCAAAGUUUAUGAGAUUUAGUAUAAAUUGUCUCACCCAGCAGCUAAGCCUUGGGAGUAGUAACUUUUGUUAAAUACUCACGCUUCUUGGGUUAUGAGUAUAUAUAUAUAUGCGUAAAGAUAUCCAAAUCAAUUGAAUUUUUGUUAGAAAAUUCUUUAAACUAUUUAAAACAAGAUCUAUACUCUUGAUAUUGAUUACAAGACUCCUAUCAUCAUUUUUUAAAGAAUAUUCAUUUUCAGCCGUUUAUUUUUGUGUCCACUCGAUGGAUAAGAGAACAAUAUCGAAAAUAUAUGAAAUUUGAUUUCUAAAUACUUCAAGUGGUAUAGAUUAUGCUCAACAAUGCCGAUCGUCGAUUUGGAGGCUCCAUCAUCGAAAAUAAAUGGGUGGUAAUAGAGUCCGUUUGCUAUCGAUAGUAUUCUAGCACAACUAUAUAUAUAUAUAUUCAACGGCUGGUCAACGAGCUAUUUUGAGUUUGAAAGUAAUUUGCACUUCAAUUAAGAACUUAUCAGUUGAGCAAAGCCAUUUACGAGCUAAACCUAAUCUGACCAGCGUAGACAAUUGUAUUUAGUCAAAGUCGAUCAGUACGUAUUAAAUAUAUAUUUUCCUAGCCACUUUAAUUCAUGUUCCUUGGACUCUUUAAUUAGUUCAUGCAUAUUCUCCUUAGGGAGAUUAAACUAAAAGUAUCAAAAUUAAAUAACUCCACAUUAAAUUAAUUGAAUCCUUGAUAUAGAAGAGCCUCAUUUGUUAUAUUAAAAUCCCUAAAUUUAUUGUCAAAAGCAAUUUACCAAUACAAAUCCAUGUUUGACUAGAUUCUCACACCUUUAAGUGGACUUGCCUAUUAAUUGUGUACUUGAUACAAAAUAAUACAUUAGGGGGGAAAAAGAUGAUUCCCAUAAUAAUCAAUAACUAUAUAUGAUUGGUGACUAUAGAUUGCAAGCUCACCACACAUGGUGGUCCAAAUGCAAAUCACCUAUUUACUUUAUGAUCUUAGGUAGGGACACCCCAAAGUAUACUCUUAGAAGUGUUAAUCUAUUCAAAAUUUAGAUUAAUCUUACCAAUUUCAUGCAAUCAUAGAAAUAUAAACUAGAAGACGAAACUUUGGAGUUAGGGUUCAACUUUAGCAAAAAUAAAAUAGAAAAAAAUUCAAUCCCAACUUCGAUCUUUUAAUAACAAAACACUAAUCUCGUUACAAAAGAAGCUAUUUCAAAAAUCAGACUUUAGUUGCUCAGUGAGUUAUCAUAGUUACACGAUCUAUCUCCGAAUCCUAUAAAUCAAAUCGCGGUAUGCAUCACCUCGGGGUAUGCUUUGGAGCACAUCGAGCAUUGCAUGAACUUAAUUAAUUAGGUGCUUGAUCCUCCACAUUAGCAUUUUAAUAAAGGGGAAAACACAUGCGAGGGGCAAAGAUGCCACCAAAAGAGCGACGAGGGCAAAAUGGUAAUUUCACAACGCGUGGCGUGCUGUGACUGCAUGAUCAUAAAGGCUGGGGUCGGAAGAAGCGGAAGUGUAGCAGCAGCAAACCUCCCUCUCACUUAUCAGGGCGACUUUUCAAAAGUGUAUAUAUGUAUUAUUAUUAUUAUUAUUAUUAUUAUUAUUAUUAUAUAUCUACACAUACAUGGGAAAAAAGUUACAUUACAAAAAAAAAAAAGAAGAGAUUUUUUAAUUAAUUAAUAUUAUCCCUUUUGAGGUGGGUUUUUUGCAUGCGACCCCCUUUGAAAUAUCAAUAUUGCUCCCAUGAACUUCAAUUAAUUAACUCCAUGUGGGGUAGUUUGGAAAGUUUUAUAAGAAUCUGUUGUUAUAUUUUACUUUACUAUCCAAUAUAACAAUAUGUAUUCAUUUAACAAUAUGUCUUUAUAGUGAUAAUAAAAAGAGAGUCACUGAAAGAAUGACAAAGUGAAAUUGUGUUAAAGUAACAAAAAGACAAAUUGAUCGCUUUUUUCCAAACAUAUAUAAAUUGAAUUGCUAGCUAGUAUAGGUUAUUAGAAGCAAGGUCUUUUAGAAUUGUUCUCAAGCUUAACCUCAGCUUACUAAAUAAUUUUGAUAGAUUUAAUUGAUCUAAUAUAUUCCUAUCAAAAAAAAAUUUGGUAAUAUAUAUAGAUAUAGAACUAGACUAGAAUACUACCAAUAGCACCAAGCUAUCAGUGCUAUUAGAUUUUUGGUCAUUGGAUGAAUGAAUGUACGGUUAAAAUGAUGUGGGUCUUCUAGGGUUGAGUAAGUUGUUAGCUGAAUGUAUAAUUUAACUGAUGAAAAUAGUCAAAUGGUUAAAUCUAGCGGUGGAAAACUCGAUAGCACCAAGUGCUUGGUGCUAUCGAUAGUAUCCCAGCUGGACUCUCUCUCUCUCUCUCUCUCUCUCUCUCUCUCUCUCUCUCUCUCUCUCUCUCUCUCUCUAUAUAUAUAUAUAUAUAUAUAGAGAUCAUAUACAUAUAAAAGUACCAAGUCAUUGGUGCUUGUAAGUUUUUGGCCCUUCGAUUAAGGGAUGCGCGGUUAGGAUGAUAUGGGCCCCCUAGGGUUGAGUAGGUGGUUGGUUGAAUAGUAUAAUCUAACGGAUAAAAAUGAUCAAAGGUAUAGACCUAACGGUAAAAAAUUUAUAAGCACCAAGUGUUUGGUGCUUGUACAAGCACCAUAGCCGGACUCUAUAUAUAUAUAUAUAUAUAUAUAUAUAUAAUAAAUAAGAGAGGAAACUCACCAAGAGGCUUAAUUGAUUAAUGUGCUAUAAAUGAACAGAAGAUCAUUAGUACAAGAUUAGGCACGUGCGGGAGCAUGCACGUACAACAAGCGUGCCAAAGCAUGCAAGUACUCCAUUAAGGAAGGCAUAUGUUAUUUUCCACUUUUUGUGGUACCAAACUCACCUGACCAUAUCUCCUUUUUAAUGCGCAAAGGCGCCAUUGUCAAUAAAGCAAGAUUCUAAGCUAAUUAAACCCCCAUAACCUUCAACAACCUAAGAUCCUUAAAAAACAAAAAAGAAAGAAAAGAAAAGAAAAUUCUCGAACGCCACCUUAAAAUCCCCUUCAAAUAUUGUUACUUCUUAUUUAAAGCAUUUCUAUUUAUAUUUUGUUCCUAUACUUUGUCUAGUCAAAAGGUUUACAAUUGAAAAAUACUGUAUAAAUCUGAUAUCNAUAUAUAUAUAUCAAAUGCUUUGUGCUAUCGACAGUAUUCCAGUUGGACUCUCUCCCUCUCUCUUUCUCUCGAUCUCUCUGGACUCUUUCCGGCUGGAAUACUAUCAAUAGCACCAAACACUUAGUACUAUCGAGUUUUCCACAGUUAAAUUUAAUCAUUUGACUAUUUUCACCCGUUAGAAUUCUCAGAGAAUGAGACCUAUAUGUUUUCUGAUGGAACUACAUAAAAUAUAUUGUGACUAAUUCAUUGUGAUAUGCGGAAUCCAAUAAUAUGAUAUAUUCUUUUUUAUCGUAUUUUUUUCAUUGUAAGUAAUGCAAUUUCUUUAUAAUCGUAAACAAAAAUCUAACUCAUAAGAAAAAGAAAUUGUUUUAUUACCAGAGUUGGGCCCUUUUAAUUUACAGUAUAAGUCCUUGAGUCAACUAUAUCCAAAUAUAAACCUAAGGAUCAAAUAUAAGGCAUCACAAGAAAGGAAUGUUCCAUCAAUUCAAAGUCAUUAGAAGAUAAAAAAAAAAUAAAAAGUUGACUAAAUACUCCUCACUUGGAUCUAAACCCACUUGUUUUCUUUGCUUUCUCACCUGUUGAGAGAAGAGUUUCCCCUUCCAACUCCCCCUCUAACUAUAGCCACACAUUUUAAGAUCUAGUCCUUUCUAAAGUCAAGGAUUCAUUAAUGAAUCAUAAUGAUAAUGAUGUUACAUUAAAAAAAACUUAAACCUUAUUAUUAUAAGUUAUAAACUCAUAAAAUACUUCUCUAGAGUGUUAUAGGCAACUUUUGUAUAUUUGUAGGCCAUGAAAUUAUGUAUGGCCUCUAUAUUAUUAUCCUGACUUUUCACACUGUAAUCUCUGGUCCUUAUACUUUUUCAAUAAAAUAUUUUAGUCGCUGAGCUUUUACUUAUAUUAUAUUUUAGAAUAUAAACAUUAAAUUUUCUCACUUUUAUUGUGAAAUGAUCUUUUUAGCCUAUAUGGGAUUAUGAAUUAAAAUAAGUGAGGCAUUUUACUAAAUAAAUAAAAUAAUCAUUUUUACGAAAAAGUUGCAUUAUUUUUCUAUAUCAAAGCCUAAAAUAUACAACUAGAGUGUUUAAUUCUCUGUUUGAAAUUUGUGGAUCAAAUUUGUUGAACACAGCGAAAAAAUAUGGUAAAAAAAUGCUAUUUAUUUACAUAAGUAACAACAUGUCACAUCGAUUGUAGUAGCUUAGUUCAGCUAUAAUUUUUUCAAUUUUAUUAAGAAAAAGAAAAAAAAAUAUGCAUGUUUCUAUUUCUAGUCUAAAAAUGUUAGAUAAUUUUCAAUACUAAAUAAAUGUAUGCUGAGUUUCUAUUUCAGUCUCGAACUUCUUAUUUGAUUUUUAUUCUUUAUAUUUACUUAGCAAGAACGUUAGAGCGAAAAAUCAUAUUUUUUUAAGAAACAAAAUAAAUUAUAUCGUAACUAAAAUAUAUUAUUUUAUCAAAUACAAAUAUUCAAAUCUUUAAAAAUAUAAAAAAAAAUUAGACUCGUUACUUUCCAUCUUAAUAUAUAAGAUAUAAAAUACAAAUUGCAAUGUUGUUAAUAUAGUAAAGGUAGUAGAAUCCAAACACAAGUACACAAUCCGUAUCCUUUAGUAUGAGCCUACACAGGUUUUUCCUUUUCUUUUCUUUUUUUUUCUAUUUGAUGAUGUUAUACUUAAAAAAAAAAAUUAAUUUCAUAUAUAUUCCUACAAACAUAAUAAAUAAUAGAUAUAUAUAUUUAUAAUGUUCAAUUAAUUUUUAUAUAUUGUCUCUAUAAAAAUUCUGAUAUUUUCAAAUAUGUUCAUGUUGUUAGAAUCCGUUAGAUAAAUUUAAUUAAUCAUAACUUAAAUAUUUAAUACUAAUUAAUUUUUAAUAUUUUUAUUUUUUUAUAUUAUACUGUUGUGAUUUUUGAAAAAGAUAUAUUUGUGAUAGCAAAAUUGAAAAUAUAAAUAGUUCUCUAGCGGUUCUUUAAUAGUAACAAAUUAAAAGGAUAUAUUUAAAAAUAUCAGAACUUUUGUAAGAACAACGUAUAAAAGUUAAACUUUAUAGUGAAAUAUUUAUAAUUUACUAUAUUUAUAAAAACCUUUAUAAAAUUAAUUUAAAAUAAAAAAUAAAAAUAAAACUAAAAUCAGAAAAGGUAAGAUGUCAUCCCUGGUCCCCUCCUCCUACUUCCCACCCGCUUUCCAGAGAGAGAGAGAGAGAGAAAGUAGAGAGAGAAGGGAACAGACAGCAACAGCGAGAGAGAGAGAGAGGGAAGAAAGCAGAAGGCGGGCAGCGCUGAACAGCAGGCAGCGCCGCACCAGCGAAAGCGACGGCUGGCUGCUGCGCCUAAAAAUCUUAAAAUCUCCUCCUUUUUAUUCCCCUCGGAAGCACCCAAACACAAAGCCAAAAAUACAAAAACAAAGGAUAUAAAAAAGGAAAAAAAAAAAAGAAAAGAAGAAAACAACAGGAAAAAAAAAAAACACUCCCACUCAACACCACCACCACCCAACUCCACCUCCGCCCAACAACACUCACCCACUCACACCUACAACUCUCUUUUAGAGAGAGAGAGAGAUGAGAGAGAAAAAGAUAUCUACUACUAUUUGAGAGUGCAGGAUUGUGUCGAAAACUUAUCCUGCCGUGUUUUUCGCUGUUAGAUCUACUCUUUUGAUCAUUUUUUUCUGUUAAAUCAUACUAUUCAAUCAAUCACCCACUCAAUCCAAAAGGGCCCACAUCAUUCUAACCGUAUAUCUCUUAAUCUAAUAGCCAAAAACUUGGUAGCAUCAAUUACUUAGUGCUAUUAAUAGUAUAUUAGCCUAGUUUUAUAUAUAUAUAUAUAGCGAGAAAUAAUAAUAUAAAAAAUUAUUUUUUAAAAAAGUAAAAUAUUUUAACUAUUUUUUAUUAUGCUUAUUAAUUUUUUAAAAUUUUAUCGAAAAAAUUCCUUACUAAUUUACAGUAUAGAGAAUUUUGAGCUGUGACGUUGGUGUGGAAACUGUAUCGUACCGAUAUUUUAUUGGCAUGAUAUGGUGCGGUAAAUAUGGUUGAUAUCUAUGGACUAAAAUUGGACUGUUAUUAGUGUUGCCACUAUUAAAUUACUAUUAUUAUUAGUGUUAGACUAAAAUUAGACAUAAAUUUUUAUAAAUAAAAUUCUGUUUUUUUUAAAAUAUUUACACUCGAUAAUUAGAUCCUCUAAAAUUUAUUAAAUAAUUUGAAUUUUCUUUUCAAAUGAAUUGGACAAUUGUUUUAUUUUUAGUUUAUGUUUUCUUGUAAAUAAUUUUUAAAAUUUUAAUACUUUUAUAUUUUUUUAAAAUUCUCAAACCAGUAACUUGGAGAAUCGUCAUGCUAAACUCUUCAAAAUACUUUACUUUAUUUCUUAUUUUUUAUGUUAUUACUUAAGGUAUUUAUUUAUUUUUUUUACCUACACUAUGCACCUUUAUUUCAUGUGCACCAUACAUUUAUCUUACUAAAUAAUAGUAAAAUAAUUUGAAAAAUGUAAAAAGAGCUCAAUAUCAAACUCCAAAAAGUUUGAAGAUCAAAAACAUAAUAAUAAUAAUAAUCUAAAUAAAAGUUGAGUAAAUAGUAAUGCAAAAAAAAGAAAAAAAGAAAAAAAAAUUUUUUUAAUAUUAUAAUAAUAUGGGUAAAUUUCAAAAAGCAUUCCUAUUAAUUUCGCACUUUCUCACUUUAAUACUUUAUGAUUUAAAGUAUACCAAUUUAAUAUCAUGUAAUUUUUUUUUUUUUUCGUCGGCCUAUUUAUUAAUUUUUCGUUAAAUCAUAUGCAAAAAAUUUCAGAUAUUUUAUAUAUAGUUUAUAUCGAAUAUUAAUUUUAGUACUCUUUAGUUUUAAUUUUGUCACUGAUUUAAUAAAAAAAUUAAUAAAAAAAUAAUGAAAAAAAAAUACUGUAUACGAAAGUGAUAUUUUUUAAACCACAGGAAUAAAGUGGAAACCGCCCGAUGGUGUUUGAAGAUUUUUUAAUAAUAAUCAUAAUUAAGAGAGAGAAAGAGAAAAAUAAAAGGAGAGGAGAGAGAAUAGAGAGGAGUAAGGAAUCGAAGGGUAGAGAGAGAGAGAGAGAGAGAGAGAGGCGGCGAAGAGUUAAUAAUCACCAUCAUCACACGACACCAUUUUAAUUCCUCUCUCUCUCUCUCUCUACACCUCUUUAUGAGCCUCAACAACACCUCCUCCUCCUCCUACUCGUACGCAGCAGCAGCAUCAUCAUCAUACAAGGAGGGGGGAGGGGAAAAGGGCGCUGCUUUUUAAUCAAACUCCUCACCUCGCCCUGUGUUGUUUGUGUGCAAAGGUGAGAGCUUUGGCCAAUUGGGUUCCUCGUUUCAACGGUGUAAUCCUCGGAAAGUGGAUGCUUUAAUUUGAGGUGGUUUUGAGGUGGGGAAAGAGAUAAACGAGAUGAAGUUUAUGAAGCUGGGCUCGAAGCCUGAUGCGUUCCAAUCCGAUGGGAGCGACGUUAGGUGAGAAAAAGAUCCAAUUUUUAUCUCUUCUCUUCUCUUUUUUUUUUUUAUCCGUGUUUGUACAAUGCUUGUUAUUGCAUUACAUAUGUUCAUUUUUUUUUAGUUGGGUUUUGCCUAAAAAAAAAAGAUCUUUAUUUGAGUGCAUUUUUUGUGUUCGUUUUUUCCUGAAUUAUUUUUGUGGUUUUUCUUUUCUUUUUUUUUUUUUUUUUUUUGGCACAUUGUGAUCUUUUUUAAUGUCAUUAAUUGUUUGACUCUGUUCUCCCUGUUUUAUUAUUAUUAUUAUUAUUAUUAUUUAUUAUUAUUAUUAUUUAUUGUCUCUUUUCUCCUCUGUUUUUUUUUUUCUUUUCUAAAAAAACUUAGUGAAACAUCAGAACGAACAAAGGGGUGAGGUGAGUUUUGGUCAUUUUUUUAGUGGAUGGGCUUGGAAUUAAUAUGAGGGGUAGUAUUGAGAGAGAGUUAAAUGUUGAUUGUUUAGGAGAUGGUUUCAUAUUAUGGCAAAUUUUAUAUUUCUUUAUAUUUAUAUUUUUUACAUUUUUGUUGAUGUAAUUUGAAAAAAAAAAAGGGAAAAAAAGUAGCUCCUUUCAUUGUGGGUUUUGUUGAGAUACUUUUGGAGACUUUGAUCUUCUUGAGUUGCAGAUCUUAUUGAGUAUUUUUCUUCUUAUGUCAUUCUCUCUUGUGUGUGUGUCUCUCUCUCCCCUAAUGCUCUCUAAAAAAAAAAUAAAAGAAAAUGUCAUUUUGGCUACUUGCUCCUGCUUUUGGGAUUUCAUAAAAAUGGUUCCUUUUCAUGUGAUCAUGUGUGAUUAAAAAAAAAGAAGAAUAAAAAAUAAAAAAGAAGUAUCAAAUACCAACUUAUGACAGUUGUGAGUUAUUAACUCUAGUCACUUAAACCUUUGUCCUUUUUCUACCAUCUUUCUCACCAUUUUUUUUUUUAUUUUGUUUGAUUGCUUUUCUUGGUUGAGUUGUAAUAUCUCUUUGUUUCUGUGGUAUCAUGUAUUUAUCUAUAAUAUAUUUUCUUUUUGUCAAAAAAAAAAAACUUAAUUUGUUGUUACACUGCAUACUUUUCAAUCCUUGCAAACAUAUUUCCUUUUUAGUUUGUUAAAUUUCCAGGCUUUUUAUUCUUCUUAACUAGAUUCUCCUACUAGCUAAGUUGUAUAAAAGAAGUGCUUAGUCCUGGGUAACUAGUUCAUGAUAUAUUAAAUCCAAAAGUUUAUUAUUUCCGCGUAAUGCUUUACUAUAUAAAGAUAAGGACUGUAAAGCAAUUUUAACUUCACAUUAGAGUUGCUUACAAUUCAUCAUUGUUGAGUUGUUACAAAGAGAAGUUAAAAAUAAAAAAUUAUGUACUGUUUUUUUUAAAAAAAAAAAAACUUUUUUGUGUCCCAUGAUUCCUGUUUCAUUCUGGUUGUGUGUGAACAUUUUUACUUUGUUGCUGAUUUCAUGUCUGAAUCUUUAAAAUUACAUUGCCAUUCUUUUGUUAGUUGAUACAAUGCUUAUCUAUUCAUGCAGGUAUGUUGUUUCCGACCUAGCGACAGACGUUGUCGUGCACGUCGGCGAAGUCAAAUUUUAUUUACACAAGGUAAAUUUUCCUUUCCGUUGCGCUCGCUAAACUUAAUCUUGUCACAUCAGCAAUAUUUAUUGUAGUAUCAUCACUGAUUCUUUAAAACUUGCAAUGUUUUUUUUAUGCAGUUUCCGCUUUUGUCGAAGAGUAGCCGCCUCCAAAGGCUGAUUCUCAAGUCCAGUGAGGACGGCACUGAUGAGGUCUUCAUGCACGAGUUCCCGGGCGGCCCGAAAACUUUUGAAAUCUGUGCAAAGUUCUGCUACGGGAUGAUCGUGACCCUCAACGCGUACAAUGUGGUCGCCGCCAGAUGCGCUGCGGAGUUCCUCGAAAUGACCGAAGAUGUCGAAAAGGGGAAUUUGAUUUUCAAGAUCGAAGUUUUCUUAAAUUCUAGCCUCUUUCGCAGCUGGAAAGAUUCUAUAAUUGUUCUGCAGACUACGAAAGCUUUACUGCCCUGGUCGGAGGAAUUAAAGGUGGUCGGUAGAUGCAUCGAUUCGAUCGCUUCGAAAACGUCGGUGGAUCCUUCUAACGUCAGCUGGUCUUACACCUACACCAAGAAAUUGAAUGAAAUAGUCGAAGCCCAGCAAAGAACCGUCCCCAAGGAUUGGUGGAUCGAAGAUUUGUGCGAGUUGGACGUCGAUCUUUAUAAGCGAGUGAUGGUCGCCGUUAAGUCGAAAGGGAGAAUGUCUUCUGAUUUGAUAGUGGAGGCCCUUAAGGCUUACGCGGUUCGAUGGUUACCCGACUCUUACGACGCGCUACUCGCCGACGACUACACAAAGCGGUACAAGACAUUGGUCGAGACCAUAAUUUGGUUAUUGCCGUCCGACAAGGGUUCCGGCUGUUCGUGUAGAUUUCUCUUGAAGCUAUUGAAAGUCGUUAUCUUGGUCGGAGCGGGUGAUCUGCUGAAGGAAGAGCUCAUGAAUCGGAUUAGCGCGCAGUUGCACAAAGCUUCGGUGAAGGAUUUGUUAAUUCCCAUGAAAUCGCCCGGCGAUGAUACCAUCUACGACGUGCAACUCGUUCAAAGCCUUGUUAGUAGAUUUGUAAUGAGAAGUGGGCUAAAUCAGGACACGGAUUUUGUCGAGAAGAGCGAGAGCGAGAUGAUUGAAUUCAACUUAGAGCACGAGUCUUUGCUGGCGUUGGGGAAAUUGGUUGACGGUUAUUUAUCUGAGAUAGCCUCCGAUCCAAAUCUUUCGAUUUCUAGCUUCGUUGAAUUGGCGAAGACGGUGCCUGAAACUGCUAGACCAAUUCAUGAUGGCCUAUACACAGCUAUUGAUAUCUAUUUGAAGGUAUGCUCGCGAAACUUAAACAUAUUGAUUGCAUUUAUUUAUUUAUUUUGUAUAAGAAAAAUGGUCGGUAAUUUCUAUCAACACCUUCUACUCUUGAAACUGCCGAUGCUCUUUUCCAAUUGUAUUUGUGUUUUAGCUUUGCAUCAUUAAGUGAAUUUUUAUCGGUGAUGUCCAAUUGAGUUGUUAUGCAAUAGAUGUACAGUGCAAAUUAUAGUUGGAUGUAAACAAAAUGACUUCUCAAUGUCUCUUGUAAGUGAUUUAGGAGAAAAUGAAAAGGGAAUCAUCAUCUUUUUAUCGGCCUAUUUUCUUUCACAAAGGGUCAAUUUCUUGCUAUUUGAGAUAAUGCUUUAUUUUGAUAUCUCGCAUAGUUUGUUUAAUUAUGUGUAGAUCUUACUUGUUUCUUUUUCUCGCUUGUCAUCAGGAGCAUCCGAGCCUGACGAAAGCUGACAAGAAGCGGAUUUGCAGUCUAAUGGAUGUCAAGAAGCUCUCGGCAGAAGCGUCGCUCCACGCGGCACAGAACGAGUGCUUACCGCUCCGAGUUGUGGUGCAGGUGCUCUUCUUCGAGCAGUUGAGAGCCGCGACCAAUGCCCUAGCUGCUCCGACCACCGAACCAUCACACAACAGCUCAAGAUCCACAGCCGAAGUUGGAGCAGAAUGGGACCAACGGCAAGUCCCCGAUAACUCGAAUUCUUUAAAGAUCCAACCCGGGAGCUCGAAAAUCGAGGAUGAGGGGCGAAAAAUUACCGACCAACAAAAGAAGAACCGAAAUAGUAUCAAGGAGCGGGGCGGCGGGCUUUUGCUGCCGUCCAGGUCGAGGAGAAUAUUCGACAAGAUAUGGCUCGGGAAAGGGCAGGGGGAGAACAGUAAGAGUUCGGAGACGUCCGGGAGUUCGCAAAGCCCGCCGCCUUCUGCAAAGCCGCGAGAUGGAAAAUCUUCGGGCGCUUCGUCGAGGAAUCGGAGGCACUCGGUUUCGUAGAUCUUUCUCUUGUUCUUUUGUACAGCAAAAGUUAGAAGUGCAUUGCUCACUCCCUCUCUCUUUCUCUCUCUCUCUCUCUCUCUCUCUCUCUCUCUGUGAUGAGAAGGGAAUGGAGGGGUGUUUAAGCAGUUGAAAUCUGCUGCUUUUGUAUGAUCAUGAUCUUUGUAACUUUAGUCUGAUGUAAGCUUAAAGAAUUUGCUGUGUUAGGUUGUUCUGGAGCUCUAUCUAGCAUAGGCAUUUCACUGAGGUUUCCACCUUUUGUUGUUGAAAGAUAAAAUUGAGAUCAAAUGCAUAGAGCAUUUGGUUGGUUUGUCUACAUUUGAAUUAACAGCUUAAUCUUAUUCUCAUCUUUGGGCCUGUUUGUAAUGGAGUUUGUUGCAGUUAUAUUCCCUAUGGCUUCGAAAUCUGAUUCGGGUUUGUUUGGCCAUGCUUCUGCUUUGCAUAAAAUCCCGCGGUUGUGUUUAUUAUAUGGAAGCAAUUUUCACUUUCACUGCAUCAGCUAAGCUGAUGCUUCCCCAGAAUUUUACUCCUACACAGAAAGUGAGAUUCCUCUGUUUUUGGUUUUGGAACUUGAAUAGCAGUAGUACAUCAGAUGCUGGAGAAUAUUUUCUCGUGUUUAGGAUCAGUUUGGUUUCUUCUUGGAUAAUAGUAGAAAAUUAUUUUUUGAAGAAAAAAGGUUUUUGUGAAAUUCUUCUUUUCUACUUUCUGUUGUUUGGUUCGACGGAAAAAAGAAAAUAAUUUUUCUCCUAAUGAAAAACAGUUUUCAUUUCUAUUUCGCUUAUUUGAUUAGUUUUGGUAUAAAAACAUUUCUACGAAAGGAGGGUGUGGUCACUAGCCUUUUAAAAUUUAAUAUAAUUAACACAAACUUUUUACAAUAUAAAUAAUAAAAAAAAUAAAUUUUAAUUAUAUUUUGGUAUAGAUAAAGUGGUUUGAUAAAAAAGAUGGAGAUCAUAGAGAUAUGGAAAUAAUUCUACCUUGUAUAUAUAUAGAAUUAGGCUACUAUAUUAUUAAUAAUACUAAGCGCUUGGUGCUAUUUGAUUUUCGACCUUUGGAUAAAAGGAUGUGCGGUUAGAAUGAUAGUGACUAUCGAUUAGGAUGAUAACAGUCCUCUAGAAUUAAGCUGGUGAGUGUUUGAAUAGUAUUGUUUGAAUAGUAUGAGCAAACAAGUGAAAAUAAUCAAAUGGGUAAAUUUAAUAGUGAAAAACUCGAUAGCACCAAGCGUCCCUAAAAUACAGCAAUUUAAUAUUUCUCUAACCAUAUUUCUUUUAACUAAUUAUUAACUAACCAUAAUUGAGGGUGAUAACACAUCAGUAUCUUUAGUCUAUGGUAUAUUUUGGUAGUUUACUCCAACAUUACUAGUAAGCUUCCAAGCCAUGCACUGCCCCUCUCAAUUAAUUAGUUUGGGUAAUAAUUGGCUACAACAUAUACGUUUUUUGAAGGGAUACACACACAAUACUCCCUCAAAGGAGAAUAAACAUUGAAAGAUAAAAAAGCCUAGUACCUGCAGUUGCAAUCAAUGUAAAAGAAUAAAACAAAUCACUUCUCACAAAUUUCAUUGCAAAUCAGCUAUUUUAUCACAUUUUCACACAAGCAUAAGGUCAGAUCAAUAAGAAACAACCCAAGCACACGAAAAACCCAAUUUACCGGCAUAUAGAAAAGCAUAAGACAUUACUCAAUUUAGAAGCAGCAUUCGGACAUCUUAGAUAAUAAUAACAAUCUGGAAAAACCAGGAAGUGCGAGCCCUUCAAUACAAAGGUAGUAAAAAGUGCGCUCAAUCGUCAUAUAUUCUUAUAUUCAUUUAGGUAGAAUCACACUAAAAUUGGUUCUUUUGCGACAAUCCCCCAAAAAAGAGUGACUUAUAGUUCGAUCAAUAACCGCCCCUCAGAGCGAGGACAAGAUGGAGGACGGAGCCGCCCUCGAUGUUGUAGUCCUUGGCGGUCUUGUCAUCUGCGAGCUGCUUACCAGCAUAGAUAAGCCUGUGCAGAGAGGAAUACGGCCCAGAUAAUCAGUCCAACAGAGCAGAAACCUUGCUAAGAGAUAUGGGGAUAAAAAGAACAUAAGCAUAAGCAAGUCAUAGAAGCAUCAGAAGAAAAGGAAGAUCCCGGUUACUUAGGCAUGUGAAGAUGAUAUGGCGUAAUCAUCGUGCAAUGCUUAACAAUACGAGAAAGUGAAUUGAAAUUUGUUUGGGCUCGGUUGCUCCAUAACAGAAGUCACAACCCUCAAUGGGACGAGAUGUUUUCAGUUUUAUCGUUUCAAGAGGAAGGGCCUCCUUCAAGCUAGUUAACCUAAAUUUUCUAAACUAAGUUCGUCAAAAUUGAGAUCCAACCUAAGAUUUGUGUAAGGUCUCCACAAAUGUAUUGCGAAAUUGAAUAAUAAAAUUGUAAGAUUCCACAUAUUACAAAUAUUACAGAAAAAUAAACAAAUAUUAAAUCAUUCUUGAAUAUUAAAGAAAUGGCAAGUUUAUAUUAUAUCUAAUGAUCAUAAUUUUUUUAUCAAAAUAACUAUUAUAUAAAAGUAGGUAUGAUAUCCUUUUGACUAUAUACUCCAUCAAUUCAGUCAAUUUCACAUACAAUAGUCGAGAGGGUUCCAUAUAACCUGCGUCUUCAGAAAACACCAGCUUUUGUAAUUAUCCAGAACAUCAUAAAUAAUGCUUAAUACAAAAGAUAUACUCUAAAUAGUUAACCUAUUAACCUAAAGACCGAUCAACUGCCCUCAGGUCCCAAACACAAGCAAGUUUCAUAGGCCACUCAACUGAGCAGAGGACUGGGCGGGCUGGAUGAAGGAAUGAAGGGCAACUUGUUGUAGCUGGUCUUGUUGUGCCAAAACCAGAUCCACAAUGGUCAGCCAAUAUACGCAAGAAGCAAAUAAUUGUUUAUUAAAAUAACAUUAUAUCAAUGCAUUAGACAAAAUAAGCAUCUGAUAACAAGGCAGAGUAAUCUACUCCCCGAACUACUGCCAGGCCCCUCCAAAAGAGGGGGGGAAGUAUAAAAGCAUUUAAAGUAAGCUUCAAAUAGUCAAAAAACUAUGCUGCAUACCUUUGCUGCACAGGAGGAAUUCCUUCUUUCUCUUCAACUCGCUCCUUGAUCCUCUCAAUUGUAUCAGUGGGUUCAAUGUCGAUUUCGAUUUCUUUCCCAGUGAGCGUCUUCACCUUGAUCAUGGUCCCACCCCUGAGCCUCAAAACCAAGUGAAGGGUCGAUUCCUUCUGAAUGUUGUAGUCUGCUAAGGUGCGGCCAUCUUCCAACUGUUUCCCAGCAAAUAUAAGUCUUUGCUGGUCUGGGGGUAUGCCCUCCUUAUCCUGCAGUUUAUCUUAUAAUAUAUGAAUAGUUGUACUGUAAUUUCUUCUGUAUUUUAUGCUACAAUCAAAUCUACUAAUUAUUUGUAUGAAAAAAUUUGCACAGGGUACAUUAGGCAUUGUUUAUAUUUUCCAUUCAUCUUUCCUAAGUUCUAUGCAGUUGAAGGCACCUACGACGGACCUUGUGUUGGUGCUAUUUGUUACUGUUGUUUAAUUGGCAGUACACAGUUUCUUAAAAGCAAAAAGAUUAUGCCUUCCUUGGUAUUCAUGCUGUCUUGGGUUUCCAUAAAACAAAAAUUCUACAUGGUUGGGUGUGUCGGCAGAUCGCCUUGCCUACUCUAUGUCAUUGUUGGCUAGCAUUGCUACACAAACCGGCCGGAUGCUAAAAUGCAUCUCCAAAACAAGUAACAACAAAGGGAGAAAAAAGUUAUAGCUAAGUAUUUGUUCUUUGUUACCAAACAAAUCCCAUUGAUAUAUGGACUGCAAGCGCUCCACCAUCUGCCCGCACGCUCUAUUGCAUACAAUUUUUGUUUAGUAAAAAAAAAAAAAAAAAAAAAAAAAAAAAAAAAAAAAAAAAAAAAACGCAAUAACAACAAGCUGAUCGAGGCUUUAUUUUACAAACUAAUACUUUGACUUUUCAUUUGUCAAGGAAAAAAAAAAAAACUUGUCAAAAAGGAGUUUGCAAAAAACCCACACUAAUGCAAAUAAAAAGGAUACCUAAAUGUGCUUAACCACAAAGAAGAUGGGGAGAGGGGGGAAAAAAAAAAUGAAGGUGUGCUAGCUGUUGAAGUUGCUACAUUUUAAAUAUCAUCAUGAUCUAAGAAAUUUUUCUCUUUUCUCUUCAAAUGUUGUGCAUCGUACUAUGCCCUCCCUUCUUCUCUCCUCAUUUUUUCGGGUGCAGGUGCUUUGUUUUACUCUUGUUUAAGUGUCAAUUUCAUGCAGUGUUAAGGAUCUAGAUUUUAAACAUCUUGCACAACUUUCCUUCAUGUAUAAUUGCCAGAAAGAACGCUGUGAAGAAACUAACCCCUCACUUGGACUAGUCUAAUGGCCAGAUCGCCAGAGCCUCAUUAAGGUCCGAUUGCAAGGACCCCUAUUGCCUAGACACUUCUCUAUUUGGACCCUGCACUGCCCACCUAGUCAGUUAUUGCAGUAACAUAUAUUUUAUCUUAUAUACACCCUACAGAUUAGCUUUUAGUAAAUCAAAAGACAAAAAUUUCAAAAGAAAGGGUUUUUUGCAUAGAUAUCCCUCCGUUGCGUAAAUACCCCUACAAAGUUAGUAUCUACUUGCGAGCCGUCCCCGUACUUUAUUGGCAUCAUGUCCUGUUAGGGGUUUAUAUGCGAAAAGACGUUUUUGCAUAUAUAUGCUUACAAGGGUUCACAGACGCAUAACCAAGGUUCUUAGGGGCAUUUACUCUAAACUAACUUUCCAGGGGUAGUUGAGGAUUUUGCAUACAUACAAGGGAUUUACAUGCAAAAGACCCACAAGAAAUUAUAUAGCACUUACUUAGCAUAAAGCUCCCUUGUCCUUAAUUUUCUUAACUAGAUUGAGAAUAUACUUACCUAAGGUUGUGAAGAGGACAUAUUAUUCUUGAGGGGCCAACAUUUGGAUCAAAUGACCCUUUGGGAAGCCUCAAGACUCUUUUUUUCUUCUUAUUUCUUAUGAAAGUCUUCAAUCGACAACAAGCCCUUCACUUCCAUUUCCACAGAUUAUGAUCCUAUUGAGGGAAUACCAUAGUUCCAUAGAUGCAUGAGUGCAUAUGCUUUAUUAGUUAUAACACACUUAAAGCAAGUUGUUGAUACUUGCUCCUCCUUCGGAAGGUUUUUAAACAAGUGAGCGCAUUCUCUACAACCCAGUGCGCAGAAUUUUCCUGUACACCGGGUGAUCUCACCGUCCAUCCGAAAAGCAUGAUGAUCCCUCUACUAUCGGCAAUGAUCCAUUGUUGGCCAAUCCAGCAGUUUAGAUGCUACUCUCCUUCAGAUGGACGAUAAAAUCAACUGGUGCCCAAGAAAAUACUGCGCAGCGGGCUGUAGAGAGUGUGCCCCCUUUUAGACACUAUAUAAAAGUCAACUAGCUAAGAUAUUAGGUGAUUAUCAAAACCAUCGAGGCGGUGUCUAGGCAUUUAGGGGCCUCUCAAUCGGCACCUAAAUCUAUCCAUCAGCCUUGAUAAUCAUGUUACCCAAGCAACUAACCAAAUGAUGCCUUACCAAUUCGAUGAAAUGUUUCUCCCAUCCAUCAAUUGAAUAGCUUAUCCUAGAACUCAAAGAAUCCCACUUUCAGUAAUUGAAGAACUCAACAAGUAAAUUCAUUCCGAAGCCAGUCAACUGCCAAGUCAACCAAGUUCUCAGAAGCCUAAUAUUGAUACCAAAGGCUAAUUUCACUCAUCAACUCCAGUAUCUUCUUAUUUCUAGCUUGUAAUUUACUGGAAAUCUUUAAUAUCCUCUCCAAAGCACAAAUAUAUGCAUAGCUUGUCCAGUCACUCUCUACUACCUAAAUAAACCAUCAUAACUUCAACAAAUAAUCACAUGAUAGCUCCAAAAAUUUGUAAAAAAACCUAUAUUUAUGAAGGGAUCAAACACUAUACAGUUGGCAAAGAUAGUUCUAAUUCUAGCCCUAGAAUCUUAAGUUUUACAAUUCCACAAUCCACAAGCACAAACAAAACAAUUAUACCUACGUACUUUUACCAAUCCUAAUUAACAAUCAAAACAUUCCACAACCAAGUUCAUCACUCCAUACAAGAAUUAUGUCGAACACCUCGCGUGCGUACACAAGAAUCAAAAACGGCGAUCGCUUUACGGAUCAAAAUCUCAACCAAACACGAAACCCCAGAAACCCCAGAAACCCUAGAAAACGAGUUAGGUCCAAAAAAACCUCCAAAAACUCGGAAAAAAUCGGAAAAAAUUCGAAAAAAAGGGGGAAAAAGAGGACCUGGAUCUUUGAUUUGACAUUAUCGAUGGUGUCGCUGCUCUCUACCUCGAGAGUGAUCGUCUUCCCCGUCAAUGUUUUCACGAAUAUCUGCAUCUUUCUCUUCUCUUCUCUUCUUCUUAUGCUUGGAUUUUUUUUUUCUGUUUUUUUUCUGUCGAUCUUCUCUACACGGACGUGUCAGGAGAAAGCCGUUUUAUGGAGAGUUUAUUUGUUACGAUAGUUACAUAGAAAAUUGAGGCUCAUUGAGGAGUCCCCGAUUCGCUUUUAUGCGUUAAUUUUAUCUCUACACAAUUAUUAUUAUUAUAAUCCUCGCAUCUGAAGUUUAAAAAAAUUAUUUUCAGAAUUUAGUAUAUUAAAAAUAAGAUUAAUUGGAGAUGAUUUUCUGUAAACAUAUCGAAUAGCAGAUAUCUAUCCCUUCAUUUGGUUCGGGUAUAAGCAAGAACUAGUUAUACCGGAAAUAGGUACAAGUAUAGGUUUUCGUAGGCAUAAGAAUAUUUUUUAUUUGGAUGAAAAUGUAAGUAUAAGCUGGAACUAGAAAAAUUAUGUUUGGAUGAAAAUGUGAGUAUAAGGGGGAAUAGUUGGUAGUUAUAAAUAGAAAAUAAUGAUAUUAUCCUGAUAAUUGAGUUUAAAUUUUUAAACUUAUAAUUUUAAAUUAAAAAUUUUAACUUUUAAAUUUUAAAAUUUAAAAUUAAAAUUUAAAGUUUUAAUUUUCAAAAUUUUAAUUUUAAAUAUCAAAUUAUAAAUUUAAAACCAAACUUAAAUUUGAAAGAUAUAAAAUAUCAAAUUUAAAAUUUAAAAACUAAAAAUAUCAUAUUAAAAUUUAAAAUUUAAAAAUUUAAAAUUUUAAACUUGUAAAUUUAUAAUUUAAAAUUAUAAAUUUAAAUUUAAAAUUCAUAAUUAUUAAAUUUUUUAAACUUUAAAUUUAAAAUAAAAUCAUAUCUCUCUCUCUCUUCUUGUAGGGGGGGGGGGGGGGGGGUUUGGAACAAAUUGUUCCACCCCUAGGUGGGAACACUUAUUCCCCAUCUAUAUCCGGUAUAAACUGGGUAGGUGGGAACAAGUGUUUCCACCCACCCAAAAAUAUGUUUGGGUACAAGAGGGUGGAUAACCCCCUUAUCGCCCUCUUGUACCCAAUCCAAACACUAGCAUAGAGUUUAUCCUUUUAUAUUUAUUCCUGCAAAAGUUAUAACGUUUUCAAAUAUACUUCUAUUAUUACGAUCCGUUAUAAAAAUAUAGUUCUCCAUAACUUUUCAAAACCUAUAUUGUACACCCUCAAUAUCUCACGCUGUUGCAUUUAGUCCCCCUACGUCCAUUUUUUAUAAUUUUUAUCAAAAAUAUUCUUCAAAAUGAUAAAAAUAUAUUUUAAAAAUUAUUUUUUUAUAGAAAAAUAUGAAUAAUUUAGUCAUUUACCCUCUCCAUUAACGUCGUAUCCCCUUUAAAAUAUUUUUGAAAUUUUAAGGGGCAAAAUGUAGAUUUUUUAAAACUUAGGAAAAAAAUAAAAAAGAAAUAUUUACAGGAAUUUUUUUUAUAAUUUAGUCUUAAUAAAAUAAUAAAAUAUGUUAGGUGCACCGCCUUAUGAUUAAUUUAUAAGAGAAUUUUUUGGAAUUUAACUUUUUAUUAUUUGUACUUUAUUAUUCCGUAGUUCGCAAAAAAAAAGUAUUAAUUUACUGUCCAGUUGAACAAAAGUUAUUUAUUAGAACAUAAAAAUAAAAGUGUAAAUUACUUAAAUAUAAUUUUUAAAAUCACAGGUGGCAAGUAAAAAUGCACAAGUCCGAAGAGGGCAAAUUAAAGUUUACUCAAAAAUUAAAGUCGAGGGGUUAGUUGCCAAUAUAGUAAAGCUGAGGGGGUUUCGAUAUAUUUUUACCAAAAAGAAGGGAAAACUUUAAAAAGCCUCAUACCUUUUCAUUUUAGUAUCCAUGGUUCAAAGUGUAUUAAGUUAGUACCAUACGGUUUCGCACUUUCUCACUUUAGUAUCCUGUGUUUUAAAGUGUAUCAAGUAAGUACUUUGUCAUUUUAUUUUUUUAUCAAAUUGUUAUCCUGUGGCUUUAUUUUUGUAUCAAGUUAGUACCAUGUGGUUUUCAAAUUAUAGAGUACUAAAGUGAGAAAGUAUGAAACCAUAGGGUACUAAAGUGAGAAAGUACGAAACUACAGGGUACUAACUUGGUACACUUUAAACCACAGAGUACUAAAGUAAAAAAGUGCAAAAUCACAGAGUACUAAUUUGAUACACUUUAAACCACAUGAUACUAAAGUGAGAAAAAGUGAAACCACAAGGGGGUAUUUAAAGUUUUCCCCCGAAAAGAAUAGAGAUAUGACCCUCGAAACCGUGAUAUAUCACCGUUACACCGAAGACCCACUUGGCUUGUGGGGCCGCGUUAUUCCAAUCCGCCACCCUCUCGUCCGCGGAUUUUGAGCUCUACCGUGUGGGGCCCACUUAUUACACUUCAAUUAUUAAAUAAAAAAAGAAUAAUUAUUUAUAUACACCCCAAAACUUUAAAAACAUCUGGUUUAUAUAUAUAUAUUUUUUUUAAAUAUACUCCUAGUGUGUUUUUUUGUUAUUCAAAAAUGCACCCGUAGUUACCAUUCGUUAAAUUAUUUCGAGUUAGAUAUAAGUGAAAUGUCUACUAAAGUUAAAAAAAGAAUUAAAGUACCUUUUUUGUCCUUAAUUUAAGAGCAAAUAAAAAAAUUAGUGGUAAUAGAAAGAUAUAUUUGAAAAGAUUAAAAAAAAUUUCCUUAAUUUAAGGGUAAAUAAGAAAAAUUGAUGAUGGUAGAAUGGUAAAUUUAAAAAGACAAAAUAGUAAUUUUAAGGAGAUAACGAUUGUUGAUAACUUUCGGAGGGUCGGUAACUUUUUAGGGAUAUAAAAAUAAUUGCUCCUUAAAAAAAACGAGCCUUAUGGAUAAGACUUUUGAAUUCAAGAUCAAAGAUGCUGAGCUUGAUUUAGAUAGUUUAAAAUAUUUUCUAUCAAAAUUUGAAUAAAUUUAGAUUCUUUUACACUGUUAAACUAUAAACUCGUUAUAUUAGCCGUUAAAAAUUGAUAAUUUUUAAAAUAAUUUGAUCAUAAAAUAAGUUGAAAAAAUAUAAAAAUUGGUUCCUAAAAACUUCAAAUAUUAUACAUUAAUUUUAACGAUGUGAAUCGUUGAUUUGAACACUCUAAAAUAAAAAACGAGAUUAUAGUACCAAAGCCCCGAUAUAAAUAUAAUAGAUAUUACAUAAGCUAACUCUUAUUAUUAUUAUUAUUAUUAUUAUUAUUAUUUAAGAAUUGACUACUCUUUGGAUUUAUUCCUCAAAUCUCUCCUGGGUCAAAUUACAGCAUCCAAAAAUCCACCUUCUCUAAAGUAUGAGCAGGGGACACUAUUUAUGGGAAGAAAAAUAGUCUCAAAACUCACUAUUUUAUUAGUAGAAUAGAUUCUUUACUUUAAUAAACUUAUAACUGUGAAUAUUAUAUGAAAGUAUAUUAACUAAAUAUAUAAAGAUAAACGACGUAUUUAAAUUUUGAAGUCAAAGUGUCGCCGGCCGACUCAAAUCAAAAAAUUUGAAGAGGUAGUAAAAUAAAAAAUAGUAUAUAGUUCAGAUAAAUUUUGUAAAGUUUUACUUAACAAUUCAUGUGCAAAAGCAAAAAUCAAAAAGGCUUAUAGAGAAAAAACUAAAAUAAUGUUUUAUUUAUUUACUUUUUCCUUCCAUUAGAUAAGUUGAUGAUGAGAAACAUGUAGAAUAUUUUAUCUAGUUAUAUCCACAUUUCUCUUUGAAAAUAUUAACAAAAAAUAGAAAAGCAGUUACAUCCAUUUAGAUUUAUAGAUUAGGAUUUGCGCGAAUCAAAAUAGGCCGAUGAAUAUCGAAUAUAUACUUAAAACAGUUAUUUUAUUGGAGAAGCAAAAGUCAAGCGCAUGAAAAAACUAUUCACAAGUCAAAUCACCAAAAGGGAAUAUUUAAGAGGACAAGAGGUGAACAUUUAGAACCACAAAAAAAAAAAAAAGAAAAAAAAGAAAAAGAAAAAAAAAAGUAAGUGCGAAUAUUCACAAUGCAUUGUGAGGUGGAGGAAAGCAUGAGGGAAAAGGUGUAGUGAGAGAUGUGAUGCGGAGGAUUCUUAUGCAGACAUGAGGGGGUAAAAAAAGAGGAAAAAAAAAAAAAAAAAACCAACCCACAGUCAAAGGAUAAUACCAUUCGUAUUUAUUUAGCAAUUAAGUUCAAAAAUAUUCACCAAUUGCGUUUAGCGUAAUCUACUAAGAAUUUAAUAGUUAGUAUCUAAGGUCUCAAAUUCGAAGCCUGAUUGCUUCAUAUUUUUAGUGAGUUUGUUGAUUUAGACUUGAAUAAAUUGCAAUUGUCAGUUGCAUCCGCACAGAAUUGAAUAGACUGUUGCAAUUCAAAUUGCAUGCAUUUUAAAGUCAAUACAUUUACAAUCACAUCGGGUUUGGAUCUGUAUAACUGUUCUUUUAAUGCGAGGGGGCAAUCGUACCUAGCGCAUAGUUGGCUAAAGAUUUGAUGAUUGAUAUCCGAGGUUUCAAAUUUGAAGUCGAGUACGGAUCUAUAGCAAGGUUUAAAUUGCCGUGGCACGGGGGCGUGCCGCUACGUCCUUGGCACGGUACGGCACGGGCACGCUUGCGUGCCAACACGUGGCACGCUUGCGUGCCGACAGAUACGCACGACCUCCUACUGGCACGCUUUGACACGAAUUUAUUUAAAUUUUUUUGGUUCCAGUAAGCUUUUAUAAUGUUAUUUUGAAAGAUUUAGGCAAGUUAUUAUUAAUUUUUGCUAUGUAUAGCUUAUUAUACUCAUCAAUUAACAUGCAUGUAAGCAUUUUGUAUAUAAAGUACAACUAUACCUGAUGUAGAAUAUAAAUUAAAAUUCUUUUGUUUUUAUUUUUUUUUAUUUGAAAAGUACAACUAUACUUGCUGUAACAAUUGAAAAUUCUUUUGUUUUUAAUUUUUUUGUAAUUUAAAAAAUUAUAACAGAUAAAAUGAUAGAAAAUUUUAUUUUUUCUAAAAACGUUUCAAAAUCUAUAUAUUGAUUCGAUUAGGAAGUAUAUAAUAACUAGAACAACGAGAAUAGGUAUUGCAAUUACAUCCAUAUUUUUUUAUUCUUUUAAAAAUAUCUAAUCAAAAUUUGUUUAGGAGAUCAAUUUUUGUUCCCCUGAUUCAUCGAAAACUUCGCCGGUGCGACAAAUUUUGACAAAUAAUUUGCGAAGAAAAAUGAUGUCUGUGGUGGAAGCGGAGGGGCUCGGGCUGACAGGCCGAGCCGUAGCCCCACACUGACAUCCGAGGGGGGUGCGGGGGGCCCCCCGCGGUAUGGAUCGGAUUUAUCAACUAAAAAAUUUGCUUUUAUAUUUGUUAAAAGAAGUUAAAAUAUAAUGUUUAAUUAACAAAAGAAAAAGAAAAAGUCAAAAGAAAAAGCCAAAAUGCAAAAAAAAAAAGGCAUCAUCCAAAAAGAAAAAAAAAAAAAGUUGACAAAAAAACAACACAAUGUCAAAAAAAUAUAAAAAAGUGAACAAAAGGCAAUAUAGAUGGCGGCGCGAAGGCUCUGAUCCACGAGAAAAAAAAAAAGAGACAAAACCAAAAAAAAAAAGCCAAAAAACUAAAAAAAAAAAAAAAAGCCGGCACGGGCACAGUGCCGCGCACAUGGCCGCGUGCCGCUUUGUCGUCGAGCGGCACGCGGCUUGGUGCCGCGGCACCCGGGGGGUCGAGACCCCUCUUGUACCGUGCCCCUUCUGGGGCACGUACGGCACGCCCCGUGCCGUACGGCACGGGCCGCACCUUCAACCAUGAUCUAUAGGUUACUUGUACAUCUGUUUGAACCUGUAUAAUUGUUUUUUUUAUGUAUUUAGGAGUAGAAUUAUACCUAGUGUCAUUAAUUAUAUUCGAUGUUCAAGUUCGAAGCCCAAUUGCUUCACUUUUAUAGCUGAGUUCAGUAAUCUCGAGUUGUAUAUAUAAGAUUUUUAAAACCAACUUUCACAUAAUUUAUACCUAAUAUAUCAUUGAUCCCAAUUCGUGCACUUAAAGCCACUAGAUUCUAGCAAGCUACUCAACCAUGGCAGGUUCGAAACAUGCAAAGAUGUAUUUGAAACUCAUCAAGAACUAAUUAAGUGCAACCAAGCAGAUGUUUUUAGGCAAUAUUUGUCAAAUUAAGGAAUUAAUGAUAUACAUACACAUACGAUUCAUAUGAGUUGGUGAUUUUUCAUGCAUCUCUAGUUGUGUUUUAUGAAUUCUUUGAGCAGCUCCAUUGCCUUUUGAUCAUUAUAUCUUUCUACUCGGUUAUAGAAGGUCAAUGAUGAACUGUUUUUUCUUGGAAUUAGGCUGGUUGAAUUUAUAUUUUGAAAAAAUAGACUUGCCAAAAUUUACUGGCACACACAUAUAUAUAAUAUAAUAUAUAUAUAUAUAUAUAUUAUAUAAAAUAUAAUAUAUAAUAUAUAUAUUAUAUAAUAUAUAGAGUCCGGCUACUAUACAUCGGUAGCACGGGGCCUCCCGUGCUACCAAGUUGUUUUCGAUGAUGCGGCUUCCAAAUCAACGAUCGCUCCGUUAGACUUGAUCUAUACUAUCAAAGUAUUUGAAAACUAAAUUUCAUAAUUUUUCGAUAUCAUUUACCUAUCAAACAAAUAGUCUAAAAUUGAACGGCUAAAAUAAAAAUCUCAUAAAAAUGAUGAUAAAAGAUUUAAAUUUAAGAUCAGAUAUACUGAUCUUACUCUAAAUAGUGAAAAAAUUUUCUAUAAAAUUUCAUCGAUUUGAAUUGUUUUACACGUAUAAUCUAAAUAUAAAUGACGCCACAUCGGCCAUUAAAAUGGUCAAUUUGAGAUCUUUUAAUUUCAUAGUUCAAAUGAUGUCGAAAAAUUAUAAAAUUUAGUUUCCUAAUACUUUUAAUAGUGUAGAUCAGUCUAACGAGCCGAUCGUCGGAUUUGGAAGCCGCAUCAUCGAAAACAACUUGGUAGCACGGGACGUCCCGUUGCUACCGAUAGAUAUAGCCAGCUGGACUCUAUAUAUAUAUAUAUAUAAUAUAUAUAUAUAUAUAUAGAGUUUUGCUAGAAUACUAUCGGUAGUAAACGGCUCGAUUUACUACCGAUUGUUUUCGAUUAUAGAGCUUCCAAUUGAUGAUCGGCACCGUUUAAAUAUGAUCUAAACUAUUUUANNNNNNNNNNNNNNNNNNNNNNNNNNNNNNNNNNNUAAACUAUCUGGAAAUCAAAUUUCACACAUUUUCGAUAUUGUUCUCUUGUCCAUCAAGUGAACAGAAAAAUGAAUGACUGAAAAUGAAUAUCCUUCAAAAAAUGAUGAUACAAUUUUUAUAUUUGAGAUCUAGAGUCUAGAUCUUAUUUUAAAUAGUUUAAAGAAUGUUUUAAUAAAAAUUUAGUUGAUUUGAACUCUUCUAUACCGUUAAACGAGCAAACGCACCAUAUCGGUCAUUAAAAUUAUAGAUUUUGUGACCCUUUGAUCGUUCAAUUAGUGAUGCCAAAAAAUCAUGAAAUUUGAUUUUUAGAUAAUUUAAAUGGUCUAGAUCAUAUUCAACGAUGCCGAUCGUCGAUUUGGAAGCUCUAUCAUAAAAAACAAAUCGGUAGUAAAUCGAGCAGUUUACUACCGAUAGUAGACCAGUCAAACUCUAUAUAUAUAUAUAUAUGUAUAGGGUAGGGCUACUGUGCUAUUAGGAGCACAGCAACUCUUGUGCUUCUAACUUUCUAACCACCCAUCAACAAGUUUGAUGGGUGGUUAGAAUGAGCGAGGGAUGAGAUAUUGGAGAGAAAUUUAAGAAGAAGAGAAAUUGAGACACUCAAUUUUUUCUCAAUAUCUCAUCCCUCUCUCAUUCUAACCACCCAUCAAACUUGAUAGGUGGUUAAAAAGUUAGGAGCACAAGGACUGCUGUGCUACUAAUUGCACAGUAGCCUUGCUCUCUCUCUCCCUCUCUCUCUCUCUCUCUAUAUAUAUAUAUAGUAUGUUUCUUGUGCUUUCGAAAGUACGGAGGCCUCCGUGCUUGUAAGUUGUUUUCGAUUAUAGGAUAUUCAAUUCGAUGAUCGGCUACGUUAAGUAUAUUCUUCCAUAUUGGAACUAUCUAGAUGGUCCGAUGAUAGUUGGAGUGGUUGUGAGCAAUAGGCACAGUGUGAUUCUUCACGCUUUUUGAGGUAGAAGAUUGCACAUGCCGCCGGAGGCGUGCAGCGUGGUGGUGUGUUUGCUGAUGGGAAGUGAGAUGGUUCGACGGUGGUCGGAGUGGUUGUCGGCAACAAAGGCAUAGUAGUUCUUCACCGGUAGGGGUGUAAUCUGGGUCAUGCCGGGCUAGCGCGGUCCAAAUUUUUCGGGCCAAUUCGGGCCACACAAAGUGGCCCAGCCCGACCUGGACUCAAAUCCCGCCUUGGCCAUCUUUAUUUGGAGUGUGGCCGAGGGCGACCCACUUUCCGAAGCAGGUCGGGCCGUGCUGGGCUAAAGGCUGGUCCAUUUUACUAUAAAUUUUAUUUUUAAAUAUUUUAAUUUUUGUAAAAAUUUUUCCAAUUGGUUUUAUAAAAUAUAUAGUUUUUUUAAAUAAAUAAGUUUUGAUGACUUUUAAAAAAAUAUUUAAAAUUAGAAUAGAUUAAAAUAAUUUUUGAAGAAUAAAUUUAAAAAAAUAAAAAAUCUAUUAAGGAAAAAAAAAAAAANGGCAUGGCAUGGACCGGCUUCGAUGACGGCCAAGCCGGACCCUGCCGGGGCAUGAGCCCAUAAGCUACGGCAGUUGCGGGCCAGCUGGGUACGAUCCAGACAGCCGACAGUCGACCCAGUCCAUACUGGCCCACGGGCCGUCUGUCCCAUUUGACAUCUCUAAUCACAAGCGAUGGAGUUUGUAAGUUUUAGUUGCCCUUGACUAAAUUAUGCUUACUCUCAAUGUAAGAAGAAUAAAAUAGUAGAACAUUAGAAUGGACUUUUUGGGUAUUUAGCCCUCUCAUAAAAAUUUUUUCACAAAUAAUCUCACAAAAUUUAUAAUUGCAAAACUGGCUCCAUCCCCGCGACGCAAGUGCCACAUCAGCGGCUGGCUAGCAUAAGUUGAAUAUGAUUAACCAUUCACCGUGUUUAGACACGGUGAAUUAAGCUAAAAUGCACAAGGACUGUUUGAGUUCUUUUGCACUGCGGGUUUGCUACUGUUCAGCCCGUCCAAAUACGGUGAAUGGUUCAUCUUGUUUAAACACGGUGAAUCAUUUAUCGUGUUCAACUUAAUCCUUCAUAGUCGCUGAUGUGGCGCUUACAUGGCACUUGUGUGGCAUGAAUAUGACUAGUUUUAUAAUUAUAAAUUUCGUUGGACUAUUUAUGAAAAAUAAAUUUAAGAGGAGACUAAAUGCAAAAACCGAAUACGCAGUUAGAAUAAUAACGGCUUAUUGAAGUUGAGUGGAUAGUUUGUUGAAUAGUAUAAUUUAAUGAGUGAAAAUAAUUACAGGAAUAGAUUUAAAUAUAGAAAAUUUGAUAGUAGUAAAUACUUCAUGAUAGCAUAGCAGUCGGACUAAUAUUUUAAGAUCUCAAAGCACUAUCAACGGUGUGCUCAAAGGGCUUUCUUAUAAAAUGAUCCUCCAGAAAUUCAAAAUUGGCAAAAUGACCUGCCAAAAUUUUAUUUGUAAAACUAACCCUCCUUUCGCCACGUGAGCGUCACGUUAGAAUUUCUUAUAAAGACGGUGAAUCGUUUACCGUCUUUGUAAUAUUUGUUAUAAAAGGGGUAAAUGGUUCACUGCCUUCAGAAGGCGGUGAACCAUUCAUCGCCUUUAGUGCAAAAUCCUUCUUUCCGCCCUUUUCCCCUUUCCGCCCUUUCAAGUCUGCCGUUUCUGUGCCCUCGAGAAGACGGGAAACGAUUCACUGUCUUAUCAAUGACACCAUAUUCUGGACUUGAAAAGAUUUGCGUAUCAGAAUAGGGAUUUAUACUAAAAACGGUGAAUGAUUUACCGCUUUAUGAAGGCGGUGAACCAUUCACCGCCUUCACAACAAAUAUAACAAAGACGAUGAACGAUUCACCUGCUUCAUUCAUUGAAGCUAUGAAUUAGGCUACAGGGGUGAGGUAGUCAGGGCCUCACCCACCUGCUUCAUUCAUUGAAGAUAUGAAUUAGGCUACAGGGGUGAGGCAGUUAGGGCCUCGAAAGAAGAAAAAUUAUGAAAAAAAAAAAACAAAGACGAUGAACGAUUCACCGUUUUUUUUAGGAAUCUCUGACGUGGCGCCCAUGUGACGAAAGAAGGAUUAGUUUUAUAAAUAAAAUUUUAAUAGAAUUAUUUUGCCAAAAUUAAAUUUUUGAAGAGUCAUUUUAUAAAAAAAAAAGCCGGUGUGCCGUGUUAAGUGGCUGUAUAUGACGGCAUACUUGGUUGGGUAGGGAGAGCAGAGUAGACCUCUCUCUCUCGCUCUCUCUCUCUCUCGAAGAAAGAGAAAUUCUUCAAAAAAAGAAAAAAAGGAGGAAAAAAAAGAGAAAGAAAUGGUGGGGGCGAAUGUGAAGGCGGAGACGCUGAGUCUGAUGGAGAGGAGGGCGGCGAUGGAGGCCGACAUGAACGCCAUCAUCGACGCCCUCUCCCGCCCCGGCGGCCCCGGCAUCUCCGGGAACCUUCUAGACUCCCAGGCAUAUAUAUAUAUUAUCUCCAUUAACCCAAAACCCCAAAAAAAUUUUUUAAAAAAAAACUCCUUUUUUCUUCUCAUUUACUUACGAUUUUGUUUUUGUUUUUGUUUUUGUUUUUGUUUUUUUUUCUUUUAUUAGGGAUUUCCGAGGCCCGAUAUCGACAUCCCUACCGUCCGGGCGCAGCGCCACCGCCUCGCUGGUUCGCCGUUCAAAACCCUAAUCCAAAACCCUAAUUUGAGUUUUUUUUCCCCCUUAUUUUUUUGGGUUAUUAAUUGUUUGCUUACUUUCUCAUGGAAAAAGAGUGUAGUUAAAUUGGCCGAUCUAAGAAAAACACAUUUGAAUGCUUACACUAGGUUGUCUUUAUCCAGCCGCUUUGACGCAAUUUAUGUAGCACUAGUGUAGUGACCCGCGCGUUACGACGGGCAGAUACUGUUCAAGAAUAAAAUAUCAGAUUAGUACAAAAAUAGUAAAUAUAGUCUACAUUAUAGACAAAUACUUUUAAAAAAUAAAACUAUAAUAAAAAAGAAUUUAAUUGUUUCAACUAAACUAUUCAACAUUGUUCAAGAGAAGUCGCAUAUCAUGCAAAUAGAUGAUUAAAAUUAUUUCCAUAACAUAAUAAUCAAAUGAGGAAAAAAAAAAGAAGAGAAAAACUGGGUAUAUGUAAGAUUUAGCCAUGGAGAUUAAUAUAUAGGUAUAGAUAUAGAUUGGAGCAGUUUCGAGUCUUUUCAGAAUAAGUUAUCCAGUGAUAACUUGUUCGGUACAAGAAUUUUAUAUUGUAAUUGGAAGUGUAAGUGAUUUCAAUUUGUGGGGCUCCUCGAAAAUGGAAAAAAAGACUUUUAGGGCUGAACAUGGUGUGGUACACCGUGUUGACAUUUGAUCGCGCUCGCUCAUUUACCAAAUUCUACAAGUUUCUUGAGCAAAUCAAAGAGAUAUGCCGAAUAGUAUGUUCGCGCACCCAAACAAGGGCUCUGGGGUAUCUAAAACGUCGAACUGCUUGCGUUUGUAUAAUGCGGCUCACACUGGGAGUUUUUUGGUCUAACUCGGGGAAUUAAACUAUAAAUUGAAGCACUCUCGGUGAGUGGUGAUCCUUGCUAUGGGCCUAUCAAGAUCAAUAGUUUACUCGUUUUUCGCUUUUAAAGCAACGAUAAUUUUAGUUCCGUGUGUGUUUCAUGUAUGCUGCAAUGGUUUUUGGGAGUUUAUGAGCUAACAUUUUUUUUCUUUCUUUUUUUUUUUGGUUGGGUGGGGGUGGGGGGGGUAUCUUUUUGUUGCAGAGUUGCGCAACGAUCACAAGGAUAUCACUGACAAAAUUGAUAAAAAUUUGCAAGUUUUGCACUCGUUAAGAUUAGGUAAAAACGAACCAGCGAUUCCUGGAGAUGCAGGUACGCUAAUCAAAAAUUGCAGAACACUUCAUUUUUUAUAUAUGCUUUACUUCAUUUAGUAUGCUUAGUUGAUACCGUUGGUAGUAAUUGCUCGUAAUGAUCUGAUCAAAUGCUGUUUUUAUUGUAAAUAUGCUCAAUUUCGUCAAAUUUCCUUAACCUGAAUAUAUCCAUUCGUCUUUCGGCAUCUACGUAGGGCUACGAAAAUAUCUUAUGAUGACCCACCCAAUUUAUGCAUCUACGAUUCUACGUCUUUGUUCUUUAAUCAUGAUGGCAAUCAAGCCUUGCAUUGUUUUUACCUGCGAGUAGUAUUUGACGUGUAACGAGAUUCUUCAAAUAAUAACUGUUAUACAUUUUACGAGCUAAUAAGUAGUAGAUAAGGCAAUUCGUGUCCACAGGGUCAGGCCAGCCCUAUCACCAAGGCCCUGCAAUUGAAAAAGCCCUCUUUGGUCUGGUGUCAGCAAUUCAGUGGUUUCUGCUGUGUAGUCGGUUCGGUUCGGUUCGGUUUGGUUCGGUUCGUGGUUUGCCCAUAUUUUGUACAACCAAAUCGAUCAAGCUUCUUAACCGAACGAAAACCGAACUGAGCUAUUCGGUUUGGUUCGGUUCCAAUAUUCGGUUUUAUCUUUCAUAAAGAGAGAAAAGAAUAUUGUCAAGUUUUCAACACUAUAUGGAUCAAUUUACAGACGUUACGAAAUAAAAAAAAGUAUAAAAAAGAUAAAAAAUAGAUACACCAACACUGACCAAGGUUUUAAGUGCCUGUCGGCACGGGCCGUAUUCGCCGUGUCAUACCGUGCCAACAAGAUACCGGCACGAUACAGACCCUGUACCGAUGGCACAGCUCAAAACCCUUUAUUCUUUAAAUUAGUAAGUAAUUUUAUCAAUAAAGUUCAAAAGAUGUGAUAAAAAGACAUAAUAAAUAAUUAGAAUAUUUUGUUGCUAAAGAAAAUAAAUAUUUCAUGCUAUUAUGUGUCGGCACACAAAAAUUUUUUUGAUUGGCAGGCAUCGGCACGGCUCGGUACGCACCGUGUCAUACCGUGCCGGCAAAUUUCCGGCACGACCUUGUGCCACAGCACUUAAAUCAUUGGUGCAAAUGAAGUAGGAUUUUUAAAUCUUCUAUUGCAAUACUCGUAUCAUACUGGCAAGUUUCCGGCACGACCUUGUGCCACGGCACUUAAAUUAUUGGCACUGACAUCAAAUUAUUAUUUGAUACUUACCUAAAUAUAUAUAUACAUAUUUAUAUAUAACUAUUCGGUUUUCGGUUUGGUUUUGUUUGUUUAGAAGUCUAAGCUGAACUAAUACUGAAAACCGAAUUCACAAAAAUCACAACCGGACCGAACCGAAAACCAAUUUACCUGAGCGAAAUAGGCUUUUUGGGUUUGGUUCGGUUUGGUUUUCAGUUUGGACCCAAACUGUGGACACCUCUAGAUGACCCCAAUCAAUAAUGUCCUGUAAUUUAGAUUCAAUCAUCUCCUUAUUGUGUCAAAGUAGGUGUAAAAAUUUUAGCAAAAUUUUUAUUUUCCAACUACUGAUCUGAAAAAUUGGGGAAAAAGAAGAGGAUAAGUAUGAGGUGAGGCUAACAAAUUAAAACCAAAUUUGCGUUUUUCUGCAGGUGCAUCAGCUUCUCAUGGCGUUUCGUCUCAAUAUUCUCCCGUGGAGGAGGAUCCAAUUGUCAGGAUACCUUUCGCUAUAAUUGAUGAAAUUGUCGAUGAUUCACCGGCAGCAGAAGACGGUUUACAGCUCGGAGAUGAGAUUGUAAAGUUUGGGAGCGUGGAAAUUGGCGAUGGACUGCAAGCGAAGCUUGUUUCAGAAGCACAGUCCAACCAGGGCCGUACCGUGCCUCUAAUCAUCAUACGGCAUGGUUCUGUUAUGAAUCUGAAUGUGAUUCCCAGACAAUGGCGCGGCCGUGGACUUUUGGGGUAUGCUUUGAUUUCUUCUUUUUGUUCAUCUCCCCCAACUUACAUUUUUAUUUUUUUUUAAAAAACUAGAGAACUUUAGACAGUUUUAGUAAUGAUUAAGAUAAUUGAUCGAUAUAAAGAUUUCAUAAUGUGACACCUGUUUGUUGCUGCAGUAUCUCUGUUCAGAAACUACGCAUAUUUAUAAUUAAUAAAAACUAAACCUCUUUGCACAUGAAUCGAAGUCGGACUUAGCGCUUCUAUGUUCCAAUUUUGGAAUUUAUGAGAGGAUCAUACAUUUGCAGGCAUACUAUAUCUUCAUAAUCUUGCAUUGUUUAUGUGCAUGAAAUUUCUGUUGUGGUUGAACCUGAUCACAUGAAGCUUGAAUUUGGCAUACUAACACUUUCUCUUUUUAACUUCGUGCAGAUGCCAUUUUCGGAUCUUAUGACAAGACAAUUAGUGAUAACACAAUGAUGAGGAAGUUCUUAAAGUUAAUAGCACUUCCGAAAGUCGAAUUUAUGGGCAAUGCAUGUGGAUGCGCAUGCUUGCUUGUUGCCUUCUCAUAGCGUCGUUUUGUUUUGCAAAUUUUCUCAGCUUGUAAUAGUGAUCAACUGAACUUUUUUCUGCCGCACAUCUGCUUUGUUUUACUCGGCAUCGAAACAUUCCUCUCAGUAAGUUGUUAUAAAUGGAGUACUUCGUUUUCACCAAGGUGUUCUUGUGCUGUGAAAGAUGGGUAUCCAAAGUGUCUUAUGGUCAAAUAUGUGUUUAAUGAGGUUUUGUUUUUGAGUUGCCAUUUUAUUUGAAUCAACUACAGUGAAUCGCAUAACGGAAAAUGCGCGAAUAAACAUUUCCUUGGCAAUAAUAGAUAAGCAAUUUGGGGUGUUUUAUUUCUGUGGAGGGAAAGCAAAAUUGAUUAGAUUUACAUACUUCUGCUGAUUUUACGCAGAACAAUUGUGCGAUUAAUAUUUUUCUGUUUUUCAUGCAAAUUUUGUAAUCUUUUCGAUCGUGCGUCGACCCGAUGAAUCAAUCAAUGAGAAGCAACAAUGAAGCAUCAAUCGAGACGGCGGAGAAGGUAUUCGAUUUCGACGAUCUUGGUUAGAGGAAUAACCCAAUCUCCGUAGAGUCGAUAAACGACCGACGGAUCGACCUUAUAAGCGGCUCGGCUGCUAUUGCUGUCGCCGGUAUCAGCUGGUCGGUCCAGCGUUACAUCUUGUCCGAACACCGCCGCUUUUUCCUCCACUCUUUUCUUCACAAUUUCUUCUUGGCUUUCAGAUGUUACCAGUUUCAUCAAAGCAUCCCUGUCCUGUAAAAGAAAAGGAAUAAAGAAAUUCAUUAUAUCCAGCUAAAUGGAUUAUUAAGAAGAGAAGUAACAAAGUUUUCGACGACCUUCGCGCGAAUAGCAGGAAUGUAAUCCUGAGGGGAAUCCCUGAACUUCACUUCUGCUACAAACCUCCCAUAGUGGAUCCUCCUCGAAAGAGCCUAAAAUAUAUAUAUAUAUAUAUUUAAAAAUGAUAAACUACGCCGAAAAAAGAAGUUUAGAAUUGUUUUUCAAUUAGCUACGAUGCGAAUGUGAUUACCUGCAAACACGCGAGAUCAGAUGCGGCUGUCGACGCAAAGUUUCCGUCGACGCCUUCGACAGUGAACUGCGGAAGCAGCUCUUUGAAGUACACACUCCAAAUGGUAUCACUUACAUUGACAGAUGCAGCUGCUGGGUAUAAAACCUGGCAAUUGGAAGAGCUUUCAUUCAUUCAAGCAGUUUUGCCACCAAAGUGUGUAAAGAAAUUGUAGAACACAAAAUGUAGUCUCCAAACUCUCGACGAAUCAUAAUUCGGUCCCUAAUCUUUCGCUUAAACAUUGUCCAUAAUCUAACACCCAUUACAGCUUAAAAACCAUGCAUUAAAGAAGCCUAGGAAUUGCAAGAUAUUACAUAAGUUUAUGAACCAUUCUGUUUAGUGUUUGAAGCGCUUUGUUUGCAGUACUUAUCUUAGAAGGGAUUCUCUCCAAAGCAUUAAUCCGUUGUUUCAAGGUACAUUUGCUUUUGCGUGAAUCAAAAGAUCAUCAUAUUUUGCUUUCAAACUUUUUCGUGUCAAUCAGAAGCAGGGCCAAACAAGUUUUUCUUUGUAUGAAAUGUAUUUUGAAACCGUAAGACGGGAGUGGGAAAAAGAAGAUUACCUUCGAAAAGUUGUAUGGAGGGACUACUGGCCAUGUCAAAUCUUCAGGGAAGAAGGGAACCUCUUCUGGAUUUUGAUAACUUCCAAACUGCACAAUGUCUAUAACAACUCUUAAAAGGGGAUAUAUUUAUUUAUUUAUAUGAAAGAUAAAAAAAUCAUAAUGCAUGAAAUUUUUGCUUGAACAUCUCAAAUUGUGGCCUUAAACACAAAAAUUAUUUUGUUUCUUUUCUAUUGAUCCUCCAUUUAUUAAAGAAGUAGAGUUCUUUGAACGAGAUUAAGUGCUUGUUUGGUCUUUCUGUAGUAUAGUGUUGUUCAAUAAAGUAUUAUUUGAGUAGUGUUAUUAUAAGAAGCACUAUAUUAAAAGAUUUUUUUUUAUCAGCAAAAUAAAGAAAAAAAGAAAACCAACUUUUAGUUUUAAGACCCAAAAUCUCGUAUCUACUAUACUACAGUAAAAGCUUUGAAAGUUUUCACUAGAUCGGAAGCCCCCCCACAUCACGCGGGAGCUCUCUAAUCCAACGACGUAUGCCGAUUCACCGAGUCUAUUCAGCUCAACAACUCGGCAGAAGUGCUAUGGUUCUCUGCCAAAUACCAUUAUAUAUAUUGUUGGGAUCGACAACAGAAACAAAAGCGGAGCCAGACAGGUCCUAAACGCAAUCUGCGUCAUAUAUCAUAUAUAUAUAUAUAUAUAUAUAUAUAUAUAUAUAUAUAUAAUUUGUUUUAUUUUUAAAAAAAGAGAGAAAAGGUUUUCUUGGCUUGGACCCUCUCACUGUCCCUCACAAAGAGCUCAACCAAAGAGCAACUAUUGCCAAACCAUUUGUCCACCUUCAAACAAGAGGAGGGGUUGUACAAUGGAGAAUUGUAUGGGUAUUUAGCCCUCUCAAUGAGGCUAAACACAAUGGUAUCCUCCUCUCUAGUGAGAAAAUCGCGCACGGAUUCCAAAGUUAUCCCCCUUGAGAGAGAACAUUGAAGCAAAAGAGCAUUGAAGCAGAAGAGUAGAUGAAUAAGAAUAGCAAUAGUAGAAGAAGAAGAAGCAGCAGCAGCAGCCAUUGCAGAGAAGAAGAAGAAGAAGAAGAAGAAGAAGAAGAAGUCGGUGGGGAGGGAGAAGUCGUUGCCGGCUUUAUAUUUCAAGUGUUUGGUUAAAAGGUUUGAAAAAGUCAGCUUUCUGUUAAUAAAGGGAAUGGAUUGCCGGCUGAUUGUCUUUUCUCAACGAGAGCUGAUCAUAUUGUCAGAAUAUUAUCUACUGUCACCGUUGCAAAAAUAUUCAAAAUAUAAUUAGAUGCAAGAUAUCAACUUUGACAAUAAUAAAUAUUACUUUAAUUCUAUCAAUUUUCUUCUCUCUCUCUCUAUAUAUAUUUUGAUGUUGUCCCGCCGAGAAAUUAAGAGCAAUUUUAGAAUGGCGCAAAAAUUAAGAUCAUUUUUUAAUUCUAAAGGUUGAAACAUAUUUAGAGGUCAAUAAUAAAUUACUUUAAUAAAAAGCACCAGAUACGAUCAAAGUAUUAAGAUAGUAUUGAGACUGUAUAUACAUUUCAUUCUGAAAAGUGAUAUUAACGCAUUUAUCAGAUUCAUUAAAUUUUUGUCAAAUUAUUUGACAUUGGAGUAUCAUCAACACCGUUGUUAAAGGCUACAAAGGAGGGAAUGAGCACAUGCGUAAAAAGGGCUCAAUUUAGCUUGAGUUUUUUGGUGGUCAAAGUCAACCUGAUGGGAAAAGUCAACUUCAUGUGAACAGGUUGAAUUUAGGUAGUUGAAAAAGGAAAAAAAAAGUAAAAAAAAAAAAACCAAUAAGAGGCCACAUUUCAUUGACCAAAUAUGUCAAAUCCUUGUAAAUCUUUGGUUAGAAUUAAAUAUUCUGAAAAAAAAAUAAUUUUCAAUAUAUGGCUCCAUAUGAUACUCAUAAAUCUUUGGUUACAAUUAAAUAUUCUGGAUUUUUUUUUUUUUCAAUAUAUGGCUCUAUACGAUACUAAAAAAUAAUUGCACAUGUUGGUAAAAGAGCACGAACUAAUCUAAAAAGCUUAAGUUACUAGCAGCUGGUACCAUUUACAUGAUAUACUAGUGUAAUGUUCUGCGUUUCGCGGCAGGAGCUAAUGACUCCAGAAGCUAAUUUGAGUUUAUCAUUGAGUCCGAGUGCAAUGACAGCAUAGAAACAUAAUGAUACUUUUUUUUAUCAGGUCAAGUUAGUAGUUCUCGACGUGUAUAAUGUUGAUUCUUGAAGUUUAAGUUUAUCUUCGAAUUCAAAUACAUCAUGGCUAUAGAAAAAAUGGCAUCCAAUUUUCAUACGGAUUGUGUCGGUCCAAAAUUUUUUAAGAUGAGAUUACUUUACAAUUCACUGCACAAAUUAAAUUGACUACACUUCUAAUUAAUUUUCUUAAGUAUAUAAACUGCCUCUUCACCUCCUACAGGGAGAAAAAAGUGAAAAAAAAACUUUGAGACCUCAAUUGUGCCAAAAGAUUAAAAGAAUUUAAAACCCAAGAGUGAUAACAACUAACAAUUUGUAAAAAAAUCAAAGGAAAUAAAGGAAGGCAAUAAAGUUCAAACAAAAUAAGCCAACUUAAUUUACUCUAGGAUACAUAAUAAUACUAUUUCCUUUCCGCUUUACUUUGUCAAGAGGUCUUCCAACUAAAAGCAAAAAAGGCCAAUAAACCCAAAUCAAAUUUCAAUAUCUAAGAAGAAAGCCUACAUCAAAAUUGAUUUACAAAGAUAUAUAAAGAAACCAUUUAAGACAAACUCUGCCACCAAGAAAAGAAAAAAAAAAGAAAAAAAGGUAGCAGUAUAACCUGAAGAAAAGGUAAAAAAAAAAAAAUCACGCCACCACUAAGUCGUUCCCUUUGUGCCCAAUGCUGCCGCUGCCGAUGAGUUCGCCGUUGUUCAGGAUUCCGAUAAACUCUUUUUCUUUACCAAAUCAAAACAAAUUUAGAAGAAAAUUUUGUCAAAAAGAAAUAACAUUUAAGCAUGCCCUAAAUACAAAACAACUUAAAAUAAUUUUUAAAAAAGGAGCAAACCAAUUCUCUCCCUCUCCAGACCGAGGAAUUCUACACUGUCACACUUGCACCACGUCAUCAAUAACAAGCCAAUCACAUUCCUUCUUUUUUAAACAAAAGUACAAUAAAAAUGCUUUUUUACAAUCAUGAUGGGACAUAUAUUCUUAAAAGGAUUAAUUUGAUUGGUUUGUUACGCCACGUCACUAAUACACCCGUUGCAUUCUAGAAUUUUUCCUCCAGACCACUCUUUUACUAAUGCUCUCUCUUUGUGUUUUUAUUUCAGCUCCUGUGUGUGUGUAUGUUGGGCCUCAACCACCACCACUAAACUCCAUAGAUGAGUUUACAAAAAAUUGUAGAGAGAGAGAGAGAGGGAAGAGAAAGAGAGAGAUGAAAGUCUUAAUAGAGAGGGAUGUAAAAAAGAUAAAUACAUCCCCUCUGAGAGGCAGAGAUGUAAGUACAGAGAGCCCAUGUGAAAGAGAGAGAAAGUGAGAAAAAAAUAAAAUAUCUACAAGAACUAAAACUUUAGAUUUAAAAAAAGGCACCGUAGCUUAACGACGGAACGCCGAUUUCGAAUAAGUUUUUUUUCUUCACCAAAUCAAAGCAAAUGUAGAAAAAAAUUUCAUUCAAAAAAAUUAAAAUUUAAGCGGGCCUUAAAUACUAAAACAUCUUAAAAUAAUUUUAAUAAAAGGGGAAAAAAAAAAGGGAGCAAACCAAUUCUCCCUCUCUCUUGACAAUUCUUUUACUGUGUCUCUCUCUUUGUGAUUUUUUUUCCCAAGCUCCUUUGUGUGUGUGUUUGGUUAGAAAAAAUUAUAAAGAGAGGAAAGAGAGAGGGAAAGAUGUAAAAGAGGUAAAUACACCUCCUUCUGUGAGGGAGAGAGAUUCAAGUACAUAGAGUCCAUGUGAAAGGAAGAGAGAGCUCGUGAGAGAGAGAGAGAGAGAGGGGGGAGAGAGAGAGAGAGAGAGAGUGAGAAAAAAUUAAUAUAUUUACAUGAACUCAUAUUAAAAAAAGUGACGUGGCUUACCGACGGAACGCCGUUUGGCUUCUCCUUAGUAUAGAGUGACGGAACGCCGUUUUCCGAUAAACUCUUUUUCUGCACCAAAUCCAAACAAGUGUAGAAAAAAAUUUCAUUAAAAAAACUAAAAUUUAAGCAAGCAUUAAAUGCUAAAACAUCUUAGAAUAAUUUUAAUAAAAAGGAAAAAAAAUAGGGAGCCAACUAAUUCCCUCUCUCUCUUUACCAUCCUUUUCCUGCUUUUCUCUCUUUGUGAUUUUUUUUUUCUGAGCUCCUUUGUGUGUGUGUGUUGGGUUAGAAAAAAACGGAUAAUUGCUUAUAUACUCCUAAAAACUUUCUGACUUUCUAAUUUACCCCUCUUAGAAGACUAAUAUUGAAAAUAUUCUUUUUACGUUCCAACCUAUUUUCAAUAUAUCCCUAGAGUUAAAUUCUGUUAAUGAACUGUUAGCAAUAGCUGUUAUCUCUAUAAAAUUACUAUUUUGUCCUUUCCAAUAUACUCUUCUACCAUUACCAACUUUUCUUAUUUGUCCUUAAGUUAGGGGCACAAAAAGUAUUUUAAUUUUUGGUCUUUUCGAAUAUACUCUUCUACCAUUACCAAAAUUUCUUGUUUGGCCUUAAGUUAAGGGCAAAAGAAACAUUUUGAUUUUUUUUUAACUCUGGUAGAUAUUUAACUCACGUUUAAUUUAAGUUAACUUAACGGGGGAUAACUGUAGGGAUAUUUUAGAAUAACGGAGGAAUAUAUGACGGGUAUAUUGGAAAGAAAAAAAAAAGUAGGUAUAAAUGAGAUAUAUAGGUAAUUAUCUCUAGAUAAAAUUAUAGAGAUGGAGAGAUGAAAGUUUUAAUAGGAGAGAGAGAUGAAAAAGAGGUAAAUACAUCCCCCUCUGUGAGAGAAAGAUGCAAGUAUAUAGAGCCCAUGUAAAAGAAAGAAAACCCAUGUGAAAGAGAGAGAAAGAGUGAGUGAGAAAAAAUUAAUACAUCCAUAUGAACUCAUAUUACAAUUUAUAAAAAAGCAAUGUGGCUUAACGACAGAACUACUGUUUCACUUUUUUUUUUUUUUUUUUUUUUUUUUUUUUCUGAGCUCCUUUGUGUGUGUAUGUUAGGUUAGAAAAAAUUAUAGAGAAAGAGGGAACAGAGAGGGAGAGAUGAAAGUUUUAAUGGACGAGAUAGAGACGUAAAAGAGAUAAAUGCAUUCUCCUCUGUGAGAAAGAGAUAUGCAAGUACAUAGAGCACAUGUGAAAGAGAGAGAGCCCGUGUGGAAGAGAGAAAGAGAGAGAAUGAGAAAAAAUUAAUACACCCACAUAAACGUAUAUUACAAAAAAACGACGUGGCUUAACGACGGAACACUAUUUGAUUUCUCCUUUCGUAUAGAGUUUAAUAGAUCACGGUUUAAUUUUGUAUUCUAUAUGGGACUCUUAUUUUUUUAACAUAAACAAUGCAUUAAUGUAAUGAUUAAAGUAGCACAGUAACAAUGGAGAAAGGCAUGUCAAAUUAUUAUUCUAGAUAAUAAUUGAGAAUUGAGAAGUAAUUAAAAGAGACAGUUGUUUCAAUAAAAAAAAUUUUGGAGUAUUACUAGCUUGAAAUAACAAUCUUAUUUUGGGGAGAGUUAAAUAAGUCCUACAUUUGACAAAAUAUACCUUCCUUAUCUCUCUAAGCUUUGACCAUAUUAAUGAAAUAAAUUAGCCUCAAAUAAUCAGGUAUUAUUAUUACAUGAAAAUGCUAAAAACAGAUACAACCUCAAAGCUAAAAUUUCUUAAAUUAUAAUUGGUCUAGUAAAUUACUACAUAAAAUAAACAGAUAGGAGAUUAGAGAGACCUAAACUCAUUUAUCGUCGGAAAUAAUGUUAAGGGAUGUUUAUACAAAGACCAUCCAAACUUUUGCAAAUAGAUUUCUGAACUUCUAAUUUUGGUAAUUGGGUUCUCUAAACUUUAUCAAAUAGCUUAAUAUGCCUAUGCCGUGAAGUGAACUUAGAGAAGCUAUAAUUAUACAAUCGUUUUGCUUGCAUAUCUUUCACGCGGGCUUGUAAAAUCGUUUAAAAAUACUGUGUAUAGCUUACAUGUGUAUAUAUGAAUAUAUAUAUAUAUUGUAUGUGUGUGUGUAUAUAUGUAUAUAUAUGUGAUGUAUAUAUGUAUAUAUGUGUGGUAUAUAGUCGUGAUAUAUAUAUAUAUAUAUAUAAUUGGGCUGGAAUACUAUUAAUAGUAUUUGGCAGUUUUUACUAUCGAAUUUUUAACUCUUGAAUGAAAAAUUGUAAGAUUAGGAUUAUAAUGGUCUCCUAGCUAGGGUUUAGUAGCAUUCAUUCUAGAAUUGAAUGGGUGGUUAGUUGAAUAAUAUAAUCUAUAAUAUGAAAUUAAUGAAAGUGUAGAUUGAACGGCUAAAAAUCAAUAGUAAAAGAUUCCAAAUACUAUUAAUAGUAUUCCAGCUCAACUCUCUCCCUCUCUCUCUCUAUAUAUAUAUAUAUAUAGUAGGGUUAUUAUACUAUUAGGAGCACAACAAUGACUGUGCUCUUAACAGCAUAGUAGACAUACUCUAUAUAUAUAUUCUUCUAACUAUAAUAAUAAUUACGCAUGAAAAUUGAAGAAUAAGGUGAAUUUUUCUUAAUUUUUUUAUUACUUUUGUAGGCAUUUGAAUCGAAAAAAUAAUUUUUUUUUUAAAAAAAAGCUUUAUAAAAUUAUAUUAAAAUAUGCGACCAAAACGGCGGUGUUAGUACCUUUAAUUAAGGAAAUGAGCCUGUUGAUUAUUUGAUAAAGUUUUAAAAAAAUUAAUUGCUAAGAUUAGAAGCUAAGUUGUCUAUUAACAAAAGUGUUAAGGUUCAAAGGGUCUUUGUACAUUUUUUUUUCCCUAUCGAAUUUAGUAUUACGCGGACUCGGAAUUCAUUCACGACAAAAUAACUAUUCCUUGCUUAUCCCCAAAAAGAAGCAAAAUUUUUGACUUCUCGAAUUCAAAAUAGAGAUUCGAAUCUUCGAAAGCCACACUUACUUUUAAUACAGAAGCCGCAAUUUCUACGCCUCUUUUUCGCAAAAGCCCCAAAUUCUGAGCUUCUUCCAGCAGCAAAUCUUGGCUUGUGGAAUGGUCAGAGAACAGCACUCUUAAUGGGAACAGAAAUGGUCAAGAGGUCGGCUGACGGGCGAAAACUCGACUUCAAAAGCUUCUGCUUCUAGCUACAGCAAAAAAAACUGGAUAUUAAUCAAAACAUAAAACAAUUCUAGAUCAGCUACAGGCGAAAACUCGACUUAAAAAGGUUCUGCUUCUAGUUACAGCAAAAAGAACUGGAUAUUAAUCGAAACAUAAAACAAUUCUAGAUCAGCUACAGGCGAAAACUCGACUUAAAAAGCUUCUGCUUCUAGUUACAGCAAAAAGAACUGGAUAUUAAUCGAAACAUAAAACGAUUCAAGAUCAGCUACAGACGAAAACUCGACUUAAAAAGCUUCUGCUUCUAGUUACAGCAAAAAGAACAGGAUAUUAAUCGAUAUAUAAAACAAUUCUAGAUCAGUUACAGGUGAAAAGUCGACUUAAAAAGCUUCUUCUUCUAGUUACAGCAAAAAGAACUGAAUAUUAAUUGAAACAUAAAACAAUUCUACUCCGGCAAAGACAAACUAGUCCUUACAUGAGACUCCACCAAAAGGAAAAUCAUAACCUCAAUUUUAGCUUAAGGACCCUUUUAUCCACUAACCAGGCAAUAAUAAUUAAAAAAAAAGGGUUUUCAACCUGCUAAAGCAGUUAUAUUAUCAUAAGCAUAAAGCAAGGGGGAAAAAAAAAAAAAAAAAAAAAAAACAGACACACAGGGUGCACUUGUUUCACUAAAAAUAGAGAGUGCAAUAAUUUUGAAAUGUAAAUGCCCACUUCCAUUAUUUGGUUUACCACGACUUCACCUUCGGUCGAAAAUUGAGGGAAUAAAUAUAUAUAAUAUUAAUUCAUUUCUCACAUCUCUAACUUUUACACCAUUCACUCUCUGUUAAACAAACAAUAGAAUUGAGAGAACUUCAGUUUGAAAGAGAAGCAACUUUUACCUAAACUUUAAUUCGUCUGAAAAUCUAUUUCGAUAUGAACUUCACCGGAAAGUGAUACAAACAGAUGCACGGGAGGAGUCAGUCAAUACAGCUACAGGAAGAUGACACAAUGAUAAUAACACAUCACAAAAAGCUCAGCAUAAAUGGCUUUGCCAAUGUUUUCAUCUUUAGACAUAGCAAUCAUAUAUCAAGAAAUAUUAGACAUUAUCGAAAAGGUAGAAGGUCCGAUAUAUUGUCCUGGUAGGUUUCGCUCCAGAAGGAAUUUAAAGUAUAAAACAAUAAAUUAUCUGUUCGUUAAGUACAGCACCAAUAAAAGCCUACUCAUUCAAACAGCAAACCUAGUCAACCCCAACCUCUUUAAAGCACAUAGAAAACAGUAAUCACAUUUUAUCAUAGUAAUGGAGAUUGUUCAAAAAGAAAAUUUACAAACAAGAAACAUACGUAUCAAGUUGACUCAUAAAGAAUCCUCAUGAGCCUCACUCCAUGAUUUUUUGGUGGUCACUGAUUAUUCACAUAUAAUGCCUUUUUAGUGAAUGAUACUCGUUGAUGAAUUCACAACAACGCUUUGAGGAGUUCUAAACUACAGGGUUAGUUACUAGAAGAUACUCGGAAAAUUCUUCGAAAGUUUUUACCAGAAAUGGCAUUUAAUGCGCAGGACUACACACACUUCAUGAUUCACAUUCAUAUGCUCUCUAAAAACAACAUAAUGAAGAGAUUUGAAGCUUACAAUGACCUUACUCUUAUGCCUCCAUUGGCAACAAAACGUACAGUACAAAACGACAUGUAAAUUUUGCAGAAUAAAUCAGUCUCAAAAAUGUAUCCUACUUAAUCCUCAUGAAUUUCUUUAACAAAAGAGAAUACCAUGUCAGUAUAAUUGUCUAUACAAUUAUACUUGCAAAUACUUUGACGCAAAAGAUGUAAGCCUCAUUACUUGUUGUAUGUAAAAUAUUUUCUCUUAAAUAGAAAAAUGAUCCUGGGAAAUAUUCACUAAUGGACAAUGUUGAUGGUGCAAAAAAAAUAUCAUCAAUGUAAACUGACGAGACAAAAGGCUAUAAAAAUCUUGCAGAUUAAAUAUAAUAACAGCAAAAACUAAUCAGAAAACAUCUUGUAGAUCAAAAUCUAAAUACCCCAAAGUAAUCAAAUCAAGAGCUGACUAUUUUAUUCUAAAUUGCUUCAUUUUAAUAGUAAAAACACCAUUAUCUGACGACCUGACAGGAAGUGUUGGCUUAAGUCACAUCAAUCAAUAUAAUAUGGAAGGUUAAGUAACCUGCGAAAGCAGAGUCUCAUCAGUGGGGAGCCUCAGGUCAUCCUUUGUGUUCCCAUUCUCAGACAGAAGACUCACCUACAGGACAACAUCUCAGGUAAGUUAAUUUACAAGCAGGGUUUAGUUCACUCAAGUCUUAUUAUUGGAAAAAUAAUGAUGGGGCAAAAAAAAGGAAAAAAAACCUAACAGUCAAAAAGAACCAAAAUGUAAAACUACUUGGAAAUCAGCGUUGCAUACUUAACUACAGCAAGAGAGAUUACAAAAAGACAUACAAAGCCAUCUUCAGAUAUAUCAAUAAGUUGAUAGUCCGUGCGAGUGACACGACGGACCUGAAAAAUUAAACACAAUUGUCAAACACCACAUUAGGUUGUCGGAUACUGUGUCUCUAAGAAAGUUAAAAUUAAAAAGAGGAUACAUCAGAGUUAUGGGAUGAAGGCACAAUAUCAUCAAGCUUCUCGGAGUUGAAGAUAUCAAUCCCAACAAAGUGGCACUUGGCAUGACCGUGCUUGCCAGUUUUAGAUGUUGAGAUAUCAAAAACCUAUGAGUCCAAAAAGGCAAAUUAAAUUGAAGGCAAGUUCAAUCUUAAAAAAAUAUAAAUAACAACAAUAUUCACCAGAGUCAUUAAUAUUUUUAGGACAACAUAUUCAUCUUCAGAAAUUGCAUUUCAACAGUAAGCAUAGCAUUUUCCAUAAGUUAUAUAUGGACACAAAGCUUACAGAACAAAACUACCAUAACAAUGAAAUCAGAAAAAGCAAAGAAAACUCUGCUGAAUUACACGUCAUCUCAUAGUGGCGCUCCACAAAGUAAACAAAUAACAUAUGUUACAUCUUCCCUAGGUAAUGUGUAACAAGAGUAUCCCCCUGGAUUCUGACUUGCUUUAACUGAAUUCAAUUUGUUGCUUACUAAAAAACCAAAUGGAAGUUGGCAGUCUUCUGCAAGUAUAUUAACAUGUAAGUUCAAAGUUAUUGUUAUGGAAAAUAAGAAUUAAGAUCAACUAAUUUUACUUGAGCCCUCAACUAUGAUGCCAAACACAUCAUCCUAUUUGGUACAUUGAGGAGCUAGGAUCAGGUGAAACUGCAGCUAGGAAUCCAUGGUAUGAUGAAUGGAUUAGUGACUAUAAGCGGAAAGAAAGGGACCAUGUGCACUAAUCUGCUUUCAUACACAUCUACACUAAAGAAUAAUGAGAAGAUAGAAAAGAAAAAGAGUGCAAGUAGGCAUAAGGCUUGGAACCGAGGAUCUAAGAUAAGGAAGCAAAAAACACCUUCCCACUAAGCUAGAUGAUAAUUGCAGCCGAAAUUUCAAAAAUCCCAUGUGUUGCCUACAAUAUAUAAAUAUUGCUUUCGCUUUCUGGCACUUUGCAAACACAUGAUCAUAUUCUCCAUGAUACCGCUGACCUAUUAAUGACUUAUUCAUGGAAAAUUAGAUUCAAGUGCAUUUCUAACGUCAAUGUUAAAACUAUUUUUGUUGUGUAAGAUUAUACCGUUAGGUCAUUUUGUAAUAUAAAUUUGGCCACUGUGAAAUCCAUCAAGCCGACCUGCGCAAAAAUUUCGACGCCGUAAUCAUUAAUGGUGAUGGAAGGGUAAUAACAGUAAGGGGAAAAUAGAAAUGUUGGAAUUAAUUUCUAUCUUCAUAUACAUCAUGUUCAGUUGGUGUGUGGCUAAGGUAAAAUAAUAAAAAUCCCUUAAUGUGGACAUCAAAUUCUAGGAUCAAUCUUCAUAUAAAUGUGAUCAGGUCAAUAAAUCUAGUCUAUCUUACUAAUCUAUGAGCUAGCAAGUUCAUGUAAGUCACCCUGAUUUUACUGGACUAAAGAAGCCCUGUCAGCAUUAAUCUAGCACGACUAGCAGUUAUUCUUAUGUCCAAUUCAUUGCCAUCCCUAUGGAAAAACAUAUUUUGAUCUUUCUGUUACAUAGCCUCUAGUACUAGUACUAUAUAAAUACUAAUUUGUCUACUACGGGUACUACAACUCAUGAACUCUGAAAGCACUUCACUUUACUAACUUUCCGAUUUCCAUUAGUCAAUCUCCAUAAUGAUUCUUCAACAAUAAUUUCUCAUAGUCGCAGCCAAUUCCAUAUAGCACAGCCAAUGCUAACAAAAGACUUCAACUAAGAAAUUAAUGUCUAUCCUUCAUCUAGCUAGUCUCCUCAAGAUUUGCUAUUAAAAAGUCAGUGCAUGACCAUGUUCUACUGCUAGUGAUUAUUACGUAGCUGGUAAAAAAAUGUACAAAACUUAUUUGACCUAUGAGCCAUUUUGAGUUGACUACCAAUCUUUCAAAAUUUUGAUUUUACCAACAUUUCAAUUUGUUUGAUUUUACUAAACUUGGAAAGACAAUCAACGCAUUUGAAUUUUGAAAUCAAAGUACCAUUGACUAACUCAAAUUAAACAAAUUAAAAUAUUGGCCGGUAAAAUCAAAAUUUUGAAAGGUUGGAUAAACUCAAAAUAGUUCAUAGUUUAGGUAAGUUCUGUACGUUUUUACCUAGCAUAGUUUGAUGUCCUUCUUGCACGAAACCAAGAUAAAUCUUUAACUUGAUUCUCCAUAUUCCCAAUAACUUUGCCUCAAAAUAUUAGUUAAAAAUCAGAAAAGAAAAAUGAGGCCUAAAUUAAAUUGCAACACCGUAAAAGUUCAUAAUAUGCUUGCUUAAACCAAAAACCGCCUCCGCCAUAUUUUGAACUAUCAAUCUCAAGAGUAAUCUUUAUGAUCUACUUCUCGUGAUUAUUACACCACUCUAACAACAACAUCAACAACAAAACAUCCAAUUUCUCAAGCUAAGAUUUAAAUCUCAUCCAUUACACACAAAAUUGUGAUUACGCAACCAAUCAAAAACAUCAAAUUUUCGGCAUCUAACAACACCGAAUCAUGAGCUCAAAUCAACUGAAUCAAAAACUGGGGGCUAGGGUUUGAGGACGGGAACCUUGCAGGGUCGGCCCUUUGACGAUGUACCCGUUCUUGCGGAUCGCCCCCGCUUGUUGAGGGUACGUCUUCGAGGCGCCCGCGUCGGCCUUCGACUCGAAUUGGUGUUCCUCGUCCAUUGUUGAGCGAUGAAGGGAAUCGAGGAGGAGGAGGAGCAAUGGAGAAGCGAGAGGAGAGGAGGGCUGGCAAAUGAGCGAGCCGGCUCGCGUUCGACUCGUGUUCGACUCGAUACUUGGCUCGCUCGAGCUCGAAUCGAAAUUAAAUAAGCCGAGCUUGAACAAAGAAAAAGGCUUGAAAUUUAUUUCAAGCCAAGUUUGAGUAUUACUCGGCUCGUUCGAAUUAGGCUCGAAAAGCUCGAAUAUAUAUAUAUAUAUAUAUAUAUAUAUAUAUAUAUAGUAGAGCUACUAUNNNNNNNNNNNNNNNNNNNNNNNNNNNNNNNNNNNNNNNNNNNNNNNNNNNNNNNNNNNNNNNNNNNNNNNNNNNNNNNNNNNNNNNNNNNNNNNNNNNNNNNNNNNNNNNNNNNNNNNNNNNNNNNNNNNNNNNNNNNNNNNNNNNNNNNNNNNNNNNNNNNNNNNNNNNNNNNNNNNNNNNNNNNNNNNNNNNNNNNNNNNNNNNNNNNNNNNNNNNNNNNNNNNNNNNNNNNNNNNNNNNNNNNNNNNNNNNNNNNNNNNNNNNNNNNNNNNNNNNNNNNNNNNNNNNNNNNNNNNNNNNNNNNNNNNNNNNNNNNNNNNNNNNNNNNNNNNNNNNNNNNNNNNNNNNNNNNNNNNNNNNNNNNNNNNNNNNNNNNNNNNNNNNNNNNNNNNNNNNNNNNNNNNNNNNNNNNNNNNNNNNNNNNNNNNNNNNNNNNNNNNNNNNNNNNNNNNNNNNNNNNNNNNNNNNNNNNNNNNNNNNNNNNNNNNNNNNNNNNNNNNNNNNNNNNNNNNNNNNNNNNNNNNNNNNNNNNNNNNNNNNNNNNNNNNNNNNNNNNNNNNNNNNNNNNNNNNNNNNNNNNNNNNNNNNNNNNNNNNNNNNNNNNNNNNNNNNNNNNNNNNNNNNNNNNNNNNNNNNNNNNNNNNNNNNNNNNNNNNNNNNNNNNNNNNNNNNNNNNNNNNNNNNNNNNNNNNNNNNNNNNNNNNNNNNNNNNNNNNNNNNNNNNNNNNNNNNNNNNNCUCGAAUUAAUUUCAAUCCAAGCUUGAGCUUAAAUUUAGGCUCGAAAUUAAUUUCAAGCCGAAUUUGAGCCGAGGUAAGCUCGCUCGAGCUCGGCUCGUUUCCACCCCUAGAGGAGAGUGGGAGAGGGGAGGAUUAUAGAGUGAGCUAGGGUUUCUUUCCCGUUUGGAGGACGAUCGAGCUCCACCGUUGGAUGGUGGGACACAUGAUCAUGAUCUACGGUUAGAGAUGAUAUACGAUUAAUUUGAAAUUAUUCGAACGCUUGAACCCGCUCACUUAAAUCCCUUUUAUAUAAAAUUUUAGAUAUUUUGAUAAAUUAAAAUUAACAUUUAAAAAUUUUAAAAAUUUUACAAUUAUAAAUUGAAAUUUAAAUAUUUAAUUUGAAUUGAUAAUUUUUAAAACAUAAAACUAUAGCACAUAGAAUUCAUUUUGAAAAUUAAAAAUAAAAUUUCAAUUCAACAUUAGAAUUACGCCUUUGAGUUAAAAAUUCGAAAACAGAGCACAGUUGAAAUUUAUAUUCGAUUCAAAACUCAAAGCAAAAAUUUAGUCCAAAAUUUGAACUUUAAUUAAAAGAAUCGUAAUUCAAAGUUUGAAUUUUUAAUUUGUCUUAAAAUUUAAAUUUUAAUUAUGCAUAUUAGUCCAUUUUGUUUAAGAGAUAAUUAUAAAAUUUUGUACAUAUUGUAUUACUAUUAGUCAUUAAAAUAUUUAAGUUAAAAGUCGUACAAACCGCACCCAAGUUUUAACAAAUUUUGAAGUGAUUGUAUGAGCUUUACUAAUUUUGUUUACCAUCUAAUUUUUACAUUUCUUAUAAUUGAAAGAAACUUACAAAUAUUUUACUAAAUAAUAUCAUAUUAUAUUAUUAUUAGAAUUAUUCUUAUUCGCAUCAGGAAAAAAAAAAACUUUUUUUCUUUUUUUUUCUGUCCUUUUCUUUUUUUUGACUUUUUUUUAUUAAAAAAUUACUAAUUUUGAGAUUUUGUAAAAGUGGGUCAUUAUUUUAAAUAUUGGUCAAAAUAUUCUUAUUCCUUUUUUCUCUUUUUUUUUUUUAUCUCGUUCUUUCUUUUUUCUCUCCAACAUUAUCGCUUCUUCCACCGUUUUCAUAGCUCUCGAUGACGAUAACGAAAACAGUGCCGCCUUUUCUUCCUCCACUCCGGCUCCAUCGUCGCUGGCAUUGAGGCAGUGCUCGUUGUUAUUCGUGAGGGUGAAGAUAANAACAAAUUUUGAAGUGAUUGUAUGAGCUUUACUAAUUUUGUUUACCAUCUAAUUUUUACAUUAAAGGAAAUUGUUUUAGCAUCUUGUCCCCAAAUAAAGAUAAUAUCAUAUUAUAUUAUUAUUAGAAUUAUUCUUAUUCGCACAGGAAAAAAAAAAACUUUUUUUCUUUUCUUUUCUGUCCUUUUCUUUUUUUUUGAUUUUUUCUUAUUAAAAAAUCACUAAUUUUGAGAUUUUGUAAAAGUGGGUCACUAUUUUAAAUAGGCCUUUUUGCAUAAAAAAAUCCACUUAUUUUGGGCUUUUGCAAAACCGGGUCACAUUUUUCGUUUUUGCAGAUUCGGUCCGCUUUUCCAGCAAACUGACCAAAAUACCCUUAUUACUUUUUCUCUUUCCUCUUUCUCUCUCCUCUUCGUUUCUGUCGUUCUUUUUUUUUUUUUUCNNNNNNNNNNNNNNNNNNNNNNNNNGGAGAAGGAAAGACGGGAAGGGCAGGGAAGAGCGAGAGAGGCGCCGUCGUCGGAAACUGUGGAGGAGAGUCAGAGAAGAAAAGAAAAGAAAAAUGCAAAAAAAAAAAGUCACAGCCCGGCCUUAGGGCGAUCGGAGGCGAGGAAGGUUGGGGCGCCGGCGGCGACGCCGCUCUGUCUUCGCCGCUCUCUGGGAAGAGAAAGAAAAAAACAGAACGAGAGAAAAAAAAGAAAAGAAAAAGGUAUAAGGGCACCUCCGCUCCGUCUUCGCCGCUCUCUAGGAAGAAAAAGAAAAAAGAACGAGAGAAAAAAAGAGGAGAGAGAAAGAGGAAAGAGAAAAAGGUAUAAAGGUAUUUUGGUCAGUUUGCUGAAAAAGCGGACCGAAUCUGCAAAAACUAAAAAGAUAGCCCGAUUUUGCAAAAGCCCAAAAUAAGUGGAUUUUUUAUGCAAAUUGGCCUUUUAAAUAUUGGUCAAAAUAUUUUUAUUUCUUUUUUCUUUUUUCUUUUUUUUUAUCUCAUUCUUUCUUUUUUCUCUCCAACAUUAUCGCUUCUUCCACCGUUUACAUGGCUAUCGAUGACGGUAACGAGAACAAUGCCGCCUUUUCUUCCUCCACUCCGGCUCCAUCGUCGCUGGCAUUGAGGCGGUGCUCGUUGUUAUUCAUGAGGGUGAGGAUAGAAACGCACUCGUGCUUCUCCAAAGAGCGAAAGAAAAAGUAAGAGGGUAAAAGAAAAAUAAAAAAAAUAAAAAGAGAAAAAAAAAAAGAAGUGCGGUUGAGCGGGUGGGGGCUCUGGGAGCACGGAGGAGAGCGAGGAGGGAGGAAAGGAGAAGCCGCUUUGAGACAAUAUAGUAGGUCUCUGCGGCGAGAAAGCUUCGAAAAAGAGUAUAAUUUUUGUUUCAAAUAGUAUAAUUUUCGUCUCAAAUAGUGUAAUAUUCGUCUCAAACAGUAUAAUUUUUUUAAAAUAGUGCAGCUUUAUUUGAACAUAGCGACUUCAUCUUCUUUUUCCUCCUUUUCUGAUUUUUGAUUUUUUCUGUAGCAACAACGAUAUAUUUUCUUUCAAGAAGAAAAUUAAUAUUUUUUAUUUUUUAUUUUUUAUUUAUCCUCUAUCUUUUUUCGCUUCUUGGGGAAACGAGGGUGUGUCUUCGUCCUCAUUCUCAUCCUCACGGGCGACAAAGACACUGCUUCGGCCACGAUCCGACAUCGGUGGAGGUGGAGGAAAAGAAGGCGCCCGAAUUUAUAAAAAUUCAAAAUAAUCGUCCACUUUUACAAAAUAUCAAAACUAAUAGUUUUUUAAAAUACAAAUUGGCCUUUUUUUUCUCUCUCCUAUUAACUCAGUUCGAAGAAAAUAUUAAGACAUAACAAAUAUAAAACGACAAUAUAUUUGAGCUAUAGGAUGAUAAAAUAGAAACGCGCUAAUAUCCAUGGAGACAUAGCGAAGUUUACUCUCUUUUUAAACCCAACCAAGUACAGCAAAUUGAAAAUAAUUAAGCUGGGCCAUGGUGGAUCAAUACUUGAUUUUCUAGGCCUAAUUUUUCAAUACAUGACUGUACUUACUGGAUUGGGUCGCAUUUGAACUACAUAAAAUUUUGGGUUAUAUCAGCAAAAUCAGGUUCGUCCUUUUUUUUAUUUAUAUANCUACAUAAAAUUUUGGGUUAUAUCAGCAAAAUCAGGUUCGUCCUUUUUUUUAUUUAUAUAUAAUUUUUUGAAUACUCUUUUGAAAUAACAAUUCUUUCCUGGCGUGACGAAAAAAUUAUUAGGUAUUUUUCAAAUCCAAACGUUUGGUAUCCUACGAAUUAGUGAAUAGUGUAAUUUCAUAAUUGUCCCUCCAUAGCUCAAAAUAUCAUCAACGCCCUCAUAAAUAUUAAAAUAUUCUGAAAUGCUACUAGAAAAAAUUCAUUCAAAUUUAAUAUGUUAGUUCUAAAAUUUAUUGUUACCCUAAAUACAACUAAAAAUUUAGUAAGCUUAUCACCAGGAAAGCAAUUUUUAUAAUUUUAACAAUUUUUAGGAAAAAAAGCUAACCAAAUAAAAGUGAUAAUUCAUGCUAUAAGUUGCAAGUAAAUUUAAAAUUUUUAUUCUAAACACACAAAAAAAAAAAAAAUCCAAAAAUAGCAUGUAGGGAAGCAAAUCUCUUACAAAUUUUUAUCACAAUUAAUCCGCGCUGUUUUAUAUAGGCGGUGCGAAAUCCAGCUAAAAUCCAGCAACGAGAUCAAUCCCGCGCCAAGGAUUCCAUACGCAUGGGUUUGCACCCAAUUCAAAUCUGGAUCUGAAUAUAAGAUCAUUAUCAUUAUUUAGAGUAGUUGAAUUGGAUCUUCAAUUACUAUGACAUGUUGAGAAAAUAAAAUUUGCGACUAUUCUAAGCCAAAAAUAAUAAAAAAAAUAACUUAAGGCUCACAACAAUAUGAAAUUUAUAUAUUAGACUUUCUAGUACGACGACCACUACAACAGAAUUAGGUUAUAGGGACACAUGUUUAGGACACUUUUGAGUAAGUGUCUCAUUUAUGCUAAAAUUUAAAAAAAACAUCUACUAAUGCCUAAAUAUAAAGCCCAAUCCAACCAAAAAUAAAAGAUUACUCUACUCAACCCACCACACCCAGUCUAUUUCGCCCGAUUACAAACAGAGAAGAAAAAAAAAAAGAAAAAUCAAUUACCAUCUUUUCUUCUCUCUUCACUCAAUUCACUGAAAUUCCAGACGAAAAGCCUUUCUUGUCGUCCUCCUCCGCCACCGCAGCCAACGAGAUAGAAUUUCGACGGUUGCUAAAUAUUUAAAUAACUUUUGGUAAAUUAGCAGCACUCUUUUAGUUUAUAGCGACACUCUUUAACUGUCACUAUAUACCUAGCGACCCCACAUAUAGCAACACUUUUUAAAAGUGUCGGUAAUUUUAGCUAGCAGCACUUUUUUGACAUGUACCUAUAUUUAAAAGUGUCGCUAUAGACCGUUUUUGUUGUAGUGGACCUCCUUAAUUUUAUUGAUAUCGACAUGGAAACUUCUUUUUGUUUUAUUUAGACUUUCUUAAUUUUCUUUUUAUGUUUUAUACUUAGUUAAGUUAAAAAUUUUAUCAAACGAUCAUAAGAUUUAUGAUAAAUUAUUAUCUUUCGAGAGAUAUUAGUGGCAUUUUANNNNNNNNNNNNNNNNNNNNNNNNNNNNNNNNNNNNNNNNNNNNNNNNNNNNNNNNNNNNNNNNNNNNNNNNNNNNNNNNNNNNNNNNNNNNNNNNNNNNNNNNNNNNNNNNNNNNNNNNNNNNNNNNNNNNNNNNNNNNNNNNNNNNNNNNNNNNNNNNNNNNNNNNNNNNNNNNNNNNNNNNNNNNNNNNNNNNNNNNNNNNNNNNNNNNNNNNNNNNNNNNNNNNNNNNNNNNNNNNNNNNNNNNNNNNNNNNNNNNNNNNNNNNNNNNNNNNNNNNNNNNNNNNNNNNNNNNNNNNNNNNNNNNNNNNNNNNNNNNNNNNNNNNNNNNNNNNNNNNNNNNNNNNNNNNNNNNNNNNNNNNNNNNNNNNNNNNNNNNNNNNNNNNNNNNNNNNNNNNNNNNNNNNNNNNNNNNNNNNNNNNNNNNNNNNNNNNNNNNNNNNNNNNNNNNNNNNNNNNNNNNNNNNNNNNNNNNNNNNNNNNNNNNNNNNNNNNNNNNNNNNNNNNNNNNNNNNNNNNNNNNNNNNNNNNNNNNNNNNNNNNNNNNNNNNNNNNNNNNNNNNNNNNNNNNNNNNNNNNNNNNNNNNNNNNNNNNNNNNNNNNNNNNNNNNNNNNNNNNNNNNNNNNNNNNNNNNNNNNNNNNNNNNNNNNNNNNNNNNNNNNNNNNNNNNNNNNNNNNNNNNNNNNNNNNNNNNNNNNNNNNNNNNNNNNNNNNNNNNNNNNNNNNNNNNNNNNNNNNNNNNNNNNNNNNNNNNNNNNNNNNNNNNNNNNNNNNNNNNNNNNNNNNNNNNNNNNNNNNNNNNNNNNNNNNNNNNNNNNNNNNNNNNNNNNNNNNNNNNNNNNNNNNNNNNNNNNNNNNNNNNNNNNNNNNNNNNNNNNNNNNNNNNNNNNNNNNNNNNNNNNNNNNNNNNNNNNNNNNNNNNNNNNNNNNNNNNNNNNNNNNNNNNNNNNNNNNNNNNNNNNNNNNNNNNNNNNNNNNNNNNNNNNNNNNNNNNNNNNNNNNNNNNNNNNNNNNNNNNNNNNNNNNNNNNNNNNNNNNNNNNNNNNNNNNNNNNNNNNNNNNNNNNNNNNNNNNNNNNNNNNNNNNNNNNNNNNNNNNNNNNNNNNNNNNNNNNNNNNNNNNNNNNNNNNNNNNNNNNNNNNNNNNNNNNNNNNNNNNNNNNNNNNNNNNNNNNNNNNNNNNNNNNNNNNNNNNNNNNNNNNNNNNNNNNNNNNNNNNNNNNNNNNNNNNNNNNNNNNNNNNNNNNNNNNNNNNNNNNNNNNNNNNNNNNNNNNNNNNNNNNNNNNNNNNNNNNNNNNNNNNNNNNNNNNNNNNNNNNNNNNNNNNNNNNNNNNNNNUUUAUACUAUAUAAAACAAGAUCAAUAUCUUUGAUUUAAAAUUUUAAUGUCAUAUUAUUACAUUUUGUAAGAUUUUUAUUUUCAGCCGUUGAUUUUGAGCCCCUUCGUUCACUAGGCAAAUGAUAUCGUAAAAUUAUAAAAUUUAUUUUCUAGGUACUUCAAAUACUCUAGAUCAAGUUUAACGGAGCCGAUCGACGAUUCGAAAAUCGCAACAUCGAAAACGAGCUGGAAGCACGGAAGGCUCCAUGCUUCCGAUAGCAUAGUAGCCUCACUCUAUAUAUAUAUAUAUAUAUAUAUAUAUAUAUAUAUAUAUAUAUAUAAUUUUGGAAGCAUGGUUUUUAGAGUAAACCACAAGCCGUCAUGUUGAUAAUAGUAUAGCUUAUUGUGUUCCAAUAUUAUAUAUAUAUAUAUAUAUAUAUAUAUAUAUAUAUAUAUAUAUAUAAUUUUGGAAGCAUGGUUUUCAAAAUAAACCACAAGCCAUCAUGUUGAUAAUAGUAUAGCUUAUUGUGUUCUAAUAUUAUAUAUAUAAAGCAGUUAUGAAAAGUUCUAAUAUAACUUGAUAAUAGAAUAGCUUAUUGUGUUCCAAUAUUUUAUAUAUAUAUAUAUAUAUAUAUAAAGCAGUUUUAUGAAAAAUUUGAAUAUGACUUAACAAUAAAUUACUUAAAAAUUAUAACUAAGAGUUGGUAACAAUACUCCCAUGCAUCGCAUGGGUCAAUUGCUAGUGGAUUCUAAGUUAAAAGGAUCUAUUAAAUGCAAGUUGAAUCUAGUUACUAUAAGAAGUGAUAAAUGAAUGAGAUUAAGGGAUACUUGAGAGGAUUUUGAUUUAAAAUAAACUUUACCUUCUCAAAAUAAGUGUUUGAACAAUUGAAUCAACGAUCAGCGCUAUGAUGUGUAUUAUGGUAUUUUAAAAUAUCAAAAUUAAAUAUCGCGAUUUUACGAUAUUUUUUACUUGUGCCUCCGCCCAUCUCUAAUUUGUUGAUAACAGAUAUUAUUAAUUGAAUGGCUAAUUGUGAUCGAAACUAGCUGGGAGUUAAUGAAGAAAAUACUUUUGAAUCCGUUAAUCAAAAUAAUGACUUUAAUAAUUUUUAAUAGAGAAAAAAAUACUAUUUUAACGAUCUACCCCACUAGCAACAAUAACUCGUUGGGCCCAAACCACCUACCCGAAAUGUUUAAGUACAGUUAUUAUUACUAGUGUCUAAGUCUUUUAUAUAUCCAAUCAUCCAAUGUGGGAUUAUUCGGGUGUGACAGACUUCCCUCCGUUAAGACCCUUCUAAUCAUAUCCUCAUUCCUAUCCGAUGUGAAAUUAUUGAGGUGUGACAGACUUCUCCCGUUAAGGCCCUGAUGUGCUCGUCAGUCCAAUCACACAUACAGCCGAGCAAUCUCGACCCACACCCAUUGGUGCCCGCAGGUUAUUCGCAAAUUUGCGGGUAUGGGUACCAACUUUUUCAACCCAAAAAAUUACGGAUAAAACGGAUGGAUGCCCAUUAAGCUUUGGUAUUUUGGGUAACCUGCGGGUACUCACGGGUACCCGCACAUAUAUUUUUUAAUUAUAAAAUAUAUUUGUUUAAUUAAAAUAUAUAUUUUUAUUUAUUCAUUCUAAAAAUUCUAACAAUAAUUUUUUAUCACGUGUCUUUUAUAUUAUAAAAUAUUUUUAUUUUAAGACUUUAAAUAUUUUUAUUGUAUUGAAUAAUGAGUUAUGUUACUUUCUUAAACCUUAUAUGUGUUUUACAUUAAAAAAAUAUAAGAGAAAAAAGAAAAAAAAAAAUUACGGAUAAUCCGCAUACCCACCCACCCACCCGCGGGCGGGUAUGGGUAAAGAUGUUGGCUAUCCAAAAAUUUACGGAUAAAUUUUACCCAUGCCCAAGUAACCCGCGAGUAUAAUAACCCGUCCGCGGGUUAUCCAACCUACCCGUUUGCCAGAUCUACUGAAAAUCAUCAAGCGAUGUGGGACUCGUCUCGCUAGUCUUGUCAUCCAGAACCAAUCCAAUCACACACACAGUCGAAAAUCAUCCGGCGAUGUCAAAGUCGUCUCGCUAACCUUGUCAUCCAGAUUCUGACAUAGUUGGUCACCUUAUCUUUCAGACCCUUCACUAGUCUUGUCAUUCAGACCUUGACACAGCUGGUCACCUUAUUUUUCAGACCCUGGCUCAACCGAGAAUCACUACACAUUUCCAGCUGGUGAACCAGCUCUAAUACCAAAUGUAACGAUCUAGCCCAAUAGCAAUAAUAAUUCGUUGAACCCAAACCACCUACCCAAAAUACUUAAGCUUAAUUAUUAUUACUAAUGUCUAAGUCUCUUAUAUAUCCAAUCACAUUUUCAUUUCUAUCCGAUAUGAAAUUGCUAGGGUGUAACACCUACCUUUUAAAAGCAUAUGUUUAAGUGAUGUCACAGUUUUUUGCUCUUAUGAGCAAGUGAAAAGGCAUCAAAAUUCUACAAUUUUUAAUUUUUAGUAAUCACCUAUUGAUUGAAUGUGAAAAGAAAUUAGCAUAUAACAUUUUAUACUUUUUUAUAUUAUAUAUAAUAUUUUUAUUUUGACAAUACUUUUUGAAAAGAAAAUUCUUAAGGGUAGAUUUUAAAGGGAACCAAAUCUCCAACAACACUGUGCCUAGGAUAAUUUCCUAUAAACAGAGUUCAUCUAGCCGCUGAUUUUUAGUAUAAUUAAUCUGUAUCAUGCUAUAUAAAUGGCUCGAAUUAAUUUUGCUAAAAUAUAACAAUGGGAUCAAUCCCGUGCAUAGCAAAUCAUACUCAUGGGAUCAUAUCCAAGUCGAGUUCUAAUCCGAGUUUAAAAUUAUCAUCAUUAUUUAGAACAGUUGAUUGAUAUUUUGAAUUAAUAAUAAAAAAUGUCGAAUUAAAAGUACUAACUUAAAGACUAACAACUCUAUGAUAUCUAUACAUCAGUCUUACUAGUACCACGGGAGAUAUCCAUAAUUUUAUUGAAAUCGACCUGUCAACUUCUUCUUUUUUUUUAACUAAGACUUUUUUUUUUUUUUUUUUAAGUUUUAUAUUUUAGUUAAGUUAAAAAUUUUAUCCAAUAUAAUGAGUAUAUAGUUAUGUGCUAUUAAGUAAUGUAGCAUUAUUUGACAAAAAAGACUUAUUAAAGUUUUUAAAUUUGAUAAAAUUCUCAAUUUUUUUGAACAAAUUUAUUUAAUUUUUAAAAUUAAAAGUUUAGGAAUCUCAAUAAAAAUAUAUGAAUGAAUAAAUAAAAACAAAGAUACAAAUUAAUAAAGGGGGUCAUUUAAAAGUGGCGUAUAGUGAGGGGUUUGAUCACCAAAAUCUUGCUUGUGUUUUGAGAAAAACUAUGUUGCAAUUAAAUAUCAAGAUUUAAAGUACUUCUUUGUCUUUUUAAAUAAAAUUGCUUGUGAAUUCCAAAAGGAGGGGAAUAGAUCUUAUACUCUCUCAUUUUAAAGUUUACAAAAAUUCAAAUGAAAUUCAAAAUAACAAAAAAAAAAAAACUAGAAGAAGUAUAAAAUAUACACUCCACUUUAGGGUGUAUGUAUAUUGUGUUGCUAAAAAAAAAAGUAAUUUCAAAUUUCUCUCUAUAGUUUAGCUUAUUUUUACUUUUCCAUCCCGUGUUUUAAAAAAUUUAUGACAUUUUUUGUUGUUUAAUUUUUAUUUUACUAAAAAUUUUUAUAUAAAAUAGGAUUGUAAAAGUUUAAAAAAAAUGACAAAGUGAUAAAGUGAAAAAUACGCAAAACCACAGAGAGACAAAGUAUAACUUUUUGAACCACAAGAUAACAAGUGAAAAUGAGUUAAAUCAUAAGAGGGACAAAAUAAAAACUUUUGAACCACAGAAUAACAAAUUAAAAAUGAUCAGCUAACAAAAAAAAAAAAGUUUUUUUCUUUUUUUGAGAGAUAGGUAACACGCUACCCGCUUCGUUUAUUUCAUUUAGAAAUAAAUUUAACUGGAGGUGUGAAUCAAUUAGGAUUCGAACUUGGGUCUCGGAUACCGACCUUUAAGUCCUUUGCCACUUGCUCUAGGGACGGUCGGUCAAAAAAAAAAAAAAAAGUUGGUGAAAGGAAUCCUAGAUUCCCUAGUCCUUUCCGUUCACACAUGUAAUUAGGUGGGAGUUAAUGAGUUUUCCAUGAUUGAUUUAAAUGUUUAAACAUUUUCCUUUUUCACUCAUUGUUGCUUUUGUUAGGAAGGAAUAUAUUUAAUAAUAAACUCAAAUAACUUGAGAUAGUUGAACUAAUUAAUUGGAUGAAAAUGAUGAUCAUAAUAUUCUCAGCCCUCAUCAUUAAUUAUCAAAUGUCUUUCAUCUCCGUCAAGUCAUAGUAUGCGCGUCAAUUGGUUUAAUUGAUUCUAUCAUCGUCUGUUUUCGUACGUAAGUAUCUUAAUUCGGUUGAUUUAUUCAAAAGACGCAUCUACAGACAACAAAUGAAAUAUGUUAAUAAGAUACAAUCUAAGAACUUUUAAUAAUUAUAUUCAUAUUAGUACGUUCUUAAUAUACUUUGUGGACUAGUCUUCCAUAUUUAGUGAUAUGGAAAAUAAAUUAUUAUAAAUUUAAUUGCGGAUCCAUCCCCCACCAAACACCACAAAGGAAUAUUUAAUUACAUGUUUAAUCACAUGUACCCUAUGGUAUUUGAAUGUUUUUUCAAAUAUGUUUUUUCAUUCUUUGGUAGGUGUUUUUUCAUUCUUUUUUAAUAUUUGAUGAAUAAUCAUGCAUGUACGUAGUUGAUUAAUUAGGAUUAUGGUGGUAUCAUAUUAUUCUUGAAUAUAUGAAUACUUGUUCAAAUUAAGUAGUUAAAUAAUAAGCUAAUGAGAUUAAGUAAAAUGUAAGAAAAGAAAAAAGAAAAAAUAAAUUAGCCAAUCAGUUUCCUUGCAAAAGGAGUGGUUUCUAUUAUGCAUGGAAUGAGUGCUUCAAAGAUAUUAUUUUUUUAUUUUUUUUUCUUUUGACCUUUAAUGAGUCAUUAAUUAAGUCUUUUAACAUUGUCAAAGAGUUUCUUUAUAUACUGUACUGUUUUAAAAAAUGUAUAAAUAUUUUCAAAUAGUACUUCUACAAAUGGUGGUACAAGGUGAGGAUAGUUGUAUGAUAAUGAUUUUGACCAAAUUUUUUUUUCUCUAAUAAUUAAUCUUAGAUCUCUUAAACAUUGCAAUAUCUAACAUGUCAUGUCAUGACUUUAAUAACAUAUCAAACAUUUUUAUUUAACUACCGCUUAGGGAUGUUUGGUUCGGCAUAUUUGUAAAUACAAUGUAGUUAAAAUUAAAUACGUUGUAGGGAGUACUACAGCUAUAAAUACUUUAUUUAAUUACAUGCGUAGGGGGAAAAAACUUUAUUUAUAAAUACUUUAUUUAAAAUUAAAUGCGUUUUCAAUGAAUGAAGCAGGUAGCAUGCAAUCUAUUCCUCAAAAAAAAAAAAAAAUUACAUGCGAUUAAUUAAGAAGUGCAUCUACGAAAUUCAAUUAUUUUCUAUAUAAGAUAGUGAGGUUAUCCCCUAUGUAGGGGGAAAAAAAAUUUAAAACGUUAUUAAGAUGGUAAACUUACCUUUAUAUUAAGAGGGUUUUUGCUUAUAUACUCUUCACUAUUAUUGAAAAUUUUCAAAUUUAUCCCGCAAAAUGCAAAAUACUCUUUUAAAAUCCUAUCUCAUUAGUACAUUCUAGAGGGAAAAGAGAUAUUUGAGGAAAGUUUUUGAAAUAAAAAAAAAUAGUUUGAUUAUUCAAGGAUAAAUAAAAUAUUUCUGGAGUUUUGAAGAAUAUAUUAGAUAUUAUAAGUGCUAUAGUUGGAACUACUGUCAAAUUGGACAUAGUUCCAGCUGCUGUAGUUGAUGAGCCUUCUUAUGUAGUUAUAACUGUAAUAGUUCAGUUCAAAUGUAUCAAAAUAAAUAUUAAAUUUGAAUUAACAUGCACUUAAACUAUAGUGCAAUUGUAAAUACAUGCAACCAAAUAGCUCUUUAUUAGAGUAGUUGAUAACCAAUUUAUUCUUUGGGCAACGAACACCGAUAUUUUAGAAAAGAGAUGUUUUUAAUCACAUAGCAAAUUCCUCCCAAAUCACUUAAUUGGACUGGGGAUAAGAAACAAGGAUGAGACAAAUUGAAACAACAAUUCUAUAUUUUAAUACAUAUCAUUCUUUGAUAGGUGUAUUUUUUUCAUUCUUUGUUAAUAUAUAAUGAAUAACCAUAUAGUUGAUUAAUUAGGAUCUUGAUUUUAUCAUAUUAUAUUAUAUUAAUUUUUGAAUGGUUGUUUAAAUUGAGUAGUUAGAUAAUAAGCAAAUGAGGAUAAAUUAAAUGUAAGAAAAGAAAAAGAUUAUUUCCCUAUAAAAAGUGUGAUAGAUCAUCUAUUACGCAUGCAAUAUUGUGUACUCCUAAACUUUUUCUUUUUGUUCUUUAAUGAGUCAUCCAUUCUAUUAACAUUAAUUGUCAAAAAGUUGCUUAUGUACCAAUUUAAAAUAUAUAAACAUGUUUUAAAAUGUAGUACUUUGAUUUACAUAUAGUGCUAUGAGAUGAGGGUACUUGUAUUAUAAUUAAUUUUUAACUAAAAAUAUGACUUUAAUAAGCUUAGAUUUGUUGAACAUUGCAAUCUCUAACAUGUAAUGACUUUAAUUGAUAACAUACCAAAUAUUUUCGUAUCACCGGCGCAUAUAGCAUGUUUAUUUAUUUCUAAACUAAGAUUGUUAAUUAUUUGAUGAUGCAAAUUAACAACAAACAUUCCUCACCAAAUACUGCAUAAAAUCAAAAAACACAUCCUAAAGGGAAUAAACGAACUUCAAAUUAAGUGUAUCUCCUUUUGCAUAAUUAGAGUAACAUAAUUGAGUAUUAUUGUAAUCCCCAGUGGUUAUUAGUUACAAUUUUGUGUUAUUUGAAUAUUUAGGACAUGGGUGCAAUAAACUUUUCGGUGUACAAUUCAUAGCAUUCUAUUCAUUUCGAGUCUUAAUAUAUCAUUAAUUGUAUGAAACGAUUGGAUUAACAUUCCGUACGUUUUUAUAAUGAGAUAAUGAUUUGCUAAUAAUGAGAUAAUGAUGAUAGGGAGUGAUGGCUAAGACCAACAAAUAAAAUUAUAGAAGAAAAGUUUGUUUUGAACUUCAACAUCCCAAAAGUUAUUGAAUUGAUUCAUACGUGCACUUCAUAAACAUUGCUAAAGUAGCAGAUGCAUUCAAAUUAAAGCGUUAUUUAUGAAGUACAGCUACAGGUCUCCAAAAGAGUUGUUAUAGCUAGCGGAUUAUCGAUUUAUUUGCAUUUCUAGUACUGGUAAUAUCAUUGAUUAAUUCAUAUGUAUAGUUUGAUACGUUAUCAUUGGCAUUAAAAUUCGCAACAUGAGCCAAGCUCCAACACGAAAGAUUAUAACUUAGUGUUGCUGGAAGAAUCUAUGCCGAUAUAUAUAUUUUUUAAUUCACUUGGUGUAAAAGUGCUUCCCAUAUCUAGUGAUGAAAUAUUUUGAUUCAAUUAUCUAAUUUUUUUUAAAUUUUAAUAUUAUUAUUUAAUUUUUAAUUUAUUUAAUUCUAGCUACUUGCUAGCUUACUUUGAUAAUGUGAUUUGCAUAAAAUACAUUUAUUAAACUCAUACAAAUUAAUAAUUAAAAUAAAAAAAAAUCUAAAUAUUAAACAGUCCGAACAAAAUAGAUGAUAGUAAAAAUAGAAACUAUAUAUAUUUACAUGAUAUAUAUAUAUAUAUAUAUAUAUAUAUAUAGAGUCCGGCCGGGGUACUAUCGAUAGCACCAAAAAUUUGGUGUUAUCGAGUUUUCCACCGUUAGAUUUAACUUUUUGAUUAUUUUUACCCGUUAGAUUAUACUAUUUAACCAACUACCCACUCAACCCUAGGGGGCCCACAUUAUCCUAACCGUACAUUUCUCAAUCCAAGAGCUAAAAAACUAAUAGCAUUACUAGCUUGGUGCUAUUAAUAGUAUUCCGGCCUAGUUCUAUAUAUAGAGUCCUGCUGGGAUACUAUCGAUAGCAGUAAGAAUUUCGUGCUAUCGAGUUUUCCACCGUAAGAUUUAACUCUUUGAUUAUUUUUACCCGUUAGAUUAUACUAUUUAACCAACUACCCACUCAACCAUAGGGGGCCCACAUUAUCCUAACCGCACAUUUCUCAAUCCAAGGGCUAAAAAACUAAUAGUACUAAUAGGUUGGUGCUAUUAAUAGUAUUUCGACCUAGUUCUAUAUAUACAGUCCAGCUGGAAUACUAUCAAUAGCACCAAAAAUUUCGUGCUAUCGAGUUUUCUAUACUUUUAUAAUUAUUGGUCUCUUUGUACUCAUAAAUUUUUAACUGUGGGAUGAAAGGAUGUGUUGUUAGGAUGAUAGUGUUUCCCAGUUAGAAUGAUAGUGGUCUCCGAGGGUUAAGUGAGUGGUUGGUCGAAUAGUAUAAUCUAACGAGUGGAAAUGAUUAAUAGGGUAGAUCUAACGGGCGAAAAUUUAUGAGUAUAAAGCGAAUUAUAUUUAUAAAAAUAUAGGAGUGAGGCUACUAUGCUUCUAAAAGCACGGAGCCUUUCGUGCUUCCAGGUCGUUUUUGAUGUUGCGACUUUCGAAUCGUCGAUCGGCUCCGUUAAACUUGAUCUAGAGUAUUUGAAGUACCUAGAAAAUAAAUUUUGCAAUUUUUCGAUAUCAUUUGCUUAAUGUACUAGGGGCUCAAAAUCAACGACUGAAAAUAAAAAUAAUGCAAAUCAAAGAUACUAAUUAAAUAGUCAUUAUCAAUACAUGAGAUAUAUGUGACCUCGUGAAGCUUUAACACCUGGGAAAAACAUAAUGCAAAUCAAAGAUAAAUUUACAAUCUAUAUCUAAAUCCUGGUCUCUUAUUUUCAUUCUUAAGAAGAGAAAAAUCAAAUUAUUUUAUAUUUUAAAGCUUAGUAAGGUAAUCUAUAAAAAAUGUCCUUAGUACAACUAUUUAAUUAGCAAUUUCGCUUAAGGAGAGGGACCAAUUGAACAAUUUGAUAAAGUUGGAGUCUUUAAUUAGCAAAAUUAAUAGUUCGCAGACCCAUUUAACAAAGAUGUAAAGCUUAGCUGCAUUUGCAUAUUUAUUCCAAUUUUUCUAAGAUUGAAUGCAUUAAAACUAUCCAAAUAUUCGCUCAUUCACAAACAGCCGCUUGAACUUUCAAAAUAUUAUAUUUACUACUCAAAUAUUAAUUUUUUUUGCAGUUAGCCACCUAUAUCUAUAUUUUAUCAAUUUAAAGUGAUUAAAUGAUAAUUGGUCAAGGUAUAAUAAAGUGAAUCCGGCUGCGAUACUAUUAAUAGCACCAAACGUUUGGCACUACUGAGUUUUUCGCUGUUAGAUUUAACCUUUUGAUUAUUUUUAUCAAUUAAAUUAUACUAUUCAAUCAAUAACUUACUCAACCCUAUGGUGCCCACAUUAUUGUAACAGUACAUUUCUUUCAUCUAAGGGCCGAAAAUCUAAUAACAUCAAUAGUUUGGUGCUAUUGAUAGCAUUUCAGUCUAGUUCUAAUAAAAAUUGUUGUUAGUAUUACUGACGAGUGCUCUAAAUAAAGAUUACUUUUCAUAGUAUUUGAGCUCAACCCCCCCUUCUCUCUCUCUCUCUCUCUCUCUCUCUCUCUCUCUCUCUCUCUCUCUCUAUAUAUAUAUAUAUAUAUAUAUAUAUAGUAUAGAGUUACUAUGCUAUCGGAAGUAUAAAGCAGUUGAUGCUUUCGAUUUUUUAGCUCUUGGAUCAAAAAUUCAACAGUUGAGAUAAGAGCGGUCCCCUUAGGGUUGAAUGGUCUCUUGAGGAUUGAAUGACCCUCAUUGAUUAAUAAUAUUAAUUCAAUGGUUAGAAAUUUAUAUUUAUAUUAUAUAUAAGAUAUAUAUAGAAAGGUAGGAUUGCUCUUUUCAAUCCCAAACCACAAAGUCCGGAAUUUCUCUGGAUUGGCUUGUCUGACACCCAACCNUCACUUUGCAUUGUGGCGGGGCCCGCCGGCAGCCCCGUGCAACCUUUUCUUGCCGCAAAGUUGGGGAGGCCAACCGGCUGUGGUUGGUAAGGCUAAAUUGCGUGUUUCGUCCUCAAAUUAUGCGGGUGAUAUCAGUUGGUCCUCAAGUUUUAAUUUGUUAUAGUUAUCGACUCGAAUUUGAGGGUUUAAAACUUUUUAAUAAACUUAUGGCUUGAAAUUGAAUUAAAUAAAAGGAAAACCAAUUAUGCUAGAAAACUAGCAUGACUCGAAUUUCAAACAUCCUACUUUGAUACUGUGUUAAAUUAUGUAUAACAACUGUUUUGUUCUAAAAAUUUAAAUGAUAUUUUUAUAUUUUUAUAUUUUAAUUGUUUAAAUAUUAAUGAAUCAAUGAUAGGAAAGUAAAUUAGCAUCGUAAUUAUUGACGCAUUGUGAGACCCCAAAUAGUCUUAUAUAUAAGAUAUAAUAGGGCUAAACUCUUAAUCCGGCUUAAACAUUUUGGGUAGUGGUAAGGCUCAGGAGGUUAAGAGAGUUAAGCGUGCUAGGACGGGAGUAGUCCUAGGAUGGGUAACCCCUGGGAAGUUGAGGCGUCACAGAUGGUAUCAGAGCCAAUUACCAGUCGGAAGUGUGAGAUGAGUCUCGGCUAAGCCAGGGUCUGGAUGACGGGCUACCGAGAUGAGUCUCACAUUGCCUGGUAUUUGUGAGUCUGAGCCUGACGAGAACGUCAGGGCUUAAAGGAGGGGAGAUUGUGAGACCCCAAAUAGUCCUAUAUAUAAGAUAUAAUAGGACUAAACUCUUAACCCGGCUUAAGCAUUUUGGGUGGUGGCAAGGCCCAAGAGAUUAAGAGAAUUAAGCGUGCUAGGACGGGAUUAGUCCUAGAAUGGGUGAUCCCUGGAAAGUUGGGGCGUCACCCGCGUCAUUUAUCAUUUAUCAUUUAUCAUCAAUACUUAAUCGGCUAAAUUAGAUUUUUAAAACUCGAAGGACCAAAAUGUCAUUUCCCUAUAGUUUGGGGACCAAAUAUGUAAUUUAUACAAAUAUAGGAUCGCUUUUCUUUUUGUUUCUCACGCGCUUCCUCUGCCCCCUCCCAAUUCUCACAAACUAUUAUUCGUUUUACCCACCUCACCUAACACUGCCACUUCUCUCACCAUUUUUUGUUGGGGGCAUAGAUGGUCCCUAGAUUAUUCUUAUCAAUUUUUUUAGUUCAACUGAAAUAUUAUUAAUAGUAGAUGAAUGAGUAAAGUUACUGUGCUUUUAAAAGUACAAAAAAAUUGGUGUUUCUGAUCAUUUAUUAUCUUCGAAUGAAUCUUAUUAUUUUAGAAGGAUCACUCAACCCUAAAGAACAUCAUUAUCAUCCCGAUCCUACAAUUCUUAAUCUAAAGGCCAAAAAGUUGAAAGUACCAACUCCCUUGUGCUUUCGAUAGUAUAGUAACUCUGCACGUAGAUAAAUAGUAUUUAUAAUUAACUUUUUUGGCCCUCGGACUCAUAUAUUAGUAUUAUGGAUAAUUGCCUAUAUAACUCUGAAAAUUUUAGAAAUAUAUAAUUUAUCCCUACUUUUUUAUUUUAAAUAUAUCCCUCACAUGUUUCUCCAUUAUUUAAAAAUACCCUCGCAAUUACCACCCGUUAAAUUAUCUCAGGUUAACUGUGAGUUAAAUAUCUAUUAAAGUUAAAAAAAUAUAAUAUAAUAUCUCUUUUGCCCUUAAUUUAAGGGCAAAUAAGAAAAGCUGUUAAUGGUAAAAGAGUAUAUUUAAAAAGACAAAAAAUCAAAAUAUUUCUUUUAUCCCUAAUUUAAAAGCAAAUAAGAAAAGUUGGUGAUAGUAUAAACGUAUAUUUUAAAGGAUAAAAUAAUAAUUUCACAGAGAUAACGGCUGUUACUAAUAGUUUACCAACAGAAUUUAACUCUAGAAGUAUAUUUGAAAUAACUUGAGAUAUUAAAAAGGUAUUUUUAAUAUUAAUCUUCUAAGAGAGUUAAAUCAGUAAGUUAAAAAUUUUUCAAAAAUAUAUAAGUAAUUGCACUUAAUAUUAUCAUCAAAUAGUAAAUCCUUAAAAUUUAGAAAGUAAAAAAAUAAAUAUCAAACACUAUUUCUCUAUUAUUAAUAGUAUUUUAACCCUCACUAUUUUUUUUUUCUUUUUUUGGUUAUAUAUCAGUACUAUUUAGGAUAGAUAGUUGGCUUACUUUUUUUCUUGGGAAAACUUCAAAAAAUUUCCUGUGGUUUCGCACUUUCUCACUUUAGUAUCCUGUGGUUUAAAGUGUAUCAAUUUGCUCUCCUGUGGUUUUAUUUUUAUCUUUUCGGCAGUUUUUUUCUUAAUAUUUUAUUAAAUUAUAUACAAAAAACUUCGGAUACACACCUAGAUUUAUCGAAUAUUUACUUUAAUACCUUUUAAUUUUAACUUUGUCACUGAUUUAAGAAAAAAGAAUAAUAAAAUUGAUAAUAAAAAGAGAAAAACAAAACAAUAGGGGGGGAAAUUGAUGCACUUUAAAAUACAGGGUACUAAAGUGAGAAAGUGCGAAACCACUGGUGGGUUUUUUUGAAGUUAUCCCUUUUUUCUUUUAUCUACAAUAAUAUUUAGUAGAACAUUUAUUUGAUGGAUAGAAAAUCUAGAGCUUCAGCGUGCAUCUGAAAGACCCUGAAGGGAGCCCAACUUCCUAGUUAGUUAGUUAGUUAAUUAGAUUAUAUAAAUAUGGAAAAACUUCAAAAAAACUCUCAUGUGGUUUCGCACUUUUUUAUUUUAGUACCCUGUGGUUUAAAGUGUAUCAAGUUAGUACCCUGUGGUUCCUCACUUUAUCACUUUAGUACCCUGUGAUUUAAAGUGUAUCAAGUUAGUACUCUGUGGUUUUAUUUUUAUAUCAAGUUAGUACCUUGUGGUUUUAUUUUUAUAUCAAGUUAGUACCCUGUGGUUUUUAAACCACAGGGUACUAAAGUGAUAAAGUGUGAAACCACAGGGUACUAAAGUGAUAAAGUGUGAAACCACAGGGUACUAACUUGAUACACUUUAAACCACAGGGUACUAAAGUGAAAAAGUGCAAAACCACAGAGUACUAACUUGAUACACUUUAAACCACAUGGUACUAAAGUGAGAAAAAGUGAAACCACAAGGGGGUAUUUGAAGUUUUUCCUAUAAAUAUUAAUCAGAUUAUAUGAGUCUAGCUACAAUACUAUUAAUAGUACCAAGCACUUAGUACUACUUAAUUUUUUGCCGUUAAAUCUACCUAUUUGACUAAUUUUCACCCGUUGGAUCAUACUAUUCAACCAACCACCAAUUCAACUCUACGGGACUAUUAUCAUCUUAACAACACAUCCCUUCAUUAGAGAGCUAAAAACUUAAUAACACCAAUGAGUUGGUGCUAUUAAUAGUAUUCAAGCAUAUAUAUCUAGAGUAGGGUUACUAUACUCUUAUGAGUAUAGAGCCCUUCGUACUCAUAAGUUGUUUUCGAUGAUGGAGUUUCUGAAUCGACGAUCCACUCCGUUAAAUAUGAUCUAGAAUAUUUGAAACUUUUAGAAAAUAAAUUUCAUAUUUUUUUGAAAUCAUAAUAAAGUUUAUCAAGCGGGUAUAAAAUAAAUGGUCAAAAUCGAACGACGUCCUAAAAAUGGAUGAUCGGAUUCUUCAAUUUAAGAUCAGAGUUAUUGAACUUUAUCUAGGUAGUGAAUAUAAUUUUCUAUCAAAAAUUCAAUCUAUUCCGAUUCUUUUACAUCGUUAAACUAGCAAGUAUCCCAUACCAGCUGUUAAAAAUUGUCAAUUUUGUUACCUUUUGAGGUAAAUGAUGUCGAAAAAUUAUAAAAUUUGAUUUCAAAAAGUUUUAAAUGCUUCUGAUAAUGUUUAACGAUAUGGAUCGUCGAUUCGGAAGCUAUAUUAUCGAAAACAACUUAUGAGUACGAGGGCGAUCGUACUCAUAAGAGUAUAGUAGCCGGACUCUAUAUAUAUAUAUAUAGAGAGAGAGAGAGAGAGAGAGAGAGAGAGUUAAGCUAGUAUGAGGUCUCCGUGCUCUCAAGCUAUUUUCAAAGAUACGGUUUCCAAAUUAACAAUCGGUCCAUUAGAUUUGAUAUACAUUAUUUAAUGUAUUUGAAAACUAAAUUUUAUAGUUUUUCGACAUUAUUUGGCUAAUGAUUAAAAAGUUUCAAAAUUGACAAUAUUAAUAGUGAAUGUGAUGCUUUUGUGAAUUUAACGGUGCAAAACAAUUCAAAUCAGACGAAGUUUUUAUAGAAUUUCUUUUUACUAUUUAGAAUAAGAUCAGUACCUCUGAUCUUAAAUUUAAGACUUUAAUUGUCAUUUUUCUAUGAGAUUUUUAUUUUAAGCCAUUCAUUUUUAGAUACUCGUUUGAUAGGAAAUUAAUGUCGAAAAAUUAUGAAAUUUAGUUCUCAAAUACUUUCAAUAGUAUAAAUCAAGUCUAACGGAGCUGAUCGUCGAUUUGGAAGCCGCAUCAUUGAAAAUAACUUGGUAACACAGAUGUCUCUCUUUCUCUCUUUCUCCCUAUAUAUAUAGAGUGAGGCUACUAUACUUCGGGAAGCACGGAGCCUUCCGUGCUUCCAGGUCGUUUUUGAUGUUGUGGCUUUCGAAUUGUUGAUCGGCUCCGUUAAACUUUAUCUAGAGUAUUUGAAGUACCUAGAAAAUAAAUUUUGCAAUUUUUCGAUAUCAUUUGCAAAGUGAACUAAGGGGCUCAAAAUCAACGGCUGAAAAUAAAAAUCUUACAAAACGUGAUAAUAUGACAAUAAAAUUUUAGAUCAAAAAUAUUGAUCUUGUUUUAUAUAGUAUAAAGAAUUUUCUAUCAAAAUUUUAUGUGAUUUGGAUAUUUCUACACCGUUAAACUUUCAAACGGCUCACCACUGCCAUUAAAAUUAUUGAUUUUGAGUCCCUUCGAUCACUAGGCAAAUGAUAUCGAAAAAUCAUAAAAUUUAUUUUCUAAGCACUUCAAAUACUCUAGAUCAAGUUUAACGGAGCCGAUCGACAAUUGAAAGUUGCAAAAAAUAAGACAUCGAAAAAGAACUGAAAUUACGAGGGCUCCGUGCUUUCAGAACAUUAGUAAGCAUACCAGAUCUCAGUGCUAAUUAUAUAUAUAUAAUGUCGUCUGGCUAUAAGCUAUCGGUAGCAUGACAGAGCUUUACGUUGCUACCAAUUUUUUCGAUGAUAGCGUGCUCCAAAAUUCGAGAUCGACUCUCGUUAAUUACUUUGAUUCUACAUUCUAUUGAAAGUGCUUUGGAAAGUAAAUUAUUCAGAAUUUUUUUUUUCGACAUCAUUUGGGCUAGUGAUCAAAAGCUUCAAACAUUGAUAAUUUAAUGGUAAAUGGAUGCUUGUAAUUAACGGUGUAAAACAAAUUCAAAUUAGAUGAAAUUUUAUAGAAAAUUCUUUUACUAAUUUAAGUAAGAUAGUGACUCUGAUCUUAAAUUUAGAUCUUCUAUUUACAUUUUUAAUGAGAUUUUUAUUUCAGCCAUCAUUUUUUAGACAAACUAGUUUUAAUAGGUAAAUGAUACCGAAAUAUUAAUAAUUUAGUUUCCAAAUAUUUCAAUAUGCAGUAAAUAUAACGGAGCCGAUCGUCGUUGGAACGGCGCAUCAAUGAAAACAAUUUGAUAGCACGAUGCGUCCGUGCUACCUUCGAUAGUAUAGCAGCUAGCGCGCGCGCUUCUUCUCUAUCCUUCUCUCUCUUCCUCCUCUUCUCAUCUCUCUCUCUUCUCUCUCUCUCUCUCGUCUCUCGUCUCUCUCAUUUCUCUCUCUCUCUCUCUAUAUAUAUUAUAAUAUAUAUAUAUAUAUAUAUAUAUAUAUAUAUAUAAAGAGAGAAAGCGAUGAGUUGAGCUGGAAUGCUAUUAGUAGCAAACGGGUUUUAUUGCCAUAUAUUUAUUUUCGAUGAUGCAGCAAUCGACACCGUUGAAUAUAAUCUAUACUAUUUGAAGUAUUUAAAAUCAAAUUUCAAAUCUUUUUGACAUCAUUGACCCAAUGAUCAAAGAUUUUUAAAAUGUAUAAUUUUAAUAAUCAAUAUGAGACAUUUUCUAGUUUAACAGAGUAAAGGUAUUCAAAUCAAUUGAAUUUUAGUUAGAAAAUUUUUUAAAUUAUUUAAAAUAAGAUAUAUACUUUUGAUCUUGAUUACAAGACUCCUAUCAUCAAUUUUUAAAAGAUAUAUUUAUUUCGAAUCAUUUAUUUUUGUGUCGACAUAAUGGAUAAGAGAAUAAUAUAAAAAAAUAUAAAAAUUAGCUUCUAAAUGUUACUGAUAACAAAGGGUGUAAGAUUUGAGGUGGUCUACGAUUUGGCACUCACAUCACAUUAUUAUAUUUCAAGCCAAUUACAAUUCUUCUUUUAAUAUCAAAAUAUCAUAGUUAUGAUAGGAUGGAUUAAUUUUAGAAAUAAAAUUUGAUUGGUUUAGGAAUAUGAAUGACAUGAUGCCGCUAUUACGUUCUAUUAUUUUUCCUGCAUUUAUACGUAUCUAGAUACAAAGUGUAUAAGUAAUAUUGUUUAUUAAAUACUUCCAAAGCAAGAACAGGCGAAGUGAGAAAGGCAUGAAGUAGUAGUAUUGUAGUAAGGCGAUCUUUUAUAAAUUUUUAUAAUAAUUUAUAUUCUUUGCUCUGCUUUCUCUUUCCUUCUCUUCAUCAGUUGAAUUAACACUCCAACCACACAAUCACCAUCCGAAUCUCUCAUAGUUUCCCUACCUGCCUUAUAAUAAUAAGUAGCUAGAUGAAAGUAAAAUCAUCCCAAUUACUACCUCACCUAACACUCUCAGUCAUGGUCUUCAAAGAGUCCACACAAACAUAUGACCCCCAACUGGGCCCCCUUUUUUUUUCUUUUUUUUUUGUUUAAAAAACCCUUUUUUGGGUGCCUAUAAAUAGAGAGCCUCAGUUUCCUACCAAACUCACCAGAAUAAUAAUAAUCAUCAUCAUCAUCAUCAGCUGCAACUCUUCUCUUUCCACUGAUCAUUCCAAACUAGCUAAUUUUCUUGUUUAACUCCUCUUCUUCCAAAAUUAAUAUUAAUAAAAUUAAGUUCUGAACAAAGAUGACCAUCGAAGACAUUACUGCGAAAACAGCGGCGGCGGCGCCGGCGGCACCCGGACACGGCCAGACGGUGUGCGUCACGGGCGCCGGCGGAUUCAUCGCUUCGUGGCUGGUGAAGCUCCUGCUGGACAGGGGCUACACUGUCAAGGGAACCGUACGGAAUCCCGGUACGUGUGUUCGUAUUUAUUGUGUUUAUAAUUUAAGGUCGAAUGUGUUUUUCAGAAGUUUUUAAAUGCAAGUUUUAUUUAUGCGGAAUUGAUAGAUGACGCGAAGAACGAUCAUCUGAGGGCGCUCAGAGGAGCCGCGGAGAGGCUCCUUCUCUGCAAGGCGGACCUGCUCGACUACGACGCGCUCCGCCGCGCCGUCGACGGGUGCCAGGGCGUGUUCCACACCGCCUCGCCGGUCACCGACGACCCAGUAAUUUUUUUUUUUUUUUUUUCUUUUGCUUUAAAAAAAAAUUGAUUUUGCGUAUCCAGACUGAAUGAACUUGCGCGCAGGAGCAAAUGGUGGAGCCGGCGGUGCAGGGGACGGAGAACGUGAUCAACGCCGCGGCGGACGCCGGCACGGUGCGCCGCGUCGUGUUCACCUCCUCGAUCGGAGCAGUCACCCUGAACCCGAACCGCCCGCCGGACGCCGUCGUCGACGAGUCCUGCUGGAGCGACCUUGACUACUGCAAGAAAACUAAGGUGCAUCAACUCUAACAAAUAAAAAUAUAAUAUAACAGGAAUUAUCAUCAACAAAAACAAAUAAUAAAAAAUUUAAUUGUUCCUAAAACAAGUGAUAAAGACUUCAUAAUUGAUAUCCGAGGUCUUAAAUUUGAAUUCUAAUUGAUUCAUAUUUUCAACUAAAUUUAUUUUAAAAAAGAUAAAAUAAAUGACGAAAGAAAUUUGCUAAAUAUAUGAAUAAUAAUAUGUCAAACGAUAGCAGUGCCAAAUAUAUAAUAGGUCAAAAAAUAAAAAUAUAUUUUGUAUAUUUAAUAAAUACGGUCGUGAGAAUUAAUAAAAUUUUAUUCGAAUUCAAUAUAUCUAUUCUGUCAGUAAUAAUUUCUGGCGACGAUUACAUGACGUGUAGAACUGGUACUGCUACGGAAAGGCGGUGGCGGAGCAGGCGGCAUGGGAGGUGGCGCGGGGGAGGGGGGUGGAGCUGGUGGUGGUGAACCCGGUGGUGGUGCUGGGGCCGCUGCUGCAGGCGACGGUGAACGCCAGCAUCACGCACGUGCUCAAGUACCUGGACGGAUCUGCGAAGAAGUACACGAACGCCGUGCAGGCGUACGUGCACGUCGGCGACGUCGCGGAGGCGCACGUGCGCGUCUACGAGUGGCCCGCCGCCUCCGGCCGCUACCUCUGCGCCGAACGCGUCCUCCACCGCGAGGACGUCGUCCGCAUCCUCGCCAAGCUCUUCCCCGAAUACCCCGUCCCCACCAAGUACGUACCAAACAAAACUUAUCAUUCCUUUUUAUUUUAUUUUUUUCAUUUUUUUUUUACCUUAUUUAACAUUAAAAUUUUUGUCGGAUUCAUCUUUUCUUUUCAAUAAUACAGUAUCAGUGAUGGUUCGCGAGUACUAUAAUUUUGUCAGUAUAUUAAAUAAUUAAUAUAAUAAAAAAUUGGUUUUUUAAAAAAAAUUUAAACUAUGAGAUAACAGUAUUUAUUUUUUUUACUGAACAAUUUAAAUUGACCAAACUUAAAAUAUUUUAUUCUAAUAUACUAUGCUGAAUAAAUUUACAUAAUUUUAAACGCAACACAUAUGGCUCUCAUUUGUUAAUUCCAUGUUUUUUUCUAUAACUAUAUUAGAAACUAUAGGAUGCGAGGAAUGGCCCUGACUAGUCUCAAGCUAAUGUCUUAAUUAAGCAAUUACAAAAGGACAAUACAAGAGGGUGAUAGCUUGGUUGUUACUUUAUUUUUAGCUCGAUAUUUAGUGGCUUAAAAAGAUGAGAUAUACGUACACGGUGCUCUCUUUUUAUUAUUAUUAUUAUUUUUUCUUUACCUCCCUAAUAAUAUAUAAUACUAUAUACAUAAAUAUAUAUAUAUAUAUAUAUAUAUUUAUAAUAUAUAUAAUAUAUAUAUACUAUAUAUGAGAUAAAAUUUAGGUAGAGUAAAGGUGACGGAGAAAGCGAAGUCAUGUCAUGUGGGGGGGGGUUGAAUUGGAAACAUCAUCAAUUCAUCAUACACAUAUCAUCUGUAGAUGUCCCGUAUUAAGCGCUACAGGAUUGGCACAAACCAAAGGUCACUCUACCCUCAAUACCAGGGUUGUGGCUAAUUAAUUAAUAUGUUAUAAAUUUAAGUUAAUUAAACUGAUUAUUUUUUUUUUGAAAAAUAGGUAAGUAGAGUGAAAAGCUUCAUAGUCUUGUUAUUAUUAAUAUAAUAAUAUCUAGUCACAUCUUAACUAUUCCAGAGAGUGUUUAAUUUAUUAACUUUGCAACUUAUCUUAGUAGUACCAAACCAUUCCACUAAAUAAAUUUCAAAGACCCUUCAAUGAAAAGUGUUAGAACUAUGGUAUUUACAACGUACUGCAUGUAGCUUCAAUCUUAGAAUCUGUUAAAACUAGUUAAAAUAAUAAGAUUCAUAUCAUAGAUACACUAUAUAUAUAUAGCAAUUAAUUAUUUGUUACUACGUGUCUAGCUUAUUUCUAGCUAGGUGCGUAGUAGUUACAUAAUAUAAAGAAAUUUUAACGUGCUUUUUAUCUUUUUCUAAAAAAUAUUUUUGAGUGAGAACGCCCGUAGACCAACUAACAUUCUUUUUGUGAUGAAAAAAAAUGUAAUAAAUAUUUGGUUGACUAAUACAAGUUCUCAUGUUAACUGUUAUUGCACAUGACACUCUACUUAACUUGGUUUUCAAUUACAACAUAUAUCCACCACUGUGUCGAGAGCAUUAAUACGUGGCCACAACUUAAAGAAACGAGUGUGAUCAUCUCGUUCAACUUAAAUAAAUACACAAGGUACGUGGAAAAUUCAUUAAUUAGCUUAAUUGGUAAUUAAUUAUUAUGUAGCUUUUGGUGGUAGGAGAGAUGUGACACCGGAGUACUAUAGAGAAAAGAUAUUUAUUCUUUGUUAGGUGCUGUUUUCAUACAAAGACAAGGUUCCCUUUCAAAGUUCACAGUUACAUAUUAUUGUUGAGAGUGUAGUGUUAUAAUUAAAAGGAUAAAUUAUAUAUGCUUGUUGUGGAAAACGAGACAUGCAAUGUCAUAGUCUACUUGUAUUUUCAGGUGAAGUAUUAAACAUAAAAUAUUAAAACAACAUUAUUAUUAUUAUUAUUAUUUUUGAGAGACAAGAGUAGCAUGCUAUCCACUUCAUUUAUUUUAUUUUAAAAAUAAACUUAGCUGAAAAUAUGAAUCAAUUAGGAUUCGAACUUGCGACCUCGGAUGCCAAUCAUUAAGCCCUUUACUAAUUGCAUGCGUUAGGAACGGUCAAUAUUAAAACAACAAAAUUAUUCAUGUUUUUCUACGACAAUUAGGUUUUAAAAAACUUAAACAAUUUGUAUUCAAGACUACUUUUAUUAAUGGGUAGAUAUUAAUUAGUACAAAGUUAGGAAAGAAAAGAGAGAGAGAGAGAGAGAGAGAAACCAUUUAACAUUUAACAUUUAAAGAAAAACCAUUUAACAUUUAACAUUUACUUCUCAAUUAGCUAAACCAUUUAAUAUUCAAUAAUUCUUCUGAUAGGUUAAUGUUUUAACUUAGGAAACUAUAGGGUAUACACUAGAGAAAAAACACUAUGUUACAAUAUUUCCCAAUAUAUAUACUUGGUUAACAAGAGGACAAUGAUGAAAAUAAAAGCAAACAAAAACUAAACAAACCAUUAACCAAUAAUUUUUCUAUUUAUAUAUAGAUAAUUUCUAGCUAGCACAUAUUCUUUUUUCCCUUUUAACAUCAACAUUUAGAUCAUAUAUAAUCAUUUAGUCAAAAAUAUGAGAAGCAUCUCUUCACAUAUAAGAAAGCUACAUAACCAUAUCUAUCUUUAAGAUGUUGACAAGUGAAGUAAAACACAAGGCAAAACCACAAAAGAGAAAAGUAACUUAGCUAAUUAAAAUCAUUUAAAUUAAGCCACAUACAUAUGAUCUCCAUGGUGAUUGUUAUUUUCUUAGUAGUCCAAUUUGAUUUCUCUCUUUCACACUCUCACGCGAACCUUUGCUUUUUUUGAUGGUGAAGUUUUAAUUUUUCACUUAUUUCACUGCUUACGUACGUAUUUUGUAUUGUUCUUUUUUUUUUCUUCUCUAGGAGAGAAUAUACUGUGCAUGCUUUCGCAUCAGCUUAGAUGUAUACUUGAAAGAUGUACGUAUGCUUGAAACAUGCAACACGUGUAUUGUUACACGCAUACAUAAUUUUGUCUCUAUUUAUAUGAAUUUGCUGAUAUAUACAGUACAUAUGAUUUUAUUAGUUUAUGCACAUAAUUUAAAAGUAUAUAUAUAUAUAUAUAUCAAGUGUCCACAAACAACACAUUAAUAAUUUAUAGAUAAUAAUGUAUAAAAUUAUAUCAGCUAUCAACUAUUUUGAUUUGACUAUCGACUUUUUAAAAAUUUUAAUUUUACUUUCUGAUAUUUUAAUUUUUUUUAUUUGAGCUGGUUAGUGAAUUUUUAAUUUCAAAAUUUGGAUAUGUAGUUUAUUUUUAAGGAUUUAAUUAGCAUAUUUUGUAUAAUUCAUAUAACUAUAAAGUUAUUAAAAUAAAUUAUUAUUUUAUUUUAGUUUUUACAUCUAAAAACUAUCAAAUCAAUUUAAUCAAAAAAAUUAGAAGGUUGAGUAUUAAAAUUAAUCAAACGAAUUGAAAUAUUGGGUCUUAAAAUUAAAAUUUUAAAAAGUUGGAUAUUUGAAUUAAAAUGGACAAAAGUUCAGAUAAGCUUAUAUAUUUUUACCUAAUUUAUAAAGGUUUGAAUUUUUUUUUAAACUACUAAUAUUGUUUAAAUAAUGAAUUUAUAUGAUAUUUCUGUAAUUACGUUUUUUUUUUAAAUUUUUGGUUAAUUGACAUGUAAAGUUCCAGUGAACGCGCCUGAUUUAUUUUGAACGGCUAUUAUCUUGCCACGUGUGUGGCUGAGCUCACACGUGUGGGUUCUGAUCUGGAACUAUGUAGUUGCACAAUUGUCAACAUCUAUACGGGCACCUGCUUAGACCCGAGAUUCCUAGAUGUUUUUUUUUUUAAUUUUUAAUUUUUAUUUAUUUAUUUAAAAUCAUAUAUUUAUUUAAAUUGUUGAUAUAAAAUACUAUUUAAGAAAUACAUUAGAUAAUUGCCGUGUUAUUGACGAGAGAACUUAUAUAUAUAUAAAAGACAAAUUAGGCUGGAAUACUAUUAAUAGCACCAAUAACUUGGUACUAUUAAGUUUUCUGUUCUUAAAUUAAAAGAUGUGCGGUUAAGAUGAUAUAGGUCCCCUAGGGUUGAGUGGGUGGUUAGUUGAAUAGUAUAAUCGAAUGAAUGAAAAUAAUAAAAGAGGUAAAUCUAACGGUAGAAAAUUUGAUAGUACCAAAUAUUUCGUGCUAUCGAUAGUAUCUCAGCCGGACUAUAAGUACUCAUUCGCUCAAUUUUCGUAGUAAUUGUGUGUGCAUUUUUAUAUGUGUUUGCAGAUGCUCAGACGAGGUGAAUCCUCGAAAGCAACCGUAUAAAUUCACGAACCAGCGUUUGAAGGAUCUGGGCGUCGAGUUCACGCCGGUGCCGCAGGCCCUUUAUGAGACAGUGAAGAGCCUCCAGGAGAAAGGUCACCUUCCGGUCAUUCCUUCGCAGAACUAAGUUCAAACUCUCGCUCGACUACGUGCCGUAUAAAAGCCGUCACCGCCGAGUAUAUAUAUCUCUACAUACACUGUAUUUAUUGUAUUUAUACUAUAUUAAGGAUAAUAAUGUUCGUGCUCGUAAAAUUUGUGUAUGUUUUACGUGGCAUAUGUUGUGCGUACUGUGCAUAUUAUUAUUACAUAGGACAAGUUAACCCUUUUCUGAUAAUACGUGAUGCCUUAUAUAUAUAUGUUCAGCAAAAUUUUAGAUGGUAAAUCACUUUUUUCUAUUUUUUCCUCUUGAAUCUUUGUUCUUGACCUCUUACUUGAUUUGAUUCCUUCGACUUAUUCUUUCACGACUUUAAAUUAUUAAAAAAAAACUUAUUUACUUUAUUUGAUGGGUGUAUAUAUAUAUAUAAAUUAGGACUAUUAUAUUCUUAUAAGUAUAUAUAGAUUCUUUUAUACUCAUAAGUUUUUGGUCGUUGGAUAAAAAAAUGUGCAAUUAGAAUGAUAGUGGUUAAUUUUCUAGAAUUGGUGCUGAAUAUUAUGAACUAACGGAUGGAAAUAGUUUAUCUAUUGCUAUCAAUAGUUACUAUAUUUUAGGAGCACAGUAACCUUUGUGCUCUUAAAUUUCUAACCAUCCAUCAAAUUUGAUGGACGGUUACGGAGAAAGAGAAGAGAAAUCGGAAAGAAAUUAGAUUUCUCAAUUUCUCUUUUCUUUGAAUAUCUUUCUAAUUUCUCUUAUCUCUCUCUAUAACCAUCCAUCAAAAUUGAUAGAUAAUUAAAAACUUAGGAGCACAAUGGUUGAUGUGCUCUUAAUAGCACAGCAGCCCUACGCUAUAUAUAUAUAUAUACGAGAGCUGCUGGGGCAUAGAGCACAGCAACCCUUGUGGCUCCUAAGUUUCUUACACGCCCACAAAUUUUGAUGGGUUUGUUAGGGUGAAAAGAAAAGAGAAUUGAAGAAAAUUGGAUUUCUCAAUUUCCGAUUUCUCUUCAAUUUCUCUUACUCCUUCUGCACCAAUCAGCCAUUCAAAUUGAUGCGGUUAAAACUUAGGAGCCACAAGGGUGCUAGCUCCUAAAUAUACAGUAGCUGCUUAUUUUAGGAGCAUCAGCAACCCUUUGCUCCUAAUCUUAAUGCUCCAUAAAAUUUGAUGACUGGUUAGAUGAAAGAAAGAAGAGAAAUUGAAAGAAUUCGAAAAUUCUUCUGAAUUUUCUUCAAUUCUCAAUUCUCUCUUUCCGCCCUAACCACUCCAUCAAAAUUACUGGGCGGCUAAGAACUAGGAGCACAAGGUUUCUGUCUCCUAAUAACACGUAGCCAUAAACUAUAUAUAUAUUAUAUAUAUAUAAUAUAUAGUAUGACGAGAGAGAGAGAAGAGAGUAGGCUACUCUAAUAUAGUAAUAUAUAUAAUAAAUUGUUAUCAAAGAGAUUCGUGAUAAUUUUAACUUUUAAGAGUAUUGAUGAUAUUUUAAAUAAAUAGAUAUUUAUUAAAUUACGACGAUCCAAAAAAUUUUUGAUGGAAUUUAUUAUGUAAUUCUUAUAAUUAGUAAAUAUGAAAUAUUGUGUGAGUUGUCCCACAUAUCCAUAAGAAAAAGGCAAAUUCGAUAUACCAGAUAUCCUCUAGAAAUCUAUAUAACUCUGAAUAUGAGAGUUCCUACGCACGCUCCCCGCGUUUUGGCGGGACCUCACGCGAAGAGAGAGAGAGAUAACAGAGGAAGAAGAGAAAGCAGCAGAGAAGAGAGGAGCAGAGGAGAAGUAAAGCAGACAGAAAGGAGAAAAAGAAGAGUAACAAGUAGAGAAGAGAGAGAGAGAGAGAGAGAGUAGACCAAGAGAGUAGAGAGGGACCGCUGCCCUCAUCUGCGGCGCGCGGGGGUGCUGGCCCGAACAACCCCACCCCCUUCACUCUCUCUCCCUCUCUCCCUAGCCCCCGCCCCACCCCCCCCCUCUCUCACCUCUCUUCCCUCUCUCCCUAGGCCCCCCCCCCCCCCCACGCUCGCGCGAACCCGCUCCGGCGGGGUGCGAUGCUCGCCAGGGGGUCUCGCCCGGGCUCGCGGUUCGGGUCCCCCUCCUCCUCUCUUUACCUUACUCCUCCCCCCGCCCGCUCUCUCACCACCCUACCUCCUUUCCUCCUCAGGCUCCUCCCCUCUCUCUCGCACCCCCCCCCCAGCGGCGAUCAGUCGACCGAGCCGCGGGCGCGGCGCUGGGCGCGGCGGGCGCGUGAGGGGGGCACGGGUGCGCGGGAGCAGCGGGCGCGCGCGCCAUGGCGCAGACGCGGCGCGGCGGCAGCGGGAGGGGUCCCGCGGCAGCUGUGGGCGCGGCAGCGGGCGGCGCGCUGCGGGACCCACGAGGAGGGGGGUGGGGAGAGGGAGAGAGAGAAGAGAGAAGAGAGAGAGAGAGAGAGAGAGAGAGAGAGAGAGAGAAAGAGAGAUAUAAAUUGUAAAAUUUAAAAUUUAAAUUUUAAAUCUAAUUUAUAUAUAUCUAAUUUUAUUUAUAAAUCUAUAUUAUUUACUAUAUAUAAUUUUUAUAUUUAAUUUUUUAAUGUUAAAUUUUAAUUAGAUUUAAAAAUUAAAAAUAUUAAAAAUAUUAUUUAAAAUAUGUAAAAAACGUAAAUUUCCCGCCGCGAAGCGCGGCCUACACUAGUUAUUAUUAAUAAGUCAACUAACACGCGCACUGAAAUUAGGCCACCUGUAAUGAGUGUUGAUAAACUCAUGGAACAAUAGAUCAUCAAUAUAUAUAAUAUAUAUAUAUAAUAUAUAUUAUAUAUAAUAUAUAGCAGGGCUGCUGUGCUCUCAGGACACGAAGGCCUCCGGCUCCUGAGCGUUUUUCUGAUGAGGAUUUCGAAUCGACGAUCGGCUCGUUAAACUUGAUCUACCGUAUUUAUAAGUUUCUAGAAAAAAUUUUAUGAUUUUUCGAUAUCAUCUUACCUAGCAAUCGAAAGGAUUCAAAAUCAAUAAUUUUAACGGCUGAAAUAAAAAUUCUAUAAAAGUAGUGAUAUAGCACUAAAAUUUUAUCAAAAUAUAGAUCUUGUUGUAGAGAUAUAUAAGAAUUUCUAUCAAAAUUCAUACUGAUUUAAAUCUUCUACACCGUUUAAACUUGAAAACGCAAAUAUCAACCAUUAAAAAUUAUGGAUUUGAUAUCUUUCGAUCACUAAGUAAAUGAUAUCGAAAAAUCACAAAAAUUAUUUCUAGAACUUCAAAUCGCUACGAUCAUUCUAACGGAGACCGAUCGUCGAUUCGAAAAUUCCAUCAUCGAAACGGCUCAGGAGCACGGAGGCCUCCGUGCCCUGAGAGCACAGCAGCCCUGCUCUAUAUAUAUAUAUAUAUAUAUAUAUAUAUUAUUUUUAUUAAACCAAAGUCGAUUGGUGGGAUUCAUCAAAAAAGACAAAAGCAUUCCAAGUCUUUUUGGCGUGUGUUUCACAAAAAGAAUGAGCACUAUCAUUUUGAGAGAGACCCCAACCAAGAGUCGUAGAGGGUUAGAAAUUAAACCUUCUGGGUCUAGCUCUUUUGGUUGUUUGUGGUUGGUGGCUACUGCCAUUGGGAUUGGAGUGCCUUGGGCUUAGUUUGGUAUUGAGGUCUAUCUAACGCUAUUAGGUAAAAUAGAGUUGAGAAAAAAAUAUAUAGGGAUACGCUUCUGCGUUCUCCGGUGGGACCGCAGAAAAUAUAUCGUAACCGAUUCAUCGCGAUAUGCGGAACGCAAUAUUACGUACGGAAACAAAUAGGAUAUUUUUCCAACGUACUUUCUCACCGCAUGUAACGCAAUCCUCCCGCAAUCCCAAACUAAGCCUUAGUCCAACACUCUAAAAGUGAUUUUAGAACAGUAAUAAUUUAUAUUAAAAUAUUAGUUUACUACAGAAAGAAAAAAUUAGUAGUUUUAAUUUUGUUUUUCUACUUUAAGGUUUCUCUCGAACUUGAUUCAUAAUGAUUUAAAAAACCAACUAAAGAAUUUCUUUUAUACUUUUACUUUUACUUUUAGAAGCAGCAAUAAUUUAUAUUAAAACAUUAAUGUACUAGAGAAAAAAAAAAUUAUAGUUUUAGUUUUAUUUUUGUACUAUAAAAUUACAGUUAGAACUCGAUUUAUGGUGAUUUAGAAAACCAACCAUACAGCGCCUAACCAACUAAAGAAUUUUUUUCACACUUUUUCUUUUGCUUUUAGCAGUACACUACAACAAAAACGGUCUAUAGCGACACUUUUAAAUAUAGAUACAUGUCAAAAAAGUGCUGCUAGCUAAAAUUACCGACACUUUUAAAAAGUGUUGCUAUAUGUGGGGUCGCUAGGUAUAUAGUGACAGUUAAAGAGUAUCGCUACUACCUAAAAGAGUGCUGCUAAUUUACCAAAACUUAUUUAAGCAUUUAGCAACCGUCGAAAUUCUAUCUCGUUGGCUGCGGUGGCGAAGGAGGACGACAGGAAAGGCUUUUCGUCUAGAAUUUCAGUGGAUUGAGUGAAGAAAGAAGAAAAGAUGGUAAUUGAUUUUUUUUUUUUNGGGUGUGGUGGGUUGAGUAGAGUAAUCUUUUAUUUUUGGUUGGAUUGGGCUUUAUAUUUAAGCAUUAGUAGAGUUUUUUUAAAAUUUUAGUAUAAAUUGGGCACUUACUCAAAAGUAUCCCAAACAUAUGUCCCUAUAACCUAAUUCUGUUGUAGUGGCAGCAAUAAUUUAUAUUAAAACAUUAAUGUACUAGAGAAAAAAAAUUAUAGUUUUAGUUUUAUUUUUUACUAUAAAGUUAUGGUUAGAACUCGAUUCGUGAUAAUUUAGAAAACCAACUAUACAGCGCCUAACCAACUAAAGAAUUUCUUUCAUACUUUUGGUUUUACUUUUAGCAGCAGCAAUAAUUUAUAUUAAAACAUUAAUGUACUAGAGAAAAAAAAAUUGUAGUUUUAGUUUUUUUUUGUACUAUAAAGUUAAGGUUAGAAGUCAAUUCAUGAUGAUUUAGAAAACCAACCAUACGCCUAACCAACUAAAGAAUUUCUUUCAUAUUUUUUGCUUUUAGCGGCAGCAAUAAUUUAUAUUGAAACAUUAAUUUAUCACAAAAUGAAAAAAAAUAGUAGUUUUAGUUUUAUUUUUCUACUUUUAAGGUUCAAGUGAGGACUCAGUUCAUGAUGAUUUAGAAAAUCAACGAGACGCCUAACCACAUAAGCUAAAUUUCAUUUAUGUAGUUUUUGUUUUGUUGUGAAGUAGAAUUGAGAAAAGUUCACUAAUUCAGUACAUUUUGUUUUGUUGCAUUGAAAAGCUGUUUAAAAUAUUUUAUUAUGAGAUUUCUUUUUCCUUUUCUUUUUUUUGACACUUCUCUACUAUAUAUAAGAGCUGUUAAAGUAUUUAAGUAUGAUAUAUAUAUAAUAUUUUAACUCUGUUUGAAGAGUACUCUAUUAUCAAAUAAUUUUAUACUUUGCACUUAGUUUUUUUAAAAAAGAAAUAUUAUACCUUGCAUUAGAGUUACACAGAUCCAAGACUAUUUGGAGGUAGUAGACAAAGGCAAGUAUGUUCUGCUGAGAAAAAAGAAGCUUCUUUUGGGGGGAAAAAAAAUAUAAAAGGACAAGAAAUAAAUCAAUGUAAUAAGUCAAAAAUCUAGUUAGGUAAAAGCAAAAGAAAAAGUAAAGGCAUAGCAAUAUACUUUUCUUGAGGCUAUUUUACAUUUUCACAUUUGACUUCAUGAUUCUUAAAUUUUAAUUUGUUAUAAAUUUUUUGCUUAAAUUUUUUGUACUACUGCAGUUAGAUCCUUUGGUACCGUUUUGUGGGUCGAAUGAUAAUGUAUCGUUGAUGUACUAGUAGUGUGACAUUUUAAUUACUUUUAUAUCAUCAAUCACAAUACUGUUAUAUUAUUAUCAUAUUAGUGACACAUUAUCAUUUAUCAACUAAUUUGUAUUGUAGGACUUAGUUGUAAUAAAAAAGUAUAAUAAAUUAAAGUUUAAAACCCAAAAUGCCACAUUCCUCUCAUAGUUUGAGGACCAACAUUGCAAUUUUGCCUUUCCUUGAAGAUUUAGCACCUGGCAACAUCCACACCUACUCAUACAUCAUAAACAAAUUAAAGAACUUACUUAGAAGUGUUAAAAGUCUCCUCCUACAACUUAGCUUUUCUCUGAGAUUAGAAAAGAGUGAGAUGCAUUAGUUGUUAAGAUCUACACCUGGCAAUUUACACAUCAUAAACAAAAGAACUUAAUUACGUAGUGAGUGUUCAAAGUCUCCUCCUACAACUUGCUUGUCUACGAGAUUGGAAAAGAGUGAGACACCUUACUUUAAAAGCCCGUUUAGUUCAUGAUUUGUAAUAUUCCAGUAAUUCUUUAUAUUUCUUAUUAAAAAUAUUCAAAUCAUUACCAUUCAACUCAAGUUAGAUAACUAUGAAAGGUGUCGGUGAAGUAGCGAAAUCAUUAUAAAUUCUCAAUUAGUAGUAAUAUCAGAUAACCAUAGGUUAGAAGAUAUUCGAUCUUAUUCUUAUAUUUAAUGAGAAUCAUGAUCAUUAAUAGUCCAUUAACAAUAGUCGAGCUAAGUGGCAAAAGGCUUUGUGGUUGGUAUCCGAGAUCUCAAGUUCAAAUAUUAGUUGAUUCACAUUUCCAGCUAAGUUUAUUUCUAAAAAAAAUAAAUGAAGCGGAUAGCAUACUACCUUCUCUCUCAAAAAUAAAUUAAAAAUAAUCCAAUAAUAAUGAAUAUACAAGUUCCAAACAAUCUAUCAACCUAAAUGGCAUAAUAAGUUACUAAUAUAUUUGUCAUCAUUCCAAUUAUAAAAUAUACAAUAAAUCAGAAUUAGUCUUAGAUUAGUAUAAGAUUUAUAAAUGCAAGGGGAUUUACCUGAACAAGCCUAAUUUCUUUAUAUUUGAGAUUAAAUUAUACGUAAAUGAUGACCCAUGAACAUGAUCUGAUCUCAACAAUAUACAGGAUUAAAAAAGAUUUGCCAAAAGAUUUGCUAAAUCUUUUGUAGAUAGGCAAAUAAAAUAUAAUAAUGUUUCAAAUAUUUACUUUUAUGGAAUUGGAUGCUAUAACUCUCAAUUAUUUCGGAUAUAAUAAAUUAGCAUUUGACUCAUUUCUUUGACGUUAAGACCAAAUUAACUCAUAAUAAAUUUCGUUUAAAGCAGAAAAAGUCCCUCACUAUGGAGUAAAUGAUAGAAUUAAACCUACAAUCUUACAUAAUAGCGAAAGAUAAAUCCAGUAGAAAAUGGUUCAAACAUAAUCUUAACAAGUAGACUAAAAGAGCAACUAAAUUACUAAAGCGUAAUCUGUUAAAUUAUAUGAAAUAGCCAUUUUUUUCCAUAAGUUUAAGCUUUCAGAGAGAAUGGUGUUUUAAAUAUUUAUAUUUAACACUCUCUCUCCCUCUCUGGGUUCGAGAGUUCACAAGUCCAAGACAUAAAUUUGAAUUGAUUGGAAGGAAAUUAAAUACUACUAGAACCUGACGGGACUCAAACACAGAGCUUUCUGCCCAGAUAUCAAAUUAAAUUAUGCGAAAUAACCAUUAUCCGACAAAAUCUUAAACUUUUUAGAGAACAGUAUUUUAAAUACUUAUAUUCAACAUAUAUAUAUAUAUUCUUGGAUAAGAUUGAGCUGAUUCAACCUACAGGCAUGUGCUUCCUUCUUAGAAUACUCAACUAUAAUUGAUAUUGAAUUGAUUUAUCAUUUUGGGUAUUAAUUCAUCUUUAAUUCUUCUAUAUGCCUUUUUCCGUAAAACCUUCAUAAAAACGUUAGCUAUGUUGAGCACACAAAUUAACAAAUGUUACAUUGCUAAGUUCUCAAUCAAGAUAAAAACAAAAACAAAAACAAAAAGGUAGGAUCGUAUUCACAAGUAACACACAUAGUGUGGCUCGUCAAGUUUUUGUCAAUUAUGUGGUGGUAAUUCUCUAUCAUCUGAAGCUGCUUCUGCGACUGAAAUUUAGCCUCAUCAACUUUUCUUUCAAUCGAAACUUGGCCACACAAAUUUGCAUUUUGUAUGAGUAGUUAUACACAAGGUUAGUAUUCACUUACCAUCUCUAUCACUAAAAUAUAUCAGUUUCAGCUGCAUUUUCAACAUAAGAUGCUAUAAACACCGAGAAAGCGAAAGAAGCAAUUCGUCGUAAAGCAUUUGGUGAGAAACGCUUAAGCUAGUGGAGACAAGUCUCGCCCUGAAGCGAGUGAGGCCGAAAGACAAUAUUCUAGAACUUCUAGCGAUGAUGAAAAGCUGGAAUGAGCUUUAGGACCACAAAUACUUCUGCUGUUAGCAGCAGUGACGAUAAACUGCAGGAAUUUUAGUAAAUCAGUCGUUAGAACUACUUCAAACAGCUCUGCUCCCGUAUUGCUUCUGCAGAAGCUACAUCCAAGCAAAUCAAGUCCUUAAAAUGUGAACAUAAGCUGCGCGUCUGAUGAGUUAUAAAUGUUAGGACUAACACUUUAGAUAACCUCAAAUGUUUGACUACAAAACCACCGCAAUUCACGGCUGAUUAGGACAAAAAUACGACGAUAGAAGACCCUUUUACUUUUGACUAUCCCAAUAUUUGAUAAAAUAGUGACAACAAGUUCUUUGAGACUGGAGAGUUCAAAUGUGAAAACUAAUGAACAAGUAAAAAUAUGGUGAAAAUACAAAGCAGAUGAGCACAGGGAACACAGAAAGAAAGAGGUAGAAAUAGUCUCUUCCCAUAUAUACUGCAACAAAGACUUCGAUGUCUCAAAAAACAAAACAAGAAAUUAAACUAAAUAUCCUAUGAAUUCCCAUCAAAACGUCGAACAAAAAAAUGUUUCUGAAAUCAUUUAAUCCAAAAACAAAGUUUUGUUUUCAUGAAUGAUCCUAUAUAGAUAUUAUAAGCAACAAAAAUCAUGAAAAAAAUAACCUUCUGUUGCAACUAUGCCCUGAAUGUAUUUAUUUGAUAUAGCAAAUAAUAUCGAAACUGGUCUUGUAGUAAGGAACAACAAAAGGGAUUUAAAGAAAACCUCCACUAACAAAGUGUCAGCCUCAGAUAACAGUGACAAUAAGUAUAAAUUACAGCAAACUACAUUGCUUUCAUGGCACAGGCAACAUGAUUCGUCAUAACACAAAAUGCAGUGCGGUGGAACAUUUAUACUCAAAAAACAAACCAAAAUUUCGAUGCAAUCUUAAAUUUUUGCAGGAGUUUGGCUAAUACAAGUUGAAAGUAUAAAUAUUCAAUGAUGGAGAACAUUUCACGAAUUAAUACCAAUAAUGCACUGCUAUCCAUGAAGUGCUUUGUCUUUUAGGAAUCCAUUUCUAUUGUAAAUUCAUUGAGAUGUUAACAAAUAGCUUAUCAUUAAAGUUGUCCAUAGGUAAAACUCCUAAUUUACCUAAGUUUACUACACCCAAAGAAUACCUUUGCAUCACUCUGAGCCUGAUUCAAGCCUAACUACAUUUCGACCCCAGGCAGAUUUUUUUUUUUUUUUUCAGGAUGUUGUUGUUGUUCAGCCUUGCCCGAGCCAGUACAGCUUAAACACAAUUUGGUUUCAAAUUAAAAUACAGCUAUGUUGUCAGAAGUCGUUGGGCUGAGUGUUGGAAAAUUUCUGCAGGGCAUUGAAUGACUCAACGACCCUUUUACCUCCAACCAUCUCUUCAUUAAAACUACUUUGGGUAUAUAACGAAAUAAGACUGCAAUAGAAGUUCAAACGAUGUAAUUUUCCUUACCAAUAAAGUGGCAUCUGAUUUCGUAAUUUAGAAAACUAAGGAGAUAAAAGUUAGCCACAACCACAACCACCGCCCCCACCCCAACCCACCAGCCCACACACACAAGCACAAAAAACAAGAAAAGCUUUCUUUCAUUACCAUAACUUAUCGUAAAGAAACCGACCGUCCCUUGUGCAAGUGACAAAGGGUUUGGUAGUUGGUACCCGAGGUCUCAAAUUAGAAGCCUAGUUGCUUCAUAUUUCCACCUAAGUUUAUUUCUCAAAAAUAUGGACGAAGCGGGUAGCAUGCUAUCUUUCUCUCAAAAAAAGAGUUAUAGUAAAGAAGUGCAUUUUAUAGGUGUUAAAUUCUCCUCCCUCUGGUCCUACCAACUACAAGCCAUUUUUUAUUACAAUUGAUGUUAAACAUAUCUGCUCUAAGACUUUAAGAUAACUGCAGAGUUGCAUUUUGACAGAAGGGCUUUUGGUGUGGUGGAGUUGGACCACUACAAAAGGGCUUCAUUAGUUAGUAGAGGGUUAUUGGGGUUGGUGGAGGCAAAUCAUGGCCAUCCAUCCAAAAGGAAGGGCGCUUGAAAGAGCACUAGAGUUCUAGAAAGGAAAAGAGAACUUCAUAAUUGAUCUGGAAGAAAACAACCACUCCAUCCCUUGGGAGUGGUAGUUCCUAUCAACAUCCUUUAUAGAAAUUCUUCAGGUGGAAGAAAUACACAACUGUCAACAAGAAUCCUACAAUUCUACGCAUUAAUAUUAACGAUGUAAUGAAGCUACAACAAUAAUCACUCUCCCAAAGUAAGUAUUAUACAGAAAGCAUGUUUCCAAAUGAUGCCAACAACUCUGCCUUUUUUAGUUUGUAAGAGUGCAGAAAAGCGAUAAAUACUAUGAAGACAAGUGUCUUUUCACGGUUUCACCUACAGUCUACCAACGCCUUAAGAAAACCUGGUUUGGAUAGUGAUGUGAAGAGAUGAGAUGAGACCUUCUUUUCACCCAAACAAACAAGCCCUUGGUCCAAGCAACACAAGCUGAUCAAAUGCUGAUACCAACCUGACCAGUCUGUUGUCAAGUUGAUCAAUAGUUGGAUAUACCUAGCAACAGGGAAUCUCCACUUGAGACCUCCCAUAUGGUUGGGUAGUGGUUGAGGAGGAAAGACAAACAAGAGCAAAAGAAUAUUUGAUCCAAGCAAAAUAUUCGAUCCGCCUCAAAUUACUAAAGAAAUAUUAAAAAUUAAAGUGUCUAGACUCUAGAUAUUACAUUAGCGCAUGCGAAGGAGAACCAAUUCUUAGCAUGCUGAUUCAUCUAGACGCUCCUUAGCACUAAGACAUGAAAAUCAACUCAUUCUUGCUGUCGGGGAGUCCACAUCUAUUCUUUCCCAACAUCUCAUGCUUAAAGUACCAGAAUCUAAUAUUCAUCACCCAAAUUGAAGGAACACUUUGGUUUUCUACAUCUCUUUUUCCAUGGUAGGUGAUUAAUAUCUCAAACUUUGACACCUUGGAGGAGUAGGUCGGAUACCACAAAAGUAAAAGAAUAGAAAAUUUGCACCACAAUGAGUUGUGCCUUCAAGAUACCCUUGAUUUCCAAAGUUCUCUCACAUGUGACUUUGUUUUGUUUGAAAGGGAGUUCUCAAAAACGAUAUUCAAAGUAGAUUAGAAAAUUUUGCACCACAAUGAGUUGUGCCUUCAAGAUACCCUUGAUUUCCAAAGUUCUCCCAUAUGUGACUUUGUUUUAUUUGAAAGGGAGUUCUCAAAAAAGAUAUCCAAAGGAGAUUAGAAAACUGUCAUGAUAUAUACAAACUAUGCAACUGCUAUAAGGAAACUUGAAGCUUAUUCCUAAUGAGACAACAGCAGUAGUUAUGGUGGCAAAUACUCUUAACACAAAUGACCAUGGUCAAUGUCCAUUGAUUGCAACAAGAACAAGCUGGCAUGACUACAACUUUAUGUUGCAAGCAUGUUUUAAAUAGACUGAAGUCAUACCUACUUUUUCUUCUAAUCUGCUCAAUCUUUCUUAACAAUAAUUAAUCAAAAUAGAUCAUUUUGAUUAUGAGUAGUUUUAUGUAGUAUUGUACUACAUGUAGUAAAAGAUUUGUUGAAUCAUACAUCAUGGAAUUAAAAGUCUAAAAUCCAAGCAUAUAAAUCAAACAUGGAUAAAAUAUUUAAUGAAUAUGCAGGAGCUAAUGAAUUAUUUUAAGCAAUACAAGGAAAUAUUUUACAAGCUGAUUCUGUAUUUUAAAUGAAUAGAUAAAUUUUCUUUAAAGAUAGAAAUAUAGCGAAUGAUCUACCACUAAAAUAUAAUAAGAUGAUGGUUCUUGCCUAGCUUCAUUUUUGGCUAGCAAUUUGAUGAAAUUGUGCUACAUGUCCUGAAAGCAAAUUGGAGAAACGGUUGAGUGUACUGCAAAAGAGGAGAUUGUUAGACAUCAAAUGACAGGGUGCACCGCAAAUGCAUCCCAUCAUUACACAUCAAGUGAAAUGGGGCAUUGCAAAUGCAUCACACCGGAAUUCAAGUGAAAGAUGACUUGCAAAUACAUCAGUCCCGCAGUAUUCAAGUGAAAGAGUGCAUCACAAAUGCAUCUCAUUGUUGGAUAUCAAAUAAAAAGGGUGCAUUAUGAAUGCAUCCUCCUAGAAAUCAAGUGAGAGGGUAUUUCAUAAAGGGUGAUUAAACUUUUAAAUUAAAUAUGCUUUUACAAUAACUACAGGGUUAUUAAGUUUGAAGUGGCUUCUUUGUUUUGCUCAGACUCCCUUGUUUUAAUAGAUCACAUUGUAUUAGACUGUUCCACUUGACCAAAUAUUUUGCAGCAUUUGCAACAUUUAGAAAAUUAGAUAUUAUGCGAUUAGAUAAUUUUAACAUAUUUUGUAUCUUGCAAAAUGUAUCCGGGUGUGGAUACAUAUUUGGUUUAAGUCCAAUAAAGAAUUCUCGACCCAUAUCCAUCAAAACUGAGAUUUGGAAACUGGAUCAGAAGGAUAAUAUCAAAUCCAUUUUGACCCACUAUCACAUGCACAGAAUGAUGGCAUUCUGUAAAUCAAUAUACCAAGAAGAGGACCUAGCUAGACCUACAAUCCUUGCAUUUACAGACAAAAUUCCAGAUUAAGACAUAAGCAUGUGAAUUUAUAGGCAGUAUACUUUUGUGAUAUAUGGACACCACAUAGUUCAGAAAAAGCUUACAAACAUUAUAGGACUCUAUUCCGCAAAAACAGCUUUGUUACCACAGACCUCUUGUGGUGGUUUUUUAAUGAAGUCCACAAACUUAAGGUUAAAAAAGAAUUCUUUUAACAAAUAACAGCAAGAGAACAAGAAACCUAAUAGUAGCCUGGCGAUGCCUCAAGGAGGCUAUGAGCUCCACUUAUACUGCAGAUUAAGCAGUUGAGUUCUAUUUGAUACUUCUUCAUGUAAUAGAACUUUAUUAAGUAGUGAAUGUGGAACUUACUUGGAAACCCUACUAUCAUAACACCUUGCUAAAUCACUUUCUGAGUAGGAUGCGGCUUCAAAAUGAUGAAAACUCCUAUGUAUGAGCACACAAGUUUAUGCCUUUUGCAGUUAAACUAUAGCUUAGCAAGCUCGUAGGCCAUGUUUGAAUGCAUGAACAUCUUGUUUAAUAUAUUUCUUUGAUUUACUCAAGAAGUUUGGUAGCAUUUGGUUGAUUCUUUGAUUUACUCAAGAAGUUUAGUAGUAUUUGGUUGAUGAGUGUGAUCAAAUAUCUAGAAAGAUCACAAAAAUCUAGAAAGGCAUACUGUAUUCUCUUUGAUUACCCAACAAGCUUGUAGCAUUUGGUUGAUGAGGAGUGUGAUCAAAUGUCUCAAAAGGCAUACUAUAUUUCACCUUUAGGUCAUUUUCUCGGAAUAAGAUAGAUCACCUCAUAGGUGAAAUAUACUAUCUUACGAAAUCAUGGAUGAUAGGACCUUCCAAGGAGCUGAAAUCAAGCUCCUAAUUUGCAAGCAUACGAUAAAAUCUUCAUAGAUUAUAAAGCUUUCACUGGACAGCUUGCUGCAACAUCCAAACAGGGCUUUAAUGUUCCAUGCUAGGAAUAUAGUAGUUGCAACCAGAUAUCCAGACUACAAAUUUAAUAUAGACAAUCCACUUCAUUUAUUUUGUUGUACAUGGCAAAUAAGCUAACGAAAAUUUAGAGCGUCUCAACCAUGCAUCAGAGCCAUAGCAAAUAAGCUAACAAAAAUUUAGGGCCUCUUAGCCAUAGAUCAGAGCCAUUAUAAGAAGGAAGGCAUAUAAAGCUCCAGUCUUGCAACUUCCAACUUAAAAAUCCACAUAGGUCCUCAAGACUUAGACUACCCAAAACUCUUGCAAGCAAGAACCUGAAAAUUUGAAGCACAGAUCUUAGAAAGAGGUUAUAAUCAUACUGUUACAUCCAUCCAUGACUUCAUAAAUUCAAUGCAUAAGCUGAAAGAAACCCCUCAAAUCAAAUGAUUUCUUUUAAAUAGGUGUAAAUAUGAUGGACCUUUUACAUAGUAGUUGACUGGUGUAUAUUUUUGAUUUGAUGGUUUAGAGCAUUGGCUCAUCCGCCAGCCUGUGGCUGGCAAAGACCAUCACGCACAUUACCAACAACAGAACUUCACAUUACAAAGAGUUCCUGUGGCACAUGCCGAGUUCCUUUCUUUACCUUCAGUUUAUGACAUUGGUAUGCUUCCAACUGCUAUAAAAUUAUCAUUUACAUAUCUCAGCAACAAAUAGUUUUAAUGUGUAGAAGGAAAAAAAAGUUAAGUACCUAAUAUUAUGCCGGUGGCACAUAGGACACGUAUGAUGUUCUAGGAAGGAAUAUGCAGUUUUGGCCAACAAAAAUUUGGUCGUUCUACUUUCGAGUUUCAACCAAAGAGAUUUUCUGUUGUCACUCAUGGAUUAUAUUUGGCAUUCUGUGCUGUUUCUGAUCAAUAAUUAGCCGACCUGAGCAUAUUCCACUUACUGUUUAACUGAAUAAAAGGUUUUUUCUUGGAGAACUAAAGAAGAAAGUUCUGACGCACACACACGCAAUUACUUAUCACAUGUAUAAAGAUAGAGUUCCAGAUGUAUUUUGUUUUUUUUUUAAGGACAACAGAAAUAUAUCUAACCAGUUCUGGCCAAAAUAAGAGCUUGAAUUGGUUGAGAGCACUGAUCUUGUGAAUAGAUAGAAAAUAAGGGUUACUGUUAGUUAUCUAAUCUAUAAUCUGCAAUCUAUUUAUCAGCCUCUUAGAUAUGGCUUGACACUGCAGGCUGUCAGAUGUCAUCAAAACUCAGGAAGAAUAUGGAAAAGUUAUUUAAUUAUACCCUUACACUUAAAAUAUGAGGACUAUUAUGUUCCCUGGAAGAAAUUAUACGUCCAUCAGGUAACUGCAUUAUAAACUGUUAUAAUGAUGACUAUUUAGAUCCAAAUGCACAUUUGUAUACAUGGAUCAUCUCUUAAGUAAACCAUAACCUUUCCAUUUUUAAGUCGGUGUCAACAUUUGCAAAUGUAUAAUGCCCUUAUCUGAGCAAACCUCACGAAUAUAUUGAUAUUAGAUUAAAUUACAUCAAAUUAUAUUGAGAUUGCAGAUAGGUCUUACCUCAUGUAGUAGAGAACCAAGAACAUAGUAGUUGCAGAUUUGAAUAAAUCGUUCUCUCAUUUGCAUUUAUUUAUGUUCAUGAUUAAUCUCUAGUGUAACAAUACAUGAAAUAACAUAGAAAGGAAUCUGUCCCCAACAAUCCAUUGAGGAUUAAGCAAGCGAGUUUCAUAACUAACAACAAACGUAUACAUUUGAUUGUUGAACAGAGCACUAGGGCAAAGGAGCAAAAUGAGCAUUUGUAGCACUAGCACUAGAACCAAAUAGAUCACAUCAAAAUUCCACAAACUUAGAUGGAAACAAAAAAAGAAGAAAAACAUACAAAGUGGAGAUUAGGGCUUGAAAGUGUAUGGCUGGGGGAGUGAGAUGGGCCCUCUCCGGGACUCAUCGUUGUCGAGAAGCCGCUGGACCCUCUUCUUGGCGCAGUAUUGCCGAUCAAAAUGCUUAACCUAUCCCAAACAACAGAUCAAACCUCCCAUAUAGAUUAGAAAAAGGGAAUUGAUAUUGCGAAAGCGAUUUUACUAUUGCCAAAGCAAAAAAACCUCAAAUCAUAACUAGAUACAAUGUAUCAUCUGCCCUGGCAAUAUUACAACUUAUUCUGGCAAUAUCAAUUCCGUAAAAGAAGGGCUAAACUCCAACAAUCCUUCUUGCACUUUAGUUCGUGUGUCAUCUGCCCCUUCCAUAAUAUAUUGCUUAAAUUUUCCACCCUAUACGUUAUUUUUGUCUCAAAUAAUUUCAAAUUUGGAAUGAUUGUUGAACUCAUACGCAAAACUUAAUGGAAAUGAAUUGGCAACUGGUAGAGUAAUGUUCGAUAUAUAGCAGGAAAUAACAUAAAUUGAAUAAAUUACCUCAUAAACCGCCAAUUUUGGUGGUAGUAGAAGUACUAGAGGAGAAGAGCUCUUUUUUAUUUAGCUUAGAUCAGUUAUAUGAGUAACAACUUAGACAGAUGUUUAGAUAUAGCAACAACACAGGAGUAGGGAUCAACUUACACAAAUGUGAGUCACACACCUUCCACAUAAGUUCAACUAAAACCUUAGAGGCCCGAAACCAUUAAGAUGUGAUCUACAGAAUCUAAAGAAACACAAUAUGAAAUUUCGUGCAGAUCGGAAACCUAUUUCUUAGAACAUCAAACAAUACCUAAUUAACGAUCUAUAAUUUUCAAAUCCUAAGAAAUCGAUUAUCAAAUCUUCUGAGAUUUCAUAUGCAGACUUUUUAACCUGAUGCAGAUUACUUCCGGCGGUUUGGAUUUCAAUUUAAGGGCUUCUAAGGUUCAAUAAAAAUCCAUUCCGGCGAAGAUUUACGGGCGAAUUCAACAAUUGCCCUAAAACCUUUCAGCAAUUGGAAAUUGAUGCAAUAUUUUACAGAGUAAAUGGGGACUGAAAUUAUAUAACAGAAAAAAUAGGUCAUAAUAAAUUCUAUUUUAAAUAACAGAUAAAAAACUAACAGCAAGAAAUGAGAUCGAGAGGAUACCCACCCAGGUAGGGCGGCAGUUGGCGACGAAGUCAGCGCGGGACUUCUUGCACUCGGCGGGGUAGAGGAGGCCGACGGUGGCGAUCUCGGUGGGCUUCUUGUCCGACUCCCUCUCCAAGCACGCGUAGAAGGCGUCCCGCGCCUGGCAAGAGAGAACGCACACCAACCGUUCGCUCAAUUGCGCGACUGAGGAAGAGUAUACAGUUGAAGAGGUGGGCGGGUUUGGGUUUGUUAUAUACCUUGUAGCAGGCGGCGCGGCCUUGCGCGAGGACGUCCGUCAUGACGGCGCCGUCUGCCAUCCGCGCGCGCGAAGCGAAAGCCGAGCUGUCAGCACGCGACUGCAGCAGCAGGCUGCAGGCGUCCGGAGUCGUCUAGAACCCCCCGGGGCCUGGGGCAGACAGUCUGAGAAAAAAGUAUACGGUGCACACGUUUUUUUUAAAAUAUUUUCAGGCCCAAUUCGAUUUAUAUUGGUCGGACCGGAUUGGACCCGGCUUGAUUAAUUAACUUAUAAAGCCUUAGGCUUCAGCAAGGCUGUUGCCUUGCCCGACUUUUUUUAGCUUCUAAUUUUGAGGUUCAGUCCAUCCUAACAUGUUUAGCCGCACUCUGACUUGACUUGACAAACAUUUGCGCCGGACUGGCUCGAUUUGGACGAUUUGGUUUGUUCUGGUUCGGCAUACUCUUAAGUGGGAAAGAAAAAUCUAGCUAGUUGAGAGUUAGGCCGCUGUAGUUUUAAAUUUUUUAAAAUAAAAAUUAAUUGGAUUUCAGGUUGGAUAUUUUAAGAAGCAUGAAGUUCUCUGUGCUCAUAAGUUAUUUUUAGUGAUGGAACUUUCGAAUCGAUGAUCAGAUUCGUUAUACUUAAUCUAAAGUAUAUGCAAUAUCUAGAAAAUAAAUUGUAUCAUUUUUCGAUAUCACACAAAAAAUAAUGCUACACAUUAAAAAUUUAGAGCAGAGAUAUUGAUCUUAUUUUAUAUAAUGUAAAAAAAAAUUUUAUUAAAAUUUUACAUGAUUGAGAUAUUUUUAUACAGCGAAACAUAUAAACGACUGACAUCAAUCAUUCACAUUGUUGAUUCAGAGUAUUUUCGAUCACUAAAUAAAUUUUCUAUCAAGAUAAUUGAUAGGUUGCGUCAAAUUGGUUCUUAUAUGAUAUUUUGUUUUUACCUCCUAAGUACUAAUCACUCUAGCAAAAUAACUAUCUUUACAUUCUCAUUUCAAGUGAAAGUUUUAUGUUCGAAGAUUUAAAAUUUUAUUUUUGAAUUUCCACAAGCAAUAGAAGUUAUAAAUAUUUUUAAUUUGCUAAACUUUCUAUAGGAAGUAAUUGCAGUUGAAAUUGAGACAGAAAGCAGGGUAAAUAAUUAAGAGUGAUCUCUAACAUUUCAAAUACCUGCGUAUUCACGAAGAAAUGGAAAAAUCCAUUAUGGCUGAAGUACAGUUCUGGAGAUCCACCUGGGGGGAAUGAUUGAGUUUGGAUUGUGGGUUCAACUUAUGUAAUUCAAUUUUCUGUAUGUGCUGAUUUUACUCUUUGUUCCACCGUACUCCAAAAAUAAAGUAAAUCCCUGUUUAAUCAAAAAAAAAAAAUACCUGCUUAUUAAAAUGUGAAGAGCAAUGCUAUUCAGUGGCCGAUCUAGAAAAUUUUCUAGAGGAUCAAAUAUGAAAUAAAAAGUAAAUAUAAUAAAUAAUAAUAAAUAGUAAUUGCAAUUGUUAAGAAUUAUUGCAUGAAAAAGAAUCCUGUACCAUUUUAAAUUAUAAGUAUUUUAGACAUAUUUUAGACAUAUUUUAAUGUUUGGAAAUGAUGCAUGAUGACAUUAUACGAUUAGAAAUUUUUUUUUUUCACUCAAACCACUGUUAUGUUAAAAGAAGUGUAAACUAUUUUUUAAUAUUUUAAUAGGUGCUUCUUUUUCUUACUUUGGAAUUAAGUUUGUAACAAUAAAAAAAUGUGCCACAUGAAAGCAAAAUACGAAUUUACUCAUUUAUUAAAAUAGAAUGAAAUCAAUUGGCCAAUAAAAUACAGUUAAUUACAAAAUGGGCCAAUAAAAUACAGUUAAUUACAAAAUAGACCCCACCUUUAGAGAUGUGGGGAUUGGGAUUGUUUUUGGGAGGAGUUAAUAAGAUCAAGGGCUCUUUUUGCAAAUAGCCCCCUGAAAAAUUUUUAUUUUAAAACUAGUCCUAUCAAAAUUGAAAUUGCAAAAAUGACCAUGUCCCUGCCACGCAGGCAUCACGUCAGUGCCACGCGGGUAGGGCUGGGGCCAGAUAAUUAAGUUGAACACGGUGAAUCAUUCACCGUGUUCAAACACGAUGAAUGGUUUACUGUGUCUAAAUAUGGUGAAUUGUUCACUACGUGGCAGAGGCAGGGCCAUUUUUGCAAUUUCAAUUUUGAUAAGGCUAGUUUUAAAAUAAUAAUUUCUCAGGGGGCUAUUUGCGAAAAAAGCCCUAAGAUCAAUUGACCCCACUCCAACUAAUAUAGAUAUACCACUAAAGCUGUUUAUAGGCAUAUUUUAUCAGCAUAAAUCUUUUACCUUUCUUUUUUUUAGAGAUAGAUAGCACGCUACUCGGUUCGUUUAUUUCAUUUAGAAAUAAAUUUAGCUGGAAAUGUGAAUAAUCAACUAGGAUUCGAACUUGGAUCUCGGGUACCAACCACCAAGCCCUUUGCCACUUGCUCUAGGUACGGUCGGUAUAAAUCUUAGGCCUUAUUCUUCAAAAGCUUAGGAUUUAUUUGUCAUAUCAAUUUUUAUAUUUUUAGUACUAAAUACUUAAACCCUUGGAUUUAAGGGCAGUAAGAUGUACACUCCUGUUGGGGGCGUAUAUGUAGCAUUUUUUAGAUGUUAAUUUUGGAAAACAAUUAUAUAUACGCAAUCAACUAGUCUAAAAAUUACAAGAAUUUCAAAAUUAAUGGUUUUAGGUGUUGGUACAUGAGGUCUCAAGUUCAAACCUAAUUAUUUUACAUUUUUAGCUGAGUUUGUUCUGAAAAAUUGAAUGAAGCAGGUAGCUAGCUUGCUAUCAUUCUCUACAAAAAAAAAAAUCCAACAUCAUUAACAAUUUAACAUAGUCCAAGCAAAAAAUUCUUUUGGAGAGGUGGGGAGGCACAAUCCAAGUUCAUCCAAAGGUAUAUUAAAAAUUGGGUCAAUUGCACUAUUGGUCCCUAUCGUUUGCACUGAUUGUAUUUGACAGCAAAUGAAUUUAAAUGUAAAAGUAAUGUGAUUAAUAUUUGUAAUAGCUUAGUAAUUAUAUUUGAUGCCUUUCUUAUGCAAUCGGUAUAAGAAUACUGUUCCUGUUUGGAACCACUUGAAUUGUACUGUUUGUAACGCCUUGAACGUACAGCUAGAAAAGACUAUUUCCAUUCGGCGAUCUGCUGGCGUGCCCGGAUCCGACCAAAGAGGCAGAUCUCGGAGCGUGACAGAUAAGGUGGUAUCAGUUUCCAACUUCUUUUUUUUUUUUUUUUUUUUUUUUACGUUAAGUCGACUCCAACCUCUUAAUUUUAUUACAAUUAAGCCCCAGCCAUUAAAAGGACGUCAAAAUUAACAGAAUCACAACUUCUGCACCAGGCAGAGAGUUUAGGUCCAGGUCAAACCGACAUGGACCCAAGAAAUUGACUUAUAUUCUACAGCUCAUACAGGUUGACACAGUCUCAAAAGCUACGUGACUAAUUAAGCAGAAGAAGCACAAAGAAAAAUUAAUAAACUCCAAAAAUCUCCAUCUGUAAUAAGUUUUGGGUCUUAUUUCUAAUAAAUUAAGAAAUUCAAAUCCUAUUCUAAAUCAAAUCCUAAAAGUUUAGCCAUUUUCUAAUACAAAUAUAUCUAACCCUAAUUAAAACUUCCAAAAUUAUAUCCCUAAUUUUUAAGAAUUAUUCCUCAUAGAACAAGCCUAAAUCUAAAAAAAAAUACAACUAAAACAAAAUUAGCAAAAUAAAAAUUUCUAAAAUUAAAAAAUAAAAUUUUAAUCCUAAUUAUUUUUUGAUUGUGUCAUUCACUUUCGCUGCAACUCAAUAUAUUCGCGGUGUUAAUUGAAUUCAGAAAAUAAUAUGAUCUAAUGAUACAAUCCUAGUCCCGCAAUAUAUAUGAACUGAUUUAAUAAAAUAAUUGACCAACUCCCUUGACUUAAAUUUUAGAAUUGUUGGUACAAGACCCAGGUGUAAUUGAAGAAAAGAAACUGAUUUCGUAUCUUCUUCUUCUACUUCUUCUUCUUCUUCUUAUGCUCCAAAUCGGUAAUUUUUUAUUUUGUCUUUUGGGCACUUUAACCGGGCUUUGAGUUUUAAUGCAAUAAGUUUCAUCUUCUUAUUCUCGAGCACAUCUUUAUAUUCAAAAAUAUGCUUGAUAUGCCGAUCGUCCCUAGAGCAAGUGGCAAAGGACUUGAUGGUUGGUACCCAAGACCCAAAUUCGAAAUAUGCUUGAUAUACCGACCGUCCCUAGAGUAAGUGGCAAAGGGUUUGGUGGUUGAUACCCGAGACCCAAAUUCGAAUCCUAGUUGAUUCACAUUUCUUGCUAAGUUCAUUUUUAAAUGAAAUAAACGAAACAUAUAGCGUGCUAUCUAUCUCUCAAAAAAAUAUAUAUAUAUGCUUGAUAUAUCGUGUUCAACAAGUCAUUAAUCGAAGCCCUCUGCCUGUAGACCUUUCGAAUAUUUCGAAAGCUCCAUCUUGAUACUCAAAUUGACCCACCGAUCUAUGCAAUCGCUGCAGCCCGUAGCAUGACCCUGCACAGUCAUCUCUUAGCUAGCUCCAUGCAUAGAGAGGGCCAUGCAAGGGGUUCUCAAAGCCGGAAGACUUCGAAUGAAGGUCGUCAUCUCCUUGGCCUUGACUUUCGACUAUCAACAGAUGUGUGGUCGAAGCCUCGAUCAAUCUGCUUUCUCAAUUCUUUGAUCUCGAUAUUACGAAGAUCUCUUUGACCUUGGGGUCUUGCGCUUGCAGGCUCCUCGUCGUUCACAUUGCCAAGAUUAUUGUCCACAGCAAACGUCACGACCUUGAAUCGCAGGCAGCAUCCUGAUUCGUGUUCUAAUUUAUUCUCCGACCGCCAGCCAUGUCAUGCGAAAGCACCACUCCAAGGGUCGAGCUAGCUAGAAUACUAACUGACGCAACUCUAAAAGCUACGUGACUAAGAUGAAAAAGCACAAGGAUGAGAGAGGAAUAAGUACUACCAUCCGAGAGAGAAAAAUCAUCUUCUACAAUAAGUUUCGGGUGUUAGGAUUUGAUUGGAUUUGUGGUUUCUCUAAAUUAAGAUUUAAAUAUUAAUUUGAGUAUAAAUCCAAUUACAUUAGGAUAAAUAUUUAAAUCUAUUGGUGAUAAAUCAAUUAAGAUUUAAAUAUUUAAUAGAGUAGGAAUUCUAAAUAUAUUAGGAUUGGGGUACGUUUUGGUGGAGCUUUAUAAAUAACUCUUGAUGGGAUGCUUUUGGGGUUGGUAGUACUGCCAAGUUGAGAUUCUUGAGGAACUUACGGUGAGGUGUUUUGAAGCCAUUGGUGGACCGUCUAAAGAGAAGUUUGGCCAUGAGUUGCAUGCACCUAGUGCACGGGUGCAUGUGAGAGAGAAGAAGUGAAGGGUUGUCUUCUUUAUGGGUUUAUAGAAGACGAGAAAAGGGUAUGAGAGAUUUAAUAAAGAGGGCUCGGGUUGUAGCUUCUCUAUCCAGAAGAAAAGUCAGGUGUAAUCUUCUCUUAUUUAAUGAAUCUUAUUUUAUCGGCAUAUUUUCUAUUUUGUUGUUUUCUCUCUUUUAUAAUUGUAUCAGCUUCUGCUGAGGAGACGGAUUUAUUAUAAAAAUCCGAUUCGACGCUUCUGUUGCGGAAUCCCAACAAUCGGUACCGGAUCCACAACAGUCAGUAUUGAAGCAGGUUGCGGAUUUACAAAAUUCGGUACCUGGGCGAGCACUGGAUUCCCAACAUCGGAUCCUACUUAUAAUAAAAUUAGAAAAAUCCAAAUCCUACACUAAAUCAACUCUCAAAAUUUUAACAAUUUUCUGAAUAUAAAAAAAUAUAUUUAUCUAAUCCGAAGUUAAAACUUUCAAAAUUACCAAACAAUAAAAUUUGAAAAAAUUGAAAAACGACCCAAUUGUCAAUAUGAACCCCUGUAACUCUUGAUUUACAUGUCAUUUACAUUCUGUGAGAGACAAUAUAUUCUCACUAGCAAUUUAGUUCCCAACAUCACCUGGUCUAUGGUGUAGCCUUGUAAGAGUUUAUUCCUAUAUAUCCUCUCAAAUCAUCUGGUAUCAAACUCAUCCUCAUGGCAUCUCAUCCAUGGUGAUCACUAGUUGGUCUUCUCAGCCUCUCGUUGUGAGCCCCACCUGCGCAAAUUACUGGCUGAUCGAACCCUCCACCUUCAUCAUUGGGCACUUGUCUUCGUGAUCAAAAUGCUCUUUCACACCGAAUAGGGCUUUAGGUCCCGCCCUACGCAAAAGUUGCAGCAGAAGCUAGGCCACACAAGCAUCUCAAGAGAGAAGAGUACUAGGUUUGAUUCUCAAGGCAUCUUUUAUUAGCUUUUUCCCCUAACACUCGCAGUUAUUCGUAAUCGAGAGUUAAGUAUUCAAAAUCCAAGAUAUGGUUUUGAUUUUGUAGUUUCACUUUGCAUACAAGUUAGUCCAAAGUCAUGGUCCCUUUGGUCCAUUAAUCCACAUAUUCUAAAGUGAUGCUACAGGUAUAAAUAUAUACUUUAUAUAUAUAUAUAUAUAAACAAAAUGCUCAAAGCUAAAUGCAUGGUCCCUCUUAUGAGAUCACUCCAAAUAUUCCCAGGAUAUCGACCUCGGCACAUUUCUUUUGGAAUCUUGGACCUACCUAUCAUGCUUAUAUUUUUCAGAAAAAGCUCUAAAAUACUUAUUCUUCAUUGCACUAUAUAUAUUAUAAUAAUAAGUUGCGAUACCCUUUUAACGUAUGGGAAUCUAAUAAACUUGUCAUGCGUGCAUGCUCCUUUGGAAUUCAUAUUCAAAAUGGCAACAAGAGGGGACCAGCGCUUAAGAAAAUUCAAAAUGGCAACGCGCCCUUUUCAUGUGUGAUCUUAUGUUUCCAUGUGUAAUCUUAUUCUUUCAUGAUUAAAUCAAGUUGUCAUGUGGAGAGGGUUGUAACAAAGAGGCAUCGAUCGUCGCCUUUUUAACGCAAAGAGCAGUUUAUAAUAGCACUACAAAAUUUUUGGUGAUAUAGUGCAGUAAAACUUUUCUACACAAAUAAUUCGGUUUAUAAUUUCGAUUCACUAGCUCAACCAUAGCUUCGCAGAAGUGUCCUCUGAGUACAGCUAUAUCAAGAUUUAUUAGCAACUUUUUGAGUUAAACAUUGUUUUUGAGCUUUCGCCUUUCGAGCUUUGUUAAUUUUACCUUCAGGUGACAAAAAGAAGCCACAAGUUUUUAUCCAUCGCGCACUUGUUACUCGAUCGAAGCAAAGUUGUUUUCCGAACUAGACUAGAAUUAUCAUGUAAUAGGAACAGGACUUUUUUUUUUUGAUUAAACAGGGAAACAACCCUAUUUUACAAGUUGUGUGUAAGAUUACAAGGUGCUACUUAGCACUCCAACCCGCAGUGGACAAGGACAGCCAACAAAAGGUCCCUUGAACGACCCCCAAGCGAAAAGAAGAACAAAACAGAAUCGAACAAUACAGUAAACGAAACACAAACAUCUAGCACAAACAAAAAGCAAUCAAACUCGAGCAGUUUAUGCACCUAGGUACUGGUAGAGCUAAACCCCGACUUCCAACAUAGAGCUGUUUCGAAAAUACAUGUACCCAGGACGUCGCCGCGGACCUGCCGAUUAUCGAAUAGUCUUCUGUUCCGUUCUUUCCAGAUCUCCCAGAAAGUCGCUGCGAUGGCAAGAUCUAAAUUGAAUAGAUUUUGUUCAGUAACCAACCGCCUAAGACGACACCAUCGAGAUGCGAUUCCAUUAGGCAUCGGCUGUCUGCAAGGUUGAGUGAAUGUAAUUCGUCGUAGAAGUCCAGUCCACACCGAAGAUGCAUAUCUGCACAGAAGGAAAAUGAAAUGGCCUGAAAUGGCCUUUCAAUUCUAAAGGUUCAUGCAUGGUUUUGAGUGUACUCAUAUACAACUUAAUUAGUGCACCGUUCUAGUUAGUAUUUGACCAUUGAUGAUAAAUGUUUCAAAAUUAAAAUCUAACCCAUUACAAAUAGAUGUAUACGACGUUUAAAGAUGCUAUGUAUUUAAAACAAGUUUUUUUCAAAUAAACUAAAUAGUUAAUAAAGGAAUAAAUGGGAAGGAACACGAAAGAUCCUUUUUUUGGCUCUUUCUUUGGCCCUAUUCGAUCUCUUAUCCCUUUUGUCCAAUUUCUAGGAAAAAAGUAUUCUAACUUUAUAAUUGUAUAUACCAAGAAUUUAAGUGUUGUGGCACAAACCCAUGUCGGAAACUUACCGAAACAGUACAAUACGGUGCGUGUCGGACCGUGCCGAUACGUGUCGGUCACAAAAAAUAUAUGUGUCGUAAUGAAAUGAAAUAUUUAUUUUCUUUAGUAACAAAUAAUGCCAAUUAUUUAUUAUGUAUUUUUAUCAAAUUUUUUAAACUUUAUCGAAAAAAUUACUUACUAAUUUUAAGAAUAGAGGGUUUUGAGUUGUGCCAUCGGCACGGGGUCUGUAUCGUGCCGAUAUCUUAUUGACACGAUAUGGCACGGUGAAUACGGUACAUGCCGAUGAGCAUUUUAAUCCUUGAUAUAUACACAUAUAUAUAUAGUCUUUUUUAAAAUAUUAUAAAUAUAUAUUUUAAUAAGUCAAAUUUAGGCUUUGAGGCCUUUGAAGUAUGAUUUUAACAAUGUUCCAAAUAAUUUGCUUGGAAUUAAAAUAUUACCACUUCUAAAAAAAAAUUAUUAAUUGGGUGGACCCACUGUUGACCAGCCAUCUAACUAGAAACUAUUGAGUUAAAUAUCGGCAUUUCACUUAACGAAUCUAUAAAGAAAGAUAAAUUCUAAUUAAUUAAUUAAUCCUUCCUAAGACAACUAAUUAAUUACUAAUUAAUUAUGCUCCUCCCCCUCCCCCCAAUAAAAGGGGGGUCCACACCACUCACUGCCUCUACCUGCACCAAGACAGUUUUUUUUUUUUUUUUUUUUUUGAGGGAAAACACCAUGCACCUAGACAGGCUCAUGGCCCGAAAUUCAACCAAUGGGAAAAGAUACCAAAAAAAAAAAAAAACCUAACACACCGUUAUCUGUUCGUUUUACCGUUCAAUUCUAUGCAACAACUAAAUUAACCACCAACAAUUCAACUAAAAAUACAAGGGUCACCGACCGUCCUAGAGUAAGUAGCAAAGGGCUUGGUGGUUGGUACUCGAGACCCAGUUUGAAUCCUAGUUGAUUCACAUGACCAGUAAGUUUAUUUUAAAUGGAAAUAAACGACGGGUAGCGUGCUAUCUAUCUCUCAAAAAAAAAAAUAAUACAAACGGGUCGGAUCUGGAAGCUCAGGGUGUUUACCUCCCCGCUCCCUACGUUAUUUUUUUUUUUUUUUUUUUUCGAUUGAAACAACUUGUUUGGCCUUCACUAUAGCUCCAGGUUGAGAGCAGAUUUUUAGUGAAUUGAGACGGAUCAAAGGAAUGCAGGGGUUUUUUUUUGCCUCUAGCUCCGUUUUUGAAGCGAGAUGAAUUAUUCCUUUUCUUAUAUUUGGCCUCUACUUAUCGCCUCAUUCGGCAUGGAGUAGAGUGAGAGCUCCAUCAACCCCCAUAUAUCCAUUUGUAUCCCUAAGUUUAAUCUGCCUACAUGAUUUAUUAUUUUAUUUUACUAUUGUGAAAACAUAUAUAUGGACACCCUCUCCACUAUAAGUCAUUUUAAUUGAAUUAGGCAACUAAAUUUUUUUCUUUUUAAGUGACAUCUCAUUAAUUUGUAUACGUUGUGAUUUAAGUCAUAAGUCAUUUAGUACCAAUUAAACUAAUAAUAAUACAAUAAUUUGAAGAGAUUAUGCUAUAUUUAUGAACAAGGCCAUUUUGCAUAAAAAAAUUUACUAGUUUUGCAUUUUUACAAUGUGUGCCAAUUUUUUCGCUUUUCCAUAUUCGAAUCAUUUUUUUUUUAAGACCAAAUAUUCAUAUUCUCUCUCCUUGCUUUCUUUCUCCUCCUGCUUCCUUCACUACUCCUCCUCGUCCCUCUGUUGCCCCUGUGCUCCUUCCCUAUCUAGCCCACAAGUGUGAGGACGAUGACAAAACUUGACUCGCUCGUCACCAUGGCCAAUCUUGGCGUUCUCUGGCAAGGGAGCUGCGAGAGACGAGGGUGACACAGCUCAGAGCUUGUCGGAGACGAAAGGUGGCAGAGGAGAAGGGCGAUGAUUGCUGGCGAAAAUACUCUCGAAGCAAGUAUGCGAGUGUGGCCGCAAUGGGGAGGUGGUGGUGGUAACAAAAGAGGAAAAUCUAGCGGAUAAUGCAAUGUUACACUAUUUAAAAAAGUUGCACUAUUUAACGAUAAGUUGCACAAUUUGAUAAUUGUAAAAUAGCACAACUUUUUUUGUCAAAUUGUACAACGUAUGGAGUAGAGCUACUAUACUAUCGGAAUAUAGAGGAUCUGGUGUUAGGAUUUCCAUAUAUUGUGGCCCAAUUAAUCAUAUUCAAAUCUGCAUUUAUUAUAAAUAAAGAUCAAUCCUAAUAGAUAUAGAACUACUUGAUAUGGUAUAUUUUAUCCCUAUCCCAUCUAUUUUAAAUUUAAAUAGAAUCAUAAUCAGACUUUGAUGGGAAGUUAAUCUGGACUCUAUAUAAAGGGGUAUUGGUCCUGCCACCUUUUUAUACGUAUUCUGGUGAAGAAUUAUCAUCGAUUCCACACCAUAGGGUAGAGUGCAUGAGAUAGCAGGAGAAACCAAAUUACCUAAUUCGGUUCGUGAUUUACAGAUCAUAGCCGAAUUUCUCGCUUCCGCAGAUUGAUCAAGAAUUUAUUCUUUAUGACGCUCUGUGAGUUAUUUUAUCUUAUUUGAUCCUAGAUUUUGGUAUGUAUUUAAUUUGCUUCUUGUUUUACAUACCUAGAAAAUCUAUCAUUUGGUUCUUCCGAUUUUUUGACCCUUAGAUCAACCUCUUUGAUCAUUUCUAACAUUUGGCUUAAUACUAUUAUCCUGUGAGGACCACUCAACUCUAGUGGGUACUCAACCUCAGGGGGGACCAUAUUCAGCCCAACCGUACAAUUUUUGAUCCAAGGGUUAAAAAGUCGAAAGUAUUAAAUCCUCUAUGCUUCCAAUAGCAUAGUAGGUCUACACCAACAUAUGUAUAAAUAGCGCAACUUUUUUAAAUAGUGCAAUAUCACGUCGUCUGCCAGAUUUUUCUUUCUCACUAUCGUCACCGCCUAACAGUUGUUGGCCACGCCUGUGGACCCACUCGCGAACAUGCUUCAGAAGUAUCCAUGACCAUUCACAACACUCUCCUCCUAGGCCACCUUCCUCUCUGCUCUGGCAAAGCUCUGAGUAGCCACAACGAAAAAAAUACCCCAUUUUGUAAAAAUACAAAAUCGAUGAAUUUUUUAUGAAAAGGCCUACGCACAAACAUACAAACUUGCAUUUAGAAAUUAAUUACUUAAUUGGUUUGAGCUCCUGGAUCUCUUCCUUGGUUUUUUGUGAUUCACAAAUUAUGAGCAUAAUAAUAAAAAAAAAAGCUUUGUACUCCUAAUAUUCUCAACAUCAAUGAGCACAAAUGCAUAAUUAUUUUCAGUCAUGCGAAACACUAUAGACAAGUGAAACUGCACUUACAACUUAUUUGAAAGAAAUCUCACCAAACAUAAAAGGGUUGGAACGGCAACCGCAAACCAGCAUGCAGUAGUUGUACGUCCUCUCAUUAAGAAUGUCAUUCAAUUUUUCAUCAGAAAAACACAACUGUGUAUUGCCAAUAAAUCUUCAUAUUAAAUAUGUCCCCCUACCCUGUCUCCAAUCUCUAGAUUUGAAUUUCCAUAUCUACCAUAGACAUUAAUUUGUCUGUAAUUUUGUAGCCACUUUUGUUUGCUUUCUAUUGAUCAUUUAGUUUCCACCAAGCAAACACAGGAGUUUUGAAAUUAAUUGCAUCUUUUAUAAUGCAUCAUUUAGUUUUGAAAUUAAAUGCAUCAUUUAGUUUGUUGAGGAAAAGGUCUCAAAACCAUCACAACUUUGUCCAAUUUAAAGCAUGCACUCCAUUUGAACUCUUAAAGUAUUACAAUUUUCCAAUUAAAUAAUGCUUUUAUUUCAAUUCACUAUAAAGUUUCUGUGUUACCACCACCCUGAAUCCUAGAAUAUAUGAUCGGGAUAUGGUCUUUUUCUUAUUAGAUUAGAACAUAUAGUUUAUCUAACAUAUCUACUAGAUUAGAAGUAUCUUUCGAUUUAAUCUAUUUUUAUCAUAUUAGAAUUAUUUAUUUAUUUAUUUUGAGAGAGAUAGGUAGCACGCUACCUGCUUCGUUCAUUUCAUUUAGAAAUAAACUUAGCUAGAAAUGUGAAUCAACUAGGAUUCGAACUUGGGUCUCAGGUACCAACCACCAAGUCCUUUGCCACUUGCUCUAGGGACGGUUGGUUAUCAUAUUAGAAUUAUUAUAGUGAUUCUAGACCUAUAAAUAAGAAACUCUUCUCUUUCAAAAUCAAUGGAUCAAAUUUAUUAAUAAAAAAGUUAGUUUCUUUUAAUGGCUUCUAACAUAGGCUAAAUUAGAAGAGGAGGUUUCUCUUUAAUUUCCUUUGGAGCAAAUUAAGAUGUUAAAUCUAUCUAUCGAUUUUAAAGUUAUAGUUAGGAGUGGAAAAUUAAUUCUAACAAUUUGGCAUUAGAACCUUUGUGGAGUCUAAAGUCGAAGACCUUAUCUUCUCUUUCACAUUCACAUUUGAUUCGAGAUUAGAGUUUUCGACGCACUCAACAUCUUGCGUACUCUCUUCUCCAAGUGAUCAAAUCUAGGGUUUCAACCUACAUCAACUUUUGCUUAGCAUGAGUGCCUAAGUGAGAGAAUUUGAGCCUGUUCGAGUCGUUAAGAGCAAUUAAAACCGAGUCAUUUCUUGAUGAACGAGUUCGUUCUUACUUAAUUUGAGCCGUCUUUAAUCCAGCUAAGUGCUCUCUACUUAAUAAAUUUAUUAAAGUUACAUUUUUAUUAAAAAAAUUCCCUUGCAGGUCAUCUAAAAGAGAUUUUGGAAACUCCAUUAUUUCGUUUUUAUAAUGAUGAAUUAAUCAGAGAAGAGUAAUAUCGAAUGAUCUAUGGCAAAAGUAAAUAAUCAACCAAUUACAGGCCAUGGAGCGACGCUAAAAUCCAAGCCUUAAAAGCUUUUAUAUCACAGAUGAAGUAGGAACUUGAAAAUUUUUAAGCAAGCUCUCAGUUAAAAGACGGGGAUUCAAUAUCAGCGUCAGAAAUACGAUUGUGAGUCAAUCCAAAUAAAUCUCAGUUGGUUGAUAUUUGGUCUAAAAUUUGUAAUGGUGACGAUCUAACUACUCCGCAGACUAUCGUUCGACAAACAAAAUUCCUAACUCCACACAGCCAGGCAUUGCCUGAUAGAAUUUGGUUAGAUUUGUAGUUGAUUUUUUAAUUGAAUAAGAAUUAAUAUUUAAAUCUUUUAGAGAUAUAUUAAGAUUUAUAUAUUAAUUAGAGUAUAAAUCUAACUAGAUUAGAAUAAAUAUUUAAAUCUAUUGGAGAUAAAUAAAAUAUAGAUUUAAAUAUUAAUUGAAGUAGAAAUCCUAAUUAUUCUAGGAUUUGGGUACAUCUUGGGUGGAGCCUUUUAUAUAGGGCCAUGGUAUGCAAAUUGUAAUGUGCCUAGGUACUAACCAGCGAGAGUGAGCCUUUUAUUGGGUGGUGUGCCGAGAGAGGGAGCUUAGGCAUUGCAUACAUCUAGUGCACGGGUGCAUGUGAGAGAGAAAAAAAGAGGUCUUCUUUUAUGGGUUUAUAGAAGACGACAGAAGAAUAUGAAAAAUUCAAAAAGAUGACUCGGGUUGUAACUACUCUAUUACAAAGAGUAAUCAAGUAUAAUCUUCUCUUAUUUAAUGAAUCUUAUUUUAUUCGCAUAAUUUUCGUUUAGUUGUUUUCUCUCUUUUAUGAUUAUAUCAGAGCUUGUGCUGAGGAGACGGAUUUACGAUAAAAAUUCGAUUAGACGCUUCCAUUGCAAAAUCCCAACAUCCGGUACCGGAUCAACAGCAGUCAGUAUCGGAGCGGGUUGCAGAUUCUCAAUAUCUAGUAUCAGGGCGAGUACCGGAUUCCCAACAUUUCCUCCAUCAGUUCCUCUACCGUCGCCUCCGCUGGUUGUUCCACCAUCGUCGCAACCAUCAAUCAUUCAUUCACUAUUGCCUUGUCCGGUUGUUUCUCAGUCGCUUCCUCUAGCAGUUGUACUUCCAUCAACACUUUUACGUAUCAUUCCUUCGGCGUCGUUGCUAUCUAUAUCUGUUUCAUUACUUUAUUCAUUAUCGGAUAUGCCAAAGAUGUUACCGCGGUCAGUUCCUCCGAUUUCUCUUACUUAAGAAGACAUUGAUGUGGUUUUGUCAAUGAUUAAGUUGAUUGCACAAACAAAAUUAUUUGGACUUAAUCAUAAACUAUUGUACUAUAUUGCCUCACUCUUUGAGGAUAAAGUGUGUUUCAAGGGAUAAGGAUUGUUACGAUCACCCUAAAUUCUAGAACGACCUGAAUAUGAAAUCUUUUUCUUAUUAGAUUAAGAUUAUUGUGCUAAUUAGAUUAAAAAAUAUUUUAUUUAAAGAUUAACUAGAUUUGGAAUUGCUUUUGAUUUAUUCCACUUUUAUUUAAUUUAUCAUAUUAGGAUUAUUAUAUAUAGUGAUUUUAGACCUAAAAAUAAGAGGUUCUUCUCUUUUGUCAUCAAUAGAUUAAUUUUAUCAAUAAAGUUCUUCUUAAUGGCUUCUAAGUUAGGCUAAGUUAGAAGAGAAGGCCCCUCUUCUUCUUGGAGCGGUUAGACAUCUAAUAGAAACGUUAGGUAUUAAAAUUACAGAUAGAAAGGAGAGAUCAUGACAUUCGAUUUUGUUCAUAGUGGCCGGAUGUUUAUUAGUAACUUAACCACCUAGCUGGCUAAGGGGUUUUUUGUGGAGUGCGAGAGAAUUCUUGUUUUAAGUGGCUAAUUUCAACAUUUUAAAGUUGAGGGUAAACACCCUAGUGGUUUAACGUCACCUUGCCAUUCUAUAAUUUAUAAAAUUGCACUUUAACAUCAUAUAAUUUAUUUUAAUUCGAUAGAAGAAUCAACCAACAAAUAAGAUAGUAAAAUAGCACAUUUUAAAAGUCACAAGAAGGUAAAUUAUAGUAUUUAUUAUAAGAGUAAUGCUUCUAUAUUUGUUAUUUUUCACUACCGUUCAUUUAUUUCUAUUCAAUGGUUUACACUUAAUUUUUCUUCUUUAAAUUGUGACCUGCAAUAAUAGGUCACUUUGAGAGAGGUACCGGUUAUCAGGUACCAAAAAAAUGGAUUCUUUAGUCUUUAAUACGUGGAUAAUUUAAUAAUUUUACUUUCACUAUAUUAUCAAAUAUCUCUUCUCUCUUCGUUUCUUUUUUCUCUCUCUAUCUUUCCUCUUCAUUCAUAGUAGAGAUGUAAAGGGGUUGGAUUCGGGAUGGAUUUUCAAAAAUCUGAACCCAAAUUUAACUAUCAAACCUGAAACUUAAACCCAAAUCCAAAUCCGACGAAUAUUAGAAAAUCAUAUUCACACUCGUACUCGACUUAAAAUCCGAAACCCAAACCCUAACCAGGACCCAAAAACUCGAACCUGAAAUAUUAUUCCUCUUUACAAUAUUUCAAAAUAUAUUCCUAAUCAAUUACCCACAUUCAAAUUUUUUUUUAAAUAGUAAUACAAAAUUAAUGUCUAAGCUAGAAAAAUUUUAAAAUCUUUUUAAACACAUUAAAUAUGUUGAAUUUAAAUAUUUAUCUAUAUUAAAAAAUUUUAAAUUAGUGAUACAAAAUUAAUCUCUAAAUGAGAGGAAUUCAAAAUUUUCGUAAACAUACGUUGAAUUUAAAUUUUUAUCAAUAUUACAAUUUUUUAAAUAAUGAUACAAAAUUAAUUUCUAAAGUAGAAAAGUUUUAAUUUUUAAAAUAUAUUAAAUAUGUUUAAUUUAAAUUUUUAGCAUGCACAAUUUUAUUUAAAAUAUAUUAAAUAUUAGGUUAAAUUACAGAAAAUUUUCUGUCAAUAUCUGAGUUUUCAUUUUCUUUUCCUGUCAUUAAAAAACCUAUACUUUGCCCCCUUAAAAAAUAAAAAAUGUUCACAAGAAGUACACUGUGACAAAAUGACCAAAUUACUCCUCAUCAUCUUCGUCUCCUCUCCAAUCCGAAGCCUCUUCUCCUCCGCCAUGGCCUCUUCUCCUUCCUUCUUUGCGCCUCUCUCGACCCCAAUUCCGACUCUGUUUUCUCCAUUUGCUCCCCCGCUCCUCCAGUACCUAGCUGCCUUUCCAUUUCGGCGACUGUAAGGAGAAAGAUUGGGAUGGACGCGGGCGGAGAGGUGGGCGAGGGCGAAUUUCGGCGACUGUAGGGAGAAAGUUCAGGGUGGGCGUGGACGGAGAGAUAGGCAAUGGCAAGGGCGAGGGUGAGAACAUGUGUGUGGGCAUGGUCAGAGGUGUGGGUGAGGGUGAGGCGGCGGAGGGCGAGGCGGCACAGCCGAGGACGUCGGUGAGAAAGGAUAAGGAUUUCACAGAUAUUUUGAAUAUAAAAAAUAAGACAUAAGUAAAACUCUAAUGAAACACUGAUGGCGGGGACCAAAAUGAAUAUUUUUUAUUUUUUAAGAGAGCAAAAUAUAGGUUUUCAAAAGACAUGGAAAAAAAUGAAAAAGCAAAUAGUGACAGAGAAGUUUUUCGUAAUUUAGCCCUUUUUUUUGAUUUUUAGUAUUAAAAUAAAAAAUUAAUACACAUACAGAUUAUGGUUGUACAGAUAACUAUACAUUUAAAAUUGGAUGUAAAUCUUGCAAAGCUAAUUUAUCACAAUUUUAUAUUCUAAUAUUAAAAUUUUUUAAAAUUUGUCUAAUCUAACUCUUUUUCUCUUUCUCCUUAAUUUAGUAGUGAUCACCACUCCCGAAGCUACAGUAGCAGGUUUUAUCGAGCCAUGGAUAAAAGUAUUAUUUAGUUCCUGCCUAGUUGUUUGUUAGCUAAUUAGAAUCUGGGAUAAAGUUAAUUUCCUCUCAAGCUCUAGAAUUAUCAGUACGAAAUAUCCGGUGUUCCCUUGCGCCUAAUACUAGGGUUUCUGAAACGUUUAACCUCCCCACCCCUCUCUCUCUCUAUAUAUAUAUACCUAAGCAAAGAGAGAAGGGGAGAGAGAACAAAGGGGAGUAGAAGUAUGCUGAAGAAGCAAGCGAAAGAAGAAGCUCAUGAAUGAACGCCACAAUUAAACAUUUCUCUUCGAUCUCCUUGCGUUUUCUUUUAUGUUGAUCGAUUGGGUAAACAGUUGCAGGUUUGGAGGCGGAGGCGGCGCAGAUUAAGGGCGCGAAUCUGAGUGUUGACAGAAGAGAGUGAGCACACAGCGGCGGUCGGCGCCGAGGCGCGGGGGAGAGUGCCGUCCGCUCGCCUGCGUGCUCACUUCUCUGUCUGUCAGCACUCCUCUCCCCCUCUCCUCGCUCACCUCCCCGUUCCUUCCUGCUGCUUGCAGCACUCCUAAUUUUAACCCCUCCCUCUCUCUCUCUCUCUCUCUCUCUCUCUGAUUUUUAUUUCAUUCUUAUCUUGUGUGUGAGAUUUAUGACAGAGAGAGAGGAAAAAACUGAAAGGCGGACAGACUGUACUGCCGAUACGCGUGGGAGCGAGGGAGGUGUGCCGGCUGUCCGGCCCUGAAACGUCCUCUCCGGGCUCGGAUUCCAACGGAUAAGUUCUUAUUAUUGUUGUUGUGUGUAUCAGUGUAUACGCUUGCUCUUUUUCUUUUUAUAGGUUAUAAUUCAUAUCUAUUUCUUUCUCUUGAUUUAGUAGUAGUGCCUCGAAGAAAAAGAUUGAGGCGUGCAGUACAGGGAGCCGGAGAGCGGGACUUUUUAGGGCUCUCUCUCUCUCCCCCUGCAGCUUGUCCGGAUUUAACGGAAAUCACUGUUUGACCAAGUCCUCCUCCUCCGCUCUCUCUCUUUCUCUCCACUUCUCUCCUCCUCUUUACAACUUCCAUAACCUUAUCUUCAUCCUUUUUUUUUUUUUGUUUUUUUGGGUAUUAAUGAUGAUUUUGUGGAACCUUUACCACCUGAUCUCUCAUCACCCACUAUUUCCAUUUCAGAAUAAUAUUUUACUUUUUUCUUUUUGUUUUUUUUGUGCAUUAUCUCAUGCUCUAGCUAGCAAAGCAAGAUCUCUUAUGGAUAUAAAGCAACCACCAUAUAUCCCCCAAGGUAUGUUUCUUGAACCAGCUCUUUUUUGUUUGUCUAAAAUAACAUAUACUGCUUUUGAUGAACUUCUUCAUGCCCAUUGAAUCAUUCCAAUGUCCUCAUUCAGUGUGGUCUGGCUUAAUCCUCUAACUUUAAUCCUCAUUUGACAUUUCAUUCUUCCGUUUUGUUCUUGUUAGAUUAAGCAAAGCAGGCAGUUGUAGUCUCCCUAUCAUCUGAUAUAAGAUGUUAUGGAGAAAGUCUUUUACUUUUCAAUUUACUGGUGGGGAUUGUUCGUUUCUCGUUGAAUAAACGGAUGCGAAUACUUUGACAAAUAUAUCUAAUCGUUGUUCUCUUCUUUUGUUGGAAAAUUCUAUGCCGUGUGCAAACUAGUUUUUAAUUGGAGCAGUUUGUUGAACCUGACCAUUUCUUUUGCGAGUUAUGUGAAGUUGAGUUCUUGACAAUAUCUCUAGCAAUAAAUUUCCCGACGAAAAAGUCGUGGCGGUGAAGAGGGCUAUAGGUGGAAUUGAUCUUUCAUGGGUAAGCGCCGUGCUUUUGUUUUUGUUGAGUUAUGGAUUUUAAGAAGUCUUCAAUUGAUGUCAUGUAUUUAGGGUAUAUUUAGGGUUCUAUAACAAUCUGCAAAAUUAAGGCCAACUACUUCGUCGAAAAUUCUGAUAAAAUGAUUUUAUUGUUUCUGGGGUUCAUUUGGUUGUUGUUUCGGUUCAAAAGUUGAGUUACCUAAUCCUUGAGCAAGUCCAAGGGAACUGUCAAAUCAAACAACGCAAUAGUUAAUGGGGUGUCAAGUGUUAACAAAUAAUUAAGUAUCCACGUACAAUUGAACAAAAGAUUAUGGGAUCCUUACAUCUGUUUCCCUCAAUUAAUCAAAAAUGUUGAACUAUAUAGAAGGGGAUGAUAAAAAGACCAAGAAAGUGAAAGCGAUAUCCUUUUUGUGGGAAUAAAUAUGUCCAGUUGGUGAACUAAAAAUUUAAGCUACCCUGACCAGGCGCAUCGCUGACUUUACUGCCUAGGUGUUUAUUGUCUAUGUAAAUAUAGUUUAUGUUUGAGGUGUAUAUGGGAAGUAUGGGUUAUACAUGGUCUAGCAUCGGGAUUGACUUUUUAUUAACAUCUUUUUUAUAUGCUUUAUAAGUUAAAGGAACCUUUAUUAUUAUGAUAGGGGCUAUCUUUCAAAUUCUUUCUUUAUUCUAUACUGCAAUAAAAAUUUUAAUAAAUUGGUAAAGAUAUAUUACAUAAGUGCACAUCAUCUUUAUCUAACAUAUGAUCUCUUAUGUGUACAUUUUGUAUACAGUAGCAGGCAGUCUUCUAUUUUGAGGGCCAAAUGAUGUUUUUAGCCUUCCUAGAACUAUUCUCUUGCGCCUUCUUUCAAGUUUUUUCCUUUUAACUUCUACGAAUGUAGACUCGGACAUUCUAUUUAGGAGUCCGGCUAGAAUACUAUCGAUAGCACCAAGCGCUUAGUGCUACCGAGUUUUUCGCCGUUAGAUUUAACCCUUUGACUAUUUUUAUUUGUUAGAGUAUACUAUUCCACCAAUAACUCACUCAACCCUUGGGGGCCCACAUCAUCGUAACCGUACAUUUUUUCAUCCAAGGGCCGAAAACCUAAUAGCAUCAAUAGCUUGGUGCUAUUGAUAAUAUUCCAGCCUAGUUCUUCUAUUUAGCCUUUAUAAAGCUUUCUGCUCCGUCUUGUUCCAAUGCCUUUUCUUUUACUUUGUAAAGAGUGUAACUUCGUGGUAUAUAUGUUUGCUCUGAUUACUCUAGAGCUCCUAAUUAAAAGAAAGAAAUCCUUUUCACAAGCUUCUGAAACCAUGUAUUCUCAUGCAGUAGAAAGGAGUUUCCAUUUCUAUGCUAUACUGUCUAGAAAUUUGCCUUUAUGCCAGAUUUCUAUGCGCUUCUUUUUUAUUUUCUUUAACACUUUCGUAGAGUGUCAAAUUAAUAGGCCGAUCGAGUCAUUAAAGAUAGAGGAAUAUAUAGAAGCUACAAAUCCUUUUGGAAAUCUUAUCGAGUACAAUUGGAACAUUAUUUCCAGCUGCAUUAAUUCUUUCGCAUUCUACCUGAGAAACUAAUAAACUAUUGAUCGAUCACCAUUUUCCUACAUUGUCACUACUUCAAUUGGAGUAAAUUAGAGGUUUGACCAUAAUCAGAUGAAUUGUCAGACACUUGUGAGACUCCUUCGGUAUUUCUUGGCAAGUUUAAUUCUCAUAUGCUAUAGCUGUUGAUGUUAUGUUUUUUGCAAUAUACAUCAAUUGCUGUUUUUGGAAUGACACCAACAAUAGUAUUCGUUUUUAGAGUUCAAGUACAAUGAUAGUUCUGCAUUACUGCAAUCUUGAAGAGUAAUCUCUACUUCGGUGAGUCUCUUCUCUCGGACACAUUUAAUCAAGCAGGAUAUACAACUAUUCAUUUAAUCAUUCUCAUACCACACUUAGGUUCUUCAUACCAUUUUUCCUGCUAUUACUUUUCUUCUUCUUUUUUUUCAACUCUUUGGAUAUUUUUCUCUCUUUUUUGUCUUCUUCUUUCAUUAUUCAAUUCAAUUGCAGAAUUUUGUUUUUCUUUUGACAAAGAAAGUUUAGAAUUUUAUAGUGUAAUUGAGCACUUGCUUUUAUUCCAUCUUAAGGUGACUAAAGAUUGUAGGAUAUUUUGCUAGAUGUUCAUUUAUCAAAGGGUAAAAUGAUGAUUUUAUCUUUCAGUUUAAGAUCAAUUGAACUUGCUAACUGUUGUGUAAAUAGUUUAUGGAGGUUUAGUCAGGUGUUCUUAUUAUACAGCCGAAUAACAUUUUGUUUUGACAAAUUACAGAAAAAUAAUUUUAAUCCUGUGAAAUGCUUGAUUAUAGAUAAGAGAGUACAAGUGUAUUUUCUAAGCUAGAAAUAUAUAAACUAAUGAUGUAACAAAAAUUAUGCAAAGAGUUUUAUAAUUCAAAACAUUAAAUACUUAUUCUUAAUUAGUUGAGCAUAUAGUUCUAUCUAAUUAAAUUGGAAUUAAUAUAUAGAUGACAUUAUAUUUCAGUUGGCUAAAAAAACAGCAGAGAUUAAAUUGUCGAUAAGCAUAAAUGUACCACCGGUGACCUUCUAGUGAUAUUCUGAACAAAGGCUUCACAAGCAUGGAUCCGAAUUAAUGGCAUUAAGUAAAACACCUAUUACAAGUAAAGCCACUUCCUCAGCUUUAUAGUAAGAAUAUAAUUAGUAUAUAUGAUUUGAAGUUAAAGUGCUCUAGCUUUUUCAGAGAGGACGAAUUUUAUUAUGUGCUCUCUAGUCUCUCGUAACCAGUUGUCUUGAUAACCGAAAAAGAUUUAGAAACAAUAUCACAUGUAUGUGGCAUAUUUUGCUCGUAUAAUGAAUGCCUACUCCUAUAUGUGUAGUGAACCAUUUAUAUCUAUUAUGGCACCUUUCCCAGGAACCAAAGCGCGCGCGUCUUCCCAUCCUUGGUAGAAACUCAUCUAUCAUGUCUUUGGGGCUUUAAUUAAAUAUCCUAUUUUGUGCAGGUGAAAUGUGAAUGAACUAAAACUUGUUUAUGUAUUUCUUGAUAUAGAAGACUACAAGCAAUUUUUGAGAGCAUGCUUGUUGUGGUAAUCUGAAUAGAGGUUUCUUAUCGGCAUUUAUAUAAAUUCACUACUUCCAAUUAUUUUUUUUCAAAAAAAAAGUCUGCUUUCACACGAUUUGUUCUAUGGUAGGCUGCAAAACGAGAAGUGGGAGCUAAUGAAAGUGAGAUUUAUCCUUAUUGUGGGCUUUGGACGAUGAUUUAAAUUAGUAUAAUUAGGUAAACUUUCUAAGGGGAUUAUUUGAAUAAUUCAUUCAUAUCUAGAUAGUUAGCAUGAAUGAUGGUUAAGAAUGUCAUGUUUUAUAUUUUUAUUUUAGAUUAUGGUGCCCUUGAACAAGUCUGACGCAAUUUGUGUAAAAGUAGCAAGUUGUGCAGUCUUGUGCAGAAAUCAUGCAGUUUUUGUGUUCGAGAAAUAACUCUUGUGCAAUGCAGUUCAAAAUUUGUAUACCGCUAUGCAAAACUCGUGCAACUAUAUAGCACCGCAUCCAUAUAUCUGGGAUAUUGUGUUUUUGUAGACAACUUGGAAAUUUUUUGUUGAGUGUCUUGUACAUGCCUAGGAACUUAUGUACAUAGUUUUUUAGGUGGUCUUGAGCCUUGUGUUAUUUUGGAGAUUUGCAGUAGCAUGUCAAAAAAUAUGCACCACCUCACAUAAAUGGUCAAGGAAGCUUAUGAUUUUGAUUUCUACUUUCUUUUAGGAAGAAUGAAUUUUCUUGUAUCUUGCUCCCAAUGAUGGGUUCCUAGUGAGAGAAGAGUUGCUUCAUCGUCACUUUGGUGGAUUCCUUAUGGUGGCGAGUUUGCUCGUGUCCAAUGUGGUGGAUUCUACGGGGGACCAAGUAUUUAUCUGGCCGUGCUUGACCUUUGCUAGCUCUCCAAUCUUUUGGCAUUAGAGUAGCAUUAGGGCCCUGGGUUCAUGAUGGCCAACACACGUAGGCAUGGCCUGCAUGUGUGGAGGAUGCUCUAGCUUGUGAACACAACUUGUGGGACAUCAAGGUGGAUGACUUGUAGAGGCAAGUGCGACUAUUUGAAGAACAACUUGCUCGCUAUGAAUGUUUUGAACAUAAUGAUUCCUACCAUGGUUCAGAAUAUGAUUUAUCAAGCCAAGUUGAGAGGAUGAUUAACCCCUUUCAUGCUGCUUGAAGGUAGGCAAAUGUUGUGUCAGAUCGUUGGCACUAACUAUUAAUCUCAAAAGCUUGAGCUGUAAGAAAUACAUAACGAAUUCACUUAAAGCGUACAGACACAAUACCCACGGGUCUCGAUUGUGACUCGGCCCAACCAGCCUUAUGUCACUUCAAACAUGACUCGGCCUAGCCCGGCCUCCAACCAUUUGGUAUGUGACUCGGCCCAGCCAAGCCUUCCGCCGCAAGGCAGGAUGCUGACACCUUUAAGUCAACAAUCCCCACACCUCAGCACUAGCACAAAUCCACAGCAUUCGUGAAUUGAAUCUGUGACCUUGCUCUGAUACUACUUGUCGAAUUGUUGGCGCUAGCCAUUAAUCCUAAAGGCUCGAGUUGUUAUAAAUACAAAACCAAAGCGUACAGACAAAGCGCCCACGGAUCUCAAUUGUGACUUGGCCCUACUAGCCUUAUGCCACUUCGAACAUGACUCGGCCCAACUCGACCUCCCUCCAUUUCAGAUAUGACUCGGCCAAUUCAGCCUACUUCCACAGGGCAGGAUGCUGGCCUCUUUAUGCCAACAUAGUGAAGAGGCUUCCCAAUAUUAGCAACCUUGGAGGGACAAUUAAUGGGUUUCACCAUGAUAUUGACAUCAGUGUCAAGAUCCCUGAAUAUAAAGGAAAGAUUCAAAUAGACAAGUUAAUUGAUUGGCUUUGUGCCGCAGAUCGGUCGUUUGAACACAAGGAUUUGAAGAUUGUUUGUUAUCAAGUUUAAAAUGUAUGCUUCUAUUUAGUGGGAGCAACUCAAACUUUGUUGAGCACAUUGUCAUGGCCUUAGCUUUUUUGCUUGCAAAGUCCCUGCUGCACCCACCUUUCUCUACAAAGAUGGAUGAACCUUACUCCUUGUUGCUAGCUUGGACCUUCGCGUCCUACGACUAAGUAUGCAAAGGGAAGAAAAAAGAGAGAUAGAGGUUUCAUAUAAAAAACUAAGUACUCUCAAUUACUUAGAAAAAGAAGAUUACAACACACACACACACACACACACACACACACACACACACUCUUGUUGUAUUUGGCCUUAGCCAUCCCCACAAUUUAUAGAUCUAAGAUACAUUGAAUCUAGCCCACACUAACUCACCCAUUAAGCCUAUAUUAACUCACCCGUUAAUACAUAGUAAAGACCCCUCAUAAAUGCUAAGUUAAUUCAAGAGUUAUCCAUGACCCUUGGACUUUGCUUGGUAGUUUUUUGAAGGCUUAACAACAGCAUUUUGUAACCCCCCUCUCCUAUAUAAGGGCUGGAGUCGGACCUCCUUGACAACCUGCUCGAUUUAGUGAAGUUGGGCCAGGGACUCGAGCUGCGCAGGAAUUCUUCUAAGUCCCUGACAACGUGGAGGCAAAAGCUAAACUUCAAACUAGGAAGAAAAUAAAGAAAGGGUUUAAAAAGUUCUUAUCGGAAAACUAUUUGCAAGAUUUUUUUUUCUCGAGUUUCACUAUUUCUGGCAAGAGAAUCUCUUAGUGGAGGCACAUUCGGAGGGUAUCAACUUUUGAUGUGUUGCGAUAGUUUUGAUCCUGGGGAGCAAACCAUAGCUUGCUAUCUUGGUGGGCUCCAUCGAGAGAUUUUUGUCAUCAUUGAGGGACUUAUGACAUCUGUCACACCCCAAACCCGAGACGUAAUAGAUGCACCAUACCUGUUAGAUUAGCAAAUACACAAGGCUACAGAACUGGAUAGAAAACAAGUAGAACAUGAUUACUAAAAAUUUUGCUUAAUCCAAAGAAUUGAAAACAUGAGACGAACAACGAGCCUCAGCCAUAUUGAACAGAAAUGAUGUUCAAAAGGUUCCUAUCAAAGUGAAGAGGCAACUCAAGGCAAAGGAACUUUGGCAAACGAUGGGUGCAAGUGGUGCUUGACCAUUUGAUGCAUACGAUUUGGCCUUAGGAUACGUAGAGAAACAGGACUGAGCGAAAUCUGGUCAAAAUAAAGAUAACAAAGGCCCGGUCGAUGCGGUAUCGACCUUGGUACAGUAAAAUGGUCAUAGCUUCAGCACAGGUGUCUGUUUUCGACAUGCAACUCCAAUCGGAAAACAAUUUUUCGAAAGACGCAUUUUGAAUGGCUUUGUCAUUCUAAUUUAGCUUUGUGCCUAAAUUCAGUAAUAUAGACGUCCGAAUUUGCAGUUUUAGGUUUCUUUUAAUUAAUUUUGAGAAUGUUGUUUUGUUUCUUUUAUUAUUUCGAGUUAGAUCAUAAUUCUGUAAUAUUUACUCUGAUUAGGCUUAGACUUUGGUUAAUUUCGUAUUUUUGUGCUUAGGUAAGCGCCUUUAUAUAAAGGCCGAUUAGGGUUUUGUAAGGGGAGUAUUAUUUAGAGAGCAAUAUCAACUGUCUUUCAUUGUACAAGAGAUUCUUCUACCUUUCUCGUCCGUCCUUAUGCUUCUUUCGCCUCCAUUGCGGUAGUGGCUGCGUCACUGUUAGGUUGUGAAAACACUUCCACCUUAGGGAGUGGUUCUUAUCCGCGUAAAUUGCCAAUCCAAGAGCACUAAAUGAAGCAAAAUGUAACAGCACUAUCGGCUCACCUGAUUUCCCCUAACUCUAAUCUAAAAUGGUGCUACAAAUGUCAAAAUUCAAACCAUAAAUUCAUAAAUUCAAAUUAGAAUUUUAAAGUUUAGAUUUGAAUUCAAUAUGUUGAGUGUGUAAUUUAAGUUUGCACUUUGAAUUGUUAGUGCUAUUUUAAACAUUUUUAUGCGGAAUUUAACUUUUCUUUGAUUUUGACUUCUAUUAUUAACCAAACAAAUUAAGAGAUUUUAUCAUUCCAUUUUUCAUUAUGGUCUAUUCUGAUUCAUAUUCUGAUUUUAAUUCUCGUUUUGAACCAACCAUGUUUAAUUGAAUUAUGUCUCAUUCGUGUUAAUUCUAAUUCAUAUUCAUAUAUGCAUAUUAAUAUAUAUUAUUAUCAGAAUAAUAUCAUAAUACACAUCCGAUCCAUAUGCAAAUACGAAAAAAAUUAUCCGAUCAUAUCCUAAUCCAUUUUAGCGGAUAUGAUAACAAAAAUUUAGCAUCCAACACACAUCUACAUCCAAAUUUGUAUCCGGGAAAAAAAUAGUAUGGAUGCGGAUGUGGUUUCUUCAAAUAUUUGAUUGUAUCUGAUCCGUUUUCGCCCCUUUGACCGUCCGUGUGGUGGCUACUUUGCUCGUGUCUGAUGUGGUGGAUUCUUUGUGUCUGACAUGGUAGACUGAGUGCUUAUCUGGCCGUGCUUUGCAUCUCUGCUAGCUUUCUUAUAUUUCAGUGUUAGAUUAUGCAACAUAUCCUAAAAUUCCAACUGCUAGGUUAAAAAAAAAUCUAGAAAAUGAUGAAUGCAGUCCUUUCAGUAGGCUAGAGAGUAUUUGGCAUUAUUUUUUACUUGUUCUUUUUAAGAUUUCGAUGUUGCUUUAUGUUUUCUAUUAACUUGUUAAGCACCAUUUCACUUCAGUUUGAAAAACCAAAAAAUGGUAUAGUGAAAACAUUCUUUUGGUUCUCAAAACAAUGACCAAAUAUGCUAGCAACACGGCUGAUUUUACUAGAAAUCAAUGCAAAUGCCGGACAAUGCAAGUAAACAUAUUUUCAAAUUUGACGCCUAUGAAAGGAAACGGCGUGCAAACCACAUAACACAUUAGACAUUUUUACUGAAGUUUACAGCAAAAGAUACAUCAGGAGCUUAGAUUUACAAGAAGACAUCACAUUUGGUCGAGAGCUUUUAAUGUUUUCCAAAAGAAGAGAGAUUCCUUGAUAAGGAUCAUUGAUGUACAUAUUUUCACCUUCGGCAUGGGAAAAGAAUUUGUCUUAGUAGCAGCCUAGUAGCUUGGGAGUGGUUAAUUAUGCAGUAUUGUGUGGUGUAUUCCUCUGGAAUUUAUGGUGGCAAAAGCAUUAUGGUAGAUGCUUUGGCCAAAGCAGCUGCAAUUGCAAAGUACUAUCAUCACCACCAAUCUGUACUUACAGGAAGGAAAAACUUGUUUAAACCAAAACAGCCACAUCUUGGUAGCGCCAUGCGUGCAACUCAGCUUCCAUGCCACACCACACGUAUAAACUGGCUCUUCGUGUUCUCAUCCAUAGAAACUAGUUUCAAUCACUAUCAUUUUACUCAAAAGUAGUUGUCUCUAUGUCCUAUGACCAUUUUAUUGCCUUAUAAGUUCCACUGUACUACCAUUUAUCAUUGUGAUAAAUUUUGUCAAAGAAUACAAGGCUAACUCUAUGAAGAAGUCUUACCAUACUCCAGACCUUUAACUAUCCAUUUCAACAAAGAAAACAAGCUGUGAUUGGUAAUUGGUAUUUGUUUUAUGCAUCAAAUAGUUUGCUCCCUUUCUUGGAUAUGAAUUCAUCUUUUGCUUGGAUCAUGUGCCCUCUCGUGCUUUAGCUUUUAUUAAGCUAUGAUUUGGAGCCUCUUAAGUACAUAUUUAUUGAAGAGACUUCCAGAAGUGCACUUCAUUACAGCAGAUAUUUCUUGUCCUGAACUAGUAAGUAUAUAUUAACCUAGAAUUUACUAAAUUAUAUAUAAUAACCUUCCUAUGUCAAUUCUUUAGAAUAGUUUUAUUUUUUCCGUUUGAACUUUAUUUUUGCGUCAAAUUUGUUCUUUUCGGUUGACAUAUUGGAUAGUGGUUCCUACUGACAAGAAUGAUGAAAUUGAGGAAAUUAUGAAGAAUAAUUAUCAAUUAGAGGUAAGUAUAUAAGGAGAACAUCAAUUAGGGGAAAUCAAUCAAAGGAAAUUCUCCUAAAGUGCAAGAUGAUGUAUGCGGAAGAUGCUCACACCAUUCGGCUUUAUUAAUAUUCCUUUCAUAUGUAUUCUUUGUAUGGUGUAUUUUCCAAUUUUUUUGGCGAAUUUUUUCCCUUAACUUAAAGCGACCACUUUGUAGAGUACUCUGUCCUAUAAAAUCUGAUUACAUUUACUGUCCUAUAAAAAAUAAAGAAAGCCAAACGGUAAAAAAAAUAAAUGCAAAAAAAAGAAACUAAGAUUUACAUAGUUCGGCAAUUGCCUACGUCUACGGGAAGAGCGAGAAAGAUGUAUUCCACUAUACGAAGAAACAAAGUACAAUCUUACACCUUAUACCUUCUCUAGAUAAAAACCAAAAGCCUUGUAGUAAAUCCCACCAUUCUCUUGUUCCAACGAAAACUCCAAAAAAAUAUUCAAAAAGCUUUUCGUACUACCAAGAAGACUAAAUUAGAUAUGUAUAGAAAUCUCUGACCAAAAUCCUUUAUGCCGUUGCUUCGAUGAAUCUGAAUUGCUCAAGCAAUUGGUCGAAAAAUACCGCUCAGCUGUCGACUCCAAUCUAGACGUCGCAUGCGAGGCCGCCUCUCUCCUACCAUCGUAUGGCCAUUCGACUCACACACGAACGCUAAUCCGUACGGUCCACAUCCAUGCAUAUAUAUAUAGAGCUAGGCUGGUAUACUAUCGGUAGCACAGAGGCCUCCGUGCUACCAAGUUGUUUUCAAUGAUGCGGCUUCCGAAUCGACGAUUGGCUCCGUUAAUCUUAAUCUACACCAAUGAAAGUAUUUGGAAACUAACUUUCAUAAUUUUUCGGUAUCAUUUAUCUAUCAAACGAGUAGUCUAAAAAUAAACGGCUGAAAAUAAAAAUCUCAUAAAAAAUGAUGAUAAAAGACUUGAAUUUAAGAUCAGCGGUACUGAUCUUACUCUAAAUAGUGAAAAAAAAUUUCUAUAAAAAUUUCAUCAGAUUUGGAUUGUUUUACACCGUUAAAUUCACAAACGCAUCAUAUCUACCAUUAAAAUUGUCAAUUUUGAGACCUUUUGAUCACUAGCCAGAUGAUGUCGAAAAAUUAUGAAAUUUAGUUUCCAAAUACUUUUAAUAGUGUAGAUCAAGUUUAACGGAGCUGAUUGUCGAUUUGAAAACUGCAUCAUUGAAAAUAACUUGGUAGCACGGAGGCCUCCGUGCUAUCGAUAUAUAGUAUACCAGCUAGCUUUAUAUAUAUAUAUAUAUAUAUAUAUAUAUAAAACUAGGCUGUAUAGAACUAGGCUGAUAGCAUAUAUAUAAAACUAGGCUAUAUAGAACUAGGCUGGAAUGCUAUCAAUAUAUAGUACCAAGCUGUUAGUGCUAUUAGGUUUUCGGCAGCUUGGAUGAAAAAAUGUACGGUUGGGAUGAUGUGGGCUCCCUAGAGUUGAGUGAGUUGUUGGUUGAAUAGUAUAAUCUAACGGGUGAAAAUAAUCAAAGGGUUAAAUCUAACGGUUGAAAACUCGGUUGCACAAGUGCUUGGUGCUAUCGAUAGUAUCCCAGCCGGACUAUAUAUAUAUAUAUAUAUCGUACUUAUACUAUAUAUAUGUAUACUAUACUGAGCAUACAGUCAAAUCGCACAGUAACAAUUAUAUUUAGAUUUAUUUUAAAUAAUCAAAAAUUUUAUAAUCAUAUUUUUUUUUAAAAAAAUUAGAAUAAAAUAUUAUAAUUUAUAGUAUUAUAUUUUAUUAGAAAAUAUCUACGAUACUCAAUUUAAAUUUUAGUAUACAAAUAAAUGUGAUAGAUUUGAAUAAAAUAAAAUUCAAAUUUAAUCUCACGGAUUUCAACCUCAAAUUUAAAUUUAUAUUUGUAUCAAGUAGAUUAGAUAAAGUACUAUUUUUAAGCAGAUUGAUAUUCUGACACAAAUUUUAGAAUAAGCAUUAAUUUGUUUCUAUUUAGAGUAAAAAGAAAUUAAAUAAAUUUUGAAUUAAAACAUUUAAUCAUCAGUAAUAUCUUUCGUUGGUAAAAACUUUGGAUAGUAUUAUUUUUUUUUCUAGUUUAGAGAUACAGCGAAUAAAGUUUGUUUUAUACUUUAUUAUUUUACGUAAGGAAAGAGGAAUCUAAAUUUUUUUCCCGCCAAAGAAUGGUCUGUCGACAUGACCCAAAUUUGAAUAAAGUGCUUUUAUAUCUUAUAUAGUAUUAUUAUACUACGAACGGAGAGAAGAGAGAGAGAUGAGAGAGAGAGCAGAAAAGUAGCGCUACUGUGCUAUAGGACCAGCAGCCCUUUGUCUCUAGUUCUUACUAACCGCCUAUCAAAUUUGAUGGGUGGUUUAGUGGUGAAAGGGAGAAGAGUAAAUUAGAGAUGAAAUUGAGUUCUCAAUUUUCUCUUCUCUUUGAUUUCUCUCCAAUUUCUCUUUUAUCAUCUCACUCUAACCAGCGCUAUCAAAUAUUUGAUGGACAGUUCAGAACUUAAUAGAAUAUAAGGUGCUCGUGUUUCUAAUAGCCCACACCCCACCACCAACAGAGAGCCUAUCUUAUAUAUAUAUAUAAUAUAUAUUUAUAUAUAUAUAUAUAUUAUAUCGGGUAAUCCUUAUCCUACUCUACCUCCAAGUCAACUUGACUUAGAAGCAAUACAUAGGAAACCGGACCAAGUCCAAUUUUAUAUCCAACACGAAUUGGAAUCCACCAAUGAGAAUCCACAUUAAGCCUCUAAUUAUUUUCUAUGAACUUGGUGCAUGGAUCAAGCUAAUAAUAACAAAAGAAAGCAUAUUUUUAGCAUUCUCCAUCUGGACUUCUUUUGUACUUCAUCACUCUCUUUUAUCUUAUCGCCUCCUCUUCUUGAGACAUUCCAACACUAACAGGCAUGUAGGUUAGCAAAGUCUAGAGAAUGCCUAGACUUCUACGAUGUUAUCGGCUCACUGAUCAACUUAUACAAAUUUCCUUUAUUCUCUUCUAUUAUGACGACCAUAACACUCUUUUUCACCUUGACGACUCCACCUGAAAUACUAACAGAAUAGCCAAGAGUAAAGAGUAUGAAACGAUAUCAAAUUCAACCUGAGACACGAAAUGUGUCUCACAUCCAUCAACGUCCUCACCACACCGUCAAACACCUUUAUUUUUCCUGCUCUGAUACCGACCAUCUUGCAUGUAGUGUGAUUAUUCAUCACAACACUACCACCUUUUCACAAGAUUUAUAAGUAUCAAAUAAAAACCUGUCUGGAGACAUUUGAUAAGAACAACUAGAAUCCAAUAUCCAGUCUCCGAGAGCAAGGUUUUAAGUGCCCGUCGGCACGUGCCGUAUCCACCGUACUGUACCGUACCAACAAGAUACUGGCACGAUACAGACCCCAUGCCGAUGGCACAGCUCAAAGCCCUCUAUUUUUUAAAUUAGUAAGUAAUUUUCUAAAUAAAGUUCAAAAGAUGUGAUAAAAAGACAUAAUAAAUAGUUAGAAUAUUUUGUUGCUAAAGAAAAUAAAUAUUUCAUACUAUUAUGUGUCGACACAAAAGAAUUUUUUUUGACCGGCACGCAUCAGCACGGUUCGGCACGCAUCGCGCCGGCAAUUUUCCGGUACGACCCCAUACCACGGCACUUAAAUCCUUGACCGAGAGAUUCUGAAUCAGUUGUAACCGUCAAGGCACCUUGACCGGAAACGCUAGCUAUGCUCGCCGCAUCUGUAGAAGAAUUUCGAUUUUUUCAGCCAAGCCUUCCUCCUUGCGCAGUUUUUUUUUUUUCACGUGACUCUCUUUCUUCCAGAAGUAACACUUUAGCUUUUUCGAUUUUGACUUAAAACGGGAUAUUCCUUUACAUACAUCACGUUCACUUGAUCAUCCCUUUCCUCCAACCUGCAUUGCUUUCAUCAGUACUUGCCGGUAACCUGAUCUCCUCAGAUAGAAGGGUUGACAUAACAUCUUUCAUUUUUAGAGUUUGUUUCCAAUACAAUAUGAUGGUCACCAGGUGAUUGUAGGAAGGCGGAAGUGAUGUAAGAAAAAUCAACGCUUUAUCAUCCUUGUCAACCUUGAUAUUAAUGUUGAGCAAAUCUGCAAUAAUUUUAUUAAAGGUGUUUAAGUGUUUCGUGAUUGUCGUACGUUCCUUCAUGCAUAGCCCAUAUAACUUUUGCUUUAGGUACAGCACGUUCGAGAGGCUUUUUGUCAUAUACAGCUUCUCUAGCUUGUUCCACAUGUCGACUGUAGUUUCUUCAUCUAUUACGUUAUACAUCACCUAUGUUGCUAGGCACAAUAUAAUUGUAUUCACCGCCUGCAAAUCAAUCUUCUCCCAAUCAUCAUCGCUAAUCAAUGUCGGUUUUUUUGAUUUUGCGAACAACGCCUUAUGAAGGCCCUGUUGUACUAGAAGAGCUUUCACUCUUCUCUACCAGAGACUGAAGUUUUUUUUGUCGUCAAAUUUCUCCACCUUAAACUUAGAAUACGAGACUUUUGAUAUCUUUGCUGUAGCACGAACCUUAUGCUCUGAUACCACUUGUUGGGAACCUGAUUAAUCGUCCGUUGUGCAUACCAACAAAGAUGCACGAAAAAUAGAGAAAAUCGAACGGUAAAAAAAAUAAAUGCAGAAAGAAGAAAUCAAGAUUUAUGUGGUUCAGUAAUUGCCUAUGUCCAUGGAGAAAGCGAGAGAUAUAUUCCACUAUACGAAGAAACAGAAAUACAAGCUUACACUUAUGUCUUCUCAAGUUAAAAAACCAAGAGAGCCUUAUGGUGAAUCUCACCUUUCUCUUGCUCCAACGAAAACUCUAAAAAAUUAUCGGAAAAAGCCUUUCAUAAAGUCAUAACCGAGAAGACUAAAUUAGAUAAGUAUAGAAAUCUCUGACCAAAAUCCUUUAUGUCGUUGCUUCGAUGAAUCCGUGUUGGCUUAAAUGGGCCAGCAUCCUGCCCUGUGACGGGAGGCCAUGCUGGGCCGAGUCAUAUUCUAAAUGGCGUGAGGCUGGGUGGGCCGAGUCAUGUUCGAAGUAGCGUGAGGCUAGUUGGGCCGAGUCACAAUCGAGACCCAUGGGUGCUGUAUCUGUACGCUAUAAGUGAAUUGGUUGUAUAUUUCUAACAGCUCAAGCUUUUGGAAUUAAUGGUUAUCGCUAACGAUCCAACAAGUGGUAUCAGAGCCAGUGGUCACGAGUUCGAUUUCCACAUGUUGCAAAUGUGUGCAGGUGCUUGAGGAGGGAUUGUUGGCUUAAAUUGGCCAGCAUCUUGCCCUGUGGCGGGAGGCAAUGUUGGGUCGAGUCAUAUUCAAAAUGGCGUGAGGCUGGGUGGGCCGAGUCAUGUUCGAAGUGACGUGAAGUUGGUUAAGUCGACUCAUAGUUAAGACNAUGUUGGGUCGAGUCAUAUUCAAAAUGGCGUGAGGCUGGAUGGGCCGAGUCAUGUUCGAAGUGGCUUGAGGCUAGUUAGGCUGGUCACAAUCAAGACCCGUGGGUGCUGUAUCUGUACGCUUUAAGUAAAUUGGUUGUAUAUUUCUAACAGCUGGAGCUUUUGGGAUUAAUGGUUAGUGCCAACAAUCCGACAAUCCGAACCUCUUAGGCAAUUGGUAGAGAAAUACUGCUUUGUUGCCGACUCUGAUCCAGACGUCGCAUACGAGGACGCCUCUCUCCUGCCGUCGUACAACCACCCGGGUGUCGUGAAUUAAUUAGCUCGACGACGCUAAUUAAUUUCUCAGACACGAACACCAAUCAGUACAAUCCAUAUGCAUGCAUAUAAAUAGUAUUCACAUAUAUGUAUAAGUGACUCUUGAUUUCUAAAGACCUCUAAGAAAACCCUAAAAAAGAGUUCUAACAAAAUAAGAACCUCAACUAUCUUGUUUGGGAAAAACCCCCAAAUUAAAUAAAUUUUAAAAAAUACUAACUCAUCUCUUCACCUUCUAGCAAGAGAAACAUAGGUGAAGUGGACCUCUUCUCCAUCCAAGAGCUUCCUCUUGAUGCCUUUGACCUUCCCCAAGCUCCCAAGGAGAUGGAUCAACAAGCUCCAACACUGGGGGAUUUUAGGACUCCAUUUCUUCAAAAGAGAGAGAAGAUAUAGAGAGUGAGAUAGAAGGAAAUAAGAGAAGGAUUAAGGUUGGCUGUGUUGGAUGUGGCCCACAUGAUAUAUUUAAGGCGAUCCAUAAAGAUACAGUCAAUCUAUUUAAGUCGAUCUAUAAAGAUACUUUAGAUCUUACGGUUAGGAUGUAUCUGGACACGUUCUUGAUGGACGGACGUGAUUUAACAUCCUAGUAUCAAGUUAUAUAUAAAUAUGUAACAUACAAGAGUCCCGAUCUAACCCUAAUCCAAUUGUCUGUGACGGCUCCAUCUCCGGCGAUAAGGGAAUUAGACUCGAAACGUCCCGCUACUUUGCAGAUCGCGAACGAGGACGAACCACGAGCAAGGAUCACCGUCAACAAUUCGGGUACAGAAAUCGAAAUCAUGGCAGAAGGUACGAUCUUAGUUUUUUAUAAAGUUCCAACAUGUGGUAUCAGAGUCGAACCUUUUGCGGGAUUUUUGUUUCUUUCCGGAUUUCGUUUGGUUUUCUUUUCAUUAAAAUAAAUAAAUAAAUAAAUUCGUCGAUGGUUUGCGUUAAUGGUAACGUCGGCCGAUCUCAAUCGAGAUCGGCGUUUGGAAGAACGACGUCAUCGGCCCGAUCGCAUUGAGCGAUCAAGAAGCCAAAAAAAAAGAAAAAGAGAAAGGAUGAUGGGGCGGCAUGGCGGACUCGUGCCACCACGCCACCCUGGCGCCCUAGGCGCGGCCCCAUUAGGGCCGCACUAGGCAGCCCGUAAUGGGACUGCCUAGGUGGCGGUGAAAAAAAAAAAAAAAGGGCAAAAAGGGGGUUGCAGCUUGCAACCCACGGGGGCUGCCAUGUGUAGCCCUAUGCGGGCCCACCGAAGAAAAGAGAAUUUAUUUAUUUAUUUAUUUAUUUAUUUUUCAUUUAAAAUAAUGAAAUAUAGUUUUGCUUAAUAAUUUUCUUUGCAAUGUGACUUAUUUUAGAAGAAGUCUAUAUAUUAAAAUUAUAUAUAACUUUUGGUAUUUGUUAUAUAUAAUUUCUGUUCUACUCGUUUAUUUAUUCAUGAUAUAAAGUAACAUGUUUAGUUUAAUAUUUUACGGUAUAUUUUUGUAUUAUUACUCUAAACAUAUAAAAGGUAAUCAUGAAAAUUUAAAAGUAGAGUAUAUAGACUUCAUACAUUUUAUAAUCUUGAGUCACAUAAGGUUGUUAAGAAAAUUACUCAAGACUCUUAUUAUUUUUUCACUGUGUUUUGGAAUAAUAUGAAAUUUUCAGACAUUCAUAUCAUAUAUGGACUUGUAAGAUUAACUAUGUUUAGGAGUAGCCACAACAUCUUAGUCAUGGUAUAUGAUCACUUAUGGUAUUUUUAUAAGAUGAUAUUGAAUUAAAGUUAAUCGAAAAUUCAUAUGGAUUCACAAUUUAUUUUUAAAGAGUCAUUCAAUAUCAAAUAAGGUUAUUUGUAUUUUCCAUUAUGCUCAGGAGUAGCCACAGCAUCCUAUAGAUAAUGAAAAAUAUAUAAGGUAUUACUGAUAUUGAAUUAAAUUUGACUAUUUAUUGCAGUCAAAUAAAUUAAUUUUCUGAAUUUUGACUGGAAUAAGAUAGUGGAUUGAAUUUCUAGAUAGCGAGUUUUCUUAUACCCACAAGUACAGAAAUCUUGUUGUUUAGAAAUUAGUUUUCUGCUAGUCUUAUUAUUAAAAUAGAUGAAUUCUAUACGUGUAGCACCUCUGCCCACAGAAAGGUAGAAUUUAUCUAAUCUAAAGAUUAUUAUCUUAUAGUAGGCGAUAAAGUUCAAUAUUUUCUUUAUUUUUGCAGCUUCUUUCUCUACUACAUUUCUUAAUGAUGUUUCUCGUAUCCCUAUGCUUACUAGGGACAAUUAUUCUGAUUGGAAAAAAAUUAUUUCUUUUACUUUGGGUUAUAUGGAUUUAGACUUGGCUCUGCGCGUUGAGCAACCGCCUAAAGUAGUGGGGCCAAUAACUCCACAGCAGGAAUUCGCGCGGAAAAAGUGGGAGCGAUCCAACCGCUUAAGCUUGAUGCUCAUAAAGUCUAGAGUAUCAAAAAGCAUAAGGGGAUCAAUUUCAGAAUGUAAUAAAGCCAAGGAUUACCUAAAGGCCAUUGAGGAGCAGUUUGUCAGCUCCGAUAAAGUUUUGGCGAGCACGCUGAUGAAGCGACUUUCGGACAUCAAGUACAAUCGAGCCAAGGGUGUGCGCGAGCACAUUAUGGAGAUGCGGAACUUAGCAGCUUAACUAAAGGCUUUAAAAGUUGAGAUCUCCGACACCUUCUAGUCCAUCUAAUUCUAAACUCAUUACAGUCUAAGUUUGACCCUUUUAAGAUCUCCUAUAACACACAUAAGGAUGAAUGGUCAAUAAAUGAAUUAUUGACCAUGUGUGUUCAAGAAGAUGAGAGACUUAAGCAGGAGAAGCUGGAAAUUAUAACAGAAUCUGUUAAUCUGGCGACUCAGCGCAAAAAGGGGCGGAGAAAGGGUGUCUCCAAUUACAAGAAGUCAGCUCAAUUGCCAAUAAAGAAUUCUGGCAAGAAAGAUCAAUGCUACUUCUGUAAAAAGAAAGGGCACAUGAAAGGGACUGCUUGAAGUAAAAAGCUUGGCUCGAGAAGAAAGGUAUUGAAACUAUCUAUAUUUAUUAUGAAUCUCAUUUAGUUAAUGUUCCUAAAAACACAUGGUGGAUUGACUCUGGAACUACUGUACAUAUCUCUAAUACCAUGCAGUGUUUUCACAACCUAACGAUGUUGAAGUCAAAUGAAAGGAUUUUAAUUAGCGGAGAAGGAAAUAAAUCUCAAGUUAAAGCCGUAGGAAAGUUUAUUUUAGAACUUAGUACUGGUUUUGUACUUGAACUUAUGAUACUUUUAUGUUCCUAAAUUUUCUAGAAAUUUAGUUUCUGUUUCUAAAUUGAGAAAUAAAGGUUUUAAAUUUUUAUUUGAAAAUGAAUCUUUUACUAUGUUCUCCGAUAAUGUUAUUGUAGGCAAUAGUUGUUUGGUAGAUGAUUUGUACAAAUUUAAUUUGAGUCAAUCUUUUGAAAAUAAUUUUAAUGUUGAUCAUGACGUUGGUGUUAAAAGGAACAUUAUUAAAGAAAACUCCUCCUAUUUAUGGCACAAGCGUUUAGUUCAUAUCUCUUUAGAGAGAAUAAAGAGAUUGGUAAAAGAAAAGAUCUUACAAGAUCUUGACUUUAUCGAUUUUGGUAUUUGUGUGGAAUGCAUAAAGGGAAAGGAUAUUUACACAAAUACCACUAAAAGUGCCAGAAGGAGUUCUGAAAUUCUUGAGAUCAUACAUACAGAUAUCUGUGGACCUUUUCCUACUCCUUGUUUCAACGGUCAGAGAUAUUUUAUCUCAUUUAUUGAUGACCAUUCAAGAUAUAUAUAUCUCUAUCUCUUAUUUGAAAAAGCUGAGGCUCUUGAUGCUUUUAAAGUUUAUAAGGUUGAGGUAGAGAAACAAUUGGAUAGGAAAAUCAAGAUUGUAAGGUCCGACAGAGGAGGUGAGUAUUAUGGAAGACAUACGGAUAAAGGUUAAAUGAUUGGUCCAUUUAGUCAAUUUCUGAAAGGUGAAGGCAUCAUUGCACAGUAUACGAUGCCUGGCACGCCCCAACAAAAUGGCAUUGCCGAAAGGAGGAAUAGAAUACUCAUGGACACGGUAAAGAGCAUGAUUAGCAACUCUUGUCUUCCAUCUUCUCUUUGGAGUGAAGCACUAAAGACAAUGGUGUAUGUUUUAAAUAGGAUUUCAUUGAAGGCUAUUUCCAAAACUCCUUUUGAGUUAUGGAAAAGGUGGAAACCUAGUUUAAAUCACCUGCAUGUAUGGGGAUGUCCAGCUGAGGUGAGGGUUUAUAAUCCACACAUAAAGAAAUUAGACCCUCGAACAGUCAGUGAAUAUUUCAUUGGCUAUGCGGUAAACUUCAAAGGAUUCAGGCGUUCUAUUGUCCAAAUCACCCAUCCAAGAUAGUUGAGGCCAGGAAUGCUAAAUUUCUUGAGGAUUUCGAAGCUAGUGGGAAUGCUGUUCCUCAAAAGAUGGAUUUUGAGAAAAUAAGAGAUUCAACUAGUUAUCCAUCAACAGAUAAUAAUCUAGUUGCGCUUCCAGGAGGUCAAUUUGACCGAAAUGGAGAUCAACUAAUCUUAGAGUAUGAAAAUGCUGAACCAAUUGAACCUCCCCAUGAAGAUCUGUCCCAAGAGGAACAGAUAAUUAUAGAGCCAGCUGCACAGAAUAAUAAAAUCUGCAGGAAGAGGUUGGCUUAAGAAGAUCCUCAAGACAAAGAAGAUUGGCGAUUCCUGAUGAUUAUGUAGUCUAUCUUCAAGAGUCUGACUUUGAUGUCGGACACCAUAAAGACUCAUGAACGUUUUCAGAAGCCAUGCACGAAGAUAAAUCCUCCCUAUGGUAUGAUGCCAUGAAGAAAGAGAUGAAAUCUAUGACGGAUAACAAAGUUUGGGAUCUCGUUGAGUUACCACAAGGAGUCAAAGCCAUUGGCUGUAAAUGGGUCUACAAGACCAAAAGGGACUCUUUAGGUAACAUAGAACGAUAUAAGGCCAGACUUGUCGCCAAAGGUUUCACUUAAAAGGAAGGCAUUGAUUAUCAUGAAACCUUCUCUCCAGUAUCAAAGAAGGAUUCAUUAAGAAUUAUCAUGGCUUUGGUAGCUCAUUUCGAUUUAGAGCUACAUCAGAUGGAUGUGAAAACGACAUUUCUAAAUGGGGAUAUAGAGGAGAUAGUCUAUAUGCACAAGCCCGAAGGUUUCAACACAGAUGAAAGUAAUCACCUUAUUUGCAGACUAAAGAAAUCUAUAUACGGACUUAAACAGGCUUCCCAUCAGUGGUAUAUCAAGUUCCAUAAUAUAAUUACUAUAUUCGGUUUCGUAGAAAAUAUUGUGGACCAAUGCAUAUACCUUAAGGUUAGUAAGAGUAAAUAUAUUUUUUUAGUUCUGUAUGUAGAUGACAUUCUGCUUGCAAGUAGUGAUUUGAAUUUGCUUAAAGAGACUAAAGAUUUUCUUUCUAAAAACUUUGAUAUGAAGGAUAUGGGUGAAGCUUCUUAUGUCAUUGGCAUAAAAAUUCACAGAAAUAGAUCUCAAAGAAUUUUGGGUCUAUCUCAGAAAGCCUGCAUCGAAAGAGUUCUAGAAAGGUUUAAUAUGACAAAUUGUGCACCUACAGCUGCGCCUAUUAUAAAAGGUGACAAAUUCAAUCAGAAAUAGUGUCCUCAGAAUGAUUUAAAACGAGAAUAUAUGAAGAGCCUGUCCUAUGCCUCUGCAGUAGGGAGUUUGAUGUAUGCGCAGGUCUGUACCAGACCUGAUAUAGCUCAUGCAGUGGGGAUGUUGGGUAGAUACCAAAGCAACCCUGGCCUUGAUCAUUGGAAAGCUGCAAAGAAGGUUAUGAGAUAUUUACAAGGAACAAAAGAUUAUAUGCUCAUCUACAAACAUUCUGAUCAUCUUGAGGUGGUUGGGUAUUCGGACUCUGAUUUUGCUGGAUGCAUGGAUUCUAGAAAGUCCACACCAAGAUAUAUUUUCUUACUUGCUCAAGGUGCUAUAUCUUGGAGAAGCACUAAGCAAGAUACAUUUGCUACAUCCACUAUGGAGGCAGAAUUCAUCGCUUGCUAUGAGACUUCGUCACAGGCUUUAUGGCUGAGAAAUUUUAUCUUAGCUUUAAGAGUUGUCGAUUUUAUCUUAAGGCCAAUUAAGAUUUAUUGCGACAACUCUGCUGCAGUGUUCUUUGCUAAGAAUAGUCGAAUUACAGAUCGCAACAAGCAUAUCGAUAUAAAGUAUCUUGCUGUGAAAGAAUAUAACAAGAAGAAUGUGGAUAUCCAACACAUUGGGACCGAGAUGAUGAUUGCUGAUCAUAUGACUAAAGCAUUGCCGGCAAACAAAUUCAAGAGUCAUAUUCAUCAUAUGGGUAUCUUGAGUCCAUUUACAGUUUAAGUGUUUUCUUCUUGUAUAAAGACUUUAAAGACUAUUCUUAUUUGAGUAAGAACAAAUUUUUGGUUUUUUGCACGUAUGCGCAUAAAGUUAUCUUUUGUACAUUAAAGUAUUGUUGUGCACUAAAGUGGGAUUCUGAGUUGAACUUAUAGUAAGUUCAUAUGGUUGUAACUCAUAAAAUUAUUUGAUUAAGGAAUACGUGCUUUUGAUACAUGGAAGAAAGUGUUUAUUUUUUGGGGCAUAAUCGCUAUGAUCAAAGUAUUGUAAUUUCUUGGUCGAGUAGGAGAUUUUGACUGUAUAAUUUAGUUGGUACCUAAUAAAGUUUUGUAUCGCCUAUAUGGUAAUAAAUAUAUCACUAGGCCAAGUGGGAGAAUGUUGGAUGUGGCCCACGUUAUAUAUUUAAGGCGAUCCAUAAAGAUACAGUCAAUUUAUUUAAGUCGAUCUAUAAAGAUACUUUAGAUCUUACGGUUAGGAUGUAUCUGGACACAUCCUUGAUGGACGGACGUGAUUUAACAUCCUAGUAUCAAGUUAUAUAUAAAUAUGUAACUUACGGUAGUCCCGGUCUAACCCUAAUCCAAUUGUCUGUGACGGCUCCAUCUCUGGGGAUAAGGGAAUUAGACUCGAAACGUCCCGCUACUUUGCAGAUCGCGAACGAGGACGAACCACAAUCAAGGAUCACCGUCAACAAUUCGGGUACAGAAAUCGAAAUCAUGGCAGAAGGUACGAUCUUAGUUUCUUAUAAAGUUCCAACAGGCUGAUAAAAAAGUCCUUUUAUAGAAGUGCUACAAUAGCACAUAAACCCCUCAGGUUUCGGGUGCCCGCCCUAACUUUCGAGUCCUGAAAGUGAUGUAGCUGCACUAGGUUGAUGGUUCGAACGCCUGCACACCGAUGUUCGGGCACCCUAAGAGGGAUCGAGCAUCUGAUUGUUUAUUGUGUCGUGCGACCUAUGCUCUCGUGUUGAGCAUCUGAAAGUCAUUAAGAGGUCCCCGAGGGAUCACCAAGAAAGAUGUUCUGGGGGCCAGCAGCGUCAUUCGGACGCUCGAAUGUUUAAUCAUUCGUGAUCUAAGCUCUUGGGUUGGGAGUUGGGAAGGGUUCCGGAAGCCCUCAAGUAGGAUCCGAAAAGAUCCAAGCACCCACAAGGCUAUUUGAAUGCCCAAAUGCUAGCCUCCUUGCCACCCCUACUCUGUGGAACAGCGUUCACUUGUUCAGGGCGCUCCGUUGGGCCAUUUGAAGCUAUUUUGGGGGCCCGAAUUCCUAUUCCAUACGCCCGAAAAGUCUGAAAGUCAGAUUUCUUUCUUUCAGAAAUCUGUUUCAAUUCGAAUUAAUUUUGAUUCAAUCCAAACUCAAUCUAGGCUCAUUCCAACCUAUUAUAAUCAUGUCUAGCAUGGAUUAAUUCACAUUUUGUCAAUUUAGCUAAAGUUCGACAUGUUACAGGUUUACCUAUUUUGCAGAAACACCUUGCGCUUGUUGGAAUUACAAUUUAGCACAAUUUUAAUCUGGUGGACUUAUUUGGAGCUCUACAAAAUGUCGAUUUAGGCUCAAAUUUAGACUUGCAGACUCAACUAAAAUAAUAAGAGAUAAUUUAAUUUCUUUAUUCAGUUUUGAAUCACUUUUGCUCACCUAAAGCCUGCCAAGAGAAAUUUUUAAUGGGCUGCUGUUGGACUCCGUUUAUACCACUCAAUAGUCGAGUGGCACGAAACUUGAAAUCUAAGUUCAGUAUACUAAAAUUGAUGGCUUUCCAAAAUUUUAUAACUUUUUACCACUAUUUAACUUUUGUCAAAAACAUGAACCACAUUCCUUACAUGUUUCUCACAUAUUUUGAAACAUGCCACUGAGAUUCCGAAACGUGAAACCACAUUUCACUAAGGGCGUGUUUGGUUCGCCCCUUUUUCACCCUGGAAUUGGAAUCAGAAUGGACGAAUCCGUUUGUCUGUAUUUGGUAUGCGGGAUUCCCAUUCCGAUUUCGAUUCUCGGGUGAAUGAGAAUCCCCCCAAUACCCCUUUGUCCAAUCCAGCCUAGGAAGCCGGAUUGAAAAUUGAAUCCGGACGGAAUGGAUUUGUUCGGAUUAAAUUUAAAUUUUUUAAGUUUAUUUUUUAAUUAACAUAUAAGUUUAAGUUUAAAAAUUAUAAAUUUUAAUUUUAAUUUGAACUUAAAUUAAAAAUAAAAUUCAAUCAAGCAUUUCGAAUCUAAUUUAUAAAUUUGAAUUUAAAUUUACUUUAAAAUCUAAAGUUUUAUUCAAAUUUUAUUUAAAAUUUAAAUUAAAUUUAUGGAUUCAAAUUGAAAUUUAAAUUUGUUGGCUUAAAUGUGCCAGCAUCUUACCCUGUGGCGGGAGGCCAUGUUGGGCCAAGUCAUAUUCCAAAUGGCGUGAGGCUGGGUGGGCCGAGUCAUAUUCGAAAUGACAUGAGGCUGGGUGGGUCGAGUCAUGUUCGAAGUGACGUGAGGCUGAUCGGGCCAAGUUACAAUCGAGAUUCGUGGGCGCUGUAUCUGUACGCUUUAAGUGAAUUGGUUGCGUAUUUCUAACAGCUCGAGCUUUUGGGAUUAAUAGUUAGCGCCAACGAUCCGACAAGUGGUAUCAGAGCCAGAGGCCACGGGUUCGAUUCCUGUAUGCUGCAAAUGUGUGCAGGUGCUAGAGGCCAAAGUACGAGGCAAUAGUGUUCCUCCAACUCUUUUUCACUUUUUUCAUUUUCCUCAACUUUGUCUUCUAGCUCUAAGAAUUAAACUCUUCUUUCAUUUCAUAAUUGGUGAACAACACAACACAAUUAAAAGCGUAUCACUGAAAUAUGCCAAAUCCUUUACAAGAGCGGCACAGAAUGCUGUUGUUGUUGCUUGAUCUAACUGGCACUGAAGGUUAUCUUUUUUUUUUUUCAAAAAAAUCUUCCAUUUUAAUUGAUAAAUUUUAAUCGUGCUCAUUUUGAGGGAAAGUUUAUCUAUUUUGAUCAGUUUUUCAAAUUACUUGUCAUCAUGUAGAAGGGAUAGAUUGUUGGAUUUUAUCCAAUGAUAAUUCUGAUGAUUACAAACAAAAUUCAGAUUUAAUCUUUUACUUAGUAGUUUUAGGUUUUAGUUACAUUCAUAUUGACCUGGAUUGAAUCAAAGUUGAAUUAAGUUGACCCUUGAAUCCAAUGACCCAAAAAUGGUCCGGACAGGAUCAAACAACACCAAAUUGGACGCAAGUGCCAUAGAAGUACUUCAGAGGGCUGCUCUGCAAUUUAUCAGAUCUUUUGGGGAUUAUGGAGCAACUUUGAGCAUACUUGAGUGCUUCUAAAUCUUGGUGUAUAGGAUUAGUCGACCGCACCAAUAUGACCAGUCAACUACCCAUUCUUACUAGUGCGAUCCGAGAGCAAGUUUCUCACAGGAUUGAAAAUACAGAAGCCCGGCCGGCCACAUAGGUUAGGCCAACAGUUUUUUUUCAAGCAAUUUGGGCAUCCAGAGGAGAUCAAUUAGCUGUUGCUGCGAAUAUAAAAUUUGAAAUAUGGUAUGAAUUCAAAAGAAAUUUGAAAUAUGGUAGAAAUUCAAAAGAAAUUCAAUUAGCGGUUAUGUCAUGCUUCUUUUCCAAAUUUGAAUAUGCUAUGAAUUCAAAAGAAAUUGGAAAUAUGAUAUGAAUUCAAAUGAAAUUCAAUUAACCCUUACGUUAUGCUUCUGUAUACUUUUCUAAAUUUUAAAUUAUGGCUAUUGUUUAAAAAAUUUGUAUUUAAGGGACCUUAGACGAAGUUUGAAGUAUCUCUCUACACUGAAAAAUUUCUAAGUUCAAAUCAUUCUCUCAGCUUUUAUUGUAUUUGGAAUUGUGAGUUUCUUUGGGACUGGUUGUAAUAGAAAUCUUGUGAAAGUGAGAUUGCAUCCGGUUCUGUUCUUUCCACAUUUAAAAAGGCCAAGUGGUAGUGUUUAAAUUAGUAUCUUUAAGAUAAGAAGGACCGAACCGGAGUAGACAAAAAGGCCAAACCAGAAUAAAUCGACUGUGUCAUUUGUGCUUAUUUUUUCCUUCUCUUUCUUUUAUUUGUGUUAUUUGAGAACUAAUUCAGCCCCUUCUUUACCUCCUAGUUGCCACUUGAUCCUUUAACUAUACACCAAGAUAUUAAAACUAUCAUCCGCGAGACACGUGAGAGGAACAUUAGGUAUAUAUAUUUGGUGAAAUUUCAUCCGGUUAACCUAUACUUUCAACUGAUCUAAAGAGAAAUAUUUAAUUUCUUUUUACUAGAGUAGUUUCCAUUAUUCAAUUGUUCAUCUUUGUGAUCCUCUCUAUUUGGCAGGCUCAAGGGUUUCACUCUCAGAGUCAACAAGCUCUCGCAUAUAUCAUAGAAGAAUAGGAAGUCCGACAAGAUCGGUCAUUGAAAGGUCAUCGUAAAUUGAUCCACUAGAUCGAUCAUGGCAUUCAUAUUGAAGAAGCUUUUCUGACAACAUAUAUACUCCUGUCGAAGUUAGAUCAGAUGCGAUAAAAUCCGGUGACUAAUUGUAUCUGAUCAAUGUUUCACACCCGUGGCAGUUGAACCUGCCAUACAAGGUUUAGUAGAGGCUUAUUAUAAUUGUUGCCCAGUACUGAGUUUGCGGAGCUGAGAUUAUACACACAGAAUUGGAAAGCAUUCAAUGGACGAAUUUUGAUGUGUAUAACAUAUGUAAUCUUCUUCUAUAUUUUCUGGUAAUAUCCUUUAAUAGAACUAAGAAUUCUAAUGAUCAUCCACAUGGGUUCGAUAUAGCUAGUGAUAUACCUUGGUUUAAUAUUUUAUAAUUCAAAUGAUCAUUUGUCCUUCUAUGUGAUGUUUUCUGUUUACUAGUUAAUGAUGUACUCAUUAUCUUCCUAGCUAUAUGUCUUUUUGUUUCUUUUUUUUAAAAAUUUUAUUUUCUUCCUUUUCCUCUAAAUGUGGGUGAAUAACAGUUUAGAUUUUGAAGUGUGUUCACAAGUGCAGUAUUAAGUUUGCUUGGUUCUUUGCAUUCAUUCUGUUUGACUCGACCGCUUCUAUUCUUUUCUUCUUCUUUUUUCUUCUUUUUUUCUUUUUUUUUUUGAGAGAUAGUUAGUACGCUACCCGCUUUGUUUAUUUCAUUUAGAAAUAAACUUAGCUAUAAAUGUGAAUCAACUAGGAUUCGAACUUAGAACCUCGGGUAUUAACCACCAAGCCCUUUGCCACUUGCUUUAGGGACCGUCGAUUGAUGCUGCUAUUCUUUUCAGUAUUGAGUAGAGUACUCUACACAUCAUUUGAAACUACACUCGUGUCACCAUAAACGUAUGUUGCUAUCAGAUUGAAAUUCGUCACUAAUGAUAUUUCGCAACUAAAAAGCCUUCGUUCAUCGCUGCAGCCCGUCGCUAAACCAUUUUAGCGACGAAGUUUGUGCUUCAGCAUGUAUCGUAAUCCUGAUUGUUGGAGAGCAGAGAAGUAUAUUUUAUAGAGAAGUAUUAUGGUAAAGUAAAUAAAAUACUUAGGCUUAGUUUGGUAUUGAGCUCUAUCUGACGCUGUUAAAUAAAAUAAAGUUAGGAAAAAAGCAUAUAGGAAUAUGCUUAUGCGUUCUCCGGGAAGACCGUAGAAAAUAUAUUAUAACGAACUCAUCGCAGUAUGCGGAACGCAAUAUUACGUACAGAAACAAACAUAGUAUUUUUACAUCGAACUUUCUCACCGCACGUAACGCAAUCGCCCCGCAAUCCCUAACGAAGCCUUAAUUAAUUAUCUUCGGCCUGGACUCAGGCAUUGGGCUGGACUCGACAUUGGGCUUAAUUCCACACGUUUAACAUAAAGUAAAAAUCCUAGCUAAUAGCAAUCACUUUAAUUAACCAACUGAUAUUAAUGGACAAAUCUGAUAAAAAUAUAUUUAAAUAACUAAUACAGCAAUAUCUAAAUUUAUCAAAUAUAUUGGAUUACGUAUCAAUAUUCAUCUGUUAGUGAUGGGCCAGAAAAAAUACAGGAAAGAAUGUCUUCAAUGUAGACAUCUCAUUAUUUAUCAAAAUAAAGGCAUAUAUACAUGAUACAUGUGCACGCACGCAUUCAUCUUAAAAUGGAAUUUUUUUUUUUUUUUUUUUGGGGGGUGGGACUGCCGCGAUCAUAUUUUAAACAAACUUUAGUAGGGAUGUGGUCGGAUUCGAAGCAGAUUUUCGAAAACCCGAACCCAUACCCAACUCCAAACCCAAAAUUCGAAUCUGAAUCCGAACCCGACGGAUUUUAAAAACCCAUAUCCAAAUCCGUAUCCGAUCAAAAAUUUGAAAUCCGAACCUGAAAUAAUUAUUUCUCUUUUCAAUAUUUCAAAAUAUAUUAUAUUAAAACUAAAUUUUAAAAUACAACUUCAAAUAUAACAUCAAAUUUUUAUAUACAUAUAUAAUGUAAAACAAAUUAAUAUUUUUAUAUACAUAUAUAUAGAUAAGCAGAAAUAAAAAUAAUUUUGUAUUUCGAUAAAAAUUAUAUUGUUUUCAGGAAUUAUAAAAAAUAGCAUUUGAAUAGUUAGAUUGUAAUAAUGAGAAUAAGAGUAAUUAUAGUUUAAAAUAAUAAUAUUUUAUCUAAUUAGUUAAUAUAAAAGUAUUAAUUAAAUAAUAUUUUAUCUAAUUAGUUAAAAUAAAAAUAUUUACCUAAUUAAUUAAUAUCGAAUAUUAAUUAAUAAUUUUAAUAUUUUAGUUCGAUAAGCCCGAAAUUAAUUUUUAAUUAGUUAGUAAAUUAUUGUCGUUAGAUAAUUAGUUAAGACAUUAAUUAGAUUAGUCAAAACAUUAAUGAUUGAUCAAUAUAAAUAUUGUUUAUGGGAUAAACACGUUAAAUUAUUAAUUUUUAAUUAUCUAAUUAAUUAUAAAUACUAAAUUAACUAAUUAUUUUACUUAUUAUUAUUUGAGCAAUAGAUAAUGACUGAAAUAUAUAAUUGGUUCGAGUUAUGUAAUAUUACAAAGUAUCUCGAUAUAUCCAGAUAUCUUGGAUUUCGGCGUGAGAUUACUAUUGAUGCUGUAUUAAAGCGUUUGGUUUAAUACAGUAAUGUAAUACUAGAUUACAGUGUUUAUAGCAUUNAGCGUUUGGUUUAAUACAGUAAUGUAAUACUAGAUUACAGUGUUUAUAGCAUUAAUAUGUUUGGUUCAGUUUAUAAAAUUUAGUAAUCCUGACAUAAAAGUAUAGUUUUUUUUAAAAUUGCCCUUAUUGGUCAUUUGAAUAUUAUUUUUUGCGGAAAUGACGAAUGGAGGGAAGGAGAUCGUGAUGAUUACUUGGGAGGAUGACGCAAUAGAAAAUGAUAGGUGUUCGAACGAUCGAGAGAGAGAGAGAGAGAGAUGUCGAGAGAGAGAGCGAGAGAAAGCGGCGUGCGAGAGAGAGGGCCGGGGGAAGGAGAGAGAGAGCGAGAGAAAGCGGCAUGCGAGAGAGAGGGCUGGGGGAAGGCGAGAGAGAGAUGAAUAUAAUGCUAUUAAUUAGAUUUGGGGUUGUUGGAGGGUAAAAUUGUCAUUUUACAUAAUAUGUAGUAUUAACGGGUUUUAGUAAUGUAAGAUACACGACCCCCUUCCCGUUAAUAUUUUCAAUGUAAUCCUGCUCGAUUUGUAAUGCUACAUUAACGACUAGAUUACAUAGCGGAUUAAUCAAACACAGUUAUCUUGGCAGGAUUGUCUGUAAUCCUGCCAGGAUAACUCGAACCAAACGCACCCAAAAUGGUGAAGCACAUGUCAUUGUUUGGAAAAUAAAUUAAUGUUCUAUUAAUACAAUAAUAAUAAAGGUUAGCUCAUUUGGUUCCAUAGAAAAAUAUGAAAAAUAAUUUUUUAUAAAAAAGAGGUUUCGACGAAAAAGAAUUUACACUUCGUACUUGAUUUGCAGGAAAAAAAAUUAGUUUUCCAGCAACACUUAUUUGAUUGAAAAACUAAUUUAUGCUUUUUUCUUUUAUAGAUAUUAUAUACUAUUUAUAUGUAAUAAUUAUCAUACUAUAUAUAUUAUUAUUAUAAUUUAUAUUUGUAAAUUAAAUACAUACGAAAAUAUACUAUAGAAUAAGUGUAUAUAUAUAUAUAUAUAUAUAUAUAAAAUAAUAUUUAAUACUACAUAAAAAGAAAAUAUUAUAUGAAUAUUUAUAUAAAUAAAAAAUAUAUAUCAGCGAGUGAGGUGCACUGUGGACCUCUCACGCGGUCCAUGCUGUUGGCGCAAUUCCAUGAACAAAAGAGGUUUUUCUUUUUUCUUUUGACUUACACUACAACAGAAUUAGAUUAUAGGGACACAUGUUUAGGACACUAUUGUGUAAGUGUUACAUUUAUGUCAAAACUUAAAAAAAAACUACUAAUGCCUAAAUAUAAAGUCCAAUCCAAUCAAAAAUAAAAAGGUACUUUACUCAACCCAUCCCACCCAGUCCAUUCGGUCCGAUUACAAAUAGAAAAGAAAAAAAAAAGAAAAAGAAAAAUCGAUUACUAUUUUUUCUUCUCCCCUCACUCAGUCGACUAAAAUCCUAAACGAAGAUCCCUUCCUCUCGUCCUUCUCUGCCACCGCAGCCAACGAGAUAGAGUUUCGGCGGUUGCUAGAUGCUUAAAUAAAUGUUUGCAAAUUAGCAGCACUCUUUUUACAUUAUAGCGACACUCUUUAACUGUCACUAUAUACCUAGCGACUCCACAUAUAGCAACACCUUUUAAAAGUGUUGGUAAUUUAGCCAGUAGCACUUUUUUUGACCUAUACCGAUAUUUAAAAGUGUCGCUAUAGACCAUUUUUAUUGUAGUGUUAUUAUAGCUAAUAUAUAUAUAGUGGGCUAAUAAUUUGAUGGUUGAUAUCUGUGGCCUAAAAUUUAAAACCUGAUUAAUUACAAAAUUUCAAAAAAUUUAUAGUCAACUAAUUAAUUAUUAUCUAUAUAUUAAAUAUAAUGUUAUAUAAUUAACUUAUAAAUAACUAUAACAUUGAAAAUUAUUUUUAAUGAGAGAAAUUCUUAUUUUUAAUUUCAAUUCUCUAUAUCAUUUUUUAAAAAAUAUUUAAAAUUUUACAAAAUACUAAACUUCAAUUAGUGUCUUAACUAUAUAACCUUCAAUUACACUUUUGUGCCAACAAAAUUUUAAAUUAAAUGACGAAUUAUGAUGAUGAAGGUGAAAAAAAUACAGCGUUGCAGAGUUAAUUUUUGGAAACUAUUAAAACAAAAUUUAAAUAUACAAAAUCAUAAAAUAGAUACAUAUUAUUUGUUGAAUUGUUUGGAGUUUUCUCUUUACAAACAAAAUGCAUUUUAUUUAGAAAAUAAAAAAUUAAAGUCAACUAAUUAUUACCUAGAUAUUAAUUAUAAUGUUGUAUAAUUAAAUUAUAAAUAACAAUAAUGUAGAAGAUUAUAUUAAAUUAGAUAUUUAAAAGAUAUUUAAAAUUUUACAAAACAUUAAACUUCAAUCAGUGUCUUAAGCUUACAAAAUAUAACCUUUAAUUUUACUUUUAUACCAAAAAAAUUUAAAUUAAAAGACAAAUUUGAUCAUGAAGGAGAAAAAAAAAAUAUAGCAUAGCAGAAUUCAUUUCUCAAAAUUAGUAAAGCAAAGUUUAAAUAUGCGAAAUCAUAAAAUAAAUAAAUAUAAUUUCUUUGUAUUGUUUGGACUUCAAUUUAAAUACAUUUUUCCUUCUCUUAUGUACAAAAUAUAAUUGUGAUUUUGUUCCAAUAAACUUAUAAAUAACAUUACGAAUUUUAAUGAGGAAGCUACAAACAAAAAUGUAGUGUAGCAGAGUUAGUCUUUAAAAAUCAGUGGUGUAAAAUUUAAAAAUGCAAAAUCACAAAAUAAAUAAACAUAAUUUGUUUGAUUGCUUAGAUUUAAAUUUAAAUUUUGAUAGAUAAAGUUUAUUAUGUUAAAUUUGGUUUAGAUUUGUAGUUAUAUAAAUUGAAGAUAAAACGUAAACUAAUUAGGAUAAUAAAUAAUUCAGAUUUAAUCACUAUAACAAAAUUAGGUUAUAAGGACACAUUUUUAGAACACUUUUAUAUAAGUGUCCCAUUUAUACCCAUUUUUUUUUAAAAAAUCUAUUAAGGCCUAAGUAUAAAGCCCAAUUCAAUAAAAAAUAAAAAAUUCCUCUAUUCAACCAACCACACCUAACCUGCUCGACCCAAUUACAAAUAAAAAAGAAAGAAAAAAAAAGAAAAAUUGAUCACUAUCUCCCCUUCUCCUCCUCCGCCGUCGCAGCUGAUAAGAUAGGAUUUCGACGACUAGAGUUCGGCCGCAAGGAUCUCACACGAACCGUAGAGGAUUACAAUUGCCACGUAUUCCUCGCCACAGCUUGCUGAAGAAGUCGGUGUCAUAACGACGCCACAUAUAGCAACACUUUUAAAAAGUGUCGGUAAUUUAGACAGCAGUAUUUUUUUUGAUCUGUACCGACAUUUAAAAAUAUCGCUAUACAUCAUUUUUAUUAUAGUGAAUUUGGCAUAUAUGGAUUAUAAAUAGGAAUGUAAUUCUAAUUGAAUUAGAAUUAGACUCUAAUUUGAAAGCAUAUAUUAUAUAUACAUGUUAUGGUCAAAUUAAUGAAGUCGCGGUGACCCUAAUUAAGCCAUGCAAAUUAAGUAAGAGCAUAUCGGUAGUCCGUACGGACGGAGGAAGCCGUCCGUGCUUCUUUGGGGCUGGUGGUCACGUUGCGGCGGCGCGAUGCGCAUUGCAUAGAGAGCGGGCGAAGCCAUCUCUUUUGGAGAUCAAAUUAAAGGAGAGACCAUGCAAAUUAAUUAAGCUUUUGGGGGUCCAUCCGUACGGUUGAGGAGCAGAGCCGCCGCUUAUUUGGAGUCGCGUGUACGGAUACAGAUUUCGACGUUUCUGAUGUAAAUAGUGUUCGGAUUCUUUGAGAGAUCUUCUUUGUACUCCGCCAUUCGUACGGACUAUCAAGCAUCGGAGAAAUAGAAGUUUGAAUAUUUUCUUCAACAAACAAAAAUAUUAGAAUUUCCUUAGUUAACAAAGAAAUAAAAAACUUAAUAUUUGAUUUCUUCAUCGUCUUGGCUUGCGAGAAAAGUGGUGCGAAGAAGAUGUAUUUUUUCCAAGAAACGAAGAGGUAAAAGUUUCAGCGAAAAGAUAUCUUCUUUAAAAAACGAAGAGAUUUCUCUAAAAAAACGAAGAGGUUGAGAAGAUACAUCUUGUCCUCGAAAAAAUAAAGAGGUUGAAUAAAAAAGUGUACACUUUUAAUAAAUACAAUUAAUAAUUAUUAAAUAUAUAUGAAUUAUUUAUUUUUAUUAUAUUUCUAUUUCUUUGUAUAAGAAGAUAUUGUUACCCUAGGUAAUGACAUCAUUUAGAGCUUGAAUUUGAAGAGAAAAAAAUUUUUGGAAGAAAAUAUUCCGGAUAUUAUGUGAAUUUCAACAAAUCUAGUGAUAUUUAUUUAAUUGGUCUUCAUAUAUUUAUUAGACGGUUAGUUUUGUAAAAUUUUUUUAAAUUUUUUUUUUCUUAAUAUGUAUUUUCUGUGAAUUUUUUUAAAAAAUAAUUAUUUACUCAUAUUUGAGUGAGUUGUAUACGAUAAAAUUGUACUUGUAGUAAUCUUUUUAAUUUACUUUCAUAUUUUUCGAUGAUUCGAUAAAUUAGUUGUAUAGUAAUUUGCUUUGACUUUAUAAAUUAAUUGUCUUCUCUAAAAUAUGAUGUAAAAUACUUAAUUAAUUAUCACUUUUAUCUUGUUAUUAUUUUAAUAAAACUUUUACUUUAGUACUUGACAUUUAUUUUGUAAUAACAAAAAAUGGCUACAUCUUGACCGUUGAUAUUUUUAGGAAUACAAUCGAAAGUUUUAUUUGUUCAGCUAAUAACUGUUUUUACUUUUCUAACAAAAUUUCAUAACUCAAUUAAGAGGUACCCAUAUAAAAUAUUACAAACUAUAAACAAAAUGCACGUAAGUAUUAUAUAUAGAAAAUAUAGCAAAAUAAGAAACAUAAAUUUGAAUCAAUAAGAAGUAUGAAUUUUUCUCUAAAUUAUACUCAUCAAAAAUUUCUUGAAGACGAUGACGAAGUUUUAAUGAUGAAUAUCAUCGAGUCAAAGUUUUCUCGUCUUCAAAAAAGAAAGAUGAUCAUCGACGACAAAGACAAUGGAAUUAAAAUAAAUUUAACUCUUCUUUUAUCACUUCAUUUUAGUCCUGCUUAUUAUUUUCGUGUAUAGAUGUUCAAAUUUACGUUUUUAUUUUACUAUAUUUUCUAUCCCGUAUUUUGUUUAUAAUUUAUAAUAUUUUAUUAUUUUUUUCAAUUUGACACUACUAUUUAAAUAUAUAUUAUUUAUUUAAAUAUAUAUUACUUAUUCACUAAUUUAUUAAUUUUAUUUAAUUAUAUUAGAAAGAGUUAUAGGUGCCACCCACGUGCACUGGCUAGUAUUCUACGAAACAAUAAGCCUGGCGCACGAAUAUUGAAGCAACAGGAGGUAUAUAUGCCAACUAAUUAAUGCCGUGCUAUUAUUUAGUCUUUGGACCACACAAUUAAAAAGAUUGCAACGUUGCCCCACUAUUGGGACCAUAUUUGAGUGCUCAAUCCUCCGAACGGUACACGCAAUUUGGUCCUUCGAGAUAAGCCGCUUCACAAUUUGGUCCUUUCGUCGGGACCGCACCGAGUCGACAAGCUCUUUGCAUUCGGAAAGUAUAAGAAAGCGACGAGAACCGCCGGGUCGGAAUGUCGAGUUUAUCGUAGUAAAGAUGAUACACGCAGAAUUUUGCUGUACUGAUUGUCUAGAUUUUUACCUUCGUAAAUUUUAUGAUAAUACAUUAAUACUAAGGCCCCGUUUGGAUAUCCUUAAAAACGUAGCAUAGUUAAACUAUGCUACACCGGUAGGAAAAUAAUCCUAUGAAUCGUUUGGAAAAAAAAAAUGAUGUAAUUUUUGGAGUAUAGUUAUAUUAUACUCUAAAAAAUGAAGUAAAAUUACAAUCCACUUUAACAAAGGAUAAAAAAUUCCACCAUUUUGAGCUCCCUUACCCCAAAGAUGUAUCAAGUUUUGAAUAUUAAGUUUCAACAUAAAAUUUUAAAUUUCAAAUUUCAAAUUUCAAAUUCGAAUGUUAAAUUUCGAAUUUCGAACAUAAAAUUUAAUUUAAUUUUUUAAGUUUUUAAAUUUAAAAUUUAAUUUUUAAAAUUUUAUUUUUAAAUUUUGAAUUUAUAAUUUUAAAAAUUUAAUUGUUAUAAAUUCUAUAAAAUUGUACGAUAUGUAUCCAAACAGUUUAAAAAUGAAGUAUGAAAUUUUUUUGUAGUCACAGAAUUCCGCAUUUCAUUUAGACCAAAACCACAUAAUGAAAGUUCUAUGAAAUUUUUUAACUAUAUAUCCAAACAGGGCCUAAGUGUUAAUUAUUCUGAAUCAAUCCCUUUGUGGUACUUUGGAUUGUUAACUUUUGCGGCCCCAAUUAUGUGACAUAUUCUAUGAAAGGAUUGAAAUGAUAAAAGAUGCGAAUUGAUCUAAUUCCAUGUACAUAUUUAAUUAGUAGGUGGAGUGUGUCAUGCAAAGUUUCAAAAGCACAUGGACCCAUUUGCAAUUAUUGGAGGUGAGUCCAUGGAAAGAGAUUAUAAAAAGACAAAUUAUUGAGAGAAGAGUGUAUUAUUUUGCUUGGAAUUAUUUACACCUUAAAUGUCGAUUCAUGCAUUUUUGGUGGGCUUUUCUUUUCAAUUUGUCUUUCUCAUGGUAUGACAUAUUUUCAUUUUUGUCAAUUCGUGAUUUAAAAAAUUUUACUUAACUAUCCUGUAAUUUUAUUCUUAUUCCACUAUAAGAUCGAGCUUAUUGUGAAAUGGAAUACCAUCUUGUAGUUUUAAAAAAUUUUACUUUAUAUCUUAUUUAAUAACAGAUUUGUUGGAUGAUACAAAAAAUGAAACUACAGAAUAGUAGUUAAGUAAAAAUUACACCCAGUGAACAAUUUGGGUUUGAUAUAUACAACCUAGACUAGUAUGAACCAAUUCAAUGUGUUCCUAACUAGGUUUAAGAUUGGGAAAAUCCUAGUUAAUUUAGACCCAAUUAGGAUUGUGUUUAACUGACCUCAAAGUGUAAUUAACAUGAAACCUACUCCAAAUCAAAGCAACUCAAAGUAUCUUAACAUACAUGUGCUUAGAAAUUUCAACUGCACAGAGAAUAUUUGCAGGAAACAUAUUAUUCUAUUUGAACUUUUUUGUUUUGAAGGGUACAAUUAUAACAUUAUUAUUUUGAAAGGUACAAUUAUAACAUUGUUAAUUUCUUAUCUUCUAUCUAAGACCAUACACAUAAAUUUUAUAGUCCCUGGUCUCUGUCAGAUAUCAAGCCAAUUCGCCCUUGCCAACCUGAUGAUCAUUGGCACAAUUAAACAAAGGCAUAGUUGGCCAAAAACUUAAGAAAUUAAGGAGUAUAAGACUUUACAGUUUUAAACAUUCGAUUAGAUUAUCAUUAAUUGGCUAUUAAGAUGAUCCACCUACCCUAUGGUGUAUAUAUAUAGUUUGUAUGGUAUCCGGUCGAAAAAUAUAAAAAUACUAUCCGCUUCACCUAUAAAACAAUUAAAUUAUAAACUUCAAAUCUCAGAUACCAGUCAUCAAAUUUGUUGUCACUUGCGCUAAAGACAGUCGUUUUAUUUAUUUAUUUUUUUUGAGAAAAAAAUAGCACGCUACCUACUUCAUUCAUCAAGAAAGAUGAACUAAACGUACAAGCUGGAAGCAGCUAAAGCUUUCUGGGCAAAACAAGACAGAAAAUAAAGCAAGAGUAAAAUAAAGAAGGAAAGAAGGUCAGAAGAAAAAAAGAAAAAAGCGCAAGUUAACGAGUUACAGGAGCGAGAUCCAGGAGUUCGACAGGGUUACGACUCUAUCCAAUGCUCAGAUGGUCGUUUUAUUUUAAGAGAAUUAAUUAGAGUUAGAGUCAAGUUUUGAAUUCUAUUUUUUAAUAUUAAGGGUAGAAAUAAGAUCUUACUAUGUUAUUAUCUAAUAAUAAUAUGUUUAGGAUAAGCAUUGUUAGAUAAUGGUUUAUUAGUUGUACGAGUUUGACAGUGUUGUAGAGAUGACGUCGGAUGAUGGAUUAAUUUUCGAGUCUAAUAAAUGUAUGACUAAUGCAAAUAAUAAUGCUCAUGCUCAUAACACAUUAGUUUUGUGUUUUUCCUUUUUUUUUUUUUUUUUCUUCCUCUCUAUCUCUAAAACUAUGGUGAGAGAGAGAACACCAGUUUCAAAACAAAACAAAACAAAAAAAGAAAAAGAAGAAGAAGAAGAAAACAGUGCUAAUAUUACUUCCCAGUUUGCACAUAGACACUAAGCUACCGUUUGGUUCGGGAUUAAGGAAAAACUAGUUAUUCCAGGAAUAGGGUUAAGUUUAGGGUUAAGAUGGGGUUAGAAUAUUUUUGUAUUUGGUUGGGAAUUGGAGUUAGUCCAGAAUAGUGAAAAAUAGUAUUUAGUUGGUGGGAUAAGAAAGAUAGUAGAUUAUUAUGAAUAGAAAAUAAUAUUUGGUUGAAAUUUGAUGAGAUUAUGUGGGAUUAGCUAACCCGGAAUAACCCAUUUGAGGUGAAGUUAGCUAACCCCACCCAUUUUUAGAAGUAUUUGAAGAUAAAAUGGGAGUUAAGAGGUUAUUCCACCCCUUAACUCCCAACGGAGGCUAAAAUAUUAUUCCACUUUUUAUUUAUGAUAAAGUUUGACGUCAGUUUCCACUAUCCGAAAAGUUUUUCAACGUUCAUAAAUCAAAUAAAAUUCGGGAUUCAUUGCAUUUAGCCUAUGUAUGUGAUAAUAAAAAUGUAGGAUCAAAUGCAUACAACUAUCUACAAAUAUAAUAAGUUACCAAUAUAUUUUUAUAAAAUUUAAUUUUCAUAUUUAUUUUUAUAAAAAUUUUAAUAUAUUAAAUAUAUUCUUUUAAUUUAUUAUUAUUAAAAAAAUAUUUAUAUUUUAAGAGCAAAUAAGUAAAACGUCAAUUUUGCAAUUACAAAUAUGUUCUUUCGAAAAUCACAAUAAUAUAAUAUAAAAAAAUAAAAAUAUUAAAUUAUCUCGUAAAUUAAUCAGAAUUAAAUAUUUAAUUUAUAAUUAGUUAAAUUUUUUUAGCGAAUCUAACCGUCAAUAUAUUUUAAAAAUAUUAAGACUUUUAUAAAUUGAAUAUUAAAAUGGUGGUGGAUGAGAAAGGACAAAAAAAGCACUGCCAUGAAAAAGGGCAUCGUACACGAAAGCGGCAGGACGAUAGUAACAAAUGUAAAUGGUGUUACGCAGAUGGGUCCAGCCGCAGAAUCAGAGCCGACCGGCUAUAAACUGACCCGCCCCCAACACACCACACAUUACAGCAGGGGUCAGCCGAACACGACAAAACUAGCUAAUAGCCGCAAAACAACAAUUUUAUAAUUAUUAUGAUUUUAAGGUUCUCCGAAAUAUAUUAUUAUUAUGCUAGAGGAGGAGGAGGAGUUAAACGCACAAUUCGAUCCCUCCUUUUUCCCAAUUUUUCUCAUUAUUUGUUUUUUCUAAUUUUAUUAGAUUCUAAUCUUUUAAUUCCAUAAUUAAACUACCCUAAUAUUUAUUAGGUAUCUGUCAUCACCGGCAAAGAAAAUUCGUUAUACCAAAUGAGAAUCGGGCGCUGUCGGCGUGUGGGCUGGAACAGUUCUGCUUUAUGCAUUCCUUUUUUUUUUUUUGGGUGUGAUGAUGCUAAACCCAAAAAAAAAAACAAAAACAAAAAAAACUCCUGCACAGGAGAGUGAUCUGGGUCAUAUAUAUAUAUAUAUAUACAUGAUACAUCCAAGAUAUAUAUUUCAUACUGAUCCGGCGAACAAUUCUUGUUAUUACGAUAAGCCAAAUUUUUGCUCGGAAAAUAGAAAGUACGUACUCAAUUACAAGAAUUAAGGAGAAUGGAUAAAACAACGGACAAAGAUUGAGAGCAAUAAUGGUGCAACAAACGCAAUUAAAAGAGAAACCUGAAUAAUGCACAACCAACGGGCAGCCCGCUGCUUGAAACAGUGGUCUAGACGGUCGCGGCGGUUGGAGGGGCGGCGGAGUCGGAGGAGCCCCAGACAAUGUCUCUGAGGGCGGGCUGGAGCUCCUCGGCGCAGAAGUGGCGGUAGUCGAGGGCGUCGCCGGCGUCCUUCUUGACCUCGACGACGAGCACGGACGGGGCCACCGCGAAGAUCUCGGCGGCCACGGUGAGCCUUCCCUUGCGGCCCUUGUCCUGCCCGCCCUCCAGGCGCACCCCCGCGGCGCCGCUCCGCGUCACGCGCGCCGUCCCGCCCAUCCGCGCCGCCACCCCCUCCAGCCGCGAUAUGACCCCGCUCGCCGUCUCCCUCGUGGCGAACCGCAUCGUGCCCCGGCCCUCCUCCCGCCCCUCCUCGAACAGCCGCGACAGGUCGAACCCCUCCGACAGCGAUAUCAGAUGGAACGCGUUCAGCGUCUCCGGCUCCUCCUUCUCCUUCUCCUUCUCCUUCUCCCGGUCCUUGUCCUUGUCCUUGUCCUUGUUCUUGUCGAAUAAUUCUGCAGCGUCCUUGGCGGCCGGUCGGAUCGGGACGGAGGGCGAGGACGACUUCUUGAGCCAGGGCGAAUCGACGAGCUUGGCGACGGUGAUGCGGGUGGCGGGGUUGGGGUCGAGGAGGCGGGUGAUGAGGCGGCGGGCGUCGGAGGAGAACCAGGGCGGGCAGCGGAAGUCGCCGCGGUGGAUCUUCUUGUACAUGGCGACGAGGUUGUCGUCGUGGAAGGGGAGGAAGCCGGCGAGGAGGACGAAGAGGAUGACGCCGCAGGACCAGAGGUCGGCCUUGGCGCCGUCGUAGCCCUUCUUGCCGAUGACCUCCGGGGCGACGUAGGCCGGGGUGCCGCAGGUGGUGUGCAGGAGGCCGUCGCCGCGGACGUGGGCGGCGAGCGCGCUGAGGCCGAAGUCGGCGACCUUGAGGUUGCCGGCGUCGUCGAGGAGCAGGUUCUCGGGCUUGAGGUCGCGGUGGUAGACGCCGCGCCCGUGGCAGAAGUCGACGGCGGAGAUCAGCUGCCGGAAGUAGCCGCGCGCGGCGUCCUCGCGGAGGCGGCCGGCGCGGGCGAUCCGGGCGAAGAGCUCGCCGCCGCGGACCAGCUCCAUGGCCAGGUAGAUGCGGGAGCGCGUCGCCAUCACCUCGUGCAGCUCCACGAUGUUCGGGUGGCUCACCAUCUUCAUCACCGCGAUCUCGCGCUUGAUCUGCUCCAUCAUCCCCGCGCGGAUCACCUUCUCCUUCGCCACCACCUUCAUCGCCACGCUCCGCCCCGUGCGCACGUCCCGCGCCAGGUGCACCUUCGCGAAGUUCCCCUGCCCCAGCACGCGCCCCACCUCGUACCGCCCUUCCAGCACCCCGCCCCCCACCUUCGCUACAUCCCCCGCCUCCUCCAUGCCUCGCUAGCUGCGUUCGACGACGUCUCUCUUUCUCUCUUCCCCUCCCCUCUCGCGAGCUAGACCUAGACCUAGACCUAGACCUAGACCUAGCUUCCGAUCGAUCGAUCGAUCGAUCGGAGACCAGGGAACUGGACGACGAAAAUUAAGAAGAGCACGUACGUACGCACAAGAAGAAGACGACGACGAUGCUGACAGACGACGAAUCAGCUACCCGUCUUCGACGUGCUUGCGGUGGCAGCUGCGGCCGCCGUGCUUCUUCCGUUUCCCGGCGAGAUCAGGGCUCGAUCUCCUCAUCCUGAUGCAUUCCCUGGAGAAAACCCUAACCGCAGAAGCAAGGAGAAUAAGAAGAAUAAGAAGAAGACGACGACGACCACAGUGGCUCAGGAAAGGAAAAAAAGACAGAGAGAGAAAGAGGAGUUAGGGUUGUGCAAAACAGAGUCGCGAGUGAUUCGAAAGGCGACCGUGUAUGAGACCUCCUCAUGGGGUUUAUAUGGCAGAGCUCGGGCAGAGCAAAAUGACGAAACCGCCCACGGAGAAAUGCUGAGAGCGAGAGAGAGGCGGUUUCGGUGAGCCCCGGAGACGGGAUCGAACGGUCCGUGCGCAAUGUAAGGGGCGCGUGUCGCUCUGCGGUUGGCGGGUGGCGGCGACGGUUGAGAUUUAACGUGUCCGAAGGCGUAUAGCUGUUGCUGGCUCUGCUAUCGACUGUGGAUACACUGGAUACAGCAGGACAUGAACGGCGGUAGAUCGAUUUCGACGGCUGUGAUCGCUUCCAUCUUCGUUUGGCGGUGCUUCCGAGGAGCCGCGGCAAAAGCGCGAGCGAGCGCUUUAAACUUUCCAUUUUUCACUUGUUACACUGACAUGUGGGGCCCACUUAUGGUCCACGUGGCAGCACUACAGUCGUUGUAUACAGUCGUUGCACGGGUCAUGGUUCGAAGUUGAAUUCACUCUCGUGCGGAUUAAAAACACAAACACAAAAGCUUCCUCAGAUAUUUUGGUUGACCAAAUUUGACCAAAGUUAUAACUAUAUAUAUAUUACUUUGUUGGAAUAGUCUCCCGAGAAAUAUUUUUUCGAUUGAACCUUGUUAAUUUCAAGUUAUUUCAAUUCACCAAAUUUUAGUUUGUGGAAUCAAAAAGUUAUUAAAUUUAAUAAGUAGUUAUCAAUAAUUAGUGAACUAAUUAAUUUUAUAAAGUUUAAUUUGGAUUCUAAUUUCAAAAAUUAAAUCAAACUAAAUAAAAAUUAAAAAUUAAUAAAAAAAAUUUAAAUUUAAAGCCCUUCUCAAAAUAGCUUAUAAUGCAACUGUGGGACAAAUACUUAACAAAGUAAACCAAAAAGAUCGAUAAUGCAUAAUACCAUCGAGUCCAGCAAGCAGUUUGCAAUACUUUUGGAAAGCCUAGAUCGAAGCCCCAAAUGCGCAGAAUAAUCAAUAAAAAUGUCUUUCAUUAUGGUAUUCUAGCUGUACACAUACAUUCACAUCGCCUAUCCAGCUCUCUCGCAUAUACAAUGAAAACUUUGUAUACGAUCCCUCAAAAUAUUUUCAAACAAACUCAAAGGUCCUUUCUCUAGCCCGAUAAACUAUCCAAUAAGAGAUUGUGGGACGCGUUUGAACAUUGAGGACUUGUUUGGUUUAAGGGUGAAAUUGGAUUGGAUAAUAGAACGAAAAUGAAUUGGAAUGGUAAUUGAAAUAACCCACUUUUCCAAAACGUUUGGUUUAUUUGUGGAUUGGGAAUUGGAAUAAGUUAUUCACAUUUCAUUGUUUGGUUUGUAUAAACUAAAAAAAUUAUAGAAUACUAUAAUGCUAAUUUUACUCUCAAAUAUAAAUUUAUAUUAUUUAAAAUUUAUGAAAAAUAUAAUACUAUUCUCUAAUAAGUUUUUCAAAAAAAUAUCAAAUUUAUUUUUAAAAAUUUUUAUUGAUGUGGGUUAGGGAUAGAAUUUUGAAAGACGAUAUGUUUUUUUUUUUUUUGAUGAGAAAGGGGUGAAAAGAAGGAGGGUGAGAUGGUCACAUGGGUUUCGAGAAUUUAGUGAGUCUCUGGAAUGAAAUCUCAAUCCGGGCUAGAAGACCGGAAUCAAGUUAAAGGCUAAUAGGCCAUUCCCAUUUCAGUCCGGAAUAGAAAUCCCAAAUCGAUUCAUACAAACCAAACAAAAUUAAUCGGAUUUGAUCAAACCGAUUUUCAUUCUAUACAAAAAAUGGAUGAACCAAACAAGUCCUGAAUAUCAAUUAUUAUUAUUUUUCAACAUGUACGUCUCGUUUGCCCAUCAUCUAUUCUCAAUUGACAGUGGGGAUAGAUUCUUCAUCGUCAUUCCUAUGUGCCAUACUUCCUAUUGUCCGGCUACAGGUGUGUUUGGAAAUAAAUUUUUUUUAUCUACCAAUGCUUGAGUCUUGACAAGUUACACACCUUGAUUUGCUAUAACCAAUUGUCGAAAAUGAAUCUCACUAUUAUUUUUUAUCAUUACACUUUAUGGGGUCGUAUUCAAAACUUCUUUUCAUAACAUAGCAUUUUAGGGCACUCUUUUAAGUCAGCUUGCUAAUUAUAAAUUUGGCCCUUAUGCAAAUAAUCUACAUUUACAAUAGAUUUUGUAGACGGCUUUCAGAGUUAUUGGGAAUCCGGUACUCGCCCCGGUAUCGGAUUUUGUGAAUCCGCAAUCCGCUCUGAUACCGACUGUUGUUGAUCCGGUACCUAUUGUUGGGAUUUCGCAACGGAAGCGUCAAAUCGAAUUUUUACCAUAAACCCAUCUCCUCAGCAAAAGCUAAUACAAUUAUAAAAGAGAGAAAAAUCAAAAUAGAAAAUAUACGAGUAAAAUAAGAUUCAUUAAAUAAGAGAAGAAUAUACCUGACUCUUAUUCUACAAGAGAGUAGCUACAAUCCGAGCCCUCUUUUUGAAUCUCUCUUACCCUUCUCUAGUCUUCUAUAAAUUCAUAAAGAAGACAACUCUCUCUUUUUCUCUCUCACAUGCACCCAUGCACUAGGUGCAUGCAACUCAUGGCCAAGCUUCUCUUUGGUACGGUCCACCAAUGGCUUCAAGACAUCUCACCGUACCCUCCUCAAGAAUCUCAACUUGGUUGUACUCUCUACUCCAAAAGCAUCCCAAAGUGUGCUUUUGUAAUGCAUCCUCUAAAACAUACAUGAAUCCUAGUCCAAUUAGAAUUUCUACUCCAAUAAAUAUUUAAAUCUUAAUUGAUUUAUCUCCAACAAAUUUUAAUAUUUAUCUGAAUCUAGUUAGAUUUAAAUCAUAAUUUAUCUCCAACGAAUUUAAAUAUUGUUUCUUAUCCAAUUAGAAUUAAUCUACAAAUCUAACCAAAACCUAACAUGGAGUAGCGUAAUUGACUAUGCGGUCCUCUUCCAUCACUUCAUCACCGAAUUUGACGACUGAGGUGUCUACUCGUUGAGGUUGGCUAAACCCAAUUAAGAACAUCCAUCGCCUUAUACGUUUGAGCACAGUGGAUAGAGAAGGAGACAACAAUACGGAGACUAUCGUUGCAAUCCAUCUCUUAUUUUAGAUCAAUGUUACAGAUAGCACUGUCAUCAUUGACCGCGUCGUUGAUGAAGAUAGGAUGACAGAAUUUGCAGUUUCGAUGCAAAGAAAUUGCUGCAACAAAUGAUUUGAUAAAACAAAAUAUAACGAUGUUGUGUAAUUUAUCGAUGAAACAGUGUAUUAUAUGCUAUAAUGGUGCAAAAGUUUUGUAAAAAAAAAUGCAACUCAUGUUCCAAUUAUGUCAACAUUCGAUCGGUUAAGUGAACAUGCAUUUGCAAACUUGUUGUUUAUUAUCAUUUCUAGUUGUUCGUCGGUCAGUGCCUCAUUUAUCUCGUCUGCCUCACAUGCAGGAAUCUCACUCUCAUUGCUAAUUUUUAUAGCAAAAAUGGAACUACAAUAAGAAGUUUAAUGGUUGUGAAGAGAACUUUAUAUAAGUUUGUUGAAAAUGUAUAUAUAGAGACCCCUCGACUUUAAACUUUUGAUGGAGACCCUACUUAACUUUUACUCUUUAAGAAUUAAGUUAUUUUAGUGAAAAAUAUUAAAGAUUUCAUCAAAUUCAUAAAAAAUUUCAUCAAAUUUAAAUUUUUUAAUAAUUAUUAGACAACAAAAUAAAAAUAAUUAACAAUCAAUUACUGAUAAAACUACAAAUAUCAACAAAGUUUUGAACGAAAUUAACUAGAAUAACUCAAUUAAAAAAAAAGAGAAUCUUAAUAAAAAAAAAAUUAAGUUGACCAAACUAUUUUAAGACAGCCUAUAGUUGAGAAGAAGUUCAUACAUUUAUACUAUAAUUUUUGAACAUGAGAAAUUCUACUUAUAUACCCAAAAAGAGUAGUGUAGAUCUUACACACCUGACUCUAGAAUUCACAAAAUUCAAUUAGUUUUUAAUAUUUAUUUUUAAAAAAAAUGAACAAGAUAUGAAGGCAUUAUUAACUGUUAGAUUAAUGGACUGUAAAAUUUUACUCACUUCAAUUUUGAGGUGCAUGUACAAAUAAUAUUACUCUUUUUUUUUUUGAGAAUAAGAUAGCACGUUACUCGCUUCGUUUAUUAAUAAUAAUAAACCUAGCUACGUAUGUAAGGCAACUAGCUAGGCCUCAAUAAUAUUACUCUUUGAGCCAGAGAAAUUCUAUCUAUACAUUCCAAAUAAAGGUGUACAUUGUACGACCCCUCGUCCAAGAGUUGAAACUUAUCUUUUAUCUUGUCAAUUUAUAUUUUUUACUUUUAAAAAUAUAAAAAUAUUCUAAACUCUCAUCAUAAUAGAAUUAAGUUAUAAGAAAAUAUAUUUGGAAUACAUUUAUAUAAGGUCUAAAUAUAAAGUCCAAUUCAACCGAAAAUAAAAAGUUCCUCUAAUUAACCAAUCCCACCUACCCCACAUGGCCCGAUUACACAUAAAAAAGAAAAAAAAAUUUCAUCACCGUCUCCCCUUAUGCUCCUUCGCCGCCGUAGCCGACGAGGUAGAGUUUCUGCAGUUCAGCCGCGAGAAUCUCGCAGAGACAAUAGAGAAUUACGAUCGCCAUGUGUUCCUCCGUCACAGGUCGCUGGAGGAGUGGGUGUCAAACAUCAAGGCGAUCUCACAUAUAACGACCCCAUAUAUAGCAAUACUUUUAAAAAGUAUCGAUAAUUUAGCCAAUAACAUUUUUUUUUAACUGUACCGAUAUUUAAAAGUGUCAUUAUACAUUUUUUGUUGUAGUGUCUGUAAUGAGAGAGUGCAAGAUGUACACCCUUUUUAAAAUAUACAAAUAAUAUUUCUCAAUAAAUUUUUUUUUCAAUUUCGAUACAGUUAAUGAAAACAAAUAAAAAAGAAAAGAAAAAAAGAUUAUGUUCUCUAUCAUUCACGCGGUAUCAAGAUUCAUACAAUUCACGUGAUAAAGGGUGAGUAAAAAAAGUCUUACAUUCAUACUGUUCCCAUCAAAUUUUGAUUCAAUGAGAAGAAGAAGAAAGAGAAGAAGAAUAAGAAGAUGAUGAUGAUGAUGGCUGCAGAGAAAGACGCCUUCCCGUUUGUUUGAGGAUGAUGGCUGCCGGGUGACGACACGGAGGUCUCCAGUCACCUCAACCUCCCUUUCUCCAAGCCCCGAUCACGUGCACCGCACGUGGGCCAAAAGCCAUUUAGAAGUUCCAGGUUUGGACGGCUUUUGGUUUAAUUUCUCCUCGUGAGCGUACCCGGACUGACGCUUUUUUUGAUACUAGUACAGCGCCCACGCUAUACCACUAAUAAAAAUAGUUUAACUGAUUAUUUUAACAGAUUAUUUCUAAUGCAAGUGAUAAAAAAUUUAAUAAUUAGUAUCCCAAAUUUCAAAUUUGAAUGCUAGUUAAUUCACAUUUUCAGCUAAAUUUAUUUCUAAAUAAAAUAAACGAAGCGGAUAACAUGCUACAUAUCUCUCAAAAAAAAUAAAAUAUAGAUAGUUUAAUCAAUUAAUAUAAAUAUAGAGUUAACCUGAUUAUAAUAUUUUUAAUAAAAUCAAGGAUUUAGUGUUAUUAAGUUUUUCAUUAUUAAGUCUACUCUUUGAUCAAUUCUAUAUCUUAGAUCGUGGUAUUUUACUAAUCAUCCAUUAAAUCUUAAGAAGACCACCACUAAAUUCUAGAGAACUACUAUUAGUCCAACUCUAUAAUUUUUUUAUUCAAGAAUUAUAAAUUUAAUAGUAAAAGUUCUCAAAUACUAUUAAAAGUAUAGACUAUAUAUAGAGAGAAAGAGAGUAGAGUUUCUAUGCUUUCGGAAGUAUAAGAGAGCUCGUGCUUUCAAUUUUUUGGCCAUUUCAUCAAUCCCUUUGAUCAUUUAUGAUCUUUGGAUUAAUAUUAUUAUUCUAGCAAGACCGCUCAAUUUUAGGGGGAUCAUUCAACUCUAAAUUUUAUAUAUAUAUAUAUAUAGAGUUGAGCUAGAAUACUAUCGGUAGCAAACGAGCUCCGUUGCCACCCAUUUGUUUUCGAUGAUGGAGCCUCCAAAUCGACGAUCGGCAUCGUUGAACAUGAUCUAUACCAUUUGAAGUGUUUAGAAAUCAAAUUUCAAACCUUUUCGACAUCAUUUGCCUAAUGAUCAAAGAGUUUCAAAAUUUAUAAUUUUAAUGGUCGAUAUGAGGCGUUUUCUCGUUUAACGGUGUAAAGAUAUCCAAAUCAAUUGAAUUUUUGUUAGAAAAUUCUUUAAACUAUUUAAAAUAAGAUCUAAACUCUUGAUCUUGACUACAAGACUCCUAUCAUCAUUUUUUAAAGAAUAUUCAUUUUCAGCCAUUCGUUUUUGUGUCCACCGAUGGAUAAGAGAACAAUAUCGAAAAUGUAUGAAAUUUGAUUUCUAAACACUUCAAGUGGUAUAUAUCAUGCUCAACGGUGCCGAUCGUCGAUUUGGAGGCUCCAUCUUCGAAAACAAAUGAGCGGCCACGGAGGCCGUUUGCUACCGAUAGUAUUUUAGCUCAACUCUAUAUAUAUAUAUAGUAGGGCUACUAUACUGUAAUGAAUAUUGGACCCUUUGUACUCAUAAGUUGUAUUCGGUGAUGGAGCUUUCGAAUCGACGAUCCACUCGGUUAAAUAUGAUCUAGAGUAUUUGAAACUUGUAGAAAAUAAAUUUCGUAAUUUUUCGAAAUCAUAAUAAAGUCCAUCAAGCAGGUAUAAAAUGAACGGUCAAAAUCGAAAGAUGUCUUAAAAAUGGAUGAUCGGAUUCUUCAAUUUAAGAUCGGAGUUAUUGAUCUUUAUCUAGGUAGUGAAUAGAAUUUUCUAUCAAAAAUUCAAUCUAUUCAGAUUCUUUUGCACCGUUAAACUAGCAAGUACUCCAUACCAGCCAUUAAAAAUUGUCAAUUUUGUAAGCUUUUGAUAGUAAGGUAAAUGAUGUCAAAAAAUUAUAAAAUUUGAUUUCUAGAUGUUUCAAAUGCUCUAGAUAACGGUUAACAGUGUGGAUCGUUGAUUCGAAAGCUCUAUCAUCGAAAACAACUUAUGAGUACGAGGACGAUCGUACUUAUAAUAGUAUAAUAGCCGAACUAUAUAUAUAUAUAAACUAGAACACUAGUAACAGCACUAAGUCAUUGGUACUAUUAGAAUUUUGGCUCUAUGAAGAGGUAUACGAUUAAGAUGAUAAUAAUUUUUAAAGGUUAAUAGGUAACUGAUGGAAUAGUUUAAAACGGUCAAAGAGGCAAGAUCUAACGGCAAAAAAAAAAAAACCAGUGAAAUAGGGCUUUAAUUGCAUUACAUAAUGAGCAAGAAAAUAUAUUGGUGAUAAGGAGGUGCCCACAUAACAAGACAAAGAAAGGGUAAGCAAUGUUAUUACUGUCCUUCUAUAUUUGAUGUCUGUUAUUUAGCUUUUCAACUACAGUGCUUCUUUAUAAUUUCUUGAUAGUUUUGUCAUAUUAUGUGAUGGAUAAGACUUGUCUUCAAGUUGCUAGAAAAUAAAACAGAAAUCGACUCCAUUCAGAUGCUUCUAAUCUACUAAAGUUAAUUAAAAAAUUCACACAAAGUAUUAAUCAAUUUGCAUGGUUAUGGUUAAGUUAAUUUAAAACGGUACAAAAUGUUUGGUAUUAUAGAUAGCAUUUUAGCUGGACUAUCUCUCUCUUUCUCUCUCUCUCUAUCUCUCUCUCUAUAUAUAUAUGAUUAUACAUUAAAAGUUUAAAUUUUUUUAAAAAAAAUUGUUACUAAAAAUAUAAAAAUAUAUCCUAUAAAUAGCCUUAUGUGUAUUAUAAAAAACCUAACUGGUAUUAUUUCAGUCAAUUAAUUAUAUCUAUAAAUAUCAAAAAAAUAAGAAGGAAGAAGCUGUAACCAAAAAAAUAUAAAACAAACAUCCUAUAGAAUAGUCUUAUUUAUAUUAUAAGAAAUUUAAGUACAACAUAUUUAAUUAGUAUGCAUAUAGAAAGUUCACUUGACAAAAUAUAUAUAUAAAACUAGACUAGAAUACUAUUAAUAACUCCAAAUCACAGGUGCUAUUAAAUUUUUGCCAUUGGAUGAAAAGGUGUGCGGUUAGGAUGAUAGUGACCUCCUAUAAUUAAGUGGGUGAGUGGUUGAAUAGUAUGAUUUAAUCGGUGGGUGAGUGGUUGAAUAGUAUGGUCAAAGAAAUAGAUCCAACAGUAAAAAAUUUGGUAGCACCAAGUGCUUGAAGUUCUCGAUAGCAUAGUAGCCGAGCUCUCUCUCUCUCUCUCUCUCUCUCUCUAUAUAUAUAUAUAUAUAUAUAUAUCAAAAUUAUUUUUUCGAAUAUGCUCGGUAUUAUAACAGAGCAUUCUGAGCAGCAAAAAUCAAUACUCACUUUGUAGUCCAGCACAAAUUGCGCACAAUUAAUCAACCAUCAUAGUUACAAUUAUUUAUUUUUUAUCGUUUAAAAAAUUAAAACAUACCGUGAAGCUAAUUUAGGAAAUUAGAUGAAACACAUUUGCGCCUUUAUUUAUUAAAAUGAAAUACAAUCAUUUUCUUUUCAAGGAGUGCCUAAAAAAGAAAAAAAGGAGAAAGAAAAACUGGCAAGAGCAAUAAAAUAAAUGUUGGUAAUUUAUCUUUGUAUCUCAAAGUUUAAGCCAUUUUCACUUUCUCUCUCCUCAAUAUUUAUUUUGGUAGAGAGAAGAUUAUGGACCCGUUUGGCCUAAAUUCAGGAAAAAUAAUUUCUAUAUAAUUGAUUUUGGUUUGAAAAAUUGAUCUUGAUUAAAAGCUGUAGAGCCUUUGACUAAGUUUAGAUGGAAAGUGAUUUUUCUGAUAUGAUUUUAUAAAAACUGUUUAGCUAAAAAUUUUUGAUGUUUGCAAUAAAUAAUAAUUUUUUACUAAAUUAUAUUUUGAAAUAAUUUAAAAAUUGAAUGUAAAUUUAAAUUUAAAAAUUGAUAUUCUAAUUAAAAUAUAAAUUAAAAUUUUAAAAAUUAAAAUUUAAAAUUUGAAUUUUCCAAUCUAAAUUUAUAUUUUUAAUUUCAAAUUUAAAAUCUAAGUUUGAAAUUUGAUAUUUUAAAUUUAAAAUUUGAAUAUUUUAAAACUAAAAAUUCAAAAUUAAAAUUUAAAAAUUUAAAAAUUUUAAUUUUGAAUUUUUAAGAUUUAAAAUUUUUAAUUUGAAAAUUAAAAAAUUUAAUUUUAAAUUUUAAAUUCUAAAAUUUCAAAUUUUAAAUUUUAUGUUAAAUCUUUAGUUCGAUAUUUAAAAUUUUGAAUUUUGAAAUUUAUAAUUUAAUAUCUAUUUAUAAUUUUAAAUUACAAAAUUUAAAAUUUGAAAGUCAAAAUUUAAAAUUUAAAGCUUUAAAUGUAAAAUAUCAACCUUAAAAUUAAAAUUUGAAUCUAAUAUCAAAAUAAAAAUUAAUAUUUGAGUUUAAAAUCAGAAUCAGAUUUUGAAAACGAAGUUUCCAAACCCUCUAUUGAGCCAAAAAUUAAUUUAAAUCGAAAAUCGCUUUUCAAAAACUAUGCCAAACAUCCACUAUAAUAAUGUAAACGUUUUAGCCAUUGUGGAGAUUCUAUAACAUCUGAGAAAGAGGAAAAAGGUUUAUGAUUUUAUAAUAUUUUAGAUUAUGAAGAUUUUAUAAGAUAUGAGAGAGAGUAGGUAUUAUAACUUCAUAUGGACAUAAGAGAGAGAUAAGGAUUUCCUAGAAUAUAAGAGAGAGAGAGAGAUGGUAUUAGCUGCAUAUGGACAUAGGAGAGAGAUAAGGAUUUCCUAGAAUAUGAGAGAGAGAGAGUGAUGGUAUUAGCUGCAUAUGGAUAUAAAAGAGAGGUAAGGAUUUUGUAAGAUAUGAGAGAAAUACAAAUUUUAUAAGAUACAAGAGAGAAAGAGAGAGACGUAGCAUGGGAAGAGGAAAAGAGGAUACAGGGAAAGGGGAGAGGAGAGGGAGAUUGGUCUUUUAUUAGGGCUUAAUAAUUGCAUGGGAAAAAUGCUUGCCAACUCAAAUCCUGAAGUUAAUGGAGAUGGUGGCCAUUUGGAACAGGCAAAGGAGAACUUGCAAACUCAAAUUCUUUCAAAGCAUGUUUGGUUCGCGUUAUUUAAUAUUAUAGGUUAUUUCGAUAUAACCAGCUGCUUGAGAUUUUUGAAUUAGAUUAUUACUGAUAUUGCAUUAUUGUGUUUGAUUUUUAAUACAGUAAUAUAAUGUUAGAGUAUGGUGUAUGUAAAAUUAUCAUGUUUGGUUUAUUUUAUAAAAUUUAGUAAUAUUAACAAUAAAGUAUAACUUAUUCCAAAUUUUUUUACUAAAUUGGAUCUCAGAUCGUUUGAUUUGCUACUAAAAUUUAAUCCAAAUCACCAGAAUUUAUUAACAUGAGAAAAGCAAAUCUUGGAAAAUAGGAAAUAUAAUAUCUAAUCAAAUUGACCAACAUGGCACCUACGAUUAAAAAACAAGAGAAUCUUGUGACCAUUGAGCUUCAACAAAAGCCUCAUUUUUUUUUUUUCUGCAAAUGGUAAUGACUCUUAUCUAUAUAAAAAACAAAACAUCAGUUUACAAAAAUAGAUGUCCCCAUCCCCGUGUUAGUCCAAUUAAUAUACACUGUAUCAAUUAAUAAUGCUAUGUGUACACUUUAUUUUACGGCGUGUGUGUCUUACACUCUCUGAUACACUCUAUGAGAUAAGAGUUUUUAAAUUUUAAAGAACUUUUAAGAUUAAAUAAAGUAAUAAGACAAGUGAGCUAGAUAGUAAAAUUUAUACCUGCAGAGUAAGUGUACAGGUACGUAGUUUCGAUAUUUUUACUAAAUAAACUUCUAUGUAAUUUCCACGCGCGUGCUCCUUUUUCUUUUCUUUUCUUUUUUUUUUUUUUUUUUUUUUUUUUUUUUUUUUUUGUCUACAGGAUUGGGGUCAGAGUGACACAAUCAUACAAACAAUUAUAUGGUUGUCGAAGUAUUAUGCGUACCUUUGUCUUUUCUCCUUUGUAGAUGUGUGGUUUAAGACAAAUAAUUGAUAAAAUAUUAGUAGAUAUCAUAAAAUAAUGAUAAAUUAUAUUAUUUUUUAUUCAUGUUUUGUUACUAACUUUGGGUAAUAUUCUUGGACUACGUACCACAUGGUGGCCUUAAUUUAUUGAAGCCCCAAAGACACUAAAAUCCUCAUGAGCUUUUAGUAUUUUCAUAAAAAAGUGAUAUUAAAAAAUAUAAUUUUUUUGAUCAUAUUUAAUAAACUUAACUUAUUUUAAUGAAUAUGUAUUUAUUUUUUACGCAAAAACUGCUUAAUUAUCUUCCAAACAAUCUGCUGUUUAGUUUGCUCCAGUGGUCAUGAACUCCAAACAUAUGAUCAAAAAUUGCUUUAAAGAGAAUUGCAGGAGAUAUAUAAAUAGUUCUAAUUAUUUUAUUCACAUGGCCAAAUUGUUUUAACAAGGAAAAACAAAAUUUAAUGUAAAAAAAUGUUAUUAAUAAAAGAAAAAAAUUCUCAAUUUGGCUUUUUCUAUUAAGAAAUACAUAAAGUUUAGUUAGUAUAAAAACCAAACGCGUAAAUCAAAUAUGCAAAAGCUACAAAUUUAGUAGCUUUUUUUAUAUAAAAUUGGCCAAAAAACUGGAUGGCAAAUUAAUAUAUCAAAAAAUGAACAUGCUAAUUAAUUACUCUUAGAAUCUUCAUAAAUGUUGAAAAAAUUCCACCAUCUCCAUAAAUGUGACCAAAGAAUAAUGAACGGCCGAGAAGAGUUCCAAAUUGCUAAUUAAUAACCCUUCAUAUUAAAGAAUGGUAAAAAUGUAUGGAGAUCCCCUUAACUCUAGACAAUUUUAAAAUGAUCCCUGAAGUUUUUUUUUGUUCCAUUGAUGUCCUUUCAACUUCUAAUUUUUAUAAAUUGAGUUAUAUCCUUAGUUAAAUUUAAAAUUUUAUUUGAGGAUUAAGGAUUUAAGUACCGUGGUAAGAGGUCGUGCCGGAAACUUGCCGGCACGGUACGGCACGAGCAGUGCAAGCCGUGCUGGUCAAAAAAAAUUUUGUGUGUCGACACAUAAUAGCAUGAAAUAUUUAUUUUCUUUAGCAACAAAAUAUUCUUACUAUUUAUUAUAUCUUUUUAUCACAUCUUUUGAACUUUAUUGAGAAAAUUACUUACUAAUUUAAAGAAUAGAGGGUUUUGAGCUGUACCAUUGGCAUGGGAUCUGUAUCGUGCCGAUAUUUUAUUGGCACGGUACGGCACGAUGGAUACCGUCUGUGCCAACACUACAACAAAAACGGUCUAUAGCGACACUUUUAAAUGUAGGUACAUGUCAAAAAAGUGCUGUUAGCUAAAAUUACCGACACUUUUAAAAAGUGUUGCUAUAUGUGGAGUCGCUAGGUAUAUAGUGACAGUUAAAGAGUGUCGCUAUAACGUAAAAGGGUGCUGCUAAUUUACCAACACUUAUUUAAGCAUUUAGCAACCGCCGAAACUCUAUCUCGUUGGCUGCGGUGGCGGAGUAGGACGACAGGAAAGGCUUUUCGUCUAGAAUUUCAGUAGAUUGAGUGAAGAGAGAAGAAAAGAUGGCAAUUGAUUGUUCUUUUUUUUUUCUUUUCUGUUUGUAAUCGGGCCAAAUGGACUUGGUGUGGUGGAUUGAGUAGAGUAAUCUUUUAUUUUUGGUUGGAUUGUGCUUUAUAUUUAGGCAUUAGUAGAUGUUUUUUUAAGUUUUAGUAUAAAUGGGACACUUACUCAAAAGUGUCUCAAACAUGUGUCCCUAACCUAAUUCUGUUGCAGUGCGACGGGCACUUAUCUAACUCUAUUGCGCCAAAAAGAACGUGGAAAAAAUGAUAUAUAGAUAUAUUCUUUUGCAUUUUCUAUGGUGGGACCAUGGGAUUAAUUAUACAAUAACCGAAUCGCUGCAAUCUCCAUAACACAUUAUUAUUAUUAUUAUUAUUUUUCCAAUUACACUUUCCUCGCCGUAUGUAACGUAUUUUUCCCACAAUUGCAAGCAAAACUUUAGCUGUUAGGUGGCUAAUUGAUGGCCUAGCAUAGAAGGACUCAUCUUCUUUUUUCGAUCAUUUAGUACUAACAUGAGAGACAAAAGAUAGAUCAAAUUCCGUAAUUAUACACGUUUAGGGUUCGAACCCCUCUCUAUAUAUCUCUCUCUCGCAGCAGUCGAAGAAAGCUAUUUGUCUUUCUCAUGCACUCUCUCUUCCUGGUCACAUGCAAUAAAAGAAGCAAACAACGAAAAAAAAUUGGAGGAGAGAACUAAGAUGAGAAUAUGAAGAGUUCUUAUGACUAUGGCCAACCUAUAUAUUCACAUCUCUCCUCUUCUUUUUCUUUUUUUUUUUUCCUUUCUUUCUCUUUCUUCCUCUACUGCCAAAAUAGAGAGAGAUUCUUUUCAUUAAAUUUAAUGAAAGAUCAAACAAGAAGGUGGCAAAAUAUUGGAUGUAAAAUGAAGCAAAAAUGAUGUAGGGUAUAAAUUAAACACCGUAUAAAUUAAGUGCAUGAGGUUUUUUUUUUAAAUUUAGCCGAAAAUAAUUUCAUUCAACUAAAAAGAAACAAAUCAAAGGUUUAAAAAGCCUCAAUAGAAAAAAAAAAAAAAAAAAGUUGAGAAGUCCGUAUUAAAAUAGUUUAUAAUUCAAGAAAUCUCUAUACAUUUACACCACAAAAAAUUAGGUCAAUUGUAUAUUUAUGUAUCCCUACAAAUUAAUAAUAACAUUGCAUAUUUAUCUCUGUAAAGUUUUAGUUAUUGAAUAUAUUAGUCGAAAGUUGCAAAAGUUUGUAAAUAUAUUCCUCCUUAUUAGUUGGCCGAUUAAAAUUCAUUUCUUCAGAAAAAAAAAAUGUAACCAUUCUACUACUUUAGUAAGUUUAAUGAUCUUUUUUAUUAUUUAUCAUUACUAAUAUUGUAUAUUAAUUUUUGUGUAAUCCUUAAGAAGUGAUUAGAAAAGUUAUUUCUUACAGAGGCAUAUAUAGAAUUCUUUCAUUGGUGUUAUUAGGUUUUCGGCCUUAGGAUGAAAGAAUUUGCAGUGAUCUGAUCUCUUAGGCUGCGUUUGGUUGGAGAACUAAAUUUUGAAAAAUAAUUUUUGUUGUUUCCGAGAACCAGGGAUAUUCCGAUACAAGAUAGAACAAUUGUAAAUUUGUGUUUGGAUGCAAUCGGAGAUAUUCUAGAGGAUAUUCUUAAUAGCGUUUAGAUAAAAAGUUUUAAAAAAUAUCUAAAUAUAUUUUUAAAAAUAAAAUAAUUAAUUUAUAUUAGUAUAUUUCAUAUAAAACUAUUUAUAAAAUUAUUUCAUAUAUAUAGUGAUUUAUAAUAUAAUAUUUUAUCUAACUAUCUAAUUUAAAAUAGUAUAUUUUAUUUUAUUAUAUAUAAUAAUUUAUUUUAUAUAAUUUAUUCAUAAUACAUGUAAUGAAUAAAGUAUAAUACUAACAAUAUCCUUAUAAUUUUAAUUAAUAAUUAGUAUAAAUUUCAAUACAAAUUAAAAAUAUAUAUAUAAUAUAUGAAAAAAUAAUUAUAUAUAUAUAAUUACUUAAUAUAAAUACAAUAAUUAAAUAUAAAUAUAAAUAUAUAAAUGAUAAAACUUAAUAAAAUAAAUAAUAUAUCAAAUUUUAUUAAUUUAUAUUAUAAAAAAAAAAUUUAUGUAUAAAUAUAUUAUCAUAAAGAUAAUAUUUAUAUUAAUAUAUUUUUUUAUAGAAUUGAGCUCCUAUGCUUUUAAAUGUAUCAAGUUAUUGGUGCUUGUAGAUUUUUAGCCAUUGGAUUAAAAGAUAUGCGGUUAGGAUGAUGUGGGGCCCCUGGGGUUGAGUGGGUGGUUGGUUGAAUAGUAUAAUCUAAUGGUUGAAAUUGAUCCGAGGAGUAGAUCUAACGGUAAAAAACUUACGAGCACCAAGUACUUGGUGCUUUUACAACCACCAUAGCCGGACUCUUUAUUUAUAUAUCUAUUUAUCUAAUAAAAUAGGGAGAAGAACAAAGUUGUUUUCAGUUUUUCUAAAAAUAAUUUUUAACUGGUUGUUCCAGAACAAUCCAGAACAACCCGCUUUAAUCAGAACAACUCGUUCUCCUAGCUCUUCCAGCAUUUGGCUACAAAUUGGGAGAUAUCCCGUCUCGUUCCGAAAUAUCCCCGGAACUAAAUGUAGGUUGAGUAGGUGGUGGAUUAAAAAGUAUAAUCUAAGAAAUAAAAAGGUCAAUUAAGUAAAUUUAACGAUGAAAAAUUUAAUAGUACUAAAUGUUUAGUGGUGUUAAAGUAUUUCAGUCAGAGUCAACAUGUGUGUAUAUAUAUAUAUAUAUAUAUAUAUAUAUAUAUAUAUAUAUAUAGAGAGAGAGAGAGAGAGAGAGAGAGGGAGUUGAGCUAGAAUACUAUCGUAGCAAACAGCGUUCCGUUGCCACCCAUUUAUUUUUUAUGAUGGAGCUCCAAAUCGAUGAUCGUACCGUUUGAAAAUGAUCUAUCCCACUUGAAGUAUCUAGAAAUCAAAUUUCAUACUUUUUCUAAUUUAUUCUCUUGUCCAUCAAGUGGGCGUAAAAAUGAACGGUGAAAAUGAAAUAUCUUAAAAAGUGAUGAUAGGAAUUUUGUAAUCAAGAAUCGAAAGUGUGUAUUGUUCUAAAUAGUUUAAAAAUUUUAUAACCAAAAUUCAAAUUGAAUUUGGAUAGCUUUACAUCGUUAAACAAGUAAACGCCUCGUAUCGACCAUUAAAAUUACAAAUUUUGAAACCCUUUGAUCAUUAGUCAAUGAUGUCGAAAAGAUUUGAAAUUUGGUUUCUAUAUACUUUAAGUAGUAUAGAUCAUGUUCAACCGGUGCUAAUCGUCGAUUUGGAGGCCUCCAUCUUGAAACAAAUGGGUGGCAACGGAGUCUGUUGCUACCGAUAGUAUUCCAGCUCAAUUUUUAUAUAUAAUAUAUAAUUAUAUAUAUAUAUUAUAUAAUAUAUAUAAUAUAUAUAUAUAUAUAUAUAUAUAUAGAGUUUUGCUAGAAUACUAUCGGUAGUAAACGACCGUUUUACUAUCGAUUUGUUUCAAAGUAGAACUUCCAAAUUGACGAUCGGCUCCGUUGAACAUGAUCUAUGCCACUUGAAGUGUUUAGAAAUCAAAUUUCAAAUCUUUUCGACAUCAUUUGCCUAAUGAUCAAAGGGUUGCAAAAUUUAUAAUUUUAAUGGUCGAUAAGAGGUGUUUUCUCGUUUAACAGCGCAAAGAUAUCCAAAUCAAUUGAAUUUUUGUUAGAAAAUUCUUUAAACUAUUUAAAACAAGAUCUAUACUCUUGAUCUUGAUUACAAGACUCCUAUCAUCAUUUUUUUAAAAGUAUUCAUUUUCAGUCAUUCAUUUUUCUGUUCGAUGGAUAAAAGAACAAUAUCGAAAGUGCGUGAAAUUUGAUUUCUAGAUAGUUUAAAUGGUUUAGAUCAUAUUUAACUAAGCCGAUCGUCAAUUUGGAAGCUCUAUCAUCAAAAACAAAUCGAUAGUAAAACGGCUCGUUUACUACCGAUAGUAUUCUAGCUCAACUCUCUCUCUCUCUCUCUCUCUCUUUCUCUCUCUCUCUCUCUCUCUCUUUCUUUCUCUCUCUCUCUCUCUAUAUAUAUAUAUAAACUUCAAAUAUCUCCUUGUGGUUUCGCACGUUUUCACUUUAGCACCCUGUGGUUUAAAGUGUAUCAAUUUAGUAUCCUGUGGUUUUGUAAUUUCUCACUUUAGUAACUGUGGGUGAAAAUGCAUCAAUUUAAUACCCUGUGGUUUUAUUUUUCUCUUUUCGUCAACUUCUCUGUCAAUAUUUCGUUAAAUUAUAUACAAAAAACUUCAGAUACCCUACCUAGUUUUAUCGAAUAUUUACUUUAGUACCCUUUAAUUUUAACUUUGUCACUGGUUUCUUUUUCCUCCGUUAAUAUUUCAGUAAAUUAUAUACAAAAAAACUUAAAAUACCCUAUAUAGGUUUAUCGAAUAUUCACUUUAAUGCCCUUUAAUUUUUUACUUUGUUACUGAUUUAAUAAAAAAAUUAGUAAAAUGGAUAAAAAAAAGAGAAAAAAAUAAAAUCACAGAAUAUUAACUUGAUACACUUUAAACUAUAGGGUAUUAAAGUAAGAAAGUGUCAAACCAUAUUGACUAAUUUGAUACACUUUAAAUUACAGAGUACUUAAGUGAGAACGUACGAAACUACGAGGGGGUAUUUGAAGUUUACCCAAUAAAAAAAAAACUUAUCUCAUGCUUCCCAGGGAGACAUGACCAUGUGCCCGUCAUUUCCAAUCUACAUGAAUGGUUACGUCCCUCUUGCGUUAUUAUUUCGUAGAGAGCGCGAGUGAGACGAAACAAAGCGCGGGACCCACCAGUCCUAAUCUCAACCUCGAGCGCACUUUUGCUUUUUGCUCGCACCAGUAGAUUUUCGACAAGUGUCGCGCCGUAUCCAUCACACGUUUCGCCAACGCGGGGCCCCACCACUUGGCGCCAAAUGACAUAACCCAUGCUGUGUCUCCAUCACAUAAAUUCAGGUCACCUCCCCCCUUGUCAUUUAUUUUCUUCUUUUUAUUUAUUGAUUUAAUUUUAAUUUAAUUUAAUUUUUUCUUGGUAUUGGAUGCGGUUUUUCUACAGUUUCGUAAAUAAAAAAAUAUUAAAUUAUUCUAAAACUAAUACAUCCUAUGGAAUAGCGUUGACUCGUGGGUUGUUUGGUGAAUUAAUUUUUAAGUAUGGUGCAGUUGAAAAUAUAUGUAACUAUAAAUUUUUUUUAUUGGGUUUAAUUGAUGAAGUUAGACCCAUUUGCCUUAGUCGCAUCCGUAUGAGAAAGUCAAAUUGCUAUAGUUGGAUUGGACUCAGCUCACUCGUUCAAAAAAAAUAACGUGGAAUUUUUUUUUUUUUUUUUUUCAUACACUUCAUAUUUUCCUUCUCUGCUUUUAAAAUAUCUCGUCACAGUAAUGGAUAAGAUUUUAUUUGCGACAUCAUAGUUCAACAUUGUCUUACUUUUGUUGUAACCAAAUCUAUUAUAUGUUCGAAUUUAAAAUUCACUGAAUUGAUAUUUAUUUUUUAUAUUUUAUAUACACAAUCAUCUUUAAAUAUAUAAUUUUAUAAUAUGUAAAAUAAUAAAUAAAUAUAAAGUUUUAAUUAAUAAUUAAAAAUUGCAGGAUUAUUUUAUGUUCAGAGAAGGUAAUCUCACAUCUUUAUCUAAAAAGUGACAUGCAUGAUUUACAAAUACAAAUCUCAACUUUCGCCUGUCGGCAAAUAGAAAAAAUGUAACUGCAAUAGUUACAAUUGUAUAGAGCCAAACAGAUAGCACUACAACAGAUUUAGGUUAUAGGUGUUAGAUUUUAUUGGAUUUUUGUGAUUUAAAACUUAUCAGGCCUCUUGAACAACCCAAUACUUAAUGGGCCUUACCUGGAAGCCUAACUAAGGUUUUCAUAUGUGAGAUUUAAUCCAUAUUAAAAACUAAAGGUAUGUUGUUGUUAUUUAUAUAUUGUCUCAUUCUCAAAUUAGUUACUUGAGAGAAAAUGAGAAUUAUGCUCUCGACUAAACACACGCACGGCAAGAGCCGAGCCGGGCCGGGCGGGCAACGGCGCGCGCGGUCUAUGCACCUGGUUUAUUACGGCAUAAUCUUAGGCUUAUCUUGUUCUACACGGAAUUGACGCAUUGAAAUAAGAUUCUUGCCUUAUUUAUACAUAUUGGAGGAGAUUGCAUGAGUUCAAUUGGAACCUGGGUCUCACCUUUUUUCUAUUUUUUCGCCAUUGAUCUUCUGCGUCAAUUUUCGCCGAGCUUUCUCAUAUUUUGUUGGAUCUGAAGCUUGUUGGGUUCAACUUGCGCCACCUUGAAAUCGUACCAAUGGGGUGGAACAUGAUAAUUGUAUCACUGGAAGUAAUUAUCGAGAAGUCUCGGACGUGGAGGGAUAAUUUCGCUUUUAGGACAGUACUCUGUAUGCCUCGAACCACAAGCAUUUUCUAAUUUUUUUUUACAAUAUUUAUUAUUUAAUUUUUUUCUCAGAAUUUUUUUAAAACUGAAAUUAAAUUUUCGAAUUAUUUUUAAAGAAUAUUUUAAUAAAAGAUCAGAAAGACUUUUCAACAAUAGGGGUACAUUUUUUAGACACUUUUGUGUAAAUGUCUCAUUUAUGCCAAAAUUUUUUUAAGAAAAUCUACUAACGGCUAAAUAUAAAGCUCAAUCCAAUUAAAAAUAAAAAAUUUUUCUACUCAACUAACCCCACGCAACCUACUCGGCCUAAUUACAAAUAGAAAAAUAAAUAAAUAAAAAAAUUGAUCACCAUCUCCUUUUCUCCUCCGCCGUCGCCGCAGUCGACAAGGUAGGGUUCCAACGGCCAGAGUUCGGCUGCGAGGAUCUCGCAGGGACCGUAGAGGCAUAUGAUCGCCACGUAUCCCUUCGCCACAGAUCGCUGGAGGAGUGGGUGCCAAAUAUCAAGGCGGUUCCACAUAUAGCGACCCCAAAUAUAGCAACACUUUUAAAAGUGUCGGUAAUUUAGCCAGCAGCACUUUUUUUGAUCUGUACCGAUAAUUAAUAGUAUCGCUAUACACCGUUUUUAUUGUAGUCAUAUUAGUAAAAAAAAGUGAAAUUGGAUAGCCAUUUCAAAAUGGCAUAUUAUUUUUUUUAGCUUAAUAUUUAACAUUUUUGUUUUUUGCCAAAUUGAAAUAUCUGAAAAUGGAAUUAAUUAAUUUUUCCCUGAAAUGGAAUACUAGACUUAGGGGUUGUUUGGUUUGAUGUAAAUCCGGAAAAAAAAGUUCUUGGUGGAAAAAAAAUUUUCGUAGAAAAAAAAUUUUAUGUAGUGUUUUGUUUGGUUUGUAGGAAAUGAAAAAUAAUUUUCCAUCACGGUUGUUUGGUUGAAAGGAAAAAAAAUAUAUAUUAAUAAAUAUUAUUAUAUAUUUCUUUUUAUUAUAUAUAUAUUUUAUAUUAUUAAUAUAUAAUUAUUAUCAUAUUGCAUAUAUUAGUAUUAUAGUUUAUAUUUAUAAAUAAAAUAUAUUUAAAAUAUAUUAUGUAAUAAUUAAAUAUGUAAAAUAAUAUAUAAUACUAUAAAAUAAGUUAUUAGAUAUUUAUAAAUAAUAUGUAUAAAUAAAUAAAAUAUUAUAUAAUAAAUAUAUUUAUAUUAAAAAUGAAAUACCAUAUUUAAAAUAUAUAUAUAUAUACUAUUAUAUUAUAUUAUAAUAUAGAGAGAGAGAGAGAGAGAGAGAGAGAGGAGUUAGCUAUGAUAACUUUACAAGUAUCACCAUCAUGGUGAUUAGCGUUUUAAAGCCAUUGGAUCUAGCUUUUUUGAUAUUAAUAGCCUUGGAAUUUAAACACUAUUCCACCUCACCACCACUACACCACCUCCACCAAUCAUCUCAACCUCACAUUCUCAUCCAAGAGCCUAAAAAACACAAAGGUAUCACCUCAUGAUACUUUUACAAGUAUUCUAAGCCUAUUAUAUAUAUAAUUAAUAUAUAUUAUAUUAUAUUAUAAUAUAGAGUCCGCUAUAUACUAUCGAUAGUACCAAGCUCUUGGUACUAUUGAGUUUUCUACCGUUUAGAUUUACCCUUUGAUCAUUUCCACCGUUCGAUUAUACUAUUAAACCAAACCCUCACUCAACCUAGAGGGCACACUAUCAAUUUAACCGAACCACCAUUAUUAACCGCACAUGUUCUUAUCUAACUGGCUGAAAACCAAUAGUACCAAUGGUUUGAUACUAUUGGAUAGUAUAAGUUGCAUAUAUCUAUAAUUAUAUAUAUAUAUAUAUAUAUAUAUAUAUAUAUAUAUAUAUAUAUAUAUAUUUUAUAUAUAUAUACUAGUAGUAUAUAUAUAUGAUAUGAGAGAGAGUGGACCCCUCUCUCUCUCGCGGUCCACGAGGUGGUCUUGCGGUCUACGAGGUGGGGUAUUCUCAUGGACCGCGCCUGCUAAACCCCGCCCACGCUCCAACGCCGCGCUUUUUCGAAAAACGUCAUUUUUCCUUGAAUUCGUAAAAGAAAUAUUUGAAAAAAAAAAAUUUUACGGCAAACAAACACUCGGAAACAAGCACUCGGAAAUUUAUUUUUUUACCGAAAAUAAUUUUCGGAAUAAUUUUACAACGAAGCAAACAGGCCCUUAAUUUAUCUUGCUUAUCACACUCAUAAGAGAUAGCUACGCGUGAAAACGAAAGGAGGGCCAAAAUAAGAACCAAUUAUUUAUAGAUAGCUAUAAUAUAAUACAAGGAGCUCAUAUCAAAUCACUAUACAAAUGUGGGGAUUGGACGCGCACUUAAUUUAUUCCAAUUAAGAAUUUAAUUCUGCAGUCGAAAUAAAAUUGAAAAAAAAAUAAAAAAAUAGAAAAGUUUGUUGAAUAACAAAGACUUGGAAUAACAAUAAGGAUGAAUUAGAGGGAAUUGGCACAAUUAAUUGACCUGAAUUGAUUCGAUAUGGAACGGAUUAAACGUGGAAUGUGGCGUUUUAUCAACCCCAAAUCCAAACUUACCAGCUCGGAUUCAUCCAAAACCCGCCCCCAAUCCAUCUCGAUCUUGCUCUAUCUAGAUUUCGAUGAUAAAGCUGUUUAGUAAUUUCCGAUCAUUAGUUAGAUAUUAUAUCAAAUGGUUGUUGUGGCAGUGUGGUAGCUUUUAUAUAUCACGAACACUUCUAUAUAUAAGUCUCGCGCAUCCGAUGUAGACACGCCAUGUACGUACGCGUGUUCGACACAAGUCCAUUAGGACCAUUACCUAUACCAUGAAAAAAUAUUCUUAUUUCUAUCUUUUAUACAUAUAUAAUGUAAGAUGAAAUAUAUUUUGGCUCUUCAUAAAUGCAUAUAAUUAUUUUUUAGACAACAUAAAUAAAUUAUAUAGAAUAGAACAUUUCUUUUCUUAAAAUAUAUAAAAUAUCAAUAAAAAUUUUAUUAACUCUCAUUCGUCUGAAAAAUAUAAUAAUAUUUUACUAAUAUUAAUAUUUUAUAUAUAAUAAAUACAUAUUAGUAUAUUAAUAAUAUUAUAUUUUAGUAGUCAUGUUUGUAUUCUAAUUUUUUUGAAGUCAUAGAAUCGUCGUAUCCAAAUCGUAUCUAUACUUCGUAUCUCGUGUUCGUGUCAGUGACAUCAAGGGUUGGAAUGUGCAUGACCAAUUUCAACCCGACUAGAUAUGGGUUGGAUUUUUGAAACCUACAUUUCUGUAAGGAACCGGACUUCUAAAAUUAUAAAGUUACGGUGUACAUUUGAUUUGAAAGCCAUUUAAAUGGUUCCGGUGAGGUUGCGGUGAAAUAUAAUAUACCGGAUUUUUAAAUAUAAAAAUAAAAAUAAAUAAAAAUAGUAUGAGAUAAUAUUUUUAUUGGAUUUGGAGAAGUGAAAUAUGAGUUAGAAACGACCUGUAAUGAAAUCGGAGUGAAAACAGAAGAUUUAGAAUUUUCUGUGAGAAACGGAGCAGAUAAAUUAGCAGAAAAUGCACAGUGUCAAAAAAUUAUGAAAACUGGAGGGUAGAUUAGAAUUAUUUUUAUGAUGCUAGAUUUAAAGUUUCAUGUCAUUCUGACACCCGGAAGGUGAAAAAUAAAAUCCGAUAGUGAUCUGAUAAAGAUUAUAAUUCGGUGCAGCUUUCGGUGACCAAAUAGGGUCGAAACUGAAAGAUUAAAAUUUCUUUGGACUUAUUAAGUAAAACCGAGCCUGCCUGUCAAAUUUGAGCGCAAACGGACGUUCAGAAGGGCUCUGGCGAAAAAUGUCAGUUUUAAACUGCUGAAGUGAAUAGUAUUUUGGGGGAGUUUACUUGGAGGUGAAGUUUCCUCCUAUAUAUAUAUAUAUAAGGGUGUUAUGACAUUUCUCUCAUUCCUCUCUACUUGAGCCAACAUAAGAAAAAUCUCUCUCUCUCUCUCUCUAGGAUUGGCUCCAAAGUGUAGAGUUUGCUAGAGAAAAGCUUGCUUAAAAGUGAAGCUUUCUUUUUCUUCACCAUUGGCUGGAAGAGAGCUUGGGUUUGAGAGGUAAGAUUUGAUAGCAACAAUGAUAGAUUGCUAAAUAGUGAUUUGUAUGCCUUAGAAAUAGAUUUAGUGAAACUCCUAGAUGCUAAACAGAUGGUUGAUGCUCGAAUUUAGAGAUCAAAUGAUGAAUUCUUGCAUAGUUGCAUCUUAGGGCAUCAAAAGAGGAGUUUUUGCUUGUGAGGGGUUUUGAUUUAAAUUGAUCAUGUAUAAACCUAAUUGCUAGGUAAACGAACGCGUUGGCGAAGUCGGUUCGGCGAUUCGUUGAGCCUACGCGAAGUUAUUAAAGAAACGGACAUUUAGGCUUCGUUUCCGCCUGGAGGGCCGAGGCGACGUCGUAAAAUCAUGGAAUCGGAUUUGAGGCACCGUAACAACAAAACAAAGACCCUUUUUGCCCGAGGCUGCGAAGCGAUGCACGGUCGGUGCGCAAUUGCAAGUUCCGGCGGAACCGAGCACCGGAUGCGGCGGGAGGCCGAUUGCAAGUAUCGACAAGCAAUCGAAAUGCACUAACAGGUGGGUUGUGCUCACCGAAGUUAUUAGCUCACUUCCAUGUCGAAGCGAAAGUGUAAUUCUCGUUGAUGCAUAUAAUGUAAAUGCUAAACGAUACAUAUGAUGUAAAUACUUGAUUAUGCAUAUAAUGUAAAUGCAUGAUGACAUGAGGCAUAUACUAAAUGAUGUUGACAUAUCAUGAGAUGCUAGUUGAUAUAUAUACAUGAUAGGGUAUUGGAUAGUCGCAUUUCUAUUCUUGCAUGAUCCAUAGUAGUGUAGCAACAUGAGUUGGCACUUGAGUUAGGAUGUAUGAGAAUAGUGGAAUGGUGACAUAGAACUCUAUAGAGAUAAGUUAAACAAUAGCUUGAUCUUGUAUUGAUGAAUAUGAUGAUAUAUGACUAGUAUAGUUGAGCCAUUGCAUCGUGACGAGUGGCAUGUGAAUCAAGUAAACAACUUGACGAGUGGCAUUAGAAUUUAGUGUUAAAAGAAUGCUUGUGACAUGAUGACUUAGGGGAUAGACAAGUCUCCCUAUUUGACACCUUGCAUGAGAUCGGUGUGACAUUGAUGACCCUAGAGACAGGGUAUCCUCAGUGCACGAGGAUUGGAUCAUACUCACAUUGUCUGUUCAGCGCUUGUGGCGGUCGCCCCGCACAAGUAGUGCGAGCUCCGGAGUCUUGGCACGUGAAACGAUUGGGAUAGCCUAUGUAGGGUCCCAAGGGAUAGCCUAUGUGGGGUCCCGCAGACAGUCCCUCGGGGGUUCGAGUCCCCUUCCAUAGACGGAUUUAAGAUGUGAGUUGAGGGCACGCCUAUGGGCCAGCCAGAGGAUUGGAUAAUAAACUCAUGAGAAUUAUGUGCAUUGAGCAUAGUGAGUCGUAGCUGAACCCCAGUUGAGUGGAUAUUAGGCUGAGGCGCAAGUGAGACGUCCUUCGCCUUGAGCCUGAUUUUGCGCAAUAAUCCGCGGAUGAUUGACUCAAGACCGAGUCGGAUGGAUAGCUUCGUAAAGGUAGAUAAAAAAACCUUGUGAGCAAACAGUAAAGGUCAAUGAAACCUUAUGAUCGGAAUGAUACUUGACCUGAAUCUAAGAUAGAAGAAAACUUAGAAGUCAAUUAGACGAGCUAUGGAUAGCAGGAUUGAAAGUAGUAUCAAUUGAACUACUAGUUGGCUAUAUAGCUGCAUUAUUGCAUGAUUUUCAUAUUGCAUAUUGCGAGGCAUGUUAUUUGUUAGUUGCAUAAAUACAUGAUGAUAUAUAUAUCUGUGGAUGUUUUUGGACUAACAUAUUACAGUGCCUCCUUCGGACCUGGUGGGUCGAGCUCUUCCCUUGGGUAGCCGUACCCACUGGGAACUAUAUUUAUAUAGUUCUCACCCCCGUGUGGUUUUGGGGGUUACAGGUUUGCACGUGAGCGGCGCGGCGGCGUAAGGAGAGGGCGUAUCUCCGUAGAUAGCGCCUUACCACCGAGACCAGAGAUAGCAGUACCCCAAAGUGGCCUAGCUUAGGGGUUAGAGAUGUAAGAAAUAAACUUGUAAUAAUUAUGAUUGUAUUUGGAAGUUGAGGAUGUAUAGCAAAUAAUGUAAUAUAAAUGUGAAUGCUUGUAAUAGCAUAGGAUUUAUAUUGUUUGAUACCUUCCUUAUGCAAUCGUUGUCUGAAUAUUGUUCCUGUUUGGAACCUCUUGUAAUUGUAAUGAUUGCGACGCCUUGGACGUACAGGGGAGACUCUGUCCGUUUGGCGGUCUGUCGGCGUACCCGAACCGACCAAAUAGGCGGACUCGGGACGUGACAAUUUCCAUCUAUAACAAGGAUUGAGGGAUGAGGACACAUGCAAUCUUAUGGUGUCCCUGUUAUAAGAUCAUCUAAAUAGAUCUUGCAAUGUCAUUUUUUGUCCUUUAAAAUUGUAGCUGCGGCUAUUAGAAUUGAUUCUGAUUGAAAAUCUGAAAUUUUUAUAACGAUGACAGCAAGAUGAAGUGACUUUCCUGAGCAGCAAAAAAAGAAAAAAAAAAAGAAGAAAAAGACAACGAGCCGGCUCGCAAGCUAGUGUAGAGAUUAGGGCUGGCAUAUGAGCGAGCCGGCUCGUGUUCAACUCGCAUUCGGCUUGAUAUUCGGUUUGCUCGAUCUUGACUCAAAAUUAAAUAAACCGAACUUAAACAGAAAAAAAAACAUCAAAUUUAUUUCAAGCCGUUUUACUGGGCUCACUCAAAUAUAUAACAUAUAUAUAUAGAGAAAAUUUCUUCAAUACCCUUCUAAAAAUAUUUAAUUUCAUAAAUACCCCUUUAAAAUUUGAAAUAUUAUGUGUACCCCCUUAAAUAUUUAGUUUCAAAUACUUUAAAUCAUAUUUAACGGAGUAGAUCGUCGAUUCAGAAGCUUCAUCAUUGAAAAUAAUUUAUGAGUAUGAAAACUCUAUACUCAUAAGAAUAUAGUAGUCCUAGCCUGUAUAUAUAUAUAUAUAUAUAUAUAUAUAUAUAGAGAGAGAGAGAGAGAGAGAGAGAGAGAGAGAGAGAGAGAGAGAGAGAGCGCGCGCUAGUCUUCUAUACUAUCUAUAGUACUGGGACUCCGAUACUAUAAUCUCGUUUUCGAUCUUAAGGUGUUCAAAUCAACGAUCCACACCGUUAAAACUGAUCUAGGGUAUUUAAAGUUUUUAGAAAUAAAAUUUUAUAUUUUUUUGAUAUAGUUUACUUUAUGAUCAAAAUAUUUCAAAAUUGUCAAUUUUCAAUUGCUACUAUGGCGAAUUUGGAAUUUAAAAGAGUAGAAGAAUCUAAAUUUCUUCAAAUUUUGAUAGAAAAUACUUUAAACUAUCUAGAUUAAGGUUAACAUUUUUUAUCUUAAAUUUAAAAGUCCUAUGCUCAAAUUUUAAAGAUUAUUCAAUUUCCACCGUCCAUUUUGACAUAAUUUAUUUACUAAGUAAACGAUGUCGAAAAAAAUUAAAAUAUUAUUUCUAAGAACUUCAUAUACCCUAAAUCAUAUUUAACAGUGUGGAUCAUUAAUUUGAACACCGUAAGAUCGAAAACAAGACUAUAGUAUCGAAGCUCCGGUACUAUAGAUAGUAUAGUAACCUAUAUAUAUAUAUAGAGAGAGAGCAAGGCCGCUGUGCUCUCAGGAGCACGGAGGCCUCCGUGCUCCUGAGCUGUUUUCGAUGAUGAAAUUUUCGAUUCGACGAUCGGCUCCGUUAGAUCUAGCGCAUUUGAAGUUUGUAGAAAAUAAUUUUUGCGAUUUUUCGAUAUCAUUUACCUAGUGAUCGAAAGGAUUCAAAAUCUAUAAUUUUUAAUGGUUGAUAUCUGUCGUUUUCAAGUUUAACGGUGUAGAAGUAUUCAAAUUAGAUGAAAUUUUAAUACAAAAUUCUUUAUACUAUCUACAACAAGAUCAAUAUUUCUGAUCGAAAAUUUUAAUGCUAUAUCACUAUUUUUUAUAGAAUUUUUAUUUUCAGCCGUUAAAAAUUAUUGAUUUUGAAUCCUUUCGAUUGCUAGGUUAAUGAUAUCGAAAAAUCGCAAAAAUUAUUUUCUAGAAACUUCAAAUAAUCUAGAUCAAGGUCUAACGGAAGUCGAUGCUCGUCGUUCGGAAACUCCAUCAUCGAACGGUUAGGUUGAGGAGGCAUCCGUGCUCUUGAGAAACACAGCCAGCUUGACUCUUCUCUCUCGUCUCUCAUUUCCUUUUAUAUCUAUAUUUAUAAUCUAUAUAUAGAGAGAGAGAGACCUGAGAGACGUGUCUUCAAUCUAUUCGGAUCCUGCUCGGAGAAGAGGAGAGUGGUAGUGGUAUUAAUAUCUUUAUGCACGGAGGCCUGCCGUGUUUCAAGUUUGUUUUCGAAUGUGCGACAUCAAGGUCAACGAGCGGCUCGUUAGGAUUGAUUACACUUUAAAAGUAUUGAAAACUAAAUUUUAUAAUUUUUCGGCAUCAUUUGCCUAGUGAUCAGAAACGGUCUCAAAUGAUAACAAUUUUAAUAGGUAGAUGUGAUGCCGUAUUGUGAAUUUAACGGUGUAAAACAAUCAAAUUUUGAUGAAUUUUAUGUCGCAAAGAUUCUUUUCAUAUUUAGAGCAUAAGAUCAGUAUCCCCUGAUCUUAAUUCAAGUUUUUAUCCACUUUUUUUGGAUUUUUAUUUUCACCUCGUUGAUUUUUAGACCUUGCUCAGUUUGUAGGUUCAAGAUGACGUUAAAAAUUGAUUAAAUUUAGUUUCUACAAUUGCUGUUAAUAGUGUGUAGAUCAAUGUACUAAUGGUGAUCGCGCAUCGUCGAUUGGAAGCCGCUCAUUGAAACAAUUGGAGCACGGAGGCCUCGAUGCUCGAUUAGUAUACCAGCCUAACUAUAUAGUAUAUUAUAUAUAUAUAUAUAUAUAUAUAUAUAUAUAUAGAGUCCGGCAACUAUACUCUUAUGAGUAUAGAGCCUAUUGUACUCAUAAGUUUUUGGCCGUUAGAUCUAGCCUUUAAUCAUUUUCACCCGUUAGAUUAUACUAUUCAACCAACCACCCACUCAACCCUAGGGGGCCCACUAUCAACUUAACCGUAACCACUUUCAUUCUUACCGCACAUUUUUUUAUCUAAAUGGUCGAAAACUUAUGAGUACAAAGGGCUCUAUAUAUAUAGAGUUUGACUGGGCUACUAUCGGUAGUAAACUGCUCGGUUUACUACCGAUUUAUUUUUGAUGAUAGAGCUUCCAAAUCGACGAUCGGCACAGUUGAACAUGAUCUAGACCAUUUAAAUUAUCUAAAAAUCAAAUUUUAUGAUUUUUUGGCAUCACCAACUGAACGAUCAAAUGGUCACAAAAUCUAUAAUUUUAAUGGCCGAUAUGGUGCGUUUGCUUGUUUAACGGUAUAAAAGAGUUCAAAUCAACUUAAUUUUUGUUAAAAAAUUCUUUAAACUAUUUAAAAUAAGGUCUAGACUCUAGAUCUCAAAUAUAAAAAUUGCAUCAUCACUUUUUGAAGGAUAUUCAUUUCCAGCCAUUCAUUUUUCUGUUCACUUGAUGGACAAGAGAACAAUAUCGAAAAUGUGUGUAAUUUGAUUUUCAGAUAGUUUAAAUAGUUUAGAUCAUGUUUAACGGUGUCGAUCAUCAAUUUUGAAGCUCUAUCAUCGAAAACAAAUCGGUAGUAAACCGAACCGUUUACUACCGAUAGUAUUCUAGCAAAACUCUCUCUAUGAGUUUGAUUGGGCUACUAUCGGUAGUAAACUACUCAGUUUAUCGGUAGUAAACUACUCAGUUUACUACCGAUUUGUUUUUGAUGAUAAAGCUUCCAAAUCGACGAUUGGCACUGUUGAACAUGAUCUAGACCAUUUAAAUUAUCUAGAAAUCAAAUUUCGUUUAUUGGGUAAAUUUGCUAGCCAACAAAAUCAAACCAACAAAAACCUACUGUAAUUACUCUCUCUCGCUCUCUUUCACUUGCUCGCAUAAUCACUUUUCCUAAAUUAUUUUUCUUAGCGUUAUGAAAUUGUAUCAUGCAUUUUUUUGUAUGUUAAACUAUUAGGCAUAUUUCUUAUAUCAAAUUUUAAGUAAUGUUUCAUAAAAUUUAAACUAUAGAUUGUAAGAUGUUAAAAUUUUCAAGCGACUCGUUUAGAACUCGAGCUCGCUCGACUCAAAAUUAGGCUUGCUCGAGCUUAAGUCGAAUUAAUUUUAAGUUGAGCCUGAACCUAAAUGUAGGUUCAAAAUUAUGUCCAAUCCAAGCUUGAGCUGAGAUAAGUUCACUCAAGUUCGGCUCAUUUCCACCUCCCAGUAGAGAUAAGCUUGCAGGGUUUUAAAUAAUUGAAAAAGUUAAUAGUGCUUCUAGAAAUUUUUGUCCAGCAAUAGUUUUGUAGAGGCUUCAAUUAAAUGAAUCAAACAAAGAUCUUUUUUUGGCUAUGUUACAAACUGUAUAGUACCUUUAAUUAAGUGUUGUCUUACUAGUGUUAUAUACAUUAGAAGAAAUAUGCUAUGCUAUGCUACUUUUUCUAAUACACUUCUCUUUUCAACAGAAGCAAAAGCUCAUUUACUAUUUAAUUAUUAAUUUGUUUGCGUAUCGCAAUAUGCAAUUGCUCUUGUACGGGCCAUUUGCCCUCGCGGCACUUAACCGUAUACAAUUUCUGUGUUACCGACCGUCCCUAGAGCAAGUGGCAAAGGGCUUGGUGGUUGGUACCUGAGAUCCAAAUUCGAAUCCUAGUUGAUUCACAUUUUCAGCUAAGUUUAUUUCUAAAUGAAAUAAAUGAAGCGGAUAGCGUGCUACCUAUCUCUCAAAAAAAAAAAAAGAAGAAGAAAUCUGUGUUAACAUACGACGAAAUUUGAAAUUGGAGCUUCUGCAUCAAAGUAUGCAUAUAGCAAACAAGCACAAGUUUCUAUUCCUAGGUUAAGAAUCACAUUUUAGUUUUUGUACCGAGUUCUAAAUUUUUUUCGUUUGCUAAUGCUUAAUAAGAGGUACGAGUCUAUAACUGAAACCAGGAGCAAAAAUAGGUAUGCAAUUUCUCCUGUUGUGGGGUAUCACAACGCUUAAUUAUCAUAAUCUGAUUAGAAUUAUUAGUCCCAUACUUGGAUAAAGUCCUAAUAUAUUGGUUUAUAUCGUUCUUAAUUAAUUUAAUCUUUAUACAACUAAAUCUCCUCUCUGAGAUACGCAUUAAAAUAAUAUAUUCCCUUCCUCUCUCAGCUGUUGAUGUUACAUGCCUUUGCAAUUUUGCGCAAGGGUUUGUAGCAUGGCCUUGCACCUAUUCUCGAUCCCUCCAAGGCACGGGACUUGACGCCGGAGCAACACUUAGGCUUAGUUUAGUUCGAUAAUGAAUAAGAACUGCUUAUUUCAGAGAGAGAUAAAGUUCAGAUAUAAGCAUGAAAUAUAAGUGAUAAAGUUCAGAUAUAAGCAUAAAUAUAAGUUUUUGUUUGGAUGAAAAUUAUGCUAUUUCUGAGAAUAAAAUAAAUAGUGUUUGUAUGUUAGAUUGGAAUGGCAAAAAUAAAAAAAAAAUUAUAAUUUUCAAUUAAUAAUAUUUUUUUAUCUAAUUAAUUAAUAUUAAAAUAUUAGUUAAAACUAAUUUAGUAAAUUAAAAAUUUUAUUAGCCAUGAAUAUUGUAUAAAAUUAUGAAAAAAAGAUAUUCAUAGAAACAUCCUGUCUCUUCAGAUUCCUCUCCCUCUAAAAGUGACAUAACAUAGGAAAGGUACGUGAACUAACUCAUUGUCGGAAUACUAAAUCUGAGAUUGAGAAAUAUAAAUGAGAGAAAUAAUAUUUUUAAGUGGGAAAUUGAAGCUUCCGAAUUUGUCACUGAUCAUCUAAUUGUUAGACAAUAUUACUAUCUUUAGAAGAGAUAUAUCGCGCGGUUUGGAUUGAUUUAUUUGGUUUUGGUAAAAAUACUUCUAUUUAGUUUAAAUCGUCUUGAAUUAAUUACUAAAAAUAAGAUAUAAUCAUGAUUAAUUUAAUGUUAAAAAGCAUUAACCUAAGAUAAUAAUAUAAUAUAAUUAAUAUCUCUCAUUAUUUCAUUAUUAUUUAAAAUUAACUAAUACAUAAUAUUUUCCUUCUACUUCUAAGUUCUAACCUUGGUUGCUAAUUAAGAUAGGAACAAGGGACUGUCAUACACACAAUAAGAAUUAGGUAUUAAAAUCAUUAAAUGAAGAUAUAAAUAAUGGCCUAGUGUCUUAUACUGCAAAUUAAUACAUUAAACUUUUCAUUUGUGUGCUAUUCAAAAAAUUAAAUAUCUUAUUUAAUAUAUAUAUAAAAAAAUAUAAAAGCGAAUGAAUUUGGGAAUCUAGUUUACUUAACUUUACUUUAAUAAAAAAAUUGAGCCAAUGAAUAUUCUCUCCAAAAAAAAAAAAAGGUCGAGCCAAAAUAUACGUACCAAAUUUGGUAUAAAUAUAAUACAAAUGCAUAUAUAGAGAAGAAGCCAUGAGCAUGGUGUCUUGAGAGGUAAUACAAACAAGAACAAUUAGAUAACGACGUUGGAGACAACAAUAGAGACAUGCCAACCUGUGGAAAACCCUAAUUUCAUUUACCCAAAAAUGACCGUGGUCGAUCACUAUGUCAAAGUCAUAUAUGAACAAUAAUGGAGGAACCGUCGUAAUAAUAUAUGCUGUGGAAUUAAUAUUAUACAUUAUUUAGGCGCAUUAUGCAAAUUCUGCAGCGACAUCAAAAUAUUUGGGACGUUAAUUGAUGGAAUGUGCUAAAGUUGAAAAUUUUACCCACUAAUUGCUAUCGCCUUAAUUUUAUUGGUGACAAAUUAUGAUGAUGGGACCAUGAUAACUACAAAGCUACAUACCUGAUGUUGCCCAAGUUCUCCAAUGAAAACCAAGUAAGUUAAUGCAUUUAUAUACACUAAUUUGCCCCUAAAUAGACAGUUUUGAAGAGGCCCCUUAACCAUCUUUUAUUUUUUAUUGACACAUUUUAACUUAAUUACUAAUACUUUUUUGUAGUUGAGUUAUUUUAAUUAGUUAAAUUAUUUUUUAAAACCUAUUGGCUCUAUUAGCUGUUAGUUGCAGCUGUUAAUCAUCCUAUAUUUCUCUAUAUAUGGGAUUAAAUUUAAUGGAAUCAUCAAUAAACUCUAGUUUAAUUGAUUAUAGGAAAGAAAUUAAGUUUUGGGGCCCUUCAAUACAUCAUGACAUACAGACGAGGGGUUCCUUAUAUAUCAUAGAGUCAGUUUUUAAAAUUUUUAAAAUUCCAUUGUUCCUCGCCGAAUUAUUUUUGUUGAUGUAUAAUUAAGCACUACUUUAUUUAAUAGAGCAUUAAGCUAAAGAAUUUAGCAUUUUAUAACCUAACUGUAAUGAGGAUAAAUUUCACGACUAUUCCGAAGUUGCUAGAAACGAAAGUUUACAGUUUGAUGCUGAGAAAAUCACAAGCAAUCUUAGUUUUAUACAGUUCGUACACCUGAAUAAUUGCAACUAGACCCAACAUAUCCAUCCAAGGGUCAUUCUCUUUCACAUUAGUUUUAUCAUUUUUUUUAAAAAAAAAUACUGAAAUCCAAGAAGGGUUGUUCACAAACCCUAGCGGUGAGUGUUUCAAUCGGAGGAUGGAGAAUUAUAAUCUUAUUACAAAUUUUUAUGGGGUAUAGAUUUAGCAUUUCCCGUUGUAACGGAGUUGAAUGUAGUGGAGGAGAUCAAUAUGUCACAAAUAUAUAUGAGGUUAAUUUCUUGUGAAAUUUAAAAAGAAAAAAAAUGUAGCUAGGUUUCUAUAUUCUACCUUAUCUAAUUAGUAUGAAAUUUCCCCCCUAUUUGUGUAGUUUAGUUUGUUCCAAUUAAUUAGUUUCAAUCUAAUAUACGUUUAACUGUAUUUAUAAUGUUUUCAAACAAAAAGAUUUUCAAGUUACUCAAAAAGACACAUAUAAUAUAUGUUGGUCAAAAAGACAUAUAUAAUUAAUUUAGAAAACUAAGUGUACUGGAUCAUGAUGCUGCAUAAGAAACAAAUCUAGCCAUUGAAAGAAUCUAUUAAUUUGUGGGCAUUGCAUUUGAUACUCUUCCUCUACGCCAAAUGUUUAGGUGGUGUAUUGUGAAACAUUUUCCUGUGGAAAAAAUAUAUAUAUUCAUGAAAAUGCUUUUUCGAUUAAAAAGUCAAAUUCCUUUUCGUAGCGUGAGUCAAUGAAAUACCACAACUAAUUAAUUCACCUUGUAAAUCACUAUGGACCCUCUAUUUUAUGCAUCUUAUCCAAUUUUUGAAUAUUUUUUAACAGGUGUGUUACAAGCACUUAUUAGGAGAACAUACCCUUCUAUAGUAAAGACCUUGGAGAUAGAUGAUUAAUUAUAAACACAUCAAUUCAAUGGAAAACAAGAAAACUUUUAUACUUGCAAAAUGCUCCUGCUGAAGAUAACCAUGGUUAAAUAUUAAAGAUGCCCAAUAAUGGAGGAAGUGUCAUGAUCAUAAAAAUUGAAUGAGCUAACACUCGAACCUUCUUAGGUGAAUUAUGUAAUGGCGAUCGAGGGACAUGAAGAAUAGUUAGGUACAAUAAUUGUUAUGCAAGGUAUAGCUUGCAUGUUGAUUAAUUGCAUCAAAUUUUCAAAUGUAAUCAAUUAAAGGGAGAUAUAAUUAAUUAAGAUUUCUGUGCGGCGCCUACAGGACUAAUUAAAAAAAUAAAGAAAAAAAAUCACAGAACAUAAUUGUUUCAUAGAUUCAUAAGUUGAGGGGAGUAAUGGCGAUGGGGAAACUUUAGACACUAGAGGCAACCACACUGUCGUAUGCAAAUUUAACCCUACAAAUUGAAUUUUUUUUGUUUGCUAGUAUGCAAGGCAUUUAUUAAUAUUUUGUCUAGUAGUUUGAAGGCUUAUUCUGUGGAGAAACACCUAGUAAUUACGAAAUCCGAGGACCAUUUCAAAAUAGUUAUUUGAGGUCAUUCGAGAGUUAUACUUCGUUGGAAACUGCAUGUCAAUUUUGGUCUUAUCUCACUUAAUUAACAUCGCUCUAGAGUCGUCCAAACUACAUGUCAUCUUACGUAACAUCUCUCUCUCUCUCUCUCUCUCUCUCUCUGUGUGGGGGUUCAGUUGCCUUUCUAUAUGUUCAGCAAAGAGAACCAAAUUAAGAAAAGAGAACUAGCAAUCUACGUAAACAAAUACUAGAUUUUUGUUUGGUUAGUUGUGAGAAGAAAGGUGCUCACUGUGAACAAUCUGCUGAAACGUGGGUGGUGUGGCGAGGAGACUUGUGUUUUCUGUUUGAACGUGGGUGAGACCAUUGAUCACCUCUUCAUGGGUUGUGAUGACACCAAAGCGCUGCUGGAGGUUUUUCUUCCAAAUAAAUCAGGCCUGCGUAAUUGUAUUUCUGCUAGUCUGCUCUGGAAGCUAAGUAGAAGAAAAGAGGGAGCGAUUGGAGGAAAAGAGUCAACAAUCGCCACAACAUGGUGGGUCGUUUGGUUGGAGCGCAAUAGACGAAUCUUCCAGGAAACCAAACGAACGACGAGUUUAUUAGCGUCUGAGAUCCGCUCGCUUAGAAACAUCUAGGAUCUUUUUUGUUAUAUAUAUAUAUAUAUAUAUAUAUAUAUAUAUAUAUAUAUAUAUAUAUAUAUAUAUAUAUAUAUAUAUAUAUAUAUAUAUAUGAUUCUUGCCAAUACCUUCACAGGCCAUAAAGAAGGAAAGGAAUAUUCCCUAUCGGAUCAUCAGAUGCUUAAAAUAUGCUUGUGUGACGAGUUGAGGUGACAUUUUGGAUAUAUUUUUAAUCAAAUUGGGCAACAUUUUGUAUCAUGCUAUGGGCAAAAGAAGAGCACAUCGAAUUUGAAAUCUCAAUAUGUUUGACGCCGUCGUGAAUGCCAGGUAUAUAUGUCUUUUUUUUUUUUUUUCCCCAUUUUUUUUUGCUACGCUUUUAAGGAAAUACCCAUGCGGCUAAUUAAUUAGUGGAAAUUAUUAUAAGGUCUCUCCGUUAAUUAAUAAAUGGAGGACCUUUUUCUCGUAUUAAAAAAUGGAAAGAUUGGUCUCUUACGACUCACAUCAAAUGUCACCCAUUGGAACAAGAAAUCGACCCGAGUGUUUGAUUCUUUUCUUUUCCAUGCUUUAUCAUUGAAAACCCACUAAUUCGGGGGCUAAUUACAACAUUGUUUGUAGGUCCCUAAACAGUUAUUAGUUGUUUCUGCAGUGUUUUCAUAUGAUUUACUAUUCUUAAAACUCUGAAAAUUCAUUUUAACUUUUGCUACUACCAAAACUUUACUUUUGAUUCACAAGUGUUUUAUUUUUAAUGGGUGCAUUAGGGAUGUCAAUGGGUAUGGAACUAUAGAUAUCCGAAAUUUUAUCUGAACCCGAACCCGAACCCAAAUGAAACGGAUAUAUCCGAUGCUAAAUGGAUAUGGAUUCGGAUAUGGAUAUCAAAAAUAGAAACCCGACGGAUAUGAAUUCGAAUAUAGAUUUUGACUGCACCCGACCCGAACUCGAACCCGAUCCGAACCCGAAUUUAUUUUGUAUUAUAUAAUAUAUAUACCCGACCCGAACCCGAACCCGACCCGAACCCGAAUUUAUUUUGUAUUAUAUAUAUAUAUGAUGUUAUAUUUGAAUUUGUAUUUUAAAAAUUUAGAUUUAAUAUAAUGUAUUUUGAAAUACUAAAAAGAAAAAUAAUUGUUUCGGGUUCUAAUUUUCGGGUUCGGGUUCGGGUUCGGGUUUCGGAUUUUUGGUCGGAUUCGGGUUUGGAUAUGAAUUUUUAAAAUCNAUGUUUUAAUAUCUUCUUCAAAGUUUUGUCAUUAUUUUAAUGUGGUUGAAAUAAGAUCGAAUUUUUUGCAACUUUGGAUUCGUUUGAAGCAAAAUCUCUCAAAAUUAAGGAAUUAAUUAUAUAUGGUUGCAAUACAUUUGAGUUUUAUUAGUACAAUGGAGGUCGAGGGCUUACCAUGUAAUCUCAUAGGGCUAUGAUGAAAUAUAUCAAUAAACUCUUUUUUCUACAAUUCUUUUGAGAAUUAUCACAACCUCUUAAUUAGCCAUUUUCAUUGAUUUUUGCUUAGUCAUUUACCUUCCAUAAAUUUUCAAAAGAGUUUAAAAAAUGACCAAAAUGAAAAUCACAACAUGGCACAAGCAAUAGCCAGCCACUAACUACACUACAUCGAUCGUACCUUAAGGGACCUUAAGAUAUUUUAAUAUACUUUAUUCUUUAAAUCCAUGAAAUGUGAAAAGUUCUGAAAAAUCUGCAAAAGUUUAAACAAAAAUAAAACAUCCAAAAAAAUCUGUAGAAAGUUUGUACAAAUUCUAAACCUAGUUUUAAACCUUUUGGUGUGUCCAUAAUAAAGUUCCUUAGAAAGUUCAUAAAAAUGCCUCCUCUAUUUAAUUGAACGCACAUUGCCCACGAGGCGUAAGUAGACAGUUCGUAAUCUAGCUGCUUUGCAUCAUCAGAAGUGCUAACAUAGAACUAGAUAGUGGAGUAGUGGGUUUAUAUUAAUUGUGGAGUUCAUGAUAACUAGUUUUUAGGAGCACAUGUGUAGUCGAUGCAGUAGAGAACAUAUAUUGAUCGAGUUGGAUUUUCUAGAUACUCAAAUUUUAUUCUUCUAUGGGAAUUCUUGUUUAUAAGCUUGUAAUUUACCAAGGUUGUGGGUUAUCUUGACCCUUAAGUUUUAUUCUUCUAUUUAGAUGAUUAGAGGAGGGAGAGGAAAGAAGAAAUAUUGGCUCAAUUUCAUUAACGAAUUGAAUUAAACAGAUUAUAAUUAGAGGUCCAAAUUAUAAUUAAGGCUCGGACUCCUACUCCGAUUAUGAUAGAACAUAAUAAGUGCUACCCAUAUCAGUAGUGAUACUCCUCUAAAUAUGUACUUUCUUUUUAUGGAAAGUAAAUCCAACUACAUCGUAUCUGAAAAGAGCAAAUGGAGUAUAUCGAAAAUCAACAAUUAAACAAGCUCCUAGUUUCUUUGAAAUGAAAUGAUAUUUAUGAUUGAAGUUUUUUAUAAAUAGAAUUUCUAAGUUUGACCGCAAAUUCAUAGGUCUAAACAACCUUCUUCGAUUGCCUCGAAAUUGUUUAUCAUGAUCUAAGGUUUUAUAAAUAGGAAUUCUAAGUUUGGCAGCAAAUUCAGAGGUCUAAACAAUCUUUGAUUGCCUCGAAAUUGGUAACGAACUUAGUCAGUCUUUAAUUUCGCACUAUGUUCGACCGUUGCGCGCCGUAGCUUAUACUCCUUGACCUGCGCACAUCGAUACAAAAGUCCCCUUGAUCAAAAACCAUGGGAACAAGAUAUAGUCUUUGAACGUUGAUGGCCUUUCCUGCGUAAGUUCUCGUCAAGUUGAUUGAGCCUGAUCACUUAGCCUCGAUGUCUCUGUCGAAACCAGACCUAACCAAUUACACCCUCAAUUUGGGAAGCUAUUCCCUCAUCAAUCCUUCUUGUGUUCAUGAAAUGGAGAAAAACCGAUGAAGCGUUUUGAGGGUAGUAAUGAGAGUAGAUCGACAUCGGCUUGAUGAGGACAUUGGCAAUGGCGGUGUGGACAAUGAGGAGGAUUGAUCGCAAUCGGCGAGUACGACGAGCAGCGAUGUGAUUGGGAAUCAAACUCUGAUAAUAAUUGUUAGGGUUGGUUGAUUCCUAAUGCUCUUGCAGCUAAUUGGGCCUUUACGAGGUGGUAUUCCUACUUCUAGUUUAUGAGUAAUCAAAUUAACUAUGCUACUCUUAAUUGCUGGCUUAGAUGGGUCGGCAUCAAACAGUUCUACAAGUGGUAUCAGUGCAGGUCAUGGGUUCAAUUGCCGUACGCUACAAAUUUAUGCUCGUGUUUCGGAGGAGGGGAGAUUACUGGCUUAAAUGGGCCAACAUCAAGUAAUUGUGGGAGAUUGGGCCAAAUUACAUUUAAAACGGCAGAAGGCCGAGUAGAGCUGACUCACGUUUCAAGUGUCUAAAGACCGUGUUAGUCAGAGUUACAAUCAAAGCCAGGUGCUAUAUGCAUUUACACUUUAAGUGAAUUAGUUGCGUUGAUCUUUAGUUGCAUUAUUUUUUCUAAUAGCGCGAACUUGUAGAAUUAAUGAUUAGGUCCAACAAUCCUAUAUUAAUUAAUUUAGAAGCACGAUUACAUGCAAUCAUCCUAUUUUAAUGGCCCAAAUAUCAUAGAGUUCUGGUAUUAUAAGGAAUCUUAAUAAAGAACUUUGUGUAAUAAGAGUUAUGGUAGUAAUUAAGAUACUGUUAAGACUAAUACUACAAUUUGUACCAGACACGUUGGCCAAUCCGUAUCGUGAUAUAUUUCUAAUAAAAAUAUUGACCAAGUAUCACUAUAAGAAAAUUAAUAUUUAAGGAUUUUUUUUAUAUUUAACGAUACUUAAAAGCGUCCUAAUAUAGUGUAGUGUCAUAUUUGAAAGAGUCGAUUAAAACAUCGGUAAAUGAAGAGUCGCCACGUAUAUCGUCAAGCAUCAGUAAAAUAUAUUCUAAUGCUUUAAAGUAUCAGAAGUUUUUAAAAUCCUAAUGCUUUGAAGCAUCAAAAAAUUAAAAAUAAUAAUAAAAUUUAUUAUUUAAUAAAUUAAUUUAAUAUAAUAAAAAAUUCAUAUAGUGAUACUUUUUGAAAUGUCGGUAUUUACUAUAUUAUAGAGACGCUUGGAAAUAAAUAUAUGUCAUCCAAAAUAUCUAUCUAGUUCUAGGUGCGGUACAAGAUAGGAAUUAACCAUUAGAUAAAUAUAGGUACCCAUCAAAUAUAGAUUGAAAAUUUAAUCCGCUAAAAAUAUAGUAAUCGAACUCAUGAGGCUUAGAAUUAGUUCUUAUCAUGUUACACGAAAGAUAGAAUUUAUUUAUGAGAAUAUUCAUAUGACAAAAACUUAAUACUUUUUUAUUUUACAAUUAUAGUACAUAGUGUGAAAAAUUACUACAACAAAAACGGUCUAUAGCAACAUUUUUAAAUGUCGGUACAGGUCAAAAAAAAGACUGCCGCCUAAAUUACCGACAUUUUUAAAAACUGUUGCUAUAUGUGGGAUCGCUAGGUAUAUAAUAACAGUUAAAGAGUGUCGCUAUAACCUAACAAAGUGCUGCUAAUUUACAAAUAUUUAUUUAAGCAUUUAGCAGCCGCCGGAACUCUACCUCGUUGGCCGCGGUGGCGAAGGAGGACGAGAGGAAGAGAUCUUCGUUUAGGAUUUCAGUCGAUUGAGUGAGGGGAGAAGGAGAAAUGAUAAUCGAUUUUUCUUCUCUUUUUCUUUUCUGUUUGUAAUCGGGCUGAAUGGGCUGGGUGGGGUGGGUUGAAUAGAAUAACCUUUUAUUUUUUGUUGAAUUGAACUUUAUAUUUAGACAUUAGUAGAUUUUUUUUUAAGUUUUGACAUAAAUUAAAAACUUACACAAAAAUGUUCCAAACAUGUGUCCCUAUAAUCUAAUUCUGUUGUACUGAAUUGAAAUACAAUCUCCCACAAAAUAGCAGAUGGUAGCAACUGCCAUGCUCCUCGAUCGGAGAAAGAACUUAACUAAGAUUUUCUUUGCCUGUACGUUAUUAAUUUCUACUUUACAAAUAUACAUAGCAACUAUAUAUAUAAAGAGAGAGAGGGUUGAGCUGGAAUAUUACUAUCGGUAGUAAACGUGCUCCAUUACCACCUAUUUGUUUUCAAUAAUGGAGCUUCCAAAUCGACGAUUGGUACCGUUGAAAAAUGAUCUAUACUACUUAAAGUAUCUAGAAAUCAAAUUUCAUACUUUUUCAAUAUUAUAUUCUUGUCCAUCAAGUAGGCGUAAAAAUGAACGACUGAAAAUGGCUAUCCUCUAAAAAGUGAUGAUAGGAAUUUUCUAAUCAAGAUCGAGAGUAUAGAUCUUGGUCUAAAUAGUUUAAAUAAUUUUCUUAUCAAAACUCAAUUGAUUUGGAUAGCUUUACACCGUUAAACGAAAAAACGUCUCAUAUCGACCAUUAAAAUUACAAAUUUUGUAAUCCUUUGAUCAUUUGGUCAAUGAUAUCAAAAAGAUUUGAAAUUUGGUUUCCAGAUACUUCAAGCGAUAUAGAUCAUGUUCAAUGGUGUCGAUCAACGAUUUGAAGGUUCUAUCAUCGAAAACAAAUGGGUGGCAACGGAGCCCGUUUACUACCGUUAGCAUUCCAGCUCAACUAUAUAUAUAUAGUGUAGAGCUACUAUGCUAUCAGAAGUAUAGAGGGUUUUAUGCUUCCGACUUUUUGACCCUUGGAUUAAGAAUUGUACGAUUGGGAAGAUUGCGGUCCCCCGUAGGGUUGAGUAGUACCCCUAGGAUUGAGUGAUCCCCACAGUAAUAGAAGUAAUCCAAAGGCUAGAAAUAAUCAAAGAGAUUAAUCUAAGGGCCAAAAAGUCAGAAGCACCGGAUCCUCUGUACUUCCGAUAGCAUAUUAGCUCUACUCUCUCUCUCUCUCUCUCUCCAUAUAUAUAUAUAGAGCUAGGCUGGUAUACUAUCGGUAGCAUGGAGCCCUCCGUGCUACCAAGUUGUACUCAUAAGUUUUUGGCCGUUUGAUCUACCCUUUAAUCAUUUCACCCGUUAUAUUAUACUAUUCAACCAACCACCUACUCAACCCUAGGGGGCCCACUAUCAACCUAACCGUAACCACUUUCAUCCUAUCCGCACAUUUUUUCAUCUGAACGGCCGAAAAGUUAUAAGUACAAAGGGCUCUAUACUCAUAUGAGUAUAAUAGCCCCAGCCUAUAUAUAUAUAUAUAUAGAGAGAGAGAGAGAGAGAGAGAGAGUAGGUCUUGUGUGCUUUUGGGAAUACGGAGGCAUCCGUGCUUCUAUGCCAUUUUCGACGAUGGAGCUUUUGAAGCCAUGAUCUGCUCUAUUAGACUUGAUUUAGUGGAUUUGAAGUACCUAGUGAUCGAAAUGGUUUAAAGUCAACGGCUGAAAAUAAAAAUCUCAUAAAAAAUGACGAUAUAAUACUAAAAUUUUCGAUCAAAGAUAUUGAUCUUGCAGUAAUAGUAUAAAAAAUUUUCUAUAAAAAUUUCGACUGAUUUGAAGUUAAACGUGCAAACGAUAUACGUCAACCAUUAAAAAUUGUUGAUUUUUAAUCCUUUCGAUCACUAGGUAAAUGAUAUCAAAAAUCGUAAAAUUUAUUUUCUAAAUACUUCAAAUAUAUUAGAUCAAGUCUAAUGGAGCAGAUCGUCGAUUCGGAAGCUCUAUUAUCAAAAACAGCUUAGGAGCACAGAGGCCUCCGUACUUCUAACAGCACACAAGACCUACUCUAUAUAUAUAAUUGAGCUCCUAUACUCUUAUGGUAUUAAGUUAUUGGUGUUUGUAAGUUUUCGGUCCAUGGAUUAAGAGAUGUACAGUUAGAAUAAUAGUGGUCAUCAAGGGUUGAGUGUUGGUUGGUUGAGUAAUAUGAUCAAAUAGAUAGAAAUGAUCAAAAGAAUAGCUCUAACGGUAAAAAUUACAAGUANUAUGAUCAAAUAGAUAGAAAUGAUCAAAAGAAUAGCUCUAACGGUAAAAAUUACAAGUACUAAGUGCUUGGUGCUUUUAAAAGCAUCAUAGCCAAUAUAUAUAUAUUUAUAUAUAUAUAUAUAUAUAUAGAGAGAGAGAGAGAGAGAGAGAGAGAGAGAGAGAGAGAGAGUUAAGCUGAAAUGCUAUCAUUAGCAAACAGACUCCGUGGCCACCCUUUUUUUCAAUGAUGAAGCCUGUAAAUCGAUGAUCGACAGUAACUCGCAAAUACCAGGCAAUAUGAGACUCAUCUCACUGACCUUAAUCGAUCUUGUAAGAGAGCCGCGCUUUACCCACAACAGUCAUCAACAUAAGAGUCUCACUCUUUCUGCUGUAUUACGGGACUCAGCCGAGACUCAUCAUACACUUACGACCGGUAAUUAGCUCUGAUAUCAAUUAUGACGCUCCACUUCCUAUGGAUCAUCUAUCUUAAAACUAUUCUAGUCCUAACACACUUAACAAUUUUAAUCUUUUGGGCCUAACUGUCGCCCAAAAUUAUAUAGCCGAGUUAAUAAUUUUUAACCUUAUUAUAUCUUAUAUAUAGGAUUACUUGUUCUCACAUUAAAAAUAUUGAAUUUAAACAUUUACCAACAUUAACUUUUUUAAACAGUAAGAUAAAAUAACACCUUUAUCUUUUAUUAACCAAUGAUUAAUUCUUUUUAUUUUUUAAAAAAUAAAGUACCGAAUUUUUUCUCAAUAUCAAAUCCAUAAAAAUACUCGUCCAUGGGCCUACCUCAUGAAUUAUUUGUGUACUUGACACGCGCGAUAAUGACCCACAAUUAAUGAGUCACCAUCACCUCUCAAAUUGAAGUUGGCCCCAUUACAGAUCUAGGAAAGAAGAACCUUACUUCUCUCCACCCAACUCCCAAAAAUACUUAAAACUUUAUAAAAAUUAGGAUUCGGAUGUUAUAAUUGCUUUUUGUUGCCUUCUUCGAAAUAGCUUGCCCUUGUCGACGUGCCGUAUCCACGAAAAAUCUGUAUGAUUUAUCACCGCAUGUUUUUCAGGUGCGUCGGGCGGGAUGGAGCUUGAUGCAAAGUGAGGAAUCCACAAAAGAAAUAAAUAAGAGAUAAAAUCUCAAAAUAUAAGCUGGUUUAUUAAUUCAUGCAACUUCAAUUUUAGUACCCUUUUUUUUUUGGCAUGCAUGUGCUCUGCUCUAAAACUCUCCAAAAUAGCACAAGGCUCAAGUCACGCAAAAGUCCUAAGAUAUGCGCACAACCCACUGCGAACAGAAAUAACAGCUUAACGAGUUGAACAUAUAAAAUUCUAAAAAGAUUCUAAAGAAAAGUGAAGGAUAAUACAACAUAUGCAUCUUGCAGUUGCAUUGAGUUUUGCACAGCAUUAUACAAACUCUGAACUUUGCAACGCCUUGUACAAACUCCGAACUGUGUUGCACAAGUAAAAUUUUUAGGCGUACACAGAUACUGCACAGAGUUGCACAAUUGUUCCACAAAGUUGCAUUAGUUUAUCGCUGUAUUUGUACAAGUACUCUAAACUAGGGGUAUCAACGAGUCAAACACAUGCUGACUCGUAAAAAUAUUGAGUCAAAAAAUUUAGCUCGUAUUAGGCUCAUUUAUUAAUGAGCCAAAGCCGAGAUUGCUUACAAAAGUUAAAAAAAUUAAAAAGAAUAUAUAUAUAGAAAAUAAAAUUUUUAGAUCUUACCUAUUAAAUUUUGACGUAAUUCUUAAAAUUUUAUAUAUAAAUGAGCUUUUUCAUAAUUGAGUUGUGAUUUAGGUUAGACUAAAAAUCAAAUAAUAAAAAUUUAUAUUAUCUAUAUAUAAUUAUGUAUUAUUUAUAUAUAUAAAUAUAAAAUAUAUGUAUUUGAGCUAUUAACGGGCCGAACGCAAGCGAGCUGAUCCAGCUCAUAUUCGGCCCAUUUAUUAAACGAGCUGAAAAAUUCAACUUAUAUUCGGCUCGUUUACUAAACAAGCUAUUCGAUAUCAAGCUCAUUUCGAGCGAACACAAACUGGCUCGCAAACAACGAGCUGAAUUUCCACCCCUAACCCAAUCUGCUAUGGCGUCACCCCCUCCGAAGCAGCACAAACUUCUCAAGGAAGGAAGGUAUAAUAAACCGUUCCUCACUUCUUUAAUAUUAGUACAUUAUAUUACACUAUCUAUUACCAUAAAACUUCAAGCUACCCCACAACAUCAUAAUGGAUUUGAAAGUAAAUUUCAAACUAGGAAGAUUAUUCUUAUUUUUAAAUUGUGCGUAAUUAAAUCUCACAUCCAACCAAUCCAAAAGUUUAGCGAACUCUUUUAAAUUUUUAAUAUUAAUAAAACUAAAAAGUGAUGAGACUCAAGUGCAUGAAAAAAGAGCUUUUGGAUGAAGAAUAUAUAAAAUUUAUACCCACUUUUAGGUGUAACCAUUGCUCUUUCAUUUUUGUCCGCAUACCGAAUAAAAUACAAUUCAAGCAAAAUAACUAAUCAUACUAUCUAAAAAAUAUAUACAUGUCAAAAUAAUAACUACUAUUAUUAAAAAUUAAUGAUAAUAAUAAUUAUAUUAUAUAUAUAUAGAGAGAGAGAGAAUAGGGCUACUGUGCUCUUAGUAGUACGGAGGCCUCCAUAGUCCUAAACCAUUUUUCAUCAUAAAAUUUUCGGAUUGACUAUCGACUCCGUUAGACUUGAUCCAAUGUGUUUGAAGUACAUCGAAAAUAAAUUUUAUCAUUUUUUUGAUAUCAUAAACCUAGUGAUCAAAAAAUGUUCAAAAUUAAUGACUGAAAAUAAAAUCUCAAAGAAAUUAAUGAUAUAACAUUAAAAUUUUCGAUCAGAGAUAUUCAUCUUGUUGAAAAUCGUAUAAAAAUUUUAUAUCAAAAUCUCAUCUGAUUUGAAUACUUCUACAUCGUUAAACUUGAAAACGACAUACAUCAACCAUUAAAUAUUAUUAAUUUUGAACCCUUUCGAUCUCUAGGUAUGUAAAUAAUAUCGAAAAAUCAUAAAUUUUAUUUUAUAGAUUUUUCAAAUACAUUAGAUUAAGUCUAAAUAAGUUGAUCGUCGACUCGAAAGUUUUAUCAUCGAAAAUGAUUUAGGAGUACAGCACUCUUACUCUCUCUCUCUCUAUAUAUAUAGAAUUAUGCUACUAUAUAUACUAUCGAUCAUAUCAAGGCUUGAUAGUAUUGAGUUUUUGGCCGUUGGAUGAAAGAAUGUGCGGUUAGGAUAAUAGUGGUCUAUAUAUAGAAUUAUGCUACUAUACUAUCGUACCAUACGUUUAGUACUAUCGAGUUUUCAACCGUUGGAUAAAAAGAUAUACGAUUAUAAUGAUAAUAGUCCCCUAGAGUUGAGUGGGUGGUUGGUUGAAUAGUAUAGUCUAACGUAUAAAAAUGAUUAAAGAAUAAAUUGAACAGCAGAGAAUUUGAUAGUAUCAAAAGUUUAAUAUUAUCGAUAGUAUAGUAACACAAUUUUCCCUCCCCUCUCUCUCUCUCUCUCUCUCUCUCAUCUUCUCUUCAUCUCCGUCCUCACUCUCUCUCUCUCCUCUCGCCCCUUCUCUCACCUCCCUAUAAUAUAUAAUAGUAUAUUAUAUAGUAUAUAUUAUAUUUAUAUAUAAAAUUGAGGUUCUAUGCUUUUAAAAGUACCAAAGUUAUUGCGUGCUUUAUAGAUUUUUGGCCAUUGGAUUAAGGAUGAGCCUCGUGGUUAGGAUGACGUGGGCCUCGCUAGGGUUGAUGUGGGUGGUUGGCUUGAAAUAGUAUAAAUGUAAGCGAUUUGAUAAAUGAUCAAAGGAUAAAUCUAACGGUUAAAAAUUUUACAAGCGCAAAGUGUUGAGUGCUUUUAGCAAGCCACCGUAGCGCGAGUUCUAUAUAUUAUAUAUAUAUAGAGGAGAGAUGAGACGAGAGAGAGAGAGGAGAGAGAGAGAGUUGAAGGUAGAUACUAUCUGAUAGCAAACGAGGCUUUCAUUGCCAUCAUGUUGUUUUCGAUGAUAUGAGCUCCAAAUCGACGAUCGUACCGUUGAACAUGAUUCUAUUUACCACUGAGUGUUAGAAUCAAAUUCAAAUCUUUUUCGACAUCAUUUAUGCCCUAAUGAUUCAAAGGGUUUCAAAAUUUAUAAUUUUAAGGCAUAAUAUGAGACGUUUCUCGUUUACAGAUAAAAGAUAUCCCAAAUCAAAUUAAUUUUGUUAGAAAAUUCUUUAAAUUGUUUAAAAAAGUAUCUAUACUCUUAUCUUAACUACAGCUCCUUAUCAUCAUUUUUAAAAAUAUUUAUUUUCAGCCGGUCAUUUUUGUGUCACUCGAUGAUAAGAGAAGCAAUAUCGUAAAUAUAUAAAAUUUGAUUUCUAAAUAAUUUCAAGUGGUAUAGAUCAUAUUCAACGGCUGCCGCGAUUAUUGAUUGAAGACUCCAUCAUUGAAAACAAUAUGAAGUGGCAACAGACGCGUUUGCUACGCGGAUAGUAUUUAGCUCAACUAUAUAUAUUACUAUAUAUAUAUUAUAUAUAUUAUAUAUAAUAUUAUAUAUACUAUAAUAUAUAUAUAUAUAUAUUAUAGAAAAUUAGCUGGACAAUAACUAUUAUAGUGAAAAGCUUGCUUUUUGGCUAUCACAGUUUUUAACCUCUUGAUGAAAAUUCUAAAGUCAGGAUUGAUAUUAGUCGUUAGGUUGAGGUGGUCCCCACUGGGUUAUAGUAUUUAAAUCCAAUGGUUAGAAAUAAUGAAAAGAUUGCAUCCAAAGGCUUAAAACUGUAGAACAUGGAAUUUUGCCUACUAAUAGUGCCCAUUCCAGACACUCUUAAUAUAUUAUAUAUAUAUAUAUAUAUAUAUACUAUAUAUUAUUAUAUAUAUAUAUAUAUAUAUAGAGAGGACGAAGACGACGAGAUCAUGAGAGAUGAGCACAGCUCGACCGUCCAGGCCCGAUUCUUCCACGGCCCCAUCUGUUCUGUCUUCUGCUCAGCUUCGUUCCUCAUCCUCGGCUCCUAGCGCGAAGACCACUUCGGAUCUGCCGCUCGAUUGACAUAGAGCCGCGUCGUCCUCGGGGCCUCCUCGUCUGCGUAUCGGGGGCCCUACUUUUCGCCCUUCGAGACCGGAGAGAGAGAGAGAGAGAGAGAGAGUUUGACUGGGCUACUAUUGGUAGUAAACUGCUCGGUUUACUACCGAUUUGUUUUUGAUGAUAGAGCUUCCAAAUCGACGAUCGGCACCGUUGAACAUGAUCUAGACCAUUUAAAUUAUCUAGAAAUCAAAUUUCAUAAUUUUUUGGCAUCACUAACUGAACGAUCAAAGGGUCACAAAAUCUAUAAUUUUAAUAGCUGAUAUGGUGCGUUUGCUCGUUUCACGGUAUAGAAAAAUUCAAAUAAACUAAAUUUUUGUGAAAAAAUUCUUUAAACUAUUUAAAAUAAGAUCUAGACUCUAGAUCUCAAAUAUAAAAAUUGUAUCAUCACUUUUUGAAGGAUAUUCAUUUCCAGCCAUUAAUUUAUCUGUUCACUUGAUGGACAAGAGAACAAUAUCGAAAAUUAUUGAAAUUUGAUUUCUAGAUAAUUUAAAUGGUCUAGAUCAUGUUCAACAGUGCCGAUCGUCGAUUUAGAAGCUCUAUCAUCAAAAACAAAUCGGUAGUAAACCGAGCAGUUUACUACCGAUAGUAGCCCAGUCAAACUCUCUCUCUCUCUCUCUCUCUCUCUCUCUCUCUCUCUCUCUCUCUCUAUAUUUAUAUAUAUAUAUAUAUAUAGUCCGGCUAUGGUGCUUGUAAAAGCACAAAACACUUAGUGCUUGUAAAUUUUUUAUCAUUAGAUCUCUCCCUUUAAUCAUUUUUAUCCAUUGGAUUAUACUAUUCAACCAACCGCCCACUCAACCCUAGAGAUCUCACAUCAUCCUAACCGCACAUCCCUUAAUCCAAGGGCCGAAAAAUUAACAACCACCAAUGACUUAAUACUUUUGAAAGCAUAGGAGCUCAAUUCUAUAUAUAUAUAUAUAAAGAAUUAAGCUCCUAUACUUUUAAAAGUAACAAGUUAUUGGUGCUUGUAAAUUUUUAGCCAUUGGAUCAAGAGAUAUGCGGUUAGGAUGAUGUGAACCCCCUAGGGUUGAGUGGGUGGUUGAUCGAAUAGUAUAAUCUAAUGGUUGAAAAUGAUCUGAAAAAUAGAUCUAACGGUAAAAAACUUACAAGUACCAAAUGCUUGGUACUUUUACAAGCACCAUAGCUGGACUAUAUAUAUAUAUAUAUAUAUAUAUAGGCAGGAGAGAGCGGAGAGAGAGAGAGAGAGAGAUGAGAUGAGACAGACGAGAGAGAGAGAGAGCGAGCGGCCUAGGAAUGUUAUGGAAGCACGGAGGGCUCGCGUGCUUCCACUGUUUUCGAUAGUUUGGACUUUCGAAUCGACGAUCGGCUUCGAUUAGACCUGAUCUAGAGUAUUUGAAGUACCUAGAAAUAAUUUUUGCGAUUUUUCCGAUAUCAUUUGCCUAGUGAUCGAAGUGGCUCAAAAAAUAAAAAUCUUACAAAAUAGUGAUGAUAUGACAUUAAAUUUUUAGAUCAACAGUUAUUGAUCUUAGUUUUAUAUGGUAUAAAGAAUUUUUCUAUCAAAAUUUCAUGCGAUUUGGAUAUUUCUACACCGUUAAACUUGCAACCGGCUUACCACGGCCAUAAAAUUAUUGAUUUGAACCCUCGAUCACUAGGCACAAUGAUAUUGAAAAAUCACAAAAUUUAUUUUCUAGAUACUUCAAAUAUCUAGAUCAACUCUAACGGAGCCGAUCAUCAAUUCGAAAGUCGAACAUCGGGAAACAACUUAAAAGCACGGAGGGCUCGUGCUUCUAUAAACAUACCAGCCCAUAUUAUAAUAUAUAUAUAUAUAUAUAUAUAUAUAUAUAUAUAUAUAUAUUAUAUAUAUUAUAUAUAGAGGGUGGAAUACUAUAAUAGUAAAAACACUUUUUUUACUAUCAAGUUUUUAACCUUGGAUAAAAAUUGUACGGUCAGGAUGAUAUUAUGUCGCGUUAGAGUUAAUGGUCCCCCUAGGGUUGAGUGGUCUCUACGGGGUAUAGAUUUAUAUCCAAUGGUCAGAAAUAAUGAAAGAGUUGAUCCAAUGGCUAAAAACUGCUAGCAACAUAGAAUUUGUACUAAUGUAUCCCAGUUCACUCCUCUCUCUCUCUCCUCCGUCUCUCGUCUCUCUCUCUCUGAUAUAUAAUAAUAUAUAUAUAUAUAUAUAUAUAUUUUCUUAUGCUUUCCCAGCAUCAAUUUCGAGGAAAGGAACAUCACGAAGCAACUACCGGGCCGUUCACAGAACGACUGGCAGGUUGUACUAGAACGAGUGGGUGCCACUACCGCAUGCCAUGUGACUGCACCAAUGACGCGAUUAUUCCCGAUUGCGACGCCUCAUUUUGGUGGAUUCAGAUCUACAGCCCCCACCUCACUUGCAUUAUUGGCAUCUUAAUUAAUUUAUCUCCCCAGCUUAAAUCUAAGGAAAAAAAAAAAAGAAUCUCCCAAAAAAAAGAAUCUAAGAUAUAGUAUUCGUGAUGUCAAGUUUGAAGAAGCCUCGUUAUUUCACAUUUUCAACUAUAUUUAUUUAUUAAAAUUAUGAACUUAGCAUACCAUCUUUUUCUCUUAAAUAAAAAAUUAUUUUUUUGAUUCACAGUCUCUAAUUAGUUUCGAAUGCCUUUUAUUUGACUAAUUAUUGAAACAGUGAUUUUCGAUGCAUUGAUUUUGUUCGGAGAGUUGCUGUUAAGCGAAAACUUGUAAAAUAUUUGGCUGAUGAAUCUGAUAGAAAAAUAAAUUUUGCUUAAAAUAAUUUUGUCUAGACGUUUGAGAAACUCUUCUUUUGUUGUUUUCACAUAAUAAUUUUUUGUGUCGAAUUUUAUUUUAUUUUAUUUUUAAAAUUAUAACUUAAAGUCUAAAUUUAGAUCUAAAUUAAAAUUAGCAGGGAUAAUAAACAAGCCCUGAUGUUUAACAUAAGUAGCACCAAAUUAAUUAGCACACACCUCAUGGCGAUUCCUUCUUUGGUUUUUUUUUUUUUUUUUUUUUGAUUAGUCUAUUAUUGAGCUCUACGUUUUCUUAGGCCUGUUUGGUUUGUGUGUAAAUCUUUUUGCUAUAAUUUUUUUUAUUUUUAGAAUAACUUGUUAUUUUAGGAUAGUCACAAAUAAAAAUAAAACUAUGUUUGGUUUAUAAAACUGUUGUUCUCAGUAAUAACUAAAAAUUUUUUUUUUUUUUGAGAGAUAGGUAGCACGCUACCCGCUUCGUUUAUUUCAUUUAGAAAUAAACUUAGCUGGAAAUGUGAAUCAAUUAGGAUUCGAACUUGGGUCCUGGGUACCAACUAAAAUUAUGUUUGGUUAAUUUUGUAGAGGAGUAGAGAAAAGUAAAAAAUAUAUAUAAUUAUUAAAUUUUUAGAGCGCCAAGUUUGCCCUUCCCUUUUAUCUAAAAAAUAUGCUUAUACUUCGCAAAAAAAAGAUAUAAUUAAUAUAAUACUAUAUAAAGAAACAUUUGAACUAUAUAUACGUACCCAUCGUUUCCAUUAACCUAUUAUUAAUCAAGUAUCAUGCAUUUUUGAAGUUCUUUCCACACAAUUCAAAUCAUUCGUAUUUAAUUAGUAUUGGCUAAUACCAUCUCACUAAAUCUGGUUUCGUUAGAGGUUGCUUUUAUGUUGAAUGCGAGAUACCCAUUCUAAUUAAUAAAGCAUGUAUUUAGCAAUUAAUCUGUUAAAAUUCACUACUUUAUGUAUUUGAACUCUGAUGGAAUUACAAAUUUUCAUCAACUAUUAACGAUUUUUAGCCAAUAAAAUAAUUAACUAAAACAAAUUUGUAACUCAACUAAGAAAAAUAACUUACGUAAGCUUGAAGAGAAGGCCUUUAUUUUUAAUAUCCAAUUAAAAAUUUUUCACGUCACACACAAGCACAAGAACAAUUUUUUUGCAACUAUUAUUUUCAGAUAAAAUUAUCAUAUUAUUCUUUAUUAAACUCUUUACUAUCUUAUGUGGCGAAUAUAAUUAAUUUUAGAUAUAUCUAUAUGAUAUUGCUGCGCUAUAGAAAAGAUUUUUUAUAUUUUGUAGGUACUCUUUUGAGUUUCUCUAGUUGCAUUGCUUAGGUCUAAAGGUAACAAUUCCAAGAGUUCUUAAAUAUAUAGCAAGUUAUCCAACCAGCUACCCGCUUCGUUUAUUUUAUUAAUGUUAAAUAUAAAAAUGUUUAAACACCGUUAUCUAACAGCUUAAGCUUUUAGAGUACAACGGUUGUUUCACAUGGUAUCAGAGCAGGAGGUCCUGAGUUCGAGUCACGCCAGACUCCUAGCAUAUUAAUUUCCUCCCAUUUAAUUCAAGCCCACGUCAUGGGCUGAUUAAAAAGUUUCGAGCCCAGACGUGAGGGGGAGUGUUAAAUAUAAAAAUGUUUAAAUACCGUUAUCUAACAGCUUAAGCUUAAUAAACUUUAACUGAAAAUGUAAAUCAACUAGAAUUCGAACUUGGAAUCUCAGGUACCAAACAACAAACCCUUUACCACUUACGUACUCAAGAUCUUAUUCAAUGCCAUAAAUAUGCACAAUUAAACUUGACAAAUUUUCUACAACAAUAUAUAUACUCUAUAUUUAUAUAUUCUCACAAUAUGAUAAAUCACUUUAAUCUAUAGUUCAUGAAACGUCAAAAUUAAUUGUUAAGAUUUCAUAAUAGUCAAAAAUGUAUAUCUUCGGCUACACAUAAUAUCACCAUGCCAGUUCGAUAAGUUGCUCCCACAUCCAAAUUAAUCCUUAUGCUCUAUAUGGGAAGUAACAAUUAAGUUACUUAGCAUUUCGAGUGUGUUAUUUUCCAAUGCACAAUAAAUGGUAUAUAUUUCAAGCUUAAAAGGCCACAAGUGUAGCUAUCCAAUGUUACACAUAAUCUCCUCUCUUCUAAAGAAGAUGCCAAUUGAAGCCGCAGCAAAUUAAAGGAUAAGAAUGAGUAGAAACUAUAGAAAGAAGAAGACCACACGCCACAAAGUGUUUGAAUGCAACAAACUUAUACAAUAUAAAAACAUGUGAUGUUACGCAUAAAAACUUUAUGUUGAAUGCGACAGCCGAUAACUAGCUAGCUAUUUUCAUGUAAGUCUAAACUCAAAUGAAAGAUGCACUAAAGGCUUAAUUUGAGUAUAUAAUUUGUCACUGGUAGCAAAAGGAUAGAUUUGUAAGCCUUAUUAUUAGUAAUAUUCAUUGCUUGUAACAAAAGGGUGAAAUGUAUGAAUGCCUUUGACGAUUCCUAUGCUAUCCCCAUAAUGGACUUUUGUUUCUGAUCAUUAAAAGAAAUUAGACUUUUAAGCAAAAUGACAAGCUAAAUAAGCAAAUUAUUAUGAUAGAUCCAUAAAACAAAAAAUAAUUAGAUAUUUUUCUAUGUUAGGAGAUAUAAAUAUUUUUAUGAAAAGUAUAUAUAGCAAGUAGGAACUAUUGGGAGGAUAGCUAGGACAAGUACUAUAUAUCCAUAAAUUUUACCUUUAGCUAAGAUAGCAAGUUAAUUGUGACAUGAAAAAUGAAACGGAUCGCGUCCUAACAAUAUUUCGUCACAUAAUUUAUCAAAACUUACUAGCUUUCAAUUAGAUGUAUCAAUUAAAUCUUUUCUUUCUUCUUUUUUAGUGUGAAGUAAGAGGCCUAGUGCCCUUUGCAUCUCUCUCUCUCUCUCUCUCUCUCUCUCUCUCUCUCUUUAGAGUCAAGCAAACCUAUUUUCACAAGUUAAUGUCACAUAGUGCUUCCUCAAAAUUGGCCAAUCCUACCAAACAACAUUAAUGCAAGGGAUAAGAUUCCCAAUCCUUUUCCCAAAGUCCUGGGUCAGGUAUAGUGUGAUAGAUCAACAAGAUUUGGCAUGUAGUGAAUUCACAAAUUAAUUGAGAGGUGCCACAAAGGUGCAUGCAAUUUGCCCCCAUAACUUUCCUUUUGUCCUGAGACUUGUGGCACUGAACUACGUACUGAGACAUGUGGGACUCAACUAUUGAUCACUGGUGAUCAGUAACGAUCGAUUUGGUUUGAUGCUCUUCCAGUGCAAAGGUGUAAAAAUAAUAAUAAUAACAAAAGGAAAAAAAAUGAUUACUUACUAGUUUAAUUAUGUAACUAUUGGAGCUAGAAAUGGAAAAGAAAGGUUAAAGUUACAUGUAAAUUAAAUCAAGUAAUUACAGGAGCUAAUUCUUUGGUGUAACAUGACAGCAAAAAUGAACGAAAAUAAUAAAUGUUUGGAAAACAUAUUCAGAGCUAGGCAACAUUUUAUAUAUAUAUAUAUAUAUAUAGAGUUGAACACAGAUGUAGAAAUAGCUUGUUAGCAUAGCAUUACUCAUUGUGAGACAUUAAUUGUAUGUUUGAUUGAUCGGUAAGCUAUCGCACGAUUUGUCGUUUUUAGGGCCCAGAGUUAAUGAACGGAUUUAUAGAUAAUUUUGACUCGGAUCCAAAAAGCUAACGAGUUUGCAUCAAUGCAUAGAACAUAUAAUAAUAUCGGAUCCAUACUAAGCUAGUAAAAUUUCUAUUCAAAUAAAGUAAUAAUUACGUACAUGCAUUUAGGACACGUGCAAUAGUUUCAUAGGAUGUUUUGGUAUACACAAGUCUAAGAUUUGCCUUAACAUAAUUCUUUUCCUUCACUUUUCUUCCUUUUUGUCAAAGUAUGGGAUAAAAGUAUAUUAUUAUUAACGUGGGCCCUAAUAAGAGUUUAUUUAUUAAUAAUAAAAAAAAAUGUUCAAAUAAAUAAAGUGAAAGAGACAAUUAGGUGACCAAGGUUUCAACCAUUUGUUUUAACUUCUUGUUAAUUAAUAAGAUAAUGACAUCACAAGUAGCUAAGUUGUUAUGUCUCUCUCAAGCACACCUCGAUCAUUCGUGUGUUUUCAAAUAGUGGAAAAGGAAAUUAAUCAACUCCGAUAAUCAGAUAAAUAAUUUGAGUCUGAUUCAUUUUAUUAGGUUAGGAUCAAACCUAAUAAAAAUAUAAAAAUAUAAAAAUAUUUAAACAUCGUUUUUCAUUAACUUAAAACUUUUAGAAAAUGACGAUUGUUUUAUAUUAGUUAACAAAUACUUUACUAUUUACAUGAAGGAUUGAAAUAUACACUGCCAAUUAUGCUUUGGGGUUUCGUUGUGGCAUACUAUAUAUCCCAUGUAUUGACACUGAAUUUUUGUGAGAUAAUUCACUUUUAUAAUAUUUUCUUUCAUUCUUUGAGAAGUAAUACUGCAGCAAUUUUACUCUAUUACAUCAAUUUAAUUGCCUAGAAAUUAAUGAUUGCAAAAUAAAUUUUAUUACAAAAAUAUGUGCCAUUGUGAUAAUGCAAACCAUAUUGUUUANAUAUAUCACAAUAUUUAUACCAACCAUGCAAUGAUUCUUUUUUAUUGUAAAAAAUUAUUAUUGUUGCUACAGUAUUUAUUAUUGAGAAAGAAUUAAUUUCUAGCAGUGUUGGUGGAAAAGAAUUACCGGAACAUGACAUGUAUUUAGCAUUGAUUUUGUAUAACUUAACUAUUUUCUAGGUAUCGAUAAUAUCAGAAAUAUAAAAAAAAAAAUUUAUGUAAAUAUCUGUUUUAUUUUCUUUUCCGUCAUGAUUUUCAAAAAAUCUAGCCAUGAAAAUUUGAACUUACCAAUCAAAUAAUAUAAAACUAAAAAGAAUAACAAGAAACAUUUUGGUUUGAACUUGUGUUAAAUAUAAAACUAUAUGAACAUGUUCUCUAAUAGUUUAAAUUUUUAGAGUAUAUAUAACUAUUGUUUUACAUGUAAAAAUUAUUUCUACUUCAACUUGUUUAUUAAGAUGCAACUAUUUCCACAGUAAAUAGUUUUUUUUUUUUUCCUGUGAAACACAAUAAAUAGGCUACUGACACUACACAAUUAAGAGUACCUGAUCAGCUUCGAAUUAAUUAAUGCCAUAAUAAUUCAACUUGAUCCCAAAUAUUAAUGGGGUGCAAAUCCCAACCCUUAUUAUGUUGAGGAACUCAUAUUUUGGAUAUAUAUUGCUAUUCUGCACCCAAUAAAAAUAGCAGAGUUAGAAAAAUUAAUUUGGAGGAGAAUUGAGAGAAAUUGGGACUGACAUGUUAACCCCAACCCUUUUUUUUUUAUUUGAGAAAUAGGUAGCACGUUACCGCUUCGUUUAUUUUAUUUAAAAAUAAACUUAACUGGAGAUGUGAAUCAAUUAGGAUUCGAACUUAGGAUCACAAAUACCAACCACAAAAUCUUUUGCCAUUUGCUCUAGGGACGGUCAGUCGUGAAUCCCAACCCUCCCAUUCAACAAUGAGAAAAUACUGCAUGUUGUCAUGUUGCUGGUCUACUAAUAUUUUGCUUAUGCUUAACCUAUUUUUUAAUAAUAAUAUUAUAAAAUUAAAAUCUAAUCUAAUAAAUAUGAUCUAAACUACAUAAAAAAGUUAUGUAUAAAAGAUUAUAAAAUUUAAAAUUUUAUAACAUGGUUAUUGGCAAUUCCACAAGCUUUCCAUCAACAUUUAACCUUCGAGCGCACGACCACCCCUAACGCAAGUGGUAAAAGAUUUGAUGGUUGCUAUCCGAGGUCCCAAGUUCGAAUCCUAAUUGAUUCACUUUUCCAGCUAAUUAUUUAUUUCUAAAUAAACGAAGUGACUUGCAUACUACUUUUCUCUCAAAAAAAAAAUCCUUUUGUUACAUGGCACUUGGGACUUUCAAUACAAGAAAAAGCCCAACCGGCCGUCCCUAGAGUAAGUGGUAAAGGACUUGGUGGUUGGUAUCCGAGACCCAGGUUCAAAUUCUAGUUGAUUCACAUUUCCAGCUAAAUUUAUUUCUAAAUGAAAUAAACGAAGCAGCGGGUAGCGUGCUACUUAUCUCUCAAAAAAAAAAAAAGAAAAGAAAAAGCCCUUGUAAAGGGACUUAAUGGCAUCUCGUACACAACAUGCAAUCCGAUGCAAAUGGGUCUUAUAAAUAAAACAAAUAACCGAUGGUUGGUUCAGUUGAAAAGUACAAGGCUCGUCUCGUUGCAAAAGAUUUUGACCAAAAAGGAGUUAGAUUUUGUCAACAAAUAGCUUAUUAUUGGGCUUAAAAGAAUAAUUUAAAGUGUAAAAGGUUGAUGUUCAACCUAUUCUUGGGAUUUAACAGUGGGUUAUCAUGCACUUUGUUAACAAGAGGAUAAUUUUGAAUAUAUAUAAAACAAUUAAAAUAUGGCUUUUUAACGGGCUUAAGCUUUUGGCGCAAAUGGUUAUUUUUAAGCUUUUGGCAUUAAUGGUUAUUUUAUAUAGGACUAGAUUAAGAGGCCAAAUCCAACCAAACUAAGCAUUUUUAAAACUGAAGCUUUUAAAGUAAGUUUAUCUUCGCAGAUAAAGGCCAUCUAUUUUCUUGUAUAUACCACUUAAUUUAUUAUCUGUCCAAAUAUUAUUCAGAUUAAUUUCCUUUUCCAUAAUAAUCUGAAAAAGGUUUAGUUUGUGUUCGAGUUGUAUACUGCAUGCCAUCUUUGAGGAAACUUGCUUGCCUGAUGAGAGUUUUAAUGCUACACUCAAUAUAUAGAGCAGGUCUUGUGUGUUAUUAGGAGUACGAAAGCCUAUGUGUUCCUAAGCUAUUUUCGAUGAUGGAGCUUUCGAAUCGACGAUCAACUCCGUUAGACUUGAUCUAACGUAUUUGAAUUAUCUACAAAAUAAAUUUUGCAAUUAUUCGAUAUUAUUUACAUAGCGAUUAAAAGUAUUCAAAAUCAACGGCUGAAAAUAAAACUUUGAAAAAAGACAGUGAUAUAACACUAAAAUUUUCUAUCAGAAAUAUUGAUCUUACAAUAAAUAUCCAAAAAAUAUUAUCAAAAUUUUAUCUGAUUUGAAUACUUCUACACCAUUAAAUUUGUAAACGAUAUACAUCAAUCAUUAAAAUUUAUUAAUUUUUAAAACAUUUCGAUAUAUCGUUAGGUAAAUGAUAUCGAAAAAUCGCAAAAUUUAUUUUCUAGAUACUUUAAAUAUAUUAGAUCAAGUAUAAUUAGGGGUGUAAACGAGCCGAACACGAGCGAGCUGGGGUCGGCUCGUUAAAGUAUCGAGUCGAAAAAUUCAGCUCGUCUUUGGCUCGUUUAUUAACGAGCUGAACACGAGCUGGCUCACGAGCUAGCCAACGAAUAAUAAAUUAAAAAUGAUUAGAUUAAAUAUAUAUAAAAAAUAAAUUUAUCAAAUCUUAUUCAUUAGACUUUGAUCUAAUAGUUGAAAUCUUUACAUAUAAAUGAGUCUUUUUUUAUAAUUAAACUCGCAUUUAUAUUUUUAUUUUACUAAAAAUUAAUAUAAAAAUAUAUAUUAUAUAUAAUUUAUUUAUAUAUAAAAAUAUAAAUUAAAUAAUAUAUAAAUAUAAAUAUAUGUAUUCGAGCUGUUAUCGAGCCGAAACACGAGCGAGCUGACCCCAGCUCCGUUUUCGGCUGUUUAUUAAACGAGCUGAAAAUCCAGCUCGUAUUCGGCUCGUUUACUAAACGAGCGAGCCGAUCUCGAGCUCAUUUCAAGUGAACACGAGCUGGCUCGCGAACAGCGAGCUGGAUUGCCACCCCUAAGUAUAAUGGAGCCGAUCAUCGAUUCGUAAGUCCCAUCAUUGAAAACGACUUAAGAGCACAAAGGCCUCUAUGCUCCUAAAAGCACAGAAGACCUACUCUCCAAUAUAUAUAUAUAUAUAUAUAUAGAGAGAGAGAGAGAGAGAGAGAGAGAGAGGAGAGCUAGGCUGGAAUACUGUUGAUAACAAAAGGCUUUUUUUGCUAUCAAGUUUUUAACACUUAGAUGAGAAAUUAUAAAGUUAGGAUGAUAUUAGUCCUUUGGGGUUGAACGGUCCCCCUAAGGUUGAGUGAUCUCCAUUGGAUUAUAAUAUUUAAUCUAAUGGUUAGAAAUGAUGAAAGCAAUUAAUUCAAAGGCUAAAAUUUGAUAGCAAAAAAAGUCUUUUACUAUCAAUAGUGUUCUAGCCUAUAUAUAUAUAUAUAUAUAUAUAUAGAGAGAGAGAGAGAGAGAGAGAGAGAGAGAGAGAGAGAGAGAGAGAGUGAGCUAGAAUACUCUUAAAAGCAUCAAGGGAGUGGUGCUUUUCAGUUUUUAACUAUUGGAUGGAAAGAUGUAGGGUUGAGAUCAUGGUGGUAAGUGGAAUUGUGUUUGAUCCGAAAGUAGUUAUUAAUAAUUAAGGAGUAAAUCGAGCUAGAAACUUAAAAGCACUAAAGAAUUGGUGAUUCUAAAAAUAUUCUAGCUCAAUUCUAUAUAUGUAUAGAGUGAGAGAGAGAGUCCGGCUAUGAUGCUUAUAAAAGCAUCAAGUAUUUGGUGUUAUAAAUUUUUUACCAGAUCAAAAUAUAUAUAUAUAUAGAGAGAGAGAGAGAGAGAGAGAGAGAGAGAGAGAUAGUUAGUUUUUUUGUUAGUUUCAAUGCUUCACUCAAUAGAGUGAUAUGUACCUAACACUUGUGGCUCUUCACGUCUAAAUUUGCGUGUUGGAGAGGCUGUACAUAUACACUAUCCUUUUUUGGAGAAAGGUACAUAUACACUAUCCUGAUCUGCAAAGAUGGGAACUUUUUGAAGUUGUCCAAAGUGCUUCAGUUCAACCCAUCAAAUCGGAUUGACUUAAGACCCUUUAGACCUUUUCAGAUCAGUGAUUCGUUCAGUAAAUCUAUGAACCCACUGAAUUUUAUAAGAAUAGGCCGGAUUUUUUUCUAUUUUAUACUUUAAUAAUUAAAAAUAAUAAUAAUUUAGUGUUUAUGACAUCAUUUAUUGUGAAAAUAAUUUUACUUUUUGAGUGAAUGGUAGCACAACAGAUACUUUAUUUUUUUUUAAACUGAAAAUAUAAAACAACUAAGCUUCGAAUUUAGAAUCUCACAUAUCAAUCAUCAAGCUCAUUGCUUACGUUGGGGACGACAAAUUAUUAUAAAAAUAACUUUUUUAAUAAAAUAUUAUAAAAAUAAUUAAAAAUAAAGUUUUGAGAUGGUACGACGAAACAAAACACAUCAAUAAGAAAUCCACAACAAACGUGGUGGGCAAGGUGAAGGCACUCCAUAUUGCUUGAUCAUAGGGGAGGGGGGAUUAAUUGCUACUUAUAUAUAUAUAUAUAUAUAUAUAUAUAUAUAUAUAUAUAUAUAUAUAUAUAUAUAUAUAUAUAUAUAUAAAAGCUUUUUUCACUAUUAUAUCCAUUAAUUUUGCAUGUUUUACUUCAAUUUUAAUCGGGACCAUGUAUACUUUGUAGUGGAAGUAAUGGUAAUUUUUUUGUUAACAGAAAUUGCUUACUAUUCACCGUGAGAUGCGCUUUUGUAUUUUUCCGUAGCUGUCGAUGUUAGAUUUUAAAUGAAGGCCUGUGAAAAUAAAAUAUGUCGGCAUAUAGGACAAAACAUAAUUACACUACUGUAGAACCCAUAUCCCAAUCAAGAAGGAACUAUGUGGAACAAAGGUUUAUAAUUAAAACAUUAUUGAAUCGUGGGCGCUAAUUAUUAAUUCUAAAAUUUAAAUUAUUAAAAAAAUAUAAUUAAUAGUACUCAUGAAUUUUGAUUAUGAUUCGGCCCAUUCAGCCUAACGUAACUUCUAAUACGACUCAGCUAAUUCCGAUCUCCUGUCAUUUCGAACAUAACUCAUCUCAAACUGAUUUUUCAUCACAGGACAGAAUAAUAGCCCCCUUAAGCCAACAAUCCCAUUCCCCCACCCUCUUCCCGAGUAGGGCUAGAAUAUUUGUAAAAGUAUCAUGGGGGUGAUACUUGUGUGUUUUUAGUCCUUGGAUGGAGAGAUGUGAGGUUGAGAUGAUGGUGGUAGGUGGUGGUAGGUGGAAUAGUGUUUAAUCCAAGGGCUAUUAAUAAUCAAAAAGUAGAUCCAAUGGCUUAAAACCUAAUAGCACCAUGAUAGUGAUACUUGUAAAAGUAUCAUAGCUCAACUCCUCUCCUCUCCAGCACUUGUAUAAAUUUGCAGUAUGCGGGAAUUCAAUCCGUAAACUCUGGCUCUGAUAUCACAUGUCGAAUCGUUGACGCUAACUAUUAAUCCUAAAAACCAGAGCUGUUAGAAAGAUGCAAAUAAUUUCUUUAAAGCGUAUAAAUACAGCGCUUACGGAUUUUGAUUGUGAUUCAACUCAACCAGUCUCAUACUACUUCGAAUAUGACUUAGUCCAAUCCAACCUCUCGUCAUUUCGAACAUAACUCGUCUUAAUUUGACAUUCCGUCGUAAGGUAAAAUACUGAUUUUUUUAAACCAAUAAAUAUUAAUACUAUGAACCAAUUAGUACUCAUUAUUCUCUGCAUCUGUCAAAAAUGUAUUUUUGUUGUGGAAUAAUGUCAACAAUGUGAAACAAUUGAUUUCAUGUUUUAGAUUUGUUUAGUACUCUUUGAUGUACUCUAAUGUACUCUUCUUUUCCUGUGCAAUGGAAAUGGGAUCCAAUUCUCUCCUUUCCUGUGUAAUAGAAAUGGGAUCCAAUACUGUUUCCUUCAAGCCAAAAAAUAAUAGGUGUACUCUUCUCUUUCUUUUUAGUGAAAAUGAUGAGAUCCAACACUGUUUCCCUUCAAAAAAAUGGAAAGGGUAAUUAAUAUACUUAGAUUAUUUAAGAAUCAUGCAUUCUUUGUAAGAUCCAUAUGAUAGAUAUGUUGACAAAGGGCCAGCAUUCUACUCUAUGGCCGGAGGUCGAAUUGGAUCAAAUUAUAUUCGAAAUAAUAUGAGAUUGACUGAGCUGAAUCACCAAUCAAGAGGUAUUGUGUCUGCAUGUUUUAAAUAAAUUGAUUGUAUUUUUCUAACAGCUCAAAUUUUUUGAAAUUAAUAUUUAGCAUCAAUGAUGCAACAAGAUAAUACGGCGAUUUUUCUAUUCUUUUCCUUUCUUUUUUUCAUUUUUGAUCAAUCAUUAGUAUUCGAAAAGGCUAAAGAAUUAAAUUAUUUAAAUAAAUACUAGCAAAUUUCGAAUUUUCACUAUCUAAAACCCUCUUUAAUCAGAACCAACCCAACAAUAGUCAUAGCACUAGAGUAGAAUGGCUUAUUUGGAUUACAAAAUCUUCGUCAACAUAGACUCAACUAUUUCACUCUAAAUAUUUUCAUAGCUAAUUUCCAAAUUCAAUUUCCUAAUUAUCAAGCAUCUUAAUCUAGGAAUUAGAAUUCUUUGUAAUUAGAAAAUGCAAGCAAAGUACUUACAACAAAAUACAAGCCACUUGCAUUUUAAUUUCCUAUUUUUGUGUGUAUUCCAAACAAACAAUUUUCCCUUUCACUUAAGAAAACUGUGGGCCUGGUUCUCUCCUCAGCCCUUCUUUCUAAGCCCCUUCCACACUCAAACAACAUGUCAACAACCUCACUAUGUGAAAGAUGCCAUUGUGCUCACCUGGUCCACCAAAAACUGAUCUUCCAAACUAUCUUUUAAAUUUAUUAAAGCAAAAUUUCAUAAUAUUUGAGGUGGUAUAUGUGAAUUCAAGAGCCAAAAAGACUAUAUAUUAGGAUUAAAAAAACUUUUGGAUAUAUAUUUCUCACAUGUAAUAGAUUAAGAUCCUGUUUGGACGUUGAAAUUAUACAAUAUUUAAUAAUAACUUAUUCAAAAUAAUUUUUUUUUGUAUGAUUACAAGUAAGAGUGUGAUUUUUGUUUAUAUAAAUUAAUGGGAUAACGUAUUUCAUCCAUUCUAGAAUACGGCGAAAAAUAAAAAUAAAAAUGACAAAAUAUUUAAGUUAUAUGUAAAAACAAUAAAGUAUUAAAAUUAAAAAAAGUGAUAAACAACAAUAGGAUAACUGAUUUUUUAAAAAAAUUUGCGCCCUGACGCUCACCGGACAAAUUUACGUCUAACCUCUCUCCUAUUUUUGGAAAAAAAAAGAAAAAUCUAGAAUACAUUAGUUAUAUUGCUGAUGUUACAUCACCAACUAAUCAGAUUGUUUUUUUUUUAUUCAUCCCCCUAUCAUAACUAUUAAAAAAAAAUUUAUUAUAUUUUUUAUUUAAAAAAUAAUUCAUAUUUGAUAGAUGAUUUUGCGUGACUGGUAUCCAAUAGAAUCUCUCCAUUCCUUAAAAUGGCCCCCAUCCAACCCCAACUAAUGGACAGUUAUACACCUCCACCACACCACACCACUCUCCCCACUAAUUGGCUUCCCCACUCCGUACCCACAGAUAUUUCCCCCAAUAUAAACUACUCUAUCCCCCAUAAUAAUUCCACUCUUUCCCAUAUCACUAUUCCUGUGUGCUCUCUCUCUACUCUCUUUCUCUCUCUCUCUCUCCCCACUCCUCUUUUCCCUCCAAAAAAAGAAAAAAAGAAAAAAGAAAACCAUCAAUCUUUUAUUAGAAAACCAGGUGCUAUCCAUAAAGCCAUAUAACAUAAUCAUAUAUAUACAUAUAACAGGAAAAAGGAAAGGAAGGUAACAGAGAUUGUAUUUUAUUGAUGGCGACGCCAGCGGAGGAGGAAGACGAGAGGAAUCUGAUACUGGGGAAGUACGAGAUGGGGCGGGUGCUGGGGAAGGGCACGUUCGCGACGGUGUACCACGGCCGCGACCUCCGGUCGGGGGAGAGCGUCGCGAUCAAGGUGAUCGGCAAGGACCGGGUGCGGCGCGAGGAGGGCAUGAUGGACCAGAUCCGGCGCGAGAUCUCCGUCAUGCGCCUCGUCCGCCACCCCAACGUCGUCGAGCUCCGCGAGGUCAUGGCCACCAAGUCCCGCAUCUUCUUCGUCAUGGAGCUCGUCCGCGGAGGCGACCUCUUCGACCUCGUAUCCAAACACCGACGCGGCCUCCCCGAGGACCAGGCCCGCAGGUACGUUGAAUAAAUAAUCGUUUCUCUCUAAAAGCUUAAAUCGUUGAUAUUUUUAUUAUUAAUACUUUUCUGGGCACAAACUUUUAUUUGGAUAUCCUCAAAAUCCGUAAUAUAAUAUUAAAAUCUUUUUUGAGCUGAGCCGGUAAAGAACGGUAUUCUAAUAUUUUAUUUCAUAAACAGGUACUUCCAGCAGCUGAUUGCCGCCGUCGACUUCUGCCACAGCCGUGGGGUAUGCCACCGCGACCUGAAGCUCGAGAACUUGCUGUUGGAUGCCAGCAGUAACACCUUGAAGGUGUCCGACUUCGGGCUGUCGGCGCUCCCGGAGCAGCUGCGGCACGACGGGAUGCUGCACACGCAGUGCGGGACGCCGGCGUACGUCGCGCCGGAGCUGCUGAAGAAGAAGGGGUACGACGGCAUGCGCGCCGACAUGUGGUCCUGCGGCGUCAUCCUCUUCGUGCUGCUCUCCGGCUACCUUCCUUUCCAGCACGAGAACAUCAUGAAGAUGUAUAAUAAGAUCUGCCGGGCCAAGUACCAGCUCCCGCCGUGGGUCUCCGCCGACGCCGGCCGGCUCAUCGGACGGCUGCUCGUAAGCGACCCGGAGAAGCGGAUAUCGAUCGCGGAAAUGAUGCAGCUCCCUUGGUUCAAGAAGGGGCUCCCGCAGCCGAUAUCGUUGGGGCCAAGGAUGGCGGUGGCGGUGGCGGCGGAGGAGGAGGAGACCGGGGAUCGGGAAUUGGAUCCGGAUCCGGAUCCGGUGGCGGCGGUGAAUUCGCCGAGGUCGUACAACGCCUUUGAGCUGAUAUCGGCGAUGUCAUCGGGGUUCGACCUGUCGAGGAUGUUCGGGAGCGAAUUGCGGGCGGGGGGCACGGUGUUCACGGCGCGGUUGGCGGCGGGGAGGGUGAUGGAGAGGCUGGAGAAGGUGGGGAGGGCGCUGGGGUUCCGGGCGGAGAAGUCGGUGAAGGCGGGGUGGAGGGUGAGGAUGGAGCGGCCCGCGGUGGUCGAGUUCGGGAAGGACGCCGGCGACACCCUCGAGUUCGCCCGCUUCUGCGAGCACGACGUCCGGCCGGGGCUCAAGGAUAUCGUGUGGGCGUGGCAGGGCGACCCCCCGUCCCUGCCGACGGAGAGGCCAGCAAUCACUUGUACGACCGCUGACGAUGCCGCAGCAGUUGCCUAGAGCAGGCGUAGAUUUUCUGCAGCUCUGGUGUGCAAAAAAAACCUCUACAUGGAUCCUGAUCGCAUCAUCAUUUAUUAAUUCUGCGUACUGCACUGUAGAAAAUCUGAGCAAUUGAUAUGCAGGCAAAGUCAUUGACCGAGUAUUUCUAUGGGUUACACUUCCAUAUGUGGGUUUGUGUGACUCAGAGAUUGUACAUAGGUUUGUGUGAUUUUUGUUUGAUAUAUUACCUGUUUGUGUGGUAAUAUAUGAACAUAAUUUUGGGCCAGGGUGUACAUAGAGGCAAAGAGGAAGUCAAUUUUGUAUUUAUAUAUAUAUAUAUAUAUAUAUAUAGUUUAUCAAUUUGGGUAAAGUUUCCUAUAAUUUUAUUUGCUUUGAGAGAAUUGAUCUGAUAUUAGUUAGUACACUAGCCUAUUUCGAAAAAUAUGUAUGCUAAUAAAGUAAUGAACCCUAGUUGUGAUAAUUAUAUUUGGAACAAGAAGUACCUACAUGGCUACACAACAUGUUAGGAAAAUAUAGGACCAGUCCCACUGCAUUAAUUCUGUUUGUUUAUAGAUUGGUUGGGUGAUAGAAGGUGUGUUUAUUUUGAUCAAAGUCGGAGUUGAAGUGGCUGAAUUUCCCUAAUUGGAGAUCACUAGUGUUUCGACGGUAUUGCGGAGUUCAACUUUCAUGAGGCUUACACGGGCGACAAGUGCGAAUUCGUCUCAUGAUACAGUGAGUUUGCGUACAGUAUGAAAUCACAACACUAUGCUAGAGGAGCGCAAAGUCGAGCUCCAUCCUACUGCCGAAACCUGCUGAGUUCGACAGGGUGUGGUUCUGAGUUACCAAACAUAUCCUUAAUUUAAUGGGAGAUAUUAUUAUGAAGUUAUUAUCCUAGUUAGUUAAUUCGGAUUCGGCCAAAAUUCGGUACGGAUAUAAUUCGGAUAAAAUUCGUCUUUUAAUUUUUAAAUUCGUUAAAAAAUACGGUUAAAAAACGGAUUCGAUAAUUAUUCGGAUACGUGAUUUAUACGGAUAUUAUACGUUCACCAAUUAAAAAUUCGAAAUCAAAAAUUCGACUAUAUUUUAAAUAUAUAAUAAUUAAUAUAUUAUAUAUAUUAUUAUUAUAUUUUUUAUAUAUAAAUUAAAUAUAUUCAUAUAUUAAUAAUAAAUAUAUAUUAAUAAUAUAUAAGAUUUAUAUAUUUAAAAAUAUUAAUAAAUAAUUACAAAUUUAUAAAUAAAAUAUCAUAUAAAUAUUUCUAUAUAAAAAUAAAAAUAAAAAAUAUAUAUAUAAUAUAUAUAUAUAUAUAUAUAUAUAUAUAUAUAUAUAUAUAUAUAUAUAUAUAUAUAUAUAUAUAUAUAUAUAUAUAUAUAUAUAUAUAUAUAUAAAAGGGUGGUCCAAAGGUCCACUGUGGACCUCCCCUCAUGCGGUCCACGAGAUGAAAAUGGCCUCGUGGACCGCGCACACCAUCUAUGCCUCAUGAGCUCCGAUUUUUUUUCUGUUCAUCUUCUAUUUUUCCGCAGAGGCGAGACGGGAUCCGCAGCAUGCGUUGCUCCCGGCACCGGCGAGGGCGGCGGAGGAUGACGACGACGUGAGCGGCGACGAGACAGGAUCCGCAGCCGUGGCCCUUGCUGCCGGCGUCGGCGAGGGUGGCGGAGGACGACAAUGGCGCGAGCGGCGACGACGCGACCCUCGGCCAAUCGCCGAUUUUUUGGGUGAAUUAUUUGCGAAUUGCGAAUAAUUCACAAAUAAUUAUUUUUGAGAAAAAAAUCACGUUUUUUUCCUAAUUUUUCAGAAAAAUACGGGACGUCCCGUUUAAUUCGUGUUUUUAAAAGUACGCAAAUAAUUCGCGUAUUAAUCGCGAAUUAACUAACUAGGGUUAUUAUUGCAUACACACCUUAAAUUGGGCAAAAAUUGUAUGAACAUAGUGUCUAAAUUAACAUUUUUUGGGGACGCUCUGGAUGGGCGCCACGUGGCUUGCAGGCGUCCAUCUUACCGUCCUUUUUUUUUCUUAAAAAAAUGUGAUUUUUUUUUAGAGAGAGAAAGAAGUAGAGGAAGGAGAAUGGAUGGUGGGACGGACGCUUGCAAGCCACAUGACACCCUCCAGAGCAUCCCAAAAAUGCUAAUUUGAAUAUUAUGUCCAUAUAAUUUUUGCCCCCUUAAAUUGAAUAGCCAAACUAUCCUAGAUGGGUGUAGAGUUAAUGUGCAGACACAACAUCACUGUCAAAUAUUACAGCUAGAAAAUUAAGUACGCUAACUAUUUAUAUAUAUUUUUUUAUUUAUUUAAAUUGUUUUACUGUUUGUUUGAUUCCCUUAAAAAGAAUAAACACUAUAUGACAAAAUACUAUUUAAGCAGUAUAAUUAAUUAGGUAAUCACUAUUCAUAUUAACAUUUUCUGAAGAUUUUUAGGCUAUUUGCUAUAGUAGGAUCCCGAAGUCUCUUUUAAUAAACUUGCUCCUCAAAUAAGAUCUUAUUGAGACAGGUUGAUACAUGAAUCAUGUCAUUUUCGCUCUUUGAGCCUCCUUUAAAUUCGUCAUUUAAUACGUUGAAGAUAUUUGGACAAGAAAUUUUUAAACCAAAAUAUAUUUUUAAGAUUUGCGGGCAAAAUUAAUCGCUACCGCUGAGUAGCCUCCUCAAGGAAGUCACGCUUCUAUCUAAACUUGUUGUAGCUGAAAGCAAAAGCAGUAGAAUGGUCAAUUUUCAGCCCCGUUGAUAGGCUUUGAUCGGCAAUAGUGGUAAGGAUAUGUUGUCUUGAUUGUGAAGGUUCAAAAAUUGAUUGGUAUACACUUUAUAUUUUGAAAGCUUAAACACCGAGAGUAGGGACGAAAUCAGAAUUUAGGUUCAGAAAGGGAUAAAAAUACACUAUACGUUUGUCAUAAAGAAAAUUAUCAUAAAAUAUUACAAAAAAAAUUCAAAAGAAUUUGUUUGCCAACUUCAAAAGCAAAUAAGUCACAAAAUUUGUCGAUGGUUGAAUCAAUAGAUAACUUUUGAUAAUUUUUUUUUUCUUCUUUUCCACUACAUACGAUUAUAGAGAAGUUCUCGGUCUAUAAAUUUUAUAAGAAACAAUGUUAUAGAAUGCUCCUAAAAAAACUAAAAUUUAUAAUAUUCUAAUUUUUAUCAUGCCUAAUUAAUUAGAAAUUUAUAUGGCAAUUGUAGGCAAUAACAUGGCUCCGUUCCUCAGUCAUAAGUAGUAUCACUGAAGGGUUGCCUGAUUUUUCAAACAAAUGUGAAUAAAACAAAAAUUCCCCUUUUUUGCUUAUUUGAUUUUAUUAAAAUUAAUUUUUUAAUAAUUAUUUUGUAAAUUUUUAAAAAAAAUUAGUGUUUUUAUUUUUUUUAAUAAAAAACGAUAUUUCCAUAAAAUGUGAAAAAAGUAAAAAAAAAAAAAAAACACUUUUUCUUAAAACAAAUUAUAAUAAUAAUAUAUAGACAAAAAAAAUCAGUUUUUGGUAGGAAUGGCAUAUCAGCUCAUUGUUCACAAGUCAACUCGUGUUCGGCUUGAAAUGAGCUUGACAUUGAAUCGCUCGUUUAGUAUACGAGCCGAAUACAAGUUAGGGUCAGUUCCCUCGUGUCGAAUACAUAUAUUUUAUAUUUAUAUAAUAAUUUAUAUUAUAUAUAUAUAUAUAUAUAUAUAUUUUANUAUAUAUAUAAAAUACAUAUUUUUAUUAUUUGAUUUUUAAUCCAACAUAAAUAUAAAAUCCAACUCAAUUAUAAAAAGGUUCAUUUAUUUGUAAAAUUUCAUUCAUUCGAGUAAGAUUUCAUAAAAUUGUUUUUUUAUAUAUAUUCUUUCUAAUUUUUUUAAUAUAUUGUUCGUGAGUCAAAUCGUUUUCGACUCAUUAAUAAACAAGUCAAACAAAAGCUAAAUUUUUCAACUCGAUAUUUUAACGAUUCAGAUCGUGUUAACGAAACCUUGUUUUGAGAUGCAGUGUCACCAUAGUGUGUUACUAUUUAUGCCAAGUACGUAUCCUACAAAGCAAAACCAAUUCGUUGUGCGUAGACCUAACAAUCUCUUCCCGUAGUCGUGGAUUACCUAUAAAUUUGCAGGUAUGAGUAUCAGUUUUUUAAUCUAAAAUAUUAUAGAUAAAACGAGUGGAUACCAGUUGAGUGGUGGGUAUUUUGGGCAGCCCGCGGAUACCCACGGAUACCCGCAUAUAUAUUUUUAAAUUAAAAAAAUAUAAUUUUAUAAUAUUGAUUCAAUAAUGAUAAAAAUUUUAUUAAUUUUGAAUCAUAAAAAUUUGGGAUGAUGAAAUAUUUUUAUAUUAUGUAAUCUAUGUAUUUUUAAGAUGUUAUAUUGUUUAUUAUGUGUUAUAAUAUUUCAAAUAUGAAGUUACAUUAUAUUUUUAAAAAAUUUAUAUAUGUAUUUUGUAUUUAAAAAAUAUAAAAAUAAAAAUAAAAAAAAACCUUACGAGUAAUCAGUAUAUCCAUCCGUCCGCAUGUGAUUCGUAGGUAUAACGACCUGUUGGUCACCGAUUACUCAACCCGCCUAUUUGCCAGAUCUAACUUUGGAUGUGUCAUCACAUCAUGGUCAUGAAUGUGACAAUUUUAUUCAAGAUGCUUCAACCACGCCACCUUUAGUAGGAAUAUAAAAAUAAAUAUUUGGUAAAGGUGUGAGUUUGCAUAAACUGAAAUAUUUAAAGCGCAGGUGACAGGGAAUGGUGAUGUGAAAAGCGACCCACAGUUAAUUACCCAUUUCUAGUACAUCCUACUAUAUAUUUCUUCCUAUAUUAUUUUUUGAAGGAAAAACUUCAAAAAUUGUCUAUGUAGUUUCACACUUUUUUAUUUUAGUACUUUAUAAUUUAAAGUGUAUCAAGUUAGUACUUUAUAAUUUUUUACUUUAUUACUUUAGUACCAUGUGGUUUAAAAUAUAUCAAGUUAGUACCCUGUGGUUUUGCACUUUAUCACUUUAGUAUCCCGUGGUUUCAUACUUUAUCACUUUAGUACUCUAUGGUUUAAAAAAUCACAGAAUACUAACUUGAUACAAAAUUAAAACCACAGGAUACUAAAGUGAUAAAGUGCAAAACCACAGAGUACUAUCUUGAUACAUUUUAAACUAUAGGGUACUAAAGUGAUAAAGUGAGAAACCACAAGGUACUAACCUGAUACAUUUUAAACCACCGGGUACUAAAGUGAAAAAAAUUGAAACCACAAAAGGGUUUUUGAAUUUUUCCCUUUUUUGAAUUGUUUUUUAUUUUCUUAAUGUUUUCUUAAUACAAACAAUUAAAAAAUUAGUUUCGUAUUCGGUUUAUUUAUUAAUGAAUAGGGCAAGAGUCAGCUCAGAAAUAAAAAGUUAGAUUGUCAGCUCUACUAUUAAAUAAAAAAUUUUAAAAAAAGUAGAAUGUUAAUUUAAUAAUUAAAAUUCACAAAUUAUAGGUUUCUUUAUAUUUGGGUUAAUCUAGAAUCCACAUAGUAAAAAAUUAUCUCAUACGAGUUAUCUCAAAGCGAAUACAAACGAGCCGAUCCCAACUUGUUAAUGACCCAACUUAUAUGGUUAGGAUGAUAGUGACUUUUGGUUAAGAUGAUAGUGGUCCUCUUGAAUUGAGUGGGUGAUUAGUUGAAUAGUAUGAUCUAACAUGUGAAAAUGAUCAAAAGGUAGAUCUAACGGCGGAAAACUCGAUAGCACCAAGCGCUGCUAGUAUAAUAGCCAGACUUAUAUAUAGUAGGACUAUUGUAUUAUUAGAAGCAUAGUAAAUUUUGUGCCCCUAAAUUUUUAACCAUUUUUAGCCAUCCAUCUUGAGGUUACGGUAACCUCUUAUCUCAUAUUGGUAGCAAAUGAAAUUAGGGCCCAUUUGAUCACGCUUGCCAGGCUACAGGCUGCACAAGCCCGGGGCCAAACCUUUUUUUUUUUUUUUUUUUUUUUUUUUUUUUUUUUUUUUUUUUUUUGUUUUUUUUUUUUUUAUUUUUUUUUUGGCGCGCUUGUCGGGGUGUCUGCUCAUUUGGCCUGUGCUGCCGAGGCCUAGAACCAGAAAUACAUACACCUGCUGGAGCACGGAUGGCAAUUCCAGCUCGUUGUUGCGAAGGUGUGAAUGAUGCGUGAGAGCCGGCUCGUGUUCGGGCUCGAAAUGACUCUAAAAUGAAAGUUGAAUCGCUUCAUUCGUAACGAGCCGAACACACGAAGAGACAUAAGUUCUUCACUCGUUUAAAUAAAUGAGCCGACACCGAGCCGUGGGUCAAUCGUCGUAUUCGUCUGAUAAACAGCUCGCAAUUACAUUAUUUAUAUUUAUAUAAUUUAUAUAAUUUAUAUUUUAGUAUAUAAAUAAAUAAUUAUAUAUAUAUAUAUACUAUAAAUUUUUAUUAUUUGGUUUUUAGCUUAACAUAAAUAUAAAGUCCAACUCAAUUAUAAAAAGGUUGUUUAUAUAUAAAGUUUCAACUAUUAGAUCAAAGUCAAAUAGGUUAGAUCUCAUAAUUUUUUUUUUUUUUUUCUAUACGUAUCCUUCAUAAUUCUUUUAACUUAUUGUUCAUUAGGCAGCUCGUGUUCAACUCAUUAAUAAAUGAGCCGAACACGAGCUAAUUUUUUCGGCUCGAUAUUUUAACGAGCCAGCUCUACCAUCUUAUCUGUCACGCCCCGCGACCCGCUACCAAUUUGGUCAGAUCCGGGCACGCCGAUCAGACGCCGAACGGACAAAACCUCCCCUGUCCACUCAAGGCUAAACAACGACAAUCAUGUACAAGAGUUGCCCAGAAUAAACUCAAUUAACAUACAUGAUCCAAUGAAGCACUACAAGUGCUAUACCAACAAGAGUAAGAUACAAGUAAAUAUACAAGUGCAUAAAAGAGAGACAAUCUAGCUAUUACAUCCCACCGUAACUUCAUAAUUUCAGAAGUUCGGUACCUUACAUCCUCCCCUCCUUAAUAAGAGUUUCGUCCUCGAAACUCAAAUCUUAUAAACGAGCCGAACACGAGCCGGCUCCAGCUCACUCGUGUUCGGCUCGUUUACACCCCUAGCUGAGAGGAGUGCUCUAAUUUGGUGUUAUACUCAACUGUAUUGUUGCGCACAUCGCAAUGGACCAGUUCCAAACAGGCCCAGCAAAAUGCUAUUUUACUUAAAGUUCUUGUUGUGACUUUUCUUGCAAAGUAGCUUCUUAAUGGGACACUUAAUUAGCAAAAAGGCCCGGCUUAGAUCAAAAGCCCAAAUUUUAGGCCCAACUCAUAAAUCAUUCCACGCCAAAUUAUGUUGUGAUAGCCCACAAAAGCAUUGGGUAAGGACCUAGCCCAUAAUCAAAUAGAAACAAAGAUGAAAUUAUUAUAAGAAUGAAUUUGGACCUUUCAUGCAAAAAUUAAUAUAAAUAUUAUUAGGGUUAAUUUCAUACGGGUGCCUGUAAAUAUAGUGAAUAAUAAAUAUAUUUCUAUAAAAUUCAACUUUUAUUUGUUGUCCCGACAAAAGUCCAGAUAUUUUUCAAAUAUAUCCCUACCGUGAUAAUCCGUUAGAAAAAUUUAGUUAACCGUAAGUUAAAUACUUAACCCUGAUUAGUUUUUGACACUUUUACCCCUUUAUAUUAUACUAUUAUAUUUUUUGAAGAGAUAUAUUUGUGAUAGCAAAAUUAAAAAUAUAAACAGAUCUCUAACGAUAAUAAACCAGUGGGACAUAUUUGACAAUAUCAGAACUUUUGUAGGGACAAUAUAUGAAAGUUGAAUUUUAUAGAUAUAUAUUUGUCAUUCACUAUAUUUGUAGGGACCUGUAUAAAUUAACCCAUAUUAUUAAUAUAUACGGAAGUAUAUAUUAAGGGUUUUCGUGCAUCCAUAUUUGAUGCAUUCAUAGUUUGGGUAAAUGGAAAUAACAUGACAGUAGUGUUUAUUUAUUUCUGUGAAGUCACAGUUAUAGACCACACUAUGGAUAAUGAACAUGACGAUUAAUUAAUGUUGAAUCACUUUUAAGAGAUUGGUACAUAUGGUACAUAAUUAAUCCUUGAGAUAAAAUAUUAAUUUGUAUUAAUAUAGAAGUAUAUACAACAUCCAAUUUUCAUAUAUUGCAAAACCUCAAUAUUUAUAUUAAAAUUCUAUAUAUCCCUUAUUCUCUUCAUAUAUAUAAAAGUAACUUUGGUUUUAAAUUAUAAGAUUGAAAUUGACAGAAAAGUUACUACUGCACUGUGACGGUAAUAUGCAAGGUGAGAUCACUCAAUCUACCGUUUUUUAUGCGAUUCACAUGAAUCUUACAGCCGAAUGAAAUAGCGAAUGGAGGGUCUCAUGUUGGAGAUCCCUCCACACAAAUUUUUGAUUCUACCGUAAUCCCGACCGAUGAUGUGUUACAAGUCAUGUAUGGCGUAUGCUGAUUGGCUAAGAGUGCACUGAUGGGUUAUAAUAGACUGUAUGUCAGGUAGACUCAGCUCAAUUUCAACUUAUAUCCAAUAUGCGCAGAAUUUUUUCGCACACGGAUAUGCGUGGAAAGAAAAUACAUCUCUUUAAUUUGGAUCAGCAUAAGGGCUAAUUAAACAUCAGUAUGAUUAUGAUUAUGAUUAUGAUUAAAAAGAAGACCAAAGAAAAGGAAUCAUAAAUUUCUCAAGUCAAGUGAAAAAAUAAAAUAAAAUAAAAUAAAGGCGAGUCUAAAUCUUUUUAAAACGACGCCGAGCGUGCUGACGUGGGUGAUGACGUCAAAUCCGACGUCACCCGGUCGCAGAACGCGCACGUUGGUGGAGGACGAACGUGAGCGCGACGCGUUGACGGACGGCGAUCGAGUGGCGGGCGCGAAUGGACGGUGGAUGUGACGCGGGAGUGGAGCGGUAAAAGUAUUAAAUUAAAGAAAAAAAUAAAAAGAAAGAAGGAAAAGAACGUACGUUCCCUGUUGACUUUGACUGCAGCUGGACCUACAGGGCUACACACGCACGACCUAAUUAUAGCUUCGUUAAUAAAACAUACCCACCUCAUUUAGGACACAAAUUCUAUGGGCACCGGCCCCAAAUGACUUAGUUUGGGGCCGGUCCCGGGCGCCGCAUGGCACACGUGCCACGCGGCGUCCAUCCUCCAAUGCUCUCCCAAUAUGGGCAGAGCAGUGGAAUUUUCGGGUGCACCUGGUGCAUCUAUAUUAGGCGCACCAUAAAAUUAUUUUUUAAUUUUUAUUACUUCUAUUUUUUUUUUGAAAUCAAAUAAUGUGUAAAAUUUUAACUUCUACAUGGUAACUCCUAAAAAAAUAAAUAAAUUAUUAUAUAAAAUUAUAAUUUUAAAAAAUUAAAAAUUAAAAAUUAAUUUUAUGGUGCACCUAGUAUACAUGCACUAGGUGCACCCGAAAUUUCACUGCUUUCCCCAUAUUGGGAGACCAUGCGGCGCCCAUCCGGGACGGCCCCCAAAUUAAGUAAUUUGGGGCCGGUGCCCAUAGAAUUUUUGUGCCCUCGUUGACUCUCACGUCCAAGUAUAUUUAUUGAAAUAUUUUAAAAUUUUAAUUUACUUAUUUAAUUUUUAAAUUAUUUAAUUUAAAUUAGUUAAUAAUAUUUUGACUUUAAAUUCUGAAUUAAUUAUCUUAAUAAGUUUAUAAGCAUGAUAAUUAUAUAUAAAAUAUGCUGAUCUACUAAACAUGUAAAACUAAAUGACACAUUUAAAUUUUAAAAUUAAAAUAUUAUUAACUGAUUCAAAUCAAAAUUUUGAAAGGUUAGAUAACCGAAUAAAAGUAAUUCAUAAUUCAGAUAAAUUCUAUAUAUUUUUAUUUUUCAUUUUUUAGAGAUCGAAGAAUAUAUAGCGCUCUAUCCGCUUUAUUUAUUCUUUUUAGAAAUAAUUAAACUGACAUUGUGAAUCACCUAGGUUUCAAACUUGUGACAUCAGAUACCAACCAUCAGGAUGUCCGCCAUUUUGUAUGAAACAAACAAAAUAACUAUAAAUAAAAAAAAUUGGGAAAACUUUAAAAGCCUCCCCUGUGGUUUCGUCCUUUUUCAUUUUAGUACCCUGUGGUUUAAAGUGUAUCAAGUUAGUACCAUGUGGUUUCUCACUUUAUCACUUUAGUACCAUGUGGAUUAAAGUGUAUCAAGUUAGUACUCUAUGGUUUAUUUUGUAUCAAGUUAUUACCAUGUGAUUUUAUUUUUAUAUCAAGUUAGUACCCUGUGGUUUUUAAACCACAGGGUACUAAAGUGAUAAAGUGCGAAACCACACAUCAAGUUAGUACUUUGUGAUUUUAUUUUUGUAUCAAGUUAGUACCCUAUGGUUUUUAAAACACAGGGUACUAAAGUGAUAAAGUGCGAAACUACAGGGUACUAAAGUGAUAAAGUGCGAAACCACAGGGUACUAAAGUGAUAAAGUGCGAAACCACAUGGUACUAACUUGAUACACUUUAAACCACAGGGUACUAAAGUGAAAAGGUGCAAAACCACUGGGUACUAACUUGAUACAUUUUAAACCACAGGGUACUAAAGUGAGAAAAAGUAAAACCACAAAGGGGGUAUUUGAAGUUUCCCCAAAAAAAUUUUUAUCAUAUACAAUUCUUUUACUGGACAAAAUGCAAUUAAUCUCUCCAUAAUUCCAAAUGGAGCCAAAGUUAUAGAUUGUAUUCUAAUUGAUAAAUUAACAUUUUAAAAAUAGUGGAAUAAAUGGUUUUCCUAAGAUAGAAGGUUUAAUUGGUGUGUAGACACACACAAUCGCGCGCGCGCACACGCGCGCGCGCGCACACACAUAUAUAUAUAUAUACACCCGUUGCACAAGUCGCGCCUGAACCGAUAAACCUAAAAUAUGUACUCCAAAAUUUUUGUUCAAAACCAACUAAACGUGCGUGUCGCACGCAAAGUGAAAAUUCGAAGAGAUUUCGAUCUUCUUUUUCUCAUUUCAUCCUCUCAUUCUUACAUGCCAAUAAAAUUCGUAAUAUGCUAUGUCAUCUCGUAUAUACCAAUUGAGGGCAUGACAAUUUGUAAAGGUAAAAUUGUGAGCGAUCAUUUUCAUCGAAAGAUCGAUCGAUGAAUGACUAGAAUUACAACAAAUUUAAGUCUCACACACAUAUUCAUAACAAAUUAAAGCAGUGGAUAUAUAUAUAACAUGUAAUUUAUGCCUUAUCCACUACAAUUUGUUCAAUUUAUAUAUAUGUGAAUGUUUCUUCAUUUGCAAGAUACAGUAAAGUGACACCAUGCUGUGUGCCUUAAAUAUUUCAUGAAAGACUUUGUUUUAUUAUAUAUUUUCUCAAAUAAAAUAGCAUCACGCAGUGCCCUACUUUUUGUAUACUCUCGAUUACUUUUCUAUUCUAUAAAUUAAGCAUGUCAUCAAUUUCUAAGAAACCAACCAAGUUUUUUAUGGAUCUAGAUCAAAACUUUAGAUUGUGUAAACACAUAUAUGUUGGUGUAAAUAUUCAAAAAAUAGAGGUUAGCUACAAAAUAAUUUAAAAAAUAUCAACAAGUCGAUCAGGCCGAGGUACGGAUAUCUCGCUCUCUUUAAGGAGAUUCAAGCCUUCUGCGGUUGGCAAAGCCUUUGAACCGAUGCAGCAGAGCACCGACUUGUCCCCUCCAGCAUACAACGGCUCGACCCUCUUCGUGUGGCUUCACCAACUCUGCACAAGUAGAUGAGCACAAAGCUCCACCAAAACAAACACCUUUCUUUGAUCUUCUCUCUCUCAAGUAUAAUUGAAAUACUUUUGUUGUUUGUUGUUGAGUUGUGUGUUAUAGAAUAGAAAAGAACAUCCCUCUAUAUAUAGGCUCAUAGGAUAUAUAGGAGUUACAUGAAUUAAAAGGUUAGGAGUUUUUCAUACUUUAAAUCACAUUUUGGUUGUGAUUCCAAGUAUGCAAAGGUUGUAGGAAUUAAAUCACGAUGAAAGCAAGGUUAGUGAAGUUGUAACUCCACUAAAUAAUAAAAAUGUAACAACAAUAUAUGUAACUUUCUAAUUUGAGGAAAUUAAGUAACAUGAAGAGCAAGAAUAACCCUAACUCUUGUAAAGGCGUCGAGUAAAGAGUUGUCAAGAAAACAGGUCGGGAUAAAUAUACCAACGCUUUAGUAUAGCGUCAAAAAAUUCUUAUCAGUAUUUGAUAAAAAUAUAUUUAUUAGCGACACUUAAUCAUAGUGCCAGCAUAUGACAAAUAUUGAAAACGCAAGAAUAGAGUGUGUCUAAAACAUAUUUUUGUUACAGUAUUGAUAUGCAAUUACCGUAUAUGUGAACAAGGGGCGUGUCAAUGGAUCUCCUACUUCUAGAUAAAGAACCUAUUGAUUUUCUUUAUAAUUGUAAAAUGAUAUAUAUAUAUAUAUAUAUAUAUAUAUAUAUAUAUAUAUUAGUAACAUAUAUCUAUAUAGAUAUACAUGUAUACCUUGACGAAGUUUAAUUCAGGUUUAAAUAAAUUGACUAAGAGUUUGGUAUUAAUUUUAUAUAUGUAUGUGGUCAUGACUCAUGCGGCUACUAGGUUAAUAGAAUGACAAAUUAAUUAUAGUAAAGAAAUUCAAGUGUGCUUCUCUUACUUGGACCCUGCAUGCGUUCGUAUAUAUGUGCUAAAAUAUAACGAAACAAAUGAGAUGUACAAUUUAAAUUGAUGACUAAUAUAUAUGUGGAGUUGAGCUGAAAUGCUAUCGGUAGCAAACAGGCUCCGUUGCCAUUUAUUUUUUAAUUUCGAUGAUAGAGCAUUCAAAUCAAUGAUCGGCGCUGUUGAACAUGAUCUAUACUACUUGAGUAUUUAAAAAUCAAAUUUCAAAAUUUUUCGACAUCAUUGACCUAAUGAUCAAAGGAUUUCGAAAUUUGUAAUUUUAAUAGCAGAUAAGAGUCGUUUUCUUGUUUAAUGGUGUAAAACUAUCCAAAUUAAUUGAAUUUUGUUUAGAAAAUUGUUUAAGCUAUUUACAACAAGAUCUAUACUCCCGAUCUUGAUUAUAGAAUUUCUACCAUCACUUUUAAAGGAUAUUCAUUUUCAGCCGUUCAUUUUUACGCCCACUUGAUGGACAAGAGAAUAAUAUCGAAAAAGCAUAAAAUUUGAUUUAUAGAUACUUUAAGUGGUAUAGAUCAUUUUCAACGAUACUGGUCGUCGAUUUGGAGGCUCCAUCAUCGAAAACAAAUGGGUGAUAACGGAGCCUAUUUGUUACCGACAGUAUUUCAACUCAACUCUAUAUAUGUGUAGCGUGUGGCUAUAUAUAUAUAUAUAUAUAUAUAUAUAUAUAUAUAUACAGACACACACACACAAGCAGCUGCAAUUAUGAAACUGUGAUAAUUUUUCUCCUAUUAAUUCUGCAGCAUCUGUUGGGGCCAAUUUAACCAGAAAAAUUUGCCAAUUUACAUGAAUUCUCUAAUCAUCCAAGAGACAAAGGGGUAGUCUAAUCCUGUUAAUUAUUGUUCUCUUAUCUUUUUUUUUUUUGAGAGAUAAUUAAAAAAAAAAAAAUUAUUGUUCUCUUGCACAAGUAUUCAGUAGCCUCUUAGCUUAUAAUUUGGCAACGGUACAAUUGGUGCAAAUGGUGAGCACUCGAUUACAGAUUCAGCUGAAAAGAAGGGGGAAAAAAAAUGAUAUGAAGUAGUAAUAUUAGAUGCCCUUUUAGUUUUGUGAUUAAAAUGAGCCAGAUCUUUUCUUUUCUGAGGAAAAAGAAAGCCAAAUAAAUAUUUUCAUACUUUUUUAAAAGAAAUUGCUAUCUGUGCACCAAUAUAUGGAUGUAAAGUUUACACCCUUCGUAUCCGAGGGUNCAGACACACACACAUAAAGAUAGUCGACACUCUAGUAUUUUCUGAACUCUCAUUAAAUUUUAAAUAGCCAUAUAUGUAGAGUUACUUUCGUUUUCCGCACGCAGCUUCGAUUUCGUGGAGCAUGGCGAAGAAUUAACAUGUAAUUUGUGCAUUAUCCACCACAAUUUUUUAAAUUUAUAUAUGUAAGGCCUUUUCUUCAUCCGUAAGAUACAAUAAGUGAUAUCAUGUUGUGUGACUUAAUCACAAUAUUUAGCACAUUUUCCUCACCAUAAUAAUUGAGUUGAAAAUUAAUAUAAGGUAAAAAUGACCUUGGAUAAGGCCUAAAAUUUACUUUAUUUCUUAUAUAUACAUAUAUAUUCUCAAAGGAAGUAGCAUCAUAUAUGCAUGCCCAUGCAGUGCCCUACUUUUGUAUACUCUCAUCAAGUAAUAUAAAGAGGAAAGUAACAUGAAGAGGCAUACAAUUAUAUAAUAACACUCGUAUCAUUGUAAAAUGAGCAUGGGUGAUCAAGGCUAAUAAUAAUAAAAUACUGUGACAAAGUAAGUUAUAUAAAAUAUAUAUGUUUCCUUGACACGGUGCAACUACUGGGUCUACGGACAUGUCAAUGGAUCUACCUACUGGUUCUAGAUAAAGAAGCUAUUUAUUUUAUUUUUUACAAAAUGUUUUAUAGGUAACGUAUAUACCUUGACCAAGUUUGAUUGAGAAGGGAAAUUCAUCAAGGGUUUAAUUAAAUUGACUAAGUGCUAGUAAUGAAACUAAUUAAUUAUGAGAUAUACAACUUAAAUCACUAUAACAGAAUUAGAUUAUAGAAACACAUUUUUGGAACACUUUUGUGUAAAUGUCCCAUUUAUACCACAAAUUUAAAAAUAAAAAAUCUAUUAAGGUCUAAAUAUAAAGUCCAAUCCAAUAAAAAGUAAAAAAUUUCUCUACCCAACCAACCUCGCCCUCCCCAAUCAACCCAAUUGCAAAUAGAAAAUGGAAAAAUAAAAUAAACUAAAAUUGAUCACCAUCUCACAUUCUCCUCCUUCGCCGCUGCAUCCGACGAGGUAGGGUUAAUUCCGGUGGCUGGAGUUCGGCCGCGGAGAUCUCACAGGAACCGUAGAGGGCUACGAUCGCCAUAUGUCCCUCCGCCGGAGGUCGCUGGAAGACUAGGUGUCAAACAACAAGACGGCCCCACAUAUAGCGACCCCACAUAUAGCAAUACUUAAAAAGUGUCAAAGACCGACCGUCCCUAGAGCAAAUGGCAAAGAGCUUGGUGGUUGGUACUCGAGACCCAAGUUCGAAUCAUAGUUGAUUCACAUUUCUAGCUAAAUUUAUUUCUAAAUGAAAUAAAUGAAACGGGUAGCGUGCUACCUAUCUCUUUCAAAAAAAAAGAAAAAAGAAAAAAAAGUGUAAGUAAUUUAGUCAGAAUCACUUUUUUUGAUCUGUACCGAUAUUUAAAAGUGUCGCUAUACACCAUUUUUGUUAUAGUGUUAGGUUCACGUAGACCUGAUCUGGGUCAUGUAGACCGGAUGAUUUUAAUGAUCCUGAGAUAUUCGUCUAAUUAUAUGGUGCAAUCGAGUAAGCGACUGAGCAUUUAGUUCACUCUCAGAAGAAUUGGCCUGACCAGAACUUCCCAACAAUUCCAUAAAAAUGCCAUUAUUGAUUAAAUUUCGUGAUCAUUUUCUAAGUCAUCAACUCAAUUGGAUAAAAAAAAUAAACAGCUAAAAGUAGCAAUCUUCUAAAGCUAGAGGGAUAGAGUUCUUAAAUUCAAAAUUGAAGUUAAAAAUCUUAUUUUCGAUAGUUAAAAAAAUUUAAUAAAAAAUUUAAUAAAUUUUAAUCAUUUUAUUUUAUAUCAUUAAACGAGAAAACACAUCAUAUAAACCAUUUUCUUAUUUUAGAUUGUUAAAAAUAUUUUUUUAUAAAAAAAAAGUGUUUUGAGCUAUAUUAUAUCGUUAAACAAGAAAAGAACCCGAUGUAAGCUAUUAAAAUGUUCACUUCCAAGGUCACAUGACUACUAAGUAAUAAUGUCAAAAAAAUAUUGAAAUUUGAUCAAUAACAAUAAAUUUCGAAUGCGUGAAAAUCCAACUGUGUUGAUCAUUAAAUCAGAUCCUUAGUUAUUGAAAAUUACUUUACAAUACCAAUCUUUAUAUUUAGAUCUUAGUAGAUUUUUAAAAAAAAUUUUAGCAUAUAUUAAUAGAAUACUUACACAAAAGUAUUUUAAAAAUGUGUAUCUAUAACUUAAUUUUGUUGUAGUGAGAAUUACGAUAUUCAUGCGCCAUUACCGGAUCCAAAGAUUUUCUUGCCUUUUUUCUUUCUUUUUUCUCUUCUUUCUUUUUUCUCUCCAUGCGUUUUUAUAACCUGGGAAUCUGGGAUGUUGAUGCGUGAUAUUGUGGGCGAGAUAAUUUAAUUAAGAUUGUUAUAAUAAUAAUAAUAAUAAUUAGUCAUCGCCACGUUGCUAUACACAAUAGUACGCGUUUAAUUUCAAGCGCACAAUGGGAGAAAUAAAGCUUUAAAUUUAAUAAUAAAUUAUAGAGAGACGUAAGCAUGUAUUUAUUAGUUAUUAUUUAUUAAUUAAUUAGAUUACACGCUUGUUGAGUUGACUUCAAUUUCAAGGUCGUCGGUUAAUUCAAUUCCAACUGACGCGGACGUUUGCGAUCUCCUCUUUUUCUACAAAACAUCAAUUUCUUUUUUUUUUUUAGAAAACAACUUCAAAUAUCACCCUUCUAAUUUCACACUUUUUCACUUUAGUACCCUGUGGUUUAAAAUGUAUCACUUUUGUACCCUAUAGUUUUUUUUUUCUUUUUGUUAUCCCCUCUAUUAAUUUUUUUCGUUCAAUUAGUGACAAAUUUAAAACUAAAGAAUAUUAAAGUGAAUAUUCGAUCAACUUUUAGUAUGUGAUUUAACGAAAAGAUAAAAAUAAAAUGAUAGGGUACUAAAUUGAAUUCCGAUUUCGAUUCCCGGGUGAAUGAGAAUCCCCCCUAAAAGCCCCUUUUCCGAUCCGGCCUAGGAGGCAGGAUUGAAAAUUGAAUUCAGGUGGAAUAAAUUUAUUUGGAUUAAAUUUAAUUUUUUUAAACUUAUUUUUUUAGAUUAAAAUAUAAGUUUAAGUUUAAAAAAUACAUUUAUAAAUUUUAAUUUUAAUUUGAAAUUAAAUUUAAAAUUAAAAUUCCAUCAUGCAUUUCAAAUCUAAUUUAUAAAAUUAAAUCUAAAUUUAAAUUUAAUUUUAAAUCUAAAAUUUAGGAUAUUAACAUAUUUUUGGAGUGUGUGUACGAGUCAAUCGAAAUGCAUACUCUAAGGGUGUGUUUGGUUCCACGUAAAACUGUGGAAAAAAAAUUUUCGGUAGAAAAAAAAUUUUCGGCGGAAAAAUAAUUUUACGUCGUUAGUGUUUGAUUUGUUGGAAAAAAAAAUAGUUUUACAUGAAGCUUGUUUGGUUAGAAGAAAAAAAAUAGCUGAAAAACUAUUUAAUAUAUUUUAUUAUAUAAUAUUAAUAUAUAAUAAUUAAUAUAUUUUAUAUAUUAUUAUAAUUUUUAUAUACAUAUUAAAUAUAUUUAAAAUUAUAAUAAACAUAUUACAUCAUAUAUAAUAUAUUUAGAAAUAUUAAUAAAUAAUUACAAAUUUAUAAAUAAAAUAUUAUAUAUAAAUAAAUAAUUAUAUUUUUAUAAAUAGUAUAAUUAUUUGUUUACCAUCUUUUUUAUAUAAUAAAUAUAUAGUAUAUAUAUUUAUGAAGAGAGAAGGUGAGUGUGUCACGCCCGAUUACACUUUCCCCGGUCGCGCCGAUACAAAUCCCGCCGUAAAUUCAAAGAAUUUUUUCUAUUAUACGGAAGCGAUAGCUUGUUAUACCUGUAAAUCAAACACUAACUCUACUAACGAACAGAUAGAUGAGCUGAUAGAGCGAAAAACCAGAAGCCUAAAACAAACAAAGUUAUCAAUAAUACAUCAGUCUCAAAUCCAAAAAUACAAAAGCUACUCGCACUGGCAGUUAAGUCCACUAGUAAAACGAGUAAACUCGAAAAACACAAACAUCUUACCUGCAGGUAGGCACCUCAGCUCAUCCCGUCGGAAGGCCGCGUGAGACACCGCGACGCCCUUUGCCGUCGCUUCCUGAAUUCACCGAAGCGCAGCCAUACCGAAAAGCCUGUGGCUCUGGCGAAAACAGGGGUACAACUGGGCCGUGAAGAACACUGUAAAAAAAAGGUAGUCCUCAGUGGGUAACCGUGCCCAAAAUCAACAUCGGUCCACCCACUAAAGUCCUUACAAGAGGGAAGCAGGAAUAGUAUUAAAAUGCAGGUAAUGAGAGGUGCUACCGUUUAAUCAAACACUACAGCUAUCACUGAUACACUUAAACCAACUGUUUAUAAAAAAUACUUCCCCAAAUUCUGAAACCAAUCCCAAUCGCGAACUGUAAAUACAUACCGUCCCCCGGAACUGUGAAUAACACCCGUCCCUGCCUCUCGCGGGCCGUUGACCGACUAUUGCGGCUCCUUAAAUCUCCACAUACCUGGUUCGUGAGAGCAAGUCAACUGGCAUAAAGCGAACAAACGCGAAAGCAACAAAAGCCCUGAAACUCCGGAGUGCACUCUCGUGGGCGUACCCAACCGUGAGUAUCGCAGCGUAAUCUACUUGUACGGAGCUCCAACGACAGCGCUGCGCAACCUAAGCCAACAGUUCAAAGUUAACUAGGCGUCACCAAAACAUGGUCCCUAGCAAACCAACCCCGCAGGCCGAUCGGCAGAGCAACUCUGUUGAUCCCAAAUAAACAUAAAAUCUGGAUCCACGGCUCAAACCGCUGCCGAACGGCAAACGACCCAUAAUAAGCCUAACACUUUGCUGAAAAAAUAAGCCUCGGGCAUGUCACACGAGCCGUAAAAUGCCUUCUAAAUCUAACCCCAGUAAUCCAAUCGCACACGAACUGCAACGAUAACAAAUCGAACUCACGGCUCCUAGAGCUAAAUCUUGGUAUCUUAAGCAUAAAAUUACGGGUCAAAACGCAGGUUUUUCUCUAAAAAUCAAAUUUCAAUCCACACUGGUAUAUAAUAAUAUUAACAUUUCAUUUUCAGCAUGGCUUUUAUAUUCAAUAUUACGGACUCCAAAAUGCAAAUUGAUGAAUUAAAGCAUGAUAUUAACAGAAAUUCGAUACCUAUAAAACACGUCGAGCUUAUAACAAUGCAACUUAGGAGCGAAAAAACUGAUUCGAUAACAACCACCUCUAGUGGCAAUUCCUGGGCAACCAAUUGGUCUCGUGGAUCACAAGCAACGCACUUGGAAAUAGUUCAACCUAGCAACAAAGCCCCCUCCAAGAUCCUUGUUACCAAAUUCAACCAUCAAAGGUGCCCAAAAAAAAAUCUCAAUUUCAGCCUUAAAGCUUUGGAUUGCUUAUCUCAAUUCCCAAGUCAAAUACUCUCGCUAAAAGCCAUCUCCAAUUUUUAAGGUGUGAAGGGGCUUCCCAGAAUCCAAGUUACUUGUUUGAUUAGGGAAAGUGACUCACUCCACAAAGCCCCUGCUCCCCAAGUUCACCCCAAGAAAAGAGCGCGAGAGCAGAGAUUUAAGCAAAUUCUGUCUCAAAGCAACAGCAGCCCAAAGGAAAACCUCAGUGUCGACCAAGCUAAACCUCGAACCAAAGUUCCUGCAAUUUCAGGCUUCGUGGAUUCCUCUGGAAUCUUAGAAAAAUCCAGUCGAAAGAACCAUAGAGGUUGUGUGGUCAGGAAAUCCGACCUUCGCCAUACGCGUGCACCGAGCCAAAACCAGCUGAAGUCGUUCGCAGAAGAGACCUGCAAGAACUCAGCACCUUGUCUAAUUCUUGGGAGAGGUAGAUCUUUGGAUUACAAAUUGGGGAAAAGAAUUGGAAAGAGAUCUAAGGAUGAAAAUUCUAAGUCCUCUGUGAAGAACAGGUAAAAGAGCUCAAUGGGGUCGAAUACCAGGUAUUUAUAGGCUGCUGGAGGGAUAAGAUAAGCCCUAGGAAAAACAGUUGCUAUCCAGUGUUCCUGCAGAAACGGGCGUUUCUGGGCGCCCGGAACCAUGUUCUGGGCGACCAGAACAUCCCGACUACACAAACCGGGCUCCUCGGACUCUCCGCUCGCGGUGUGCUGCGCCCGUAAAUGGCUCCGACGGAACUCACCUACCGCCCUGCCACACGUCGAAGCAAGCGAUAUUCACGAUGUCGAAUUUCCGGACCCACAUCUGGGCGCCCGGAACAUGGGAUCCGAAUUGGCUUCCAGUUUCAGUUAAAUUCAACACUCAAUUCUGGGCGACCCUAAAAAUGUUCUGGGUGCCCGAAUCUGACAAAACUCCAGUUUUGCCUAUUUGAGUGCGCCGAAUCCAAUUCUGCAUCCAAUUCGUGCAGAAUUGACUCUGACUCAAUCCGACCCUCUUCCAGAGAUGUCGACUAGUCACUAAUACUGAAGCCAAUCCUAUCCAAAGGUCAAGAACACUACAGAGUGAGUGGUCCACAGUUGGACCACUCACGCGGUCCACGAGAAUCAGACUUUCUCGUGGACCGGGUUCUUUUCAACGCUGUGAGCCCCGACUUUGGGAUCAAGUUUUCGUUUUCCGCCCGCGGUGAGCGGAAAACGAAAAGUUGGGUUUUUACACAGAAUCCGUAAAAAAAAAUUUUUCUGACAACUACUUUACAAGCAACCAAACAAGAGAAAAUUACUUUUCAACGAAAAGUUGGGUUUUUACACAGAAUCCGUAAAAAAAAAAUUUUUCCGACAACUACUUUUACAAGCAACCAAACAAGAGAAAAUUAUUUUUCAAUAAAAAAAAAAUUUCAGAGUGUUUUUACAGACAACCAAACACCACCUAAGCAUCAAUACAUGGACAAUAAUAGCAAUACUUUUUCUAAUUUAUACAAAAGAAAUAUUUUGUGUUUCCAAAAAUUAAUGUUACCAUUAGAUAGGGAUGCAAACGGGGCGGAUCCGGGGGCGGGAGAGUUCCCCCACCUCUUGCUCCAUUUCUUAUCUGGGCGGGGCGGAUUCGGGGCGGGUUACUUUUCAUUUUAUUUUUGGCUCCCACUUACCGCUCCAUUCAGGGCGGAUCGGGACGGGAGCGGGGCGGAAACGGAUUUUUAACAGAUCGGGAUAAAUUGAAGGAAGAAAAGAGUCUCCCGCCUCCCGCUCCAUUUACUUGGCGGAUCGGGGCGGAUUCGGAACAGAUUAUAUUUUUCUAUAUUUUUUGUUCCCACUUACCACCCCAUUCGGGGCGGAUCGGGGCGGAGCUCCACCAACCCGGAUCCAUUUGCAUCCCUACCAUUAGAGAUAGUUAAUGUAAUUUCUUUGAAUAUAUGUCAUAUUUCUGAAAAUAUAAGUGAGAAUGGAAAUUGAAACGAUCUCUCAUUUUUACCAAAUUAUUUUAAAACCAGAACAAUAUUCAACUACACUCCGAUUUAUUCCAAAAAUUAAGUAAACAAGUUAUUUUUAAACAAAUUUAACUCAUUAAUUAUUCUCAUCUAAACACCAUUAAAUUUUAUUUAGAUCGACUUGGUUCCACACAUAGUUACGAAAUUUUAUAUUAAUAUCAAUUAAAUGUUUUUUUUUUCAUUCAUGUAGUUUGGAUAGAGUACCAAGUUAGCUAGUUCCUAUGCUUCCAAAAUUUUAUGCUCCAUCAUUUUAAUAUAGCGAUAAUAUCUAAGUUAUUCUUCAAAACUUUAAAAAUAUCUUAUUUAUUUCUAAAGGGCGAAAAUAUUCUUUUUUAUUUUAAAAAAUUUAUUCAAAUAUUUCUUUUUUUUUUUUAGAGUUUUUUAGUAGGAUUUGAUUUUAGAAGGGUAUUUUUGAUAAUUUGAGAAUAAAUUUAAAAGUCUUGAUUAAUAGUAAGGGAUAAAAAAGCAAAAAAUUAGAAACACUCCAUGCAUUAUAAAGAAUUUUAGAACUAAAUUAAAAUUGUUUUUUAUGUGACAUUAAUUUGGUGUUUUUUAGAUGAGACCAGAAAUAAUUAAAUCAUGAGGCAACAUUGGAUACUCUACGUGGAUAUAUGGUUAAUUAAAUAUCAUCUUUGUUUAAUUUCAGGGAAAGAGCAAUAAAGGAUUUGAUUGUUACGUUUACGAAAUUAUUAUAGUCCGUAGGAUUGUGACACUACAACAAAAACGGUUUAUACCGACACUUUUAAAUGUAGGUACAUGUCAAAAAAGUGCUGCUAGCUAAAAUUACCGACACUUUUAAAAAGUGUUGCUAUAUGUGGGGUCGCUAGAUAUAUAGUGACAGUUAAAGAGUGUCGCUAUAAUCUAAAAGAGUGCUGCUAAUUUACCAACACUUAUUUAAGCAUUUAGCAACCGCCGAAACUCUAUCUCGUUGGCUGCGGUGGCGGAGGAGGACGACCGGAAAGGCUCUUCGUCUAGAAUUUUAGUAGAUUGAGUGAAGAGAGAAGAAAAGAUGGUAAUUGAUUUUUCUUUUUUUUUUCUUUUCUGUUUGUAAUCGGGCCAAAUAGACUGGGUGUGGUGGGUUGAGUAGAGUAAUCUUUUAUUUUUGAUUGGAUUGGGCUUUAUAUUUAGGCAUUAGUGGAUUUUUUUUUAAGUUUUAACAUAAAUUGGACACUUACUCAAAAGUGUCCCAAAUAUGUGUCCCUAUAACCUAAUUCUGUUGUAGUGAUGAAUUAAGUUAUAUUUUAUGUUUAAGUAUGAAUUCUAUAUUUGCUCGUCCUUAAAAAAAAAACCUUAUAUAUUUUGUGUUUAAUUAUGGACUAUAUAUUUUAAUCUAUUUCUUUCUUGAUUUUUUAUAAAUCAUGGUGUAUAAUAUAGUUUAUUAUUAUUUUUUAACUUAAUUUAUUUUAUUUUAUAGCUCUUUAUUUUUAUAUUCUUAAGAAUUAUAACUAUUAUUUAGCAUAAAUUUUUAAAAAAAAUUAAUUUAAUAGCCGAAUUGUUUAUCCUGAAUUUUUAAUUGAUGAACAUAUAAUUUUCGUAUAAAUUACAUAUCCGAAUAAUUGAUGAACUCAUUUUUUACGUCGUAAUUUUUAACAAAUUUAAAAAUUAAGGUAUAAAUUUUAUUCGUAUUAUAUUUGUGAUCAAAUUUUUGUGAACUUCAAAUUAACUAACUAUAUUUUAAAUUUUCAUUUAUUGUUCCUAAAAAGUGAACUGGCUUGAUUUAUAUUUAAUUGUCACAUCACCCAUUAGAAAUGAUGGGAUAUUGACAUGAAAGUCAAUUGGUCAAGUACCACAUUAUUUCAUGUAUACCAUGUGAUAAUUUAAUUAUAUGUUAUAGUUUUGAGAAUAUACUUGACUAUAAUUAAGUUGUCCAUUAGAUGUUAGAUGACAGUUGAAUCAAUUGCCACAUAUUUAUAAAUUUAUAAAAAAAAAUUUGAUGAAAUGAUUUGACUAAAUUAGAAAAUAAAGUUUAUAAAUCAAAAUUUAAUGUGUGUGUUUUUUUUUCUGUUUUUUUUCUUUUUUUGAGUCCUUCCAAUUGAAAAUUAAAAUCCACCAGUUCCAAGCUCACACCUUGAUUUCCACUCAAGAUUCUCAUGAUUAAUUUCUUAAUUACCUUUGCCAGUAAAAAUUAACAAUUACCAUCUCAAAUAUAUCUAUAAAUUUAUUUCAGUGGUGAAAUCCUUGGAUAAAUUUAGUUCAACUUUCAACAUCUAUUUAAUUUAUAACUCAAAAAUUAAUAAUAAAUUACACUAAAGAGAUCUCAAUCCUACUUUGUUAAUAUUAUCAAAAUUAAUUUCUUAUUGAACGAUUUUGUUAAAUUUUAUGAUUUUAUUGCAUUAACUAUAAUUAGUUAUAUUACCAAAAGAAUCGAUUUAGUAGAAAAUGGAUCCAAAUAUAUAUAUAAGGGAUAAUUGCCUAUAUAUCCCUCAUACGUUUGAAAAUAUCCGAUUUAUCCUCUUUAUUUUUUCUUUCUAAAAUACCCCUCAUAUAUUCCAUCAUUAUUGCAAAAUAUUCCCGCAGUUAUCUCCUGUUAAGUUAACUUGGGUUAAAUGUGAGUUAAACAUCUACCACAAUUAAAAAAAAUUAAAAUGCCAAAUUUGCCUUUAACUUAAGGGCAAAUAAGAAAUGUUGGUAACAGUAGAGAAGUAUAUUGGAAAAGACCAAAAAUCAAAAUACUUUUAGUGCACCUGACUUUAAGAGCAAAUAAGAAAGCCAGUGAUAGUAAAAUGAUAUAUUUGAAAAGGCAAAAUAGUAAUUUUACAGAAAUAACAGAGUUCAUUAACAAAUUUUAACUCUAGGGAUAUAUUAGAAAUAAGUUGGAACGUAGAAAAGGUAUUUUCAAUAUUAGCCAUCUAAGAGGGAUAAAUUGAAAAGUCGGGAACUUUUCAGGGGUAUAUAAGCAAUUGUUCCUAUAUAUAAACAUAUCCACUCAGAAACAGAUCCAGAAAUUUAUAUUAACAUCUUCACUUACGUGCAUAAUGAAUAUAAAAAAUAUAUAGAAUUGAUAGAGAGAAGAAUAUAUAUAUAUAUAUAUAUAUAUAUACCCUUACUAACGUGUAUGAUGGUGCAUGAUGGAUAAAAUAAAAGGCAUAUGAAAUUGAUAGAUGAGAUAAAAGAUGACCAUUUAACCUCCUAGCGGGAAUUGAACCCACAACCUCACAGACUGAAAGAAUUUAGAAUUAAUUCUGAAUUAAUUCUGAUAUCAUGUUACCCAAAUGAAUAAUCUAGUAAGAAAUGGAUCCAGGAAUAUACUAACUUUAGAUUUAAGUACCUUCGAAUAAACAUUGAUACCCUUUUGAUGAAAAAUCCCUGGGGUUGCUUUUCCUAACAAACAAGUCAAAACUUAAUUUAGCUUCUAAUUAAUUUUGACUUAGUCAAAUCUCUAGAUUUUUUUUUCCUUUUUUUCCGAAGAGAAAUUUUACCUACGCGCUUAAAAAGUUAGCAUAAAUUUUAUACUUUUUCAAUACUAGUCUUAUCGAUUUUUUUUUUUAGAGCGCAAUAUUAUCUGCACGCCUCUUAUAAAGUAUAAAUUUUAUACCUCACACGUCUAAACAUUGCUAUUUUUUUUUAUUAGUUUUAUCAAUAUUUUUUUAAUGUUAAAGGUCUAAAAUAAUUUGUAAAUUUUUUUAUCAGUGCGAUGCAAGAUAUGCACCCGCAAGUAGGUGUACAAGCUAUAGAUAGCAUUAUUACUUUUUCUCUAAAAAAAAACUUCAUAUAUACCCGCUUAUCGUUUGUCGCUUUUUUAUUUUAGUAUUUGAUAGUUUAAUUAUAUUACUUAAGUAUUUUAUUAUAUUAAUUUUUGUUUUUCGUUACUACUGUUGUUAUCUCUUCCCUUAAAAUGGUCACAUUUUUUAAUCGAUUUUUCAUAUUUUUCUUAUCGCAUUUUAUUUUAUGGGACAUCUCCAACGGUCUGUGCGAGAUGCGAUGAUUUUAACGAAAAAAUAACGACAUAGUUAGGCGGUGUUUGGUUGCCUGUAAAAGUCCUCAGAAAAAAAAUUUUCGGUUGAAAAGUGAUUUUCCCUUGUUUGGUUGUUCGGAAAAAAAAAGUUGUUGGAAAAAUUUUUUUAAGGAUUCUCGGAAAAACCGAGUUUUCGUUUUCCGCCAUCUUUCCGCGGAAAACGAAAACAUGAUCCAAAAGGCGCGGCUCACAGCGGCUCCAAAAGGCGCGGUCCACGAGAAAGCCUGGUCCUCGUGGACCGCGUGAGUGGUCCAAAUGGACCACUCACCCACUCCUCUCUCUUAUAUAUAUAUAUAUAUAUAUAUAGAUAAGAUAGUAAAAAUUAUUAUACAUAUUUAUAAAUAAUUAUAUAACUUAUAUAUAUAUAUUGUCUUUAUUUUUAUAUAAGAAAUAUUAUUAUAUAAUAUUUUAUUUAAAAAUUAUAAUUAUUUUUAAUACCUCUAAAUAUAUAACUCUUAAUAUAUAAUAUAUAUAUAUAUAUAUAUAUGAUGUAAUAUUUCAUUAUAAUUUUAAAUAUAUUUAAUUUAUAUAUAAAACUAUAACAAUAAUAUAUAUAAUAUAUUAAUUAUUUAUUAUAGUAUUAUAAAUAAUAUAUAAUUAAAAAUAUAAUUAAAUUGUUUUUAUCUACUUUUUUUUCUUUCAAAUAAAAGAACCCGUUGUGAAAAAAAAUAUUAUACAUAUUGUAAUAAAUAUAUAAUUAUUUUAUAUAUAUAAUAUUUUAUUUAUAAAUUGUGUAAUUAUUUAUUAUAUUCUAAUAUAUUACUAUUAUACAUUAGUUUCAUAGAUAAUUUUAAAUUAUUUAAUCUAACUAAAAAAUAUAAUAAUAUAUAAAUAUAUUAAUUAUAUUAUUAUAAUAUAUAUAUAUAAAUAAUAUAAAAUAAGUUUUUCAUCUAAUUUUUUUACUUCCAACCAAACACCGUACGUGGAAUGAACAUUUUUUCUUCCUACAAACAACACUAACUACGUAAAAUUCGUAUUUUCCACCGAAAUUUCUUUUCCACCGAAAAUUUUUUUCCACAGUUUUACGUGGAACAAUCACACCGAGACCGCUUAGGCGAAAAAAUUAAAACAAUAAAUUAAUAACACUAAAAUAAUAAAUUAAAAAUUAUAUAACAUUUUAGUGUAAACCAAAAAAAAAAAAAAAAAAAUCUAAUAGUUUAUGCCUUUUCCAAUUGUAAUUAAAGCGACGUCGAAACACAGCGAUAUCUCCGUAACCUAAAAAAAGUUUCUACGUGCGGCUACGAAGACCGUAGAAACUCACGCGGUCCUGAUGUAACAUGGGGACCCACAAUGAGUAGAAAAAUAAAUAUAAGUUAAUUACAUUUAAAAGAUAAAUAAUAAUAAUAAUAAUAAUAAUAAUAAUAAUAAUUGUAUAUGGCACACUGCAAAAAUAUUAAAUAGUAAAUAUAUUUUUAUAAAAUUUAAGUUAUCACAUUUAUCUCUCUAAAAAUCCUUAUAUUUGUAAAUAUAUCUUUCGUUUACCAAAAUUACUAACCAUAGUUAGCUAAGGAGUAAAAUAACUUUUUGACCUCUUAUGUGUAUAAUUUGUAUUGUAAUGUUAAGUCUCGUCAUCUUUCUCUACCUCUUUUUUUUAUUUAUAGUGACGGUGAAACCUAUGAAAUUGAGGACGUCGUAGGCAAAACCCUUGAUUCGCGGCAAAAAUGAGGUACGCCACACAUGCCGCGACGAAGGAGAGAGAGAAAGAAAGAUAGCUUUUUGUGAAAAUACAUUUGUAAAAAUAAAAUAAUCAUUUUACAUACUUAAAAAUCUAACGGUGAAUCAAACGAUAGAGAUCUACCCUUUUGAUCAUUUUCACCCGUUAGAUCAUACUAUUCAACCAACCACCCACUCAACCCUAGGGCGCCCACAUCAUUCUAAGCGCACAUCUCUUAAUCCAAUGGCCAAAAACUUAGUAGCAAUAAUGACUUGAUGCUAUUAAUAGCAUAGUAACCUAGUUCUAUAUAUAUAUAUAUAUAUAUAUAUAUAUAUGAACGAACCACAAUUUUUGGAGAAGAGAUAUAUUUGCAAACGAGAGAUUUUUCGAAAAGGAUAAAUCUGAUAACUUAAAUUUUGUAUGGAUAUAUUUGUUAUUUAGAGUCCGGCUAUGGUGCUUGUAAAAGCACCAAGCACUUGGUGCUUGUGAAUUUUUUAGCGUUAGAUCUACGCCUUUAAUCAUUUUCACCCGUUAGAUUAUACUCUUCAACCAACUAACCACUCAACCCUACGGGGCCCGCAUCAUCCUAACCGUAUAUCCCUUAAUCCAAGGGCCGAAAACUUACAAGCACUAAUGACUUAAGUACUUUUAAAAGUAUAGGAGCUCAAUUUUUAUUAUUUAAUAUCUUAAUUUGCGGGAACCUGUAUGAAAUUAAUCUAAAAAAAUAUAUUGAGCUUUUCUUAAAACUAUUGUCCAAUUUGAUCCGAUUGUCCACUAACUUUUAAAUUAUAGUUUGUUUAUAAUACCUAAUUUUCAAUUCUUCUAACUUGGAGAAUUUAAUGGCUCUUUUGCCAUAAAAUUUCAACACACCGAUCACUUGCUCUAAUAUAAAAAACGUGGUAUAUUUUAAUCAAGUUUAUUAAAACAAACGGCGCACCUGAAUUCUAAAUUGAAAUUAAGAGUCAUCAAAUUACUCAAAUUAAAUAAAUUAAAAGAUCAGAUAGUAAAAUUCAAACUUUCAAAAGUAAAAAGAAAAAAGAAUGAACUGCGUAAAAAUUAAAUCAUGUUAUCUCUUACACAGUUAGAGUAAGACAGGUUACACUUCAGGUAUAAUUUAAACAAGUUUUUUAUAUUUUUAUCUAGGGUUUGUUUGAAUUCUCGUAAAACCACUCUGAAAAAUACUUUUCGUUCAAAAAAUAAAUUUCUAUAAUUUGAUUGUUCAUAUUACGGAUUCUCAAAAAACUAAGUCUUUUAUUUUCCACUCUCUUCGAGUGGAAAACGAAAACUUGGUGCUGAAAAAACGCGGCUCAGGCAAUGCGUUAACACACGGUCCUCUUGAAAGAGAGUCCACAAGGGACCUGGACCCGUGGACUCUCUCUCCCUCAUUCAUUAUAUAUAUAUAUAUAUAUAUAUAUAUAUAUAUAUAUGAACGAACCACAAUUUUUGGAGAAGAGAUAUAUUUGCAAACGAGAGAUUUUUCGAAAAGGAUAAAUCUGAUAACUUAAAUUUUGUAUGGAUAUAUUUGUUAUUUAGAGUCCGGCUAUGGUGCUUGUAAAAGCACCAAGCACUUGGUGCUUGUGAAUUUUUUAGCGUUAGAUCUACGCCUUUAAUCAUUUUCACCCGUUAGAUUAUACUCUUCAACCAACUAACCACUCAACCCUACGGGGCCCGCAUCAUCCUAACCGUAUAUCCCUUAAUCCAAGGGCCGAAAACUUACAAGCACUAAUGACUUAAGUACUUUUAAAAGUAUAGGAGCUCAAUUUUUAUUAUUUAAUAUCUUAAUUUGCGGGAACCUGUAUGAAAUUAAUCUAAAAAAAUAUAUUGAGCUUUUCUUAAAACUAUUGUCCAAUUUGAUCCGAUUGUCCACUAACUUUUAAAUUAUAGUUUGUUUAUAAUACCUAAUUUUCAAUUCUUCUAACUUGGAGAAUUUAAUGGCUCUUUUGCCAUAAAAUUUCAACACACCGAUCACUUGCUCUAAUAUAAAAAACGUGGUAUAUUUUAAUCAAGUUUAUUAAAACAAACGGCGCACCUGAAUUCUAAAUUGAAAUUAAGAGUCAUCAAAUUACUCAAAUUAAAUAAAUUAAAAGAUCAGAUAGUAAAAUUCAAACUUUCAAAAGUAAAAAGAAAAAAGAAUGAACUGCGUAAAAAUUAAAUCAUGUUAUCUCUUACACAGUUAGAGUAAGACAGGUUACACUUCAGGUAUAAUUUAAACAAGUUUUUUAUAUUUUUAUCUAGGGUUUGUUUGAAUUCUCGUAAAACCACUCUGAAAAAUACUUUUCGUUCAAAAAAUAAAUUUCUAUAAUUUGAUUGUUCAUAUUACGGAUUCUCAAAAAACUAAGUCUUUUAUUUUCCACUCUCUUCGAGUGGAAAACGAAAACUUGGUGCUGAAAAAACGCGGCUCAGGCAAUGCGUUAACACACGGUCCUCUUGAAAGAGAGUCCACAAGGGACCUGGACCCGUGGACUCUCUCUCCCUCAUUCAUUAUAUAUAUAUAUAUAUAUAUAGCGUAGAGCUACUAUGCUAUCGGAANNNNNNNNNNNNNNNNNNNNNNNNNUAUAUAUAUAUAUAUAUAUAUAUAUAUAUAUAUAUAUAUAAUAUUUUUUUAUUUAUUUUUUCUUUCUUUUUCUUUCAAACCAACAACCAUAACUGAAAAACAUUUUUCUUUCCAACAAAUGAAACACUGGAGAGCAUAAAUUUUUUUCCUCCAAAAAUUUACUUUCCACCGAAAUUUUGUUUUUUCACAAUUUUAUAUGAAACCAAACACACUCCUAGAAAAUUAAUAGGCGUACGUGUAUGGUAAUAUAUUAAAAUCUAUUUCAUUUGAUAAUAAUACUAUUUGUAAUUCGAUAAUCAAAUAAAUAAUCUAAUUGAGAAACUCCUUGAAAUUCAAGGACUCUCUAUCAUUAAGGUCCUUUCAUAUAUAGUAGUAUUAUGUGUAUCUUUUGGUCAAGUCAAAGGAACCUUCUUCCUUAAAUGCGCGACAGCACUUAUUUUGGCCUCUACCUUCUCUCUAUCAAAAUUUUCUACAUGUUAUUAAAAAUUUUAAAAAAAAUUCUAAGACUCCAUUUGGUUUGAAGAUAAUAAAUAUUCGGAUAAAUUUCUUUAUCCCUGAAAUUACUUUAUAUUUCGGGAUAGUCAGGAAUAAAAGUAAAAUUGUAUUUGAUAUGUAAAGCUGCUAGCUACUCUCAGGAAUAACUGAAAUUAUGUUUGGUUAAUUUUAUGGAAUAGUAAAAAAUAGUGAAAAAAAGUGAUGGUCGAAUUUGAUAUAAAUAUAAUUUAAUAAAAAUAAUUUGUUAUGAAAAAUAACUUAUUAUAAAAAUUAUAAUAGAGGAUAGUGGAAAAAAGUGAUGGUUGAAUUUGAUAUAAAAUAUAUAAUUUAUUAUAAAAAUAAUAUAUUAUAAUAUUUAAUAAAAAUAAUUUAUAAUAAAUUAUUUUUUAAUAAAAAUAAAUUUUGAACUCUUCAUCCCUUUCUUGGUUUUAGAUAAACUAAAAUAGUCAUAGAAUAAAAAUGUUGUAGGAUUACAACCCCAUUUGAACUAUAAACCUAGAUAGCGUUAAUUGCUUUAAAAAUAAUAAAUAUGUAUCAAUAUCUCUGAUUGACCAAAACGCCCUUUAUAGUCUUCACAAAUUCCUUCGAAUAUCCCCAUAUCCCUAAGAAGAUUUGGGCUUAGAAAUUGGUAAUUUAUGGAUAAAUUUUAAAAUUUUGAAUAGUAGUCAGGAGUAAAUAAGAAAAAGCCACAAAUAAUUAUGUAUUUUAACAAAAUAUUAAAAGAGAUGAAAAAUAUAUAUAUAUAUAAGCAGGUUAAGUAGAAACUAAUUUUAAGUAUCACAAACAAAAACUCCAAUUUAUGCAUGUGAUUUAGCGGUAGAAAAAAUUCUAAUUAAAAUACUUGCAUGGGGCAUCUGCGUAUGAACUCGAACUCUAGGGUCGAUAUCAUAAAAAUUACUGAAACUAUAUAUUUUUGUCAAAAAUUCUCAACAAUUUACUGUUCAAGUUGUCCUAUUAUUUGACUUGGUUCAUUUAAUUUGCCCUCUUGUAGUUUAGUUCAUUUUCAUUUUGUAACUCUGUAGUUCAAAAAGUUAUACUUAAUCAUCCUGUUGUUCGGCUCAUUCUUACUUUAUCAUCUUGUGUUUUAAAAAAUUAUAUUUAACUACUCUGUGGUAAUGAAAAAAAUAUUACUUUAUUAUCAUAUUUAAUAGUAAAUUUUUAAGAGUAAAAAUAUGGGGAUAAAAUCUAAGGAAGGUAAAAUUAAUGAAAAUGAGCUCAACCAUAUAGAGGGCAAAUUAAAGUUGUGGAUCUCAUUUUUGAAUCAAAUUAACUAAAGUUUCUAGGUUAAAGUACAAUUAGCCUAAUGUUGGAAAAAAGUAAAUACAUAUAAUAUAUUUUUUAUAUAUCUGCACUGAUCAAUUAGGCUUUCAAUUUGAGAAUCAUUGACCUUAUAUGUGCUGCCAAUAUAUACUUUACAUUAAUCAACAACUUCACAUUAAUCAACAAUGUAAAUGGAAAAUAUCUUUUAUUGAACAUAAAAUUAAUAAUUAAAUAUCAUUCUCUAGCAACUAAAGAUUUUAGAAAAAAAUAAAAAAAGUAUUUUCCUAUAUUGCGCUAUUUCCAUUUUCAAUAUCUUGCGGCCUUGAGGCGGUCAUGGCAAUCGCCACUACAGUUCAUAGAGGCGAUUAAAGUGGCUUCGACGAUAACUAAAAACUGUCUCUAAGACUAUUUUUCUGUAGCGAGUUGUUUCGCAUAAUACAGAGCUAGAGGUAUUGAAAUCGUCUUUUCUAGUAGCAAUUUGUACUUAAACAACAUUUUUAUUUUGGUGCAGCUAAGAAAUCGAUGAUUGAAAAUUUUAUUUUUAAGAAAUUUUGAAAUUAUUAUGUAGUUAAUAUAUUUUAGAGGUCUUUCUUUAGAUUUUUAGAAUUUUAUGUGGAAUAAAUUUAUAAAAAUUAGGGAUAUGAUCGAGUUUGGAAGUUUUAAAAUAAAGUUAGAUAUAUUUACAUUAGAAAAACUCUUAAAAUCAAGAGUUUGAUAAGAAUUAGAAUUAGAAAUUAAUUUAUUAUAAAUAAGCUUGCUUAUCUACUGCAAAAAAAAAAAAGUUUUUGAUUAAUGAAAAAUUUUAUUUAAAUCUGUGUGAUCUUUCAUAUCACUUUUGUGAUCUUAUCCUAAUCUUUGUGGCUUCUCUCUUCUUCUCUCUAUUAUUCUCUUUUCCCUUUUUUCCCCUCAGAGCUUAUUACAGUAUCUGCGGCGAAAGUACUACUGCAUGUAUUUUCAGCCUACAUCUUAUUUGAAAGAAGAAUUAAACAUAGAUAUGGACUAGAAACCACUAGAUCUUCAUGUAAUCCGGUUUCAAUAUAUACUUCUUAUCUAGAAUAAAAGUAAAAUAGAAACAUCAUUUUAAUCUAGUUUACAUUUAAAGAGAACAUGAAAAAUUAAUGAAAAGUACAUGCAUUUCAAACUAAAUGACUAAAGAUACCUAAUUUUGACAAGGUGAGCAAUAAUGUAUACACCAUAUAUGGUUGUUGAGCAAUGUUUUCCUCAUGUUUAGUUGAAAAUGCACUUUUGCUUGAUGCCUAAAGUUUUCAAGUCUAAUUUCUAUCUUAUAUUUUGCCAAGGAAAGAAAAAUUCUUUUAGUACUGUUCAUCUCCUACAUCUAUUGACUAGAAAUUAAUUAAUGAUCUCAAAUAGUCUCAAAUGUUUAUCAUGUUUUACUCAUUAAUACUUAACUUGCUUCAUCUUCUAUAUGCACUGAUUCUAGCAAAUUCUUGCAUCUCAACUCAUAGAAAAUACUCUCUAAGAAGUAAUUCAACUUUUUCGGCCAAAAAAUUAAAAAAAAAAAAGAGCAAGGAAAGGAAACAAGCAAGGAAAAUCAAUUGAGAUUUUCAACAUAUUUAAUUCCUAUCGAAAAGUUCUCGAGGAUAUAUAGUCGCGUAUGAAUGGCGCGCAGCUGCACGCGCGUCGAUUUCGACGUAAUAUCAUUGAGAUAACAUUUCAUUUCCUAUUUUAAGGAUGUGAACGCAUGCUAUAUAUUCCUUUCGUCGAAAUAACAAACAUAUAUAUAUAUACAUUUCAAGUCAAGUAAAUUGGAGUCAAGUGCUAAAAAAUGCAUAUAUAAUCAAUUAUGAAAUAGAAAACUCAUCAACUGGAAAGCACACUUCGAUCUGCUUUUUCUUUUUUCCUUUUUCUUUUCACUUUAGUUUUCUCACUGAAUUUCCUAACUUAAAUAUAGAAGAAGCUAUUAUUUCCACAGAAAUGACGAACAUAUUAUUCUUAGGUUUAAUUCUGACCUAUUGAAUGCGCCAAUGGAAAUGCUCAAUAAAUCUAUUAGUUGGCUCUGUAUCAAUGGAAUCUCAUCAUCCAUACAUAACGAAUUGGUAUGGUAUAUUCAUACCAUAACAUAUGAACAGUAAGAACUAGAAUUUUUAUCGACACUGGAACUCACAAGGAAGAAAAUGGAUUUAUGGAUGAAAUCAACUUGCCCUACUUCAUUGCAUACAUGAAAUUUCUCCUUUAUCAUCCUUAUUAGAUGAUAAAAAGCCAAACUAGUUUAAGGCCGAAGUUGGAAAUUCACUACUGACCAUACCUAAUCGACUAAAAGCUUGAUGGUAAUUAGUACUCAAGAGCUUCGAGUUCAAAUUCUAUAUAAUUGCUUCACAUUUCUGGCCGAGUUUAUAAUUUCUAAACGAACGAACGAAGCGAGUAACUAAGAAAUUUACUAUAGUUUGUUUCCUCUUUUGUUCUUUAAAACCCAUUUUUUAUUUUAACUCUAAGCUAAUUUAGAAAAAUUUUUCUUAAUUUGUUCUCCAGUGUUAGAAAAUUUAUUUAUUUGUCGCAUAUCCAAAGAGUCCAUAGUCUUUAGUCUAAUUUUUCGGUUGUCCAGCCUGAAAUUUGCAUGCAUCCUGUUCACACUGUACAAAAAUCAACUUCAACAAGCCACCAAUAAUUAAAAGAAAAAAAAAAAAUUGCUCUAAACUAGCUAGGACAUCGCUUUUGUGAGCUGUUGAUAUAUUGACAAAAAUUUAUAUAAUAUUUUGGGCAGCGUGUAUAAACUGAUCAAAACUAAUAUCCUCAUCGUAUAUAUGCAAUUAUAAAAAUUAUUUUCAAACCCUGCGAACCCCAAAAUACGGCAUCGCCUGAAUUCGAUUACAAAAUUUAUAACUUCCAAUUGAGUGCUUGGUUGUUAUUGGAAUUAAUCCAUCUAACCCAGUAACUCUAGCGGACAAAAUAAAACUAGCUAGGGCAGAAGUAUAUAGAAAUAUAUUUUUUCAUUUUUUUAGCAAAACCAUAAAAAACACAUUGGAACUGAUUUAUUGUGAUAUACGAAAAGUAACACUAUAUACGAAAACAAAUAUUUUUUUACAGCAUGAUACAGUCUCCUGAUAAUUCUAGAAGAAGUUUGAACAUUUUAUCCACUGAUGCUAAAAUGAUUUAAAAAAAAAAAAAAAAAAUUCACAUUGGCCUUCCAAGUCCUCUAAGUAAUGGUACUUGUAUUCUUUUGUAACACAAGAUCAAAGAUGAGGACAAAACAUGCGAGCCUAAUAAAAGAAUAUGUUUCAUAAUAAUAGACCAUAGUCCAGAGACUUCAUAGAAGAAUAUAUUAAUAAGUACAAAAAAUACGUGUGAUAUGACACAACAAGCUAAUAAAAAAAUGCACACAAACGUGACACGCAAAGAGCAAAAAAAUUCCCAGCCACGGAGAAAAUUAAUGUUGCAUCGACUAUGCUCUAUACAUUGGGAUUUCCAUAUUUUAAAUUUAGAAAUUUUUAUAUUCAAAUAAAUUGUUUCAUAUUUAAAAGAUCUAGAGUUUAAGAAUUUCAAGUGUCGACACAAACAUAUUCUCAUGUGAUAAAUAAGAAAAAUUCUUUCCUUUUUUUGAUGAUGAUGAUGUUGAUUUUUUUUUUUAAGUGAUGUUAAUGAUAAUUUAUAUAUUUAUUCAAAAAUUUAGGUCAUGUUUAAAAGUUUAAAUCUAAACUAUUCCAAUAAGUCUCUAGAAAAUUACCUCAAGUCUCUCUUGUACAUAGGUGCUUCUUAUGGCCGGCCCGACUGGUCGGAUCGUGACUCAGUGCUCAAAUUGGGUCGGUUCAACCCAUAAAAUCAAACCGGCUAAAAACCAGCUUUAGUUAACCCUUUCAGACCAAUGAUUCAAUCAGCGGACUAGUUCCGAUUUUACAAGAAAUGGCCAAUUUUUUUUUAUUUUAUAUUUUAAUAAUUAAUUAAAAAUAUGCAUUAGUUUUUUAAUAAUAUACACUUUGGGUAUAUUUUUAAUUAUAUAUAUUAUAUAAUAAUAUUUCAAAAUAAUAUUAAAUUAUAUACUUAUUAAAUAUGUUUAUUAUAUAUACUCCGAAAAUUUAGCAAUAAUUAAGUAUUUACAACGUCAUACUAAUUAACGCCAUUCAAUCCAAUGGUUAAAUCAGGGACUAAACCAGGGACCUGUGAUAAUAUUUUGAAUCAUAAGCAAUUUUAAAUUUUAAAAUAUUAUUUUUCAUAUACUAUUCACUAUAAUUUAAAUAAAAUGUAUCAGUGUAUCAGUGUGUCAGCGCAUCAACAAUUCAGUAGAGAUCUCUUAUAAUUAGGAUACCGCGGCACCAGCAGUCAAUUUCUCCAAGUCAAAAGCACGAGAUUGACUAAUCAACACCCCACCAAAACAAGAAACUAUUCCCUGCACCCGGUGCGCCACCCCAGUCAUGCACCGCAUUCCCCGUCUCCCUCCACCUCUUCUUCUUUCAAAUUUUAAAUUUUAGAACUCCAGCGCUCGGAAAGUUUGAAAAGCUCUUUCGAUUACGGAAGCAGGAUUAGAAUCACGAGUCCGAGUACCGACCAGUGCGGUGCACAGCUGACGUAGGUGGCGGUGCGUGCACUGAGCGCGCGCGAUAAUUUUCGCUGCCAAAAGACUAAGGACUUAGCCACCAUGGUGUGUGGAUCACUUAUUCUCCCCUCUAAAUUGUACUUUGCCUCUUUUGGCAUGAGGUCUCCUUUCAAAUUGAAUCAUCUUUUCCUUAUCUUAUGAGCUCCUCAUGAUGACAUCAACCCAUCAACAAGUGUGUGAUGUAGUAUGGAUGAUGUAAGAUUAAUGAAGUAAUCAAUCUAUUAUUCCUCCUUUCUUUCUCCUUAGUUUCCUCUCAAGUCCUCUAAAAAAUCAUCUCAAUCACUUCAUUUCAUCUCUAUAUAACAGGCCUCAUCCAUGUGCUCUAGUUCAAAUCCCCCUCCCCCCNCCCCCCUCCCCUUCUUUACUCAUCAAAAGUCUAAGCAAAAUUGAUCUCCUAGAAUCGAUUUAUCGCCUUCUCGAAUUGUCGAUGGAGUCGGCGUGGUUCGAUGACCCCUCGCUAAGCCUCGACCUCACCGUUGGGCCCCUCCCGUCGCCCGAUCGAGCUACGGUUAGUGUAGAUUCCCAAUUUCCAUUCUUAGCUACUACUUAGUGGAUUCAUGCUUUGUAUUCUAAUAGCAUCAUGUUCGAUGAAUCGAUUACGCAGAAAGAAAUGGAAAGCGAUCGCUUGCGUGUUCGAGGGGAUUCAGCGACGAAAGAAGAGGUGGGUGGUCGGUUCUCGAUUAUUGUUAAGAUCGAUCGUUGUUUCUCUCAAGCACGCUUAACUGCGGAGUUCUGAUGUUCUGAUUUUUACAUAUUUAUGUAUUCUUAUAGGCCGAGAAUUUGGAAGAUAGGCUUAAUAAGAUGAACGAGGAGAACAAGAGACUUACGAAAAUGCUCGACGCGAUGUACGCGAGCUACACCGACCUCCACAGCCGCUUUUUCAGUCUCGCGAGCUUGUCGCCUUCUCCGAGAGAAGCGUCGCCCGGGAGGAAAAGGAAGAUCGACGGCCUCAACGUGAUCGUCGUCGACGACAAGCCUAACGGGAGGGCUAGCGAGCUCAUCGAGAGCUCCCCGAGCGACGAUUCGUGCAAGCGGUGGCGGGAAGAGCCCAAGUCCAAAGUCACGAAGGUUUACGUGCGGACCGAUCCCGCCGAUUCGAGCCUAGUGAGUGGCAUAAUUAGUUGCGCAAAAAAUUGCACACCUCUUUUGCGCAUCAAAUUGAAGAGAAUUGUGUGAAUUUUGUGUAGUGACCAUUUUUUUUUUUUCUUUUUUUCUUUUUUACGUGUAUAUUCUUAGAUGGUUAAAGAUGGGUACCAAUGGAGAAAAUAUGGGCAAAAGGUGACUAGAGAUAACCCUUCUCCUAGAGCCUACUUUAGAUGCUCUUUUGCACCUACAUGCCCUGUUAAAAAGAAGGUAAUUUGAUUAAUUGUGAGUUAAUUACUUAUAAUCAAAGCACUAAUACUAAUUUUGCACUUUCAUUUUAUGUUGUUUGCUCCAAUUAAUAGGUGCAAAGAAGUGCAGAGGACAAAUCAAUCCUUGUAGCAACCUAUGAGGGAGAGCACAACCACGGCCACCGCUCACCGGGCGAGGCGGCUAACGGGUCGGGCAAAAACGGGGCCCCGUACCCGUGCUCGGUCGCGAUCAGCCCCUCGGGCCCGAUGAUCACACUCGAUUUGACUCGGCAGGGGCCGUGGCCCGACGUCGCCAGAGCCUGCAGGGAGAUGGAGUCCCCCGAUUUCCGGAGGACUCUGGUCGACCAGAUGGCGUCGUCGCUGGUGAAGGACGCGAACUUCACGGCCGCGCUCGCCACCGCAAUCUCCGGGAGGAUCUUUCAGCAUUCGACGACGGAUUAGGACUAGAGUUUUCAGCAUUUGAUAUUUUGUUUUCAGCUUGUCGCGGACCGAAAGUAGUUCGUAUAAUGUGAAUAGAACUGUUUACAUCUUACAUCAUGUUAAGAAGAUCUCUCAACAAGAGAUUUGUUUAGCAAUAUAUACAUAUUGAUGUCAUUUGGUGGUAACAUCUAAUUUAAAACAGUGUUGCAUUUGUGUGCAUGAGUUAUGGAUGAACAAAAACUUAGCUGAAUUUUUCACCAAUCUUGGAUCUAAUAUGUCAAAGAGUAACAAAUAAUAUACAUUAACACAAUAAAAAAAAUUUUAUUAUUUCUCACAAAAAUUGGACAUUUAAUCAGAAACACACAUGCAUAUUUGUGUUUCACAAGGAACUUAGUUACAAAUAUGUACUGUUUUAGAAGCUCUAAUGUAGUUUUAGGAGCUUCAGCUAUGUGGUGUGAAAGAGGAAUGGGUCUUUUGAAUCUGACUAAGAGAAAGAAAACAAAAUUUUCGCUUAAAUACGGCAAACUAUAUGUGGAAAAAAAGUAAAAAUAAUAAAAAAAAAAAAAAAAAGUAAAGGCACCUAAGAAUAUUUCAGAUGUUUACGAAAGCAAUGAUAAUAUUUUGAACUUCAAUUGAAUAGACGUAACGUUACAGUCACGGCAGAAGAGCAUUCAUGAAAUUAUCCUAAUUAUUUUAUAUUCAACACACUCCCUCGAGUAUGGGCUCGUACGAUUCAAAACUAGGACAACAAAACACUUAGAACCGGCACGGCCGCGGCACGAGCCCGUUUUCUCAUCCAUUUCGCCAUUUACUGGGCCUAAAGUAGGCACAAAUUGGCCCACAUGAAGCUGGGCCAAAUGGGUUAUAUAGGCCCAAUUUGGCCUCUUAUUCAAGCCCAAUACAAAACAAAAUGUUAUAUGUGAUUUUUUUUUUCUUUUUGAAACUUCGAGUUGUGUACCCAUGUUUUAAAAAAUAACCUAAUUGUUCGAAUCUUUGUUGCCUAGUCAAUAAAUUAUAUUGAGGGGUGUUUGAUUUGUCCGAAAAGUGUGAAAAAAAAAAUUCGAGAAAAAAGCUUUUCAUGACAUCUUUUUCAGUUUUUCAUCCAUGUGGCUUCAAAAAAACUCGUUUUUUUUUUUUUUUUUAAAUUUGUUUUUCAAAUUUCAUGUCAAAUUACUAUUUUCGUUUUCCGGAUUUUUUAGAAAAAUAAAAACUCUGAUUUUUCAUAAAGUUUGAAAAAAAAAAUUUAAAAAACUAAUUUUAAACAGAAAACUUUAAAAAAAUUAUUUCUGAAAAAAAUUUUCUCCGAAAAUGUGAAACAUGUUUAGACGGUUAAUAUUCAAUUGGUCCAAUCCGGUCCACAUCAUGAGGAACGCCCAAAAUGGUGUACAAUCUAAAUUAUUGGGCGGGCCUGGUCCACCGUAAACCGGUCCUGCAAUUGCUUAAUUAGAAAAAUCUCAAAUAGUAAUUUUUGUCAUCUGAAAAUUUUUUUAACCAUUAAAGAUCAGGUUGGAUAUCAAAAUAAGUCAUUAAUUAAGUAAUAAUUUGUUUAUAUAAGUAUUUUCUUUUGUCAUUGGAAGCUGAGAGUUUGAAUUCUGCUCCUUAAAAUUCUUGAUAUUUAUAAUUUAGUAAGAUAACUCAUUUUAUUCUGAGAAAAUAACUUAAAGGUAUAAUACGGUAUAUCAUUUUAGACAUUUGAUUAUAUUCAUCAGCUACCGUAUAUUGCAAGGUUCUUGCAUAAAUCACUAUUUCAGAUUGGGAGGAUAUUGUGUUAUUUAUUUAUUUUCGUAAAUAAUAUCGUGUUAGUAGUUGAUUAAAUUAAAAUAUAAUUUCUCAUCCAACAAUGUUAGACGGCCCUCAAAUGUUAAAGGAACGACUUCUUUUGCGGCGUUUUGGUUCAUGGACUAGGUCCAGCCAAAGUUGGUGGACCUUCUGCGGCUGAAAAAUGAUGUAGAGGUACUGCAGUACUCGUAAAAGCAAAAUGUAAAUUUUAUACCCACCAACUUAAAAGCUUUUUUUUUAUUUUUUUAAUACUAAAAGAUAGUAUUGAUAAGACUAUAUGAGAAAAUAUUGGCACUUGAAUAAAUAUGCAUAGUGUAACAUGUACAUGUAUUUUUUAAGUGAGCGGAUAUUUUUAUUCCUUUUUUUUUUUUUGAGAAAGGUAGUAGUAUGCUACUGGUUUAUUUAUUUAGAAGAUGAACUUGACUAUAGGGUGAAGCAAUCGGGCCUCGAGAAAAAAAAAAAAUUCAUAGAUCAUGCGAUAUUUGGAAGACAAAAACAAAACCAGAUCUCUAAGCAAACGAAUCUCCGAUAUCAAGAAACUUAACGAGUGUUUAGUUUUUUCAAAGAUUCUUCUGUUGCGCUCUAAUCAAAGAGCCUGGUCACCACGUGGCGGCAAUAGUCGUUAACUCUCUGCUCCUCUAAACUCCUUUUUCAAUAAAGCUCGCCUCCCAAUUCCUUUUUGUAUUAGACAGGGUGCAUAAAUAGAAUGUUUAGAUUGGUGAAAGUCAUUUGCCACAAGUCAAUUACAUGGAGAGAAAAAAUUAUUCACAGAAAAUUAGAGAGAUCUUAAAAAUAGCAAUUACAUUCACCAAAAUAAAUAAUGAAACUUUCUAUUUUUAGUGAAACUUUUUUAAUUUUGGCUCCCUUCAUUAUAAUGAAUUAUUUUUAUCUACUCAAUAAGUACUCAAACAUUAUUAUUUAUAAUUUUUCCUCAAAAAUUUUCAUUAUUUUUCGCUUCCAUUAAAAUGAAUAAUGAAGGUGUCUUUUGUUUAUAACAUUAAAUCUGGAUAUACUUUAAUAUAUACUAGUGAAAUACCCGCGCGAUGCUGCGGAUAUAAAAAUAUUUUUUUAAUAAAUUUUAGCUUUUUAUAUUUUUAAAUAAUUUUAUAAGUCUAAUUAUUAAUUAAAUAAAAGUUAUAUAAAAAUAAUUUAAUAGUUAAUUUUAUUUAAAUAAAAUUUAUUAAAACGACAACUUAUUUUAUAAAGAUUUAUGCGAAAAAAGAUUUGUGAUAAAUAUAUCAAAAUAAUUUUAAAAAANNNNNNNNNNNNNNNNNNNNNNNNNNNNNNNNNNNNNNNNNNNNNNNNNNNNNNNNNNNNNNNNNNNNNNNNNNNNNNNNNNNNNNNNNNNNNNNNNNNNNNNNNNNNNNNNNNNNNNNNNNNNNNNNNNNNNNNNNNNNNNNNNNNNNNNNNNNNNNNNNNNNNNNNNNNNNNNNNNNNNNNNNNNNNNNNNNNNNNNNNNNNNNNNNNNNNNNNNNNNNNNNNNNNNNNNNNNNNNNNNNNNNNNNNNNNNNNNNNNNNNNNNNNNNNNNNNNNNNNNNNNNNNNNNNNNNNNNNNNNNNNNNNNNGAAAAUAUAUAUAUAUAUAUAUAGUUGAGCUAGAAUACUAUCGGUAGCAAACGGGCUCCGUUGCCACCCAUUUGUUUUCGAUGAUGGAGCCUCCAAAUCGACGAUUGGCACCGUUGAACAUGAUCUCUACCACUUGAAGUAUUUAGAAAUCAAAUUUAAAAUCUUUUUGACAUCAUUGACCUAAUGAUCAAAAAAUUUUAAAAUUUGUAAUUUUAAUAGUAGAUGUGAGACGUUUUCUCUUUUAAUGGUGUAAAGAUAUCCAAAUCAAUUGAAUUUUGGUAGAAAAUUCUUUAAACCAUUUAGAACAAGAUCUAUACUCUCGAUCUUAAUUAUAAGAUUUCUAUCAUCACUUUUUAAAAAAUAUUCAUUUUCAGCUGUUCAUUUUGUGUCCACUUGAUGGACAAGGGAACAAUAUCGAAAAAGUACAAAAUUUGAUUUCUAGAUGAUUCAAGUGGUAUAGAUCAUGUUCAACGGUACCGAUCGUUGAUUUGGAAGCUCCAUCAUUGAAAACAAAUGAAUGGCAACGGAGCCUAUUUACUAUCGAUAGUAUUUUAGCUCAACUAUAUAUAUAUAUAUAUAUAUAUAUAUAUAUAUAUAUAUAUAGUCUGUCUAUGGUGCUUGUAAAAGUACAAAGUACUUGGUGCUUGUAAAUAUUUUACCAUUAGAUCUACGCCUUUGAUCAUUUUCACACGUUAUAUUAUAUUAUUCAACCAACUACCCACUCAAUCCUUGGGGACCCACNAACUCUAACUGACUAAUAUCAUCCUAACCCUACAAUUUUUCAUCCAAGGGUUAAAAACUUGAUAGCAAAAAGAGUGUUUUAGUACUAAUAGUAUUCCAGCCUAUAUAUAUAUAUAUAUAUAUAAGUUGUAAUACACUGAACUUUUGCAAAUUGCGGAGUUCGAGUGUGUCAAAUGAGAUGAGGAUUUAUUCCACAUGUUCUAAAAGGCUUGGACAAGUUUUUGGACAAGUUAGAGAGUGAUUUGAUGGCUAAAAGCAAGAAAGUGCAUUGUUGUAGCCUUUCUCUCGAAUUUUUGCAUUAUGUACCGGUACCACAUUAAUGCUGUACCGGUACAGCAAGCAGCAGCUGCAGCAGGUGCGUGGCAGUAGGGUUCUUUUGGUCUUUUUGCUUCCUGUUCUUAUCCCUUACGCCCAGCACGACUGCACGAGCUCAGUAAGGGUUGCUGGAGCUCAGGGGAUGGUUCUUCCACCCUCUUCUCUCUCUCUCUCUAGGGUUUUUCUCUCUCUACAAAGAAAUCGCCGAUUUCGCUCGUUUUCGUCGCAACGUUGGUUUUCCGCUGGUUGCGAGCGUCGCUCAGCCUACGUGGACGUGUGAGAGAGUGUUUUGGAAAGCUUUUCGCAGCCCUGAACCAGUAGUUCACUGGUUGGAAGCUUGAGAAGGUAAUCGACUCGAUUUUUCCGUUAUCGACGUUCUAUUAGUCGAUUUGAGUAUUGAUUUUGGAUUUUUGCUUCCAACUGUUUUAAACUGAGGUUUCAGCAAGUAAAUAUGAGUUAAUUAGCUGUGAAUGAACCUCUUUAGACCAGGGAUAAGCUACUUUGAAGCUUAAUAGAGGUAAUUAGUUCAUUAUGAAGCUAAUUUGGAAUUAAAUGCGGGUUAUUUAAGCAACUUAAUACAGCUUGGUAUGUUUUCUUCGCAGUAGGCCUUUGAGCCUCUUUGAAUUGAACUUGUACUCUUGGAAGCUGGUUUGGAGGAUAUUCUAACCAAGGGUAAUUAGAAAUUUCAGUUGUAAAGCUGAUUUUGCAAGAUUUCGAUGAUAUUAAUUUAUAUUUGAGCGUUCUGAUGCCGUUUCGAUGUUGUUCGCAGCGAGAGGGCGAUCGAGCCUUGGAUCGUCUUUAGUUGACUUGUGAGAGCUCUUGGAGACUCAUCUUGAGGUAUUAAACUAGCCCCAAAGUAGGGAUUCAAGCUACUACUUUGUAAUAAGUGCGAAUUGUGCCGAGAUCGGACAUUUCGAUUGUAGUAAUGAUGCCACUUUCGUGCUUUGUUUUUCAGCAGAGUUGAGACCUUGUGGAGCUGAUUUUGGGAUUUCUUUUGGACUGAUUUGAGCCUAGUAAUAGGUGGGUUUGACCUAACCAGAGCAAGUGAAGCUCCCCUAUGUUGUAUGUGUUACUAUAGAAUUGUUGUGGUUGUGUGCUUUUGAGAUUAAUAUAGGACUUGAGGCUAGCCACUAUACUAUAGUAUCGAUACAUAACUGAAUUGAGAUCUCUGUAAGUAGAGAACAUUCAUGCAUACAAAUCUUUAUGUUUAUGUUGAAUCUAAUUGAAUGACUAAUGGACAAGUUUUCAUGUUCCUAGAAACUAAAGAACAAUGAGAUGUUUUGUGACUAUAAUGAUAGUGCCAUGAUAGUAGAAAGGUUUCUAAUGCCAUAUGUAAAUUAGCAUUAUUCUCACAUAUUUAUUAAUCUAGUCGAUACUAGUUAUGUUCAAUAUCUGUUAUAUUGAAAUUCCGAUCAAUGGAUCGAGAGUGAGAAUAUUGCAAGAUAAAACAUGAUGAUUGAGAUGUAUUGGAUUAUGGAUCUUGCUUGCUUGCCAUCGUGCUCAUUCGCACAUGCUUGUGAGGGUAGCUCCCUACAAGCCGGCACUCCGGAGUUGGCCUACGCGACAGUUGCUCGCCCGUGCAGGAUUGGGUGCCAAAGUGGAUUGCCGUGGGGAGUGUAUACUACCACGGGGCCAUUAGGCACGGCGCAAGCUGGACUAUCUUGGGUAGGUCCUUAUGAAUGAAAUGAAAGUACUAAAUGACAAAGGAUAGUAAUGAAUGCUCAUCAGUUAUAGUGUACAGUAUUUACUUACACAUCCAUGUUUAUGUUCAUGUUUAUAGUAGUGCUAUGCUUCUAUUAUUCAGUUGAUUUAUUACUGCAGAAAUCUUGAUUACAUGUUGAUUACAUGCCUAUUGCCUGCUAGCAUUGCAUAUAGAUAUCAUGCAAUUAUCGCUUUUACUUUCAUUUAGUACAUCAUGAGCCUAGUGGUGUAAUUCGCCGAGGCUGGCGGCUUACCCACUGGGAACUAUUGUUAAUAGUUCUCACGCCCUUUUUGUGGUUAUUUUUACAGAGCCAUCUACAGGAGAGAUUAGGGAUCGUGGUAAGGGAGUCGCGUCUAGCUAGACAUUGUUAGGAGCAUGCUAGUCGAUCACCUUGCUACUCGGGCUACGGUCGAGGGUGAUGUCCCUAUAUAUAGAGAGAGACCACCAUUGUACUCACUUUUUGUAUACCCCGUGAUGUAUAUGUAUCGUUAAACCAGAUAUUAUAGUUGUGUUACUUUUUCUUUUAGUUGAAAUUUUGGAUUGGUUACUCUUUGUUCCUCUAUUGAUAGUAUUUGGAAUUUAUACUUUGCUCUGAUAUCAGGUUAGGAUUUUUCUAUAUUUUUCUUCUAUCGCCUUGCUUUCUUGUAAACGCCUUAUAUACUGCAGGUGUAUGGCGGGUCUGUGCACGUACCGGAUAUGCUUCCACUGGUACCUGGGUAUGCAAAAGCGUAUAGGAAUUCCGACAAUGACAGACGGAAUCCAAAAAGGAAUAAAAUAAUAUUACCGACGAAUGGUUAUAAUUAAUUUGUUAAAAAUAUCUCAAAUAAAAAUAAACGGUUAUGAUUAAUCUAUUAAAUAUAAAAUAAUAUUCCCUACGAAUGGUUAUGAUUAAUUUGUUAAAAAUAUCUCAAAUCAAUAAGAACGAUUAUGAUCCAUCUAUUAAAUCUCUACUAUAUAAAAAUCUAUUAUCUAAAAAUGCUUAUGAUCAAUUUGUUAAAAAAAUUCUCAAAUAAGAACAGUUAUGAUCAAUUUAUUAAAAAAUAGCAUUUCUAUCCAUCUAUAAAUUUAAUCCUACGAACGAUUAUAAUCAAUUUGUUAAAAAAUACCUCAAAUAAAAACAAACUGUUAUGAUCAAUUUGUAAAAAAAUAGCAUUCAUAUUUAUCUAUUUUACAUUAAAAUUUGAGUUUAAAUUAUGAAUUUAAUUUAAUUUUUGAUAUCAAAUUUAAAUUAACAAUUAAUUUUUUUAUUACAGUGGAUCAAUCUUAAAUUUUUAAAUUUGAAAAUAAAUAUAAAUUAAAUUUUGAUGCUUUUAGUUUAAAACACAUAUUUAAAUUUAAUUCACCUCAAAAAUCAAAAAAAAUACUAUAAAAAAUGUCGAUGUGAUAUAAAAAAAAAGACAACGUAGGAUAUUGUAAAUUAUUUUCUAAUAACAUCAGUAAUAUAGUUAAUUUUAAUAUUAGUUUUAGUUAUAAAAUUUUGUUGGAUUAGAUAUAUAAUGUACACACUUAUAUUGGUUGAGAGUAUUCUUAUAAAUUAUGUUACCGUUGCAUUUGCACCGUACAUUCAACUAGUAUUAUAUAUAUUAGUAUAUAUACUACCCGCGGUGUAGGGUGUAGGCGAUACUCUUCGAUUAUAUCGGCGUGGCGCUAUGGGCUACGCACAGUGAGUACUUCAUAUUGAUAUCGAGGCUAUGGGUAACCAUAUUACUAUUAGGGUUGGGGAGACACGUGGCACCCCAAGGUCCCCCAAAUUCUUCUUUAAUGUACUACUAAGAAAGAAUAGAGAAUAGAUAUUGUAGGAAGGAUUCUUUUUCUUAUUAUUAUUGUUAGUUACCUUAUAAUACAUUCAUACUAAAUAAUAAUAGAUGAUAUAUUUUUAUAAAAAUUUUAAUAGUCGAAAAAUAGUUGUAGCUUCCACUUUAUUUACCAGGAUUGCAAAUAAUUCAUCAUUCACUCAAACUAAAUUUUGUAUAAAAAUUUAGCUAAGUUACAUAAAACCUCCAUGUCAAUACCCGCUUUUCACUUUUUUCCUGUCAUCUAAAAACCUACAUUUGGCCCCAUUGUAAAAUAAAAAAUGUUCACAGGAGGUACGGUAUGAAUUAUGAUGACAAAAUGACCAAUUUGCCUCUCACCAAUUUCGUCUCCUCGUUCACGCAUCGAUCGGCCGCGGUUCUCUCCAUUUUCUAGAACUGUGAUGAGAAAAUAUAAACAGUUCGUUAGAGAACUGUUUAUAUUCUAACGAACUGUUUAUAUUUUAAAUUUUUCUAUCAUAAAUAUAUCAUUCCAAAAGGUACAACAGUAUAAUAUAAAAGUGACAAAAAUGUCAAAAAUUAAGCAAAAUUAAGUAUUUAACCUAACGUUAACUAAAUUUUUCCAACGGAUUGUAACAUAUUUGAAAAUAUUAAAACUUUUGUAGAAAUUAAAUUAUAUAAAAAUAUAUUUAUAAUUUACUAUAUUUAUAGAAAUCUAUAUGUAAUUAAUCUCCAAAAAUAAAAAUAAAAAUAAAAAUAAUUUGAGGAUGCUUGUGGUUGCAGGGGAGGGGCCUCGUCCCCACCUAUCCAACUCCAAAGGCUACGACGCAAGCCUAAAAACUCCUCCAAUUUUAUUUAUUUAUUUAUUUAUUUAUUUAUUUAUGUAUUUAUUUUUUUUUAUUUUUUUUAUUUUUUUUGUUUCGAGUCCACGCACAAAAAUAAAAUGCGCUCCACUGUAACCGCUCCAAAUCUCCCUCUUUCCCACAUACGUAUUGGAUUAGAGAGAGAGAGAGAGAGAGAGAGAGAGAGAGAGAGAGGGUGCGGUGGCCUCAAGCGGAUGAUGGCGUGCGAGCUCUCGAACCCUAUCAUCCUCCGCUUAGAGGUAAACCUCACGAAUCGCUCACCAUCCUCUUGGAUUCUCCCCUUUUUGGUGCUCAAAUUUCGUGUUUUUUGCGCUUUUUUGGGGGUUUUUUGGAGCAGGUGCCGCAGAGGAGGUCGUCGUGGAGUGGGAGGCCGAGAUGUUACCCGGGUAUAGUUUUGAUCGCUUGUUCUUGUUGAUUUUUGGUGGUUUCGGUGUGGGAUUGGAGUGGAUUUUGAGGAAAAUUGCUUCUGCUUUAAGCUUCAGUUCCUUGUGUAAUAAUAGAUUAAUGUUUGGCAAUCGGAAAUGUCUAGAGCUUUUGCGUUUGCGGCGAAAAGCAAAAAAAUGUGAUUUUGAAAAGUUUGAAUCUUCUGCUGUAGCGAAAAGCGAAAGCUCAAAAUUCGGAGAUUCUGAUUCUGCUACAUGUAAAAGCUGUAAUUCCAAUAGCACUUGUCAUAUAACUUUGUAUCAAAUAGUAACUAUACCAUAUGGCGACAGUUUGUCAAUUUUCGCACUUUUUCCGUUUUCAGAGGGAUUAGGGUAAUAAAUAACACUAUUUUUACUAAUCGAAGAAGAAAAUGGUAGCUUAAUUCUUAUAUUAUUUAGGUUUUACAUGUUCGUAAUAGCAUUCAUUAUCAAGAUAAGAUCCCAUAUAUGUUUGAUGAGUUUCGAUUUUCAUCGAGAUAAUGCCAUUUCUUGUAGAACCUGCAAAGUCGUUUUUUGUGGUGAAAACCGUAGAGCUUGAAACUUGCUUUUUCAUUAAAUGCUUUCUAUGAAUUAAAUGCACAAUGUUGGAAGAUCAUCUAAUUUUUCAUGAUGUAUCGGACGUAAUUGUCUAGAGCAAAUGACGAGGUAAAUGUGAAUGGAACUUUGUACCAUGAAGGAUCAAUAUUAGGGAGAUUAUUAAGCUUGGACCUGUCGUUAUUUGAAGGUUUCUUUUGUAUACAAGUACAAAAGAAGAAACUUGACUAUUUACAUUCUUGAGAUUAGACUCGUAUGCCGAUUCUGCUUUCAAGACACAAUUCAAUAGUAUAGAAGACACAAUUCAAUAGUAUAUAAGCAGUCCGUUGGAUGUCGAUAGUUUUCUGUCUCUUAAGGAGCUUCAAGAAAAGCAGCCUUCGCUAUCAAGCUCCUGGAUUAGCAAGGCUUGUGUGGCUUGCAUGAAGCUUAUGUCAAAAUUUUGUCGUGUAGACUUGUCCUAGAAGCCCUAUUAACUUUUUUCAUAAACCUCCUAACAAGUUUGAUGCCGAUGAGAAGCUGUUUCAGCUUCCUGCUCCAACCAGAGCUCUAGACAUUUUGGCGAGAUAUGCGGCUACUCUAAUUUUGAUUGCUAUGAAAAUCACUGGUGCGUCAUGUUUUGCUCCCGGACAGGCAUAUUUUGUUUGAAGAAAAAUUUCCAACCGAGGAGAAAAUUUGUGCAUCAACAUUUGCCCUAUAGGACAUCAAAUAAAGUUGUGCAAGCGGCAGUACUUCCCGUAGAACCAGUAUUGCUAGACAAUGAGGAGAAAAGAAAGGAAUUAAGUGAAAAGUAUGGGUUCGCACAAAUCGGGGAACCACUCCCAGAUGAUGUUACUUUGAAAGACAUCAUGGAUAGUCUCCCUAAAAAGGUUUGGCUGGCUAGUGCGGUUUUUUUUUUUUUUCCUUUUUUUCUUUUCUCGUAUUUUUUACACAGAAACUUUCUUUUUGUGAAGGUGUUUGAAAUUGAUGACCUGAAAGCCUGGAAGUCAGUUUUGAUAUCUGUCACUUCAUAUGCGCUCGGAAUAUUCGUAAUUGCAAAAGCUCCUUGGUAUUUGCUUCCUUUGGCUUGGGCAUGGACUGGCACAGCAGCGACAGGGGUUAGUUUGCCUAGCCCAUCUCUCUCUCGUGCGCGCAUGCAUUGGCUUUUUCUACUGUAUUCUAUGCUCUUCCAUGUUUUAAUUAAUUUGUCUUUCUAAAGUUCUUUGUCAUAGGCCAUGACUGUGCUCACAAGUCCUUUUCAAGGAAUAAACUGGUGGAAGAUAUUGUUGGAACUCUUGCCUUUCUGCCGCUGAUAUAUCCUUACGAACCUUGGCGGUUUAAGCACGACAGACAUCACGCGAAAACGAAUAUGUUUGUAUUCUACUUUUCUUAGCCUUCCUCACAUUAGUGUAUGUGAAAAUCUUGACCUUUGCUGUGAUUUGUUUUCUGAUUCUUCUGCUUGAUAGUAAAACUGUAUCUGUCGCCUUCUGUUCUUAAAUUUUUUUCGUACAAUUAAAGGAUAUUCACACGCGCAGAUUUUUCUUGUUACUAUUUAAUCUAACACGUUGUAUAAAUUAGAUACAAUAUUUCAUCUAACAUGUUUAUAUAAAGUAGGUCGACAACUAGACAAAAUUAAAUGCAUGUUAUCCCCCUAUCUAUAGUGUCAUAUUUACCCUCCCAGAAUUAUUAAGUGCCAUAAAAUGCCCUGAAAACAUUAUUAAUCAUUGUAAGUACUCUUUUGUACCAAUUCAUUAGAAGCUAACUGUACACUUCAUAAAUUCCCAUUUUGGCCUUUUGGGACAUUUCUGCAUUUAGGAAGAAGGUGGAAAGUGAGGGGUGAGAAUGCAAAUUUCUCAGUCUGUAUUAAAUUAUGACUUAACCUGGAUUAAGCUGGCAUUUUUUAACAGAUGGUGACGACAAGGUCAUUCUAUGAUAUUAUAUAUUCCAAAUGGUGCAUAAAUUUUUGACAAAUUUUGAGGUGUACACAGGAAAUUAAUCCUUGUUUUUUUUUCCCCCGACUAGGUUGCGAAGUUAAGGUAAAUAGUUUGCCAACUUAUGUUCAAUUUCUUUGCAACUUUGGCUUUUUUGUUUUAUUUACAGUAGGUUAAAAAUUUGCUUUGAGUACCAACUGGUCAAUGUAACUUAACUCCUUAUUGACAUCCCUAUAUACAUGCAUGUAACCAUCAAGCAUACUUUGGUAUAGAAAUGCAUUUCUAAUAGCUUAUCCGCUCCUUUGGCCAACAUCUUGCACAGUCGGACAAUAAAAGGAACUGAAAUUUUGGCACCAUCCUCAACCUUCUUUGCUCCUCAUAUCCAGGUUGUCAGAAGAUACUGCUUGGCACCCAGUUUGGAAAGAGGAAAUUGACACAUCUUCUGCUUUAAGGAAAGCAAUUAUUCUCGGUUAUGGCCCCAUCAGGCCUUGGAUGUCAAUAGCUCACUGGUACCGUGCACACCUCCAUUUUCAUAAUUUUAACAUAUAUGAUAUGCAUGUAAUAUACUAAUAUGACAACAUAUUUUCUUGUUUCGAUGAAUACUUACUUCUCUUAACACUGUCAAGUUACUCGUUAGGUUGACAUGGCACUUCGACUUGAAAAAGUUUAGACCUACCGAAGUUGGAAGAGUGAAGAUAAGCUUAGCAUGUGUAUUUGCAUUUAUGGCGAUAGGAUGGCCGUUAAUUAUUUUGAAGACAGGGAUAGUAGGAUGGUUCAAGUUUUGGUUCAUGCCGUGGAUGGUGUAUCAUUUUUGGGUAAUUUUUUUUUGGUGAUUUUUAGGCUUGUUUUUCUCCCUUUCUCUAGUCUUUGUUAUGAUGCAAGCUUUGGGACACUCCAUUGGUUGAGGUUCUUGGCUUUUUUGCCAAAAAUCCUGUUCGUUUCAUUUUGCAAAGCUUAUCACCUGUUUGGUUCGUGCAACUCCUGCAGACUUUUCAACUUUUAGGGCCAAACAGCCAGUGACAUCCGGACUUAUCACCAGUUCAGAAAUAUGCUUCAAUCCUCUUAAAUUGUGCGUCAUGAUGUUGGAGUCGAGGGACAGUUUGGCCUUAAAUGCUCUAUUAAAAUGUGCUAAAGUUGCGAAAAUGGAAAAUGCCUGCCCUGUACUCUUUUUCAAAUUCUCACAAAACGUGUGGAUUUUCUUUUGCGAAAAGGCCAAGCAUGUCUAACAUUUAAAUUGAAACAUCUUGUAAUCAACUUUGAUUAUGUUAUUUAUCAUAAUUGUACUCUAAAUUUCAGAUGAGCACGUUUACAAUGAUUCAUCAUACUGCUCCGCAUAUACCUUUCAAAGCAUCAGAGGAGUGGAAUGCUGCUCAAGCACAACUUGGUGGCACGGUUCACUGUAACUAUCCUCGCUGGUAAAUAUUCACUCAAAACCUGAUGAUUAUUCAUGGAUCAUUGAAAACAGCUUUUACUUGAUUUUGUCGUUUGUCGAGUUUUGGGACAGACUAGGAUCAAUCUACUAACCGGUGCAAACAAAUGGAUAUCUAACAAAAGACCAUAAUAUCCAAAAAAACAUAUGGAGUUAGAAGCUUCCAUAAUAAAACUAAAUAGUAUGCGUUAACGGAAGCAAAUCUAAAAUCAUGAGGUGUACUUUGGCUUAGAAAGUAGCUCUCGGUAUCAAGUACAUCGACCCAACUCAAGGAAAUCAAAUGUGGAAUUGCAUGUUAGGAAGAGGAAUAUCAUAAGGGAAAAGGUUUUGUAUUGUUAUCAAAAUUUGUGGGCCGUAAAUACAUCCUUAUAUUUUUCAUGCACAAGGGCUCUGGAAUGCAUCAUACAUCAGUAACAAAACUCAGAAUGAAACUAUUGGGACAUGAUAGGUAAAUCACGUAGUUAUUUUGCAUUGUAACAUCGACACUUUCGAAAUCUUCUCCUCGCGAUAACUCGCAACCCUUUUAUACUGCACCUAACAAGACUAAAUGUUUUUAACAGGAUAGAGAUCCUUUGCCAUGAUAUCAGUGUCCACAUUCCGCACCACAUUUCUCCGAGGAUCCCGAGCUACAAUCUCCGUGCAGCUCACGAGGCACUCCUCCAAAACUGGGGCAAGGUGCAUCUAUAUUUCUUUUCGUAAAUGAUUUCCUUCUCCAGUUCCUCAAAAAAUACUUUUUUUUUCUUAUCGACAGUAUCUCAACGAAGCAAACUGGAAUUGGCGUCUCAUGAAGACGAUAAUGACUACGUGCCACGUAUACGAUAAGGAGAAGUAUUAUGUUUCAUUUGACGAGGUUGCGCCCGAGGAUUCCAAACCAAUCACAUUCCUAAAGAAGGCAAUGCCAGAUUAUGCAUGAUUCUCUUGAGCAGCUCUUUUUCUAUACAUCUACUACAGCAAACGGCGGCAAAUAUUCAUAUACAUGCUUCGCAGAGUGCGUAACAAAGUUCGGACACGAGUUAUUUUUUCACAGAAAUUAAUGAAACUUCAUUCUGAUGUUUUGGCUGUAUGAGCUAUAUAUGUUUAGACAUUCAAUUAUUUCUCUGUGUAAUGUUUAGUUGGCUAGGACUACUGAGCAAAAGAAACAAACAGAUGUUAAUAUAACAUCACUCUCUCUGUGUUUCCGAGAAGUUUACAUUUUCAUCUAAAUGGUGAAUUUGUUUCAAUCAUAAGUUCAUUUCUAUGUGCCUAGAGCUUGUUUGCGCAACAAUUAAGUUUUGGCUAAAUUACAAAAUCACCCCCUACACUUUAUCCAAUGUCUCAAUUGCCCUCCUGCAUCAAAUUUUCCUUUAUUUUGAUCCUGCCCAUGCCGCUCUGUCAAAUAGGCCCUUAAAACUUUUUAUGAUCCUUGGCGUUUGGGUGUAAAACUUAAUAAAAAUAAGCUGUCUUAGAUAAGAUUGUUACAUUCAAUAAAACAUAAUCACAUAAAUAUAAUAAAUUGUUCUAUGAACAGGUAAUUCCGAUAGCCUAAAUUAAGAAGAAAUUCUUUUUCUUUUAAGUUUAAAUUAUACCCUACAUAAAUGUUCAAUUAUGGUACUAAAGUUCAAUAAUUUUGCCAAAAAAAAUUUGCCUAUUUGAAACAGUAUGGAGACACAAAAGUGUAAGAGCACAUUUGGUAGUUUAUGUUGGCUUAAAUGGACCAGCAUCCUGUCCUGUGGUGAGAGGCCAUGUUGAGCCGAGUUAUGUUCAAAAUAGCGUGAGGCUGGAUAAGCCGAGUCAUGUUCGAAGUGGCGUGAGGCUGGUUGGACCGAGUCAUAAUCGAGAUCCGUGGGUACUGUAUCCGUACGGUUUAAAUGAAUUGGUUGCAUAUUUCUAACAGCUCAAACUUUUGGGAUUAAUGGUUAGUGCCAAAACAGUUUAGCCUCAAGUUUUUCAUGCCAUCUAAAAUUCUAAAAGAUUAACAUCUAAAUUAGCCUUAAGAAGAGGGAUACAUUAAACUUUUCAAUGAAAUUUCGAUAGUAAAUUAAAAGUCAGAUACCUAUUUAUAAAAUAUCUUGAGUUUAAGGGUUCUUUGUAGUAUUUAAUAAAUGCGCUAAUUUGAUAAUGCAAAAUUAUCCUAAUCCUGUCGCAUAAUUGUCCCUAAAGUGAGCUACACCGUAUCGAAUGAAACCCUAGGAUUCCAUUUUGUGUCCACUGACCCAAUUAAACCCCCUCUCUCUCUCUCUCUCUCUCUCUCUCUCUCUCAUCAUCAGUCAACGGUCACACGAUCUCACGUGCCAAAAUAUGCCCAAAAUACCCCUCCCCGCACGUGCCACCACACGGAGACUCGAGAUAUUAUUUUCUAUACAAGAUGUACACGUACACUCUGUGCGCCGCACCUAAAGAUCAGUUUAGUUGGUGUAAUUUUAAAUAUAUGCACAUAGUUGGAGAUGCAGCAGUUGUAUUUACAUUUCAUAGUUACGAAUGAUGUAACUGUAAUUUAUUGAGUAAUGCUUCUAUACUUUUUUUUUUUAGUUACCGUUUAUUUACGCGUAUUCAACGACUCAGAUUUAAUUUUUUUUAAAUUGUGACCUGCAAUAGCAGGUCACUUUGGGAGAGGUACCGGUUACCAGGUACCUCAAAAAAAGAUAUUUUUGUCUUUUAAUACAUGAGCAAUUUAGUCAUUUUACAUCUACUAUAUUUUCAAAAUUUUUAUUUUUUCUUUGUUUCCUUUCGCACUCUCUAUCUUUCCUUUCAUAAUUUGGCAUUUCAUAUAAGGAAAAUUUCAAAUGAUUUGACAAUAUGAUCAUUGAAUUUAAAGUUUAAAUAGUAAUAUAAAAUUUUUCUAAUUUAAAUUUCACUUUUAAAUUUAAAAUUUAAUAUUAUAUUCAAAUUAUAUUUUUAAAAUUUAAGUUUCAUAUAAAUACUUUGAAAUAUGGUAAACAGAAAUAAUUGUUUGAAUUCUAGUCUUCUGGUUUAGAUUUGAUUUUGGGUUUCGAAAAAUUAGUCAGUUUUGAAUUUGGAUAUGGAUUUUUGAAAUCCGUCGAGUUCGGAAAUAAGUUUUGUGAUUGCUAGUCAGAUUCGAAUUCAAAUUACUAACUAUUUUUUUUCUCACCAAUAAUUCUAAUCUUUUUAAUUUAUAUGUUUAAAAUUAUAUUUAAAAUAUUUAUUAGCUCUAACAGUUAAAUUAUUAUUCUGUUUAAAAUAUCUAUUAUCUUUACCGGUUCCAAAUUGUUCUUAAUGUUAUUCGGUUCAAUAGGUUAAAAUCAGAUUCUUGAUAGAAUAGGUCAAAGUCUGAUCAGUCAAAUCAAUCGGUUCAAUCUAGUUUUUAAAUCAUUGAAUUUAAAAUUUAAAUAGUAAUAUAAAAUUUCUCUAGAGAAAUCUAGUUGUAGAAAUCUUACUCUCUAAGUUUUUUAUGCAUUACGUUUUAAACUGGUGCGAAUAAACUGUAUUUUAAAUCUUGGUAGAAAUUUAGUUUUUAAAUAGUAAUAUGAAAUUCCUCUAAUUUAAAUUUCACUUUUAAAUUUUAAGUAUUUAAUUUUUAAAAUUUAAAUUCAUCGUAUUUAGAAAUAAAACUAUUUCUAAAAUUUCUAUAAUUUAAAUUAAUGCAUAAUUUGAGAAACACUAAAACAUUUAAAGUAGAUUCCUAAAUUAAUGCCUAAUAAUUUCAUAAAUUUGGUUAAUCAAUUAAUUUUCUAAAUUAGUACUAAUUAAUGCAUAAAUUUAGGACCUCAAUUAAAAGUUUCUUUAAAUAUUGUAUUAUUUAAUUACCAAAUCUUGAAUAAAAUAAUCUUUUUACCUGCUAAAUAUUAAAGUUAUAUUUUUACCCUCUAUUAAUCAACGGUUAAAAUUUUUUUUAUUUUUUUUUAAAAAAGUACCGAAUCAUUUCUGUAAUUU
rnacentral:lncRNA from 1 species